rnacentral:lncRNA from 1 species
UUUGGGCCGCAUCACGAGAGAAACUUUUCUAAAGGUGGAAGACUUGUGUGUUCGAGCUUUAUUGAAAGGGACGAUAUCAUGUUCAGAGUAUCCAUCUUCAGAACCACUGAUAAGAUUUGGGUGUAUAAUAAUAUGUGCAAUGCGAUACAGCAGAGGAAGCAUCGCGUUAGCUCGCUUUUGGUGAGAACAGAAUUUACAGAAUUGCAAAGCUGAAUUCUGCUUUCGGUUCAGCAGAGUGGAUAAAAGCAUUAGUUUCGUUCCAAUGGAUGGAAUGGUCCUGAAUGUGUACGAUACCUUUCCUUGAUCCUAGACGCGGCAAUCACAAUGUGGGCAAGAGUCGUGAGUUGUGAGUCGGAGGAAGCUGAUUACAAAUGUCGAUUCUGUAAUUCAGGAGACAAUCUCUCUUUCAAAUUGGGUGCUUCUUUAAGGUUUCCGGUGGCUUAACCUGACCUUUAGAACUGUAAAGCAUAGUUAUGUCGAUUACGCUUCCCUUAAGCCAUACCAAGAUUUUGCAAGCUCUGGUGAACUUACAUCAGAUUCUUUGCAAUCUCUUUUCGAUUUCUUGAAGAUUUUGUGAUCAGUCUUUUCGUAUGUCGCAAAUUGACGUUUGUCAGUUUCUUCUCAUGUGAAAAACAAUCGGAAUUUUUUUUUAUUUUUUUUUUUAUAUUAAAUGAAUGUUGAUAUGCAUGACGAAGUAAAUAUGCUGCGUCUUUGCGUCGCUGUGGCACGUCUCUUCCGCAGCCUCUCUCUCUCUCAACAAACACAGCAGCCGAGCCUCCAACAGUGGCUUUGCACCUUUAGAAUCAGCGAUAAUCCCAGCGCUCUCGAACUUGAACUUGCUCUCACCGAUUCUCUCUCUCUCUCUGUGUCUUUCUUCCAUGCGAGAACUCGAUACAUCCUCUGUAAACCUACGGCAAUAGAAAUUUGGGAGAUGGUGAGAGGAUGGGAGAAAACAAAAGUGAAACGGAAAUCAACGGACAAAAUUUGCAAUGAAUCGAAGACAAUUCUAGAGUUAAAUUGGAGACGGAACGUCCUGGUAAUUGUGACUGUCGAUCAAGGAAACUAUCUGGUUGAGUUCUGCCGUCGCGGCGGUGAGUGGCAUCUUCGAACUGGUAGUGACACUUUUUGUGCUUCGGUCAGUGCUGGAAGCAACAAUCGUCAAAGAGCUCGACCUCAAUAAAUCGCUGGUGGAGCUCCAAACGCGGUUGCAAUAAAUCAUUAGCUAGAGAUCAAUCCCCCUUCAUUCAGUUGUUCCUCCAAGCUGCAAUCGAAGGCUUCUCCGAUUCUCUCCACCAAUUCAGAUCACCCUACAGUGAACGACACUAUCAGAUUCCGCAUUCAAGGUGCGGCCACACUAAUUCCUCUCUGAUUUGAGUUCUCACUUUCCUGUCCUUACAUAUGUCUGGACCACAUUCACCUGUCGCCCGGCCAUCUCGAGCUCAUGUCGCCAUCACCACUGACCCAUUGUUACGCCCGUUUCAUGUGCAAUCGAACUGCCGAGUCAAAUUUCGAUUCACUCCAGAAUACGUUCUGUCAACUCUUGCCAAGGCUGAGGUCGGAUGGAUCAUCAUAUGGAUACCAUUCGCGGAUACGAAGGAUGAGAUUCUUUGGUUUCGCUCUUGGCACUCUUGCCAGUCCGACGUCACUUCAUCAACCGUGGUAGCCAAGGCCAAUCUGAGUCAUCAUCCUUCGAGACGAUACACCGAGCGUGAAGAUUGGCAGCGGCGAGCAAACAAUCUAGAAUAAAAAGGUGCAAUGCAAAGGGGUGGAUGGAGGUGAUUCAGAUUUUGCGUGGGAAUUUUGGGCAAAACAGGCAAACAAGGUGAAGCUGGUGGUGGCUCUUUGGAUGAGAAGGAAGUAAAGUGUAGAAAAAAAAAAAGAUAAAAAAGGAAAAAGAAAGUAAUAAAAAAAAAAAAAAAAAAAAAGAGAGACACGAAAGGAAAAUAUAGAGAGCACACGAGAAAUCGGUCAAAUGGAAGACGUGCACAAGAGAUGUAAUUCGUCACACCAUCGAACACCUUCAUUGCAAACUCGAUCCCUCCUCCACAGUGCAAUCGACGGCAAUGGGAAUUCGGAAGAUGGUGAGAGAGUUGGAGAAAAUCAAAAUGAAAUAGAUAUCAACGGACGAAGUUAGAAUAUAUCGAAAUUAAUCCUAGAGUCGAAUCGGAGAUGAAAUGACCUGGUGGGAAGUGCGACUGUCGAUCUGAUAGAUAUCAUAAUUACCCGAAUGUCAGUGAGGAACCGGCUGUCCGCGGAUAUUUCUUAUGGCGCGAUCUUCUUUCCUCCGCUUUUUGUUACAGAGUCGUCUCACCCUCUGUUUCUCUCUUGCGCAAUUCAACGAACACCUUCUGCUCCGAGGACGCAGCACAUUCAACGACCAGGAAACUACAGGGGUCAAGUUCUUCGCCAUGCAACGUUUUCUCUAUGUCUAUCUUCAUUUUUUUCACCAGGUCUUCCUCUAUCAGGAUUGUUUCCUAUCCGAUUAAACUUCUGAGUCCAAUUUCGAUUCAUUCCAGUAUAAAUUCUGUCGAUUCUUGCUUCCUUCUUUUCCCUUCCACUUCAUUGCCGCCUUUUGGAUUCCAAAUGCGGUCGCUUGCGUCCUUCGUUUCGCCCUCCUACGCCGCGCAUGAAGGGGAUGUCGGGCUGGUGUAUAGGAUCCGCCAAUUCGAGGGAUGAAAUCUUCGAGUUCACUCUCGGCCCUCCCGCCGGUUUGAGAAGCCCGUCAAAGGGAAGACUUGCAUAAAAGAUGGAAUUCCUUGAGAGGAAGAUUCAUCUCAAAACUCAGCCAUCAUUUUCCUUUUCUUUUCCUUUAAAUAGGCAUAAAAAAAACUCCAAACGACGCCAUUGCAGCGUUUCUUGGCUUCAGGUACCUUUUUCGGAUCUCUCCAUCCAUCUUGACACGCUCCCCCGCUCAGUGAGUUCCGAGUCGCUCCACCAUCACCCUCGCUAUCUACUGCUGCUUUGAAACCGAGCUGCACUCGCCUCAUGAUUGAUUCUGUCGCUCACCGUCUUUAGAAACUUCGGUGAUCUUCUCUCUUUCUCUCUUCUUUUCCUUCUUCCGGUUCGAAUCGCGUUUUCGUUUUGUGCAUUCUUAUGCGUUUUGACAGAGCGAUGUUUAAUGCUAUUGUCGUUUUGCUCAUCAAAGGGUUCAUGCCCGGAAUUUUUUUCUUUUUUCCUUGUUUCCAAUCGUGAAUCCAAGACCACUUGGAAACGAGCGAAGAUUGAACUGAAAACGUCGUGAGAAAUCACCACAGCGAACGAGAGUUGUGCAGAGUUAAGCUCGGUCGAACAGUGGUUCGGUUUUCCUCUAUUUUUUGGCACCCUAUAGUCGCUUCUGGAUUCAGUUGUGGUGCGAGGGUGACUCGCUAGCCAUUCCUGAUCGGUCCUUCGAUUAACGCUUUUCUCUGUAUAGAUUUCUGAGCGGCUUGGGACUUCGAGAUGGGAGUGGCACCGAUGAGUUAUGACAUGGAAGAGGGGACUCUGGAUAUCGGCAUGGGUAAGCUUUUGGCCCUCUCUGCUUUCCGAAUUUUUUUUGAGCUACCGACAAUGGAAAUCUGCUGGGAUGCUUGAAUCUCGUAAUUAAGCUUUGACUGUAUUGUGGGGAGUAGCUUUGUCUCCUUGUUUGUGGUUUAUUGUGUCUUUCGCCAUCUAAAUUUCACUGUGCUUGGAAUCAGAACUUUAAUCAUGGGGUAUUAUUGUUUUCGAGGCUUUCCAUGUAGCUUUAGCGUUUCUGAAAAGUUUACGCUGCCACUCUUAUGACAACGGUUAAUACACUUACUACUUAGAUCUACACAAUCUCUAUCAUUUUACAUGUAUUGGUUAAGAGGUGAUGAAUCAUUUAGCUCUUGUCCGAGUCAAAUUUUUAGCAUGCCUUAGCCGCUGGGUCUUAGUUAUCAGUUGUUCAGACAAUUGCUUUGCUACUUGCAGAGCAUAGGAUUGUCUAUGGUGUUGUUGGGCCGUUGGUUAUACUCGACAAAGUCAAGGUCAAUUUCACUGGUUAUAAUUUUACGAGUUUCAGUGAACUCCUAUAUUGACAUGUUGGAUUACUUUAUUGUAUAUUAGGGACCAAAGUAUCAAGAGAUUGUAAAUAUCCGCUCGGGAGAUGGAACAACUUGACGUGGGCAUGUCCUUAAAGUUGAUGGAUAGAAAGCUGCUGUGUAGGUUCAGUAUAAGCUGCCAGCCUCUUCUUUUUUGCUUUAUCUCUCUUGAAACUGCAUUUUUGUUGGUUGGACUACAUUAGUUGGGUCACUUUGGUGUGCAGUACUUUUUAGCUAAUGACCUAGUGAAAUCUCUACCGUUAAUUACAAGCAUCAGAAAAAGCAGAACAUGUAGAAUAUUUUCUUGGGUAUAUGUGAUGAAAUGUGAGAACAUCAUAUGGGAUAAUAAUUUAAAAAAUUGUGAUUGAGUUUUUUGAGGAGAACAAUGUUAAGAGUCUAAUUAGCAUUCAGUGUGGGCAUACUCUUUCUCUCUCUCUCUCUCUCCGCAUCUGUAUCUGACGAAUCGUAAUCUGACGAAUUGUAAGUUCACGCUUCAGCACACAUUAUUUUAACCGUGUGCCAGAAUUUCAUCCAAUUUUUGUGUCUUGUUGCGCAUAAUUUUCUUCUGAAUUUUGUUUAACCUUCCUCAAUUGUCAUCGUCUUCUUCAGCUAGGGCUCUGCUUUCAAAAUUCGUUCCACAGUCGAUUUUUAUGCAUGUAAAUUUCUCAGCCCACUGCUUCGGAUCAUGAACCAAUAAAGGUCCUCAACCUAGCAAUUCAUUUUCCCUAAUUCUAAAUCUCGUGAGUAAAUAGGUAUGGUCGUCUCUCUUUAUCACACCGGCUGCUUUGAAAAUGUGGAUGGGCAGAGUUCUUCUCUACCGGUUGGCAAGGAUUUGUGAUAAAAACACGUCUGCAUCGGAGUAGGAGAUUUCUUACGUGUUUGAGCUCAUGGAUGGUGAUGAUAUGGUGGAACUUGAAAAUAUUCAGAGAAUCUUAUGCCUUGUCAAAAUAUGAGUCACUUUUAUGCCUUGUUCUCCAUAAACUCCGGAGUGCUCAUCAUCAUGAGAAUUUGGAGGGGGUGGCUCGCGUAACUCUCUUUCCGUCGUUCUCUUCAAAUUCUAGAAUAGUUUCUAAGAAGCUCUUGUUUUGAUCUUGAUUGAUUAUGUAAUGAUGUGGGGAUACUAUUAACUUCUGACCUAUGCUAAAUUUUUUCAUGGCAAGUCAAAUUAAUGAAGUGUACAUAAACUGUCACUGAAGUUGUCGCUUUUCAGGUACAGGGAGGACCAAACAGUUAGCAGAUUAAGCCAUCCUGAGCUGGUUUUCUUAGGUCCAAUGCACCCAAGGGCUCUCACUACUCUUGAAUUGGCCGGCAAAUAUUCUGACGGAGCAUUCUUUUUCAAGGUGGUGAUGAGGCCAUCUCAUGUUAAGUAUGGCUUGGUAUGAUCCCAAGCUUAUUUACUCAAACUGGCAUGUCUGGAAAUCAAAUAUAUUGAUGCUGUUUAUAUCUUUGCUUAUACUCUAGUGUAUUUCCAAGUUUACUGCAUUGUGUAGUAAACCACAUUAUAUGUUAUUUUCCUUGAAGUGUUCAUGGAUAUAUGCUUAAAACCAGGUAUAUAUUUUAACAAUGGAACAUAAGCUGGUGGUUGGUGGUUCGAAAAGAUAACAAUCAUCUCCUUUUUUUGGUGGAUAGAUGCGUUGGAAAAGCAAUUGCUGAGGCAAGUCUUGAGAAUUAGAAUCCAAGUCCUCUUAUAUGGAGAAAUUCAACAAUGUUAUUCAAUGUUGUAGAGGUAGAAUAUAUAUGCAAAUCGCACUAGGAGACUGUUAAAAUGGACAAGCAAAUUGCAAAAAAUGUUGCUGCCUCCAUAACUAAAGAGAAAGACCUAAAAGAUAAGGGGGUGACUUGUUAUGAUUUUGAAAUUUCAUUCUAGAUCUAAUGACUGAUAAUUUUGUUGUCAAAUUGGAGAUACUGUUGUCUUUUGUUAUGUUAAUCAGAUUUGGGGGGAAAAAGAUGAUUUUACUUUGUCAAAUUGAACCAAUAGAUUGAUAAAACCUUUUUGGAGCUGUGCUUGAAAGAAUCAAACAGCUUAAAAAUUUUCAAUUUCAUCCAUGUUCCAGUCAUCAGUGUGAUUACUUUUUCCCCUGUGAUUGUGGUCUAUGUGGCUGAAAUUCAUAUGUUUUAAAUAUUUAAUAGGACCUGGAAAGCUUCUUCCAAAUGUGUACCCUAUUGCAUUCCAGGAGCAUAGAUUUGACCAUGACUUUGAAUUGAUGACUUUUUUGUUAUAUGGUUUACUGUCUGUUAAACUCCUGAAACUAGCAAGUUAUGCUUAAAACUCACACUGUGUACAAUUUGAUUCUCUCAUUAGGGUUUGCUUAUGUCUUGGUCUGUUCUUCACCAUAUGUUGGUUUUUUCCACCAUGUAGAUGGGUAGUUUGCUCCUGUUCAAUUCAUCACGUAACGUGUUCAGGAAAUUAAGCAAAUUUUGACUAUAAGGUAUUCGGACAGGUCAUGGAUGGUGAAACUAGGGAGUUGAGGACGAGAUUUUUUUUGGGGGGGGUUGCCCACUUUUGACAAGAGAAAGUCAUCUGCAUGUAGAAACUCAUUGAUAGGGAUGAUUUUGUAUUCAGAGUCUACAUAUUCACUAGUGCUGGUUAGGACUUGAUUUACAUUGAUUGAGAUGAACUCUGGAAGCGUCACUUUCGCUAGUCCAAAAUGAAUUAAGUAUUCCAAAUAAUAACUCCUUUAUAUAGUCUUGAGGAAUCAAGGAAGUGUACAUCUAUGCUGAUUGGGUUUUAUGAGGUUGAUCAUAAUCCAGAUGCACAUUCAUUGAUGCCACAUUCCUAAUCUGAAUGAACUGAACAGUAUGUGCUUCAACAUGUCCUUUUUGGUUUAUGCAUUCUUGUUAUGUUGUUCUUCAUUUUGAAUUUGAAAUCAAGUCUCAUAGGCUUGUUAAGAUUAUGGGUUUUAUUUUACCUACAGGGAAUACCAAAGAGGUUCAAGAAAAUGCUUUUAAGAGAAUGGUGCAAUUAUUUGGCUUGUGGAAUUGGAAAAAUGUGAUGAGAUGAUUUGGCUAGCAAAGGGUUGGAAUGAAUUAGCGGAGCAUCACUCUAUCUUUGAGGGUCAAUUUUUGAUCUUCUAAUCUGAAGGGACUCAAUUUUCCAUGUCACCAUAAUUGAUGAAAGGAUGUCCGAGAUAGAAUAUCCGCCAAUCAAUGUCGAUGUGAGGAACUGAGCCUCAGCAAUUGGAGAAUUGCCUUGCUGAAAGUGGAAGGUGCUUUUGAUUGCCGUGAUGUUUCAGUCGAGCUUGAAGUUUGGGGGGAUGAAUUGCAUUCAGCCAAGUGUCCUCGGUUUUGUAUGGAAAAGAAAUUUAAUUAGGUUUGCGAAGUUCUUGGCAGCUCUUAUGCACAUUCAUAAGCAAAGUUUGCAGAGGCAUAGAAGUUUGAACUGCUCAUCACAAGAUUUUCAAGGUGUGAAUCUUAAUAUAGUAGCUAAUUCUCCCCUUGACUAUGUUGUUCUUGUGUUUGAUUCGAAUUCUGUACAGGAACUCUCCAUGUUGUUAGGCUAAGAGAAACUGUGUUAGAGUUAAUUCAUUCCUGUGAUGUUUCUCUAUAGUUCUCCCACGUGGAGUAAAUUCAUUCUUGUGAUGUUUCUCUAUAGUUCUCCUGCGUGAACAUAUGUAUGUGUUGGGAGAUCUAAAAAAUAAUGGAAAGCCAAGCUGGUCAUAUCAGAUUUGAUUGUGCUGAGAAUUGUAUUGGCGUACAUAUAGGCCUCAAGAAGCUAGACCAUUAUUAAGACUUAGAUCUAUUGAUUUAGCGUUGCUAUGUCGGUAGAUAUGAGUUUUACAUUACAAGAACAGAAUACGCCUAAAAAGCUAAAGCUUUAUUCAUGUUCUGUUUGCAACUCCUGCGGGAAAGCUGAGAGAGCCGGGCUUGUGAAGAGCUUGAGCCAGCCAACAAAUUUAUACUCGAUUAUCCUUUCUUCCAUAUUGCAGUGAGGUGAACAUAUCUGAAGAAAAGCAAUAUAGUAAGAUCCUCAUGACAAUGACAACUCUUGGAUUUAAAUCAGAGAGUCGCUAGACUAUGUUAGCUCUAACUAUUUAAUCAUGUGGCAACAAAUUUUUUUUUUUAUCCUUUACAUGGUUUAAAAAAAAAAUCCUCAUACUGUCUUCCUAAGAUUUCAUUGUUUGUUUUCUCCUCUCUAAUGACAAAAUUGCGAAACGUCUACUUAUACAGAGAGUUAUCGGUUCAUUCCCGAAGAAGCACAUUAAGAAAAGCCCGCACACCGUGGCUCUCAUAUUUCCACACAAAGCACGGCUGUUGAAGCUCAUCAGCCAUGAAAAUUAUGGAAAGUCAUCUGCUGGUUGGGCCGCAUUCACGAGAGAAACUUCUUUGAAGGUAAAAGACGUGUGUGUGUUUGAGCUUUAUUGAAAGGGACGAUAUCAUGUUCAGAGUAUGCAUCUUCAGAACCACUUAAAAGACUUGGCCAAUUAAUAUAUCCAUAUACUAUACAGCAGAGUUGCUAGGCUGAAUUCGGCAAAAUGGAUGAAGGCAUGAGUAUUGUUCCAAUGAAUGGAAUGGUCUUGAAUGUGUUCGAUACCUUUCCUUAAUCCUAGACUUAAUAAUCACCAUGUGGGCAGGAGUCGUAAGUUGAAGAGAGCUGAUAACUAAUGUCGAUUCUGUAACUUCCAUCUCAAGAGACAAUCUCUCAAAUUAGGUGCUUCUUUAAGGUUUCUGGUGACUUAACCUGGCCUUUAGAAUUGUAAAGGGUAGUAACAUAGAAUACACUUCCCUUAAGCCAGCGCAACCAUGAUGUACAAGCUCCUGUGAACUUACAUCAGAUUAUUUUCAUUGUCUCUUUUCAAUUUUUUAAAGAUUUUGUGAUGAGUCUUCUCACAUGUGGGCGCAAAUUGAAGUUUUUUAGUUUCUUCCCAUGCGAAGAGCAUUUGCAAUUUAUUUUGUCAAAUUAACUAAAUUGUGAUACGCAUGGCAAAGCAAUUUCCAAUCUAUGUUACAUCUUUUCAUUGGUUAGUAAAUUAAGGAAAUUUUUACACCAAUGUCUACUAAAUUGCUCAUUGUUCAACUGUGGAAAGAAGAAUUUCUAGUCACCCACGUUAUUACCCUCGGCCAUGCCGCCAAAUGAUAUGAUAUCAUAGUAUAGAUAAAGAAAGUCCCCCAGCUUGGAAGGAGUAGCUUUAUUAUUUCUAUUUAUAUAGAAAUGGCAAGUAGUCCAUAUGCUGAUUCAGCCAUUCUGAGUUGGUUUUUCAUGGUCCUACACUUCCAGACCUCUCAUUACUCCUAAAUUAGCCCGCAAAUUCGAUUUAUAACUAUCCUUUUUCAAAAUGGUGAUUCUGCAACUUAUACGAGUAGUCCGAUAAGAUCUUGGGCUUAAUUAGGCACCGGUAUACCUAGAGCUCAGUUAUCAUUGCUAGCAUCGACGAUACCACAACUGUUUUAGCAGUCGAUGUCUACUUGUUGGAGAUUUUUGUUUUCCAUUUAUACAGUGUCUAUUGUUGAAGCCAAUAGCAUCCUAGAACAAUACUCAUUAAUAACAUGUAUUAAAAAAAUGAUGUUAGCUAUUAAUUUCUUUCAUCCUCAAGCACUUUCAAACAGAUAAAUUUAUCCUUGGAUUUCUUCGACUUCAAAUCAUUACCUUCUUGCUCUUUGCCCUAUUUUAUCUUUGCAUUUCUCAUUUCAGUUAUAUAAUUUCAUAGCUCGAUCGUUCAAACAUGUAAAUGUGCAGAGUAUUCUGGAUGGAUUCAUUAAGCAACAUAUUCAGGAGAAGCAAAGAGCAACUCUUAGGCAUUCCAACAAUGAAGUUCAUCGGGAGCCAUAGACUCAUAAGAGGGGCCAUGUCUGUGUCCUUUUCUUCUGGUUGAUGUGCAUUUCGGAGAGAAACUCAUAUGCGUGUAGGAAAUGUCGGCAUGAAUGAAUGAACAAAGAUAAUCACCUGAAGGCCUGCAUUCUUUGCAGCAAUAGCUUCUCAAUAUCAUGUGCUUAUCACAACUCGUGACUCAGUACCUACACGUAACUAUGUGUUUUUUCUUCCCCACAUUUAGUGUCGAAAAUCCAUGAAGACACUACCUCAGAUCUCCAUGAUUUGUAUUUCCAGAGUCUUUAUGCUAAUCUGCCGUCAUAAGAUACAUGUAUACAAAAACAAAUGCAGCAAAUGGCCUCUCAUCAACGAAGAAGUUGCCUAGGAGUGAGCUUUUGGGGCUCACCAAUUUCAUACCCCGCAUUGUGACAGAAUGAAACAACACAUAAUAUUGACACUAAUAACCAUGAACCAAAGCAGACCCAAAACAAAUUAAUUCAACCCCUAGAACAGCAGAGCAGGUAAUUAACAAAUAGAAUUCGAUGAGACUGAAUCAUCGACUAGUUACCCUCGUUACCAGAUGGAACAACAAUUUAGAGAACAGCAGUUAAGCUAUGCAACAAUAGGUCACCCAUCAGAGUUUAUGAGGGCAAAGAGACAUCGAAUGGCAAAAGCAAUUACUACUUGGGAACAGGACAAACAUGUCCAGAAUUUGUGAAUGGUUGCUUACCCUUUCAAACAAAAGGAGACAUGAAACUUUCUGAGGCUAAAACCAAAAAUUACAAGCUGAGUUAAGUAGAGUAAUUACAAUGGUCCCAUCCUGUUAUAAUGGGCACAUGUACCGUGUAUUUUUCUGUGCUUAUGUUGAUUCCAUCAUAAUAUUAAUAUCAACUGAAAAGGAGACUUUGAGUAAACACCAAUUAAAUUUGCAACCACGCAAAAAAUUCACUCCUUGACAACAACGCAUUCAAAUAAUGCAACUAAACACACUGCAUUAAUAAAUUAGUGACCGCCAAUCUGGAAAAACCAGAGGAUGAGGAAGCACUUUGUUGGAGGGACAAACCAGAAAUGUUACACCGUUCAUGAGCAACUCUCAUUUCGCACGCCAUGAGCCAUUCUCGAGUCCGAUAGAUCCUGAGGGUGACAAGUGAUCUAACGAGGUGGGAUCCGGAAAACCUUCCUCCAGGUGGGAUGGCCAUUGUCUUCACGAGGCUUGGGAAUGAUGGGCACUGACUCCUGCUGCAGCUCCUCUCGAAACUAUAGGGACUGAUGUAUUGCCAGCCGACAUGUAGUUCAUAUUUGCAGCAGAAUUUAUAACGUAGUCAAUCGCCUGCAUAGCGGAAUUGAAUUUCAUAAACUCCACAAUAGGCCUGAGAACCUAGAAAGCAGCACCGACUUCAACUCCAGCGAAACCAACCUCUGUGAUUGCAGUAUCAACAACCCUCUCAGGUCCAUGCUUCUGCCCAAAAAAAAAAAAAAAAAAAAAAACCUCGUUAUUCUCCGACCACCUCACCCAUUAGAAAGACUCUUAGGAUCUGCAGAUAUUUCAUCGUCAAAUGCAGUAUUCAGAGCCUCUCUCACAGUCUCCCUUUCGCUGCGGUGGCAUAACUAUGUUACGGCGUUUCUGCAUCACAACUUUUCCGCAGCCUUUUUCUCAACAUCACAGCAUCGAAGCCUUUGGCAGUGGCUUUUCCUAUUAGAAUCAACAACAUCAUGCCCUCUCGAACUCGAACUUGGUCCCACCGUCAGAUAAAGCUCACUAAUUCUAUCUCUCUCUCUCGAACGGGUAUCCUUAGAAACAGAGUCCAGCUUGGUCAUUCCAUCAAGCACCUUCCUUGCAAACUCGACUGGAUUUUUCUCCGACCAAUCUUUUUUUUUUCGCAUCUCUCUCUGGCUCUGGAUUCCCCUGAUUCAUCUCCAGCAAUUCAGAUAAUCCCCACAGUAAACCUCACCAUUAGAUUCCACAUUCGAGUUGCGGCCACUCUGAUUCAAGUCCUUGCUUUCCUGUCCUUGCCCAUGUCUGGACCAGAUCUAUCUGUUGCCGGGCCAUCUCGGGCUUACGCAGCCAUUGCCGCUGAACCAUCAUCAGGACCAUUCCAUGUCUGAUUGAACUUCCGAGUCAAAUUCCAAUUCACUCCAGAAUACGUCCCGUCGACUCUUGCUUCGUUCUGCUCGCUCCCACUUCAUUGCCGCCUUUCGGAAUUCCAUUAUUCCGCCCAUCUAUGCCGCGCGGAAAGGGGGACGCGGGGUGGUGUUCGCUGUUUACAAGAGCCUUUUAUCCGAUUGCCAAGGCUGAGGUCGGAUGGAUCAUCAUCAUCAUCAUCAUCAUCUGGAUAGGAUCCGCCGAUUCGAAGGAUGAGAUUCUUUGGGUUUCGCUCUCGGCACCUCCACCGGUCCGGCGUCGCUCCUUCAACCGAAGCAGCCGAGGCCAAUCUGAGUCUGUCGUCAUCCGAGACGAUAUGCCGAGCGUGAAGAUUGGCAGCGGCGAGCACGAAGAGAAAAACAACGGAGAAUAAAAAGAAAAAAAAAAAAAGAGGCGGGAAGCGAAGGUAGGGGGUGGGAUGGAGAUGAUUUGGAUUUUGUGUGGGAAAAAGGGGCAAACGGGUGAAGCCAGUGGUUGUUCUUGGGAUGAAAAGGGAAUUGAAUUUGAAAUAAAAGAGAAUAAAAAGGAAAAAUGGACCCACCGUCGUUUCCGAAAAAAGCCGGCAAAAAAACUCCAAAUUAUAUUUAUUUUUGUUGCAUUUAUUUUUCUUUUUGUUACGCAAAAGCUCAAAAUGAUGUAUAUGGCAUAUUUACUCUAGUUCUUAUGACGUCAAAAAUCCUUAAUUUGUAAUUAUAUGAUAUAUUUAUCUUAUGUCAAGAUUUCGUCUUAUGAAUUUUAUAUUUUUAUUUUUUUGGUCGAAGUUGUUCUUAUUUCAUUUGACGUCAACACCGUUUACAUUUCUUCGUUCAUUUAGGUGGUUUUUUUUUUUAACGAUACUCAUUAACGGAGGAUAAAUGUAUUAUAUAAAUAUAGUUUGGAAUCUUGGUGGCAAAAUUUUUUUUUUAUUAAGAUGGAUGUGUCGCAGUGAGCAUAUUUUAGGAUUUUUAGUGGUUUUCCGCCUCUUUUUUUUCUCAACUUCAUCAAUAAUCAAUCACAACAAAAACGAGAAUGCAUCGAUCUCUCUCUGCUUGUCCCCUAUCGGUCAUUGCCGAGCUUCCAUCACCCCGUCCCUCCUACAUGUCCUUGGAGGUGAUUAUGUCGGUUGUUCUUGUCCCCUUUAUUGUUAGGAAGACACUUUUGAUUGUUUGUAUAAUGAAUUUGCAGCUUAAAAUUCGCUUUCAUAAAUUAUAAGAGUAUGCUUCAUGUGACUUGUUCUAGCUUGAAUGAAUAGUAUUUUAAUAUCACUUGUAAAAGGAAAAUUCCACUUUUCUUUCUCGUAAUUUCAAUUCCGAAGAAAUAUAUUUAAUUUCCACAGGUUUACUGGCUUGAGAUUUCUAUUUAAAUUUCCUAUUAUUGGAAAAUUAACCCAUUGUCAUUUCCGAUUAAUGGCGUAGGACGACUAAUGGCGUCAGAAAUGAUGGGAUUCUGAUUUUAAGUGAUCUUCGGCUGGGAAUGGGUUGUGGCCUUAUUAGCAAAUAGGGUGGGCUAGAGGAACUCCAGCCAACCAAGCUUGAUGCACUUACGACGAAAUUUCAUCUAGGGAAAGCUAAGUGAGUUGGGCCACGAACCAGAAGAGGCCCCCUUUUUUAACACCCAUCAUUUUCUAAGAGUUCUUAUUUUUUAAUUAGUUUAUCAUUUACUUUUUUAUCCAUUCUUUUUAACUGCCUUUUGUUUUUUUUUGCUAUUUUCCAUUUUUGUAAUUUUACAAGGACGGACUCUUGAAUUGUUGAUAAAAAUUCGUAGACAACAUAUGUGAUAACACUAAAGUUAAAGCCAUGGAAAACUCAGUGCUAUUGUAAAUUAGUUGUUUAACAAAUGUAUUAUGCAUUGAUUAACACAUUCCUUGUAAAUAUUUUCCACAAAACCAAAAAUAAUAAUAAGGAUAAAAAGAAAAAGCCCUUCCGCUCCUUAAAAUUAGUCAAAUUUAAUAGUAUAGAAAUCAAAAUUACAUUCUAUAUUGGCAUUACCGAAAUUUUUUUGUUAAAUUGUUACUCCCCCAUCUUCUUGCAAACUCAUCUUUAGCUCUGAUACCACGAAGUAGUUUGACACUAAAUAGUAACUAACGUAUGAAACUCCUUAAACAUUAAUGGUUAGAUUACUUACUUCCACGAAAACUAGGACAAAAAUUGGGCAUGGGGAUGAGAGAGAGUGCGUAGUGAAAGCUUGUUUAAGUGGAGUCUGAUCAUUAUUUUCCUCUUUAGUUGCAGUAAAACUUAGCACUCGUGGACAUAUAUUAAGAUCAGUUAGUGCAGAAGCCAACUCAAUGAUCGCCAAGUUAAACUAGAAAGUGCUUAACCAAAAAUUGAAAGGCAAAAGCAUCACAUGAUUCAUUCUAAAGCAAGCUCCAAAAGUGAUUGCAUCUCUUAAUAUUUCUAAAUAUAUAGAAUUUACAUAUUGAGAAAUGAUGAUGAAAAUGUUGUAGCUAGAAGCCCAAAACAAGGCAAUGAGAUACAAGCUGGUCAAAAGCCAUAACUAUAAAUCCUACUAGAUUUCAUUUCCACUAUGGAUACAAUAUAUUCCUUGGUGGGUAGCAUAAUAAUUCAAGAGUGACAGAUUAUGCAUCGAAUCGAAUAAAAUAAUCCAACCCUAGACAUAAGACUAGGAAGCACUAUGGUUCGCUUGUGAAGCCACCGGAACGAGCUACAAAACAAUUCUCAUUCAACUGAUCCGAUCUAAUACUUUGGUUUUGCAGCAAUCCUAAUGUCGAAUCUUGCGGCAACAUCAUCACCAUUGAAUCUAGCAUCAAUCGAAAGUGAAUCGAAAAAUGUCAAAUUCCAAGACCUCAAUGUUGCAUCAAAAGCGACUUAUGAAAAUUGAUGGGAAGAAAAGAAGGGGGGAGGAGCCAUGUGGUGAAAAGAGGAGGAACGGCCUACUGUUGGGACUACGGUGGCAUUGCCGAAGUGGCCCCCAAUCCUCGGAUACAUCAUAGAUCGGACUUACCAACAGCGGUGAUAGUGGUGUCGAGGGCAGUAGCAAUGACCUUGGUGUGGGAGGGAGGAGAGGAAAAAAUGGAGGGGCUUCCAAGUAGUGUGACCGGAGGGACCAGAAAAUGUGAAAUCAAAAGGGAAAACCUAAUCCCAAUUGAUUUGAGAAUUUCAGUUGCACCUAUGUAUUGUCUUACCUUCCAGUCUAAUACAUGAAUACUACCAAAAUUAUAAAUUUUGGACAAAAUUUCCCUUAUUUAAGUCGUCGGAAAACAUCAGUUGGUGGCUAGCACAUAAGCUUAGACCCUAAUUUGAGGCUAGUUUGGCCAUUUUAUGUGUGAUGACCCAAACCCGGGGCAGUAUGGAGAGAUGGACUGAGAUCGCCUUAGCAGUACACGAGUGAGGUCAAGGACAUGUCUCCAGUCCCACAUCACUUAUGGGAGAGUCUUAGGCUAGUUUAUAAAGGCUUGGGUCCCUUUAAUCUGUAUAACGCGUUUUAAAGCCGUGAGGACUCAGUGUCCAAAGCGAACAAUAUUAUACGGUGGGGCUCGGGUCAUUACAAAUGGUAUCAGAGCCGACUCCCAACUCCGUGUGGGGGCCACAGCAAGGACGUUGUGCCUUAAGGGGGGGAUAAUGUGACGACCCAGGCCUAAGGCAGUACGGAGAGAUGGACUGAGAUCGCCUUGGCAGUACGUGAGUGGGGCCAAGGGCAUGUCUCCUGUCCCACAUUGCUUAGGGGGGGGGAGUCCUAGGCUAGUUUAUAAAGGCUUGACCCUUUAAUCUGUAUAACGUGUUUUAAAGCCGUGAGGACUCAAUGUCCAAAGCGGACAAUGUUAUACAAUGGGGCUCGGAUCGUUACAUUAUAGAGCAAAAUUGACACUUUUCUUUUUCUCCAUAAAGGAAGCUUGCUAGAUGAAAAUGGAGAAGUUAGACCUGAAAGAUUUGCAGGAAGACUUCUCAGCAACUUUGACUUAGUAAAACUUUUGGACUAUUAUUACAAGAAAAUUUAUCGGAUGAUGAUUAUUGUAUCUUUUGUUAUUUCAAUUUUGAAGAGCUUGAAUGCUUUAGGAUCUUAUUUCUCUUGAAGUCUUCUUCUUUACAGGCAUAAUUGUCUGCAAAGAGCAUUCAUACGACACGCAUGGCAAAGCAAACAUCUAUUAAUGGUUAGUCAAUCAAACAAUUUUUUUACACCAACAUCUACUAAGGCUUCGUCCAUUUCGUAAAAAAUAUUACGUUUUUGGAAAAUAUUUUCUAGGAAAUCAUUUUCUAAGAAAAUGAUAAUAUUUUUCAGUGUUUGCUUGAAACUCAAAAAUGAAUUAGAAAAUAUUUUCCACCGUUUGGUUUGGAAAAUUCAAUUUGAUUUCCCUUUGUGCACUCAUUUUAACAAAUUUUUUAUCUUUUAAAAAAUCAAAUUUUCAAUUUUUUUCUUCUUACAUCUUAUUAUAUUUUUUCCUUGUAUUUUUCUUUUCUUUUCCUCCUCCUUCUUCUUUAGUUGAUCAUCAUGGUCACAGUGACAGCCGAAAAGCUUGAGGCCUUGAGCCUCACCAGAUCGACAAGCCGACGAGCCAAAGGCUCACACUCACUAACUUGGAGAGGCUUGAGCUCAAGGCCUUAGGCCUUGCUAGAUCGGUGAGCGAACUUGCUGCUCAGCAAAGGCUUGCUUGAUUGGUGAGCGAUGAGCAUAGCUUGCCAAUCUGGCGAGCCCUAAGCUCGCCUAUGGUUGGUUGCCGACAACCGGCCUAGACACAAGGAAAAAAAUAAAAAUAAAAAUUCAAUUUAAAAAAUAAAAAAAUAAAAAAAGAAAGAAAGGAAGGAUAAUGAGGGUAUGAGAUAAGAGAGAACAAGUGAGGAAAAUAUUUUCCUAAACUUAAAAAGUGAAAAACAUUUUCCUCUAUUUUAAAAGACUUUUUUUCAUUGAUAAAAAUAUUUUCACCGUCUAGUUCAUUCUUAUGAAACGAACGCUAAAAAAUUUGGAAAAUAUUUUUCUGAAAGUUAUUUUUCGUGAAAUGAACUAAGCUUAAAUUUCCACUGUGGAAAUUGGAUUUCUAGUCACCCCCGUUGCCCUCGACCAUGCUGCCAAAUGAUAUGAUAUCACAAGAAAGUCCUCCAACGUGGAAGGAGCAGCUUUACUAUUUCUAUUAUUAUAGAAAUGUGAAGUAGUCUCUCUGUAGAUUGAGCCACUCUGAGUGGGUUUUUCAUGGUCUUUCACUUCCAAGACCUCUCAUUACUUUUUCAAAAUGGUGAUACCGCAUCUUAUAUGAAUUGUCUGGUAAGAUCUUGAGCUUCAAUCAUCACCGAUGUACCUAGCGCUCAAUUAUGGUUGCACUUACAAUACCAUGACCGCUUUAGUUUUUGAUGUGCAUUUGUUGGAGAUUAUACUUCAUCUAUAUUGUGUUCAUAUAUAAUCCAAUAGAAUACUAAAAUGAUACUCAUUAUUAAAUGUAUUAGAAAAUGAUGUUAGCUAUUAAUUUCUUUCAUCCUCAAGCACUUUAAAACAGAUAAAUUUAUCCUUGGAUUUCUUCAACUUCAAAUCAUUACCGUCUUGCUCUUUGCCCUCCAAUUUUAUCUUUGGAUUUCUCAUUUCACUUAUAUAAUUUCAUAGCUCGAUCAUUCAAACAUGUAAAUGUGCAGAGUAUUUCAGAUGGAUUCAUUAAGCAACAUAUUCAAGAGAAGCAAAAAGUAACUAUGUGCUUAUCACUACUUGUGACUCGGUGCCUCCAUGUAACUAUGUCCUUUUUCUUCUCCACAUUUAGUGUUGAAAAUCCACAAAGACACUACCUUAGAUCUCCAUGAUUUGUAUUUCCAGAGUCCCUAUGCUAAUCUGCCAUCAUAAGAUACAUGUAUACAAAAACAAAUGCAGCAAAUGGCCUAUCAUCUACAAAGAAGUUGCCUAGGAGUGAGAUUUUGGAGCUCACCAAUUUCCUACCCCCUCGUUAGAACAGAAUGAACAGCACAUAAUAUUGAUAUUAAUAACCAUGAAGCAAAGGAGACCCAAGAUAAUUAAUUCAACCCCUAGAACAGUAGAGAAUGUGGUUAACAAAUCAAAUUUGACAAGAUGAAUCAUCGACUAAUUACACUCGUUACCAAAUGGGACAAUUUAGAGAAUAGCGUUUAAGCUAUGCAAUGAUAGGUCAUCCAUCAAAGUUUAUGAGGGCAAAGAGUCAUUAAAUAGCAAAGUUAUUACUACAUCGGAACAAGAGAGGCUUGUCCAAAAUUUGCGAAUGAUUGCUUACCCUUUCAAAUAAGAAGGUACGAAGAGGACAGAGGAGACGUGAAGCUUUUUGAGGCUAAUACCAAAUAUUACAAGCCGAUGAAAUUAGUGUAACAACAAUCGUCCCAUCCUGCACCAACGUUAUUAUAUUGAGCAUGUGUCAUUGAAUUAUCUCAUUUUUAUGUGCUCAUGUUGAUACCAUCAUAAGAUCAAAGUGAAAAGAAGUUUGAAUGCAUUAUCGUCAUGGAGUGGAUAGUUUGCGUGGAAAUUUACUCAAAGCAACGUAAAUAACACAUUGCAUUAAGAAAUUAGUGACUGCCAAUCUGAAAAAAGCAGAGGAUGAGGAAGCACUUUGGUUGGAGGAACUUACUAGUGAUGUUAUACAGUUCAUUUCGCCAACUCUCAUUUCCCAUGCCACGAACGAUUCUCGUGUCUGAUAGAUCCUGAGGGUGAUGAGUGAUCUAACGAGGCCAGAUCCUGUAAAGAUUCCCCCAGGUUGGAUGGCGACAUCUUCACUCAGCCUGAGAGUGAUGGGUGGCAACUCCUCUUGUAGCUUCUUUUGAAACUAUAGGGAUGACAUAUCGCCCGCUAACAUGAGUCCAUCUUUGCAGGAGAAUUUGUAAAGUAGUCAAACAACUGCACAAUGAAGUACACUCCACGACAAGCAUGAGACCAUAGAAAGCAAUGUUAAUUUCAACUCCACAAUAGGCCUAAGACUAUAGAAUUGAGGACUUGAUUACACUAAUUAAUCAGAUGGUGCCAUUUUGGUGUCUAAUGUUGUUCAUUUUACAAAAAGAUAUUUAUCAAGCAAUUUGAAUUGAUUUUAGAUCUAUCCCUAAUAUGUGAUUAUGAGGGUGCGCAAUUAUUAUAAUUGCAACUAGCAACCAAGGACAUCGAAUAAAUUGCAUGACAAAAUGAGCAUUUAACACUAAUAGAUAAGAAAGAUAUCAUUCCUAACUAGUCUAGGCGUAAACGACAAUAUAUAUUGAAAAGUGCGUAAUCAAGUGAUAAUUCUUGUCAAAAAAGAAAACAUUGAAAUCCUAUGGCAAAGCCCAAAGACUUUGUUUAAAUAUUGAGCAUGAUUUUUUUAUCAAUGAUUUUCCACAAUUUUAAGAGAAGACUUCCCAAAAGACUAUUUUAAAGCUUUUUUCAAGGAAUUCUAUUUUUCAAAAGCUUUUUCUAAUUUUUCAGAAAAUUUAAAAUUUUUAAUUCUUCUAAUUUAUAACUUUUUUUAUAUUUUCGAAUCUUUAAUAAAACUAAUUUUUAUUCUAAAAUGGGGACUCUGGCUGGGCCCCCAAGGCCCUGUCAAAAGCAGGCUGCCGUCUGAUACCUCGUGGGUUUGGCAAACCAGGCUUUCAACAAGCUCAAUUUCAAACUAAUCUAAGCCCACCUUUUGAAAUAAUUAUACGGGAGAAUUACCAAAAAAGUCCUAAACCUAUUGUAAUUGUGCCAAUUCAGUCCUAAACUUUUUUUUUUAGCCAAUUUAGUCCUAAACCUUUUACAGCUGUGUCAAUUCAGUCCAUCCGGCCAAAAUUGGCCGGCCGGCGCUGACGUGGCAUUUUUAAAUAUUUUUUUUUAUUUUUUUUCGAAUUUUUAAUAUUUUUUUGGAAUUUUUUAAUUCUUUUUUUUCUUUUUUUUUUCCAUAAUCUUCUUCACCUCUCCGGCCGGCCGGCGCCGGCCGGAGGCGAGGGCCGGCGAGGCUCGCCCCCCGCCGGCCGGAGGCAAGGGCCGGCGAGGGCGAGGCCCCGCCAAAUCUGGCGAGGUCAGCCUCGCCAGCCAAUGGCGAGGCUCGCCCCCCGCCGGCCGGAGGCAAGGGCCGGCGAGGGCGAGGCCCCGCCAGAUCUGGCGAGCUCAGCCUCGCCGGUCGUUGGCGAGGGCGAGGCCCCGCCAGAUCUGGCGAGCUCAGCCUCGCCGGCCACUGGCGAGGGCAAGGCCCCACCAGAUCCGGCGAGCUCGGCCCUCGCCAAGGCUGGGGCGAAUACGGGGAGGGAGAGAGAGACCUGGAAGAGAAUAAGCGGCGGAUCGGGGGAGGCGGUCGACACUGCGGGGAGAGGGAAUCGGGGGGAGGCGAACCGACUUGAGGAGACGACCGGACGAAACUCGCGCUCCGCGACGAAGAAGACGAGUCCCUCCGCCGAAUUCCCCCCGAUUCGCCCCACCAGAACGAACGGCUCGGCUUGAUUCCGACCGCCGCGAAGCUCUUAGAUUCCGUCAGCCGAACCUCCGCGUCAAUGGCGGCGUCCGCUUGCAACCGAGCGAUGCAGCGAGCUUCGACGUCCCUCGGACCGGCCCUCAAAUCGGGCGUCCGAUCGUCUCCUCAGCUCGGCUUCGCCUCCCCCCGAUUCCCUCUCCCCGCCCGGUCGACCGCCUCCCCGCCUCCGCCCCAGCCUUGGCGAGGGCCGAGCUCGCCGAAUCUGGCGAGGCCUCACCCUCGCCAGCGGCCGGCGAGGCUGACCUCGCCAGAUCUGGCGGGGCCUCGCCCUCGCCAGCCCUUGCCUCCGGCCGGCGGGGGCGAGCCUCGCCAUUGGCCGGCAAGGCUGACCUCGCCGGCCCUCGCCUCCGGCCGGCGCCGGCCGGCCAGGAGGCGAAGAAGAUGAUGGAAAAAAUAAAAAAGAAAAAAAAAGAAUUAAAAAAUUCCAAAAAAAAAUUAAAAAUUCGAAAAAAAAUUUAAAAAAAAUUUAAAAAUGUCACGUCAGCGUUCGCCGGUCCACGUCAGCGCCGGCCGGCCAAUUUUGGCCGGAUGGACUGAAUUGACACAACUGUAAAAGGUUUAGGACUAAAUUGGCCAAAAAAAAAAGUUUAGGACUGAAUUGGCACAAUUGCAAUAGGUUUAGGACUUUUUUGGUAAUUCUCCCAUAAUUAUACUAAGCCCUUCGACUAAAUACCAAAACCAGCCCACAUUUGCCAAGCUUCAACUUGAGUCCAACGCCCACUAAUCCCAUCGCCUAAUAGGUCAGCCCAAAAUCUCUGAUUUCACUUCCUCAUUCAUUCUGCCCUCCACGCCCCUCUCCACUGUUCCUCUCUCUUACGUUGUUCAUGUCCUCAUCUUCCGGCUCGAAGACGGCGACAAGCGGGCAAGCUUGUGACAAAUCGGGCUAUAUGGUAUGCUGCCUUGGUAUCUUCGAGCCACAAUCCUCGGGCAAGGGAGGAUUGAACCGAAAAAGAAACUCAUUGGCGACACAGAGAUUUGGGAGCGAAAGACGGUGUGCUCGAGCGCAUCAACCAGAGGUUGUCGGAGAGGGUUCGAGUGCGGCAGAGCUUCUGGAGAACUCCUUCUCGCUGUCGAGUUUCACUCUCCUCCUCAACUCUCGCUCGGAUCUCCCACUGUUCUCCGAACCUUCCUCGUUCGAUUCUUCCGGCCGUGUGAGAGAGGAGCGCACUUGACUAGCCCCACCUCCAGUCCUUCACCACCGCGACGUCACCUCCUCCACCACCGGAACGCUACCACCACCAAAGAUGUCGAGAGCACAGUCGGUUCUCUCUCUCUCUCUCUCUCUCUCUCUCUCUCUCUCUCUCUCUCUCUCUCUCUCUCUCUCCAAGAACCAGCCUCCCUCUAGCUCACCCUCUCUCAAGCUCGUCUCCUUCUUGAGCAAUGCUCGCCGUCUAUGGUUUUCAGCCAAACCCCUCAAGAAACAGCCCUCGCCCUUUCUCUCCAUCUGUUUUCAGCCGAUCAAGAAGCCCUCUCAAGCUCACUCCCUCUUUCUCUCCUGAUCUCACUCACCGGAUCUCUCUCUGUCUCUUCUCUCCUCUCCCCCGAUUCUCUCCCGAGCUCGAGGAAAUAUCUAGUGGUUUGCUCUCACCACGUCAUCAACUAAUGUGGCGAGCAUUGUUUUGCUUCCAUCCAAUUACAGCUUGGAACAUAUUUGCUAAUAUGGAAUUUGAUAUGGCUAGUAGAAUAUCUAGAGGGGGUGAAUAGCUAUGAAAACAGAUUUUUGCAAAAUGCAGUAAAAAUGCUAUACUUUUAAACUGAGUCUGAUUGACUGUAGACUUUGCAUAAGGGUUCUGAAUUUAACAACUAUUAAGUAUAUCGCAAUAAAUAAAGUAAAGGAGUUUCCACUAAGUCUGAUUGACUGUAGACUUUGCAUAAGGGUUCUAAAUUUAACAACUAUUAAGUAUAUCGCAAUAAAUAAAGUAAAGGAGUUUAGGGAAGAGAAAAAUAAACACAAGAUUUAUAUUGAUUCGGCUUAGAUCAAGUCUACGUCCACUCUCCCACGCUGACAGCCUUCUGGCUGGUUUCCACUAUGAAUCGAAAGAGAAUGUUACAACCCUAUGAUCUCGACUUUUCAAUGAAGUGAUUCUACUACUCUCACAAAAUCACUCUCUAGAGUUUCUCUCUUUCGAAUACAAUUUUAAGCACUAAAUAAUGAGACAAGUGAUUUGGAAGCUUUAGACUUUGGAAUUUUUCUUUCACGCCCUCCUCGAAUGACUUGAUGAACCUCCUUAAAUACUCCUCUAUGCCUUCUCAACCGUUGACACUUUCCAGAGAAAUUCUUUCAAUCAACCUAUUGGAUAGAAUCAAUCAAGGAGAUCUCAAGCCAUUUGAAGAUUGAGAUGAAAGCUCGUCAAUCAUAUUCGCUCAUACAAGCAAGAUCAUGAUUUCCAUAAGUAGAUUCUUUCCAAAUAAGCUUGCCUUCCAAAAUGAUGUGCUUCUUCGAAAUUGAUUCCCAUUAAGAUUAAAUAGCAUUGUUUCAUGUAAUUUUAGUUCAUAUCACACCAUCACCCUUACAUAUAAGAUAAUCAGUCAUGAUUAGACUGACAUGUGAAACAAAUGAGACAAAACUUGGCCGAGAGAACUUGAUUACACUAUUCCUCAAAGAGUUAAGAUUAAAUUGGUUCAAUUGAAAUGUUUAAAACUCGAUUACAUUCCGUAUAAUAUGUUUAAUACCGCUUGUGCAAUUUUCUCAGCAUACCGAAACACUAGUACCUCAAAUUUGAUGAAAAUAGAAGAUUCUUGUAUAUGUCUUCAUAUUGAUCAUGACACAAUCUUAACCUCGUAGAUUUCAUAAUAUCUCAAAUAAAUUGAUAAUUUGCUCUUGUCAAUUUUGAUCGUCUAAUUUGAUGUCCUCCCUUGAUCGUGAAACUCUAUUUCCACACGUGAAAAACUCUAUGCUAUUAAAGUAAUUAGAUAAAGUGAUGUUUUGAAGAUAUUUGGGUUUCAACAUUUAUCAUAUGGAUCUCAAGUGAAGAUCACAUAAUAGAAAGUGUGAGAUCAUUUGGGCUUAUGAGGAUAGGGUUCAUGCAAUUAAAAAACCAUUUCGAGUCUGCAAAAUUUGGCUCCGAUGGCAAUAAGGAACAUCCUUCACUCAUCUGUCAAGAUCAAUAUGAUCUUUUCUAUUUUCUUAUUUUUACAAUUGUUUAAGUUGAAAUAGCUUAUCUUUUUUCAUAUUAUCUAUUUUUUCUCAUUGUCUGUGUUUAUAUUUUGAUUUUUUGUAUUUAUACAUUGCUUUUUCAAAUAUGCAUGUGGGCAGAUAAUUCUCUUUGCAUUAUUCAUGGAAUCUAUUAAGAAAAAUAAUUGAAUUGCAACUCUUAGGCAUUUAAACAAAUCAUGCAUGAUGGAGCCGAAGAUCCAUCACAUCUUGUCAAAAAGUUGAGGACUGAAUUGUAUUUACCUUAUUCUCUACCAAGUCUGAACUAUAAUCAUGAGAGUUUGGUAGUGUCUCUUGUACUCUUAUAAGCCAUGUUUUUUUUUUCUCAUAUUGUCUUUUGACUAGUUUUAGUUAAAUCGCAUCUUCUACAAACGGCAGGUACUUAAAAAUAUGAGACCCUAUCAACAAUGAGCAUUUUAUGUCACGUGAUUUGAUGAUGGCAUUCAGUUCCCUUGCUCUAUACUUUCGUUUUCUAUGGCAUCAUUGUUAAAGUUAUUAUUUCCAAGAAGGCUACAAUGCAUAAUUUCCCCAGUCCAAGAUUGAACCAUGUAUACAAAAGUGGGGUCCAUAUGUACUAUUUUGUCUUAUAGAGCUCUAUCGUUGGAGAAUAUCUUUGCAUGUUGCUUAGGCCCAGAAGAAGCAAUUAUUUAACUUGACAUUAAAAGUCAAGAUAAUACAUGAAAAGUCAAUACUUAUUUUCAACAUAUGGUAUUAAUAAGAAGAACAUUAUUCAAAAUUGCUAUUAAUAUAUAAUCUCUACAUUGGCAUGUCGUCGAGAUCACCGAUCCCUUUAAUAUCAUCCUGAUGGCACAGUAGAGACAUGAAGCGGGAGGAUUCUGCAGUAGAUGAUUUGCAUCUCAUGUAUUAAAAAGGGAUUGAAAGAAUUAAAAUAUAUACACACACAUACACAAUGUACAGGCACAAUUGACCGAGAAAAAAGAGUUCAAAGACCUACCGACAAUUUUUGCAAAAAUAUUCAAUUACUACUAUGCCUAAAUUCCUUAUUAAUUAUCAAAUCCUACUCCAAAUCUAGUUUGAGCCAUCAUUUAUUUUUUUGGAAAAUGUAAUGAACGAAAACCGUUUCUUUUAUUUCACAUGUUGCCCUAUUAAUUCGUGCAUGAUGCGUUGAGUCUGCAAAUUACCUCUACUUUGUGGGCCAAUGCCAACACAUGUCCCUUCAAGCUCCAUUGAUGUGCCAUCAAGUUCCUAUUAGUCUUCGCCGAAGAAGAUGUGUUUGUUCGAUACUCCUCAAAAGGUGCGACCAUCCAAGUGCAUCGAGUCCAUUCAAAAGUUCAAUAAUAUGAUUCUAGUGGAUGCAUCAGGAUAGACUAUUAAAGUGCGCGAAAUGGAACAACUCGUCUAUCAAUUUGAAAGAGGAAAGGACGAAAGUUUUGAUAGCUCAAUGAAUACUUCGAGUGAAUAGAAACACCUCACUAGGGGUGCUGUGUAAGGCAUCUUGUCUUGCACAAUGCCUCAUAGGCGUGCAUUAUUGAGUCCACUUUGCAUUGUUGGUGCGAGACUUGCUCUCUCUUUCUCAAAAGAAAAGUCAAAGGAAAUUAUCAAUUGAAUCUAGUGUUCGAAAAUAAUAGAUAUAAAUACAUUAAAAUCAUAUCAAUAAGUAAUUUUUGAAAGAGCAAGAAUAGAGAGGUAUUAAAAAUAUGGCAAUUUUAUGAUAGUUAUUUCACAUUCUAAUUUAAUAAUUAUGAUGGGCAUAAAAAUCAGAUAACUUCAAAUUUAUUUUGUGAAUUGAGUUUUUUUUUUCACUUAAAUGGAUGCCUAGAGGGGCUUUCUUUUAAGAAAUCUGCAAAGAUAAUACAUGAAAAGUCAAGACUUACUAAUGGUUAAUAUUAGUUAGACAUAAGGAUCUAAGUUAGCCAAAGUCUAAUGUGUCAAUAAGGAGAACAUUAUCAAAAACUGCUAAUAGAUAUAUAAUCUCUAUAAUGGAAAAUCAUCAAGAUCACUCAUCUUUUGAACUCUAAAAGGUACAUUACAUACCUCAUGCAACAUGAUUAAUUGAAGUGAAGAGAGAAGUUUGUUCAUUUGGGCCUCAUCAAGAGAGUUGUCAGUUUUAGCUUAAUAAUUGGCAACUCUUUUGCUUAAUGAAUCGUUGCCUCAAGAGGGGUGAAGUAGGGAAGUAAUGUUUGUCAACUGUAAAAGGAAAGAGGCCAGACAAGUGAGGGCACCUGGUCAGUUCAUGCAUUUACGAAAACUUAUAUGUUUGUCCAAUAGUGAUGGACGAAAGGACGCAAAGGUAGACAUCGGCGAUGGUGACUAGUCAAGGAAAUGAAUAGUAAAAUGCAGAAAUCCAUCUAAGCUCUUGCAACCACUCUCUAUUACUCUCUCUCCCUCUCCCACAACUUACCCUAAUUAAAGCAAUCUUUCAUAUAUUUGGAUGGUUGUCCAUGAGUGUUAGGGAAAUCCCUUAUGAUGUUUUGAAUAUAACAAAAUAAAUCAAAGGCUACUAACAUGUUUGAUGGUUGAGUAAUAGACCAUGCAGAUGUUAGAACAUGUAGAGGAUAUUAUCAAAGUCAGAAGACGGCCAGAAGACUGAACGUAACAUAUGUCCAGAGUAUAUUUUGAAGAUUUCCAAACUUCUGUGUCAAAGUUUGAAGACUGCUAAACUCAAGACUCAAAGUCUGAAUAUUGCCAGACUCAAGACUCAAAGUCUGAAGACUGCAAGACUUUAAUGUCAAAGUCUGUUCUACAUCAGAAAUCUGCUCACUCUGACAAAUUCCAGACUGAACAUGAAUGAUGAACCAGAAGACAAACUCCAUGCCGAAGCUGAACUGGGUACAGACCUUAAAGCUAAAUCUUUUCAGAAGCAGAAUAUGUUCAGACACAGAUUGUAAAGUCUACAGACUCAGAUUGUAAAGUCUAUUGCUCUCAGACUUUACAUACAGAUUCGAUGAAACGUAACUCAAGCCCAAUCAUAUAACGGCUAGUGAUCUGGUUUGGAUUCCACAUCAAGAUUGAUUUGAUUGAUUCAAUCUAAUUGAUUGACGAUUGGAUCUUGAAAACAAGAACUUUCUAUACGAAGAAUCUUUACUUAUGGAAACCAAGAUUUCGUUUGUAUGGGCGAUCGAAAUCAAUUUGGGAUUCUAUCUUUGUCACUCAACGGCUACCAAAUCUUCUAGAUACAGAGCUGUCCAAUGGGUAUAUUAGAAGACGAUUCUCCGGGAUGUUGUCCAACGGCUAGUUUGGAAGUGGAGGAGUAUUUAAGGAGAUGAAGGACCGAUGAGCAAGUAAGAGACGAAGCGUAGAAUUUAUAAUUCCAAAGUCUGAGCGAUCUUCACUUGUCUCUUGUGAGCUUAAACAUUUGUGAUCGUGAGAGAAAUACCAAAAGAGUGACUUAGUGAGAUAGUGUGAUCUACUAAGUGUUUGCACUCGAAGUUGUAAUCUCUUAUUGAUUGCAUAGUGGAAUCCAGCCAAGAAGGCUGUUAGCGUGGGAGAGUGGACGUAGGCUUGGAUUAAGCCGAAGCACUAUAAAUAUUGUGUUCUUAUUCUCUUCCCUAACUCCUUUGUUUGAAGUUUAUUUUAUUCCGCAUAUAUUUGCCAAGAGUUAUUUUAAACACCUAUUCACCCCCCUCUAGGUGUUCAUACUAGCACUCUCAAUGAGCAGUGAAAGAAGGAGGUGGAGACUUGGACAUUAGUGAUGGGAAUUGAUCAAGGAACAGUAAAUUGUAAAAAAAAAAUCAUCCAUUAUGUAUAUAUACUUACAUUUUAUGAGUCAUCUAUAUCUAUCACUGGGUUGUUUAUAAGAUAUAUAUCGUUCGUCUUGAUGGAGGCAAUCGACAUAUAGAGGCCCUCUUGUAUUUUUUUUUUCUUUUGGUCAGUGAUGACAUGGGGGCAAUCUACUUACCACUCAACUUCCCAAGUGGAUCUCCAUCCAUACCCUAUCUCCUCUUUCUUCCUUGGGUUUUUGAGUCAUUCUUAAAUUUCUAAAUCAUCAAAUAGCUAGUAUUAGAACUCAGCCGUUUAUUGCAAAAUGUUGCUAUUUUUCGACGCUCCUUGUCCUUAAAAAAAAUAAAAGUGAAAGAAAAAUUAGGGUUAUAAAUUAUCAAAAGCCACAUAGCUUUAUUUAUCAAUAAGUGUAUAUUUUUGUAAAAUUUUAAAACUAAUUUGUGAUAAUUGCAAUAUUUGAAAAUAAAUCUUAAAAGUAAAAUACCCGAAAUAGACCCAAGCAUUUGAAAGAAAAGUGGAAAACUCCAAUUGGAAUGACAGAGCACUGUAAGUGGUGACUCAAAUUGUUUCCCAUAUUAAUGCUAUCCCGUAAAAAGUAGCAUUGUUCAAAAAAGUAAACUGGUUUAGAUGUUUAAUUUACUUAGAAGUUUUGAUCUAAAAUGUUAGUGACAACUUCAAUCGUUUCCCAUUAAUUGUGUCCCAUAAAGAGUAGUAUUAUUCUAAAAAGUAAACUAGUUUAAAAUGUUUAAUUUACUUAGAAGUUUUGCUCUAACAGUUCUAUAUGAAGUUCCGUCUAAUAUAACAAUUGCAAUUGACAUUCUAGUCUAAUAAUUUGCUUGGUUAUAAUUUUACUUCUAUCACAAAAAAUUCAAACUGAUAUACUUAUGACAAAUUUACCCUAAAUGAAAAACUUCAAAAUAAUACACCUGUAAUAAAUUUACUCUCAAUUAGUUUAUUUUAAAUUUUACCCUAAAAUUAUUGAGUUAAAUGACAUAUGACAGCUGACAGAUAUACCAAUUUAGAUUUUUACCUUAUGUCUAUCACAUUUAUACUAGUUUUGGGUUUUACCCUCUAUUUAUCACAUGUGUACUAGUUUGUCACUUUUCGUGAUAUUAAUCUAAUUUCACAUAAACUAGGGAAGAAUAACUUGAUCAUAAAUGUACCAAUUUAGAGUUUUUGAGAUUCAAAAAGUUAGUUUUUGAUAAAUUUAUCAUAAGUGUAUCGGUUUAAGGUUGUUGGUGGUCAAAACAAAAUAUUAUCAAUUUAGAGUUUUUCAUUAUAUAAACAUUUUUUAAUAUGAUUUCAUUGACUUUCACAAGGAGCGGAUUUAGGAUUAGUACCUUAUUGGUGUUUGUCCAUUGAUAGUGAAGGAAAGGAUAAAAGGAUGGUUCAAAACUACUACAUUAGCAGUGGGAAAGGAGGAAAGGAUGGAUAACUCAUCAAUGUUUGUCCAUUAGCGGUGGAGGAAAGAAUGGAGACAAGGACACUGGUGACGGUGAGGGUGAGAGUGCAAUUUAGUAAUCAUUAUAUUCCUCAAACAAUUUAUGCUUAAAAAUAUAUUUUUUUCCAAUUCUAUUCCCUUGCCAAGUUUCUAAGCAUUUGAAUGUAUUUAAUAACUGUGUAAAAUUUUUAUUCCCGGAUUAGAAAUAUGUUUAGUACAAUCCUAAUUUUUUUUAUUUUACUUAGAAUUUUUUAAUUUUUUAAUAAUUUUUUCCUUUUCUUUUUCUUCUUCCUCUAGCCGGUCGCCGGCUAUAGGAAGAAGAAGAAAAAGAAAGAGAAGAAAAAAUACUUGAUUCUUGAGUCAUUCUUAGGAACAAAUAAAUAAUUUUUUUUUCUGCUUCUUGAUUCUAUUCUAAAUUUACUUUAAGAAAUAAUUCUAUUUUCCAGAACAAAAACAUUACCAAACAGGGACUAAAGGAACAACAAUGUAGAAAAUCAUAUAUUUCUAUGCUCAAAGUAUUGAUUGGUGUUUAGUUAAGGCCUAACUAUAGUUAGGUUAGCGAGCUCCAUGAUCUAUGCCCAUCUCCUCUCUUUUUUUUUCUCGUGAUUUGAGACUUUGCUACAAAAUCAUUCAUUUAUAUGUCCAUUAACUGGUAUUUACAUUUUAAAAUAUUCAUUCAAUAGUCAUGCCUUUUAAUCGAUCACGUAAGUAUCAUAAUUUUUUUAGAAUUUUUAAUUUAAAUACCGGAAAUCUAAUGUGAUGUAAUAUUUUGGAUGAACGCUUUGAAAUAUUUGUGACACUUAAAUUAGUACUGCACAAUUGUACUGCACAAUUAUUAUAACACGUGCUAUCCUUUUCUCGAGAUCUUUAGCAGCAAAAUAUGCAAGGAAUCAUGAGAUUGAUUGAUAGGUCUAGCAAGCCCAGUGUAGCAUGCAACCACUUAGACUAAUUAUCAACUUUUCCAGCAAUAGCUUUGCACUCAAAUCACUUCGCCUUCUUCUUCUUUCAACGUUCCUGGUCUGUUCCAAUCUUUCUUUCUCUAAAGAACAAUUAGAGAAAAUUCCGAUCGAUGUUGUUGUUGAGAAUAACUUGAAAAAUUAUAUUGAAUUCAUAUCAUUAAGUAGUUUUUAAAAGAGCAAGAACAAGGAGACAUUAACAAAAUUCCUACCAUAUCAUCAUAUGACAAUUUUAUGAUAAUUAUUUAACUUUAGGAUUGGCGCAAUUUUAUGAUUAUAUAAUGACACCGAAUGCCAAAUACACUUACUCUCUUUAACAUCAAUCCCUCCUCCAUCUUUACACUGGCCUGCAAUCUGUAGCGACCUCCAAUUCAGUCGCCACCCUUACCUCACAGCUGACGUCGAGGUUGAGGCCCACUGUAUUAUCAAAAUAUACUUAUUCCUUAUAAUAAAAAAUUCCGCUUGCUUAACACUAGGAUUAGUGCAAUUGGGCGAGGCGUUGUGGGAUUUCUAACUCAGGGACUGGAGGUCAUUUGAAUCUACAUGCAAACUGUUCAGGAUUGAGCCACCUAUACAAGCUAAAAACAUGAACUUAAACUGUUCAUGAAUCUUGCAAGAUAACUUAUGGGCUUUUAGAUAAACUGGUUAUCAUGUCCGGGCCCUUAUGAAAGAAUUGCUUUUAUUUAGGAUGAUUCUAACUUUACAUGAUAAAUUUUUUAUAUGCACCUUGUUAUUAUGCAAAUUGUCCUUAAGAACUUAAUUACAAGGAAAAUGUUCCUCAUGACUUUAAUUAGUCAUAACAUUUUUUUCAUUAGAAAUUUGUCAAGAUAUUUUCAAAUAGUCAUAAUAGAAUACUGAUUUAGGAGCAAUUUCACAGUCUAAUCUAAUAAUUAUGGUUGGCAUAGAAAUUAAAUAACCUGAAUUAUUUUUAUUCACUUAAAGGGACGCUUUGAGUGGCUUUUUCUCAACCAAUAUGGGAAAGAUAAUACAUGAAAGGUUAAGAUUUAUUUUCAAUUUAUGAUUAAUAUUAAUUAGAUAUAAGGGUCUAAGUCAGCCCAAAUCUAAAGAACGUUAUCAAAAAUUGUUAUUCAACAUAUAAUAUUUAGAUUGGCAAAUCAUCGAGACCAUUCCCCUUAAACCCUUGACAGGACAUCUCAUAUCCUAGCGUGACAAGGGUAAUUUGAGUUGAAGCCAAAGCAUGUUCACUUGGUUCUCAUCAAUGGAGUUGUCAGUGUUAGGUUAAUAAGUCACAACUCUUUUGCUUAAUUGAUCAUUUCCUCGAGAGGAAUGAAGUGGGAAAACAAGGUUUCUCAGCGGUAAAAUGAAAGAAGGAAGACAAGUGAGGGUACCCGGUCAGUUGCCAUACAUUUACGUACACUUUGAUCUUUGUCCAGUAGUGGUGGACGAAACGACGUGGAGAUAGACAUAAGUGAUGGUGACUGGUCUACCAAAGGAACAGUAAAAUGCAGAAAAUCCAUCCGCUUCUAGAAGAGGGACCUGUCAUGUUAAAGUCCAUAACUUUGCUUGUCAAUAAUCGUGUUUUGAAAAUUUGCAAUAUUUGGAAAAUAAAUGUUUGAAGAAAAAGACUCAAAACAGACCCAAGUAUAAAGAGAAUGGGGAAACUCCAAUUGGAAUGAGAGACCACGUAACAAAAUUUGUAGUGCAUUGAAAUGUUUCCCAUAUUGUUUUUGUCAUGUAAAGAGUAGCAGUAAUCAACAAAGUAAUCUUAAUAAAGAAUGGCAAAAGUUUAAUUUACUUACAAGUUUUAAUCUAUCAAUUUUAAUUGAAGUUACGUCCAAUGUAACAAUUGCAAUUGACAUUCUAAUCUAACAACUUGCUUAAUUAUAAUGUUACUCCUAUAUUUUAGAUAUGAUUUCAUUGACCUGCGCAAAGAGCGGGUUUAGGACUAGUACCAAGCAGUGUCUAAUUAAUGAUGGAGGAACAGAUGAAAGGAUGGAUUAGAAUGAAUACAUUAGCGUUGGAAAAGGAUGAAAGGACCAUUUGCAGUGUCAAAGAAUGAAAGGAUGGGUGACUCAUCAAUAUCUGCCAUCAGCGGUGGGGGAAAGGAUGGGAGUGGUGAUGGUAAAUGGUCCACUAAAGGAACAAUAACGUAGAAAAUCAUCCAAUUUUAUGCCCAAGGAAUCGCCUGGUGUUUAGUUAAGGCCUAAACUAAGGUUAGGUUAACGAGCUUCAUAGCCUAUGCCCAUCUUCUUUUUUUUCCUUGAGGGUUAGGUCUUUGCUAUAAAAUUCAUCCAUUUCUAUGUCCAUCUAUUGGUGUUUACGUUUAAAACUUAUUUACUUAGGUGUCAUAACUUUCAAUUAAUCACUAUCAGUCAUAAAAUUUCAAGUAGUCAUAAUAAAUAAAAGGAUUUAUGAGUAACUUGACAUUAUAAUCUAACAAUUAUGGUUGGCAAAAAAAGAUUAAACAACUUCAAUUUUUCCUUAUGCACCGAGUUUUUUUUUUCUCUUUCACUUGAAGGGAUGGCUAUGAGGUGCUUUCUAUCAGCAAAUUUGUGAAAAUUUGAAGGACAAUCCACAAAAAGUCAAGACUUAUUUUUAACUAAUGGUCCAUAUUAAUUGGGUAGAAGGGUCUAAGUUGGGCCAAGUCAGAUAUGUCAAUAAGUAGGAUAUUAUCAAUAAUUGCUAUUUAAUAUGUAAAUCAAUAACACAUUUUACAUUUUAGAGAUAUUUCGAUUUAUGUACCACUUUGAAAACUAAAUUCAAUUUUUUACCAUUCACUUAGCUUAAUUAUAAUAUUAACUUCUAUAUUUUUUAUAUGCUUUCACAACCCACACAAGGAAUGGGUUUUAGGACUAGUACCUAAUUAUUUUUUGCACCCAAAACCCUUCGCCUUCUUCGUCUUUUGUCAUUCUUGCUUUGCUGUGCUCCUUCAUCAUUCUUUUUACAUCUCUGUUUUUGUCCCUUUCUUUCUCGAAAAAAGAAUUAAAAAAAUAUAUAAUUAGAUCAAUACAAAAAUCAUAUUUAACUCAUAUCGAUAAGUAAAUCAUUGAUGCAAGGAUCUAAGUUAUGAUUCAAUGAGCAAGAACAUAGAGCCAUUAGAAAAAUUCCAACCAUAUCAUCAUAUGUCAAUUUUUAUAAUCUGAUAUGAGUAUAUAUACCUCAAAUAAUCCACCUCUCGAGGAACUCCAUCAAUUUUACUUUUUAACUCCUUUUCUUUAAAGUGGAAGUCAUGAUGGCUUUUUCUUGGAUUGCAACAAACUUUAACGUUAAAUAUUUUGGACGACAACGCAUAAUCAAUGAUGAUAUUGACAUGCUUCUCUAAUCUUUCAUUGAUGCCCAAUCAACAUUAUCAGUAAAUACCACUUUAAAGUGAAAGUCAUGAUGGUGUUUUUUUUUUUUUUUUUGCACUGAAGGGUGAAAUUCACCAAGACUAAAAAAAAUAAAAAAUUCCUCUAGUGGGCCUUCCAUUCCACUAAAACCUUUGAAAAAUGGUUAGGAAGAUCUUCUAAAGUUGUUGUGAUGAUUGGUGUACGAACAUGCAUGUUGGGUGGGGGCUAUUUAUGCGCCCAAUUUAGCUUAAAUCACAUCCGUCUAAGUAAACUCAAUCAUUAAUGGACCCGACUUUUAUUUCAAAAGAGAAUAAUAAAUAUGCCCUUUUCAUUUUCUCUCUUAUCUAUUGCCUUGUUUAUUUUCUUAUUUACUAUAGACAUUUGAUAAGAGAUUCUGGUUUGAAUUUUUUCACCUACUCUUUUGAUUCCACAAAUUUGUUUAUGUAAGAAUUUAUCUGAAGAACGUAUUCAGCCUUUGAAUCAUAGAAAAAAAAAGGCUGAUUUGUUUAAAAGAAGAUUGGACCAUAAGCACGUUCUGAAAUAUUAAAUUAAAUUUAUGCUUUCAUCAAGCUUUAGCUAUAAUUUUUUCAAAAUAUCAUGAUCAAAUGUCCAAUUCUUUUUAUCAUUUCUAGAAGAGAUCAUUUCAACAAGUUAAUUUGGCAAUAAAUUUUAUUUAGCUGAGUCCAUAUGUUAGUGAACUAAUAAAGGAUUCUCUUUAUACAUAUAUUGGUUUUGACACAUUAGAAUUUUUUUUUAUAGCUAAUACGUUAUUCCACGCUAAUAAUGCUAGAAAGUGUGGGGGAUCACUGGGUGAGAGUUUCAUUUUGUGCAUAUUAAUUCCUUUUGUUUCGCUGCAUCUCUAUAGUUAUAUUAAGAGUAAUGGUAGUUGCUAUCCAGAAGAAAGAAAUACGGAAGCCCGUCCAUAAAUUCAACUUGUUGACCAUCCAGAAUCUUUUGGCAUAUGAUAUGAUGCGCAUAAAAAAUUGAUUUGACGGCCAACUGCGUGAAGUUACAAGUCACGUGUUCUCUCUUUGUCAAACAGUACAGCUUGGUAAGCGUUAGAACUCCAUGUCACGUGGGCGCUGACACACCGUGUAAACUACAUAUCCCGAGGGGAGGGUCGAAUCACCUGUUCACUACUUUAACAGCUGAUAAUCAUCUCUUUCUCCCUUCAUUGCCAAUCCACGCUUCCCUUCCCUCAUCCUUUUUCUCCGCUCAAAUCUCUUGGCUUUGUUCGUCUCUUGCUCUGUUUCGCUCUUUCUUCUCCUCGGCUCAACCAUUCUUCUUCUUCUUCCUCCUCCUCCUCCUCCUCUUCUUUAGUUUUUGCUGCUCUUCUCCCUCUCCGUCUCUCUUUUUUCUCGCUCUUUCUUUCUCAGAAAAAAAAAAUCGAAGAACAAUGUCGGCAGAUCCUGUCGUUGGUAUUGGAUGGGAUGCCUUGAAGAGCUAUGUAGUUGUUCCCAUCGAACGUGGAUUCGGACACGUGAUCUCCUCCAAGAGAUUCGCCGACCGUCUUCGGGGGGAAGUCCAGAAUCUGGAGAACGAGGAUCAGAGGGUCAAGGUUCUUGCGGACGAGGCUAGAAGGAAUGUUCGGAAUUCAUCGAUGUCUUCACGACGUGGAAGGCAAGUGCUGAGAAGGCCUUGGAAGAGGCGCGAGAGCUGUUGGAUGACUUCGAAAAGGCGACCAAUACUUGCUGCUACGGGACUCUUCCCGACCCCAAAUCUCGCUACCAGUUUAGCAGGAAGGCCGAGGGCAAGAUCGAGGCCAUUAAGCAACUCACUCAAAAAUGCAUCGGAUUCAACGGAUUGAACGACAUCUCCUUCAUCGAUCCUGCUUUCACUUCUUCUGCCUUGACGUCAAUGAAGCUUGGGGAUGAUGGUGUCUUCGAAUCCAGAGCUUUGAUGAUACGGAACAUCAUGGGCGCUCUUGCUGACAACACUAAUAGUGUGGUCGGGGUUUAUGGGAUGGGCGGGAUCGGCAAGUCCACCCUUUUACUGGAUGUUGAAAGGAAAGUAAGCGAAGAGAAGUCGUUUCAUUGGGUCGCGAAGGCCGACGUGUCGGAAAAUCCAGACAUUAAGACGAUUCAAGGAGAGAUUGCGGAUGCAUUGGGCCAUAAUGAGAUAAAGAACAAAGAGACUAUCAGCGGGCGAGCCAAACUUCUGCACGGGAGGUUGAAAGACGAGGAGAGGGAGAAAAAGAAGGUCCUCAUAAUACUGGACAACCUGUGGGAGGGGCUCGACUUAAACAAAGUCGGCAUUCCUUGCGGACAUGACAACAAAGUAAUGGGAUGCAAGUUGUUGAUGACGUCAAGAGAUCGUGAUGUUUUUGCGAAGGAAAAUGGGCUGCGACAAGGACUUCCUCCUCGGUGAGUUGGAGGAGGAAGAGGCAAAAAGAUUGUUUGAGAAGCUGGUGGGAGCCAAAGUUCAUGAUGACCAGUUCAAACCUCUGGUAAAUGUAGCACUCGGCAAAUGUGCUGGUGUGCCUUUCCUAAUUGUUGCAAUGGCAAAACGUUUUAAAGAUGCUAAUUUAUCUGAAUGGAAAGAUACUUUGAAAAAAGUCGAGAAGUUUAAAGAUAAAGAAAUCAAUGACUCAAUACACCAGAUGUUGCAAUGGAGUUAUGAAAAAUUAGAAGAGGAGGUGAAGUCCUUAUUACAACUAUGUGUUUUUUAUGGUAUUUCCAAGCCUUCUCUUGAAAACUUGGUGAGGUACAACGUUGGUUUGGGGUUAUUUCAAGAAGUUAGCAGCAUGGAAGAAGCUAGAAAUAGAUUAAGCUCACAUAUCCGCACUCUUCAAGCCUCCUCCCUUCUGUUAGAUAGUGAAGAUGCUUAUGGUUUCAAGAUACAUGACUUGGUUCGUGAGUUUGUUGCCUCCGUUGCUUCAAGAGAUCACUCUUUUUUCGUGUUGAAAGAUAAAGAUAAGUCGAUAACAUAGUUGCAGAAGAGCAAGCUUGAAAGUUAUAGGGCAAUAUGCUUUCCAUACGUUGACAUGAAAGAGCUUCCCAAAGAAUUAGAUUGCCCUGAGUUGCAGAUCUUUUUGUUGUUCACAAACAACAGAUCUCUUAAGGUCCUAGAUUCAUUAUUUCACUCUAUGACAAAACUCAUGGUCUUAAAUCUCACCGGGAUGCAUCUCACUUACUCGCCUUCAUCGCCGUUUCAACUCUUAGAGAACUUACACAGUCUGUGUCUUGAUUGUUGUUAUUUAGAUAAUGUAGCCGUUCUUGGCAAGUUGAAAGGGCUACAAAUUCUUAGUUUUACAAACUCUAAUAUUCAUCGAUUGCCAAGAGAAAUCGGGCAACUGGCAGAGUUGAGGUUGUUAGACUUGAACCAUUGUCAACUUCAGAUAAUUGAACCAGGGGUACUUCAAAGCUUGAUCAAGUUGGAGGAGUUGUACAUGAAGAAUAGCUUUAAUCAAUGGAAUAUCGUGGACCAAACUCCACCAGCUAAUGCCAGUCUGAUUGAGUUGAAUCACAUGAAUAAUCUCCACACUCUGCAUGUUUCCAUUCCUAAUCCAAAAGUGCUUCCAGAGGAUCUAAACCUUGAGAAAUUAAGCAAGUAUGAAAUCCAAAUAGGUAAUGUGCACUACCGGUGGAGCGAGUGCAAAGGAUCUAGGAUAUUAAAGCUCAAGUUGGAUCCAUUAGAUGAUGUUCCUUUGAAAGGAUGCAUUCAAAGUAUCUUAGGCAAAACUGAUGAUCUGUUUUUGGACAAGUUGGGUAGAAAUGAGCAAAGUAUCUGUGAGUUAUCCCAAAAAGGUUUUCCAGAAUUAAAGCAUCUACAGGUCAUGAAUAGUGCUUCUAUCCAUUGUAUCCACCAAUCACCAUCCCAUACACAUUUUAAGAUGUUGGAGUCAUUACUUCUCAAGAAUCUCAUCAACUUGGAUAAAUUAUGCAAUAGCCAUAUCUCAUCCAAGUCCUUCAGUACAUUAAAAGUAGUAGAAGUUGCACGUUGUGACAAGAUGGAAGUAUUGUUUCCUCUUUCAGUGGUGGGAGGACUUCCACAACUAGAAGAGAUUAAAGUUGUUGAUUGUAAGCAAAUGCGAGGGAUUGUAGAUGCUGAUGAUGGUGGCAAAGUUGAGUUGCAUAAUUUGCGUGUAUUGGAAUUGUGUGACUUGCCAAAUAUUAAGAGCUUUUUCGCUAUAGGGACAGCUCCUUUGAGUAGUGCAUUAUACGACCAAGUUGGCACCCAAAUUGCAUUCUUCAAUGAGCAACCGGUAACCUUCUUUCAAAAGAAUAUGAUACUUAUUUCUAUUUUCUUCCUUUGUUUAUUAGAUGUAACACAUAUUAUGAUGCUUAUUUAUUUUGUUAUUUUCAGUUUAUUAUCUUCCUAAUUACCUUAUCCUUUCAUGCCUUGUCUAUAAUUAGUUAAAGUAAUCUUCCGUUUCACUUAACUGUGUAGAAAUCCAACUAAUUGUAUAAAAUCCAUGUAAAUUUAGUUUGUGAUAGAUUUUGAAUUAUUUUAAACUAACAUGCUGCAAGUAUAUCUAUAUUUAUAGGGUUUCAUGAAGCAAAACUGAAGAGUAUUUCAGCGUUCAAGUAAUUUCAUAAGUACAGUAAUUUUUAAUAUUUUGAAAUGAAUCCACUGAAUUUAGUUAUCAAACUUUGUUAUUAUCCACGAAAUGUAUAAAAUAGGUGACUCUUUUGAAAAUCAAUAUGAAGAAUGGGAAGGAGAACCGCUUUUUUAAAUAAAAUCAACUAUACUAAUCUAAUUUAUGCAUGUCUUUUGUGUAUUGUGUCUAAAUAAGCAUUUAGUCAUUGCAUAGGGCCAAAAUUAUAAGAAUACAAGCUUUUGUGCAUUUUUUUUAAUAGUGAAAGUGGGCCUAGGCAAUUGUAUGACCUUUUGUGCAUAAUAUAUAUAUACACAAUGGUAUGAUUUUUAUUAUGCCACACCAAAGUUGUCAUUGCAAAAUUGAAAUUCUUGCUAUCGGAGUUCCAAACUGAUCUUUACAUUUCUCUAGUCCAUACGGCGGAAUUAAGGCUGAGUAGCUACAAUAUCAAAUGAUGGAACUUGAUGCCUUGAUGGAAAAUCCACUGUCUUAAAGUCCAAAUAAUUUUAUAGAGACUUAAUUCAAAUGUUUUGACGGGCCUAGUAUUUUAAUUUGGCUACUUGGUAUGUCUUAGUUUAAUUUCCAAAGCUUCAAGUGCUCCACAAUUUAUUCUUCAAGAUAUUUGUGGCGAAAUUUGAGUUUUCUUUUUGUUGAGUCCAUCCAAUUUAGAUUGUGAAUUUUAUGUAGCUUCUAUAUCUUAUCAAGAAAAACCGGUGGUUGCCCAGUCUCAUGGGACCAUAUGUGGUCAUUGUGAUUUCUCUCUAUGGCGAUGUGGAAAUCUAAAUAUCAAGUUCUUUAACUAAAUGUCUUCACAUUUGGCCUUUAAAGUAUGUAUGGAUAUAUUUGUACACAAAUCCACAGUUUGUGUUUAAUAUCCUGUUAAAUUGGUUAUUGAUAGUGAUUUAUUAACAUUAAAAGAAGUUAAGUGAAUUGAGGAUAAAUAAUUGUCUAAUUAAGGAAAGCGAAUGGCUAUUUUAUAUAGGAAGUAGUUGCUGCUGGUGGAGCCUUUUGGCUCACUACAUAAGAUUGCCCUUUAAUUGUGGCGUGAUUAUAGCUGAAGUUGAUGGUGGGGCCCAAGACUUGCACCAUAUAUUAGUUUCCCCAUCAGUAAAGAAUCAUGGAGAUUUAAGUUGAUGGUGGGUCCCUCAAGACUGCAUGUCUAAGUAUCUCCACUUCAACCUCGACUUUUCCACUUCGCAUGCAAGAGAGGAGUUAGAUUGGGAGGGUUUGCAAAGAGGCUUUGGUGCUUUUAAUUUUCAAGCGUUCGAAAUCUUUGUUAAAGAAUUUUACUCUUGCCUUGAUGCCUUCUCAUUUUGGGCGUAGAAACUAGGGCUGCAAAAAUCUAUGGGAUUAUAAUGAAACGUUUCUAAUAAUUGUAAUAAAUCUCUUCCAACGUUCUAAAGAGGUGGAGCCGACGAAAGUAGCAGUGGAAGGUUGGAUUGUCAGGGAUGACAGUAGUUGAACAAAGAAACACACAUAAGUUAAACUUGUUGUAAUAGAUGGGAGCAUUGGGUGAUGGUAAGGUAGAUGGGAGAUUUCAAGUAACUUUGUAGAAGAAAGGAUUUUCUCGAGUUGAAGCGGUGAACUUUUGAAGAAGACUAGUUACUCUUUGCCCAAAAAAAAAAGAAAAUAAAAGAAAAUAAAGCUUUUGAUUGUGAUUUAUUGUUUAGAAGGAGUAAAACUGGCUCACUAAUCAAAUUAAUCUCCACAAUCAUUUUCCAAGUAGAGAUUGGAGAAAGAUUCAUUAUAUUGUUUAGUAAUAACACUAGUAUUGAGAUUUUCUAACUCCUAUUUUAUUUUAUUCUCUUUUUUCCCCUUUUGUGCAACUUAAUAAUGCCCCUCUCUUCUUGGCACAUGUAUAUAUUAACAUUUUGGAAGUUCCUAAAUUCGUGAUUUAACUGAAUCACCAAUUCUAUGAGUGAAUACUGUAGGUUGCCUUUUCGAAAUUGGAGACAUUAGUAAUAUGGGGCUUGGAUAAUGUCGAGUUUUUGUUUUUCGCAUCCAUGAUUAAAUCUCUUGCACAACUGGGAGAUCUACGGGUAUCUUAUUGCAAAAAGAUGAAGGCAAUCAUUACAAAGGAAGAAGGGUUGGGAUUGGAAAUAUCAGAAACUCUGGCAUUCCCAAUGUUAACUAACUUAAACUUAAAUCAUUUGGGAUGUGCUUCUCUUGCAAAAAGUGUAAGAUUGAUUUUUUGUUUUCAUCACUAAAGAUCUUCUUGUAGAUAAAUUCAUCCUUGCAAUACAAAUGGCAACAUUCUUUUCAUCCAUUGAAAAACUAAUGACAGGUUCACGAGAAGCUUGGAGUCAAGACCACAUCAAGUCAUACUCCACUGCACUCUUUAGUAAAGAGGUACAUGAUUAACGUUAUGCCAAAAUAUUAUAUAUAACAAAAGUAUUAAAUAUGCAAAAGACAACAUAGCCAACAUAAGAACUAACUAAAUUACUCACAAAGUGUACUUUGAUUAAAAUAUUUUAAAGAAAAUGAGUCGCAUACAAACAUAAGUAUUGAAAGUUGCCAACACGUAUGAGUUGCAAUUGUUUAAUUUUAAUUUCUCCUAAAUAGUUUCCAUAAAGAUGGUCAAAUAUCUCUUAUGGUUAAAAGCUUGUCGAUGUUCAUAGGAAACUUAAAAGCUCUCAGCAACCUCACAUGUAUGGCAUCGACAUUGCACGCAUGCACAUUGAAAGCAAUUUAAAAACAAUGGAGAGGAAAGUGAGCAGUAAGGUUCGAGAGGUUGUAGAUGAAAGGCCUUUAAGGUACUCACUUGACUUCAUUUGCUCUUAAAUUAAAAGAUCUCUCUUUUUCCCCCCUAAUCGAAGGAAGCUUUACUCUCCCUUAAUUGCACCAGCAAAAGGUAUAUGAGUCCUCUCCAUUGCUAAACUGAGCAAGAUCUCUAGGGACUAGGGCUUCAGAAAUCACCCCUUUAAGUUUUAACAUGAACUGCAAGACCAAAGUGAUCAAUUCAGUGACUUCUCUAAGUGCGCUACAAUUUCAUUGAAUAAUUUCAUCCAUACUGUAACUUAAAUAACCAUCUCUAAGUGAUUUAACAAAUGCAUUUCAUCCUUUGGCUAGCAAAAAAAGCACAAAGUGUAAUUUGAUUAUUUUGGGAAAUGGAUAAGUGUUCCAGAAGUCCUACAACUUGUCACAAAAAUGCAUUUCGGUCCUAAAACUUGCAAAGUGCAUUUAAGUCCUAAAACUUGUCAAAUUAUUUCAAAUAAGUCCUAAGAUCGACGCCGUUAGCCUUUUCCGUUAAAAAUGCUGACGUCACAUUUUAAAUAAUUUUUUAUUUUCCAAGUUUAUUUUUUAAUUAAUUUGUAUCCAUUUAAAAAAGUUAGAUUUAAAAAAUAAAAAAUUAAAUUUAUUCUUAUCUUAUUUUCAACAACAACUAUAAAUAAAAGUUAAUAUUUAUUUUUAAAAUUUUAAAAAUAAAUUAAAAAAAUAAUGUUAACUUUUUAAAUAUGUUUUUUAAUAAAUAUUUUAAAUUUUUUUAAGUUUUUGGUGAAAAUAAGAUAAAAUGAAUAAUUUGAUUUUUUUAGUUUUUAAAUCUAUUUUUUUUUUAAAAAAAUAAUUAAAAAAAUUCACGUGGAAAAUAAAAAAUUAUUUAAAAUGCCACGUCAGCAUUUUUAACGGAAAAGGCUAACGGCGUCGAUUUUAGGACUCAUUUGAAAUAAUUUGACAAGUUUUAGGACUUAAAUGCACUUUUUGCAAGUUUUAUGACUGAAAUGUAUUUUCGUGACAAGUUGUAGGACUUCUGGAACACUUAUCCCUUUGGGAAAUUGACUAAAUUCAAGAGAGGGAGUGACAUAAUUUAAAUUUGGGAUUAUGAGGGACUAAUGUGACUAUGUGAUAGUUAAGGAGCAUAUCCAAAUUACCAUUUUGCCAUUAUCAACAGAAUCUAGUCAGAAUUCCUACUUUUUGACUUGUUUGUGGUAAAUUCCAAUAGCCUUCUAGUCCUAGAGUCAUCAACAUUAGUAUGGGCAUUUUUUACUAUUUUUUUUUUUUUACUUUAUUCUUCUUCUUUUUUUCCUUUUGUGCAACUUAAGACAAAAUCAUCAAUUUUAUGAAUUCGAAAUUUACAUCUUGACACUCAUCUAUCUUGGAAGUUCAUGAUUAACUCAAUACCAAUUUUGUGAGCGACUAUCGCAGGUUGCAUUUCCUAAAUUGGAGGCAUUAGAUAUCACUAGCUUGGACAAUAUUGAGAUGAUAUGGGAUAAUAAAGUUGCUGCGGAUUCUUUCCCCAAGCUAAAAACCCUUUGUGUGGUUGAUUGCAAUAAGCUUGUGAGCGUAGUUCGUUCUUUCAUUCUAAGAUGGCUCUUGAGCCUGGAAAGAUUGGAUGCAAGAAGAUGUAAUUCGCUUGAAGUUGUUUUUGAACUUCAGCCACUGAAUCAUCUAGAUGGACAUCCUAUUGCUCUUCCAUUUGAAGAACUGAUGAUAUCAAGAUUACCAAAGCUAAAGUGCAUAUGGGAUAAGGAACUCCACUGUCAAAUUAAAUUCCAGUGUCUACGUUCUAUUAGCGUUUCAAGAUGUGAUAGCCUCACCUAUUUAUUUCCAGCCUCAGUAGCUAGAGAUCUAAUCCGACUUGAGGAGUUGGAGAUCGAUGAAUGUGGCAUUGCAAAAAUCAUCAAGAAUGAAGAAGGACUAGUUCCCAGGUUUGUAUUCCCAAUGUUAACCUCCCUCAAGCUUAAGUAUCUGAGAGAGUUGAAGUGCCUCUACGUUGGAACACAUACUUCCCAAUGGCCGGCAUUGAAGACCUUGAACAUGCGUGGCUGUGACAAAGUGGAGAUACUUGUAUCGCACUCAGUAAAUGAGAUGCCACUUGAUAAACCGCCUUUCUUCUUGAUAGAAAAGGUACAAUCGAAGAUUACUUCUUUUACUUUUAUGGUGAAUAUUUUGAAGUGAUGAUUAAGGUCACAAUCAAGCAUCUCAUACAAGUAGGUCUACAUAGGAAGAUGUAAACUGUACGACUCACCUUCAAUUUAUAGAAAUAUUUCUACAUUGAAACAUCACAUGUUCUUCAAUUGUUGACCGAACAUUCUUGUCAGAUGUAUCAAAUGCAUUUUUAAUGAUCCCCUUUUAAUAAAGUUUUAUGCUAAUUCCGAUGGUUUAGCUCUCUCCUAAGUGCCAGAUGAAAACACAUGGCAUGUGUCGUGAUCUUAGCAUGGUACAAGUGUAUUGUCUAAUUUGAAUCCUAUAAAGAUUACCAAAGUUUUGCUAAAAAUGGAAAGAUGUGACGUUAUUGUUGACAUUAAUCAUUGAAAUUUGUGCACGUGCAACUGUAAUUGAUGCAUAGGUUAUUUUCACAAGGGAUUUAUCUUUAGAAUUGUGAACAUAAGGAGUUACUUAAGCUCAAAUAUGGAUCCAAGUUGAAUAUAAAGAUUAUUGAUAAUGUUUAUUUGAUGUAGGCACAUUUCCUAUUGAAUCACGUGAGACUCAACAUUCUAUAAAUGUAGUUAUUGCGCGCAACAUGCAAGACUUAUAUCAUAGUACAUGAAUGCUCUUUUAACUAAGCUGGCUUUAAAUUAUGAUUUGACUAUUUUCUCAGGGCGGAUUCCCUAGUCUCCAAGAGUUAGAAUUGGAUUUAUCGGAAUGGAUGGAGAUAUGGCAUGGGCAUUUUCAUCAUGGAGAAUUCUUUUGCAAGCUUAGUUUGCUUAAGCUUCAUCAUCUCUCCCAGGAGUCUUUAAUAUCCACAUGUCACUUUGUUGAGAGUUUAACCAACUUAAAAGAGCUAGUUGUAUGUGAAUCUUAUCUAGAAGACCCAAGCAGCAAUGAGGAAGCCAUAGAAGGCACAAGUCAUGAGAUGAAAGUAAUAUUACCCUUUUUCAAGAUAUAUUCGACAUUUGCAAACUCUAGAUGUGUCACAUUGUGAUGGGUUAUCAAAAAUGUUCACACCAACAAUUGCUGAAAAUUUGGUGGCACUCACAAAAUUGAAGAUAAGUAAUUGUAGAAUGUUGACAGAAGUCAUUAAUGAUGAGAAAGGUGGGGAGGGGCGUGUGGUGGCUUUCAAUCAAUUGAAGUAUAUGGAGCUUGAUAGGUUGACAGGGUUGAGAAGUUUCAGCUCACGGAGAUAUACUUUGAUGUUCCCUCUCUUGGAAGAUGUCAUUGUGACUAGGUGUCCCAACAUGAAGUUUUUCUCUCAAGGACCGAUAGAGGCAUCAAAAUUAAAGAGAGUUUGAGUAUCAAAGGAAGUGUGGUUUUGGGCAGGAAACCUCAACAUCACCAUCCAAAAUAUGUUUGAAGAAAUGGUAUGCAUCAAUUACCAAAUUCCAUGUAUUUGGAUGGUUUUGACUAGUAAAUGAAUAAUUGCUUUUUGCUAGCUAGAAGUUUACAUUUAAUGAUGCAUUUUUUGACAGGUUUCGUUUGCUGGAGUAAAGAAAAUGCUGCUAUUUGAGUUCCCCAAGCUUAUUGGAAAAUGGCAUAACGAACUGAAUCCCAUCAAGUCUUAUUGGCAAUUAGAAUCAUUGGUGGUAGAUAAAUGUCCAUCAUUUGUUAAUGAUAUUCCAUCCAAAUUGAUGCAUGUUUUAGAAAAUCUGAGCUUUUUGCAAGUGCGUGAUUGCGAGUUGCUUGAAGAAAUAUUUGAUUUGGAAGGGCUGGGGGCAAUGGAAAGCACUAGAGUACUACCUCGGCUACAGGAAUUGAACUUGGCCAAUCUACAAAAAUUGAGGCAACUAUGGAACAAAGAUCUUCAAGAAUCGCCUCACUUCAAUUCUCUAGGUUAUCUCAUCCUUUAUAAUUGCAGCAACUUGGGACAUGCUUUCACUCCAUUGAUGGCUCGGUGCCUUGCCAAUAUUGAACAGAUGGAAAUAAAGGAGUGUGGUCAGAUGGAAAGAGUGAUUGUAGAGGAAGAAGGGCAGGGAAGCAUAGUGGAGAAGAUUACAUUCCCAAAGCUCAAGUGGAUGAAACUAAAAUGCUUACCCAAUUUGACUUGUCUCCUCUUGAGAAAAAAUCAUACGUUGGAAUGCCCCAAAUUAGAAUCGCUAAGCAUUGCUCAUUGCCCUAAGAUGAGAAGUUUGAUUGGGCAAUCCCAAAUGGAGAACGACCACAACAACCCUUCACUUUUCACUCCCCAUGUCAAUCUUUUAAGCAAAUGCAUUUUUGGCAUUUCAUUGGGAACAUAUUCUCGUAGUAUUGGACAAUGCACGGUAUGAUGCAAAUUUAGUGCUUUGUGUGGGUUUAUAUACAUAUCUUCUAAAAUUAUUCUAAUCCUCAAUAAAUAUAACUAUGAACCAUCCAUCUCUGCAUCCUUUUAGAAGUGUUAAAUUGGUGUCAGUUCAUGAAAUCAUUUCAUUCAUAGUACUUUAGAAUUAAUUAGCGAGGUUCUUAAAAAAGUUACCACAAUAACCAUAUAAAGACAUUAUCUUUUUGCAAUGUCAACAAUAAAGAGCUAAACAGUAAACAUAGUAUAGCAUCUAAAAAUGACAAAAAAAUGUAGUAUUGCCACUUCAUAUUUUCUUGCACAUAAGCAAACUAGCAUCGUUCUAUUAAACAUGAAGAAAAGGGGAAAAGAAAACUUCAUAAUGUAAAAGCUUAGUUCACAAAUUGCUUAGCAAUGACAAAUCAUUGUACCAUAAAUCAUCUUCCCAAUCAAUGAAAUUAAGGGAAUUAGAGAGGGCGGCACUUUUAAUUGGAGUGUUAUAAACCUCAAUGAUGAUUCGUGCAAUCAACUUUUUUAUUUCUUAAUACUCACCAAUGCUUGAGCUAGGUCUUCAUAAUAAAAUAAAUACAAAUAGAAAGGUCAAUAUGCAUGGAGUGAUUAGUCUUCUUCGUUCAUAAAUCCUACUUGAAUCGCUAUAUUCCAACAACCUAUCAAGUUAGGUACCUGUGUUAUGCAAUAAAUAUUAACUCUGGAUAAUUAUAUUUAGUAAUAAUUAGUGUGAUAAUGUGCUCAAUUUAUAUUUGGCAAGAGAAAAGGCAGAUUGCUUUUUCCAAGAAAAGUAAUGGCGAAAGAAAGGAAAAAAAAAAAAGAGAGGAAAGGACAGCUAGAUGAUAAAUAGUAGCAAUUAUGUGGGCGGUUGCCGACAUUGCAAGUCUUAUUUCAUAACUAGAUGACAAUAUUUAGUCAAUGUCCAUGCUAAAAUAAAAAUUUUAAAAAUCAUAAUAAAUUAUCCAAUUAACAACACUACCGAAGAGAAAAUAUUAGGUGCAUUGAAUACUCCGCAUAGGAUUCGUAUUGAAUAAUCCGCAGAUCAACACAUGGCAAAGCCGGGCCCGCCUAUCAACCAUCAAAAUUUUUGCUCCCCCCUCUGUUCAUUUACGCCGUCACUAGAAAGCUUUGCUCUCCUCUUCCUAGUGUGGCUCUGCUCCCUCUCUCUCUUUCCUCUACAAAGGUGCAUCUCUAUACGUGAACCACACCACCCCCUUGGCCUCUAUCGGUUGUGGUGCGCUCACAGGAUAAAGGAAAAAACAAAAAAAAAAAAUAGAUAAGAAAUUAGACAAAAGUCUAUUUGGUUUUUCAGCUUCUCCCCCCUUGAGAACUGUUCGCUCUCGGUCAUUUCAUUUGACCUUGUUCCUUCUCUUCGCGACGAGGGCAAAAAAGAAAGUGAACUAAAUCUACAUAGUCAAGUAACGAUAAGUCUUCUUCCUCCCCCACCUCUCCUCCUCUACCUUCUUUUUUUGGGGCAAAUGAUUGGGUGGUCUGUCCAAUGGUUGAAUUGGAAGCUUCGGAAUCACUUCUCUGAAGCUCGCCUCCUCUCUGUGCGCGUGCAUGCGUGGGUUCCGAGCGAUUACGCGAACCGGAGCUUGUUGGUUAUGGUGGGUCGAAGUGGAUCUCCGAUGCGGAAGUGAUUUUGAAGUCGAUUCGAUCGGGGCGUUGAUUCCAACGAAGAAAAAUUAAAAAAUGUUAUCUUCAGCCCUCUCUUCCUCCUCUUUCAUCCACAGCUGCCCGACCUCCGCCCCUCCUCCGUUGUCGCCAACGGCAGAGUCAUCAGCGCCUUGCUUAGGCUGAUCCUCACUAUGUCCAAGCCGAGCAUGGCCGGCUUCCUCUGCUUUGUCCAUCUCAUCGUCCUACAGAUCUCGAAAUCUGGCCGUCCAUAACGACGCAGUUGCAGAUCUAGAAGUCCACCACCAUUGCUAGCAGCCAUGGACGUGCCACUGUCGCCGGAACGAUGGCUUUAGAAUGGGAAGUUCCGUCGCGAAAAAUGAUGGCUUAUGGACUACCAUUGUCCCCUCCGUAGUCGCUCGCGAUCGGCUCAUGGUCGGCCCCAUCCAUGGCCGGCCACCCCUCCAUCAUCACAGAUGCUCGUGGUCGUUGCCCAUCCAGAUCUGGAUUGGAGUCGUGUCUCCAGAUCUAGUAUCGUCCAUAGACGCAAGCCUAGCUCGUCCAUGGCUCGCGAGGAGGCUCCUCCACAGAUCUAGCGAUCACUGCUUGUCCAUGGCCAUGAGCCUUGACGACGAGUUUGAGAUCCUGACGGCCAAGGACUCCGAGGUCAAACAGCGAAACAAAGAAUAGAGGAAUAGAUGUUAGGGAAGAGUGGCCACAGACGAGACGGCCGGAGCUUGAAUGCGGCCAUGGACAAGGGGCGUCAUGAACAGGUAGACCACAAAGACGACGGAGAGGGUUGGACGCCCGGCAAUGGUCGCCUUGGACACAGCGCCGGCAACUCCGCCGUUGGCAACGGCGGAGGGAGGCAGGAAGGUUGGGUUCAAUGUGGGUGGAGAUGGAGGAGAAAGCCUAGAUGGAGGAGGAAAGUGAGGUGGAUUGAGAUUUUUUAUGUUUAGUCAUCUGACCAAAAAAUGCUAAUAUUUAGUCAAUGUCCUAGCUAUAUAAAAAAUUAAAAAUAAUAGGAAUCAAUCAUCCAGUCAACAUUUCCAUUCCGUUCCAUGAAGUUCUCACGGGAAGACUGAACGCAAUAAAUGACGACCUCCACCGGCACUUCUUUUUUUGGGUCGAACCCUGAGGCACUUGAAAAUGUGCGAUAUCAACCCAAAUUUGAAUUUUUGGCGUUCAUUUUUUUAUUAUGGAUUCCAUAUAAGUUUCGGUUAUUUCUUUUUUCCCUCGAGGGAAGAAAUGCUUGUGUUUUGUCUUAUUCUAAUACUUUUGUGCGAUUCUUUCUAUCGUUGCUUAUGAGUAGAAUGUUUAAUCAUGAGGAGUAUCUAUAUAUUUGUUUACUAUUUAUCGUAAAAGUUAUUGCUAAUUAUUUAUUUAUUUCUAAUGUCAUUUGCAUGUAUAAGUUGUCAUGUAAUAAUAGGUAUCCCCACAUUUUGAGGAUAUUUCAAAAGGUCAUUAUUACAUUGAAUCAAGAAUACUAAUAAAUUGGGGAAGCAUAGAAAUAGUCAUAUGAUUUUUUGGUAGUGACAAGUUGUGAUAGCUUUAAUUUCAUUUUUAUGUCAAAUAUGAGCUACCUCUAAUAAUAAGUUGCUCCCACAUUGUUAGACAAUUUCAAAUACUCAUUGAAAUCCUCAAUUAAGAAUAUUAAUAGAUUAAGGGAAGUGUGGAAAGUCAUUUUGUUUUUUUUUUUUUUUGGUUGUGAGAAGUCAUAGUUGCGAUAACUUUACUUUUUAGUGGACAAUCAUAUUGUGGUCAUAACACGGUAAAAAAAAAAAAAAACACGGUUGAUUUUCUCCACACAAACAUAUUGUGGUCAUCCGCUUCUUUUUUCUGUUCUUUUUACUUUUCUUUUAGCCUCCAACACCCGAACAAAACUCCAAAAUCCUCAACACAAGGCAUCAAUUAAGGAUAAGAAAUUGGAUACCAUUUUUUGCGAGCAGUUGCACCACUGGCCCACCACAAGAUUCUACCACAAAAGUGAAUAAAUAAUAUUUCAAGCAAGUUAUUAAUGGUCCAAUGUAGAACUAGUAAGUUGGCCCAACUUGCUUUUUUAUGAGAUCAUAAUAUAUGUUAAUUAUUCCAAUCAUUAUAUUGCCCGUGUCUAUUACAUAUUUAUUUUCUUUCGAUACAAAAAUUUUUCUGCACGUAAUAAAGAAAAAACUUGUAAACAAUUGAAGUUAUUAUUAUUUUUAUCUGGUUCGCCAUCUAAUUUGCAUGACGCUUCUCAUUAGUGAACUUUAUUAAUUGAAGAUUCAUAAGUAAUGUUCACAAUUGGUAUUAGUGUUGAAUAAGUAGCGUGCUCAUAGUAAAUAGAGGAAAUAAUCUCUAUCGUAGGAAGACACAUUUGAUGAGUGUUGGACUCGAGUUGUCAAUCAAUUGUAAGUGAAGAUGCACAAAUCUCACUUGUGCUCCCAUUUUGUGGCUUAUUGAUCCCAACUAUUGAUCUAUUUAAAAAAGUUAUUUCUAAAAUUUAUCUCAAUGCAUCAAUGAUUGAGGCACCAUAUGGUAAAAAAAUGGGGGUAGUGCAUCUCCAUCCUUUCCAUAUAUACAUGGACAUGCUUAUAUAAUCAUCUUCUAGGUCCAUGCUAUUAAAAAGCAAAUAAGCAUCACUGUACAAGAUUUCUUACCUCCAUACAAAUAAACACGAUGUCCAUGCUGUUGAUUCACUUUUGCUAAUAAUUUUCGAUUAUUCUAAAUCUACUAGAGAUGAAAAUGGGAAGUUAAUUUCUUUUAAUUGAUAAGAAAUAUAUGUAGAACCUGCUUAUACCUAUCGCUGGAGCAUCAUCAUCAUAUUGCACCCAUCAAUGUGGCAUUGGACCCAACAUAAGGAAGAGAGAAUAAUGAUAUGUAUGUAUAUCCUGAUUGGAUUGCAAUAUGAAGCACAUGCAUCAAAGCUUCUUUGAACCGUGCUUCGGCUACAUUCGUUCCUCGAACCAAAUAAAUUUAAGAAAUUCUUACCUUAUCUAAUGUUGCAUUAUCAAAAAAUCAGUGCAAGCAACUUUGAUAAUGAUCAGUUGAAUAAUCCAAGUAUUCAUCAUUGAACUUUCCAAAAAUUAAAGAGAUAAGGCGUUGCUAGUAUUAAAUGUCAAUUGAGGCACUUAAAAGUCAAUGCUCAAUGUACUAUUGAUUAUAAAUGCAUUUAUAAUUUCAUGCUUGUUGCAAUGCAAUAUGCUUGGCCUUAGUCAUUAGUCAACUUAAAUGAAAGGAUCAAUUAGCCGCUCCCUUUUUUUGUCAAUAACAAGUUCCCACAUUCUCAUGAUUUGUGAGAGUGAGGGAAGUUUAGAAAUUCUUUGUUUGAGGUCAUAACUCAAUGUAAUCACAUUCAUUUAGUCAUUUUUCUCAAUAUGCCAGGUACAAUGUCCUGAGCUUAAGCGGAUGUUUCUCUCCCAUAUGGACAAUUUAAGCAAAAUAUGGAGUGACAAUCCUCAAGAAACUCUCACUUUUGACAAUUUAUGGAAAGUGCAAGUUCAAAAUUGUAGGAGCCUUGAAAUCGUGUUUCCGCAUUGGGUGGCUACAAGUCUAACCCAACUUAAGGAACUUCAAGUGGAGUCUUGUGGGAUUGAGGAAAUAGUUGCUAGUGGGAAUGAGACUCCACAUUCCAAUACCACUCAAGAUCUUUUCCCAAAACUAACCUUUCUAGUGUUACAUGAUAUGCCACAACUCAAGAACUUCUGCACCAACUUGCCCACUUUGAAAUGGCCAAUCUUGAAGGAACUGCGAGUGACUCAUUGUGAUAAAGCGAACAUGAUGUCUCUUGUAGCAUCUAUGAGCAAUUGGGCUCAAAAAUAUUAUCAACGGGCUUUUAGACCAAGAAGCACACUCUUUAUUUGAAAUGGUAUGAUUUCAGUUGCUCUCCCUUGGUUUCUAUUUUGUUCUUUAAAGCACUCACUGAUCUCAUAUCCACUACAUAAUCAAGCCACGUUAUAUUGCUAUAGAAAACAUGAUCUCCCUUACUUAUUAGUUUGUUGACAACAUUAAAAUAUUUCUAAUAUCUUAAGUAUACUUUUCAUUUGUGGACAACCAUAAGAUAUUUCAUUACCUAUAAUUACAAAAAUAAUUAUAGAUUUUUGUUGAAGGCGCAAUAUAUUCCUAAUCUAGUCUAGUGGUGCUCCUUGGGGAAAUCAUUGAAAAUUUGACAUGAGGUCCACUUCAUUGUUGACACGUGUUGCACAUUUGAACUUUUUUUCUCCAUUUCAUCAUCUAAAAACUCUAUAAAAAAAAAUCAAUACAAACAAUUUUAACAAAGAUAAGAUUAGUACCUUAUGCACUAUUUUCUUUUGUAUUCCUUAAUUGAUCUCGUCUUAUACAUAGUCAUUCUGUUGUAUUACUUUAGACAACCUAAAACUCCUUACCUACGAGUUUGAAGAUAACGUAAUAUAUUUUAUUAUAUCUUAGGCACACUUUUAAGUUUGUGGACCCAUACGUUUCAGUAAUAUCAUCCGUGCAUCCCAUUACAUAAGUUUCCAAAGAUGACUAAUUUUAGUUGACAAGAUAAGAUAUUUCUAAUAAAAGAUGAAGAUGAAUUCGAUGAGCUUGGAGAGAUCUUGACAAGUUCACUCUACAAACUUAACCAUACCAACCUCUAUUCGAGACUUUUAAAAGCUUGAGACUUGAAUGUAGGGCUCUUGAGAUAUAAUAAACUUUAAGAAGAUGGCCACCCUCCAUGUGAAUCAUCUUAAUAGGUUUACUUUUUACGGCACAUGAUUUAUUGUCGAAAUUUUGUUGAAUUUUCUUCUCUUGUUGUAUUGGCAAUUCAACAGGAUUUUCCCAACUUGGAGAGACUUUUAUUAGUCGAUAACAAUAUUCAGAUGAUACAAGAUGGAAAUUUUCCGGAUGACAUGUUUAGCAAGCUAGAAGCACUAACACUGGCAUGCUUUCAUGAUAAAAAGGCUACCUUUCCUUCCAUAUUCCUCCUAGAGAGAUUUCAAAAUCUACAGAGCCUUGAGGUCUUUUGUAGCUCCUUUGAAGAUUUAUUCUCAGACGAAGGGCUUGUUGAAGAAGUGAAACAUCCGGUGCUUGAAAAUUUAAGAGAACUUAAGUUAAACAAGCUACACAACUUAAAGUGUGUGUGGAGAGAAGACUCAUUAGUAUCGAAAAUUCUUCAGAGCAUCAAAACAUUUGAGGUUUGGGAUUGUCCUUGUUUGACAAUAAUUUUUCCAACUGUGACAUCCUUCCAGAAGCUGACCGGCUUAGAGGUAAAGAAUUGCUCUGGAUUGGUACAUUUAGUAACAGCUUCAGCAGUCACAAAUUUGGUGCAUCUUGAAUGGAUAACUAUAAUAGAAUGUGAAAGAAUGAAAGAAGUAAUGACAAAUGAUGGAAAUGGAGAAGGAAAAGUGAUUUCUUUUGGAAAUCUACAAUAUUUGACACUCCAACAUCUGCCAAGCCUAGAAUGCUUUUCCUCCAUCGCGAGUUGUACUUUUAGGUUCCCAUCCUUGUGGAGUAUUGAAGUGGAAGAGUGCCCGAAAAUGAAGACAUUUUCUAUGGGUACGCUAAGCACAUCAAGACUGUAUCAUGUGUCAUUGUUCAGAUAUAAGUGGAGAGGGAAUUGGGAGACGAGUGAUGAUCUCAAUACAACCAUACAAAAAUUAUCAGCAUGAACAAAUUCACAUAUAAUUGGUAAGAUCCAAUUGACGUCAUUCUCUCAUCAAUUUUUUUUUCUUUCUCUUUAUUCUUUUGGUAGUGCCGUAAGUUUUUAAAAUUUUUCUUUUUGUGACUUUUCUAUUAUUUAUUCCGUCAGAUCAGCAUCACCAUUCCGUCAGCUCAUCCUUCAGUGAACAGCGGGAAGCAAAGCAGGGCUCCCCUUCUCCUUCUUGACGCCAGAAGCUCUCUCUCCAUCUUUCUUCUUCUUCUUCUUCUUCUUCUUCUUCCUCCUCCUGCUCGGUGAAGCGAAACUAGGGGGAACCUCUGCUGCCUUCACAAAGGACGGAGCGAAAAUGAAGCAUCAGGAAUUGCCAGGACUGCGAGAAGCGAAGCUGCACUUAGCGGAGUGAAGCCAAGUAGAUUCAACCAGACGCUAUCGUUGUCGCCGUCGUUGCUGCCGAAGGUGGCACAACCAAGUCAGUCGUCCACUCACGUCAUCAAAGAUGAAGAAGAUCACACUCUCUCCCCGCAUCUGCAUCCGACAAAUUGUAAGUUCAUGUUUCUUCCGAUUUUGGUGUCUUAUUGCGAAUUGUUGGGAAUAACGGAUCCUCGAAAAGCGGAUUCGACACUGAAUCGAACCCUUAAAUCAAUGCAGAAGCGAAGCCUGGGAAAACAACACGUAUCACUGAUCGUAAAGCACACCACGGAUUCGAGCGUACCUUGUUAGCCACAGAUUAAACACCGACGCCGAUAGAGGAAGAGAAACUUUGUCCUGUUUGAUCCGAUGAAGCAAAAUCGCCUUUGAAGGGAAGAAAAACGCGCCGUAUGCUUUACUGUUUUUCCUUUUCUUUUUGGAGAGAGAGAGAGCGUGGGAGAAGACGUACGUACAGUUUUUUUGAUUCCAACCGGUAUCAUCUCUCUCUCUCUCUCUCCUCCCUUUUAUACCUUCCCCCAUCCACGGGCCCUAUUCCCGUGGGCCGGGCUUUUUGGGCCCAACUUGGGCGGACGAGCCUUAAGCCCAUCUCAUAUAAAACCAUCAUCUCCCACUCGCACAUGGUGGGCCGAACAGGAUUCUCUUUACCUCUCUUCAACAUUCAUACCGGUGAAUAAUCCGUGUGACCAUCAUACUUUGAGAGCUCGUUGCUAUACAUAUGUUAGGAAUAUAUAGCAGCUCAUAAUGGGUGUCACACUCCGAGUAGAUUUAGUAUGCAGUACCCUAGAUCGAUCGAUCACAUUUAUAUCUCUCUUAAUCUCUUUCAAACUUGAUAUAUAUAUAUAUAUAUAUAUAUAUAUAUAUAUAUAUAUAUAUAUAUAUUGUAUUCACAAUUACAAUUAUCACAAAGACAAUCAUAAUUGGUCGACCAGUGAAUACAAAACUGCAAUGUGAUUCUCCAAAAUCGAUCUUCCUCUUUCCUUCAAACUCUCAAUUUCAGUUUAGCUUACUUUUCUAGAAAUGUCCCAUUAGAUCGAAUCAAUUCAUGACCAUUGGCAACAUCCUAAGAUAGCAAACACUAAAUAGAAAUCUUGAGAAUAAGUAAGAGUCAUGAGGGGACUAAAAAUUGAGGAACUCUUUUCCUCAAGAGUCUCACACGUCAUAAAAGUUGAGAUCAAACUUUUUGCCAAUCUUAUUGGUCGUCUCAUGCAUACGUAGUAUGAAAUACGUAUUACGGUAUUAACUCCUUUCCCAUGGAGCCUAUGUCUACAUUUUUCAAUACCGUACAGAUGAUAGUUCAGACAUGCCCAAUGUCUAACUUGAGUUCACGUAUCUACUCAUUCACAGAAUUCAUCAGAACUCACAUCUAGCAUCUUAGACAGAUAAAGUAAAAUAUGUAGGGUAUUUUACUUUCGGACAUCGUAAGAAUUAUGUCCUCAUCUUAACACUCAGUUAAGGCGACAUAUGUGUUUUAAGCUUGAGCUCCUAGAUAAUAAGCUUAAAAACAGUCUCAUCUCUAUUUAUCACACAGUAAAUAGAGGCGAUUACCCGUGUGAGUGGGCUAAUCUUUUAUCUGUCCGACAUACUUCCUCAACUUAUAAUAAUACACUGAGUAUUAAGAUGCAUAAAGAUCAUACAAAGAUUCAUAGGCAUUAAUCAAUGAAAAACAAAAUUUCAUAAAUGUGAACAACUCAGGGAAAUUACAACUCAGUACAUCAGACUCUACGCAAUCCUAGAGAUUUUACAUGACCACAAAACACAUCUCUAGGUAUUGGCUUUGUCAUAGGAUCUGCUACCAUUCUAUGCGUAGAUAUGUACUGCAAGUUCACAUCCUUUCGUGCAACCAUAUCUUUUACAAAGUUAUACUUGGUAUCUAUAUGUUUGGUCUUGCCAUGAUACUUUGGAUCUUUGGUGUAUGCUAUAGCUGCUUGGCUAUCACAGUUAACCAAUAAUUGAUUUGCAGCUUUCUCAAUAACACCUAAAUGAUCCAAGAAUCUCUUAAGCCAAACUCCUUGUACUGCUGCUAAUAAUGCCACAAACUCAGCUUCCAUCGUGGACAAGGCUAUACACGUUUUCUUCUUACUACUCCAUGAUAUGGCGCCAUUGCUUAGUAAGAAAGAAAAUCCUGAGGUAGAUUUUCUUUCAUCUAAAUCUCCUCCCCAAUCAGCAUUUGAAUAGCCUUCAAGUCGCAUAUCCUUUCCAUGGUAAUUCAACUUGAAAUCAACAGUUCUCUUUAGAUACCUCAAUAUUCUCUUAACGGCUUUCCAAUGUGCUGGACUUGGGUUGGAUUGGUAUCUACUCACCAUUCCAACUGCAAAACAUAUGUCGGGUCAUGUACACAUCAUAGCGUACAUCAAGCUCCCAACAGCACUAGCAUAAGGAACAUGUUUCAUUUGUUCCUUCUCUUGUGGAGUCCCUGAACACAGUCUAUGGCUCAAUCCUUCACCCUUUGCAAUAGGAGUGUCUAUGGGUUUACAAUCUUGCAUACGAAAUCGUUCAAGAACCUUAUUUAUAUAUGUUUCUUGCGAAAGAGACAACAAUCUCUUCAAACGAUCUCUUGAAAUUUUAACUCCAAGAAUGUAUGCAGCUUCACCCAUAUCCUUCAUCUCAAAGUUGGAAGACAACCAACUCUUGACAGUAUUAACCAACUCCAUAUUGCUUCCGGCAAUCAGUAUAUCAUCAACAUAUAAUGAUAUGAUCACAAAUUGAUCCUUGGAUCUUUUGAUAUAUACACAAUGAUCCUCUUCAAUCAUUGUAAAAUCAUAUGCCAUUAUGGCAUUAUGAAAACGUAUAUACCAUUGUCUCGAUGACUGCUUGAGGCCAUAUAUCGAUCUCAAAAGUCGACAUACCUUUUCUUCUUGGCCUUUCACUAUGAAACCAACAGGUUGUUCCAUAUAUAUAUUUAUUCCUCUAAUUCUCCAUUGAGGAAAGCAGUCUUUACAUCCAUUUGAUGUAACUCAAGAUCCAGACUAGCCACUAUUGCCAGAAUAGUGCGAAUCGAGGUAAAUCUCACUACAGGAGAAAAUGUAUCUUCAUAAUCAAUUCAUUCCUGUUGAUUAUACCCAUUCACUACAAGGCGAGCCUUAUGCCUUUCUAUCGAGCCAUCAACCUUUCGCUUUAUUUUAAGAACCCAUUUGUUCCUAAUAGCUCUGCGUCCUUUUGGAAGAUCAACCAGUUCCCAGACUUAGUUUGAUUUCAUUGACUCCAUUUCCUCUUCCAUUGCAUUAAUCCAUUUUUCCUUACUAGGGCAAUUUAGAGCAUCAUUAAUAUUUCUUGGCUCAUCCUCAUCUUGUUAAGCAACCAUAAAAUUUUCCCCUUCAAUGUCAAAACGGGGAAUACUUUGGCGACUUGUUCGCCGUAUGGGAGAUUGUACACUAUGCACAUCAUUUCCCAUCAUGCUUCCACUUGGAUUAGGUAAUGAUGAUGUCGUCUCAUCAUGUGGUUGUAAUUGAGAAUGAGUUGAAUUCAAUUCAUCACUUCUCAUAUUACUCCCACCUCGGAUAAACUCCACUAACAUCAUUAUCCUGAUCCAAUGUUUCAAAUAGGGAGUGAUCUUCCCCUAUUUCGCCCUUCUUAGAAAAUUCAUCCUUUAAGAAUGUGACAUCUCGUGAUUCAAAUUCAGUUAUACUCCCACUUUCCUGCUCACCUAUGAACACAUACCCUUUUGAGUGUUCCGAGUAUCUUAUGAAAAUACUCUUCUUUCUUCUGGGACCUAAUUUCCCAAACUUAUGAGAGGACUCAUGUGUAUAGGCAGCACAACCCCAUGGCUUAAGAAAGCUUAAGUCCAGUUUUCUACCUGUCCAUAACUCAUAUGGAGUGGAAGUAACUGAUUUGGAAGGCACACAGUUAAGUAUAUAGGCAACAAUUAACAACGCAUCACUCCAAAAGGUAAUAGGUAAGUUAGCAUGCGCCAUCAUGGACCUAACCAUUUCCAGUAGGGUUUUGUUCCUUCUCUCCGCAACACCAUUUUGUUGAUGAGUAUACGUAAUAGACAACUGUCUUUCUAUUCCUUUUUCAUCACAUAAUUUUCUGAACUCAUCAGAUAAAUAUUCCCGACCUCGAUCGGAUCUCAAUGCUUUUAUUUUCUUGUCUAAUUGAUUAUCUACCAAGUUCAUAAACCUUUUGAAACAACUUAUUGCUUCAAAUUUAUGAGAAAUCAAAUAGACAUAUCCGAAUCGAGUAUAAUAAUCAAUAAAGGUGAUGAAAUAAACAGCCCCAUACCUUCCUUUCACAUUCAUUGGACCACAGACAUCAGAAUGGAUUAAAUGCAGAGGAAAUUCAGCUCUUUUUCCUUUUCCAAAUGGUUUCCUUGUCGUUUUCCCUUCUAGGCAAUGCUUACAUAUGGGCAAAUCGACUUUUUCAAUGUUGCCCAACAAGCCCUCUUUGGCUAGUCUAUUCAUACGCUGUUGGCCAAUGUGACCAAGUCUAGCAUGCCACACAUUCACAUCAUUAUCAUAUGUAUUAGGAGACGUGAGAAGGGAAUAACAAACAUUUGCAUUAACAUAAUCAAUAUCUAAUACAAUGAAACCAUCCAGAAAAUAACCACAACCAUAGUAAUUUGUAUCCAAAAACAAAUUCACACCUCUACUAUAGAAGUUCAUAUUAAAACAUAAUUUAACCAACACUAAUACAGACACUAAAUUCCGACGAAUCUCCGAAGCAUACAAUACAUCAUGAAGGAACAAAGUGCGUCCACCACGCAUAUUCAGUUGGCAUGUGCCAAUUCCUUUCACUUCAGCUCUGGAGUUGUUUCCCACAUAGAUCCACUUAGUUUCAGAUGGUACUCGUCGGAAUUCCACGAAGGAUCCUCUAUCCUUCGCUACAUGGUCCGUCGCUCCUGAAUCCACAGUCCACAAAGGAUUAUAUUCAGUUAAGAACACAGAACUCGACACAAAAGCAAAGUUCUGAAAAGUACAAGGGGUGCAUACCUUCUUUGGCUCACGACAGUCGCGAGCAUAGUGACCAUUCUUGUCACAGUUGUAGCAUUUCGCCCUUGCAAGCUUCUUCAUGCAAGGACGCUUUCCUCUAUUAUGUUGGUUAAACUUGGGUUUCUUCCAUGAAGGACUAGCUUCUUCCUUGCAUUUCCCUUUAUCAAACCAGUUAAGGCGCUUGCGCUUAGAGCUCGAAGCUCCAUUUGAGCUAGAACUAGCAUGAUAUAUAGUUCAGCAUCCGGCUUAGCCGCCAAGAGGCGGUCCUCUUCCAGCUCAAGAUGAUGCAUUGCAUCCUCAAAGGUUUUGAUAUUUUCAUUAUGGGUCAGGUGCACCUUCAUAUGCUCCCAACUUUGAGGCAAGGAACGAAUCAUUGCUUGCACUUACUGCUCAUCUGUGAGGACAUGGCCAGCAUCUUUCAGCUCAGUUAUCAUGUUUGACAUCUUUCUAAGAUGUUGCUUCAUGGUUUGACCAUGAGGCUUCUUGUAAGAGUCAAACCUGAUAGUGAGCUGCCUCAGUCUGGUCACCGAAGUAUGACCGAAUCUAGCUGCCAAUGCCUCCCACAUUUCCUUGGCAUUGUCAAAAUGCCUAAACUCUCGCAUGACGUCAUUUUCCAUGCUGCUCGGCAACGUGAUGCGAGCUAGAGAGUUCUUUCUUUUCCACGCAGAAAAAGCUUCCUUGUCUCUUUUGUGCUGUGCAGUGGUUCCCUCUUCAGGUUCUACCAUGGUUAGGUUAAGAGCCUCAAGUGCUUCUUGCUCUUCUAGUACAUACUGGAUUUUCAUUUGCCAAAUUUCAUAGUUGUCACCAUUGAGCUUUUCACCUUUGUUCAGCUCGGCAACUAUGCUCUUUGUGGCUGAAGCCAUUGAUCUGAACACAUCAGACAAAUAUGCACGAAUUAUUAAUGUCUAUCAUUUAUGCAUCCCUAUUUACAUAGACUCAUCAUAUUAAUGAACAAUUUCAAGUAAUGUUUUAAAAUCAAAAUGUCACUAUGUUUCCAACCAUCCUCCAAAAAUCCUAACUUAAAACUAUCAUUAAUAUGAUUGUCAUAUGCAAAAUCAAUUCUAUGAAGCUACAAAAACUUCUAAAACUACCCACAUCUAAUUACCCACAGCAACUAGCAAUAACAGAAAGCAAUAGAUAAUUGAUAUCCAAUAAAACAAUAAUGCUUUCAACUAAUACAACUAACAUAUAUGUUGUUACAACAACAACAAUCAGGUAGUUAAUAUUACAUAAGAUGUCCACAAAGCACACUUAACUGAGAUCAGCCAAUACAACUAACACCAAGUCAACACACGAACUGGGAAAGAUCCUCUUUUGUUCAAUUUCUUGAUAUUUUCCCUUGUCACAAUACAGUAAUAUUCAUUUACAAAAUCCAUUACAAUUUUCUUAUAAGAAGCAGCUCUAUUGACAUCCCAUAUGCGAUUCAACACAUCUUGCCAUUCAAGUGGAAGAGUGUUUAUGAAAAAUCGCACCAUCUCUGACUGUGGCAUAGGACGACCAUUCCAUAUUACCUUUUGAAUUUUUCCGUUGACUGCAAGGACGUGAUCAAUUAAGUCACCACUCUCCCAUCAAUGAUCAGUUAGCUCAACUAUCAACUUAGACAGUCUUUCCUUUUGUUCAUCGGUAAUUGCGCGAAUAGGUGUGCGCAACCUCAGGGGAGGCAUUGUUCAUACAACAAAUGCAGAACAAAUAAGGGAUCACAUAUAAUCCACAUAUACGUAAUUGAAAAAGAAACACAUUCUUCCCCCCCCCUUUUUUUUUUGGUCAACGGUCAACGGUCAACGGUCGUCGGUCGUCAGACCGGUCAGACCGGUCAGGCCGGGUCGGACGGACCAACCGCACAUGCCGCGCGCAUGCGCGGGCUGACGUCACGCAGAUGUCAGCCAGCACGUGCCGCACGCGUGCCAGGCGUCCGCUGGUCGGGUCGCCGGCCGGUGACCGCCCGGCCAACCGUCAUCGGUGCUAACGUCAUCGAUGACGUCAUCCCAGCGGUUACUGACCGUUGAGUGACGUCAACAUGCGUCGGUUCGCCGACCGGCGUGUGUGCCGCACGCGCUGGGCGAGCCAGCGCUUCCGGGCGCGUCGCACCCACGCGCAGCGCCUUCUGGCCGCGCAUGUGGGCGCAUGCGGCGUCGCCUGGCGGCGCACGACGUAUCCCCAGACUCAUCUCGACGUCGCAUUUCUUCCUAUGUCAUCAGAAUUCGAUUUCGACUUACGCAAACUCGGAAAAAAGGACGUACAAUGCUCGGGUGUCGGGAUUUCACGCCUCGAUUCGUACGGCCGAAAAGUUUUUUGCGAAAAAUCAAUCAAAAAACGUCAAACAGGUCGGGAAAACGUGAACUAGGGCUCUGAUACCAAUAUUGGAAAUAACGGAUCCCCAAAAAGCGGAUUCGACACUGAAUCGAACCCUUUAAAUCAAUGCGGAAGCAAAGCCCGGGAAAACAACACGUAUCACCGAUCGUAAAGCACACCACGGAUUCGAGCGUACCUUGUUAGCCACAAAUUAAACACCGACGCCGAUAGAGGAAGAGAAACUUUGUGAUGUUUGAGCUGAUGAAGCAAAAUCGCCUUUGAAGGGAAGAAAAACGCGCCGUAUGCUUUACUAUUUUUCCUUUUCUUUUUGGAGAGAGAGAGAGAGCGCGAGAGAAGACGUACGUACGUUUUUUUUAUUCCAACCGGUAUCAUCUCUCUCUCUCUCCUCCCUUUUAUACCUUCCCCCAUCCAUGGGCCCAACUUGGGCGGACGGGCCUUAAGCCCAUCUUAUAUAAAACCAUCACGAGUAAAUUAGGGCUCUAUUCUUCAAAUUCAUUCUACAUUCGAGUCUAAAAUUAGGAGUUCCUCAAACUAGCAAUUUAUUGCCCUUAAAUCUACACCUUCUAUGCUUCCCUCGCGAGCAUUGGCGAGAUUUCUGCGUGUUUGAGCUCUCAUAGAUGGAGAUGAUAUGUUGUGUUCAAGGUCUCAUGUUGAAAUUUCUUUGGGUAGAGAUAUCUUUGUAACAUUAGGUACAAUUUUCUACCAGGAAAAAGGGAGAAAUCACGGAACUUGAAAAUAAUUCGAGAAUUCCACGCCGUCAAAAAUAUGAAAAGUCACUUUUACGCCUUGUUUGCAAUAUAGUCUAGACUGUUUGAGGAAUCACUUGUAAUCUUGAUUGGUUAAGUGUUGCUGGAAGGACAAAAAUUUAUUUUCAAUUAAUGCUAAAUCUUUUCAUAGCAAGUCAAACUAUUGAAGUGUACUUAAACUAUCUCUAAAGUAGUCAUUUUUUAAGUAUAGGCUGGUCCAAGCAUUCAAGAAGAUUGAGGCAUCAUCAGCUGGUUUUUAUGAUCCCAUGUGCCCAAAGCCUCUCACUGCUCUUACAUUGGCCAACAAAUUUCAAAUGGAGCAUCCCUUUGUCAAAGAUGGUGAUGAGGCCCUCUUAUGUUUAGUUUGGCUUGGUAUGAUCCCAUGCUUACUGACCCAAACUCGCACGUCUGAAAAUCAAACAUAUGGAUGCUGUUUAUAUCUUUGCUUAUACUCUAGUAUAUAUCCAAGUUGACUUAAUGUAGUAAAUCACAUGACAUGUUAUUCUCCUUGAACUAUUCCUAAGUGUAUGUCAAAAAUCAGAUAUAUAUCUUAACAAUGGAGUAAUUGAAGGAGGGAAAAGAAUGAAAGGACAAUUAUUGUGACCUAAGUUGGUCGUUGAGGUUCGGAAACAUAACAGUUCUCCUUUUUUGUGGAUAGACGUUUAAGAAAACAAUUGCUGAGGCGAGCCUUAAGAAUUAUAAUCCAAGUCCUCUUACAUGGAGAAAAUUGACGAUGUUAUUCAAUGCUGUAAAUUUAGAUUAUAUACGUAAAUCAUCAUACAAGGGGACUAGUUGAUAAGGACAAGCAAAUUGCAAUAAUGUCAUUACCUCCAUGACUAAAGGGAAAGACCUGAAAGAUAAGGGGGUGGCUAGUUAUCAUAGUGACGAAUAAUUUUAAUGCUAAAUAGGAGAUACUGUUUUAUUUUGUUAUACAUAUCAUAUAUUUGAGGGGAAAAAAAAAAGCUUACUUUACUUUGUCAUAUAGAACCAAUAGUUUGAUAAAUCAUUAAAUUUAGCUGUGAUUGAAAGAAUUGAACAGCUUAGUCUAAAUUUUCAAUUCCAUCCAUGUUCGACUCUUAGAUGUCUUUGCUUUUUCCCUUGCGGUUGUGGUCUGCAUGGCUAAAAUGCAUGUCUGUUAAAUUUAUAUAUGACAUGGAAGGCUUCUUCUGGUUAUGUACCCUAUUGCACUCUAGGAGUGUAUAUUUUGACAUUUGACUUCAUAUUGCAUGUUGAGAUUGAUGACUUUCAUUAUAUGGUUUAUUGUUGAUUAAAACUCCUGGAACCAGCAACUACUGCCUUAAAUUCAUGCUUUGUGUGAUUUGAUUCUCUCAUAAUUGUAUGCUUUUGUUUUGGUCUUUCUUCACCAUAUGUUGGUUUUUCAACCAUGUAAACAAGGAGACUGCUCCUGCUCAAUUCAUCAGGCAACAUAUUCAGGAAAACAAGUAAAUUGCGACUCUUGGGUAUUCAGGCAGGGUGUGGACAGUGAAGCUCAAGAGCUGUAAACGUGACCAAAGGGGCAUUUUUUUUUUUGGCUGGUUGGUCCUCAUUUGCAAGAGAAAUUCGUCUGCAUGUAGGAAUGUUUGUGCGUUUGAGCUCAUUGGGAGGAUAUUGUGUUCAGAGUCUACAUUUCCACUAGUGCUGGUAAGGACUUGAUUUACUUAACAAAGAUUAACUCUAAAGGUUUCACUUUGGUUGGUCCAAAAUAAAUGCUGUACUCCUAAUAAUAUCUCCUUUUAUUUUGUCUUGAUGAAUCAAUGAAGUAUACUUAUAUUCUGAUUGGGUUUGUGAGGUUCAUAAUAAGCUAGAUGCACGCUCAUUAAUGCCACAUUCCAAAUCUAAAUGAACCAAAAAGGAUGUGCUUCACGAUGUCUUGAUUUAUGCGUUCUUGUUGUUCAAUUUGAAUUUGAAAUCAAGUGUCAUAGGCUUAUGAUAAUUUAUGGGUUUUAUUUUUCUCACAGGGAUUACCAGAGAGGUUCAUGAGAAAAUAUGGUGAGAAUCUCUCUAAAAGGAUGCUCCUGAGAGUGUCAACUGGUGCAAUUCAUUGGCAUGCAGAAUAGGAAAAAUGUGAUGAGAUGGUUUCGUUAUCAAAGGGUUGGAAUGAAUUUGCAGAGCAUCACUCUAUAUGUGAGGGCCAAAUUUUGGUCUUUGAUUUGAAUGGACUCCCUUUUCCAUGUAAUAAUAUUUGAUUAUUGCACGUCUAAGAUAGAAUACUUGCCAACAAAUGCUGAUCUGAGGAACCAAGCUUGGCAAUUGUGGAUUUGUCUUGCUGGAAGUGAAUUGCAUUCACCCAAGUGUCCUCAUCUUUGUAAGGCAAGGAAUCUCAUCAGGUGUGCAGAGUUCAUGGCCCAUGUACAAUCAUCAGCAGAGUUUGGGGAGAGAUGGCGAACUGCUCUUCAUGAGAUUUUCGAGGUGUAAAUCUUAAUCUACUACCGAAUUCUCUCCUUGAUUGUGUUGUUCUCCUGUUUGAUUUGAAUUUCAUACAGGAACUCUCCAUGUCGUUAGGCUAAUAGAGACUGUGUUAGUGCUAAUUCAUCCUUGUAGUGUUUUUUUCUGUCUUUAGCUUUUCCGUGUGUGCAUUUGUAUGUGUUGGGCGAUUUCAUAAAUGUCAAGCCAAUGGAAACAAGUGAAACUAAUAGUGUCAAUUUUGAUUGUGCUGAAAAUGAUAUUGGUGUCCACAUGCCUUAUAGGCCCUGGAAGCUAGACCACUUGAAAGACUCAGAUCUAUUGAUUUGCCGUUGCUAUGUCAGUAGAUAUGAGUUUCACUUAACAAGAAUAGGAUAUGCCUAGAGAGCAAAAGCUUUCUUCAUGUUCUGUUUGUGAUUACUGCAGGUAAGCUGAAAGAGCCAUGAUUUUGCAGAGCUCUUGAACUGGCCAGGUAUCCUUUCUUCCAAAGUGCAGUGAGGUGAAUGUAUUGGAGAAAAGCAACGUGGUAAGAUCCUCAUGACAAUGACAACUCUUGAAUUUAAAUACCAUAUAGUUGCUAGACUAUGCUAGCUCUAGGCUAAUCGUACAUCAUGUCAGGGUUUUUGUUUUUAUCCUUCACAUGUAUUGUCGUCCUUAGAAAUCAUUGGUUGUUUUAUUCUUUUUUAUGACAAAAUUGCGAAACAUCUACUUAAGCAGAUAGUUCCUGGUUCAUUGUCACAGAUACACAUCAAGAAAAGUCCGCAGACCAUGGCUCUCAUAUUUCCCGACAAAUCUUGGCUGGUGAAGCUCGUUAGUCAUGAACAUUAUGGGAAGUUAUUUUCCGGUUGGGCCACAUUAACAAGAGAAACUUCUCUGAAGGUAGGAUACAUACUUGAUUGAGCUUAUUAGAAGGGAUGGUAUCACGUUCAGAGUAUCCAUCUUCAGAAUCACUGAGAAGACUUGGGGUCAGAAUAUUAUGCAAAAGGACACAGCAAAGGAAGAAUCCUUUAGGCCAUUUUUGGUGUGAACAUAACUUCAGAAUUUUGCUAGGCUGAAAUUUGCUUCCAAUUCGGCAAAUCAGAUAAAGAGCGUGAGUUUUGUUCUAAUGAAUGGAAUGGUCCUGAAUGUGGAUGAUACCUUCCCUUGAUCUUAGUGUUAGGGCCUGUUUAGCAACGUGCCAAACAGUGCCAGAUUCUGAUUUUUUGUUCCCAGAAUCAGUUUGGGACGAGAAUCGCGUUUGGUAAAAUUUUUGUUCCCGGGAACAAUUUUGGACAAGAUUUGAGAAUAAAAAAAAAUUUUGAUUCUCUGUCCGAGAAUCAAAAAAAGAAUCAAAACGGUAAAACCCUCGCUCUCCCCUUUCGUCAUCCCGGUUGCCGUCCGCCAUCGCCCGCCGCCGUCCGCCACCACCCGCCGCCACCCUUCCUUCUCGGUCGCCGGUCCAGCGAGGUCGUCGGAGGCUCGCCAGGCCAAGGCGAGGUCCAGCGAGCUCGCCGGAGGCAAGCCCAACCACCGGCGAGGCUGGGCGAGGCUCGGCCUCGCCAGAUCGGGCGAGGUCGAGCCUUGCCGAUGGCUGGGCGAGCCUCGCCCAGCUGCCGAUGAGGCUCACCUGGCCACCGGCGAGGCUCGGCCGACGAAGGCCGACCUCGCCAAGGGCUGGCGAUGCUCCGGUGAGCGUCGCCGGCCCUCGUCUGGCUGGUCGCCGGUCUGGCGACCAACCAAAUGAAGAAGAAGAAGAAGAAGAAGAAGAAGAAGAAGAAGAAGAAGAAGAAGAAGAAGAAGAAGAAUAGGAAAACGGAGAAAAAAAGAAAAAAAAAAGGAAAAAAGAAAAGUAAAAAAAAAUUAUUUAAAAUUUAUUUAAAAAUCAAAAGAAAUUAAUUUGGAACAGAAUCAAUUAACACGGUAUCAAACGCAAUUCUAUUCCAGAAUAAAAACUUUUGGACAGUUACCAAACGCACUUUUUUACUCAGAAUCAGUUCCCGGGAACAUAAUCAAAAAUAAUCAUUUCUAGUCAGAAUCAGCUCCCGGUAACAGAAUCGUUGCCAAACGCGCCCUUAGCUGUCAUCAUGUGGGCACGAGUCAUGAGAUGGAGGAAGCUGAUUGCCAAUGUCAAAUUAAGUGCUUCUUCAAUGUUUCUAGUGGCUCAACCUGACAUUUGGAGCUGUAAAGUGUAGUAACAUCGAAUGCACUUCCCUUCAGCCAUAUUACCAACUCUGAAUUUCAAGGCACAACCCAUGGUUUUACAAAGUUUAAUGUGGACAUACAUUAGAUUCUUUUCAUUUUCUCCUUUCGAAUUCAUGAAGAUUCUAUAAUGAGCCUUUUUUUCCAUGUGGGCUGCGCAAAUUGAAGUUUCUGAGUUUCUUCUCAUGUGGAGCAUUUUAGAACUUAUUUUGUCAAAUGAACUGAGUCUUGAAAUGCGUGUCAAAGCAAUUUGGAAUGAAACAACCUGGUAAGGGGGACCAGCAAAUGACAUACGUCGGCAUCGUCUGAAUGUCACAAGGAACCGGCUAUCUGCAGGUAUUUCUUGAAGCAGCAACGUUCAUCAAGGAGAGUUCGGAGUUCGGCCUGAAUGACUUUUGCUUGAGAAAGAGACCAUGGGUCCUGACUCCUGAGCUUCAUCAACUCAUUCCAAAUAUGUUGGUCGAUUUUUGCUUUGUUAUGCUCUCUUCCACUUCAUCGCGUCCUUCGGAUUCCGUUGCCGUUGUUUAGGCCCACGUGCAAAGGGGAUGUUUGGAUAUGAUAUGCCGAUUCGAAGGAUGAGAUUUCUCGAUUCCACUCUCGGUCUUCCUGCUGGUGCGGUGUACCAGCAUUGACGUGGAUGUUGGUCCGUCAGCUGACAAUUAUGUGGGCAACUAUUAAUAAUAUUUUAUUUUAUUUUAUUUUUUGAUUUUUUAUUAAUUUUUUACUUCAUCGACCAAUGCAAUCGGAGGCCAAUUGAGUCAUCAUCGUUUGAGACUACAAGCCAAGGGCGUGAAGAUUGGCGGCGAGCUUGAAGAGAAAACAAUGAGAGAAUGCAGUGCAAAGCAAAGCCCGUGGAGAUGAUGGCCAAUCGUGUUCAUUUACAAAGGGAAAUUUCCACUUUUAUCUCUCGCAAUUUCAACUCCAUAAAAACAUUUUAAUUUUUCCUUAAGUCUUUCAAUUUGAGAUUUCUAUGUAAGUUCUUUCUUAUUGGAAAGCAAAUUGAACUAAGUUCAUUUCCAAUUAUCGAGAUGUCAUCCAUGUAAAUUAACAUCAUGAUAAAUGAAUUUCUUCUCCUAUUUACGGAGUAAAUCCUAACUUAAACAAUGUCUCGGAUAAAUGCACAUAAGACCUUUCAAUAGUUUAUCUGCACUUUUUGCCUUAACUAGUCCUACAGAUUUUAUCAUACAUUUGUUGACAAAUAUGACAUGAGUACUCACAGGUUGCACAGUCUUUACCACCAUAUCAAGGUUGAGCAUACGAAUGACAAGAGUCAUGACACCAUUUGACAAAUGACAUCCUAUUCCGACAAAGUCGGCCAUACUAAGGGUUCAAUAAGUUGAGAACAAAUCAAAUUUAUGUAAUAUCAUUUUGUGGUUUUAGGAUUGAAUCGUAUCUACAUACUAAUCUAGUUCGAGCAUUUCAUCAAACAAGUAAUAUGCAUUUUGAUCAAGGAGCUCAUACGCAAAUGUACGGCAACGAUUGACUUUUAGAUCAUCACGAAAAUAACAGUACAAGUUCUAGUUGCUAAUAGAGCUUCAAUCUCAACUGAUUUACUCACAGACAUUAGCUAAAGCUAACAGGCUCUGUUUCGUUCAUGAGCGGCAGAAACAGAGUGUGUGGGAUUUACCUUGAUGACAUUUAAGUUUUUAACCUCGGACGGUGAUCAGAUCAUUGACAAAGUUCCCAGUGGUGUCAACGCCGAUGAUCGAGGCCAGCGAAAGGGGAACAACCAAGGUUCGUGAACUUGCGAGCGUCCUGACCAGAAAACAGAGCAAAAAGAGAGUUGGCCUGACUACAACGAAACCGGCAAUGGCGGAGCGGCUACAGGGGUGGCUAACGGUGACUGAAGGACGACGGAGAAGGAGAGCCGAUCAAGAAGCCUCAAGAAUUCUCGAGAAAGAGAGUUUCUUCGUCAGGUUCAGCGUAUGCAUACUGUUGUGUUAUCGCUGAGCCUGUGGUGGCCGUCAACGGUGGCUCAACCGUGGCUGGUUUGGCGAUUGGAGAUGGCGGACGGUGGAUUUCUGGUGUCGAUUAGUAAUGGAGAAUCUUCUGGAACUCGACUGAUCGAGAGGGAGACGGAGAGGGAGAGGGAGAGACUGUGGAUUGAGGGCUGCGGUGAGGGAAAUUGUCUGGGCCGAGGUUUACUCCGAUGGGCCUGGCAUGAUCUGGGCUACGAUUGUGGAUCAGACCCAAUAGAUUGGACCAGGCCCUCUCAAUUCUGACCGAGUGGGAGCUUUUUUAUUGCUUUUUUUUUUUAAUUUUCUUUAUUAUCUUAUAUACCUUUACAAAAAAGCAUGUUCAACUUGCUGGCAAAAGAAUAACUUCACAACCGACUCUGCCAUAAUUCCUUAUCUGUGCAAUAUUGCAACAUUAUUCAGUGAGGAUAGUUAUCACACCUAGCUCUAUAAUCCUUGAUUUGAAUUUGAGCAUUGAUGGCAUGGUUGCACUCAUGCUUGAGUUGAUUUCUUGCAAAAUCAAUUAGGUCAAUAGCCCGUUGCACACUCCCUGACCAAAGCAAUUGGCAUGCCAAAUGUGGCUUCGUUAGAAUAGGCAAACCCCUCAAGUUUAGUAAUAAACCUCGUAUCGAGACAUAAUCCAAAACUUGUGAGUAAGUUUUCAAUUUGCGGUUCUCCAUUGCAAGACUUUCGGGACACUUGUAUGAUACUCAAAUUACAUAAAUUGCCCAUGACCAUAAGUGUAAUUCUAUGUGAUGUAGUUCUUUGAUUCACUUUUGUUUAUACUAUAGAGAAACACACCACGUCAUUGGAAUUUGGCUAUAAAAAGUACUCAUUCUCAUAAGACACUCCAUCACUUUUGAUUGAACGUGAAUUUGCAUGGCUUUCAUUGUUUCCAAAUUUGAGCGUCUUCCAUUUCAUGAAUAGGCGAAUUUCGCAUUUGUCAUUAAAGACAAAUUUCAUGACGUCCUUGCAAACCCCCAAUCUCAUUACCUUGUAUAAAUUGGAAUCUUCUUGUUGAAUGUCUUAUUUCUAUCUGUUUAUUUCCUAAAAUUCGCAGGAGCUAUAAUUGCAUAAUAUAUUGUAUCCCCAUAAAUUUAAUUUGUGUAAAAUUUCCAAGACCCUCCUCAUGUUUGUUGCCCAGUUCACACACCACUUUGCAUGCUCUUGAUAUUUAAAAUUCCCACUUCGCAUCUUAAGAUUGACUAAAAAGACCGAAUCACCCUUCAAUUAAUGUACAUAAAUUCAAUCGGGGCGAGAAAAGCGGAAGGGCAUUUUUUAAAAGAAAAAUGACGGUCUAAUUUUAAACUCUAAUAAAUAAAUUCUAAAUGAUGCACAAUUAAUUGAGUUUCAUGCAAGUUAUAUCACCCUUUUUUUUUUUUUAAGAAAACACACCUCGGAGAAUGUCUCCAUCAAAUAAUACCCAGACAAACCUCAUGAAUUAGAUAAUAUAGGCGAGAACCCUAAUGAAUUAACCCAAGCAAAAGGUGACUUGCAAUUGUUGGUGUGAAAAAACUGAUUCAUGUGAGUUUCCUAUGGUACUAAGCUUAAGAAAUUUCUAUGUGCACAUUAACACUACAUUUGUUUCACGGAAAACAAGUUCUGAGGAAACGUUUUCCGAAUUUUCCGACAUUCGUUUCAUAGAAAAUAAGUUGAUUGGAGAAUACAUUUUCCGUCAACAAAAAAAAAAAAAAACUUCUUCAAAAGUGGGGAAAAUGUUUUCUCUUUUCUUUCAUCCCCUUUCUUUCACUUCUAAACCAAACGCUUUUUUUCACCAAACACAUUUUCCUUUUAUUUUUAUUAUUUUAUCUUAAAAUAAUUCGAAUUUUUAAUUAUUUAAAAAAAAUCCUUCUUCUUCGUACUCUCCUCAUGUCCGCGCACGGUUGGCAUGUAUCCGCACACCGCUGCAUGCACCGUGGCCGAAGCACUCGGCCACGGUGGGAAGAAGCAUGCGUAGUAGUCGAACCCCUUUUCCGCGACAGUGGACCUCAGAUCGCACAGGAUGGCGUAGAAUGCCACAGCAUAAUUGUCCUGAUCAGAGUACUGCUCUCCACUGCAUACCUCGUCCACAAAAGUCAAGCGUCCGAGUAGCAGAGCAUCGACGCUCACGAGGCGCGUGCAUUCGGGAAGAGGAACACACGAACGGGAGCCUCAGCAGAAAAUUCUCUAUCGGAUCAACCCCAUUUCCAGACGCUACUCCACCUUCGCUCUCUCUCCGUCGCCUCAGUCCACCGGUUGCUACCGUCGCUGAUCCUCCAUCGCCAGCCAGAACUCUUAUGCACUCGGCACAAAUCACACACGGUGGGGAGGCUCAGAGGUUUCUGAACGUCCAGAGAGUUAUGUCUCUCGGCUUCUUGCUUCGUAUGGUGACCUUCAACAAACCUCCCGGCACCGUUAGCAUCAUCUCCGAUCAUUGCUCCACCAGCAGGCCGUAGCUCUGUUAGCACCUGUUUUCCAGUGAGUUUGCUCGGACUGCUCUGAACUUGUUCGUUUCUCCUUCGCUGGCUCCGAUCCUCAGCAUCAUUGUCUCAGACAACCUCUUCCUCUCAUCCGAUAGUCCUUCGUGCAUCGGAUAAAAUAAAAACUAUAAUCUUCUUCUUCGUUCUUAGUUUCAUGAAGAGAGACUUAGGCAUUUUUGUGUGAUUUUUAUUGUCAAAUUCACUGCUGGCGUGUCCACGCUACAAGUGCUUUGUAUGAUCAUCGCUGAAGUGUUCACCGUGAAGUGUUCACAAUAACAAACUGAAUCACAAAUCAACAUUCACUGCAAUGCAUGUUUGUCUGUUAGAUGGUCGAUACUUGUUUAGUUCUUCCUGCAAAAUGUCUUGCAAAGAUGACUCCGUCUACAUCUAUGUUACUUUGAGAUCGCCAAGUGUAGGUUGCUCUCUUUGGCGGUUUCCGGAGUAAUGUUCCAUAAACUGUACAAUCUGUUCUACUGGGAGAAGAAAGAAAUUCUCAGCAUUAUCUCCCGAAUGCUGAAAAUAUAUUUUCUGCAUUCUGUUAUGUCAUUCUUCGUUUUAAAUUCGAAAUCAAGUUCCGUAGGCUUAUUAAAAUCAUGGGUUUUAUUUUUUCAUGGGGAACUUCAAAGAGGUUCAUGAGAAAAUAUGAUCAGAAUUUCUGAGAGUGUCCAACGGUGCAAUUAUUUGGCCUAUGGAAUUGGGAAAAUUGCGACGAAAGUUAGAAUGAAUCCAUGAAAUCGUACUUGAUAAAAGCUUGUCCAAGAUAGAAUAUCCGCGAUUGACAGCGAAUGCCAAUGGUGAGGAACAGAGCCAUGGCUAUUGUGGAUUUGUCUCAAUGAAAGUGGAAGACGUCGGCGACGGCCAUGAUGUUUUGGUCUGAGCUUGAAGUCUUGGGGGAUGAAUUUCAUUCACCUAAGCAUCCUCAGCUUUGUGAGUUUGUGAAGUUCAUGGCAGUUCCCAUUCGCGUUAAUUUUAGCAGAGAGUUUGGGGAGAGACAGAUGCUCGAACUGCUGGUCACAAGAUUUUCGAGGUGCGAGUUAAUCCACGAGCUAAACCUCCCCAUGCGACGGACUGUGCUGUUCUCUUGUUUGAUUCAAAUUCCGUACAGAAUUUGUAUGUGUUGGGGAGAUCUCGGAAAUGUCAAGCUAAUGGAAACAAACUGAAUCGGUCAUAUAGGAUAUGAUUGUGCUGGAAAAUGGCGUUGGUGUUGUGCUUAUAGGUCUCCAAAGCUAGACCAUUAAAAAGAUUCGAUCUAUCGUUUUUAGGUCGCUACGCCGGUAGAUACCAGUUGCACAUAACAAGAUAUGCCUAGAGAUUGAAAGCUUUCUUCUCUUGCUUUGUUUGCAAUCAAUGCAGGUAAAGCUGAAAGAGCAAGGUGCGUGCAUAGCCCUCAAACUGGCAAGCAAUUUAAAUCCAAGUAUUCUAUCUUGCAACUUGCGGUUUGGCAAAUAUAUCUGAAGAAAACAAUGUGGUCAAAUCCUCAUGGCCAUAUGACAGCUCUUGGAUUUAAAUCGGAUAAUUGAAACAUAGUAAAUGAAAACAUCACCUAAUAAACCAAGCUUAUAAUCAAGGGAGAAAGUAAGUAAAUAUGGAAAUUAAAGUCCGAGAAUUCAACUCAAUACAAUGUUGGUUAAAGAAUAUAUAUUGUCUCAUUAUCAAGCCUCGGGACAAAAAAUCUCAUAAGUUAAGUCUGGAAAUUAAAACCAAGCCUAAUGAAGAUAUAUGUCGAAGUGACCCCAGAGUGUAUCCUAAUAUUAAAGCAAAAGGAAUUUUUUAAAAUCAUUUAUUUUCAUUUUUUUUUAUUUUCUUUAUCCAUUUCAUCUAAGAAAAACACAAUGUAAAAUUUCAAUUUAUUUCAAGAUUCAAGAAAUAUGACCUCCCUAAAUCCGAAGAACAUGGAUAAAAUGAAAUUCAAAUAAAAUCAUUCUUAAAACGUAAUCGCCCAAUUGAGACUUGCGUUUUUCUACAAUUUUUAUUUUUAUUUUUAUUUUUAAUUAGUGAAAACAAAACAGGAGAAUUUAUCCGGACACAAAUGUGCCCCAAAUAUAUCCACUCCAGCUUUUUGACUCACGAACAUUAUUAGCUAAAGCUCAUGGGCUCUGUUUUUAGUUCAUAAGCGGCAGAAAUAGAGUGUGUGUAAACCUUGAUGAGAGUGAGGCUUUGACCUCGAUCAGUGAUCAGAUCAGAGACGAAGUCCCUCGAGGUGUCGACAUCAACGAUCGAGGCCGGCGAAGGGGGAGCGACCAAGGGUCCGUGCUCUUUCGGCCGUCCUGACCAGAAAACAGAGCAGAACGAGAGGAGGCCUUGCUGCAAUGAAAUCGGCGAUGGCGGAGUGGCUACAGUGGCGGCUAACAGUGUCUGGAGGACUAUGGAGAAGCGAAAACUGAUGAAGAAGCCUCUAGAAUGCCUAUAUGUGAUGUGCACAAAGAUGAAAUCGUUGUGGGCCUCGAUUCCCUUCUUCCUUCAUGAGCGCACAUAAAGAUAUUGGUUGCAUUUAACGUUUGGCUUAAUGGAUCAGAUGAUACCACUGCCAAGGUUAGCAUUUUCAUACGAGUUGAGGUCCUUUCUUCCGGAUAUUCAUUCUAUUUAGACUGGCCUCUUUGUAAAGUUUCAUCCAUGAGUGUUGCGUUUAUCUAAUCAAUCUCGUGAUUGCACUAAAGAUUAAUUUGUCCCUAUCACUCGUCCUUCUCCCAUUAGAGAUCGAUAUGUGAUCUUAAAUACUGAAAACUCUCUCAUGUGGCUCAUUGAUAUUUAAUUUCUUCAACUUGCUCACGAUCUAGAAAAGACAUAUAGAAAAAGUGAAGACAAAAUAUUAGGUCCCCAACUUUACAUCUGCCUUACAAAUGUUCCUCGGCUAGAUACAAUACAAGAUGGAUUCACUCCUAUGGAACAUAAUUGCAAUGUAUGCAAUUAUGUCCUUUGAUUCGUUGGAUUCGUAUUAUUCAAUUAUGUCCUUUAAUUUGUUGGAUUGGUGCAAUUCAUAAUCUUUUUCUUGUUUGCAUCUCUUCCUUACAUAGCAUAUUCACAGAUGAUUUGGUUAUCGACUCAAAAGUCUCUGCUUACUCCAACAAAUCAAUUAUCGUACUCACAUGAUUUUGGAUUCUCAUUAUAUUAAAAAACAACAAUAUGACAAAAAAAGACAGUGAAUAAUUUGUAUCUCAUAUAUUUUCUUUUUGUCCUUUUUUGUUGGCCUCUGAAUGCGUAUUGUACUACAUAUUACAUAAUUUCGUUGUGGUUGUGUCCUACGUACGUAUAAUAUAUGCCUUUCAUGAAAAAAGUGCACUAGUCGGGUCCCUUCAUUGAUGCUUCUAAUUUUCAAUUGACUGCAAAUUAUAUGUGGUCUAGCGCGAAUGGGUUGAAGGGCCGAGGCUUAUUUUGAUGGGCUUGGUACGGUCUGGGCUGCACUUGUGGAUCGGGCACAACAGACGGGCCUGGCCCUGUCAAUUCUGACUGAAUUGGACCUUUUUAAUUACUUUAUUUUCUUUCCUCGUUUUUUGUUUGGGUUUUUACUUAUUUUUUACUAUUUUUCAUAUCAUAUUUUUAUAUUUAUUUUUACCAUAGUGCGUGUUCGACUUCCUGGCAAAAAUUCAAGUGUCAAUAGAGGCAACAUUCCAUCAUCUGGCCAAAGAUUUACUUCACAUUGAACUCUACAACUAUCUUUUAUUUGCGCAAUAUUCAUUCAGUGAAAGAAAAGUCCUCAUACUUAACUCUAUAAUCCUUGAGUUGAAUUUCAGUGUGAUAAUGUCGCUGCGCUUGUGCUUGAGUUGAUUUCACAUAGAAUUGAUGCAUUGUGUAUGGCUUGGGCCUUGAAGCACAUCAUUACUGCUCCACCCAUGCAGCACACUGCGGUGGAAUCAUUGUACAUGCUAUAGUAGUUGUACUCAUGCUAGCCAUCUUAGUGCCCAAGUCCUUUAGGAUGAUUUUCACUAUAGUUGCGUACGGAACCAAAGGGAAAUACUGUCGCUUGCUAUAGAUUAUCUUUGACACAGUCGUGUCUACUACAUAGCUCAUUGUGGUGCACAAAAAGAAAGAGCUAGUGAUGCAUACGAUUCCUUGAAAUGCUAUCAUGAUAUUUAUAUAGGUGAUCUGUGUAUUUUCAAGAUUGCUACUUUAUUCAUAUAGUAUUAAUUAUCUUGUGGAUCCAUCCAGGUCUUACAAAGUAAAAGCGUUAUUGCAUAGAUCGAUGUCACUUAGUUAAUAUAACAUGUAGGCAACAUAUGAGCUGGGUAUAACCACAAUGAGUUCACGUCUAGCAUGUGGAAUUGCGAUGAGCAUUUGACAUUAGUGCUGGUGAGAGUUUUAGAGAGCUGGUAUUGAAAGGGGCUAACUCGGAAAGCUAGGGAGUGGCAUAACUUUUUCCCCCUUUGAAAUAUGAAUUGAUCUUUUGUUUACAAGUCCUAAGUUACUCGGUGAAAUCGUAGUACUUAUACAUGAUUCUGCAAUCUUGAAUUGUGCUCCGGCGGUACGUGGACGAACUUUUGUUAUUUGCUUCGGGGUGAUAUUCAUGCAGCCGACACGGUCCGAUUGGGUCAACGCCCGACUACACACUCGAUGGCCAAAGGAAUCCACAUCACCAAAUGGCUUAGCCAGGAUAGUUGGACCCCUCAGUUUCGGUAGUAAGCCUCGUAUCAAUUGAGACAUAGUCCAAAACGCUCACUUAAGUUGUCAAUUUAUGGUGCUUCUCUCCACUACAAAUCUUUUAGAUAAACGAGAUGUCGGAUCACUUAUAGUGCUCAAGCUAUACAAAAUCCCCACGAAUGUAAGUGCGAUUCUUUCUAAUGUAGACAUCUAGCAUAUGUGGUUCAGUGCGAUUCUUUCUAAUGUAGACAUCUAGCAUAUGUGGUUCUUUCAUUCACUUCUGUUUAGAAACGCAAGAUUGGAAUCCAACCAUAGAAAGGACUCGUUCUAAUAGGGCACUCCCUCAUUUGUUAUUGGGUUAGGUAGCUGAUCUCUUAGUCAUUAAUCACGUCAAAUGAAUCUUUGCUUUAAUCAAACUUUAGAGCAAUUCCAACUAAUCGUCCAGCCAUUAUUAUGACAUAGGCAAGAUUAGAGCAAUUCCAACUAAUCGUCCAGCCAUUAUUAUGACAUAGGCAAAAAUAACUUGGUGAUUCUCCAUCAGUCUUGGAAUCUUGACUAAAUGCGAAUCUUCAUUGUUUUCAUUACUUCAAGGUUUGUCAUACAAGACAAAUAUUCUUGACAUCCCUAUAAUGCAACCCCUCAUCUCAUAGCCUUGUAUAAAGUAGAAUCCACAUAUAUAUAUACACAAACAAGAAUGUCUUUUUCAUAUUUGCUUAUUUCCUAAAAUUCACAGGGUAUAAUUGAAUCAAAUAUUAUAUUUCCCUUAAAUUUAAUCCAAAUAAAAUUUUCCAAUACCAUAAUGAUUGGUUCGCAGUUCCCACACCACUUUACAUGCUAGAUGUUUGAAAUUCCUAGUUUGCAUCUUAAAUUAACUUGAAAGACAGAAUCACCAUUCAAUGGUGAACAAAACUUAAGCUGGCGUCAGAAAAGUGAAGGAGCAUUUUUUCAAAAAAAAAAUGAAAACAUAGUCUAAUUUAAACUCUACUGAACAAUAAAGAAUUCUGGAUGAUGCGUGACUAAUCGGGAUUCAUGCAAGCUAUAUUGUUUUUAUUUUCUUUCUAAGGAAACUUUUAUGUUAAUGGAAUUCAUGCAACUAUUGUGCAACCUAGGAAAUUUCUAUGUGCGCACUAAGCGACAAAGAUCCUUUGCCACGGUUUGUGUUCGCGUCAUGCCAUCAGCUCGGGGCUCUGUCUAGCUCGCACUAUCGCUUACUCAGUUCUGCACCACUGUUGACAUCUCGUCGCAUCUAACCAUCUCAGUUGAGAUUUUCCGAGAUUCGACGAGGAUGAAGAACAGAUCUGGGAGAAGGGCAUUCAAAUCGCAUGGCAAUUAAGAACUAAGACGUUGGCAGCAGGAACGCAGAGCUUGAUGCGUGGCGUAGAGCCCCGUCGGGAUCCACAAACACAGCACCGCCACAAGUUCAUGGUCAGCGCGUCGAGGAGAGAGAGAAGAUCGAGGGCCAGCAAAGAUAGAGAAAGAGCGAUGGAGCUUCUGUGUCCCUGGUGACGGUGGCUGGUUUCAGAGGCUAUCGUGGUUGGGCUAGGCAUGCGAGGAAAGUUGCGACGAGAGAAAGAGAGAGGAUUUCUGAUAUAUUUUGCUCAUUUACGGUCAGAAACCAAGUGAGGAUCUUCUUCAUGGAGCACAGUUCGUAGCAGAUGAUCUCCAUUCCUCCUUGUAUAUGCCAUUUUUGUCGACCUAAACUAGUAGUUCUAUAUCAAGUAUUAUAAAUUCUCUUUUUAUUCUUUUAAAAUAUUAACAUUUUAGAUGUGAUUAUCGACUUAAUUGGACUGGCAGUUUCGUGCUCUAGGGAGAGAACCAUCCAAAGCUGUUCAUAAACCGCAAUCCAUCACUAAAUAUGAAAAUCUCUUAAUUAUAAUGAAAUAAAACUUAAUAAUAAGAAAUCUAGUUGGCUUUAUCAUUUGAGGAUUUUCCCUUGUACUAUACUAGCGAAGGAGUACACACAUCUGCACAUUUGCGAAAAGAGAAUUGAAAUGGUUGUGAUAGUACAAAUUUAAAAGUAACAUAUUUGACGAAAUUAUACACAUACACCAUCUGUGUAAAAAAGUUGUGCAUGGAUGUCGCAUACACUAUUAAUUUGAGAGUGGUAUGUGCACUAUUUUUCGAUAUGUUUAUGUGAUUAGUUGAUAGUUGUUUAGAUUUUUUAAGUUAUGAUUUCGUUCUUUCUGUGAUGCCAUUUUCCAUGUUAAAUUUUAACAAUAGAUAUAGGCAUUUCAUGAAAUUCUUUUAUGAAAGUUUGAGAUUGAAAUCCAUCCUCUUCGAAUAUGAUUAUUUUCUAUUUUGUCUGUACUUGUCAACAUCUAACACUACCAAUUUCGAGUGGGGUCACACCCAAACGUCAUCAGAUCCAAUUGAUCUAUUCUUGUGGAUAAUUAAAUGAUUCAAACAUAGACAAAGAUCAGUAGCACCAGCAACUCCAUUCAUCCUCAUUCAUAUCACAUUGCAAUGAUUUCUCAUUGAAGUAUUGUUUUUCUUAGAUGUGACAACUAAUGAUAUUAGAUAUUUUCCGACAAAAGCUUAUGUUAUUCUGUAAAUGAAUAUUGAGAUAUACCACAAAUAUAUAUCUGUAUGUAUCUCAACAAUCACUUUUUUUUAUAAGAAAAUACAUCUCGGCGAACGGCUUCAUCAGAAAGUACCCAAAUGGCCUCAUGCUACAGGUAAGAUAUAGGCGAGAACCCCUCAUGAAUGACCCAAGAAAAAUAAGAUUACUUGCAUUUACUAGCAUCGAAAAAUAGGAUCAUGUUGUGCCCAUCGACUAGAAUCUAAAGCCAAUCGAACAAUCUAUGUUUAUAAUGAGUCGCCACCGAACAAUCUAUGUUUAUAAUGAGUCGCCACCCUGCUAAACCACAUAAAUUUUUAUGUGCACUCUCAGAUAUACAGAUCUUUUGAUCCGGUUUGUAUUCUCAUCACCCAUUCCAAUCAAUUGAUACGCGCUCAGUUCUCUCUCUCUCUCUCUCUCUCUCUCUCUCUGCACGCACCGCAUCUGGCCAUCUCAGUUGAGAUAUCCUGAGAUACGACAAGAAUAAACAGAUCUGGAAGAAGGGCCUCCAAAUCUGUCACUAUCAACGACUAAUCUGUUGGCAACGAUGUGAUAGAGCUCGACAAAUUGUGCGGAGCUCCGUCCCGAUCUCCGUCCCGAUCGACAGACUCGACCUUGCCAUGAGUUCAAGGUUGGUGCAUUGGGGAGAGAGAGAGAGAGAGAGAGGAUCAAGUGGUCAAAGAAGCUAGGGAUGGUGCCAUGGAGUUCUCUAUCUCAGAUGGCUGGAGUCAGUGGUUGUCAAAGUUGGGUCGGACGUGCUAGAAGUUGAAAAGGUGCACGGAGAGAGAGAGAGAGAGAGAGAAUUUUUGAGAGGUUUUUCUCAUGUACGGUUAAAUACCAAAUAAAAUGGAAACAUAUUGCUAGCUCUUAAUUGAGGCAAAAAAUCACAGAACGAUUCUUGGCACGGUAUCUCCAUUUCUCUGUGUAUGCCAUUUUCAUUGACCUAAACAAAUAAUUCUAGGGAAAAUGACAGAUAGUCUUUGAAUUUUGGCACUAUGUGUAACGUGGUCCUUAAACUUUUAUAUUUAUUUAAUACAGUUCCUGAACUUUAAUUCAAUAGACAAUCGGUCCCUGAACUUUUGAUUUUUUUUAAUACAAUCUUUGAAAUUUUGGUACAAGUUCAAUUUAGUUUCUGAACUAUAUAUUAUUCUUGAUUUUAAAUUAAUGAAAGGAUUACAUUAAACAUUUUCAUAUAGUUUAAGGACUAUAUUGAAUAUGUACCAAAAUUUAGACAUUACAUUGUACAAAUUAAAAAUUUAGGGACACCUUACCAAAAAAAAAAUUAAAAAUUUAGGGACUAAAUUAAAUAUUAAGUUAAUGUUCAAGGACCACAUUGCACAUAGGGUCAAAGUUUAUGGACUAUUUGUAUCAUUACCCUAUAAUUCUAAUAUCAAAUAUUGUGGAUUUUCUUUUUAUUUUUUCUGAAAAUGGUAUUGUUUUCAGAAGCCCCUAAAGUUCUUUAUAAACCGUAGUCCACUACUAAAUAUAAGAUCAUUUCAACAAUGACGAAAUAAGACACUUUAAUAGGAAAUCUAGUUGGCUUUAUCAUUUGGGGAUCUUCUUUUGUACUAUACUGGCGAAGGAGCACACAUGCCUGCGUGUUACAAGAAGAGAAUUGAAAUGUGUCCGAAGAGGGGUAAAUGUCGAAAGAGAUGAAUUUAUUUAUUGACUUAAAUUAUAUUCGAAAAUUAUAUAUUUGGCAUAAUUAUAGCAUACACCAUCCUUGUAAUAUAUUAUCAAUUUAAGAGAGUAAGUAUUUAUGAUCUUUAAAUCAUAGGUAUGAGAUCGCUUGUAUCAAUUUUCUUUACAUUGAUGGUGUAUGCUUUAUUUUUUCGGUAUGUUCAUGCGGAUAGUUGACAAUUAUCUUGAUUUUUAUGGUCACGAUUUCGUCCACUCUGUUGGACCAUAUUCCCACAGUACAUUUUAACGACAGAUAUAGGAAUUUCAUGAAGUUUCUUAACAAAGCUUAAGAUUGAAAGCCAUCUUCUUCAAAUUUAACUAUUUUUUUCUUUUUAAUAUAGAUUAGCUUUGGAUUUGUCAAGAUAUAAUGCUACCAAUUUUGAUGGGCUCAAACCCAAACAUUGCCGGAUCAAAUUGAUCCAUUCUUAUUGAUUAUUAAGGGGGUGCAUGACAACCAAAAAUUUAUGUUCCAGAAAUAGUUUUUCUGUUCCAGACCUAUUUCUGGAAGAGAAAUCCGUUUGAUAAACCUAAUCAGUUUUUUUAUUUCUAGAAUAGAUUUCUAUUCCAGAAAUAGGUUUAGAAGAGAAAUCAGAAGUUAAAAUUUUCUACUUCUGAUUUUUUGAAAAGAAAUCAAAAAUAAUUUCUCUCACUAAACCCUAAUUUCGGUGAGUCCUCCCUCAUCUCCUCUAUGUCUCUGCCUCCUGCUCCUCCUCCACCUCUCCUCAUUUUAUUAAAAAUAAAAAUAAAUAUAUUCAUUUAAAAUAAAUAAAUUAUUUUUAUUUAUCAUUUUAUUUUCAGUUUAUUAAAAAUAAAUUUAUUUAAUUUAUUAAAAAUAAUUUAUUUAUGAUAAAUAAAAAAAAUUAUUUUUAUUAAAAAUAAGUUUAUUUUUAUUUGCUUUGAGUGUUUUGCUAAAUAAUUUUUUUUAUUUUUUAUUUUUAUUCAUUUUAAAAUAACUUUAUUCGUAAAAUAAAAUAAAAUAGAAUAAAUAAAAUAAAUUUAUUAAAUUUAUUAAAAAUAAUUUAUUUAUGAUAAAAAUAAUAAAUUUUUAUUUAUUAAAAAUAAAUUUAGUAAAUUUAUUUUUAUUUGCCUUGAGUGUUUUGCCAAAUAAAUUUUUUUUAUUCAUUUUAAAAUAAAUUUUUUCGUAAAAGAAAGUAAAAUAGAAUAAAUAAAAUAAAUUUAUUAAAUUUAUUAAAAAUAAGAUAUUUAUGAUAAAUAAAAAUAAAUUAUUUUUAUUUGCCUUGAGUGUUUUGCCAAAUAAAAUAUUUUUAUUUUUUUAUGAUUUAUUUUAUUUUUUAUUUUAUUUUUUUGUUACUAAAUCAUUUUUAUUUUUAUUUUUAUAUUAAAGGUCGUCGGUUGUCGCCGCCGCCGUCUGGAAAGAAGAAAUUUUGUGUUGUUAUCAAACGAAUUUCUAUUUUUAGAGUAGAAAUUUUGUGUCGUUAUCAAACGGUUAUUUUUGCUUAGAAACUCUUCUAAAAAUAGAAAUAGAAAAAUAUAUUUCUGUUCCAGAAACUAUUUCUGGAACAGAAUGAUUGUCAUGCGCGCCCUAACUAGUUUGAAUAUAUACAGGCCACUCAUUCCAUAUUCAUAUCACAUUGUGACGAGAUUUUUUAGAUCAUCGAUUUUCUAAGAUGUGACAUAUUAUGAUAAUGGAUCAUUUCCAAUAAAAAUUUAGGUUAUUCCGUGAACGAAUAUUGCUCAUACCUAAGCCUACAAUUGCAAAGUUGAAGUUGAGCAUCGACACUAAAAGGACACUCUCUAGAUUUCAUCGUAGGCAAAAUUCAUGCAGCUCGUACAAUCGGCUUGUGUCCCGUGGCCAAAGCACUCGACACGAUUGACAAAAGCGUGGGUAUUAGUCGAACCCCUUCUCAGUUGUGGUGGACGUCAGAUCCUGCAGGACGAUGUAGAAUGCUUUGGCAUAAUCGUCCCAAUCGUAGUACCGCGCUCCAUUGCAUACCUUGUCCACAAAAGUCACGUCCGGAUCGCUUCUUGUGAUACAGAGACAGUGGGAAAGUACUACGAACUGGACUGCGAUUUUGCGUGUUGCGGGCAUGAUUAUUGUGUUCACUAUCUUUCCCUCUCAAAAAGCUCUCUUUUUUUUUUUUUUUUGGUCGAAAAUAACAUCCAUAUAUAUAUCAACUGAAAUUACAACCAUUCGUUAUAGCGUCCGCAGUCAAAAUAGCAAGAAAAACAGCAGGAGGUUGAUGUAACCAGUGUCGGGCUGAAUCAGUUGUGCGAUGGGCCUUUGUAGCCCAGUCAGCGGCCCGGUUUGCUUCUCUCAGACAGUGUUGCAGGGUUAGGUCAGCGAAGCGGGAGAGCAGGUGGAGCGCCUCUUCUACGAUCGGCCGAAGCUCCCACAUGGAUGAUCUGCCAUUGCGCACAGCUUCAACAAGGGGAAAGCAGUCCGUUUCAAUCAACAGAGUGGUAUUAUGGAGUUGUCGUCGCAGUAGAUGAUGCAGGGUACAGGUUAGUGCGUUGAGUUCAGUUUCCAGCGCCGAGUGCGACCGAAAUUUGCUAGAAAAUCCGUCCAUAAGCCUCCCACGAUGAUCUCUGCAGACACAGGCCAUCGUGCCCUCAGUGCUGCCCGGUUGAUAAGCUCCAUCUAUGUUAUAUUUCAAAGUGCCAGAGUCUGGAGGACGCCACAGAUGCGCGGGAUUGAGGUGCGGAAUCCUGGAUCUCGAUCCAGCAACAGCAAGGGAAAGGAGUGAUCGGGUCUGAGUGAUGGCCAUGUCAACUACCCGUCGUGGAUCUGGUGUCUAGUUGCGGAAGACUGCAUCAUUGCGCAUUCUCCAAAUCUGCCAUAGUGUAUUGGCAGUGAGCUCGAGACCGGGUAGGUUCUUUGGUGUCGCUGCUAUGGCUGAGAUCCAUUGAUCAAUUCGUUGGUUGCUCCAAGGGGGUAGUGUGCUAUUAAUAUGUUGGUGUGUCCAGACAGCUCGAGUCCACUCACAUUGGAGGAACAGAUGUUCGAUGGUCUCUUGGUUCUGUUGUUUACACAGCAUGCAUCAAGGGUCAGAGGCGAUGUGUCGAUUAAAGAGGUUGGCCCUUGUCGCAAUUGCAUUCUGACACACAGCCCAGGUAAAUACUCUUAUUUUUGGCGCAGUUUGCAUCACCCUUAGUAGGCUGCAUCGGGGCUAGCCCUCGCCCAACCGGGCCUCUCCUGUGGUGGGUGAGGCCAAUCGACUAGUUAUGACCGGUGGCUGGCCAACGGAAAAGGCAAAAAAGAAAGCCAAAAAGAAAAGGAAAAACGAAAAAAAAAAAAACAUAAAAAAUAUUAAAAAUUCAAAAAAUAAUAAAAAUUGUACACGUUAGCAUCGGCAGUCCUACAUGGCAUUGCCCGCGUCCACGUCAGCAUUUUCCAACCAAAAUUGGCCGAAUUGACCCAAUUGACAAGAAGUGAAAAUGUUUAGAACUAAAUUGGCAAAAAUACAAUAGGUUUAGGACUUUUUGGACAACUUUCCCCCUAAAUUUGUCAGGAUCUUCAGAUAAAUGUCAUAGGAUUCAAUCAGGAAAGGUAGGCAAUUUAUGUAGAAUCUUCUUGAGAGCAAAACUAAUAUAUUUUUCAUCUCCACCAUCUGCUAAUUAUUCAAGAGCAUCUUCCAAUUUCCUAUAGAGAGCCUCUAUUUCCACUCUCAAUAUCGCUAAAACACACCAUUUAUUAAUUAAAAGUGUAAAAUGUCUUUAAUUAAAAUAGGCAACUAAGUAGACCAGAAAAGGCAAGCAAUGGGGGUCUAAGCAACUAUCUAUUUUGAAGCCAAAAAAUAAAAAUUCAAAAAAUACACACACAACCCAACUCCAUCAUCUUGCUCAUGAAGUUUGAACCUGCUCGUGUGCUUUCAAUUUAGUGUUGCAGGUUAUCUUGAUCGGACAUUAUCAUUAUUCACAAAUUAGAAGUCUUUAAGUUGCUUAUUUGACUAAAGAAUAUCUUCCCAAAUGCACCCUAAGCAAAAGUGACUUUAGGGUCACAUUAUUUCUGACUCUUCUAUGGCUCCACAAUCAAGACAGCACAUGGACUAAAUUACCCCUUAAAAAAAUCCCAUUUUUGUUGGCCUUCAUUUGGUUGAGAGCAAGAGUCAUUUGGCCAGGAAAAAACAUAAGCUAAAGAUACCUUUUGUAUGGCUUCAUACAAGGAAAAUUACCAAAAAAAGCCUUAAAUCUAUUGCAACUAUGUCAAUUUAAUCAUAAACUUUUCAAUUACACAAAUUUAAUUCUUAACAUUUUCACGUUUUGUCAAUUGAAUCAAUCCAAUCAAUUUUAGUUAGAAACCACUGACGUGGAUGCUGACUAUUUUACAUGGCAUGACCAACACUAACGUAAGCAAUUUUUUUAUAAUAAUUUUCUUUUUUUUUUCUUUCUUUUUCCUUUUUUUUUUCCUUUCUCUUUGUGUAGGCUAGAUCAAUCUAAAUGGCAAGCACCUUUUGAAAGGUAAAAUAUGUGAUAUGGUAACUUUUCAUUUAUUUGUAACAUUCACGUGUGAUGAGUAACUUUUUUAUACAUCAAAGUCAUUUUCAAGAUGCUUAGUAACUUUUUAUAAUAAAUAUCGCAUGAUUAGUGAAUUUUAUUAUGCUUGGAUAAGUUGCAUGUGUAUUUUGAGUAAAUUUGACUGUUGAAUUCUUCCAUGUGUCACCCAUCCAAUGAUGGAUGUGGAAAUUUUAUAUCUGACAUUGAUGGUGGACCUAAUUAAAACCCAGAAAGGUAUUAAAAUUAAUAUGGAUAGUGCUUUUCUUUUUAAACUAUAAACCCAAUCUCAAAUUUGAGAUCAAUUCUAAAUAUAUUAACAUUAUGUUUUGGGCCGACAAUGGGCUUACUCAAGAUACUUAAAUGAGAUGACCAUCCAGCUUUAGUCACAAGGUAUCCUCAUGCACUCUUUGCUUUUCAUUUAGGUUUCCGGCCACUCGAAUCUCUGAGAAAAAUGUCAUGACUCUUUGCCUUCUGACAAGAGCCUUGGAAUUGGGUAAACUAACAUGCAAAAGGGAAUCUUUCAUUUAAUUAUAAUUAUUAUGAUUUUCAAAGCAAAGUUUAACUAAAAUUUAAAAGUCACAAAAAUACAAAGAUCGAAGUGGGCUCGACAAAAAACCACUGGGGGUUCGCCCCAGUGGCCACCCUUCCAGCAUGGAAGGGGGAGGUGAGGGGUUCAAAUCCUCACCUUCUCAGGAGGAUGGGGUAGGGACGCGUAAGUUUCGAGAAUGGGUUGCGACUCCCACGCCCUGCAAGUGGCAGGGCACAAGUCUGCGAGUGAGUGUAGAGUAGAAAUAGAGUAGGACUGACCAAAAAAAAAAAAAAAGUGGGCUCGACAAACAACAUAAAGUUUAAUUAAAGUUAAUGACAAAUGUAAUCACGUGAAGAGCAAUAUCAUUGGAUACCAACCAACCAGUCACAUGAGCAGCAAAAGCAGCUCAACCACAGUUUGCAAAAUUAUUUGAGAGAUCCAAGGCCACUCGUCAAUUUUGCCUAUUUGUUGCACGGGUCCAAGACUAUAUUUUUCAUAUAUUAUUCUAAAUGUCAGUUUUAACAUAUGUUGCUUUUGUUCGUAUUUCAAGUUAAUUAUUUACAUUUUUAUUGCAGGUGUUUAAUACAUUUAAAAUCCUAAUCGUCAUGUGCGUGUGGGUGUGGCCUGUCCUUCUCCAUUUGUUCUCUUAAUUACAUCUUUUUAUAUAGACAAUGACCGACUACAAAAAGUACUUAUUAAACAAGAAACAAGUUUCAGAUCAAAAAAAAAGAAACAAGUUUCGACCAAAAAAAAAGAAACACACAGUCAUCCUAGUCGAAUCAUUUUUUUACUUUAACAACUGGCAAUCAUUUUUUUAGGCCACUUGAUGGAACUGCAACUUAAAAUUUAUAAUGCAAGAAAUCAAUUCAAAUUUGGACAGAUUUUGUCUUGAUUGAGAAGACCGGUCAUUUCUGAAUCUUAUUUUUGGCCAACGACAAACUUGAACAGUGUGCUGCCCAAUUUGCAGCUUCCCGAGGAUUUGAAGGUGCUUAGUUAACUUAACUAAGGUUACAUUUCAGAUCUCCAUGUCAAUAUAUAUCUCCUUUUUAAUAAUUUGGAUCUUCGUUAAGAUUCUAAAUCGUUAGAUCUCUUAUACUAAAUCGCACACAUUAUUAAUAGAAUAUUAUCAACAAUUAUUUUUCAAUAUAUAAAUCAAUAACACAGCCAUUUAUGUUUUACGGAUGUUUCGAUCUAUAUACCAUUUUAUAUCUACGGUCAACUUAAUAAAAACCUAGAAACGUACCAAAAUUAAUAUGGGUAAUGCUUUUCCAGUUAAAUUUUAAACUCAAUUUCAAAUUUAAGAUAGUUCUAAAUAUAUUGACCUAAUGUUGUGGGCCGACAAACGCUAGAAAAGUCCUAAAAAAUAAUUUGGGCUUAUUAUGGAUACUUAAUUGAGAUGGCAGUCCAAAAGGUAUCCUUAUGCGACUCCUUUUGCUUUUCAUUUAAGUUUCUGGCCUGAGACCUUUGAGAAAAAUAAGUACAAUGACUCUUUGUUUUCUAAUAAGAGCCUUCAAAUCAGGUAAACUAAAAUGUAAAAGGGAAUCAUUCAUUUGAUUAUAAUCAUUACGGUUUUCAAAGCAGAGUUUAAUAAACAAAAAGCCUUAAAAAGGUACCAAGAAAUAGAAAUCGAAGCAAGGCUCGACAAACAACAUAAAUUUAAUAACAAAUGGAAUUACGUGAAAAGCAAUAUCAUCAGGUACCAUACACGGUCACAUGACUAUGUUUUCUUUAUAUAUUAUUAUUUGUGUGAGUUUUAAUCUACUUUGCCUUUGCUAAUAUUUCAAGUUAAUUUUUUUACAGUUUUAUUGAAGGUUUUUAAUAAAUUUGAAACCCUAAUAAUCACCUCGUAUUGAUUUUUGCAGCUACCCGCAUGCACUUAUCGACGAGAAUAUUAAUAUUGUGAAAAAGAUUAAAGAUGCUACUUAUCACAUGUGUAUGGGAAUUUGGCCUGUCCUUGUCCAUUUGUUCUCUUUAUUAAUUAUAUUUUGUUAUAUAGAUAAUGACAAACUAUAAAAAGUACUUAUUAAACAAGCGAUGAUCCUCGUUGAAUCAUUUUCUUACUUUAACAGCUGGUAAUCAUUCGUUUUUUUUGUUUUAUUUAGGCCACUCGAUGGAACUGUGAUUUAAAUUUAAUAACGCGAAAAAGUCAAUAAAAAUUCAUGAAUUUUGUCUUGAUUGAGAAUACCGAGAGCAGUCAUUUGUUAUUCUUAUUUUUGGCCAGCGAGUCACUUGAACAUUGUGUUGUCAAGUUUUCAGCUUCCCAAGAUUUGAUGUUGCUUUAAUUAACCUAACUCAGGUUACAUUUCGAAUCUCCAUAGUCAAUGACUAUCACCUCCUCCUUUCUAGUGAUUUGGAUCUUCGGUAAGAUUAUGAAUUGUUGAGUCACUUGUAUUGAAUCUUGGCCAUUAUCAAAUUGAACAUUAUUAACAGUUGCUAUUCAAUAUAUAAAUCAAUAAUACGACUAUUUUAUGUUUUAGAAAUGUUUCGAUCUAUAUACCAUUUUAUAUUGACUGUGUACUAAAAAGUCUAGAAACGUAUCAAAAUUACUAUUCUUUGGUCAAAUAUUAAAUUUAAUAUGAGUAGUGCUUUUCCAGUUAAAUUAUAAACUCAAUAUGAAAUUUAAGAUCAAUUCUAAAUAUAUUGACCUAACGUUGUGGGCCGUCAAACAUUUCAAGAGUCUUAAAAAAGAAGUUGGGCUUAUUAUGGACACUUAAUUGAGAUGGUGGUCCAACUUUAGUCUUAAAAUAUCCUCAUGCAACCCAUUUUGCUUUUCAUUUAGGUUUCUGACCUGCUUGGAUCUCUGAGAAAAAUAAGCGCGACAACUCUUUGCUUUUCAGUAAGAGGAGCCUUGAAAUCAGGUAAACUAAGAUGCAAAAGGGAAUCUUUCAUUCAAUUAUAAUCAUUACUGUUUUUAAAGCAGAAUUUAAUAAACAAACAGCCUUAAAAGGCACAAAGGUACAAAGAUCGAAGCAAUGCUUGACUACCAACAUAAAAUUUAAGCAAGAUUAACGACAAAUAGAAUCACGUUAAGAGCAGUAUCAUUUGAUACCACACACAUCCACAUGAGCUUUUUUAUAUAUAUUAUUUUAAAUGCUAGUUUCAAUCUAUUUUGCCAUUGCACUUACUUCAAGUUAAUUAUUCACAUUUUUAUUGAAAGUGUUUAAUAAAUUUGAAAUCUUAAUCGUCACCUUGUGUUGAUUCUCACGAGUACUCUUGCACACAUAUCGACGAAAAUAUUGAUAUUGUGAAAAAGAUUAAAGAUUCUACAUAUCACAUGCACGUGGAAGUGUGGGCAGUCCUUGUCCAUUUGUCUCUUAAAAAAUUACAGUUUGUUGUAUCGAUGAGGGCAUACUAUAAAAAGCACUUACAAACAAGCGAUAACCCCGGUCGAAUCAUUUUCCUACUUUAACAUUUGUUUAUUAUUUUUUUAAGCCACUUGAUGGAACUGCAAUGCAAAGAAAUAGAUUGAAGUUCACAAAAUUUUAUCUUGAUUGAGAAGACCGAGAGAGCAGUCAUUUUUAUAUUUAUUUUUGGCCAAUGACAAACUUGAAAAGUGUGCUACCAAAUUUUCAGCUUCCCAAAGAGUAAAUGAUGCUUAGUUAACUUAACUACAGUUACGUUAUAGAUCUCUGUAAUUGAUACUUAUCUCCCCCUUCUUUCGAGUGGUUUGAAUUUUUGUGAAGAUUAUGUAUCGUUGGAUCUCUAGUACUAAAUCUCGGCCAUCAAUAGGUAGAACAUUAUCAACAAUUGCUAUUCAAUAUACAAGUCUAUAACACAAGCCCCCACAUACAUAUAUCGAUGAAAAUAUUAAUAUAAUGAAAGGGAUUAAAGAUGCUACUUACAACAUGCAUUUGUGGGUGUGGCCUGUCCUUGUCCAUUUGCGCUUUUAAUUACAUUUUGUUAUAUAGACAAUGACAAACUAUAAAAUGUCCAUAUUAAACAAUGGAUGAUCCAAAGUCGAAUCAUUUUCUUACUUUAACAGCUAGUAGUCAAUUUUUUUAACCCACUCGAUGGAGUGGCAACUCAAUUUUUAUAGUGCGAAGAAAUCAAGCAAAGAUAUCAAUUCAAGUUCACAAUUGAUUGAGGAGGACUAAGAGCAAUUAAUUAUUUUUGGGUUAAUACCAACAAAAUCCCCAAACUUGUACAUCUGUGAAAAUUUAUCCAUAACCUAAUUCUUUUUACCAUCAAAAUCCAAAACUAGUAUAUUUAUGAUAAAUUUACUGUAAGUUAAUUUUUUGACCAUUAAAAACUCUAAACUUGUACAUUUGCCAUCUAUUAGUUUCUAUUAAAUGGCAUUAAUAUCACGAAAAGACAUAAAGUGGUAUACUUAUGACAAAUAAAUGGUAAAAUUCCCAAAUUGUAUAUUCGUCAACUGUUAUAUGUCAUUAAACUUAGUAAUGGAUAGUAAAUUUAUCACAUGCGUAUUAGUGAGAGAUUUUUGGUGAUGAAAAAAUUAAUUUGAAAUAAAUUUAUCAUAAAUGUAUUGAAUUAAGAUUUUUCAUGAUAUUGACUGUUAUUUUUUUAAUUUUAUUUUAGGCAAGUGAUGACUGGGAGCAGUGUGCUCCCAAGCUUACAGCUUCCCAAGGUUUUGACCGGUGCUAAUUAACUAAAGCGAGAAUACCGAGCUGCAUGGUCCAUGCCGAUCUUCCUUUUCUUUCUCGCGGCUUGAGUCUUUGUCGUGGUUUUGAAACCUUGAAGCUCUGGUACCGAAUCUCUGCCGUUGAUGAUCACAUGUACAAGCAAAAGGUUGCUGUGUUUCUAUCACCAAAUUGUCGACCUGUCAAAGACCAAAUUCUGUACUCCAAAAGACCAAAAUCUGACUUAAUGGAAAAAGCGAUAUUAAAUCUCAGGUCUAAAGACUCAUCACAUAUCUCUCUCUCUCUCCCGCCCUCGAUUGAAAAAAUAGCAAACAUUAUUGCAGCCCCUUCAUUUGAAUAAAUCUGGAAUGAGACCCCUUAGUUGAGGCUUGGUGUUCAGAAAACACAUCAUACCCCACCUUAACGUUCACUGCAUAGGAAGAGUGUAGAAAAAGACUUCCAAGUCACUGCUGAUAUAACUAGCGUCUGACACCAAGGGCCAAGUUCUUCUUCGUAUCAGUGAGUCCAUCGUCACUUCUAUAAAAAUAUGAUUCAACAAGAGCAGCAUUUCACUCAUAUGUAUCUAUAUGUAUCUAUAUGGAGAGAGAGCAAAGCUGUCAAUCAAAAUGAAAUCAACUUUAUAUCUUGCAAAAAAGGCAUUUCUCAAAGAAAAUCACCAUACGCAAGUUCUGAAGAAGAGGCCUCGUGUACACCAUUUGGAAUAUAAAUAAAAGUUCGUAGACUACAUUCACAUACAGCCCAUGAAUUAAAUUGAACAUGUACCAAAAGUUCAUAAAUUACAUUGAACAAUUAAAUUCACAUGGACAAUAGGGCACAUUGAGCUAAAGCUGAAAGAGCACAUUGAAUAAAUUUAAAGUUUAGAUAUCUCAUUAUAUAUUGAGCAAAUUUUAUGGACUAUUUGUGUUAUGUCAGCAGUAACUGCAAAUGAAAAUUAUAUAGAACUAGCAAGAUGUUUGUCAUUUGCCUAUAUAUAUUAUAAAAUGUGAGUUUUAAUUCUAUUUUGCCUUUCCUCAUACUUCAAGUUAAUUAUUCACAUUUUUAUUGAAGGUUUUAAUAAAAUCGAAAUCUUAAUCGUCACAUUUUAUUGAUUCCCACAAGUAUCCACAUACACAUAUUGAUGAAUAUAUUAAUAUGUUGAAAAAAAAAAAUAAAGAUGCUACUUAUCACGUGCAUGUGAGGUGAUUGGCUAGUCCUCAUCCAUUCGUUCUCUUUUACUGAUUACAUUUUGUUAUAUCUAUAACGACGGACUGUAAAAGUUACUUCCUAAAACAAGCGAUAGUUCAAAUCGUAUCAUUUUAUACUUCAAUAGCUACCAAUCAUUUGUUUUUCUUUUUUACCUUCUCGGGCCACUUGAUGGAACUCCAAUUUAAAUUAUAUAAUGCGAAUAAAUUAAUUAAAGUUCACAAUUUUUGUCUUGAUUGAGAAGUCCAAGAGCGGUUAUUUUUUCUUCUUAUUUUUGGCCAAUGACAGGCUUUUUUCUUGGUCGAAACCAAUGACAGACUCGAAUAGCGUGCUAGUGCUACCGAGUUUUCAACCUCCCUAGGAUUUGAUGGUGCUUAGUUAACUAAGCUUACAUUUUGGAUCUCCAUAGAUGAUACUAUUAGAAUAAACAAAUUUUUCAAUCACAUGAAUAUGAUAUAAAAUUAAUAAAUAUAGUGUACCCAAUCAAACGUAACCAUUAUUGAUCUAACGAGUGAGAAGAUGUAUUCUCGUGGGUAUGAAUAUUCAUCACUCUCUUCUAUAAUCGUUACGAUGGUGUGUAUCUUUCUCUCUUCAAUUUUGUCAAAAUAGCGAUAGCAUGAUAAUGGAAUACAUGCAUUCUCCACUGAAAAGAGAUCUUAUAUAGAGAGAGUGAUGGGAUUAAUUCUAAAAUGAAGGUGCAUGCCUAAUUGGAUGUCAAAAAUAUAUUGCCCAUGAUAUAUUUUACUAAAUUGGGCACAUGUCAAAUAUUAGAUAAUAGACCUAAUAAGCUAUGGGUUGGACAUUGUCAAGUCCCAAGAGAUACACAUAUCCUCCUUCCUUCUAGUGAUUUGGAUCUUUGUUAAGAUUCUAAACAUUGGAUCUCUUGUGCUAAAUCUUGGACAUCAAUAAAUAGAAUACUAUCAACAAAUGCUAUUUAACAUAAAUAUCAAUAACAAAUCCAUUUUAUGUUUAGAGAUGUUUCGAUCUAUGUACCAUUUUGAAAAUUAAACUUCAAUUUUUUCUUGUUCAAUUAGGUUAUUUAUGAUGUUACUUCUACAUUUUUAAUAUGGCUUCAAUGUCCCCGCACAAGGAGGGGGUUUAGGACUACUACCUAAUCAACUUUUGCCCAUUAGAAGAUCUCCUCAUGAUAAUAGUAACAGAUUAUUUGCUCAUUUUACUGUGCUCAUAAUCUGGUUGAAUAUGAGUCUAGUGCAACCCACAAACCUACAUAAAAUUGGCUUUGAUUUUUUGAUCUCUUUUUGAUCGGUUGUUAAAAAAUUUAGUGUCAUAUAACAACUUGUUACACUAAAAUUGAGUUUUUAAAUAGAUUUUUAACACAUAUCGCCACCUUUAAAUAGAACUCUGUGUCACUUGGUCCGAACUAUCCUUGUCCAUUUGUUUUCUUUGUUAAUUACAUUCGUUAUAUCAAUGAUGAUAUCGGAUAAAGUGUACUUAGUACACCAGGGAUGAAUUAAAAUCGAAAUCAUUUUAUUCAUUCGAUCUUGAUUCACACAAGCCCCCACAAUAAAUAUCAAUGAAAAUAUUGAUAUAAUAAAAAAGAUAAAACAAAAAAAAUGCCACUUACAAUGUGCUUGUGUCAGUGUGUGGGGUGUGGCCUGUCCUUGUCCAUUUGUUUAUUUAAUUACAUUUUGUUAUUAGACAAUGACAGACUAUAAAAGGUCCUUAUGAAACAAGCGAUAAACCAAUUUUGUCAUUUUCUCACCACAACAGCUGGUAAUCAUUUGUUUUUGUUUUUUUUUUUUUUAAACCACUUGAUGGAGCUGCAACUUAAUUUUUAUAGUGCAAAGAAAUCAAUUUAAGUCGACAAUUGAUUCAGAAGACCGAGAGCAAUCAUUUUUUAUUUCUUUUUUAGGUUAGCGAGGACUGAGCAGUGUGCUGUCAAGUUUUCAUCAUCCCAAGGAUUUGACUAAUGCUUUAUUGAAGCCCUAACGAAGGGGGAGGCUACCGAUGGGCACAGUCCAUCCCUUAUCCUCUUUCUCUCUCGUGACGAGGGUCUUUUUGGAGGCUCUAAUCUCUGAAUCUUCUGUGCUGAAUCUCGGCCAUCGAUAAUCGCAUGUAUCAGCAAAAAGUUCCCGUGUUCCCAUCACGAGAAUCUGAAAAUUAUCGGCCUGUCAAGGACCAAAAUCCGACUCACUGGAACCCGCCCAUAGGCAGCGCAAAUGGCAUAAGUGCACUCUCUUAUCGUUGAGAUUAAGAGUUCGAACUCUCUCGUUUGCAUUUUCAUGACUUAAAUGAGGGUUUCAGGAGUGAAUUACUAGGCUAGCCCUGGAAUUUUACGUCUAAAUAGCAAUUUGCGAUGAGGCCUGACGGUAGUACCGAGCAUCGAAGGGUUGUAUGAUCCUCGAUGGGUGAUCUCUGACAAUUCCUCGAUUAUCAAAAAAAAAAAAAAUCCUAUUCAAUGGAAGAAGAAACAGUAAUGCCUAGGUAUAAAGACUAGUCACAUAUAUCUCUGUAGCGCCUCUACUCUAAUAAAAUCUCGAGUUAGACCCCUUGGUAGAGGCUUGGUGCUCAAAAAAAAAAAAGUCAUAAUACUAUUUCACCAUUAAUAUUCACUGCAGAGGAAGAGCGUAAAGGAGACUUCAAGUCACCUCUAAUGCAACCGGCAUCUCACAUCAAAAGCAAAGUUACACUUUGUGUCGGUGUGUCCAUCUUCACUUACCCCUACCAGACUCUGACUCUGUAAAAAUAUGAUUCAAGCUAUACCCAGCAAUGGUGACAGAUCACAGAAUCUUGCAAAAAAAUGAACAGUACAUAUUAGUUUUAACAUUUUUCAAUACUAAGAAAUCUUACGUUAUUGUUAAGUCACUUGAGGAUAGAAGCCCUUUUUGAAAUAUAAAAAAAGAAUUCUUGAGGAGGUAGUGACCAAUUAUAAAGGAGGCCUUGCUUUUUAUACGGGAUACUUUGUUGGGGUUGUUCCAAAUCUAUCCCUAGAAAAUUGAAUUUUGUAAGUGAAUAAAAAGCACAAAAUGCUAAAAUACCCAUUCUGUUGUAGUUGCCUUCCUACAUUCCAUAUUUUUAGAUUGUCGUUACAUUUCUUGUCUUCUUUAUUUUUCUAUUAAUACCUACAUAAUCUCUUUGUUUGGAAUGAGCUCUGAAUUUAACCAUGCUUAUGAAUCUGUUUGUUGGGUGUACAUUUUCUUUUUGACAAGUUAUACUUGUUGAAACAAAAUUAUAGACUCACUUCACCCACGCAAUUAAUGUGAGGAUCUAUAUCUGUAGAAUGACAUGAGAACAGUCUUUCACUUAAGAGCUGCCUUUAAGGUUAAUACAUAGCACUCUAGAUAACUAGAAAGGAUUUUUCCUUCUUCCAAGAAUUGGAUUUGCUACAUUCUCCAUUAAAAAAAAUGUAGCCACCUGGUCUCCACCUAAGCUAAUCUUAUGCAAAACCGACUAGAAAAAGUCCACUAUCUAAACCACAAAUUGUCCGCAAUGUGAGAGUCCAAUGCCACUCACUACUCUUGAAAGUGCUGGCAAACUUGUAUAUCGGUCAUGUGGCCAUCAUAUUUCUCUUUGUAUAUUAAACAAAAUAGUUGGCUGUAAUUGUAGAUGAAUUUCUAUAAAACUAGCAAGAUUCGCACAGGGCUAAGGUAAUUUUUUAUAUUAUUUUAAAUGUUAUUUUUAAUCUAUUUGGCUUUUGUUCCCACUUCAAGUUAGUUAUUUUUCAUGACUUUUUAAAUUUUAAGUUUGUUGUAUCGUGAUUAUUAUUUGUCAAUAUAUUUAACUUAUGUUAAUAUUUUUAACAAACUACGUAGACAUUCAUGUCAAAAUAGAUAAAUAUUUGACGGCCAAUACUUUAACAUCCCUACGAGGGAAAUUGGUAUAAAAUUAGAAAGAAUAUGAGAUAUUGUUUAGAAGUUAAAAAAAAAAGUUUGGAUAAAAUAUAAUGCAGAUAACACUUUAAACUUGAUGUUGCCAUAAAAAUAUGCUUUCGAAUAUUAUUCUACACUAUAAAUUAAAUGAACGACCACUCCAACAUCACAGUUUUACAAAUAAAAUUCCAUGAAAACAUCCAUGCAUAUACUCAAAAAAAGAAAUUCUGAAGUAUCUAGUGAAUCUCCUACGUUUUAAAUUAUGAUGAUAUUGAUAUGCAUCUCCUAUCUUCCGCUGACGAUUGCUUCCUUGCACCGAAAGGUGAAAUUGUCAAGACUAAAACAGCAAGAUUCCUCUGGUUGACAAAUAGCUGUUGGGAUGAUUGGUGUGCACACACAUUUGGUGGAGCUAAUUAUGCACCCAUUUUACACGUGAUACUUUGUUAGGGUCAUUCCAAAUUUGUCUCUACGCAAUAUUUCCUUAAGAGAACCCAAGGACAAAAUGCUAGAAUAGCCAACCUCUUAUAUUUCCCCUUAUUUCACAUUUCACAUUUGUCUCCAUAAUUUUUCCGUUUUCACAUGUAGUAUCUCUCUGUUGGAAAGGACUUUGAAUUUGAUUAUGCUCGUCAUUGUGUAUGUUCGGUGUAAAUUUUCUUUUUUGAGAAAUUAUACUUUUGAUACAAAAUUAUUCACUAAUUCACGUCCAAAAUCAACAUGAGAGUCAAUAUCUAUAUAAUUAUGCAAUAACAGUCUCUUCUCUAUGCCCUACCUCUAAGGUUGAUACAUAGCAUUCUAAAUAGCUAGAAAAGACUUCUCCUUAUUUUAAGAACUGGAUUUGCAACAUUCUCCAUUAAAAAAAUGUUCCCACUUAGACUCCACCUAGGCUAAUAUUUUGCACUACUAACUAGAUAGAUUAUUCAUAUAUCACGAUGUACUUAUAGGCACUGAUUCCUUAUUAGCUACGUGAGUUCUACUCAAUCUAAUUACAAGGAGAAUGUCUCUCAUGACUUUAAAUUGUUUCUAUUUAGUCAAAAUGUUUUCAAACGGUCCAUAAGAUGCAAUAAUUUGACUAGACAUUAGAUAUAUGGGGUGUCCCUACUCCCUCUCGAGUCCACAUUCAUAUAGUUAAGGCUAUGAAUGUACAUAUUAUUGUGUUCUCUCAUUCUAUGUGCUUAUAUUAUGGUCUUUCAUACUCAUAUAUUACUUGUUUAAAUAUGCAUGUGGAUAGACAAUUCUCUUUGUAUUCUUCAAGGGAUAUAUUGAGGGAAAUAAUUGAAUCACAACUUUGAGUCAUUUAGACAUCAUGCACGAUGAAAUUGAGGAUCCAUCCCAUCUUAUCAAAACGAUGAGGACUAAAUUACAUUUUCAUUUUUCUUUGUCAUCUUCAACUGCAAUCACAAGAGUUUGGUAACGUUGCUUGUAGUUUUACAUGUCCUUUUUUUUCCUUCAUAUUGCCAUCUUUUAAUUGUUGUUUAAUUAAAUCACAUCUUUUAUAAAUGGCAAGUACUUGAAAAUAUGAAUUCCUAUCAACAAUAAGCAUUGGAUGGUGAACGAUUUGAUUAUUAAAGUUAUUGUUUUCAAGAAGGCAGCGAUGCAUUAUUAUUUAUUACCAACCGUCCCAUGACUGUACCAUGCUUGCAAAAGUGAGGUCCAUACGUACUCUUUUGUCUAAUAGAGCUUUGUGGUUGGAAAAUAGCUUUGCUCGUUCCUCAAACCCCUCAUCACUCCUUUUGUCACUUCACUUUAGCAAUGCACGGUCAAGCAUCUUUGCCUCGGUCAUCGAGCAAUCUAUUUGUCCUUUCUUGGACUUUAAUGACAUGAAUAUCUCCAAAGGAUUCGCAAUUGCUUGUCCUGAACUAAUCGUAAUGAAGUGUACUAUACAUGAUUCAAGUUUCCACAACAUCCUUUCAACCAUUAUCCACUAUUCUUGAAAAGGAGAGUAGUCACACGGAUACAAAGAUUUAAACCACAAAAAUUAAUGCAACAAAGUAAUGGGCUCAAAUUACUUGUAUGAUCUCAGCCAUUGAAUGAAAGAAAAUUGACGUUGAUUGUUGGAUUUGGCAUGACCAUUUUGUCCUACCAAACCCCCGUGCGUAUCCAACGCCAAAAGUAGCAAGCUACGUUAUAUCACCAUUGCGCUAAUUCAAUUCGUGAACCAUAGUUUGGGUUCUCUAGCUUUAACCUUCUGAAAUGAGGCAACUACAACUAAAAUUCAAUGCGUAGCACACUGCUUAUGGAAACUGAUAUUAUCAAGUUGCAGAAUUUAAAAUACCGUAGUUUUCUUCCUCUUUUUUUUUUCUGCACUUCAGUUUGACUAUGAGUUAUUGUAAAAUAAAGAAUUAAUUGCAAAAAUUUUCUUGAGAAAAUGUGGAAAUGAUCUCUCCAACUCGAUACUUCUCAAGGCUCCGGUCAGUUCAACCGGGACUGUAAAACUAGAAAAGCGAAACACUAACAUCUUAUUGUGGAAAUGGUGUCCGGGAUUUACGUAGCAUUACUCCAUUGGUCAUGUCCAUCUCAUAGUUUUCAAAUAUAAAGGGAACCCUUUUUUUCACCUAAUAUUAUUCAACGAGAGUGUGUACAGAUAUUAUGAUGAUAUACAGCUGCACAAAAAUGCAACUAAUUUAAACUAAAUGUGCAAUUUGGUGAAAUUGUGAACAUCCCCACGGCUACUUAAUACGUGCAUGAGUUCAAUCAAACAUCGGCAUGGCUUUGGCGAUUUAUUAAAUGAGAUUAGCAUAGAUUGACAUGUAGCUCCAAAAUUAUGGCACCCCAUCAUUCAAUUUCACUUUCUACAAUGUCAUAUUAGUAUAUAAAAAAAUAGCAAUAUAGACUAGUCACAUAAUGAUAUGAAAAAAAAUUAAUUGAAAUAUGAAGAACAAAAAAGUAUCAUAACAAUAAGCCGGUUCCUCCAACACCAAAAAUAAAAAGAAAGUAUCGUAACAAUUAGCCUUGUCUUGGUCACGGAUCAGGCUCUGUCCAGGGACUCAUCUAGUCUAGUGAUGUCCAUGAUACGAACAAAAUUCUUAAUCUCUACGCGCAAAAACUAAUCGAUAAAAGAUAAGUCUUCGAUCUCCAAAGGAUGCGAAAACAUGAGUUAGAAUUUAAAUUUUAUUUUUGGUCGAAAGUUAGACUUUAAGGGUGCGUUUGGCUGCACCCUAUUUCUGUUCCCAGGAACAGAAAUUUCUGUUUUUUUGUUCCUCGGAACAAAAAAGGAACAGAAACGCGUUUGGGUGCGUUUCUGUUCCUUUUUUGUUCUUUUGUUCCCAGGAACAAAAAAAAAACAGAAACAAAACUUAGAAACACUUUUUUAUUUUAUUUUUCUUUUUCUUUCUUUUUUCUUUCGCCGGUCGCCGGCCUCGGCCAUGGCCGGCGACCGGCCAAAAGAAAAAAAAAAAGAAAAAAGGAAAAAGAAAAAAGAAAAAAAGGAAAAAAAAAAGAAAAAAAAGGAAAAAAAUAGAAAAAAUAAAAGAAAUAAAAAAUUAUACAAAUUUACUAAACGUGUUUCUAUUUAUUUUUUGUUCCCGGAACAAGUUUACCAAACGCGUUGUUUUGUUCAGAAAUUGUUCCCAGGAACAGAAACACUUUUUUUUUAUUUAUGUUCCCUGGAACAAUUUUUAAACAGAAACGCAAACAAACACACCCUUAGUUAAUGAUGAUUUGAAAGAUUUAAACAAUAAUUUAUCUAGAACGAGCGACUGAUAUGAAGAUAUCAUCUAGAAUAAGACGCGAAAAGGCUCCAAAUCCUCCUAGAUCGAUUGCGCGGGUCCCUUUUUCCUCUCGAUGUGUCUUUUCCCCCUUGGCUUUUCUCGGAUUCCCUUUCUAUUUCGGUGUCUGCAUAAGGCCGGUCGCGUCUCCCUGAGUGAAGAGGCUAUUCAUGCCAGGAUCUCUGCCUUCAUUUCCUCGAAAUGGACGAGAGAUCUUUUGUAUCCCUUGCACGCGAAGCUGAAUGGUGCUUCUUACAAUUGCCAAAAAGUACGUCCCGCGUAUCGUAAAUAAUUAAUGGAAAAUCAGGCUUGUCCGCUAAACACAGUUUGUUUUUUGCUUCGAGAAAACAUGAAGGCCUCAUCCCUUUUUCUCUUUUUGCCAGAGAUCCCUGGCUCUCCCUUCAAUUUCAGUCAAACCUCUUACUCAUUCUUCCCCUUUGUCAAUUGCAUGAAACUUACCCCUUUCCUUUAUCAAUUUCAGCAUCCCCACGUUCCACAAAUGCCAUGAUUCGGACUCUCCUUAAGCAAGGAAUCAUGCCCAAGCAUGGUAUGAUUCCAUGCCGUUGUGAUUCCACAUUAAUCCGUACCAUGAUGACUUAACAUUCUUGCUUGAAAUUCUGAGUUUAUUCUUACAACUAUUGUUGGCAAAAAAAAAAAAAAAAUGAAACAACUUCAAAUUUUCCUUACAAACCAAGUUUUCCUUCUAUUUAAAAGCGUGAUUUGAGGGGACCUUCGUCAAAUAUGUGAAAAUUGGAGAGACAAUACAUGAAAAGUCAAGAAAGGGUUUAAUUAGUCCAAGUCUAAUAUGUCAAUAGGUAGAAAACUAUCAAAAUUCAAUAAAUAUAAAAUAUAUAUGCAUUUAACAUGGCCAUUUUAUGUUUUAUUAAGUGUUUUCUUUAUUUUUGAUGUAGAAUUUUAUGUUCUUUUGAAAUAAAAAAAGUCUAACAACAGAAGUUUCCAAUUGAUUAUAGCAUUAGGAAAAGAAUAUCAAGUAAUGUCUAAUUUAUGACAUGAAGGAACUCUCUAUAUGGUGGUGGGAUAAUUACCAAAAUAGUAUGGAACCUAUUGCAAUUAUCUCAAUCAGUUUUAAACUUUUUUUUUUUAAAAUUCAAUCCCAAAAUUUUUGAAUUUGUGCCAAUUCAAUAUAUCCGAGCAAUUUUAGCCAAUCGACGCCGACAUGAACUUUCUUAAAUAAUAAUUUAAUAAUUUUUUUUUAUAUUUUUAUAUUUUCUUUUCUUAAAUUUUCCCCCCUUUCCCCUAAGGCCACGAUAGCCUCACUCACCCAGACUGUGUGAGGGUUGGUACGCCCUCGUCCAAUGCUAGUGAGGGCAUCUUGGCCAUCACCUAUUGACCCUUGCCAUCCCCUAAGCGAAAGGGGAAAAAAUUAAAGAAAAGACAAAAUUAUAAAAAAAUUCAAAAUUUGUUAAAGUAUUAUUUAAAGAAGUGUACGUCAGCGCCGUCAAUGCCAUGUUAGCACCAGUGACCAAAAUUGGCUGGAUGGACUAAACUGGCACAAAUGCAAAAAACUUUAGGGCUAAAUUGAUUUUUAAAAAAAUUACGAUUGAAUUAGCAUAAUUGCAAAAGGUUUAUAACUUUUUUGAUAUUUUUCCCCUAUAUAAUAUAUAGAAGAAACUAAGGGCAUGUAUAACAAAAUUUUUAGAACGAAAAUCAAUUUUUUACUAGAAAUUGAUUUCUCAAUUUAUAUUCCUUGGACGAGUUUCUAAGAAGAGAAAUACGUUUGAUAACGAUUCAAAAUUUAUGUUUCUAGAACAUAAAUUCAUUCGAUGACAUAAUAAAAUUUAUAUUUCUAAAGGGCGGUGACUGGCGGCCAGCGUCUGGCCCGGCGACUGGGGAUGGGCGUCCAAUGAUCAACGUCUGGCGUCAAGCAAUCUGGAGUCAAGCAGUCCAACAUUUUGCGACGGCGAUGAGCUUCCUGCGCUCCAUGGGUGGCGGGUGAACGGCAGGUAGUAACGAGAGUAAAUGAUAAAAAGAGUUAUCGUUUCUCAUUUUUGUUCUAGAAAUAGAAAAGUUCAAAAAAUUUAGCUUUUGAUUUAUGCUCCAAAUCUAUUUAUGAAAUAAAAAUCCGUUCCAAAAAUAGAAAAAUGAAAUUACAUUAACAAACGAAUUUCUAUUCCAAACCUGUUCCGAGGAACAGAAAAAAAAGAAAAAGAAAUAGAGAAAUAGAAAUUUUGUUAUGCCUAACCGGCUAAGCAGCGAAUCAAAAGCCAAGGCUUAAAAAAAGUCAUACAAGUAAAAACUAAGAUAGGUAUUUGAUUAAGCUUGUUCCUUACGUAGGGAAUGAUAUGAUGAUAGCAUUAGAAACUCUUACUCUAUACUUCCGUUUCCUAUGAUAUUCUUUUCUAAAUUAUUAUUUCCAAGAAACUAGCCAUGCAUUAUUAACCCAAUCCCAUGAUUAAACCAUUCAUGCAAAACUGGAGUCCACAUGUAUUCUAUUGUCAGAUGGACUUUGUCAUUGGAAAAAUGCUAUACGUGUUCCUCAAGUCCAAGAGAUGCAAUAAUUUGCCUAGAUGUUAAGUAAAUGGGGGUGUCCCCAUUCCCUCUCAUGUCCCCAUUUAAUGAAGAUGUUGCUGGAUCUAUUACUACCUCAUUCAUUAGUAAUUUGACUUGAGAUUAUAUUAUGUGCCAAAUGUAUAGCCUAAGAGCACAAAUUUUGACAGGCUAAGAUAGAUGACUUUCAGAUUAUGCACCCUAUCAUAUAGUUAAGGCUGUGAAUUAUAACUCUUGAAACUAGCAAAUAUUGUUAAGUGUCAUGAAUAUAUGUAUGUAUGUAUGUAUGUAUGUAUGUAUUGUUGUGAUCUCUCAUUCAAUGUGCUUAUAUUAUGGGCUUUUGUAUUCAUACAUUGCUUGUUCAAAUAUGCAUGCAUACAAUUCUCUUCGCAUUUUUCAAGGGAUAUAUUGAGAAAUAAUCGAAUUGCAAUUCUUAGGCAUUUAGAUAGAUUGUGCAAGGUGAAGCCGUAGAUAUAGUACAUCUUGUAAAAAAAAUGAAAGAGGACUAAAUUGCAUUUACAUCAUUCUCUACUAAGUCCGAACUACAAUCACAAAAGUUUAGUAGUGUUGCCUAUAGUUUUAUAAGCCAUACAUUUUCUCACAUCGCGAUCUUUUAAUUGGUAUUUCAUUAAAUCACAUCUUUUACAAAUGGUAAAAGAUGGUAGCAUUCAGUAUUCUUAGUCUAUACUUUUGUUUUCUAUGACGUCAUUAUUAAAGUUAUUAUUUCCCACAAGGCAGCCAUUCAUUUGUUACCACAAUCCCAUGAUUGAACCAUGCACGCAAAAGUGGGGUCCAUAAGUAUUCUUUUGUCUGAUAGAGCUCUCUUGUUGGAAAAUAGCUAGGUGAGUUGCUUAGGCCCAGCUGAAGUAAUAAUGUAACUAGACAUUAAGGGCGCCAAUAGUAAUCAUUAUAUUUCAGAAAUCAAUUUUUAUUCCAAAAAUAGGAUCGAAUACAAAAAAAUUUCCUCUCAAUUGGCAGCAAUGAAUGGCGAACGUCAAAUGGCGGAUGGUAGCGGCGUCCAGUAGAUGUCGAACAGUGGACAAUCAUCAACACACAUAGACCAACGACUUGCAGACGGCAGCUGUGCGGCCAACGAUUGGCGGCGGCAGAUGAUGAUUGGUGGUGGUGGACAACAAGUGGUGAUAGGCAAGCCACUAGCUAGUAGCAAUGAGGAGCAAUGAGAAGAGUUUUUAUUUUUCAUUUCAAUUAUAAAAUUAGAAAAGUAGAAAAUUUUUAUUUUUCAUUUCUAUUCCAAACUUAUUUUUAGGCUAAAAAUUUAUUUCAAAAAUAGAAAAAAGAGGAAAUUACGUUACCAAACGGAUGAUUAUUAUACCCGUCCUAAAUCAUGGUAUGUCCCAUCUCGAGCCCAAGGUGCUUUUUGAAAAUGCUAAAUAGACGAAAGUGGAGCAUCAAACACAAGAUUUUGGCUACAAUGUGGAAAUAAAUUAAUAAAUUAAUGAUAAGCCAAGAUGGUUAUAACGAGAUCUUUGGCGGCAAAAUAUGCAGAGAAAUCAUGAAAGUUUGAUUGUUAGGUCCAAGCACGCCUCAUGCAGCAAGCAACCACUCAGACCCUAUCAACUUUUUCCAGUAAAAAGUAGCUAUGCUUUGACGCCGCCCUUCCUUCUUCAUCUCUCUUCGUCCUUGCUCUAUUUCGCUCUUUCUUCUUCUUGGCACAACUAUUCUUCCUCCUCCUUCUUUCUCUUCUGCAUCUGCUCCUCCUCCCUCCUAUUGUCCGAAUGGCACGAUAGACAUAUGACGCGGGCACAUUUUGCACUAAACAAUCUACAGUCCCAUGUAUAUGGUUCACAUCAUCAUCAACUCCAUUUGCAUGUUUGACAAAAAGGAUUUGAAAGAAUUAAGUAAAUAUAUAUAAUAUAUGUAUGCAAUUGGAAGAAAAAAAAAGUUCAAAGACCUACUGAUAAUUUUGGCAAAAAGUUCAAUUACUACGAUGCCUAAGUCCCUUAUUAAGUAUCAACUACCGCUUCAAAAUUAGUUCGAGCCAUCAUCUAUUUUUUUGAAAAAUGCAAUGAAGACAACUAUUUCUUUUACCAGUAUUUGCUAAAAUAUGCAUUGUAGCUCACAAGAUAUUACCAUCAUUUGAGGUACACUCGUUUUGGUGAUGAAGUGUCCAGAAUAGCUUUAUUUAACAUGUUGCCCUAUUGAUUCAUGCACGAUGCGCAGAGUCUGCAAAGUACUACUUUGUGGGCCAAUGCCAACACAUGUCCCUCUAACCUCCGUUGAUGUACCAUCAAGUUCCUAUCAAUCUUCACCGAAGAAGAUGAGUUUGUCCGAAAAUCCUCAAAAGGUGCGCCCAUGAGAGUGCAUUGAGUAUAUUCAACGGAUCAAUAAUAUGAUUCUAGCGGACCAUCGGCAAAUACUUUUGAAGAGUGGGAAAUGGAAUAGCUCGUCAAGAAAUUUGAAAGAGAAAAGGACAAAAGUUUUGACAGCUCAACGGGUAUUUGGAGUGAACACCAGCACCGCAUUUUGUGUACCGUGUAAGGCUUCUUGCACGGUGCCUUAGAAGCCUAUAUUAUUGAGUCCACUGUGCACUAUUGGUGUGAGAGUUGCUCUCUCUCUCUCUGAAAAAAAAUCAAAGAAAAUUGUCCAUCGAUGUUGCUGUUCCAGAAUAAUAGGAAAAAUUACAUUAAACUCAUAUCAAUGACUAAUUUUUGAAAGAGCAAUAACAAAGAGACAUUAACAAAGUUCCAACCAUAUCAUCGUAUGGCAAUUUUAUGAUAUUUAUUUCACAUUCUAAUAUGAUGAUUAUGGUUCUCUUAAAAAUUAAUAACUUCAAUUUGAUUUUGUCAAUUGAGUUUUUUAUUUUUAUUUUUCAAGUAAAGAGAAGCCUAGAGGGCCUUUCUAUCAACAAAUCUGCGAAAGAUAAUACAUGAAAAGCCAAGACUUAUUUCCAACUAACGAUUAAUAUUAGGGAUAAUACCUUAAAAAACCCCAAACUUAUACAUUUGUGACAAUUUUACCCAAAACUAUUUUUUUGACCAUGAAAAACCCCAAACUGGUAAACUUGUGACAAAUUUACCCCAACUGAUUAUAAAAAACCAUAAAAUGGUACAUUUAUGACAAAUUUACCCCAAACUAAUUUAUUCGACUGCAAAAAACCCUAAAAUGGUAAAUUUGUGACAAAUAUAUCCUAUGCUAAAUUGGAUUAAUACCACAAAAAAGUCAUAAAAAUUGUAAAUUGUGACAAACAGAACGUAAAAUCCUAAAUAGAUAUGCUGGUUAACUGUCACGUAUCAUUUAACUUAAUAAUUUGAGAAUAAAAUUUAACGAAAACUAACAUAGGGUAAAUUUGUCACAAGUGUACCAGUUUGGGAUAAAUUUGUCAAAAAUAUACAAGUUUAGGGUUUUUGGUGGUCAAAAAAAUAGUUUGGGGUAAAUUUGUCACAAGUAUACCAGUUUGGGGUUUUUUAGGGUAUUAUCCCUUAAUAUUAUUAGACAUAAGGAUCUAAGUUAGCCCAAGUCUAAUGUGUCAAUCACAAGAACAUUAUCAAAACCUGCUAUUCAAUGUAUAAUCUCUAAAAUGGCAAAUCAUCGAGAGCACUCAUCUAUUAAACUCUUAAGGGGACAUCACAUAUCCUCACACAGCAAGGGUUAAUUAAAGUAAAGGGAAAGCUUGUUCAUUUGGGCCUCAUCAAGAGAGUUGUAAGUUUUAGCUUGAUAAUUGGUGACUCUUUCGCUUAAUGGAUCAUUGAUUCAUUGCCCAUGGAGGAGAGAAGUGGGAAAACAAUAUUUAUUGACAAUAAAAGGAAAGAGGCCAGACAAGUGAAGGCACCCAAUCAGUUCAUGCAUUUACAAAUACUUAGAUGUUUUUUUUUUUUUUUUGGUAACCUAGGGAACCUCCGCUUGCCGCUUCGCGGCGGAGAGUAAACCCUGGGGAGACACGUGGGAAACCACCACCCACGUGUCCCGGGUAAGGCGUGGCUAGCACUGAAGCAACGACGACACCGUGGAUCGAACUCGGGAUCUCUCGUAAAAAGUUUCCUUGCUCAACCACCUACGCCACCACCACGGGUGAUUACAAAUACUUAGAUGUUUGUCUGGUAGUUGUGGACGAAAGGACAUGAAGGUAGACAUUGGUGAUGGUGACUGGUCGAGUAAAGGAACAAUAAAAUGCAAAAAUCCAUCUCAGCCUCUGCAACUACUCUCUCUAUCUACCUCUCCCACCACUAACCCUAAUUAAACCAAUCUUUCGUAUAUUUAGAUAGUUGUCCAUGAGCAGUGGAAGAAAGGACAGGUAGACUUGGACAUUAGUGAUGGUGACUAAUCAGGAAACAGUAAAAUGCAAAAAAACAAAAAAAAUCAUCCAUUUCCAUAUAUAUACUUUUUAUGAGUCAUCUAUUUCUAUCACUGAAUCUUUUAUCGGUCUAUUAUCUUUCUUGUCUCGAUGAUGUGACCGACAUAUGGCGGCCUUUUUGUUUUUUUAUUUUUUGGCCAGUGACGACGUGGGGGUAGUCUGCUCAUCACUCUACUUCCCAAGUGGAGCUCUAUCCAUACCCUAUCUCCUCUUUCCUCCUUUGGUUUUUGAGUCAUUCUCAUAUUUUCAACUAGCUGGAUAGCUAGUAUUGAAACUCAGCCGUUUAUUAUAAACUGUCCCAGCAAAAUGUUGCUGUUUUUCGACGCUACCCAUCCUUCGAAAAAAUUAAAAGUGAAAUAAAAAUUAGGUUUAUAAAUUAUGAAAACCCACAUAACUUUACUUGGCAAUAAUUGUAUGCUUUUGAAAGUUUUUAAAACCAAUUUGUGAUUACUGCAAUAUUUGAAAAAUACAUGUUAAAAGUGUUAAGACUCACCACACAUCCCAAGCAUUUAAGAGAAAAGAGAAAAGAGGGAAACUCCAAUUGGAACGAGAGACCACAAAACAAUGUUAGUGGUUACUCGAAUUGUUUCCUAUAUUAAUUGUGUGUUGUAAAGAGUAGCAUUAUUUAAAAAAAAAAAAGUAAACUGAUUUAAAUUGUUUAAUCUACUUAUAAGUUUUGAUCUAACAAUUCUAUAUGAAGAUGCAAUAAUUUAACUAGACAUACGAUAAGGGGGUGCCUCCACUCCAUCUCAAGUCCACUUUUACCAAAGAUGUUCUAAAAGAAAAGCCAAAAAGACGAAAGCAUUGAUUUUUCAAGAAUGACUUCGCAUGAGGAGCAUCACACAUGAGAGACUUUGGCUACAAUGUGGAUUUGAUAGUUAUGCUUGUUUUUUUUUCUAGUUUUGCUAUUAAACCUUUUCAUAAAAAAUGAUUCGGCAUCCAUCUGUUGAUUAGCGACUAUUCCUGCAAAAAAAGUUGCUAUGCGAUUAUUUUUCGACAUUAGCUUUCCUUCAUCCACUUCUCUAUUGGCUCCAUGAAUUUGUCUUGGAUGCUUCACUGAGAAUUGCUUCAUUAAACUGAAAGCAAAAAUUCACAAGGCUAUAAGAGAUAUUUUCCGCUAGUGAGCCUUCCUUCCCACCAGAACCUUUGAAAAAUAGUUAGGAAAAUCUUCUAAAGUCAACUAUAUAUAUAUAUAUAUAUAUAUAUAUAUAUAUGUGUGUGUGUGUGUGUGUGUGUAUGUAUGUAUGUAUGGACACACAUUUCUCACCCCAAUUUAGUUUAAAUCACAUCCCUUUACGUAAGCUGGCCAAAAUAUCCUCCACACGCAUGUGUAUCCUCAAGCAUUAACACAUCCGCCUUUUUUUUUUCAAAAAAUAAAUUUGCCAUUUUCAUUUUCUCUCAAAUAUAUUGUCUUGUAUCUUUUCUUAUUUACUGUAGACCUUUGAUAAGAGAUUCUGAUUUAAAUCUUCUCACUUACUCUUCUGAUUUAAAAUUUUUUUUAUAUAAUAAUUUAUCUAAAAAACAUCUUCAGCCUAUUAAUCACAAAAAAUGGCUGAUUUAUUUCAAAGAUUGGAGCAUAAGCAUGUUCCGGAUUAUCAAACUGCAUUUACGCUUUUGUUGAACUUUUGCUAUAAUUUUUCAUAAACAUCACGACCAAAUCUUCGGUUCUUAGAUUCUUCCAAUUUGAAGUUUCAUCAUUUUGUAGAAGAGGUCGCCUCAACUAGUUAACUUUGUGGGAGAUUUGCUUUAUAUGAACUUAUAGGUUGGUGAAUUUACAGAUAAUUCUCUUCAUUCAAAUGGUUAUGGCCAGUGGUUUUGAGACAUUUGAAAUUUACUUAAUUUUUAUAGCUAAUUGAUUAUUUUACGUUUUAAUGCUAGAAAAUUUGGGAGAUCAUUGGGUGAGUGUUUCAUUUUGAGCAUUUUUUAUUUUAAGUUUGGUUUCUCUGCAUCUCUACAGUUAUUUUAAGAAGGAUAGUUGUUGCUAAACAUAAGAAAGACGGAAGCUCAUUGUUUCAUUGAACUUGUUGACUAUCUAAAAUACAAUUUCAUGUUGAGUAAAAGAAAUCAACAUUUUAUAAAAUAUGGAUUUUAUAUUGAAAAACUAAUGGCUACCUAGGCUCCACCUAAACUAAUAUUGUACACUCCUGAUCAGGUAGAUUACUUAUAUAACAUAAUAUUCUAUUUACUCCAUAUUACUUUCUUUAAUGACGGGUAUCAAUGCAUUGGGGAUAAAGUGACUAUGGGAAUCAAAUUGCUUUUAGAUUGCGUUUACUUUUAGAUAAAACAUAUAAAAGGAUCAAAGAUAAAAAGAAAAGGAUUAAAAAAUCUCAUUUGUGUCUAUAUUAGGAUUACUUUUAGGGAUUAUUUUGAUGGAUGUUUUCGUCUUUAAUAUGUUAGAGAAUUUUUUAGUAGAUAAUUUUCUUUAGCCGAAAGUAGAUUUUGGCUUUGAUUUUUAGCUCACAAGAUAUUCAUGUCUCGCGGUUUAAUGUCGAUGAAAAUGUUAAUAUUAUAAGAAAGAAUAGAGAUGCCUUCUCAUGUAUUUUCCAAGGUGCCACUUGUGCUUUUCUGCCGUCGUAUGUGGGGCACAUUAAAAAUGAGUUAAUGGCAGACCGGGUAGUUACAUGUCACGUGUUCAAUUUGUCAAAAGGUCAAAUGUGGUAAAAGUUAGAACUCCGUGUCACGUGGGUAUGGCCAGUCCUCGUCCAUUCAUUUUAUUUAUUCCGAGGGCGAUGGUUUGAGUGGAAUCAUUUGUUUGCUACUUCAACAGCUGAUAAUCAUCUCUUUCUUUCUCCAUUCGUUGCUAUUCGACGCUUUCCUUCCUUCAACCUGUUUUCGCGCUCAAUCUCUUCGCCUUGUUUGUCCCUUGCUCUGUUUCGAUCUUUCUUCACCUCGGCUCAACCAUUCCUCCUUCUGCUCCUCCUCUUCUUCUUCAGUGUCUGUUGCUCUUUUUCAUCAUUCUCUCUCUGGCUCUCUAUUUUCUCGCUCUUUCUUUCUCAGAAAAAGAAAAAAUCAAAGAAAAAUGUCGGCCGAUUCUGUCGUUUCUAUUGCAUGGGAUGCCUUGAAGAGCUAUGUAUUUGUUCCCAUCAAGCGUCAACUUGGAUACGUGAUCUCCUCCAAGAACUUCGUCGACGGUCUUAGAGAGGAAGCCCGGAAUCUGGAGAACAAGGCUGAGAGGCUCCACAGUGCCGCGGAAGUGGCCAGAAACAAUCUCCGGAAUUUCUACAGGGAGUUCACGGAGUGGGACGCAAGUACUGAGAAGACUUUGAAGGAGGCGGGAAAACUAUUGGACGACUUCGAAAAGGCGACCAAGACUUGCUGCUACGGCACUCUUCCUAACCCCUAUUGUCGCUAUCAGUUCAGCAGGAAGGCCGACGGCAAGAUCGAGGUCAUUAAACAACUCACUAAAAAAUGCAGUGAAUUCAAGGAAUUGAACGACAUCUGCUUCACCGAGCCUGCUCCGGGGAAUGUCACUGCUCUGACUCCAGCCAGGAUAGAGGACAAAGAUGUUGUCCAAUCGAACAUAUCGACGGCCACCAUUUCUUCUGCCUCAAUGUCGAAUAAGCUUAGGGACGAUGACAUCUUCGAAUCCAGAGCUCAAAUCACAAGGGACAUCAAUGAGGCUCUUGCCGAUAAUAGCAAUAGCGUGGUUGGGGUUCAUGGGAUGGGCGGGCUCGGCAAGUCCACCCUUUUGGAGGAAGUCAAAAGGAUAAUAAGCAAAGAGAAGUGGUUUGAUUGGGUCGCUAAGGCCGACGUGUCGAAAAAUCCGGACAUCAAGAUGAUUCAAGGAGAGAUUGCCGAUGCGUUGGGCCUUAGUGAGAUCAAGGACAAGGAGUCCGUCAGCGGGCGAGCGGAACUUCUACAAAGGAGGUUGAGAAAAGAGGAGAAUGACAAAAAGAAGGUCCUCAUAAUACUGGACAACCUGUGGGAGGGGCUCGACUUAGACAAAGUCGGCAUUCCUUGCGGACAUGACAACAAAGUCCUGGGAUGCAAAUUGUUGUUGACGUCAAGAGAUCGUGAUAUUUUGCGACGGAAAAUGGGCUGCGACAAGGACUUCCUCCUCAAUGGGCUGAAGAAGGAAGAGGCAAAAAGAUUGUUUGAGAGGACGGUGGGAGACAAAGUUCAUGAUGACGAGUUCAAACCUUUGGUGAAUGUAGCACUCGACAAAUGUGCAGGUGUGCCUUUCCUAAUUGUUGCAAUGGCGAAACGUUUUAAAGAUGCUAAUUUAUCUGAAUGGAAAGACACUUUAAAAAAAGUCGAGAAGUUUAAAGAUAAAGAAAUCAAUGAUUCAAUACACCAGAUGUUGCAAUGGAGUUAUGAAAAAUUAGAAAAGGAGGUGAAGUCAUUAUUACAACUCUGUGUUGUUUAUGGUACUUCCAACCCUUCUCUUGAAAACUUGGUGAGGUACAGCGUCGGUUUGGGGUUAUUUCAAGAAGUUAGCAGCAUGGAAGAAGCUAGAAAUAGACUAAGCUCACAUAUCCGCACUCUUCAAGCCUCUUCCCUUUUGUUAGAUAGUGAAGAUGUUGAUGGUUUCAAGAUACAUGACUUGGUUCAUGACUUUAUUGUCGAUGUCUCUUUGAGAGAUCACCCUCUUCUUGUGUUGAAAGAUGAAGUCAAGUCAGUAAUAGAGUUGCUGAACGACAAGCCUAGUAAUUAUAUGGCGAUAUGCUUUCCCUACGUUGACAUGGAGGAGCUUCCUCAAAAAUUAGAUUGCCCCGAAUUGUGCGUCUUCUUGUUGUUCACAAACAAUGAAUCUCUUCAUGUCCCAGAUUCAUUAUUUAACUAUACGAAGAAACUCACGGUCUUAAAUCUUACUGGGGUACAUCUUACUCAUUCACCUUUGCCGUUUCAGCUCUUGGAGAACUUACAAACUCUGUGUCUUGAUGGUUGUUUGUUAGAGGAUGUAGCCAUUCUUGGCAAGCUAAAGGGGUUACAAAUUCUCAGCUUUGUGAACUCCAACAUUCAGCGAUUGCCAAAAGAAAUUGGGCAAUUGGUAGAGCUGAGGUUGUUAGAUUUAAACUAUUGUUCAAAACUGCAGAUAAUUGAACCGGGUGUGCUUGGAAGCUUGAUAAAAUUGGAGGAGUUGUGCAUGAUGUAUAGCUUUGAUCAAUGGAAUGCUGGGGAGCUGCCAACUCCACCAACUAAUGCAAGUCUUGUUGAGUUGAAUAACAUGAAGAAAUUGUGCACUUUGUAUGUAUCCAUUCCCGAUCCAAGUGUGCUCCCAAAGGACCUAAAUGUCGAUAAAUUAACCAAGUACCAAAUCCAAAUAGGAAAUGCAUGGCGCCUAAGCAUUGGCAAAGGAUUGAGGAUAUUGGAGUUGAAUCCGACAAGUGAUAUUCUUCAGAAAGAAUGGAUACAAAGUAUCUUAGGCAAAACUGACGCUCUAUGUUUGGAUGAGCACAAUGGAAUUGAGCAAAGUAUUUGCGCAUUAUCCAAAAAAGGUUUUCCAAAAUUAAAGCAUCUACAAGUCAUAAAUAGUCCUUCUAUUCAUUACAUCCACCAAUCGUCAUCACAUACAAAUUUUAAGAGGUUGGAGUCAUUAAUUCUCAAGGAUCUCAUCAACGUGGAGAAGUUAUGCCACAAUCAUAUCUAUUAUAAGUCCUUCAGUUCAUUAAAGGCGGUACAAGUCAAAAGCUGUCACAAGAUGGAAGUUCUAUUUCCUCUUUCAUCACUAAGAGAACUUCCAUGGCUAGAAGAGAUUGAUGUUUCCAAUUGCAAGUCAAUGCAGGGGAUUGUAGAAGCCGAUGAUUGUGGCAAUGUUGAGUUGCAUAAUUUGCAUGUAUUGAAAUUGUGUGACUUGCCAAAUAUCAAGAACUUUUUCAACACCGGGUCAACUCCUUCAAGUAGUAUGCCAAACGACCAAGUUGGCAUGCAAAAUGCAUUCUUCAGUGGGCAACGAGUAAGUUCAAUCAAAAGAAUUCACGCAGAUUAUGGUGCUUAUUUAUUUUUGUUAUUUUCAAUUUAUUUUUCCUAACUACCUUAUCUGUUCAUGUCUUCUCUGUAAUUAGAUAAAAACAAUUAUCCAUUUCUCUUAAUUGUGUAGAAAUACAAGCAAUUAUAUGAAAUCCAUGUAAAUUUGGUUUGUCAUUAGUUUUGAGUUAUUUUUUACUUUCGUGCUGCAAGUAAAUCUGUAUUAAUAAGGUUUCAUAAAGCAAAAAUGAAGGGAAUUUUGGCAUUAAAGUAAUUCCAUAAGCAAAGUAAUUUAUAAUCUUUCGAAAUGGAUUCCACUGAAUUUAGUUAUCAAAUCGUUGUUAUUAUCCACAAAAUGUAUAAUACAAGUGCCUCUCUUAAAAACCUAUACGAAGAAUGGGAAGAAGGGCCAGGUUUUAAAAAUAAAAUCAACUGUGCUAAUAUUAUUGAUGCACUAUUUAAAUAAGCACUUAGUAAUUGCAUAGACCCCAUAACUAUAAGAGUACAAUAUUUUGUGCAUAGGUUUCUUAUAGUGAAUGUAGGCAUUGGCAAAUGUAUGAUUUUUAUUGUGUCACAGCAAAGUUGUCAUUGCAAAUUUGGAAUUCUUGCCGUUGGAGUUUUAAAGUGAUCUUUUCCAUUUCUCUAGUCCAUACGGCGGAAUUAAGGCCAAGUUGUUACAAUAUAAAAUAAUGGAACAAGAUGCCUUGAUGGAAAAUCCACUAUCUUUGACGGGCCUUGUAUUUAUUUUGGCUACUCAAUAUGUCUUUAGUUUAAUUUCCAAAGCUUCAAGUGCUCCACAAUUUAAUCUUCAAGAAAUUUGUGGUGAAAUUUGACUUUUCUUUUUGUUGAGUCCCAUCCAAUUUGAAUUUUAACUUUUAUGUAACUCCAAUAGUUUAUCGGGACAAAUCCACAGUUUGCAUUAAUAAUCCUGUUAAAUUAAUUAUUGAUAUUGAUUUAUUAACGUUAAAGACAAGUUAGUAAGCUAAGGAUAAACAUUUGCCCAAGUAUGGAAAGUGAUAAAUCAACGUUAAAGACAAGUUAGUAAGCUAAGGAUAAACAUUUGCCCAAGUAUGGAAAGUGCGCGGCUAUUUUAUACGGGGAAAGUUGGUGUCAGUGGACCUUGUAGGCUGAUUAGAUAAAAUUGCCCUUUGAUAGCGGUGAUAUUAUCACUGAAGUUGAUGGUGGGGUCCAAGACUCACGCCAUAUAUAAGCUUUCCCAUCAGUAAAAGAUCUGUUCGUCUUUUUUCCCUGAUCGAAGGAACCUUGCUCUCUGAAUUGCACCAGGAAAGGGUACCUGAGCCCUCUCCGUAACUAAGCAGGUCUAGGGCUUCGGGAAUCAUCACUUUUAGAUUUUACAUGAAUUGCAAGACCAAAGUGAUCAAUUCAGUGACUUCUCUAAGUGUACAGCAAUUUCAUUGAAGAAUUUCAUCCAUGUUGUAACUUAAAUAACCGUCUCUAAGUGAUUUAACAAAAGCUAUGUAUGCUAUCCACUUCAUUCUCGGGCUAGCAAAAAAAGCAUAAAUUGUGAUUUGAUUAUUCUAGGAAAUUAACUAAAUUCAAAAGAGGGAGAGAUUUUAUUCAAAUUUGGGAUUAUGAGAGACUACUGUGAUUAUAUGAUAGCAUGAAAACAUUUAAAAAUUACCAUUUUGCCAUUGUCAACAGAAUCCGGUUAGUAUUCCUACUUUUUGUUUUGUUUCCCGUAAUUCCAAUAGCCUCCUCGUCCUGGAGUCGUUGACAUUAGUAUGGAGAUUUCUUUACCAAAUUUGUUGACUUUAUUCUUUUUGCCCUUUUGCUCAACUUAAGAUAGAAUCACCAAUUUCAUGAAUUUGUAAUUUUCAUCUUGGCACGUAUCUAUAUUUACAUCUUAGAAAUUCAUGAUUAACUCAUUCACCAAUUUCGUGAGUGAAUAUCGCAGGUUGCAUUUCCUAACUUGGAGACAUUAUAUAUCACUGGCUUGAAUAAUAUCGAGAUGAUAUGGGACAAUCAAGUUGUUGCGGAAUCUUUCACCAAGCUAAAGUCACUUUGCGUGGAUGAAUGCAAUAAGCUUGUGAACAUUGUUCAUUCUUUCAUUCUAAGACGGCUCUUGAGCCUAGAAAGGUUGGAUGUAAAAACAUGUGGUUCACUUGAAGUUGUUUUUGAAUUUUGGCCACUGAAACAUCUAGAUGGACAUCCUAUUGCUCUUCCAUUAGAAGAGCUGACAAUAUCAGCAUUAUCAAAGCUAAAGUGUGUAUGGGAUAAGGAACUCCACUGUCAAGCUAAAUUCCAAUGUCUACAAUCAAUUAGUGUUUCUAAAUGUGAGAGCCUCACCUCUCUGUUUCCAGCUUCAGUAGCCAAAGAUCUCAUGCAACUUGAGGAGUUGAAGAUCGAUGAAUGUGGCAUUGCAGAAAUCAUCGAAAAGGAAGAUGGACUAGUUCCCAGGUUUGUAUUCCCAAUGUUAACCUCCCUUGAGCUUGAGUAUCUGAGAGAGUUGAAGUGCCUCUACAAAGGAACACAUACUUCCCAUUGGUCGGCAUUGAAGAGCUUGAAGGUGCAUGGUUGUGACAAAGUGGAGAUACUUGCAUCGCACCUUGAGAAUGAGAUGCCACUUGAUAAACAGCCUCUCUUCUUGAUAGAAAAGGUAUGGCCCAAGAUUACUUGUUUUGUUUUGAUGGUGAAUAUUUGAAGUGAUGAUUAAGGUUACAACCAAGCAUCUCAUACAAGCAGCUCUACAUAGAAGAUGGACACUAUACGACUCACCUUCAAUCUAUGAAAAUAUUUCAACAUCAAAACAUCACAUGUUCUUCAAGUGCUGACUGAACAUUCUUGUUAGAUGUAUCCAAUGCAUUGUUGUUGGUCCACUUUUAAUAAAGGUUUAGGCUAAUUCCAAUAGUUUUGCUAUCUCCUAAGUGCCAUGAAGAUGAAAACACGUGGCACAUGUUGUGAUCUUAGUAUGGUACAAAUGUGUUGUCCGACUUGAAUCCUUUAAUGAUUACUAAUGUUUUGCUAAAAACAGAAAGAUGUGACAUUAUUGUUGAUAUUAAUCACUGAAAUUGGUGCAACUGUAAUUGACAUAGAAGUUAUUUUCACAAGGGAUUUAUCUUUAGAAUCAUGAAUGUAACAAGUAACUUAAACUCAAAUAUGGAUACAAGUUGAAUAUAAAGAUCAUUGAUAAUGUUUAUUUGAUGUAGGCACAUUUCCUUUUAUUGAAUCAUGUGAGACUAAACAUUUUAUAAAUGUAAUUUUUGCACGCAACAUGCAGGACUUAUAUCAUAAUACAUGAAUGCUAUUUUAACCAAUCUGGCUUUAAAUUCUGAUUUGACUAUUUUUUCAGGGCGCAUUCCCUAAUCUCCAAGAGUUAAAGUUGGAUUUAUCGAAACGGAUGGAGAUAUGGCAUGGGCAUUUUCAUGAUGGACAAUUCUUUUGCAAGCUUAGUUUGCUUAAGCUUUGUCAUCUCUCCCAAGAGUCUUCAAUAUCCACAUGUCGCUUUGUUGAGAGUUUAACCAACUUGGAAGAGCUUGUUGUAUGUGAAUCUUAUCUAGAAGACCCAAGUAGCAAUGAGGAAGCCAUAGAAGGCACGAGUCAUGAGAUGAAAGUAAUAUUACCAUUUUCAAGAUAUAUUCGACAUCUACAAACUCUAGAUGUGUCACAUUGUGAUGGGUUAUAAAAAAUGUUCACACCGACAAUUGCUGAAAAUUUGGUGGCACUCACAAAAUUGAGGAUAAGUAAUUGUAGAAUAUUGAUAGAAGUCAUUAAUGAUGAGAAAGGUGGGGAUGGCCGUGUGGUGGCUUUCAAUCAACUGAAGUAUAUGGAGCUUGAUGGGUUGAUAGGGUUGAGAAGUUUCAGCUCAGGUGGAUACACUUUGAUGUUCCCGCUCUUGGAAGAUAUCAUUGUGACUAGAUGUCCCAACAUGAAGUUUUUCUCUCAAGGACCGACGGAGGCAUCAAAGUUAAAGAGAGUUCAAGUAUCAAAGGAAGCGUGGUUUUGGGCAGGAAACCUCAACAUCACCAUCCAUAAUAUGUUUGAAGAAAUGGUAUGCACUAGUUACCAAAUUCCAUGUAUUUGGAUGGUUUUGAUCACUAAAUGAAUAAUAGCUUUUUGCUAGCUAGAAGUUUAUGCUUAACGAUGCAUUUUUUUUUAUAGGGCACGUUUGCUGGAGUAGAGAAAAUGCUGCUAUCUGAGUUCCCUGGGUUGAUUGGAAAAUGGCACAAUGAACUUAAUCCCAUCAAGUCGUAUUGGCAACUCAAAUCAGUGGUGGUAGAUAAAUGUCCAUCAUUUAUUAACGCUAUUCCAUCCAGAUUGAUGCUUGUCUUAGACAAUUUGGGCUAUUUGCAAGUGCAUGAUUGUGAGUUGCUUGAAGAAAUAUUUGAUUUGGAAGGGCUGGAGGUUGUGGAAAGCACUCGAGUACUACCUCAGCUAUGGGAAUUGAACUUGGUCAAUCUACCAAAAUUAAGGCGACUGUGGAACAGAGAUCUUCAAGAAUCGCUAUGCUUCAAUUCUCUAGAAAGUCUCAUCCUUUAUAAUUGCAGCAACUUGGGACAUGCUUUCUCUCCAUCAAUGGCUCAGUGCCUUGCCAAUCUUAAAGUAAUGGAAAUAAAGGAGUGUGGUCAAAUGGAAGGAGUGAUCGUAGAGGAAGAAGCAAAGGGAAGCGCAACGGAGAAGAUUACAUUCUCAAAGCUCCGGCAGAUGACUAUGGAAUACUUGCCCAAUUUGACUUGUUUCCUCUUGGGAAAAAAUCAUAUACUGGAAUGCCCCAAAUUACAAAAGAUGAUAAUUGCCCAUUGCCCCAAGAUGGAAAGUUUGAUUGGGCAAUCUCAGAUGGAGGAUGACCACAGCACCCCUUCAUUUUUCACUUCCCAGGUCAGUCUUUCAAAUAAAUGCGUCUUUGGUGUUUCAUUGGGACUUGUUCUCGUAGUAUUGGACAAUGCACGGUAUGAUGCAAAUUUUGUGCUUGUGCCAAUUUAUAUACAUAAUCUUCUAAUAUUUAAGAUGAAGAUUAAAAAUAUUCUAAUCCUCAAUAAAUAUUACUAUUAUAUGUACAUCUCUAUAUCCUAUUAGAAGUGUUAAGUUGGUGUAAGUUUAUGAAAUCAUAUCAUAUGCAGUACUUUAGAAUUAAUCAGCGAGGUUCCUAAAAAAGUUAUCGCAAUAACCAUAUAAAAACAUUUACUUUUUGCAAUUUCAAUUAUAAAGAACUAAAACAGAAAACUUAGAAUGGCAUCUAAAAAUGGCAGAAAAAAUAUUAAGUAUCGCCCCUUCAUAUUUAUUUGCGUGGAAGCAAACUAUUGUCAUUCUAUUAAACAUGAAGAAAAGGGAAAAGUAAAACUUCAUAAUUGUAAAAGCCAAUUUCACAAAUUGCUUAACUAUUAUAGCUCAUUAUACCAUAAUUAGUGGAGCCAACUUUUUUAUUUCUUAAUAUUCACCGAUGCUUGAGCUAAGUCUUGAUAAAAGGAAAAAAAAGGUCAAUAUGCCUGAAGUGGUUAGCCUUCCUUGUUCGUAAAUCAUAUUUGAAUUGCUAUGCUCCAACAACCUAUCAAAUUAUGCACCUAUAUUGUACAAUAAAUAUUAAUUUUGGAUUAUUAUAUUGAGUGAUAAUUAGUGUGAUACCGUGCACAAUCUAUAUUUGGCAAAAGAAAAUGCAUAUUACUUUUUCCAGAAAAAAGAAACGGCUAAAAAAAGGAAAAAAAAUGAAAGAGAAAAAAUGACAGCUGGAUAAUCCAAGGGCGGUUGCCAACAUUGCAAGUCUUAUUUCAAAACUAGAUGACAAUAUUUAGUCAAUGUCCUAGCUAAAAUAAAUUUUUUAAAAAUCGGAAUAAAUUAUCCAACCAACAACACCACCCAAGGGAAAAUAUUAGGUGCAUUAAAUACACUGCCUAGGAUUCGUAUUGAAUCAUCCGCAGACUGACACGUGACAAUGCCGGACCCACUUGUCAGUUGAACCGUUAAAAUUUUUGCUCCCCCUUUCUCUUCAAUAACGGCCCAUCACUUGAAAGCACUACUCUCCUCUUCCUGGUAUGGCUCUGCUCCCUCUCUCUCUUUCCUCUGCGAAGGUGCAUCUCUAUACUUGAACCACACCACCACCUUGGCCUCCAUCAAUUGCUGUGCGCUCACCGGACAGGAAAAAAAACAGAAAAAGGAAAAAAUUAGACAAAGUCUAUUUGGGGUUUUAGACUUCUCCCCCCUUAAGAAUUGUUCUCUCUCAGCCAUUUCAGUUCACCUUGAUCUUCCUUUUUGCAACGAGGAAAAGAAAAAAGUGAACCAAAUCUACAGAGUCAAGUAAUAGUAACUCUUCUUUCUUCCCCUCGCCCCCCUUCCUCUACUUUCUUUCUUUGGGCCGAUUGAUUGGGUGGUCCGUCCAGUGGUUGAAUCGGAAGCUUCGGAAUCGCUUCUCUGAAGCUCGCCUCCUCUCUGCACGCGUGCAUGCGUGGGUUCCGAGCGAUUACGCGAACUGGAGCUUGUUGGUUAUGGUGGAUCGAGGUGGAUCUCCGAUGCGGAAGCGAUUUCAGCGUCGAUUCGGUCGGGGCGUUGAUUCCGGCGAAGAAAAAUUAAAAAAAAUCUUCUCUUCAGCCCUCUCUUCCUCCUCCUUCGUCCACAGCUGCCCGACCUUCGCUCCUCCUCCGCCGUCGCCAACGGCGAAGUCACCAGCGCCUUAAUUAGGCUGACCCUUGCUAUGUCCAAGCCGAGCAUGGCCGUCUUCCUCUGUUUUGUCCGCCUCAUCGUUCUACAGAUCUUGAAAUCUAGCCGUCCAUAGCGACGGAGUUGCAGAUCUGGAAAUCGACCACCGUCGCUCGUAGCCAUGGACGAGCCGCUGUCGCUGUAGCCAUGGUUGCAGAUCUGGAAGUCCCGUCGCGAGUAAUGACGGCUUAUGGACCACGGUCGGCUCGUGGUCGGCCCCAUCCAUGGCCGAGCCACCCCUCCAUCGUCACAACUGCUUGUGGUCGUUGCCCGUCCUGAUCUGGACUGGAGUUGUGCCUCCAGAUCUGGUUUCGUCCAUGGACGCAAGCCUAGCUCGUCCAUGGCUAGCGAGGAGGCUCCCCCAAAGAUCUAGCGACCACUGCUUGUCCAUGGCCAUGAGCCUUGACGGCGAGUUUGAGAUCUUGACGGCUAUGGAUUGCGAGAUCAAACGAAAGAAAAAACAGAGAAACAGAUGUCAGGGAAGAAUGGCCAUGGAUGAGAGGCCGGAGCUUGAACGCAGCCAUGGACGAGCGGCGUCAUGAACGGGCAGACCACAAAGACAACGGAGAGGGUUGGACGCCAAGCAAUAGUCGCCUUGGACGCGGCGCCGGGAACUCCGCCGGUGGCGACGGCGGAGGGAGGCGGGAAGGUUGGGCUCAAUGUGGAUGGAGAUGGAGAUGGAGAAGGAAAGUGAGGUGGAUUGAGAUUUUUAAUAUUUAGUCAAUGUCCUGGCUACAUAAAAAAUUAAAAAUAAUAGGAAUUGAUCAUCCAGUCAACACUUUCAUUCCGUCUCAUGAAGUUCUCCUCAUGUGAAGACUAAACGCAAUAAAUGACAACCUCCUCCGCCACUUCUCUUUUUUGGGUCGAAUCCUCAGGCACUUGAAAAUGCGCGAUAUCGACCCAAAUUUGAUUGUUUUGACCUUUUUUUUUUAUUACAGAUUCCAUGCAAGUUUUGUUUUGUUUUUUUUUUCCCUGACGGAGGAAUUUUUUUUUUAUUCUCAUAAUUCUGCGCAAUUCUUUCUAUUGUUUUAUGUGAGUAGAAUGUUUAAUUAUAACAAGUAUCUACACAUUUGUUUACUUUUUAAUUUUAAGAAUUAUCACUAAUUAUUUAUUUAUACUGUCAUUUGCAUGUAUAAGUUAUAUAAUACCAAGCCCCGCAUUCUAAGAAUAUUUCAAAAAGUCAUUAUAACACUCAAUCAACAAUACUAAUAAAUUUGGGAAAGUAUGAAAAUAGUCAUCUAAUCUUUUGGUAGUGAUAAGUUGUAAUAGCGUUAAUUUCAUUUUAAUAUCAAAUAUGAGUUGUCAUAUACUAAUUGAUAGAUUUAAGGAAGUGUGGAAAGUCAAUUUUUUUUUUUUUUUUGGUGACAGGUCGUAAUUGCAUUAAUUAUAUUGUAACCAAAUGAAAAAUAUAAAUACUUACUUUUCAAUGAAUAAUUCAUUGGAGGUCAUGAUGUAGUAAAAAAAAAUUUUGAUUUUCUCCAUACAAACAAAAUGCGAUCAACGGGUGCACACCCACUUUUUGCCAAGGGGUGGAUCACUCGGUACACUGCAAGAUUCUAUUUUAUUUUUCCACCUCAAAUUUGAAUAAAUAUUAUUUCGAGGGUGUUAUUAAUGGUCCAAUGUAAAACUAGUAAAUUGACCCAACUUGUUUUUGCUGAGAUCAUAACAUUAUGUUAUUUAUUCAAGUCGUUAUGUUGCCCAUGCCUAUUAAGAAAUUAUUUUCUUUCAAUACAAAAUUUUUCCAUACAUAAAAAAGAAAAAGGUUGUGAACAAUUGAAGUCACUAUAUUUUUUUUUAUAUCCGGUUCACCAUAUAAAUUUCAUGACUAUUUUCUUUGGUCGAUGCUGAACGUACUAUUGAUUUAUAAAAGCAUUUAUAAUUUCAUGCUUGUUGCAAUGCAAUAUUCUUGGCCUUAUUCUUCAGUCAAAUUGUAUAAAAGCAUCAGCCAACCCCUUUCUAUUUAUGUCACUAACAAAAUCUUAACUUCUCAUGAUUUGUGAGAACGAGGGAAGUCUAGAAAUUCCUUCUUUAAGGUCAUAACUCAAUGCAAUCACAUUCAUUGUGUCAUUUUUUUUUUCUCAAUAUGGCAGGUACAAUUUCCUAAACUUUGGUCGAUGGAUCUCUCCCACAUGGACAAUUUAAGCAAAAUAUGGACUGACGCUCCUCAAGAAACUCUAACUUUUGAUUGUUUAUUGGAAGUGGAGGUUCGAAACUGUAAGGGACUUGAAAAUUUGUUUCCGUAUUGGGUGGCUACAAGUUUAACCCAACUUGGAAAACUUCAAGUGGAGUCUUGUGAGAUCGAGGAAAUAGUCGCUAGUGGGGAUGACAGUCCACGCUCCAAUACUACUCAAGAUCUUUUCUCAAAACUAACCUCUCUGGUGUUACAUGACAUGCCACGACUCAAGAGCUUUUGUCCUAACUUGCCUUUGAAUUUGCCAUUAUUGGAGGAAUUACGAGUGACUCAUUGUGAAAAACUGAGCAUGUUAUCCUUUGUGGCAUCCAUGAACAGAUGGGCUCAAAGAGAUGAUCAACAAGACCUUUCAGAUCAAGAAGCACACUCUUCAUUUGAGAGGGUAUGAUUAUAGUUGCUCUCCCUUAGUUUCUACUUUGUUCUUUAAAGCAGUCACUAAUAUCAUAUCCAUUGCAUAUUAUGUCGCGUUAUGAUGUUAUAGAAAACAUGAUCUCCCCUACCUAUUAGUUUGUUGACAACAUUAAGAUAUUUCUAAUAUCUUACGUACACUUCCAUUUGUGGACAUGCAUAAGAUAUUCCAUUACCUAGAGUUACUAAAAAAUUUACUAUUCUAUUGAUAACAGAAUAUAUUCCUAAUCUAACCUAAUGGUGCUCUUGGGCGACAUCAAUAAGGAUUUGAUGAGAGGUCCUCUCCAUUAUUGACACGUGUUGCACACUUGAACUUUUCUUCUCUAUUUCAUUUUCUAUAAACUCUAAAAAAAUCAAUUCAAACAAUUUUUUUUAUAACAAAAAUAACGUUAGUACCUUAGUGCACUAUUUUCUACUGUAUUUUUUAAUACACUAGUCGUCAUGUUAUCCUGUUAUAAUACUAUAGAAAACUAGAAUCCCUUUCCUAUAAGUUUGCAGACAACAUAAGAUAUUUCUUAUAUCUUAAGCAUACUUCUGAAUUUAUGGACCCCAUAUGUUUUAGUGACAUCUUGAGUGCAUCCCGUUACAUAAGAUUCCAAAGAAGAUAAAUUUUUGUCAACAAGAUAAGAUAUUCCUUACAAAAGAUGAAUUUAGUGAGUGCAAGGAUCUUGAAUUUAGAUUCACUCUAUCCACUUGACCAGACCAACCUCUACAUGAGACUUUUAAAAGCUUGAGUCUUGAACACAAGGUUCUUGAGAUAUAAUGAACUUUAAGAAGAGGACCACUUUCCAUGCGAAUCAUCUUAAUAGGUUUACCUUUUACAGCACGUGAUUUAUUGUCGAAACUUUGUUGAAUUUACUUCUCUUGUUGUAUUGGCAAUUCGACAGGACUUUCCCAACUUGGAGAGACUUUUAUUAGUCAAUAACAAUAUUCAGAUGAUACAAGAUGGAAAUUUUUCGGAUGACAUGUUCAGUAAGCUAAAAGCACUAACACUAGCAUGCUUUCAUGAUAAAAAUGCUGCCUUUCCUUCCAUAUUCCUCCUAGAGAGAUUUCAGAAUUUACAAAGCCUUGAAGUCUUCUGUAGCCCCUUUGAAGAUUUAUUCCCGAACGAAGGGCUUGUUGAAGAAAGGAAACAUCCGGUGCUUGAAAAUUUAAGAGAACUUAAGUUGAACAAGCUACACAACUUAAAGUGUGUGUGGAAAGAAGACUCUUUAGUGUCGAAAAUUCUUCAGAGCAUCAAAACAUUUCAGGUUUGGGAUUGUCCCUGUUUGACAACAAUAUUUCCAACCGAGACAUCCUUCUAGAAUCUGACAAAUUUAGUGGUGAAGAAUUCCUCUGGAUUGGUACAUCUAGUAACGACUUCAGCAGUCACAAAUUUGGUACAUCUCACUUAUAUGACUAUAAUAGGAUGUGAAAGAAUGAAAGAAAUAGUGGCCGACGAUGGAAACGGAGAAGGAAAAGUGAUUUCUUUUGAAAAGCUAAGUUCGUUGACACUUGAACAUCUGCCAAACUUAGAAUGCUUCUCUUCCAUCCCAAGUUGCAUCUUUAGGUUCCCAUCUUUACGGGAUAUUGAAGUGGAAGAGUGUCCGAAAAUAAAGAACUUUUCUAAGGGUACAUUAAGCACACCAGAACUAGAUUAUGUGUCACUGUUCAGAUACAAGUGGGAAGGGAAUUGGGAGAAGGGUGAUGAUCUCAAUACAACCAUACAGAAGUUAACAGCAUAAAUCAAUGCACAUAGAAUUGGUAAGACCAAUUGAUGUCAUUCUCUCAUCCAUUUUUUUUUUCUUUAGUCUUUCGGCAGCGCCGCAACUUUUUAAAAUUUUUCUUUUUGUGACUUUUCUAUUAUUGAUUUCGUCAAAUCAACAUCACCGUCAACCCUAUCGAUGGAUCUCGGCUCAUCCUUAACUGAACAGUAGGAAGCAAAGCGGGUCUCUCCUUCUCCUUCUUGACGCCAAAGGCUCUUUCUCCAUCUUUCUUCUUCUUCUUCCUCCUCCGUGGAGCGAAAUUGGGGGAAGCCUCUGCUGCCUUCACAAAGGACGGAGCAAAAAUGAAGCAUCAGGAAUUGCCAGGACUGCGAGAAGCGAAGCUGCAAUUAGCGGAGCGGAGCCAAGUAGAUUCAACUAGACGCUGUCGUUGUCGCCGUCGUCACCGCCGGAGGUGGCACCACCGAGUCUUGACAGUUUGUCGUCCACUCACUUCAUCAAAGAAGAAGAAGAUCACACUCUCUCUCCGCAUCUGUAUCCGACAAAUCGUAAGUUCAUGUUUCUUCCGAUUUUGGUGUAUUAUUGUGCGUGAAUUAGGGCUCUCUUCUUCAAAUUCGUUCCACAUUCGAGUCUAAAAACAGGAGUUACUCAAACAAGCAAUAUAUUGCCCUUAAAUCUACAUCUUCUGUGCUGCCCUCCCGAGCAUUGGCGAGAUUUCUGCGUGUUUGAGCUCUCAUAGAUGGAGAUGAUAUAUUGUGUUCAAGGUCUCAUGUUGAAAUUUCUUUGGGUAGAGAUAUCUCUGUAACAUCAGGUACAAAUUGCUAUCAUGAAGAAGGGAAAAAUCAUGGAACUUGAAAAUAUUCCGAGAAUUCCAUGCGUUGUCAAAAAUAUGAAAAGUCACUUUUACGCCUUGAUCGUAAUAUAGUCUGGACCGUCUGAGGAAUCACUUGUAAUCUUGAUUGGUUAAGUGAUGCUGGAAGGAUAAAAUUUAUUUCCAAUUUAUGCUAAAAUCUUUUUCAUAGCAAGUCAAACUAAUGAAGUGUACUUAAACUAUCUCUAAAGUUGUCAUUUUUUAAGUACAGGCUGGUCCAAACAUUUGAGCAAAUUGAGGCAUCCUGAGCUGGUUUUUUAAGGUCCCAUGCGCCCAAGGCCUCUCACUGCUCUUACAUCGGCCAACAAAUUUCAAAUGGAGCAUCCCAAUGGAGCAUUCCUUUUUCAAAGGUGGUGAGGAGGCCCUCUUAUGUUGACUUUGGCUUGGUAUGAUUCCACGCUCAUUGACCCAAACUCGCAUGUCUGAAAAUCAAACAUAUGGAUGCUGUUUAUAUCUUUGCUUAUACUCUAGUGUAUUUCCAAGUUGACUUAAUGCAGUAAACAACAUGACAUGUUAUAUUCCUUGAAUUGUUCAUGGGUAUAUGUUUGAAACCAGGUAUAUGUCUUAACAAUGGAGUAAUUGAAGCAGGGGAAACAAUGAAAGGACGGUUAGUGGGACUUAAACUGGUGGUCGAGGUUUGAAAGAAUAACAUUUGUCCCCUUUUUGUCAAUACAUGUGUUGGAAAGCAAUUGCUGAGGCAAGUCCAAAGAAUUAGAAUCCAAUUCCUCUUAUAUGGAGGAACUUGACAAUGUUAUUCAAUGCUGUAAAAGUAGAAUAUAUAUGUAAAUCACACGAGGAGACUAGUUGAUACGGACAAGCAAAUUGCAAAGAAUGUCACUAUCUCCAUAACUAGAGGGAAAGACCUGAAAGAUAAGGGGGUGGCUAGUUAUGGUUCUGAAAUUUCAUUGUAGAUCUAAUGACUGAUAACUUUGUUUUCAAAUAGGAGAUACUAUUUUAUUUUUUUACAUUAAUCGGAAAUUUGAGAAAAAAAGAUGAGUUUACUCUGUCAAAUUGAUUCAGUAUUUUGAUAAAAUUUGAGUUGCGCUUGAAAUAAUUGAACAGCUUAGAUUAAAAUUUUUCACUUCCAUCCGUGUUCCGAUCAUUGACGUCUUUGCCUUCUCCCCUGCUCUUGUGGUUUGUGUGGCUUAAAUUCAUCGUUUCAAAUAUAUAUGGGACAUGGAAGGCUUUUUCUGGUCAUGUACCCUAUUGCUUCUAGGAGCGUAUAUUUUGAUAUUUGACUUUGGGUUGUAGUCUGAGAUUGUCUACUAUCAUUAUAAGGUUUAUUGUCAAUUAAAACUCCUAAAAGUAGCAACUACUGCCUUAUAUUCACGCUGUGUGAUUAGAUUCUCUCAUUAGUGUAUGCUUAUGUUUUGGUCUUUCUUCACCAUAAGUUGGUUUUCAACCUCAUAAAUGAGGAGACUACUCCUGUUCAAUUCAUCAGGCAACAUAAUCAGGAAAACAAGCAAAUUGCAACUCUCAGGUAUUCAGACGGGUCGUGGAUGGUGAAGCUCAGGAGCCAUGGACUUUUUUUUCGUUGCUUGACACCCAAUUGCUAGAGAAGCUCGUUUGCAUUUAGGAGAUGUUUGUGUGUUUGAGCUCAUUGAUAGGGGGGAUGUGUGUUUAGAGUCUACAUUUCCACUAGUGCUAGUAAGGACUUGGUUUACAUUUACCCGAAAUGAAUUUUGGAAGUGUCACUUUAGAUAAUCCAAAAUAAAUUCAGUAUUCAUAGUUAUAUCUCUUUGUUUAGUCUUGGUGAGUCAAUGAAGUGUACGUCUUCCAUUCCCAUUGGGUUUGUGAGUUUCAUAAUAAUCCAGAUGCACACUCAUUAAUGCUACAUCCCAGGUCUAAAUUAACCAAAAAGAAUGUGCUUCAAUGUGAAAGCGAAAAUUAUAACCUAAACGCUCAGCAUGAGAAUUUAGAGGUGUGACUUGUUGGUUUCUAAGUUGCGCUUUUCUGCACAGUGUUGCAUUCUUUUUCUUGGUCCGUCUCAAAAGUUAUGAAAUUUUCCUGAUAAGAUUUUGUAUAUUGAUGGGUGACAUUACGAUUUAGGAGAUGCCAAGUGUAGCUAAUGUGUUUUGUCUAACGUGAAAAACAUGUAAACGUUAGUAACAUGAUUGGAUGCAUUGAUUUGUAGAUCGUUGUAACUUGACAGAAGGUUUACAGCAGUACCUAUGAAAACUCUACUUUUUCUUUUGUGCAAGUUGGACCAAACAAUCUAAAUGUCAAGUGAGCCCCCAUGAGCAGUUUUGCAUGGUUCCGUGUUUCCGCGGCCUCCCCUGCUCUUGAAAAAACUAGAAAAUUUGAAUCGAAGUAUCCAUCUCUGAAAUUGGUGAUGUGGCCACUAUUAUUAAGGAUAGAACUGCGGUAUGGCCCGUGUCCUUUCAUAAUUGGCAUAGCUCAACCAUGACGCCUUCUACAUCUUUCCCUUUAGUCCACUCUUUUCCCAAGUCGUUUUGGUUUUUCAUAGGAAUCAAUGUUAUCUUCCUUGGAGUGUUCAUGGCUUUAUCUGUAAAACCGGGGCAGUUUUGAUUUUGAAAUUUUAUUUUUUAAAUUUAUGGAUUCAUAAGAUUACCAAUUCUAAAAUGAAAGAUUCUAUAUUUUUUUUUUCCAGUAAUCAAGUGUAAAGAAGAUUACUAUUAUAUAUAGACUAAGAGGAUGUGGUGGGGACGAUCAGUGUUAGCAACUCUUGAACUUUUGCCAUGAGAGUUAAAAAAUUAUGUACACUACCGUAGAGUCUACAAGCACUGUAUUGUGAAAUCUCAACUUCAAGUUGCAAGUUGGGAUUGAAGACUUCUAUUACCCAGUUAACACUAUUAAUUGAACUCCCUGAAACUAGUAAAUACUAGCAUAAAUUUACAUUUUGUUUGCGUUUUCCGUUUAUUAUUUCUUUGUAUUUAUUCUUUUCCUCAUUAUACUACAUUGGUAGUGUUCCUUGUGAAUUCAUAAAGAAACAUUCAGAAGAACUAGCAAAUUGCAACUCUUAGGUAUUUGAACAAAUUAUGGCUGGUGCAGCUCAAGACCUAUCAACUCCAUUAUCCAGCUGGUCGGGCCGCAUUUGUGAAAGAAGCUUAUCUGGAUGAAGGGGAUGUCCACAUGUUUGAGCUCAUUGAUAGGGACGAUUUUAUGGUCAAUCUCCAUCUCCAAUUAUGCUAGUAAGGACCUCAUUUAGGUUGAUUGAGAUGGACAUUGGAAGUGUUGCCUGCAAGUAAUUCAUGUCUUUUUUAUUCAGCUAUGACGAAUCAAUUGGAAGUGCACUUACUUUUAGCUUUGCGUCUCUUUCUUGACCUGCUUACAGUCUUACCAGAAUUCUCCUCUUUUUUUUUUGGGUGCAGGUCAGAACAGAUAGUCUAAAUGUCCAGUGAGCCCUCUUGAACAGCCUUUUCAUGGUUUCAAUUGUCUGUGGCCUCUCACUGCCCUUUAGAAUGCUGGAAAAUUCAAGUUAAGAGUAUCCCUUUUUCCAGAUGGUGACAUGGCCAUCGUUUCUUAAGAAAGAAAUAAUGGUGAGGCCCAGAUCUCCAUUCAUAACUGGCAUAUCUCAAUUAUGAAUGCGACCUAUCUUAUAUAUGUGCCCUAUUGUGCAAUUUUUUCUUGCAUUAAUUUGCUUUCUAUAGAAACACAGAAUAUAUUAUCUUCCUUGAAGUGGUCAUGGUUAUAUGUUUAAAACAGGCUCCUUAACAACUAAAGGGACUAGGGAAAAACAAUAAGUCGGACAGUAAUCAGGAAAUUACCUAGUGAUGGGUGUGGAGACAAGGUCAGAGGGUUGAGACAGGCAAUAACAACCAUAAAUUAGGAAUUUAAUGAUUUCUAAUUGAAGUAUAAAUUCUUCCCAAAGAUGACUACUUGGUACUUUCUCUGUCUUCUAGUUUAAGUAUAAAUUCCUUCCAAAAAUGACUACUUGGUACUUUCUUUGGCUGCCUAGGCUUGGGAAGAAGAGGCAACACGAAAUGUCCAGCUUAAGCAAUAGCUAUUGCAACAAGCCUAGGCUUGGCAUGACUAGGCUCACUGCAAUAGCACGGCAACACUAAUCGGAUAUUGCUCCCUGGCAACAAAUGGUUUACAAGAGCUACUAUUGCAAGCAGGUUCAAACUUGCGAUCAGAAAUGAAGCGAAGGUAGUGUGGCCCUAGACCUCAAAAAUUAGUCCCACCACCUCCGUGGUAUGAAAAAAAGAAAGGCAGCUAUUUUUUUUUUUUUUUUGCCAGGCGAAUGAAGAUCACUUUUUGUGUAUAUGUAUCCAUCUAGGAUGCUAGGUGUAGCUUUUCAUGUUUGUUCAAUGCAUAUCGCGAUGCAAGAUUGGUGACUUGGAAAUCCACCAGAUUUGUGCAUGUCUCUAUAUUGAUCACACGUACUUAGUGUAGAGUCUAAGAGCACAGGAUUGUGAUAUUUUGAUUUCAGAUUGCAAGUUGUGACUAAAGACCAUCUCAUCAAGCCUUUUAGACUGCUAAUACAGAUCUCUGGAAACUUCAAAUAGUAUCAUAAAUGUACAUCUUGUUUGCCUUUUCACUUUAGUGUAUGCUUACAUUCCUUUGUCUUAUCAUACAUUGACUGGUCAAAUGUCUUCAUGGGCAGAGCGUUCCUUAUGAAUUUAUAGAGACAUGCAGUCAAGAAUACCAGCAAAUUGUUACUCUUAGGUAUUCAGACACAUUGUGGCUGGUGACCAUCAGGAGCUAUGAGUGCUACGCUGCAGUGAACUUCUCUAUUGGUUGGUCCAAGUUUGUGAGAGAAACUUAGUCUUGAAUGAAGGGCAUGUCUGCAUGUUCGAGCUCCUUGAUAGGGAUUAUUUUUAGGUUGAAUUGGGAGGUGAACACUGGAAGUGUCACUUUAGGCCAUAUACUAGUUAGAAGCGAUCUCUGCCUCUUUUCUGUUGUGAUGAACCGGAUGAAAGUCCACUUUUAUUUCUGACUCUGCUUUUUUCUGAACUAGCUACAAACUUAUAAUUUCUUGGCCUAGCCACUCCAUUGAUCGGAUAUUGUGAUGAAUAGCCUUGCACACAUUUUCUACUUUGGGUAUUUCUCUUGCGCUUGUAACGCUUUUAUCAUUGCCUUCUUGGAAAGGACCUUAGUUCAGCAUUAUCAUGGUUCUGGUUAUUCAACCUGGUUUCGUAGAACAAAUGAAAUUUAUGCAGUAUGCCAUCAGUCAUGGUCACCUGAUAGUUUUCAAAGAUGGGAGAGAUGGACUCUAUACUCAUGUAAUUGUAUUUGAUUAAAGUGCUUAUAUAGAUACAUUAUCCUUUCAAGCAAGAUGAAAUAUAAAACCAAGAUGGCGAAUUCCUCGAGAAGAAAAUGGGAAGAAUCCAAAGACCUCACGGACCUUGAAGAUUCAGAGGGUUCCUGGCCAUGUUGGAAACCAUUGGCUAAACUGCAAUUACCUUCUUAUCUGCCUUCUACGGUGAUGAAUUCCUUUUCAAUUUGUGAGUUUCAAAGUGAUUAAAUUGCACACUCAUUGAUGCGACUUUGCAAAAUAAUAUGCUUGGAACCAAAAAGGACUAAGCUGCGAACGUCAAAGAGUGACAGAAGUUCCAAAUUGUUCCUCAAGAUAAUUUGGAGGCGCGUGCACAUGACAUAGUUUUCUUAGUCACUCUUCAAAUUUUAAAAAAUUUGAUGAGAAGCUUUUGGUAUGUUGGUUGAUGGCAUUGGUUUGGGUGUUCGAAGUUGUAGUCAAUCAGUUAUAUCCAAUACGAAGAGCGUGCGAAAUUCUGUUUCAUGUUCGCACUUGUUGAUUUCCAAACUAUGCUGGAUCUUUUCAUAAUAAAUCGAAAAAAUUCACAUAUGUGCCCAUGAGAGUUCUUUUUUUAACCGGAGGUCAGACCAAACAGCCUAAAUGCCCAGUGAACAAUGUUGAGCCGGUUUUUCAGUGUUUUACUUGUCCAAGGCCUCUCCCUGCACUUGAAAAAGCUUAGAGAAUUUGAGUCAGAAUAUCCCUUUUUCAAAAUGGCAAUAUGGCAAUUUCUUGUCAUGAAAGGAAAAGAACUGUACAUUCCUCAUCUCCAUUCAUUAUCGGCAUAUUUCAAAUAUGAGACAACAUGACAUGUUAUUUUCAUUGAAGUAUUUGUGGCCAACCGACCAUCCUAAUGGCCGAGUAAUGGAACUUGGUAAAAUGGCAAUCAAAAUGGUAAUUGUGAUAUAACCUUUAUGGUUGUGUGUGUCGAUUCGGAUUAUUAACUAGUGCGUCUACCUUGAAACAAUCAACUUCUCUAGUUGCUCCAUCAAUUUGUCUUUUGUUCCCUUUUUUAAAGUGGAAAUCAAGGUGUCGACUUUUUUAAAUAAUAUCUCAAUAUUUUUUGAAUUUUUUUUAUUAUUUUGUUAUUUUGUUAAUUUUUUUUUUCAUGCCCUUAGGGUCGGCCAGGAUGUGGGCGUGCAGCACCUCGCCCAGACCAAGUGAGGGCUGGCGAGGGUGUGCAGGGAAAAAAACAACUAAAAAAACCAAAAGAAAAAAAAAUCAAAAAAAUAUUAAAAUAUUAUAAAAUGUCCACAUCACUUUCAGCAGUGUCAUGUCAGCGCAUGCUGAUCAAUAUUAGCAAAAUGGACUUAACUGGCACAAAUGCGAAAAGUUUAGAAUUGAAUUGACUAAAAAAAAAUAGAUUCAAUUAGCACAAUUACAAUAAGUUUAUGAGUUUUUUGAUAAUUCUCCCGACAUUGUUUUCUUAUUAAUGAAUUUUGUCUCACAAUUCAAGGUACAAAAUGGUAUUGUUCUUUAGAAAAGCUUGAAAACUUAUAUAUAUUAAAAUAAUUUGGUGAGAACGAAAUAUCUUUUUUAUCAAGGAAUAGAAAAGGAAAAGGAAAGAAAAGCAAACAAGAAAAUAAAAAUAAGAAAAAUUACUCUUUGCCAUGCCAAACCUAACCUAAAGGUAACAAACUGUCAACACGAUACAACUUUUAUUUAUAUCACAAGAUUCUAUAUGCUCUUCGUCCAUUUAUUACUUGUCAACUUUUACGGACUUGAUACAUCAAUGACCCUUUUCCUCUUUCUUUCUUGAUUCAACAAUAGGGGGAGAAAAAAACACAUCAGACCCUUUUCUGCAAAUAUGGACUCGCGGUCUCAUCCAAAUAUGAAGGAAUCGAUUAAUUGCUCAUUGAAUUCAUAUUGCUCGCAUCUAAUUCUAUAGUCAAAAAGCCGAAGCUAUGCUUCGGCAUUGAGUGUGCACAACUCUUUAAUUUGACCACAAGCGAAAUCCAUGCAAGUAGUACAGUCCAACUACCCCAGCACGAUAGCACACUAUCCACGGCCGAAGCAUCUGGCGUUGCUGUAAGAGGCACUGGUGCAUUAGUUGAAUCCCCCGAUCGCGGUGUCAAACCUCAGAUCGGUCAAAACUUGACCCGAAGCUUGUGCAAAAUCGUUUGGGUACCGCAUGCCGUUGCAUAUCUUGUACAUAAGCAUCACAUCCAGGUCACUUCUUACGAGUCAGACCCCUACAAGAGCCCCAUGAACAUAAGUGUGAGCGUAUGCGAUGUGGACAAGGUCAUCCAAGAGCCCUGUUUCCUCCCUUUUGGUCUCUUUGGUUUGCUACGAGGAAACACACACUUGAGAUUGGCUAUAAAAAGAUUUGUCUCCAUAGUGCUAUCCAUCAUUUAUUCUUUGUUAUUAGGCUAAGCUAGUACCAAUUUUAGUAAUUUAUGACGUCACAUGGAUUUUUUUUAUAACUUCCAAAGCUUUUUCUAUGAAUUAUUUGUUCAUUAGUGUAAUAUGUUGUUGCUGUCCUUGCAAACCCUAAUCUCAUAAUUUUUAAUAAAAUCCCCCCCUCUUACUAUGCAUGAAAAUUUUUAAAUUGGAAUCCUCUAAGUCUACGAAAUAAAUUCACAUUACGAUAAAUUACUCACUUCUUCUUUUUCUGUCCUCUUUCUCCUCUUACUUUGCACAAACGUGUCAACCUCAUGUACUAGUCUUGAAUAUAUUUCUAUAUGUAACAUUGUAAAUUUUAGGCCAUGUAAUUAAUGGAGUUCAUGAUAGUUAUAUAACCCGAAUAACACGAUACUUCUACCACUACUAAUACUACUACUAGGAGUGUAUUAAAAAAAUAAAAAAUAAAAAAGUCCGAAAAGCCGGAUCGAACCAUCCAAAUUGGCCUGAUAAUUUUGGGCUCAAAUAAUCCUGGGCCGGCACACUUGACCUCAAACUAUCCUUGAGUUUGGGACUUGAAUGAUUGCCAAACUAGCCCGAUUCAUAGAUCAGAAACUGUACAUAUAUAUGGCCCCUAUGUCAAUUCCCAUUCCUGCUAGUUGAGUGCUUGACUUCUCUCAUUCUCCCAUCUCUCACACUGGUUGAGAUCCGGCCACCGUUGAGCUGCCAUUGCCACCACCGUCGAGCCCCAUUUAUGCGGCCAUCAAUCCCCACACUCACCAUAUGCCCUUCGUCCAAGACGUCUCGCUCACUCCGUCAGUCCCUCUUCUGCUUGCUCACGUCUUAGUCUUCCUUAUGCUCCCUCACUCUAAACCUGUGAUAAAUUUACUCUCUAUCAAAUUUUAUUGUCAAAUUAUUAAGUUGGAUAACACGUGACAAUUGACAAUGGUAUCAAUUUGGGGUUUUCUCCUCCAUUUGUUACAAUCAUAGUAGUUUGUGAUUUUUUAUAGUAUUAAUUCAUUUUAACAAAAACUAACAAAUAGUAAAAUUAUCACAAAUGUAUCAAUUUAUUAUUUUUAAUGGUCAAAAUACUAAUUUGGGGCAAAUGUGUGAUGUACCAAUUUGGAGUUUUUGUUAGUCAAAAAAUUAAUUUGAGAUAAAUUUGUUGCAUAUAUACUGAUUUUAGAUUUUUUGUGACAUUAAUUCUUUAUUAUUUUUUUGUUUAACACUUUAUUAGUUACAUUUAGAUAGUAGAUGGUAGUGGAAAGUGGCCGUUAAUGACGAUUGGCACUUUUUAAGUGCUAAAUGACGAAAAUCGCCUCUGAAUUAGUCUAAAAUCUAAUCCGAGCUAUCAUCAUAAUUUGGAUUUUAAGGCAAUCUAGAUCGAGAUAUCAAAAGAGGAACCUCUCCCUUAAAGAAUCUACAAACAUGGUAAAGCUAUUUUAUAAACCAUAUUCUCUAAUAUCCUUAUGUUCAAAUGAAAAUUUACGUAGAAUAAUAAUCGAGUUGGGAGAAUCAUUACCUACACCCAGUGCAAACAAUAUUCCUCUCAUAGCAUGUAUGAAGGUCUACUAGGAGUGAAACUCAGUCAAAUUAUUCAUGAGUCGUUGGAGCUUGGGUUGAUGACCAUUUGAGAACUAAUAUUUAGUCGAGCUCUAACUCGAGCUACUUGAGUAUCUUGCCAAUUGAAAGCUCAAGCUCAUCAAUACUUAGCUCAAUAAACUUUGUAAACCCGAUUCAAAAAAAUCAAUUGUAAAUAAAAUUAAAUAUUAACAUCCUCAUUUGCACACACGUAAUAUAUAGUAUAUCAUCUUUUUUUUUUUGGUAAAGGUAAUAAUAUUAUAGAGAAGGACAAAUGUACAAAAGAUCAGUUCCAUAACCGACACUCUUAACCGAUUGGCAAAAGUGAAGGGGAGCCGAUGUAAAAGAAACAAGGGCCGAGCCCGCUAGCAAACACUAAGGCGACACCCAAGGAGCACCGGCGCGGUGAUGGACCCAUCAACCCUCCAGUGAAUAGCCUGAGAAUGCGGAACGGAAAUGAGAGCAGCACAUAGCGAUUAAGGAGCAUAUCCACUUAGAAACACGCCCGGGUCGAAGCCCCAUCCUCUUUGAAGUCUUUGAUUCCUCGGAGAGGGAGAGACAUUCUUAAAGGUGUUGGCUUUAUCUCUAACCAUCUUGAUAAGGUGAUUUUCGAGCGCCGGAAGCACAAGAGAUUCACCUCUGAAAAGGAUUGCAUUCCUCUUCUUCCAGAUGAGAUGGCAAAGGCCACCAAAGGAGAACCGAACUAUUCUGUGAUAGAAGUCAUUUCCAGAUAGGAACUUCCGGGCCCAAGAGAGUACCUCAUCCCAGCAUCGGUUUCUCCAAGGAAUGUUGCAUUUGGCGGCCCAGAAGAAGGCCAAAGAAGUCGAGAUGCGACAUCCGAAGAAAAGAUGAUCUCUUGAAUCAGGGACUUCACUACAGAAGGCACACACGACCAUAGGAUAGAAGCAUUACCUGGGUGGGAAGGCGAUUCUUUACAAUUAGCUAGAGAAUGAACUGGUAGCGAGGGACUAUAGCGGAAUCCCAUAUUAGAGGCGCCCAGUUAACCGAAGAUUUCUUGGCUCUAAUAAGGUUCCAUGCCGAUGAAACCGAAAAUAAACCGGAGGGAUGAUUGCACCAGAAAAACCUGUCAUUGCCCGAAGUCAACUCUGGAAGAGAUAUACCGCAUCUCACCAAGCAUUCCUUUAAGGGCCGGCCCAAUGGAGAGAAAAGGUCAGCAACAACCGCAUGGUCAGGGAUGCGAAGUCUAUUUCUGAAUGAUGAGGGCACGAAUGCAUCAAGCGGGCCACACGAUAACCAGUAAUCAUACCAUAGGGACACCGUGUAGCCGUUUCCAACCUUCCAUCUAAAGGAAUUUCGAAAAUAACUUCUAAGUUGGAGAAUAUUUUUCCAAGACCAGGAGCAUAAUUUGGGUUGGGACACAAUCCAGAAGUUCCUUUUGGUUAAGAAGAUGGAAUGGAUCCAACGACACCAUAACGAUUCCUUAUCGUGGAAGAGGAACCAUAUAAAUUUUACCAUUGAAGCUUUGUUGCAAUCCCUCAGAUUCCGGAUACCCAAUCCACCUUCAUUUUUAGGAAGACAAACGUCCUUCCAUGCAACCUUAGCUCCACCACGGCCCAGGGCCGUUCCUUUCCAUAGAAACUGUCUCAUGAUUCUUUCAAUAUUGUCUAGAACCGAGGAAGGAAGAGUAAAUACACUCGUCCAGAAUGAUUGAAUGGCAUGGAGCACCGAACGGAUGAGUUGUAAUCUACCCGCAAAUGAUAAGAACCGGUGAGUCCAAGAUUGGAUUCUAGCAGUGAUGCGGUCCGUCAAAGCAAUACAAUCGGCUUUACUCAGUCUAGAGGAAAUAAUAGGAACUCCCAAGUAACGAACAUGGAGCUUACCUUCUUGAAAUCCGAAUGCCCAGAGGAUUCUAUUUCGAAUGGAGAGAUCACCACCAGAUAUAAAGAUCUCACUCUUAUUCUUGUUAGGAAGGAGACCACUCCAAGAAGAGAAGAUGUCAAGGCCUCUCUUUAGCAUGGACACCGAGGACCAAUCCGCUUGGGAAAAUAGAAAAACGUCAUCGGCAAAGAACAAGUGAGAUAGUCGAACCGGUUUACACCUCCAGAAAUAUUUAAAGUCCUGGUUCGCCGUGCGGGAAGCCAACACUCCAGAAAAUACUUCCAUUACUAAUGUAAAUAAGUAUGGGGACAUGGGAUCUCCUUGUCUAAGGCCACGGCCGCUCGGAAAAAAACCAUGAAGAUCACCGUUAAUGGCUAUCGAGAAUCUUGGAGUCCGAACGCAAGCCAUAACUAAUUUGAUGAAUCCUUCCGGGAAUUGGAAUGCACCAAGAACACUUUCCAAGAAGUCCCAAUCUACCGUGUCAUAUGCUUUGUGAAAAUCAACCUUAACCGCACAUUUUGGAAGAUAAGGAUGAAGAUGGAAGCCCGCAAAGAGUUCUUGGACAAGGAGGAUGUUAUCUCUAAUUCUCCUGCCUUUCACAAAUGCAUUUUGAGAUUCACUGACCACCUCAUUCAACACGGCUGCUAUUCGAUUAACUAGUAUUUUAGUGAUAACUUUGUAAAUGGUAUUACAGCAAGCAAUCGGUCUGAAAUCCGACACAGCACUCGCAUUGGGAAUUUUAGGCACAAGAGCAAGGAUCGUUGCAUUUACCUCUUUGAGUAGUCUCCCGGAGUGGAAGAAGUCCCGAACAGCCAGCAAUACCGAGGGACCUACAAUCUCCCAAUUAGACUUGAAAAAUUCCGAUGGGAAACCAUCCGGGCCUGGGGCCUUGCCCUUUGCAAGUGAGAAUAGAGUGGAUUUGAUUUCAUCAUCUGUGACUGGUUCAUCGAAGACACGAAUCUGCUCAUCAUUAAGGGGUCGGCGUAUAGCACGUUUCAACUCCUCAAAAGAUGGUUUAGAUAAAGCCUCAUGCGGAGAUAGCAAUGAGGAGAAGAAAUUAAUAAAAACCUGGGGCAGCGCCGAGAGAUCAGUUAUAAUAGUCCCAGAGGAAUCUUUAAUGGAUAGAAUUCGGUUACUGAGUUGCCUCCUUUUGACCGAUUGGUGGAAAAAUUUCGUGUUUUUAUCUCCUCCUUUUAGCCACUGAAUUCUGGAUUUUUGACGGUAAAAGGACUCCUCUUGAUUCCUUAGAUCAACAAAAUCCCGACGACAACACCUCUCCCUUUCAGCAAGCUGAGGAUUCAUCGGGUCAGAUUGGAGAUCAGAUUGAACGGCACUAAGGGCCUCUCUCGCUUCCAAUGUUCUUUGUGAGAUCUCCGAGAAAGCUUCUCGGUUGAGGAGCUUGAGGCGGGCCUUUAACAACUUGAGCUUAGAUACUAGCUGAAACAUAGGAACACUAUCACCAACGUAUCCCAUACCUGACGGACAAUGGACUAAAGUCCGGAUGUUCAUCCCAAAAUUCAAAGUACUUGAAUGGCUUCCUUGAGCGAGGCGGUUCAAGAACUUUCACUAUCAUCGGAGUAUGAUCCGAUAUGCCCGGGUUAAGGAAAGCCGCCUCAGAAAAGGAAAAGUCCACGUUCCACUUAUUAUUUACCAACACUCGAUCAAUCUUCCUCAACUUCCUUGAGCUGCCUGCCGAAGUAGACCAUGUAUACCGGAGGCCCACAAAUCUGAGGUCCGUCAACUCAGUUUGAGUUAAACAGUUUGCAAAUUCAUCAAAAUAGGGAAUCCAAUUGGUAGAACUACCAACUCUAUCUGAGGGGUCUUUAAUUGCAUUAAAAUCCCCCCCAACCAGCCAUGCCUCAUUCUGAAAGAUAGCAUUAUAGUGUUGAAGGUCUGACCAAAGCGGUCUACGACGAACAAAAGAAUGUUGCCCAUAUAUAGCAGAAACACAACAACUGGAACCAGUAAUAUUAAACUUAAGACAGCCAUGGAUAGCUUGCUCAUUAAUAGAGAUAGGGGAGAAGGAGACAAAAUCCGGGUUCCACCCGACCCAAAUCCUCCCCCGGGGAGAGCAAUUAUAGUUCGCAACCCAUUUCCAACCCCUAAUAAGGGUGAAUGAGAUUUCAUCAAAACGGUCUUCCGGAACUUUCGUCUCGAUCAGGCCAAUAUAACAAAGAUUAUUAACCGCAACAAGGCGCCUAAUUUCCGCACGCCUUAACGGAUCGAUAAUACCCCUAAUAUUCCAGAAUCCAAAAAACAUCCAAAAAACAUGGAGGAAAUGGCUUACCUCUUCCUAGCGGUCUUGGAGCCCUUAACAGGCUUCUUCGCACCAACAGGGAGAGGCGAAUCUUCCAGCAGCUUAGCAAGCUAAUGUUGCAGGCUUUCAGUCAAGUGCAGAUUCGGUUUAAUGCUUGUGGGUUCUUCAACAUUCGAAGGGUCCUCAUCAGAGGAAUCAUGAACACUUGAAUUACAAAUAUCUUCAGAGGUCUCUUGGACCAUAGAAGGAUCCGAUCCAGGAGGGUCAGCCACAGUAGGAGAUUGAGCGUUUGGGGACUGCAACUCUACUUGAGAGCCUUCUUCUUGGAUAAUAGUGUCACUCUUUUGCACCUGACCUUCCUCCGUAAUAGGCGAUAAGCCGAAGGAUACCGUGGAGUUCGCCGCCCUUCGAGCAGCCUCAGCAGCUUCUCUUGCUGCCUGUUUCUUCCUUUUUUUUUUUGGUCUUUCGUUUAAUCUACUUCCAGCCCAUCUCGGCAUUCUCAUGCUCAAUUAAAUCAGCAUUGAUCAGAUGAUCAUUCUCAGCUGGGCGAGAAGGCACCAUACAAUGAGUGCUUGAUUCUCCAAUGAACAGAGAUCUUGAAAUAUCAGUACCAGCAACCGUAUCUGCAGAAACCAGGUCUCGCCUAGGAGCGUGAGAGCUAUCAUCCUUUUGCUCAUAUGAGGUCGGAACAACCACUUCCUUCCCCUUGGUGGAUACCGACUUAGGCUCAGAGUUCGCUUUAGAAUUAGAUUCUGAAUGAUCCACAUUAGCAUCCUCUACUGCAGAAGGAGCAAGAACAGGAACAAUAUUUUUGCAGCUAUGGCCAAACAUUCCACAUUUGGUGCAGACUAAUGGCCUCCAUUCGUAUUCAACUUCAACCACAUCUGUUUUCCCUUCCGUAACCAAGUCUAUAGACUCGUACAAGGUCUGCUGAACCGUUAUUUCAACACACACACGGGCAAAUGUGAGCAUAGACAUCUGCUCCGUUCUUUGGUCAACAUACAAAGGUCUGCCAACAGCACUAGCUACCUUUCCAAUCGCCUGGGCUGACCAAUACGCAAAAGGAAGGUUCCUUAAUCUCACCCAUAUCGGAACAGCCAUGUGAGUGUCUCUCUUAAGUUCAACUCCCGGCUGCCAUUGCUGCAGUAUAAAGGGGAUUCUCGCCAUGGUUAUAGGACCGCCUUCCAGGAGUUUCCUCCUGAAAUCCUUAUUAGGGAUCCAUAGGAGAAACAAUCCCCUUCCGUUAGACAGGACUUCAACCAAUGCUGGUCCCCAAGCUCUCUUGAGGGACUCUUCAACAACGUUAAACGGUAACUUUCUACCGAUAAAAUAGCCAACAAGACAGUCAUAUAGCUUUGGAUCCGCAGCCUGCAAGUCAGAUUCAUUCAUAUGCACGACUGGUUUGUCACUUACAAUCUGAGGAGGCGAGAAUUCCAGAUCAUAGCCUUUGUUAGCAGCACUAGCUACGGAAGCCCAUGAACGAGGAGCAGGCUUUCUUGAUUCGCCCCUUGAGCGGGGUCGAACAGAUUUAGAUCUACCCCUGAAAGCCGAACGUCCUCUACGAGCUACAUUGGACGGUCGUGAAUUCGCAAUACCAGCAGAAGCAGACGGGACAUUACGAUUCUCCACAGCCAAAGAGGGAACAACCGAAGGAAGACGGUCAGUUCUAGGCGAGGAGCCACUUAAUCGGUUCUGCAUCGGAUCAUCCAUCACAGCAGAAUUUGCAGACAACAGAUCGCAAACCCUAAUCCAUCAGCUUCAGAUUAAUCCGUAAAUAGGAAACGUACCCGGAGCUUCUUGGAAGGGGUUUGUAGAGCAGCGAAAGGCACCCCUUGACAUCUUUUUGUUUGAAUCAAGCUCCGGCAUUAAAUUAGUGUUUGGUUGAGCUCAAAUCUUGUUUUAAACAUCGAGUAUGAAGUUGAGUCGAUCUCGAGUUUGGCAUUGUAGCAGCUCAGGUGGCUCAAUUAGAGACCCCUAGGCCCUAGCUGUGUUGACAUCCGAUUCGAUUAAUAAGAGUCUAUGUAUUCAUUGAAGCAAUUAAGAAUUCCGACGUGCAAAUUAUUAAGAAAUCUCAUUGCUCAAGAUUGGGUUGUGAUCUUCAUCACGCAAGUUUUAAAUCCCCUAUAAUUUUCAAUCCCUAUAUUAACCAAUAGCUUAGAUGAUAAAAGUAAAUGAACAUUAAUAAAUGUAGGAAAUCUUCAAAAGUCACCUUUCCUAGGUCCUAGCUGUAAUCUCGUGGGGGACGUAGCUUGGCUUAAAAAAUCCUUCCUGCAACUUUUCUCCGACAAAAUGGCACUCCAGUUCUCUCUCCUCAGUUCUAUGUAUUUGUUUGUUUACUGAAAAGAGGGCUUUUGCGGCAAUUUUUGUCUCAAUAUAAUUUAAUUUCGGAUAACCAUUUGACAAUUGAAAAAAUCCCUCGGCCGAUAAGAAAUUUUUAAUAUCAAAUGUCCACCUUUGCGUUUUUCAUAUAUUAACUUGGAGUGUACAAAGAGAGAUCCUCGAUAAUUUCAACUUUUUUGAUUAAUUGGUAAAUCACUAAGUUCCGUCAUGCUAGUCUCUCUCAACAAGUACUUCUUAUCAUUUAAAAAAAAAAAGUUCCACUUUUAUUUCUCACAACUUCAAUUCUUAAAUUUUUUCAAUUUUCCUAGAUCUUUAAUUGAAAAAUUAACCCAAUUUCAUUCCGGUUAUCAUUAUAUAUCAUCAACAUAAACUAAACAAUCACGAUAAAUGAAUGUCCUCUCCUUGAAGUAAAUAGGGAAUAAUUAAAAAAAUCAACAAUUGUUAACGUCUGAGAAAUUAAAAAGGGAAGAAGAUCCGUCAGGUUUUCCAGUUCUUGCGUUUCUAGCAUUCGGUCCUCUCUACUUCCUCUCUCUCUCUCCCUCCAACCCUCGAGCCGAGCUGCACCGCCUGGUAGCGGCCUUCGACCGCUACCGCCGCAUCUACACCGUCGGGCCACCUCGGCGUUCAGCAGCAGCGCCGCCCCUCUCUCCGCCUCCUCCGAACACAAACCCCACCCCCGGGCAAAAAAAAAAAAAAAAACAAACCCCUAGUUCCCUCGCUUCGGUUCUCCGGGAUUGCGUGAAGAUGGACGAGGACCAGGAGAUGGAGAGGUUUGGGAUGGAGAACGAUUACGACGACGGGCAGUGGAUCGACGGGGAGUUCUACUACCGGCGGCGAAGGGAGAAGCGCGCCCAGACCAAGGGCGACGUGCUCUACGGCGUCUUCGAUUCGGACUACGACGAGUCCUCCAAGAGGAAGCGGAGGAAGAACAGGGACCUCCUAGGUAACGCCGAUUCGUCGAAGCCCGUGAAUUUCGUGUCCACCGGCACGGUCAUGCCGAACAGAGAGAUUGACGAGAACUCGAUGACAGAGAAUGAGGAUGAAGAAUCCGCUGUCGUGGAUGGGGAUAGGCCGGGCUUGGGGGUCUUGAGAAGAACCAACAAGGGAUAGUGACAUUCAUUGAAGCAAAGUUGCAUCCUAAGAAUAUGGGUGUGGGUUUCAACGACUUACAAGGAAACUCUUGCAAAGGCACCUGUUGCCUCGUUGGGGCCAGAGGAAAAGAAGCCAUCACCUGACGUGCCCGGUAAGGAGAAGCUUUGGUCUAAGCAAGCGAAGAAGAAGACGCUGAAAAACAAAGCGAAGUAUAUUACGGCAGAAGAACUGUUGGCGAAGGAGCGGGAACAGGGCGUUGAAGUUGUGCAAAAGGUACUCGACAUGCGCGGACCUCAGGUUAGGGUGUUACCAGACUUGGAGAAGCUGAAUGCAGAAGAGAAGGCGAGGGAGAGUGAUGUUCCUAUGCUCGAGCUCCAGCACAAUACAAGGUUGAUUCUGGACCUGGCUGAGUUGGAUAUUCAGAAGAUCGAUGGGGACCUGAGGAAUGAGAAGGAGACAGCUCUGAGCUUGCAAAAAGAAAAAGGAGAAGCUGCGAGCUGAGGCAGAACUUCAGAAGAAACAACUGAAUAACAUGAAGGAAAUAAUGAAUACGCUAGCCAAAUCUUUUGGUGACAUGCAAAGAAGGUUUCCUGGCGAUUAUACACAUUGUAACUUAUCCUGCAUUGCUUGCUCAUUCGCACUCCCUCUGUUUAUCAGAGUAUUUCAGGGAUGGGAUCCUCUUCGCAAUCCCUCACACGGGUUGGAAGUUUUGAGGUGGAAAUCUCUUUUGCAAGGACAGGAAUGUCUUGAUAUAUGGCAUUUAGGAUCCCCUUGUACCCAGUUGGUUUCAGAAGUUGUCUCGCUUGCUGUGAGAGGCAUUGACACUUUUUGCGAGCGGUUGGACCACUGGCCCACUGCUAGAUCCCACUCAAAAGUGAAUUAAUAUAAUCUCAAGCAAAAGUUAUAAUGGUCCAACAUAGAAAUAGUGAAUUGAUCCAACUCACUUUUUCUGAGAUCAUAAUAUACAGUAUUUAGUCUAGUUGUUACGUUGCCCAUGCCUUUGCAAAUACAAAAAUUUUCCUUAAAUAAAAAAGUAAAAAACUUGUAAACAAUCUAAGUUAUUAAUUUUUUUCCCCGGUUCGCCAUCUAAUAUUGAUGAUGCUUCGAACUUUAUUAAUUAGAAAACAUCUUUGUGGCGUUGUAUGAAAUCAUAUCUACCCAAAAUGUGAGCGCCAAAAACCUAACAGCCACCGGGAGGGCCAUGGCGGCUCUAGUAGGUAAAGAGCUCAAUAAUCCAACAACUGAGCUAUGCACAUGAAACAAGGGAAGCACAAUCAGGGUAGUCUAACUUUGUUAGUUUGUACACACACUUGAUGUUCUGAACCAAUGAUGCCAAAUUGCGCUGAGUUAGCAGCAUGCAAUUGGGGCGACCCGUAGCGUCGGAGGUGUGCCAAGAGCUACAUCUGAGGGAUCAUUGACAACUUUGGACAUUGAGCCAAGGGACAUUGAGCCAAGGCUCGGCUCUACAUCGGUCGAAGAGAGUGAUUUUGGAAUCGGUGGACUGAAGCUUGGCGGUUGGGUGGUGGAUGUUAAGCUUGGAAGCAGCGGAUUGAGCCCAUCGGUUUCCUUCUUGCGGUGUCAAUAGAAGCUUCGGUUCCGAGUCGGAAAGGUAGAACUUGAACUCCUUAGCUGUGUAGUUGGGGUUGAGCGGAGCUGCAGCGACUCGGCAACGGAUUACAGCCGGGAAACAGCAUCACAAACUGCAAAACGAACACGUAUUUCCAAAUUAGCAAACUGCCCCACUAGUCCGUGCAGAUUGGAGAUAUACAUAUGCAGAAUGUGCAGACAACUAGUUUGUCAUCGUUUGAUUGCAUUAAACCAUCCAUCUCCUUUAGAUAAGCUUUGACUUUGUUUUACGAUGAAGCGUUGCUUAUACAUCCCAAAAAAACAACCUUUGGACGCGACAGAAAAGGCUCUUCAUGCUCUUUCCAAUUCAAUUUGUUCCUGCUCAAUUGGCACCACGCGCUUGCAGAAAUUUCACGCCUCAGAUUCUUUUUUCUUUUUUCGAGCUAUUUCCCACUCGAUCUUUCAUAAACAAUCGAUCUCAUCAUUAGAAAUUUAUUGUUACCGCAAUCUUCUUGAUAUUGCAUUCUCGAAUUUAUACAGCUUCAUCAAGGAAAUUUCUGCAUUUGAAUUGUUGGAUGCAAAUUGCGCAACCCCAAAUCUUCAUAACCAGACAAAAACAUGCAUAAUUGAGUAGAAAGAUUAAUGCACCUGAGAUCCAUCGAACAUAAAACGGAAGCAGGAAAAAGGAAUUACCCACAGGGGAUCCACAAAUCAAGUCAUUCUCCUCUAUUACCCUCCGUAUUACUGGCUCAAUGAGGUGGCCCUCACGUUUAGCAUUAGGUAAACGCUCCUUAAAUGAGGACAUGUAGCGUUAGGUUAACGCUCCUUAGGUGAGGACAUGUGAGAAUUAGGGUUAGAUAAGAGACUUGACCACUAUUUAUAGAGUUUUCAACCAGUUCCCCUCAUUACGGGCCAGGCUCAACUCGGUCCACAUUAGCCAGUUCCAUAUUAGACUAAUUAAGAAACCUUCUAUCUCACUUUAAACCAAAUCUCAUAAAACGAUAAACGUUAAACGGUAAAUUAUAAUAUCAAUUAAUGUAGUCCACAAUUAGGAAAGCUCUUACAUGGAUUCCCAUCAUCACACAAACUGAAAACAUGCGACGUCGUACUUGCGAGGAGAUUCAAUGAUCGGGGGACAUAGAUAUCUCCAGUCGGGGAAAUCCGACGCCACCUUCUUCAACAGGCUCGCGAGACGGAGUCCCUCCUUGGCGAGAUCGCUAGGCUGAAGCUUCAGAUUCAUGCCAUACGGCAUGGAAUUCAGAUUCCGCAAGGCAAUCCGGGGGAGGUGGCGGACGUGGCUGCUCUGUUGCAGGUUUUGCAGGAGAGGAAUUUAAUCCCGGAGAGUGGUUGAGCGCGAGUCUGAUGCUACUGGAGAAGAGAGAGGAGAAGAAAACUGUAGUGGAGGAGGAGAGAGAUGAAGAUUGGGGUUUUCUGUGGCGAUUUUGAGAGAGGUGAGAAAGAAGGGAGAGAAAAAUAAAAACGGUUAUUUUUUUUAUUAUCCGAAUUGAAAAUAAUGCAUGAAAUUUCAGUUAAGUUGCAUUCUAACACCCCUAUUAUAAAUGGACAGCACUAGCGUCGUUAAAUGAUUUUGAAAACAUUCGUGAAAAGAAUCUAGAAUUUAGUUUUCCAUAGAGGAACAAUGGGAUUGACACUAGACUACUCAAGAACACAAGCUAGUAUUGCUGGAAGCCCAGAUGGGAAAGGGCAGUAUGGAAAUAAGUCUCUCUAAGGGAACUGGGACGUCACUUUGUAUAGCAGCAGAACUUCUCAGGCAGAAACAUUGGCAAAUUGGCAGUUUCGCGAGCAUUUUGAAUGAUGCAGGACAUAUAGCAGAGGAUGUGAAAAUGAAGCCUUACAUAUCCAAGAAUUUAUUUACUGUUCAUGAUGCUGCUUCUGCUAUCACAAUUCGAACCUUAAAAGAUCGGAUGAAGCAAAGAAAGGUAAGGGACCACUUUAUUGAGCUAAAUACUGUGCAUAACACAUAAUACCUUGGUAAAAAGAAAAACAGGACAUCAGGUUAAGAUCUCGACAGUAGAGGGAAAGCAAGUCGCACCUUUGAUGUAAAGGUUUCUUCUCGAUACGUAGAGCAAGCACCCUCGAGUUUUCCUGUUUAGAAAGCUCGUCGAUGAAAACCUUCAUUUGUACAACCUGAUUACAAACAACAGAAAGGAUUAAGGAAAUUUAUAAAUAACAUGUCAAAAAAGCUAUAGAAAAUAAUGGUUUAAAGGAUAUGCAUACCGAGAGGUUGCUAUUACGAAACAGAUUGAGAGGGCAACCAACCACAAUUCCAAAUAGUGAUAAUUCAGAUAUAUGCAUAUAUACAAGGAAAUAAGAACCCAAUCAAGCCCCAAGUAGAAACGUGUCCAAGACAAUUUGUCACAAAACUAACACUAUACUACUACUAUUAAUAUUACAACAGGGGGCGUGCCAAAAAAUAGAAAAGAAAUAAAAACAUGAGCCCAAAAACCGAGACUGAACUGCUGGGCUGGCCCCAUUUUUUGUGCUAAAAUAGUCACAAGCCGGGCCACCAUAUCUCAAAAUAUCUUUCAAUUCGACCCAAUAUAAGCAAUUUGGGUUUCAGUUAAAGCUUAAAAGGCCCAUACCCGCCCAGUUCACAAAUUAGAAACAAUGUCUCAUUUUCCUUCUCUCCGGGGCUUUGUCAUCUUACCUUUUCAUGAAUAUUUAGGUCUUGACCUGUCUCAUUCUUUCUUCUCUCACGCUUAACGAGUCAUCGAGCCCCCACCAAGUCGCCACUGCGGCAUCAUCGAGCCCCCACUGUGCGGCCAUUGAGCCCCAACACUCACCAUAUGCCCACCCGGUCAAUCGCAGUCUCUCUAUCUAUCUCGGCUCUCCGCUCCCCCACUCUCUAGCAGCAAAACAAGUUCUUACUAGCCUGUUCUGAUGUCUUCAAAGUUUUUGGUUUUAGGGCAUGCUACUUGAAUUUUUUUUAUGGAAUGUAAAAACAAAAACAAAAUAAACUAAACAAUUUUUUUUUUCUAAUUUUAGAUUGCGUGUGAUCCUAUUGAGUCUAGGCCAAAUGGCAUGGCUUUGAUUCGAGCCAGGUCCUUAGGCUAGAAUAUUCUAAGCCACAUAUUUUUGGACGGGCCAAAAAAUUGACAAAAUCCCACUAGGCCCGCAUUUUAACUCAUUCAUAAAAAGUGUGCUAACUCAAUAUAAAUUUGGAUACACUGCACUAGCGAAUCUAAAUAAUCGAUACAAUGCUAAAAAAAAAGUGAUGACAUGAAUGCACUAAAUAACUUCGUUUGGGAGCACAUGGGACUUGCCAUAUAGUUAUUACUAUCAGUUACCCUAAAUAUUUCAUUUAAUUCAUGUAAUUUCAUAAUUUACUACUACAUUCUUCUUCUUCUUCUUUUUUAUGUCUUUAGCUCAUCGAUAAAGCAAACUAAGCAACUUCCGCUCAUCGCUUCAUUCAGUUAAACCAGUCGUGGGUCGGUCUAUCGAUACAUAGCAUCCAUCAUGUAACCUCACUGGCGUCCUACCGUUCCUCAAACCCCUCGUUGCUCAUUUUGAAAUUGUUCCUCAAACCCCUCAUUGCUCAUUUUGUCACUUCGCUUCAGUGUCUUUUUGUCAAGCAUCUUGGCCUUGGUCACUAAGCAACUUAAUUCAGACUGUAAUGAAUAUAAAUAUCUCCAUAGGAUUCUCAAUCGAUUGUCCUAAACCAAUUGUGAUAAAGUCUAUUAUGCAUGAUUCAGAUUUCCACGACAUCUUUUCAAUCAUUAUUUCCUAAUCUGAAAAGAAGAGCGUAAAUUUCUUACAAGAAAAAGUGAAAAAAUCAUGGAACUUGAAAGUUGAGAGGAUUGCAUCCCUCGUCAAACUAGAAGAACAUGAAUAAAAUGAAAUUCAAAUUAAACUACUCUUAAAAUAUAACUACCGUUGCAGCAGAAACAAAUGAUGACCACAGCAUCAGAAAAGGUCAUCACCAAAGGAUUAAAAUCCAGUCCAAGUUUGGGGCAAGGGCGAUUCCUUCACAGAUUGUAUAAGUGCAUAGAUCAAUGGCGAUUCUGACCCUCCAUUCUUUGCAUUCUUUGCAUGCAGAUCUUGCGUUCCUUCACAACAGAAUACACAUUCAAAACUCUGUUCAUAUAGAACACUUUAACUUGAACCAGAGACAUCAGCAAGCCACGAGACAACAAUUUUCAUGUCAUGCGUCGAUCAUACGAGACGAGAAUCCUAACACCAUUUGACAAACUAUCAUCCUAUUCCAACAAGGUCGGCCAUAAUAAAGGUUUGAUAAGUUAGAACAAAUCGAAUUUAUGUAAUAUCAUUUUGCGGUUCUAGGAUUGAAUCGAAUUUACAUACUGAUCUAGUUCGAGCAUUUCCUCGAACGUGAUACACAUUUCGAUUAAGGAGCUCAUACGCAAAUACAAACCACUGAUUCAAUUUCAGAUACUCACAACAACAACAUUAUUACGAGGCCGAGUUGUUAAUCGAGCUUCAAUCUCAACUGAUUUACUCACAGACAUCAUUAGCUAAAGCUCACUGGCUCUGUUUCGUUUGUAAGCGGCAGAAACAGAAUGUGCGGGAGUUUUUGACCUCGAACGGUGAUCAGAUCACAAAAAAAGUUCCUGGUGGUGUCCACGUUGAUAAUCGCGAAUGGCGAAGGGGGAAAAACCAAGGGCUCGUGCACUUUUGGGCGUCCUGACCAGAAAACAGGGCAGAACGACAGUUGGCCUUGCUGCAGCGAAACCGGCGAUGGCGGAGCGGCUACAGUGGCAGCUAACGGUGUCUGAAGGACGACGGAGAAGGAGAACUGACGAAGAAGCCUCGAGAAUUCCCGAGAAAGAGAUGGCGGACGGUGGAUUCCUGGUGACGAUUAGCGGUGGAGAAUCUUCUGCAACUCGGCCGAUCGAUCGAAAGAGAUUGUGGAUCGUGGGCUGCGGUGAGGCAAAUUGUCUAGGCUGAGGCUUACUCUGAUGGGCCCGGCGCGCUCGUUCGGAAGAGGAAUCCACGAAUGGGAGCUCAGCAAGAGAGAAUUUCUUCAUCGGGUCAACCCAUUUCUAGAAGCGUCUCCAUCUUCGCUCCCACUCUGUCGCCUCGGUCCCCCCGGCAGCCACCGCCGCUCGUCCUCCAUCGCCGGCCACGACAACACUCAUGCGCUCAGCACAGAUCACACAGGGCAGAGAGGCUCAAGGAUUUCUAAACAUCCAGAGAAUUAUCUCUCUUGGCUCCUUGCUUCGUCUGUUGACCUCCAACUGACCUCCCGGAUCGCUAAACCACCAGGCCGUAGCUCUGUUAGCACCGUUCUCCGAUCAGUUUGCUUUGGCUGCUCUGAAUUUGUUCGUUUCUCCUUCGCUGGCUCCGAUCCUCAACGUCAUUGUCUCGCACAACCUCUUCCUCUGAUCCGAUCGUCCUUCGUGCAUCAGAUAAAAUGAACACUAUAAUCUUCCUUCUUCGUUCUUAGCUUCGUGAAGAGAGACCCAGGCAUAUUUGUGUGAUUUUUGUUGUUCAAAUUUACUGCUGGCGUGUCAAUGCGCGCACUAUAAGUGCUUUGUAUGAUCCAUCGCAUGAAGUGCUCACUGUGACAUGUUCAUAUUAAUAAUCUGAAUCUCAAAUCAAUGUUCACUGCAAUGCGUGUUCGUCUGUUAGAUGGUCGAUUCUUGUUUAGUUCUCCCUGCCAAAAAUCUUGCAAAGAUGAUUCCAUCUACAUCUAUGUUAUUUUGGCGGUUUCUGGAUUAAUGUUCCGUAUGUUAGAGGAUCAAGAGCUCCAUCCUACUCUGCUACAUCAAGAGUCAGCCACAGGGGAUCCUCAACUCUGGUAGAUGUAGAUCACCAAAAGACUAUCGUGAAGUAAAUAAGCUGAAGACAUGGAUAACCAGUCUUAUCAACGGUGGAGAUUUUACAAUGCCGAAGACGUGGAUUGCCAAGUCUUAGGAUUUGUCAAGACUGCUAUUCUGUUAUAAAUAGCUGUAAAAGUUUGUUAGUUUGUGUCGGUUAGUUCGUUUAGUCUGUUAUUAGUUUUCCAGCUUCUCUCUAUAUAUAAAGAUAGAAUUGAGCUCAGGAAAAGGUGUGAAGAAGAGAGGAGAGGGAAGAACAGGAGAUUCAAUAUUGAUCUGUUGUAUUUGAUUUCUCUUUGUUCAAAACUUGGAUACAAUGAACUAAGAAUUGAAUACUUCUUGUUCAGAUCCUUUUGCAACUCUAUCGAGUUUAUUCUCUAUCAUCAUCAUCAUUCCUCAUCUUCAUCUUCUGCAUUCUUGGAUUCUCAAUUUCUCAUGGUAUCAGAGCAGAGAGCAUCUGAAUGAAGAGAUCCGUCCAGUAAUAAGUUCUUGCAUCAAGACAGAAGAGAUGAACGAACAAUGAAGCUCUCUGGAUCAAGGUAAUCACAUAAGAGCUCAUAGUAUUACUGUUGUCAUCUUCUUCAAGCUAAAGGAUCGUAAUAAUGGCAAUUAGAACUCCAAAGUACCCUUUUCCGAUACAUAUGAAUAUCUCGAAUUUUGUCACAAUCAAACUUGCUGAAGACAACUUCCUAUUGUGGCAAGCUCAAAUUCAAAGGUUUUUGAAAAGUCAAGAUCUUUUUGGUUUUGUUAAUGGAGACAUUCUUUCACCUCCUCGAAUGCUGCAAAGAGAGGAUGAAGGUUGUGAAACUGAUCUUAUCAAUCCAGAUUACACUGAUUGGACUAGAACAGAUCAGUUGAUUUCAUCAUGGAUCUCUGGAGCUGUUACUGAAAACAUUAUGAGCUUGAUAAUCGGAUUAGAAACAUCAUCUGAAGUAUGGCAAACCCUUCUGAAAAGGUUUACACAGAAGUCAAUUGCUAGAGAGUUCGAACUAAGGGGAAAACUGCAAUCAUGCCAAAAGCAUGAACAAACCCUUGCUGUUUAUCUCAGGGAAUAUAAAUCCAUAUGUGAUCAGUUGAAUGCAAUAGGCAAACCAGUGGAUGAAAUAACCAAAAUGUUUGGUAUAUUGGAAGGUUUAGGUCCUGAGUAUGAAAACUUUCGAACUACCAUAUAUUGUUUAAAGCCUCAGUAUGAGUAUGAUGAGGUUAUUGCCCAAUUAGAAAGGUUUGAAUCAAGGCUCAAGUCCUUCUCCAGGAAUCAAUUCAACCCGAAUUUGGCCUAUUUUGGACAAAGACAGUCUCAGAUACAGUCUAAAGAUACCACAAAUGAAGAUUACAUCUCUCAAGCUUCUGGAUUUAUAUCUCAAAGAGGAGGUUACAGAGGUGGUCGAAGCUAUGGUCGUGGCAGAGCUGUAAACAAUAGAGGUCGUGGUUUUGAAAGAUAUCAGAAUUACAGAACAGAUAUCUUAAAUCCAGGACAAGGAGAUCAACACCCCAGACAGAGAAAUGUUAUCUCUACAACAAAUCAAGGAUUUAGACCCUACACCACUUACUCACAAAGGUGCCAAAAUAUCAAAACUUAUCCAUAUGUAAACUCAAAUAAGAACUUACAGGAUGAGAAAGAAACAAGUAGCAUUCGACUCGAAUGUCAAAUAUGUAAAAGAUCUGGACAUGAUGCUCUUCGCUGCUGGUAUCGGUUUGACAAUUCCUAUCAAGCAGAAGAUAUUCCAGCAGCAUUGACGGCAAUGCAUAUUGAAGACUCAACAGGAAGUGAGUGGUAUCCUGACUCUGGAGCUACAACUCACAUCAGUGCCAAUCCUGGUAUGCUCCAUACCCUUUCUAAAUAUCGAGGACAUGAUACUGUUAUGAUAGGCAAUGGAUCAUGUUUACCUGUAACUCACAUUGGCAACACUUGGCUGAAAACAAAGAGUAGUACAUUACCACUUAAUGAUGUCCUAAUUGUCCCAGAGAUAAAGAAGAAUCUUCUUUCAGUAUCUAAGCUCACAGAUGACUAUCCUUGUUCUUUUAUCUUUGAUAAAACUGGUGUUUAUGUAAAGGACAACAAUACCAAAAUAAUGGUGAAGCUCGGAAGGAAAACUAGAGGGCUUUAUCAAGCUAAUCCACAGACUACAGAAGCCUUCUUUACUCAGCGGCAAAAGACAGUCGAUGAAGACACAUGGCACCAGCGAUUGGCUCACACAAAUACACAAGUAGUUAAACAUUUGCAGAAACAUAAGCUUAUACAAUUUGAUUCACCAUCUAAGAAUGUAUGCAGCAGCUGUCAAAUAGCUAAAAGUACAGCUCUAUCGUUUCCUUUAUCGGAUUCUACAUCAAGCUUUCCAUUAGAAAGAAUUCAUUGUGACAUUUGGGGACCCUCACCAGUCUGUUCUUUUCAAAAGUUUAGAUACUAUGUGAUUUUUGUUGACAGUUUUUCUCGAUACUGCUGGUUAUAUCCUAUGAAGUUGAAGUCUGAGUUCUAUGACAUAUUUGUUCAAUUCCAAAAGUUAGUUGAACGACAGUACAAUCAUCAGAUUAAAAUCUUUCAGAGUGAUGGAGGAGGAGAGUUCGUAAGCAACAGAUUCCAAACUUGUCUAAGACAUCAUGGAAUAAGACAGCUUAUAUCAUGUCCUCACACACCAGAACAGAAUGGGGUCUCAGAAAGGAAGCAUCGACACAUCGUAGAACUGGGAUUAGCUAUGCUAUAUCACUCAAAAGUUCCACUAAAAUUUUGGGUGGAUGCAUUUGUGACAGCUAGUUACAUCAUAAACAUUCUUCCCACACCAAAGCUGAAGAUGGACACACCCUAUAAUAAACUUCAUAAUAGACAGCCAAGGUAUGAUCAUUUAAGGGUGUUUGGCUGUGCAUGCUAUCCUUGUUUGAGACCAUAUGCUGUCGCGACCUCUUUUUUUCUGGCGCCCGCAAUCGGGUACGAGCGCCUAAGGAGGCUAAUGGCUCGGCUGAAUUUAUUAAGCCUGGACUCUCCCAAGUCCACCAAUUCACGACUUUAAUAAUUUGAGUUUUUAACCCAUAAAUCAAUUUUUAAAAUGGAGUCGCCACUAAUCGAUUUGAGGUGGGUUGAUUAGAAACCCAAGUGAAGUAUCGGGAGAAAUACUCACUUCUGCGCAACUAGAGAAAUUAGGAUCGGGGACUUGAUUACACUAGUUAAUCACUAAUGCCAUUUCGGUACCUAAUCUUGUUUAAACCCUAAGGCUUUUUGGAUUUUUGAGAGAUUUUCCAUGCAUUUUUGGGAGGAAAAACAUUUUUUGAGUAUUUUUCUCAUUUUUUUUGGACAUAAAAGGGAUUUUUGGUAUUUUUGGUAUUUUUUGGAAAAUAUGGAAUAUUUUUGAUUUUUUUGAUUUUUUUUCUUUUCUCGGAAAAUAAAAUAUUUUUAAAUAUUUUUUCAAAAUAUUUUUGGAAAAUAAAUUAUUUUUUGAUUUUUCUCGAUUUUUUAGAAAAUAAAACAUUUUUCGACAUUUUUAAAUAUUUUUCGAUUUUUUGGAAAUUAAAACAUUUUUUUAUUUUUUAUUUAUUAAAAUAUUAUUUUUAUAUUAAAAUAACAAAAUAAAACCGACCCGGGUCGGAUCCGCGGGUUGGGUCCGACCCGGGUCGGCGACCCAAAUGCGGACGGGCCCGCGUUGCGGGCUCGACUCGGAUUUUUCAUCUUUUCUUUUUUCUUUUUUUCUUUUUUUUUUAAAAACGACGCCGUGGCCGGGCGUUUGGGGACGCCCGGCCCAGCCCGACGACCCGGGUCCACGACCCGCUCCGCGACCCGACUCCCUGCGAACCCUACCCGACCCGGAUCCGAAUUCACGACCCGGCUUCCGCCGCCCCGGAAUCUCGCGAAACCCUACCCGGUUCCGAGGUGUUUGGCGGCGACGGCGACUAUGGCGGCGACGUCGAAGGUGACAACGGCGGCGGCAACCACUGCAGCCACGACGGCGGUGACAACGUCGACGGCGACGACGGCUAGGUCAACGGAAAACGGCUGCGAUGAACAAUAACGCCCCCCUUUUUACCUUCUCUCGGAUGGGGACGGCGACGGCAGGAGAGCAGUUCGCGAUGGUGGAGGCGACGACGGCAGCAACUCAGCUUCCCGAUCUGGCGCGGCUUCGGCGGAUCGAUCACGGUAAUGGCUCCGCGAGGUGAGGCACGACAACAAGCCGUCGAAGCAACGGCGUCGGGACUGAGGUGAACGGUUGCAGCACGGCGUUCGGCGGCAACAACAGCAGCAAAAAAAACCAGAUCUACUGCGUAGAUCUCGGCCGGACCCUCCUCGGCCUUGAUUCCUCCUCACUUAGGCCAGAUCCGAGCCUCCACAGGCCGGAUCUGACCUUCUCGAAGUCACUCGCCGCCUGCCUUCCCCGAAGUCUCUCGGUGGAAGGUGGGCUAAGCUCGCGACCCGAGCUCUCUCCUGCGCUCGCCCUUCAACCCUUCCCGAUGUCUCUCAGUGAAGGAUUUCCGAGCUCGCCACACCCUCCGACGAUGCUUGCGACCACCUAUUUAUAGGCGAAGGAACUCCGGUCGACAGAGGGGCUCGGUUGCCGGCCUCCGGCUUGCCCACCGGUUCUGCUCGGCCGAACCGGUGUCCCAUCGAGCUUUCCAGCGAAGCUCGCUCAGCAUUGAUGGCGCCUGCGAUCUUAUCCCCUCCGGCCGACGUCGCCCUACACUCCUCGGCCGUAGGCCGUCCUUGGCGCGCGUCGCCGGCCAUCGCGCGUGAGAUGCAAGCGACUGAGGAAGAAGAAGACAGGAGGAAGAAGAAGAGAGAAAAGGGGCCGGGCCAAGGGUGAAGGAAAAUGGGCCACAUGGGCCACGCGGAGGGGGAAGAGAAAGGGAAAAGAAAAAAAGGGCUGGGCUUUUGUUGUUUUUUUUUUGUUUGUUUAUUAAUUAUCUUAUUUAUCCGAAAUAAAAUAAAAACUUAAUUAAAUAAAAUUAACCUAAGUAAAAUUGAGGUGUCAACAGCUGCCCCUCUUUGAAGGUGAGCUCGCGGAGGUUGCAUUCAAAGACAGACUGAUGCCUCAAUUUUAUCCAUACAUGCAUAGCAGAUUAUAUUUUAUUUGGGAUCUAUUAUUCUAUGUAGGAAAAGAGCAAUAUAACUUUACAUAUACUAAGACAGAUAAGAAGAUACCUGUAGUUACUUACCGGGAGUGAGUGAGAUAGGGUGUGAACCCCGAGUUUUGGCAAGUAUCAAGGCGUCAUCUUACCUGGUGAUAUGAGGAGGUUGCUUUUCCAGGGCUCGAACCAUUCUUCGGUUACCUGUUAAAACAAUCAAUGAUUUUUCUAGGGCCCGAACCUUUCUUCGGUCGCCUUGACGGGAGACUGCUCUUCCAGGACCCAAACCAUUCUUCGGUCGCCGUGACAGGAAGUUGUUUCUCCAGGACUCGAACCAUUCUUCGGUCGCCUGUUAAAACAAUCCAUGAUUUGUCUAGGACCCGAACCUUUCUUCGGUCGCCUUGACGGGAGAUGCACCGACCUUUCUCAGGGCAUCUCAUUUGUGGGUGCCUGAUUUGUAUCAAGGACACCAGUUGGAACCCGACCUUUCUCGAGAGGAUGCGCCGACCUUUCUCAGGGCAUCGAUUUGUGGGGCGUCUGACUUCUGUCGAAGACACUAGUUGGAACCCGACCUUUCUAGGGAGAUGCGCCGAUCUUUAUCAGGGCAUCGAUUUUGGGGGGCGUCUGACUUCUGUCGAAGACACCAGUUGGAACCCGACCUUUCUCGGGAGGAUGCGCCGACCUUUCUUAGGGCAUCGAUUUGUGGGGCGUCUGACUUCUGUCGAAGACACCAGUUGGAACCCGACCUUUCUCGGGAGAUGCGCUGAUCUUUAUCAGGGCAUCGAUUUUGGGGGGCGUCUGACUUCUGUCGAAGACACCAGUUGGAACCCGACCUUUCUCGGGAGGAUGCGCCGACCUUUCUCAGGGCAUCGAUUUGUGGGGCGUCUGACUUCUGUCGAAGACACCAGUUGGAACCCGACCUUUUUCGGGAGGAUGCGCCGACCUUUCUCAGGGCAUCGAUUUGUGGGGCGUCUGACUUCUGUCGAAGACACCAGUUGGAACCCGACCUUUCUCGGGAGGAUGCGCCGACCUUUCUCAGGGCAUCGAUUUGUGGGGCGUCUGACUUCUGUCGAAGACACCAGUUGGAACCCGACCUUUUUCGGGAGGAUGCGCCGACCUUUCUCAGGGCAUCGAUUUGUGGGGCGUCUGACUUCUGUCGAAGACACCAGUUGGAACCCGACCUUUCUCGGGAGGAUGCGCCGACCUUUCUCAGGGCAUCGAUUUGUGGGGCGUCUGACUUCUGUCGAAGACACCAGUUGGAACCCGACCUUUCUCGGGAGAUGCGCCGAUCUUUAUCAGGGCAUCGAUUUUGGAAGAUACCUUGGAUAUUUGUGAAGGUCUCUCACCUCUUGGUAAUGGGAAUGUCGAGGGUGUGCCCCGCUUAUUCAUGAAGGUGUCUCACCUCUUGGUAAAGGGGAAUAUCGAGGAUGUACCUGGGAUAUUCGUGAAGGUUUCUCGCCUCCUGGUAAUUGGGAAUAUUGAGGACGUACCUGAGAUAUUCGUGAAGGUCUCUCGCCUCCUGGUAAUUGGGAAUAUUGAGGACGUACCUGAGAUAUUCGUGAAGGUCUCUCACCUCCUGGUAACAUAAAUUUGAGUGUAGCACAAGACUUACCUGGAUGGCCGCAGGCACUUAAAAGGGGUGGAAAACCUGGAUAGCCACAGGUGUACAAAGUACUGGAAUACUUGGAUGAACACAAGUAUUUAAUGAUAUAACAUGGGACUACUCAGUUGGUCCAAGUGUAAGAAAGCAUACCUGGGUAGGUGCAGGCACACAAAGCAGUGGAAUGCUUGAACAGCUGAUAUUAUUUGGGGACAACUCGGGCAAGUUGAGUGUCAUGAAAAGGAAGUACCUAGACAAUAGUGGGUACUUUGAUGAUAUGGGGAUACCUAGACAGCAGUAGGUAUUCCAAGAGAUACUUGGUCAGUCACAAGUAUCAAUACUCUGGGGACAACUCGGACAGGUCGAGUGUCAGAAAAAGGGAGUAUCUGAACGGCGACCGGUACUCAAAGAUAACAGGGAUACCUAGACAACAGUAGGUAUUUAACAAUAAAGGGAUACUUGGUCAGUCACAAGUAUCAAUACUUUGAGGACAACUCGAAUAGGUCGAGUGUCAAGAAGAGAGUACCUGGACAGUGAUAGGUACUUUAAGACAAAUGGGGAUAGAGAUAUGCUUACCCGGCAAUAUCUCUGAUCUCUAAGAGUAUGUCUGCUAUUUGCAUAGUAUGCACACAUGAUUGUAUAUGCUGUAAAUUCAUGAGUUCAAAUGAGAUUCAUGCAUGAUAAUUUUGUCAGUUUUGCAUCAUCUGAGUUCCACUGGGGAAGAUUUUGAAAGACAACCUUCAUUUAGAAUGUAGAUGUCUUGAGCAUGCCAGACGAGGGACUUUCAGUCUGAAAGGACUUUCCGCUCACUCUCAUGGAAAAGGCUAUCCUGACCAUUGAUGCAGGAUUUAUAAGGACCACACUAUCUCACUGUCAUCAUGUCAGCAGGGGUCUGAGUAUUCUCGCAAACAGUACGACUUUACCAAUGUGAGAGGUCUUUGUUGAAAUUGUGAUGAAGACUUGGUCAAUAGCUCAUCAAAUGGGACCGUCGAGGUCAAGGCUCAUGAAUGAAGUGCCGCACGAUCAUCUCCAGGUUUGCAAGUCAAGAGUCCUGCGAAAAGAGAUAGAAUAGUCUUGCUCGUACUUCUUCGAGCGAUGCUUAUAGACAUAUGAAAUCCUACGUUAAUUGAAGUGCCCCUAGUCUGAAGAGACUUUUACAAUGGGAUGCAAUGUAGGAUUGAUUCAUGUGUAAAAGGGUGAGAGCUGGUGAUUGUCUUGGCAUUUGUCACCAGUCUUCCUUCUCACUGUCAAAUGGAGGCUCUAUCAAUUGAACCACAACAACAACUUUUCUUAACUGUAUUUUUUACUGGGGGGCAUUGGCCUUGCUUUUACCAGGCACACUGCUUUUUUCAUGCCCCUAUUUUUAUUCCAGUUCUCCAUUCAUGGACAUUGACCUUGCUUUUACCAGGUACACUGCUUUUUUAUGCCCCUGUUUUUUCAUUCUUGUUGCUUGAGAGCUGAUCUUGACAAGUUCAAGCAAAUGCCUUUGUUAGACUAUUGAGUCUUCAUCUUUUGCCGGCGCUUCUGAUUAUGCUGCUCAAACAGCAGUGGCUUUUGCUUUGCCUCCAUGUGAGGGUGAAUUUACAAACUCAAUUGAGUUGUACAAUGGAUACAAGUGUAUAAAGAAAGAGCUGCUCUUCAUGACUCUAGGGCACUUAAAUUAACGCGAGUGUUCAUAUGUAAUAAAGACACUCAAAGAUUGAUGCAAGUGCAAGCAAGAAAAUUUCUAUCUCUCUUCUCACCUUGUGAUGCUGCUUUGUCUCCAAUCUGCCCCAGUGUGGGGUGGUUCUUGACGGGGGUAUGAAAGAAACUUCACCAAUGUAUGGGGCUCAAUGGGGUGAGCGAUGGAAUGCCUCUCACUAUUUUGGUUAUCGUACCAUUCGCGAGAGAACUCUUUGCCCUGCAGUCAUGGAAUCUUCUGCACUCAUCUCACAAGUGUAUAGAUGGGGGACUGUGUGUAGGAUAUGGCUUGUCUUUCAUCAUUCUGACGUGCCUUACCCAGCACGCUCAAUUAAUCUUGUAUUAUUCACUUAGCUGUCUAUUCUAAUAAUUCUCAGUGGAAUCAGUGAUUUAGACAGACAAAAUCAUCAUGCAUAAUUCAUCUGGAAACGACAUGCAACAUUUUGAAUAUGAUGGAGUUUGAACUCUUCAAAACAAGUGAAUGGUUUUGACUCGCAAAAGACCCUAUUGACAACUUUAGGGGCUAACAUAAUAGUGUUUCCAAAUAUGUUAGAUUUUGAACAUCAAAAGGGUUAUUUGCAAAUGGACGUCGAUGGUUGUCCCUAUUGAUUAGGAAUAUGACACAUGAAUGAUCAGUCGGGGUUGGGAAUCUGAUCGGGCAUCUCUGCUUUUGCCCCUGCAGAAGAGAAGAUGUACAAGUAGAUUAAUUAGUCUGGCCAAAAUCAAAUGUGAGUUGAGGCCUGAAGGAUCUCUGUCAUUUGCUUUGGCAAUACUUGAGACGCCAUUUUGCUUGGGAGAGUUUGUCAUGCCUCUCAUUGAUUUGUGAUUUUUGUUUUUGACAGUCAGUUAAUCCUGCAACAAACAAGACAUGCUUCUCAUUGAUUCGUUAUCCUUGCUUUUGACAGUCAGGUGAUCCUGCAACAAACAAGAGGGAAUGUGUUAGUCAUGAACUCUUUCAAGAGUCAAAUAACUGGAAUCGAUACAACUUUACCCUUCACUGGUUUGCAGAUGAUUGGGUGAACCUGAAGUGAGAGGGGGACAUGAAGUCCUAUGUCCCUUGCUUCAUUAGGUCAAUUAUUCUCUGAAUUAGCUCCUGGAUGACAUGUCUUUUUACACGAAGCCAGGUGAAUUUGAUGUGGGUCAUUUCCACGUACUAGCUUGGCCAAUAUUGAUUUGCCUAACCAUUGAGUUUGGUUCUUGAGUUGUGAUGCUCCCUGCCAAUAGGGGGAAUAUGUCAAAAAUGAAUUUAAAGAAGGGGGAGUAUUGGAAACGAUACCAAAUUACUCUUCUCCAAAGUCUUGAUAUUUGAAUGUCGAUGACAGCCUUUUCGUCUUGGCAUAGUUUGACAUUUCUUUCAAUUGGCCUUCCUCACUUGUGACCAUGUAUGCGUGAUUGUUGGUCGUUGAUUCAUCUUCAACGCCUUCCUUAUAUGGAAUUUCUCUUUCUGUCUUUAACUAUAGCAUCAUUGGGCAAAAGUCAUGUACCUCAAGCUUUUAUGGAAUCUGAGAUCAAAAGUCUCAAGCUUUCUGAUGGCAAUUACUCCUCGGAAGAAUACGCGUUUGGAGUGAAGUUUCUAGAUUCCAAGAUCAUUGUCCAGGGUGUGGGGCUAUAGAUUGCUUUGACUGUCUAGAUUCUCUCCCUGUUGACAGUAAUCACUUUAAAGGAAGAUAAGCAAAUCCUUCUUUGUGCUUCUUGGCUUGUUGGAGCUGGAAGUCCUGUCAAUGAACUCGGGACAUCCUGCCUCGAGUUAUCAUGCUAUGCAUGCUUCAAGUUUGAUAAUAUGCAUGUGCCUAUUACAUCCCAUCCUUCGUUUCCUGUAGAUGGAAGAGAGAGGAUGUUAUUUUCGACAUUAUGUUCAGGGAAUAGGACUUACCAUUUUGAAACGUGAUGAUCAUUUAUGUUUGCCCUCGCUUUCUUGGAAGGGUGUCUUUGAAUUUGGUGGGUUCACCUGAUGUGCUUGCUUCAAAUGCCCGCUGUCACACUAAGUUAAAGGGGACGGGAAUGAUCUUCUGAGACAUAAAGUGAGUGAGUCAGAAAGACAGACAUGAUUAAAUUUAUCAUCUUUUUUGAAAGAUUUUGGUGAUGAAGUGUUUUCUAUUUUCAAAAUAUGUAUUCAGGGGAGAAAAAAGCAUGAGGAAGCCCAGCCCUCAGUAUUCUCCUUGGAUAUAUUUUUUCAUGGUUGGAUAGCAUCACCGGGCAGGUUUGGAGUACCGCCUCAUGCUCUUAAACAAAAUAUUAGAAUUGUACAUUAGAGUACUUGAAUGGAAAAUACAACAAUAGCACACUAUACAAGAUGAGAAACAUGAAAUUAUAAAAACAAGUAAAACUCAUGAAAACCCCUGUGUAAAGGAGCGCUUUGAUAGUGCUGAUCUUGAAGCUAAGCGUCUUUGAAUUCCUCGCCUUCAGUAGACUCGAAGUAUUCGCAUGCGAUGACUACCUCGUUGAAGUUACGGAAGUGUAACCCAUGCAGCCAACAGCGAUGCUUGCAGGACAAAACUUCUAUGAACUGCUUCAUUAACUCCUCUUCAGCCAGUUGAGGGUGGGUUUGCAUCAUGAAAGCCCUCCACCUCCUUGCGUAUGCUCGGAAAUCUUCCAUUGGUUUUCUUGUGAAGUGAGCCAAGCUCUCACAAGGCAGUUCAGUUCCGAUCUGGCUUUGGUACUGAUGCAAGAAUGUGGAAGUCAGCUCAUUCCAAUCCUUUAGAAGAUAAAUGUUUGCUGUGAUAAACCAUUGCAGUGCAGACCCCGUAAGAGUUUCUUGGAAUGCCUGAGUUGUGAACGACAUCGGGCCAUAGUACCGACUCAUUUCGGCAUGGAGAUACUGCAAGUGGGCCAUGGGACAGGCUGUGCCGUUAUAUUUGCGGAGAUUUGGUAUCCACAUUUCUAUGGGGCUCAUGAUCCUACGAGGGCAAGACGGGCUUGAUGUAUCUUGGUUAGGCCACUGGUUUUCCCACUGCAUAUCUGUGGUGGUGGUGAAUUUUUCUGUUUCAGGGAAGCUGGACUCUAUCGAGAUUACCCCAUUGCUUUCUUCCGGGUCAAAGUUACCGAAGAAGGAUGAGGGAUUUAAGCUAUCCUCAUGGUCAGGUGACGAGCUUAGUACUUCGUUAGGAUCGUAGCGGAUAAAGACGUAUGCUUCUUCUUCUAACGGGCCUUCAUCCCCGGAUGAGAGUAGGAAACAGUUAUACGAUGAAUCGUCAGUUGCAUUGUCGAAAUAACGCUGGAAGUCUUUAGGAUUGUAUUCUAGGGCCGGGAAGUCUUCAAAGCUGUAUUCUUGGGAAUGCUCGAAGCUUUGGUGCGGUGGCUCAUCGAUAGAUGCUACAUUGAUUUGCUUAGGCUUUCUUUUCUUGGCUUCUGGUCCAGACCUUUUGAGUAAGGCUCUUCGUUUUGCCAGCUCGAUUCUGUCAAAGGAAGUGAGAGACAUUGGAGUUUCACUAUCUGAUUCACUUCCCAGGUUGAUAGGGGUUGGUAUUCUUUGGACCCUAGCUCUUGGAGUAAGCUUGGGGAGUUGUCCAGUCGUGCCCCGAUCUUGAACAGGCUCUGUGUCUUUGAUCUCGUACAAAGGCUCCUUGCCUUUCAUAGUGGGAAAUUUUCCAGUAACAGGGUGUUGUUCAGUUGCCCAUUUAUCAUGCAAGGCUUUAUUGACAUGCUCUUCUCCUAUCUCAGCGACUAACGGUUCCUCGUGCUCCGCGAUCAUCGGCUCUUCGUAGGGUAGGGUGAUGUCAAGAUUAUACUCUUGGUGAAAAACAUGAAUUAGUUCCCUCCAGGUUUUAAGGGGAUUAAUCUUCUUGAUAAUGUACCACCGCAAGGCAGGGCCAGUCAAGCUCGAUUGGUACGAUUGAAUCAUCCUUCGGACCAAGUAGGCCUGUAGGUAGGUCUCUGGGCGGGAGGUAUCAGCAUACCUUUCGCAUUCAGGUGCUUUGAGUUUUUCAGGGAUCUCAAUGCCGGCGUAAUUGGAUAGGUCCAUGGGAUUCUGCUCCUGUAGCUGGCUUAACUUUUUCAUAAUCCUUUCAAACUGUCUAUGGUACUGGCUAUUUUCUGGCAAAUUUGCAGGUGUCAUGACGGUGUUUGAGGCAACUAUGGAGUUGGGCUCAGCUUGAGUGGAUUUCAUUUGUCUUGAGAGUUGUUGAAGGACAAUUGACAUCUGUCCUACGUCGUCUUCAAUGUUAAUAAGGCGAUUUUGUGCAUCAUUCUGAUCGGGCCCUAAUGCAUGAGGCCAGUCGUGAGCUAUUGGUGGCCGGCGAUUCAUAAUUACCUGCUCGUUGCGAAAACAAUGAAUGAGCACGAAAGUAAACAAAGAUUGACCCAUGGCAAUGGUCUAAUUGCUUUUUCAUUUAUCAAAAGAUGAUUUAUAGACUGCCAACUCCUAACAUCUAGGACUUGAAAUUGAAAAGACAGGAGGAAAUACUAGAUAUUAAACAAGAGUCCCUAAACAAUGGGACAUAACUUUCACACUAUUUACACUAAGGGGCACAUGAUUGCCAAUUUAUAUGCGACGGGGAGCCUUGUUCUUGCGAGAACACCUGCUUCCUUGAACUGGCUCUGAGGUGUGCAUCCAGUCCAUUCCCGAAUCCCUCUCCAUGAGCUCUGCUUGCUCGUGUUGGCUGCUCUCGCUGAUCAAGUGAGGGACUAAUGGCUUCCAUCUUGUCGGGAUGCGAUGGUUGUGGAUGUAGGACAUGGAGGCGUGGUGGGCUUUUUCUUCUCCCUCAAGCCCUUCAGGUACCACGAUCCUUUUACGAUGGCACUUGUUCCAUGCUUCUUCAUAAAUGUCAACCAUGUAUUCAAAAUUUCGAUGAGUGAAGAGAAGUGGAGGGGUCCUCUUCUUGAAAGAUGGCGGGAUCUCCUGAAGGGCUCCAUACUGUCGUGCCACCCGUUGUGGGAAAUAGGAAAAAGCACCGGUGAGGCCGAGCAGCGGAAUUGGAUGGCGGCGCUUGAAAGCAAAGUGAGCUCUCUUUUCAUAGAACCAACCAGCACGCCAUUGGAAUGCCUCAGGAGCCGGGUCUCUUAGGAAAUUUAUCCAAUUUAAACAGCUUUGAUUGGGAAUGUAUGGUCCUAAAACCAUAAAUUUUUGUAAUGGAUUUUCGAAGUCAUUCAUUCCAGAUGAUCGCAUGAAGCCCUGGAAUUCGCUUAGGUGAGAAAAGAACCAGACUUGUAAAAUUUCAGGAGAGGCUCGCAUGAUUUUCUCCGUGUUGUCUUUAAAACGAUUAAAGGACAAGAAUGUUUCAGUUAAAAUCAUAUUGACAUAAUUUUGCCCUCUCAAGAUUUGAUCAACUAUCCAUGCCAUCUUAGGACUUAUGACAUUUCUUUGAUGGGGGAAAAUGAUGAACCCAAAAAAGCCCAGGAGGAAAAUCUCACUUUUUUGGGUCAUAGGCUGAUUUUGAAAACAGGCGUUCAUGAAUUCUAGUGGGCAGGUAUUGUUGUUGCCUUCAAGAAUUUGUCUCAUGACAUGGAUUUCAGUUCCUAAAAGUCGCGCUAACCCCUGCCACGGGAGGAAGCCUGUCGAUGGCUUAACAAGCUUUUUCUCGAGAGGCAUUCCAGUGAUGAUGCUGUAUUCUUCCAGAGUUGGGGUUAGCUCAAACCCACCAAACAUAAAAGUAGUCGUUUUCAAGCACCAGAAAUGUGCCAUGGCCUGUAUGACUUUGGGACGAACAGUGAUUUGAAUCAACGAUAGGAGAUGACCGAUUUUGGCCUUCACGCGCUCUUGGGCAAGCUGGUCCAAUUGACCCCACCAUCUGAAGAGUUCCGCCUUAGGAGCACGAAUAAACUGGAUAUCGUCUUUCCCCAUUGCAUAUAAACUGAGACUUGAAAAGCUUAUCCUAAAUUGCCAUGGGCCAAAUAAAAAGACUGAGUAACAGUAAAGAAAUCACUUUGCUUUUUAAAAAAAUUGCAAGCACCAAGACAUACAGAUGGGAUGUGCGGCUCGAUUUCUAACUCAGAAGGAUUGGUGAGAUUAAAAGGAUAUCCGCCCGUCGCAGUCUCGCGUUAGCAGCAUACCCUCUUAACCACGUCUAAGAAAUUCGAGGAAAAGAAAGGCGACCUCUACAUCGCAGUCUCGCGUUCGAGGUCGUAUCUUUCUUAACACCAUCCUAGAAAUCCUAUGGCGGCCCAGGUCCGGCGGCCGGGUUGUGUGUGCCAUGUGUAGUGUUUAAAACAGUAAAGCAUGCACAACAGUUUAUGAUCACAAAACAUUUUAUUUUAACAGAAUAAAAAAACUUUAAGCUAUUAUCCUGCACAAAAGAAAAAGACCCAAGUUAGCAAAGUAUUUAAACAAAGAUAAAAAUGGCCUAAGUCCUCAAAGUCCCAAGCGGAGUCGCCAAGCUGUCGCGACCCCUUUUUUUCUGGCGCCCACAAUCGGGUACGAGCGCCUAAGGAGGCUAAUGGCUCGGCUGAAUUUAUUAAGCCUGGACUCUCCCAAGUCCACCAAUUCACGACUUUAAUAAUUUGAGUUUUUAACCCAUAAAUCAAUUUUUAAAAUGGAGUCGCCACUAAUCGAUUUGAGGUGGGUUGAUUAGAAACCCAAGUGAAGUAUCGGGAGAAAUACUCACUCCUGCGCAACCAGAGAAAUUAGGAUCGGGGACUUGAUUACACUAGUUAAUCACUAAUGCCCUUUCGGUACCUAAUCUUGUUUAAACCCUAAGGCUUUUUGGAUUUUUGAGAGAUUUUCCAUGCAUUUUUGGGAGGAAAAACAUUUUUUGAGUAUUUUUCUCAUUUUUUGGACAUAAAAGGGAUUUUUGGUAUUUUUUGGAAAAUAUGGAAUAUUUUUGAUUUUUUUGAUUUUUUUGAUUUUUUUUCUUUUCUCGGAAAAUAAAAUAUUUUUAAAUAUUUUUUCAAAAUAUUUUUGGAAAAUAAAUUAUUUUUUGAUUUUUCUCGAUUUUUUAGAAAAUAAAACAUUUUUCGACAUUUUUAAAUAUUUUUCGAUUUUUUGGAAAUUAAAACAUUUUUUUUAUUUUUUAUUUAUUAAAAUAUUAUUUUUAUAUUAAAAUAACAAAAUAAAACCGACCCGGGUCGGAUCCGCGGGUUGGGUCCGACCCGGGUCGGCGACCCAAAUGCGGACGGGCCCGCGUUGCGGGCUCGACUCGGAUUUUUCAUCUUUUCUUUUUUCUUUUUUUCUUUUUUUUUAAAAACGACGCCGUGGCCGGGCGUUUGGGGACGCCCGGCCCAGCCCGACGACCCGGGUCCACGACCCGGCUCCCUGCGAACCCUACCCGACCCGGAUCCGAAUUCACGACCCGGCUUCCGCCGCCCCGAAAUCUCGCGGAACCCUACCCGGUUCCGAGACCCGGAUCCGAUUCGACAACCCGGAAAUCGCAAACCCUAGGGUUUGCGAUUCCGCGGCGCCGAAGAGGGGGAACCGAGGUGUUUGGCUGCGACGGCAACUAUGGCGGCGACGUCGAAGGUGACAACGGCGGCGGCAACCACAGCGGCCACGACGGCGGUGACAAUGUCGACGGCGACGACGGCUAGGUCAACGGAAAACGGCUGCGAUGAACAAUAACGCCCCCCUUUUUACCUUCUCUCGGAUGGGGACGGCGACAGCAGGAGAGCGGUUCGCGAUGGUGGAGGUGACGACGGUAGCAACUCAGCUUCUCGAUCUGGCGCGGCUUCGGCGGAUCGAUCACGGUAAUGGCUCCGCGAGGUGAGGCACGACAACAAGCCGUCGAAGCAACGGCGUCGGGACUGAGGUGAACGGUUGCGGCACGGCGUUCGGCGGCAACAACAGCAGCAAAAAAAACCAGAUCUACUGCGUAGAUCUCGGCCGGACCCUCCUCGGCCUUGAUUCCUCCUCACUUAGGCCAGAUCCGAGCCUCCACAGGCCGGAUCUGACCUUCUCGAAGUCACUCGCCGCCUGCCUUCCCCGAAGUCUCUCGGUGGAAGGUGGGCUAAGCUCGCGACCCGAGCUCUCUCCUGCGCUCGCCCUUCAACCCUUCCCGAUGUCUCUCAGUGAAGGAUUUCCGAGCUCGCCACACCCUCCGACGAUGCUUGCGACCCACCUAUUUAUAGGCGAAGGAACUCCGGUCGAUGGAGGGGCUCGGUCGCCGGCCUCCGGCUUGCCCACCGGUUCCGCUCGGCCGAACCGGUGUCCCAUCGAGCUUUCCAGCGAAGCUCGCUCAGCAUUGAUGGCGCCUGCGAUCUUAUCCCCUCCGGCCGACGUCGCCCUACACUCCUCGGCCGUAGGCCGUCCUUGGCGCGCGUCGCCAGCCAUCGCGCGUGAGAUGCAAGCGACUGAGGAAGAAGAAGACAGGAGGAAGAAGAAGAGAGAAAAGGGGCCGGGCCAAGGGUGAAGGAAAAUGGGCCACAUGGGCCACGCGGAGGGGGAAGAGAAAGGGAAAAGAAAAAAAGGGCUGGGCUUUUGUUGUUUUUUUUUUGUUUGUUUAUUAAUUAUCUUAUUUAUCGGAAAUAAAAUAAAAAAUUAAUUAAAUAAAAUUAACCUAAGUAAAAUUGAGGUGUCAACAUAUGCAAGCCACAAAUUUGAUCCUCGAUCUCUCCCCUGUAUCUUCUUGGGUUAUAGUAAUCAGCACAAAUGAUAUCGAUGUCUGGUAUCAACUAAUAAUCGUGUAUACAUCAGUAGACAUGUUGUCUUUGAUGAACAUUCUUAUCCUUUUAUAAAGAAGUUGGUCAAUGAGUAUGGACAGUAUACAAAUCUAUACAAACAAUGGAUUGAAGGAAUACAUUUCCUUGAACCUUCAAGAACCGAGUUAACAGACAAUGGUUCUUUGCAUCAGUCAGCCAAAACCCAGAUCCAUCCUGAUCUAGAUGAUUGCUAUAAUCAUCACCUAUGUCAUAGACAACAAUCUCAGACCAUUUCCUCGAGAACUAUGUAGAAUGAGAGAACAACAGAUGAACAACCUGUCAUGGCUUCAAUAGAUACUAUGCCUACAGAUCUAUCUACCUCUCAGGGACAACAUAUUACCAGCUCUUCAUCUUCACACAAUGAUCUACCAGCUGAAAGUAGUUCUGGUGAAAGGUACUACAAUUCCAAUUCCAUUAUGUCUUCUUCUCAAGGUACUCUUAAUAAUCAUCAUAUGCAAACUCGACUAAAGUCUGGGAUUAGAAAACCAAAUCCAAAGUAUGCUUGUUUAGCUGAGUAUCAAGUUCCUAUGGAACCACGGUCUAUCAAAUCAGCCUUAACUAAUGAAGCCUGGUACAGGGCUAUGAAAGAAGAAAUGGAUGCUCUUGAUGAAAACCAAACCUGGACAUUGAUUCCUAGAACUGACCAGAUGAAUGUGAUAGGCUGUAAGUGGGUAUAUAAGACCAAACUCACACCAGAUGGGGGUUUUGACAGACUCAAAGCUCGUCUAGUCGCCAAAGGCUUUCAUCAAGAAGCAGGACUUGACUUCACUGAGACUUUUAGUCCAGUCGUGAAACACACAACAAUUCGAAUAGUGCUAUCUCUAGCCAUGAUAAAGCAAUGGCAAAUACAUCAGCUUGAUGUUAAGAAUGCUUUUCUUCAUGGAGAUUUGAACGAGACUGUAUACAUGGAACAGCCACCUGGCUUUAUCCAUCCUCAGAAGCCAAGUUAUGUCUGUCUGCUUCAAAAGUCCCUAUAUGGUCUUCGACAAGCACCAAGAGCUUGGUUCGAUAAAUUCAGCAAGUUUUUACUUGAAAGUGGCUUCUUCUGCAGCACAUCAGAUCCAUCCUUGUUUGUUCUUCAUACAGACUCCCAUACAGUCUUAUUGCUACUAUAUGUUGAUGAUAUCAUCUUGACUGGCAGUUCACCACAUCUCUUAACUACCCUUAUUCAGAAACUAGUCUUCACUUUCAUAUGAAGGACCUUGGAUAUCUUCACUAUUUUUUGGGCAUUGAAGCCAAACGAACUUCAUAGAAACUCUUUUUGUGCCAAACAAAAUAUGCCACUGACUUGCUGAAACGAGCUCAUAUGGCAGAUUGUAAACCAAUCUCAACACCCUUGCCACUUCGAUCAAUUUCCAUGGCUGACACUGCAAAUCAACUCACAGACCCUGUGGAGUACAGAAGCUUGGUUGGUGCUCUUCAAUACUUAACCAUUACUCGACCAGACCUGGCGUUUGCUACUAACCUUCUCUGUCAAAAGAUGCAACAUCCUACCGUAGGAGACUUUCAUCAGUUAAAAAGAGUACUUCGAUAUGUCAAAGGUACCAUACAUCUUGGGUUCUAUCUUCAUUCUCAAAGUUCAGUAAACCUCUAUGGUUUCUCAGAUGCUGAUUGGGCUGGUUGUCCAACUACACGACGUUCCACAACGGGGUUUUGCACAUUUCUUGGAUCUAAUCUACUUUCUUGGUCUGCCAAGAAACAACCUACUGUUUCCAGAUCCUCAACAGAAGCAGAAUAUCGUGCACUUGCUUCGACAAUUGCUGAACUCACCUGGAUAACUUUUGUGUUACGAGAUAUUGGCAUCUCUCUUCAAUCACCUACAUUAAUAUACUGUGACAACAGAUCAGCAAUUUCUCUUACAGCCAAUCCAAUAUUACAUGCUCGAACCAAGCACAUUGAAGUUGACUUUCACUUCGUCCGUGAGAAAGUUUCUUCUGGAUCUAUUCGUGUUCAGUAUAUCUCUACUCAUCUUCAAUUAGCUGAUAUCUUUACUAAGUCACUCUCACGAUUAUCUAAUCUUACUCUCCGAACCAAAUUGGGAAUGUGGUCGUUCACCCUUCCCAAUUUGAGGGGGGAUGUUAGAGGAUCAAGACCUCCAUCCUACUCUGCUACAUCAAGAGUCAGCCACAAGGGAUCCUCAACUCUGGUAGAUGUAGAUCACUAGAAGACUAUGGAUAACCAGUCUUAUCAACGGUGGAGAUUUUACAAUGCCGAAGACGUGGAUUGCCAAGUCUCAGGAUUUGUCAAGACUGCUAUUCUGUUAUAAAUAGCUGUAAAAGUUUGUUAGUUUGUGUCGGUUAGUUCGUUUAGUCUGUUAUUAGUUUUCCAGCUUCUCUCUGUAUAUAAAGAUAGAAUUGAGCUCAGGAAAAGGUGUGAAGAAGAGAGGAGAGGGAAGAACAGGAGAUUCAAUAUUGAUCUGUUGUAUUUGAUUUCUCUUUGUUCAAAACUUGGAUACAAUGAAAUAAGAAUCGAAUACUUCUUGUUCAGAUCCUUCUGCAACUCUACCGAGUUUAUUCUCUAUCAUCAUCAUCAUUCCUCAUCUUCAUCUUCUGCGUUCUUGGAUUCUCAAUUUCUCACCGUAAACUGUACAGUCUCUUCUACUGGGAGGAGAAAGAAAUUCUCAGCAUUAUCUCCCGCUUGCUUAAAAUUUAUUCUCAUGUUUUUUUACAUUGAAUCGCUUGACCAUUGAGAUUAAUUUGAUUUAUUUUCUAUUGAUUGCGUCUUUGAUGAAUCCAAGUAACAAUCCAAGGUAAGUUUCGAUUGUUUGCAAUGUGAAUUUGGUGGCUGGGGAGGUUCCGCUGUGAAACGUUGGCCUCAGUCGCUCUGAAUGAAAGAAUACGUUUUCUUGAAUUGUUAUCUUGAUAAGGAAGAGAGUGACACAGGCUACGGUUUGUUGUGAAAAAGAAACAAGCAACAAUUGCUGAAUUUCUAUUCUGCAGGAAAUGGAAGCGAAUUAGAAUAACUAAUGUGCUUUUGGAUGCUGAUUGCCGGAUUAUCUUGUGAACAUAUGGUAUCUUUAUUUCUCUUUCGAAUGUUUGGUAUUUGCUCCGCUCUCUUACUGGUAACCGGUGCCGCGAACUUCUUGGUUGAUUAAUUCCUCUUUCUGCAAAUGACUUUGGCCCCAGUUACAGUCCACUUUCAGUAUACGAGUCAUCAUUGUAAUUUGAGUACCGGGUGAUGUGAUACAGUCUUGAAAAUUUCAAAUACUAAAUUCCAUCAGCCUCAGUUUUUUUUUUUUUUAAAAUCAGAAUUUCAUGUUUGAAAGAAUGGUUUGUAUGAAUGAUCUUUGCACUGGAUUAACUCAAAUGAUAUUUCAUCAUAGAUAUUUAGAACAGAGUAUUUCUUUAGUUGGCUACUUUGCGACCUUUGUUGCUGAUAAAGUAGAUUGACUUGCUAGAAGGAAUUAGUGCUUUGUAAGUGCAGCCAAUUUUUUUGUUAAUUUCGUUGCUGGGUAUUAAUUAGUUCAUGGAAUGAUGCUCAUCAGAUUUGGUAGAUUCAAACAAUGGUAAAUAGCCCAUGCAACAUCAGGAAAAUAUGAAAAAUCAUUUCUUAUUUGUUGAGAAUCAUCAUCAUUCUUUCUCUCAGCAGUGAGAGAUACUGCAAAUAUCGUAGAGUACGAAUUGAAUGAAGAGGUAUCGUAACUUUGGACUUGUCUGUCAAUCUUGCUUAUCUCAUCAAUGGCCAAUGUUAUGCUGAUGUUUGAAUGAAUCCAAGCACUUAUCUUUAGUAGGCUUUGGAAUUUUCACAAUCUAUGGAUCCAACGAGUCUUAACAAUUGAUGUGUCGGGGAAUUUCUUACCUAUACCAAGUCCACUGGGCGGAGUCUAUGUCAGUGGUUGAUCAUCUAAGCCCCAUAUGCAACAUUCAUGUGAGACUCACUUGAACAACUAUUGAAAUGGACCCAAUCUAAGCGAGUGCAAGCACCACCUUGCGGAAGCUAUGCUUUGGCUGAUGGCAUAAGACGUGAAAAUUCUUUAAUCUCAGCCUUCUUUGUGCUCUUGCACUUUGGAUUUAGGUUGUGCCCUGGACAUACUUUUAGUUAUGUUAAUGGGGGAUUAGUACUUAAGGAGAUAUGGAAAUACUCUCCCGAAUUCGAUGCUUCCAAAGGUCAAAGUAGUUCAACCUGGGCAACUAGAAAAGAGUAACAACGAGGUCAAAAUGUUAUGGAGCAUUACCCCAUUGGUCAUUUUCAUCUCAACCUUUUCAAAUGUGGAGACAACUCCCUUGUUCAGGUGAUAAUACUCAAUAAAGGUGCUUCUGAGAUAGAUUAUUCCUCAGGAUCACUGCCUCGGACGACCUCUUCCUCUGAUCCGUUUGUCCUUCGUGCAUUACUAAAAUAAACAUUAUAAUCUUCCUUUUCGUUCUUAGCCUCAUGAAGAGAGACUUCAGGCAUUUUUAUGUGAUUUUUGUUGUCAAAUUUACUGCUGGCAUGUCUAUAUGUGUGCCAUAAGCGCUUUGUAUGAUCAUCACAGGAAGUGCUCACCAUGAAGUGUUCAUAUUAACAAUCUGAAUCACAAAUCAACAUUCACUGCAAUGCGUGUUUGUCUGUUAGAUGGUCGAUACUUGUUUAGUUCUUCCCGUCAAAAGUCUUGCAAAGAUGAUUCCGUCUUCAUCUAUGUUACUUUGAGAUCGCUGUGUAGGUUGCUCUCUUUGGCGGUUUCUGGAUUAAUGUUUUAUAAAUUGUACAAUCUGUGCCACUGGGAGGUGAAAAAAAUCCUCAGCAUUAUCUCCCGCACGCUUAAAAUUUAUUCUCAUGUUAUCUACAUUGGAUCAUCUGACCAUUGAGAUUAAUAUGAUUUCUUUUGUGUUUGAUGAAUCCAAGUAACAAUCCAAGGUAAGUUUCGAUUGUCUGGAAUGUGAAUUUGGUGGCUGGGCAGGUUCCUCUGUGAAACGUUGGCCUCAGUUGUUCUGAAUGAGGGUAUGAUUGCUUGAAUUGUUAGCUUAAUAAGGAAGAGAGUGAUGCAGGCUACAGUUUGUAGUGUAAAAGACACAAGCAACAAUUGCUGAAUUUCUAUUCUGCAGGAAAUGGAAGCGAAUUAGCAUAACAAAUGUGCUUUUGAGCAAUGAUGUUGAUUUCUGGAUUACCUUUGUGAACAUGUGGUAUCUUUAUUUCUCUUUUGAACAUUUGGUAUUUUCUCUGCUCUCUUUCUGGUAAACAGUAGUGCGGACUUCUUGGUUGGUUAAUCCUUCUUUCUGCAAUUGACUUUGGCCCCUGUUAUGGUAUGCUUUCAGUAUACGAGUCACAUUGUAAUUUGUGUACCUGGUGAUGUGAUACGAUCUUGUUGAUGCAUUUCUCAAUAUGUUUCCCAAACUUUGCUUGUUGUAAAAAAAUUCAAAUAUUAAAUUCCAUGAGCCUCAAUUUUUUUCCCUUUUUUUGUUGAUCAAAAUUCUGUGUUUGUAUGAGCUUGAUCUUUGCCCUGGAUUAACUCGAAUGAUAUUUCAUCAUAGAUAUUUAGGACGGAGUAUUUCCUUAGUUGGCUACUUUGUGGCAUUUGCUGCUGAAAGUACAUUGACUUGCUAGAAGGAAUUAAUGUUCUGUAAGUGCAGCCAAUUUUUUGUUAAUUUUGCUGCUGGGUAUGAUGAUGUUCACGGAAUGAAUGCUCAUCGAAUCGGUAGACUCAAACAAUGGUAAAUAAAUAGUCCAAGCAACAUCAGGAAAAGAUAAAAAAGCAUUUCUCAUUUGUUGAGCCAUCAUCAUUCUUUCUCUCGGUAGCGAGAGAUGCUGCAAAUAUCGUAGAGUAAGAAUUGAAUGAAGCGGAGUCGUAAUUUUGGACUUGCAUGUCAAUCUUGGCUUAUCUCAUCAAUAGCCAAUGUCAUGCCAAUAUUUGAAUGAAUUCAAGCACUUAUUUUAAGUAGGCUUUGGGAUUUUCUUACCUAUACUGGGUCCAUUGGGCGGAGUCUAUGUCAGUGGUUGAUUGUCUAAACCCCAUAUGCAACAUUAAUGUGAGAUUCACAUGAACAACUAUAGGAAUGGAACCAAUCUACACGUGCACAGACACCACCUUGAGGAAGCUAUUCUUUGGCUAACGGCAUAAAAUGUAUAAAUUCUCAAAUCUCUGCCAUCUUUACGCUUUUGCAAUUUGGAUUUAGCUUGCGAUUAAUAAGGGCCCUAGACUUACCUUAAGUUGUGUUGUUAAUGGGGCAUUACGAAAGGUCAUAAGUAGUUCAACCUGGGAAACUUGAAAAGAGUAACGACGAGGUCGGAAUGUUAUGGAACAUUAGUCCAUUGGUCAUUUUCAUCUCAACCUUUUUAAAUGUGGAGACAACUCCAUUUUUCAGAUGUUAAUACUCGAUAAAAGUGCUUGUGAGAUAGAUUAUUCCUCGAGCAAUGGCCAAAUAUCAAACCCUGAGGAUCGAUUUUUCUAACAAGAAAGGGAUGAUGUUGUCAAGCUUGAAGAUUUAGAGGGUUUCCGGCAACGUCAAUCGCUUUUACCCUGUUCUGGCGAAUUUUCUGAUUGCCCAUCAGUCACUCAUCAUGAGAAUUUGAUGGCAAUGAAUGGUAGUCUUAUUAGUCACGUUUCUGCCUUUAUCAGUGCAUUUUCUUCGUUCUUUCCAAAUUCUUUAAUGCUUUUUGAUCAGCAUUUUGGAUGUUGAUAUAUACGGUAAUAUUCAGAAGUGCAGAUUGUAAUUAAUCGGUGUGGUGACUAGCUCUAAUGUGAAGGGGAUGUAAAAUUAUUUGAUCAAUUUUAUUUUUCUGGUUUUCCAUGGAAAUGCUAACUACCAAUGUAUGCUGAAUCAUUUCAUACUAAGUCAACGCUCAGUAAUUUCUGGAAAUGGAAUCACCAUAAUCUGAAACUUUACAGAGACAAAGUCUCAAUCGGCAAAGAAUUGGAACCCACCAAAGUUGCGAUCUUGAAAAUCAAUGACGGCAGAGCUUUACUUGAAGGUGAAAAAGUUGAAGCUAUUUUGAGAAUUCUUCGCAACGGAACGGGAGCUCUACUGGAUGGCUCUACUACGAAUGUUCCAGCAUUGUCGGCGUUUUAGACGGAAGCCACUCGCUUGCUCGAAGCAUUGAAACGUUUUCGGUCAAGGCGAGAAAGUGUGUUGGAGCUCGAGUCCGACUGCGAAGAGCUGGUCAACGUAGUGCUUAUGAAGACGGCUCUAAUAGAGAAAGCCCAGCUAUCUUUGGCCCAAUUGUACUUUCUCUCCCUGGCCCAUUGCCACCGGUCCACAAACAAAAUGGCUGAUUGGGCCGUGAAAACCAAACGUAUGAAUGCUCUCCCUCCCUCUUGAGUGGCCCAUCCCUCCAAUCUUUAUGGAAUUAUUUUACGUUUGGAUGCCCCUUUGUUGGGCUUUUGUUUUAAAGACCCCCGGGUUUUAAUUCACGCCAUGUCUUCAAAUUUGAAAGCUUGCCUCGUAUAUUAGUUUGUCUUAAGCUCGAAUUGGUCGACGGUCAAAACACAAGUUCAAAAUUACAUGGAAAGUAGAUGAUCAAGCAAGUCUUAAGAACUAGAAUCUGGAGAAAUUGGACAAAUUCCAACUGAGGUUGUUGACGCAAUUUGACUUGAAAAACUAGAAAACUGAAAUUGGACCAGCAAGUGAACGGAAAGAUUAAUUAAACUGGAUUUUCAUCCCUAUCCUCUUGGGAAAAAGACAAAUAAUUUGUGGUUGAAUCUUUUCAACUACUUCACACCUCGGCACCAAGUUGUCGAAUCGGUGUUUUUUUUAUAACUCAAUAUCUAUAUAAAUGAUUUUCGAUUGAAAUAGUCUCGUAAGCAAGAUCAUUUCUCCAAUCUAAUGAAGUAAAAUAACCUUCACUGCAAUCAUGAUGCCUCCUCUAAUAAAAAAAGAAUAUCCCAUUGAUGUCAAGAUGAAAGCAACAUAAUGACUAUAUAAAUAAAUAAGUUAGCCGACUCGUUUCAUUUAUAAUAUUCAAUUGUUUGUAAGUUAACAUUCUUGUCUUGGUUGAGGUGGCCAACAAUGGUCUUUUUUAUUUAUUUUUUUAAUUUAUACAUUGGCCAGUUUCGACUUGUAGCAAUGUGCUACCAAGUUUUCAGCUUCCUAAGGAAUCGAUUUGUGUUUAGGUGAGGCUUAACUAAGUCAGGUUACCGAGCUCCAUCGUCCAUGCCCAAGGAAGUCACUGGUAUUUUUAUUUGAUUAGUCUAUAACAUUUUUAAUCUUCUCACUAUUUCUUUUCAUACGCAAUAGUUGUGCUCUUUUUCUAGUACUGAGUAAACAAAUAACAAUUCAAAAUGUAAAUAAAAUUGCCAAAAGAAAAACCGAUAUAUGCAACGUCUAGGCCGUACCAUAGGUCUCUGGGUAGUCGCGUCUCAACUUUUGUGCCCAUUGAUCAUUAGAAGAAGUGGACUAAAAAUUCUUCAUCGUAGUUUACUAACAUGAAAAUUGAACAUGCACUUCCUUUUUAGUUAAAUUUCCUUAUUAGUCAAAAAUAAACUCUCAUGUGUCAUGUAAGCCACCAAAGGGCGCCUCAAUUAGCGAAGAUGAUUGAAUCAUUCCAAAGCAUGAGAGAAUAAUGUGACCUUAUCACUUGCCGCGUUAGAUAAUUAUGUUGUCGUCUCUUUUCCCUUUACCUAACCUAUAAAAAACGAAAGCAGUAAUCGAAUAUUCUUUACAUCUAUAUCACUUAUAUUCUCUUUAUGUAUAUAUGCACCGCAGUAGCAUUAAGAUAUAGCAAAUACUUGAUUGACUAUUUAAAAAUAUCGCAAUGGUGGGUUCACAUCCACAUCAAUCAUAUGCAAAUCAAUCACGAAAACAAGCAAAACUAACCAUUUAACAAGAGAUUAUCUUUUCUUAAGAAAUUUUGCCAAACGCGAUAUACAUUAAUUCUUUAAUAUUAAAAAAAAAUCAUAUUUACGUGGCAUCUCUAUUUUGCAAUUAUUGAACAAUAGUAAUGUGAUAGUAUUAUGUUAACAUUGAUAUUUUCGAAAUGACACAUAAUGCAAAUGAGACUAUUCUUUAGAAUAAGAAAUUAUGCUUAAUUAAUCCCAUGAUUGAUAAUGUUGGUUGGGGAGUUGGUUUCUAGCUUAGGAACCGGAGAUCUCCCAUUAGAAUCCCACAAAUGCACGAAAACUGUCUCAAUUAAUGACGCAUCUUCUCAGGGGGGAUUGGGGUGAGGACGAUUCAUUUCAGGAGUGGGUUUCGACUCCCACGGCCUGCAAGGAGGCUGGGCAAAAGUCUGAGAGUGAGUGUUAGAGUAGGAUUAGAGUAGGACCGACCAAAAAAAAAAUAAUAAUAAUGAAGGCAUCUCUAUCUUGCAAUUAUUGAACAAUAGUAAUAUGAUAAUGUUAUGUAAACAUUGACAUUUUCAAAAUGACACAUAAUGCAAAUGAGAUUAUUCUUUAGAAUAAGAAGUUAUGCUUAAUUAAUCUCAUGAUUGAUAAUGUUGGUUGGGGAGUUGGUUUCUAGCUUAGGAGCCAAAUAUCUCCCAUUAGAAUCCCACAAAUGCAUGGAAACUGUCUCAAUUAACGAAGGCAUCUCUAUCUUGCAAUUAUUGAACAAUUGUAAUAUGAUAAUGUUAUGUUAACGUUGAUAUUUUCAAAAUGACACAUAAUGCAAAUGAGAUUAUUCUUUAGAAUAAGAAGUUAUGCUUAAUUAAUCCCAGGAUUAAGAAUGUUGGUUGGGGAGUUGUUUUCUAGCUUAGGAACCGGAGAUCUCCCACUAGAAUCCCACAAAUGCACGCAAACUGUCUCAAUUAAUGAAGGCAUCUCUAUCUUGCAAUUAUUGAACAAUUGCAAUAUGAUAAUUUUAUAUUAACAUUGAUAUUUUCAAAAUGACACAUAAUGCAAAUGAGAUUAUUCUUUCGAAUAAAAAGUUAUGCUUAAUUAAUCCCAUGAUUGAUAAUGUUGGUUGGGGAGUUGGUUUCUAGCUUAGGAACCGGAGAUCUCCCACUAGAAUCCCACAAAUGCACGCAAACUGUCUCAAUUAACGAAUGCAUCUCUAUCUUGCAAUUAUUGAACAAUUGCAAUAUGAUAAUUUUAUGUUAACAUUGAUAUUUUCAAAAUGACACAUAAUGCAAAUGAGAUUAUUCUUUAGAAUAAGAAGUUAUGCUUAAUUAAUCCCAUGAUUGAUAAUGUUGGUUGGGGAGUUGGUUUCUAGGUUAGGAACCGGAGAUCUCCCAUUAGAAUCCCACAAAUGCACGAAAAUUGUCUCAAUUAACGAAGGCAUCUCUAUCUUGCAAUUAUUGAACAAUUGUAAUAUGAUAAUGUUAUGUUAACGUUGAUAUUUUCAAAAUGGCACAUAAUGCAAAUGAGAUUAUUCUUUAGAAUAAGAAGUUAUGAUUAAUUAAUCUCAUGAUUGAUAAUGUUGGUUGGGGAGUUGGUUUUUAGCUUAGGAACCGGAGAUCCCCCAUUAGAAUCCCACAAAUGCACGCAAACUGUCUCAAUUAACGAAGGCAUCUCUAUCUUGCAAUUAUUAAACAAUAGUAAUGUGAUAAUAUUAUGUUAACAUUGAUAUUUUCAAAAUGACACAUAAUGCAAAUGAGAUUAUUCUUUAGAAUAAGAAGUUAUGCUUAAUUGAUCCCAUGAUUGAUAAUGUUGGUUGGGGAGUUGAUUUCUAGCUUAGGAACCAGAGAUCCCCCAUUAGAAUCCCACAAAUGCAUGCAAACUGUCUCCAUUAACGAAGGCAUCUCUAUCUUGUAAUUAUUGAACAAUAGUAAAAUGAUAAUGUUAUGUUAACAUUGAUAUUUUCAAAAUGACACAUAAUGCAAAUGAGAUUAUUCUUUAGAAUAAUAAGUUAUGCUUAAUUGAUCCCAUGAUUGAUAAUGUUGGUUGGGGAGUUGGUUUUUAGCUUAGGAACCGGAGAUCCCCCAUUAGAAUCCCACAAAUGCACGCAAACUGUCUCAAUUAACGAAGGCAUCUCUAUCUUGCAAUUAUUGAACAAUAGUAAUGUGAUAAUAUUAUGUUAACAUUGAUAUUUUCAAAAUGACACAUAAUGCAAAUGAGAUUAUUCUUUAGAAUAAGAAGUUAUGCUUAAUUAAUCCCAUGAUUGAUAAUGUUGGUUGGGGAGUUGGUUUCUAGCUUAGGAACUAGAGAUCCCCCAUUAGAAUCCCACAAAUGCACGCAAACUAUCUCAAUUAACAAAGGCAUCUCUAUCUUGCAAUUAUUGAACAAUAGUAAUAUGAUAAUGUUAUGUUAACAUUGAUAUUUUCAAAAUGACACAUAAUGCAAAUGAGAUUUCUUUUUAGAAUAAGAAGUUAUGCUUAAUUAAUCCCACGAUUGAUAAUGUUAGUUGGGGAGUUGGUUUCUAGCUUAGGAACUGGAGAUCCCCAUUAGAAUCCCACAAAUGCACGCAAACUGUCUCAAUUAACGAAGGCAUCUCUAUCUUGCAAUUAUUGAACAAUAGUAAUAUGAUAAUGUUAUGUUAACAUUGAUAUUUUCAAAAUGACACAUAAUGCAAAUGAGAUUAUUCUUUAGAAUAAGAAGUUAUGCUUAAUUAAUUCCAUGAUUGAUAAUGUUGGUUGGGGAGUUGGUUUCUAGCUUAGGAAUCAGAGAUCCCCCAUUAGAAUCUCAAAAAUGCAUGCAAGCUAUCUCAAUUAACGAAGGCAUCUCUAUCUUGCAAUAAUUGAACAAUAGUAAUAUGAUAAUGUUAUGUUAACAUUGAUAUUUUCAAAAUGACACAUAAUGCAAAUGAGAUUAUUCUUUAGAAUAAAAAGUUAUGCUUAAUUAAUCACAUGAUUGAUAAUGUUGGUUGGGGAGUUGGUUUCUAGCUUAGGAACUGGAGAUCCUCCAUUAGAAUCCCACAAAUGCACGCAAACUGUCUCAAUUAAUGAAGAUUAUUGAAUCAUUCCAAAUCAUAAGAGACAGUAGGACCUUAUCACUUACUGCGUCAAAUAAUUUUGUCCUUGUCUCUUUGUGCUUCCCCUAACCUAUAAAAAAAAAAAAAACGAAACGAGUAAUCGAAUAUCCCCUAUAUCUAUGUCACUUAUAUUCUGUGUAUAUGCAUUGUACUAUCAUUAAGAUAUAGCAUAUAUGUGAUUGAUUCUAUUUAAAAUAUCACAGUGGGGGUUUCCAUCCACAUUAAUCAUAUGCAAAUCAAUCACCAAAAGAAGCAAAACCUACGAUUUUAUUGAGAUUAUCUUUUCUUAAAAAAUUCUGCAAAAUGUGACACACUCUUAAUCUUUAUAAUAAAAAAAAAAUUAUGUUUACGUGGCAUCGCUAUCUUGCAAUUACUGAACAAUGGUCAAAUGUGAAUAUAGUCAUUUUCAAAAUGAUGCAGAAUGCAAAUGACUAUUACUUUUUAAAAAAAAUUAUGUUUAAUUAAUCCUAGAAUUGAUAAUGGUGGUUGGGGAAUAGGGGAUUUCCAGCUAAAAAAAUUAAAAAUCCCCCGUUAGAAUCCCACGAAUGCAUGCAAAUUGCUCUGGAUUAGAGCCACCUACAUAGAUCGAAGGGUUGAGCUUAACCAAUUCACGAUACUUGUAAGAUAUUUCAUAAGCUUCUAGGUAGACGGGUGUCCAUGCCUAUGCUCCUAGAUAAUAUAUAUAUAUAACGCUUACUUUAGGAGAAUCCGCAUUUUAUACACUAAUUAUUUUAGUAUAUACUUAUUCCUCAUAAACUAGGUAGUUUUUAUGCAAAAGGUCCUUAUCAACUAAAUUACAAAGAGUACAUCCCCCAUGACUUUAAUUAGUAAUAACACUUUUAUUCAUCAGAAAUUAGUCAUAACAUUUUCAAAUACUCCUAAUAAAUAUACAUAUUUAGGACUAAUUUGACAUUCUAAUCUAAAAAUUAUGGUUGGUAAAAAAUUACAUAACCUCAAUAUUUCCUUCUGAACUGACUUUUUAUUUUUAUUUUUUUAACGGCCCUUCUCAUGUGCAAGCCAUAUCAGGAAUAGCAAGUGAAAUUUGACAACUGAGAGUGGACUCACACACGAAAGGGGCAAGUAGAACUUGACCAUAAUACCAUGUUAGAAAAUCCAAUCCAAAGAUAUAUAAAGAGCAUAUAAACUUCAUUAUCAUGCAAUGGGGGAUAUUUCAAUACAUGCCAACCAAGGAUAGAGCAGAGCCCCUCUAAUGCAUUUGUAGCUCCUAAUGAGCUUCACAAAUCAUGAUAUGCCGAAAUGCCUAUGAGUUGCUCUUUGCUUUUCUUCAAUAUGUUCCUUGAUGAAUCCACCUAGAAUAGUCUGCAAGCAUACAUGUGUGAACAGCCCAGAUGUGAAUUUGCUUAAGUGGAAUGAGAAAUCCAAGGAUAAAUUUGAAGACAAAGAGCAAGAAGGUAAUGAUAUGAGAUUAAAGAAAUCUAAUGAUAAAUUUAUUCUUUUGAAAGUGCUCAAGGAUGAAAGAAAUUGUUGGCUGACAUUGUCUCCUAAUACAUGUCAUUAGGAGACACUAUGUAGACGAAAGAAAACCUGCAAGAAGUGGACAUCAAAAGCUAUGACAUGGUAGUGCUAGCGUAGAGCCGCUCGUGGGGAUUAUUCAAGUGACUAUCUUUACUCCAUUUUUUUAUUUCCUGGCUCAUGUUACUCCAAUUAGGAUACCCCAUGGACACAUUUAAAAAAAAAAUACCAUGUCAUGAUUUCCCACACAAACCAAAUCAACUUGAAAAGCACAAUAUUGAGUCAUAACAAUUAAUGCGUUGGGGAACUCCUUGCCUGUAUCAGAUCCAUUGGGCAGAGGAAGGAUCCAGGUGGACCCUCCCUUAUUUCCAGGUGCGACAGCCUCCCCAUCACUUCGUUGGCCGGCAAGAUUGGCCGCGCUUGCCCCCGUUCAACAACCUGCAGACGCUGUAGCCCCAGAUCAAGCAGGUGGUCCAGCAGUAGCAUCCGAUCAAGGCUCCUUCCCAAAAAGAAUAAAAAUAAAUACUUUUAAUGUAAAGCUUGUGGUUAUAUAUGUUUCUGAUUUGUGAUAUCACGUCAUUAUAUCAUGACUGGAUUACCUGUGAGUUUCUUUUCAUUCAAUAAGUAAAGGUGUCGUGCCAGGGAAAUUGAAAAUAAAAUAAAAUUGAAGAGGCUCUUCUUUUUGGUGAGAAAACGCGAGAUGGUUCUCUACUGCCUUUGUUUCCUUUUAUUUUGGUCCUUGUUGGAUAGGUCUAAGGACAAUCUAGGAGUUCUAAUUUCAAUGGAAAGCUGUUCUUCUUAGCACAUUUUGCCGAGCCGUUCUCUUCUCAAGGUUUGUCAUAUUUUUGGCACUUUGAGUGAGAUUGAAUUAUUCACUUAGAAAGUUUAGGUGAUGGCAUCUCAUUUAGAAUGAGUACUGCAUUAUCAGUAGAUAGAUACAAGGGUCUAAGUUAGUCCAAGUAUAAUAUGUCAAGAAGAUUAACAUGAUCAAAAUUUGGUAUUUACUCCACAAAUCAAUAAUACGGCCAGCGAAUCAAUGUUUGUCCAUUAGCAGUCAAGGAAAGGAUGGAGAAUUAAUAAAUAUUUGUCCACCAGCCGUGGAGGAAAGGAUGGUUUACCAAAUCAAAGUUUGUCUAAUCACGAAUUGUCUAUGAGCAAUACCAGUUCGUCCAUUAGCAGUGGAGGAAAGGAUGGUUUGUCUAAUCACCGUUUGUCUAAUCACCAUUUGUCUCUGAGUGGUGCAUGAAAGAAUGGAUAUCUAAUCAAUGUUUGGUCAUAAGCAGUGGAGUAAAGGAUGGAGACAUAGACAUUGGUGAUGGUUACUGGUUAAGGAAUCAUCCAUCUCUAUAUGCGUAUUAGAUGGGGACUAGGACAUCAGGACUAGUACCUAACCAAUAUUUGCAUCACUCGAUUGUUUAUGUGUCCACAUUAUUGUCUUGAUUGAGGUAACCGAGAGUGGUAUUUUUUUUUUUGGCUGAUAACGGCUUGGCACAUUUUGCUACCGAGUUUUCAGCUACCCGAGGAACUGACUCGUGUUUAAAUUAAAAAUGGGUUUGUAAUGCAUAUUGAGACAAUUAUUACACAAGCGGUGAUUACAACAAGCUAAAAUUAAGUUUCAAGUCAUAAUCUCAUUUUGACGAUGACAGACUAUAUGAAGUACUUAUUACACAGGAGACGAUUCAAGUCAAAUCAUUUUGGUACUUUAGUAGCUAGUAAUCAUAUGAUUUUUACUUUCUCUUUAAGCCACUCGGUGUUAAAAAAUGCAAAGAAACCAAGCUAAGAGCUUGCAUACCAUGUAGAUAUUACUUGAUUGUUGAUAAGCUGCGGGUCGAAGGGUCUAAAGAUAAUUUCUCGAAUUGCUGGAAAAGCAAAUGCUGAAGCAAGUCUUAAUAAUUAUAAUCCAAGCCCUCUUGUAUGGAGAAAUUUGACAAAGUCAUUCGAGAAGAAUAUACGUGUAAAUGACACAGACUGUUAAUAUGGACCAUCAAAUUAUAAAUAAAUUCGCUGCUUCCAUAACUAAGGAAAAAAACCCAAAAGAUAAGGGGGUGGCUAGCUAUGAUUCUGAAAUUUCAUUGGAGAUCUAAUGACUAAUAAUUUUAAUAUUAAAUAGGAGGUACUGUUGUAUUUUGUUAUAUUAAUAAGAUAUUUGAACAAAGAAGAUUGCUUUACUUUGUCAAAUUGAACCGGUAGUUUGAUAAAACAUUAUUUGAGCUAUAGAAUCAAACCUCUCUAUUCUAUUCUUUUUCUUUUCUCCAUAUAUUUACAUUCCGAGCUUGAGCUAAUAAUCAAAAUGAGUUGAAUAUAAAUUUGGGGCAAACCUACAAAGACCCGCAUAAUAUAUUAAGUGACUCGAUAGAACUAGGCACAUUCUUACCUUAAAAAAAAAGUAGAACUAGAGCACCAUAAAUUUGAGUUGAUGACAUGCUGCUAACUUACAUGCCAUGUAUGAUAAUAAUAAUAAUUAAAAAAACAAACGUACAUAUCACGUGGGUGUGGCCUAUCCUUAUUUGUAUGUUCUCUUCUAAUAAUUACACUUUGUUCUUUUGAUGAUAACAAAUUGUAUAAAGUGCUUAUUACACGACGAAUAAUGUAACUCGAAUCAUUUUGGCAAUUUUAACAACUGAUAGUUAUUCAUUUUUCAUACUUAUAAACCACUUGAUGUGCAUGCAAUAAUUUUGGUUUGUUUAUAUUUCCAUUUUGUGGCCUUGAUUGAGGUGACUGGUCUUUUUUUUUUUUUUUAAUUUUAAUUUUUGGCCAAUGACGACUUUUGCUAUUAAGGAAGAAGAUUUCAUGGUUUACUUGGUAGUGGAACCAUGCUUUAAAUUUUAAAAAAUGCAAAGAAAUCCUACAAACAGCUCACCGUCGUUACUUUUGAUUGUUUAUAAUUUCACGUCGUGGUCCUGACGAAGGCGACUGGUCUUUUUCAACUUUAAUUUUUGGCUUAUGCCAACCUGCAAUUUACGGUAAAUGGAAUCAUAUGAAGAGAAAUAUCAUUGACGGCCACAUGCUCAUUCUCAUUAGGAGUCAAACCAUAGUUCGUUAAAUAUCUUAGAGUCCCAAGGCUACUCACUUCUCUUUUCCGACUACUCCACACCAUGCCAACAAGUCGUCAAAUUAGUGUUUGUUUACAACUCAAUUUCUGUACGAUCGAUUAACAGUUGAAAUAGUCUCAUAAGCAUCAUCGGUUCUCCAAUUUAAUGAAGUAACAUAACCUUCAUUCCAAUCAUUGCUCGAGUAUUUUCCAACUGCUCUACAUAAUGUCACCAAGUCAUCGAACUAGUGUUUCUUUACAACUUAGUAUCUAUGUGAUCUCCAAGUAGCUAAAAUAGCCUCGUAAGCAUGAUCAUUUCUCCAAUCUAAUGAAGUGGAAUAACCUUCACUCAGAUCAUUGCUUGAGUCUUUUCCAACUACUCCAUACCAUGCCAGCAAGUCAUCAAAUUAAUGCUUCUUUGCAACUCAAUAUCUAUAGGAUCAACUUUAAGUUGAAAUAGCCUUGCAAGAAUGAUUAUUCUCCAAAUCUAAUGAAGUUAAUGUAACCUUCACUUUGAUCAUUGCUCGAGUCUUUUCCAACUACUCCACACCAUGCCCCAAAUCAUUUACAACUUAGUAUCCAUAUGAUCAACUUUCCCUUGAAAUAGCCUUGCAAGCAUCUGAUCAAGCAAAUGUUGAGGCAAGUCUUAAAAAUUAUAAUCCAAGCCCUCUUAUAUGGAGAAAUUUGACAAAGUCAUUCAAGAAGAAUAUACAUGUAAAUCACAUAGACUAUGUUAACAUGGACUAGCAAGUUGUAAAUAAAUUCCCUGCUUCCAUAACUAAGUAAAAAAACUCAAAAGAUAAAGGGGUGGCUAGCUAUGAUUCUGAAAUUUUAUUGGAGAUCUAAUGACUAUUAAAUAGGAGAUGCUGUUGCAUUUUGUUCUAUUAAUAAGAUAUUUGAACAAAGAAGAUUGCUUUACUUUGUCAAAUUGAACCGAUAGUUUGAUAAAACAUUAUCUGAGCUGUAGAAUUAAACCUCUCUAUUCUGUUCUUCUUCUUUUUCUCCAUAUAUUUACAUUCCGAGCUUGAGCUAAUAAUCAAAAUGAGUUGAAUAUAGAUUUGGUGCAAACCUACAAAGACCUGCAUAAUAUAUUAAGUGACUCAACAGAACUAGGCACAUUCCGACCCCCCCCCCCCCCAAAAUACCAGGAUCGGUAGUUGCUAGAUCUGUUCCCGAGAAAGGGUACAUUUUUUCUAAACUGCAUCCGCUGAUAUCUGAAGAAACUUAUAUUCACCACAGCUCUGCUUUCAUGAAUCAGAAUGCGCCUGAGGUUCACUUAAUUCAUCUUUAUUGGUGACCNNNNNNNNNNNNNNNNNNNNNNNNNNNNNNNNNNNNNNNNNNNNNNNNNNNNNNNNNNNNNNNNNNNNNNNNNNNNNNNNNNNNNNNNNNNNNNNNNNNNCCCCCGGUCCCCAAAAAAUGAAGAACCGGGGGGGCCUUUAAAUCGAGUUGAUGACCUGGUGGCGUAACCAUACAUGCCACGUAUGAUAAUAUAAAAUAAAAAACGUAAAAUGUCACGUGGGUGUGGCGUAUCCUUAUCUGUAUGUUCUCUUCUAAUAAUCACACUUUGUUCUUUUGAUGAAUAGGAAAGAAAUGUCUUAUAUAUAACCGUGCAAAAUGAGAGUGUGUUGUGUUCUCUCCUUCCUUUUAUUCUCUAUCGUUUCUAACACUUCCUUUUACUAGUUUCACGUUUGUCAUGGCCGACCUUUCUUCUGUGGCGGCCGAGAGAAUCUCUCAUAUAUUAAUCAACUUGUCUAUAUUUUUCUAUGAGAAAUUCAGGUGAAGGAAUGAAUUUUAGUGUCUUUUAGCAGAUCAAUUUACUCAUGGAGCAACUUUCUUCUGAUGAAAUGGGGUCCAAAUGGAUGGAAUAUGUCAACAUUCUCCGGAAAAGUUCUAUAAUGUUCUCAGGUUCGAGACCUCGAUAUUGUUUCGCUCUUUGGUUCGAUAAACCCCCGGCCAAGGCGUAGGGAGAAAUGGGCAUGGACUUUGAUGCUCGGCCUCGAGAGCCUAUUGCCCAUGCCCACUUCUCUAGCUUUCCAUGCCCAAGUCACUAACGUUCGCAUAAUACGUCUAAUUAGAAAAAAAAAAAUCUUUUCAAACGAUGGGAAAUAUUUUUCUUUUCAUUUUCAAGUUGCAGCCAAAUAUCACAAAAUAUGGUUAUUUUCCUGAAAAAUGAUUUAUUAGAAAACAUAUUUCAGAAAUUAUCACUUUUUUUUUUUUUGUGAAAUAAACAGAGCAUAAGAAUUAAUGAUUUUUUUUUUUUAUGAACAACUCUGUCAAGUUUAUGCACACAUUCGAAUUGUACAAAGCAAGCUUUUUCUCAUUCAAGUCCAUCAAACCUCUCACCAAUAAUGGGGACUCAGAAUAUCAUGAACCAUUGAUAACCUUAGGAAUCGUUAGGAAAAAGAAUGGCUAGAGAACAAAUUUCUUCUCCUUCAAUAGAAUUAGUUUCUUGUCGUGUCAUAUCUAUUCCACAAGCUGCACUCUCCGUUCUCAAAUUCUAAGCACCUUUUUUCUCCCUCCAAAACUUUCAUGUUCAUUCAGUAUGAAACAUUCAAAUGGCUGCUUAAACAAACUCGUGUCGGCAUAAAUAAAGAAGGCUUCAGUCGUGAGUUUAAUGCAACGCUGCAAAGACAUUACACUUCUUUUUUGGGUCAGAAAAGACAUUACACUUUCGAAAGACACAUUUGCCUAGAAGAAAACUUGAAAAGGAAGGAGCACUUCAUAGACAAAACCAACAUUAUCAGCAUUAUAACUACGUAAUCCUGAUUGCUUCGUCUAAGAUUUCUGUCUUGUGACUUUCAGAAUCAUCUCAAAGGCCGUCCAACCUGGAAAGAAGCUUUUUUACAGUAGACUACUGAUUUGCUGUAUUUGAAGAAGUGAUGUAUUCCUGAUGUCUGAGCAGGAAACUCAUGGAGUGAAUGACAAAGAUCCUGGCCAAGACAGAUCUACUGAACAACAAAUCCUAGCGGGAGUGCUGACCAAGUACAGCGUAAACGGUCUGUGUUAUGGUGAGAGCUAUGAUCAAGAAAGCAGAGAAAACCGAUAUGACUGACCAUGGACUGGAAAAGUAAGUGCGUAUCAUGCUCGCCCAGUUGCUGUAGUAGUAUGAUUCCAGUUCCUCAAACUGCUUGGACAGAUAACAGUCACAAACAUUAAAAUCGAUACUCUUCCCAAGCUUCUCGAAUAAAUUAACCACAUACUGGUCAUGGCGAGAAAGUGUUGAGAUGAUCCCAUCUGAACAGAGAAGUGAAACGUCCUUCGACUGUUUGAUGAGGCAGUGCAUGAAGGAGACAUAAUCGGUGAUGUGCUUGGAGCUGUUUUCUUGGCAUUUUUCUAGGGCGAUGCAGUUUAUUAGCACGGUGGUCAUGAAGUCAUCGAUGGCGAUGGGUGGUAUCUCGAGCACCCGUUUCGGGAAACUUAUGUCCAGAAAGCUCUCUGUCUUCUUGGACUUGAAUUUGAUUCCGGAGGGCCUAAGCUGGGUCACACACGGUAUGGACUGAUCCGAUGGCCGGUACUUCUGUUUGCGGUCGCAGUGGACUGGGUUUGUCUCGGGCACCCCUUUUCGGAAAAUUAUGCCCAGGGAGCUCUCUGUCUUCUUGGACUUAAAUUUGAUUCUGGAGGACCUUAGCUGGGUCGCACACGGUAUGGACUGAUCCGAUGGCCGGCACAUCUGUUCGGAGCCGUGGUGGACCGGCUUUCUCGGAAAGAGAGUAAAGUUAAAGAGGUCAAGUAAAUGCUUGUAUGGUCGACUCUUAAUUUCAUCAUAAUGCCGGUAUCGUAGAUCCGUAUACUCGUCCUGAAUCGCCAUGGGUCUUGGAUAGGCCUGAUUGAACACUCUCAAAGCAAGCAUGCACAAAAAGGGAGUCUUCGCCUCGACCCUUGUUGAUCUCGAGAAGUCAAAGAGCGACUUGAGAAGGGAGUACGGAACCUGGUUUUCGAGCUUCAGUAAGUCCCUGAUGAGAGUCCGGAUUAUCAACGGCCGUGUAAGGAUGGGGUCCUCUACGUCAAUUGCAUGGCCGCUCCUAAAAAUGUGGAGCAUGAAUUCCACAACAAAGCAACCGUCGAGUAGCAUCAUCUCCACGAACUCACUACUCGACAUACCCACAACUUCAUCUUCCGAGUAGCAACCCCGGGCAGAGCUUUCUUGAUCUGCCACUAAUUUGAUGAGACUCUCCUUGUCGGAGUCCGUGCGACGAAGGAAGAUUUUGAGGAAGAACCAUUUGUGCUCUUCGAACUCGCACAAAUGCUUCUGGCCCCUGUGCAACGGGCCUAUAGAUACAAUCUCAGGCUGUUCAAACUGAUGAUUGAUAUCGCGAAGAACCAGAGGGAUCCUAAAGAUGGUGCAAGUCGAGGCCUGGGCUUGGAAGGGUCUCACCUCUUCCCCUAGUCGGCGCCUAACGUGAUCCAAGCAGCAAGUUACUGCAUCAUCGUGCGAUCCUGCGUCAGCAUCACCUGGGCCGGCUUCAUCAUAGUUUCUCGGGGGUGAAGUUAGUGCUUUAGGCAUAAAUUGUUCCCGGUUUGUCAUAGACCCGAGCUGAUCCUCUCCAGUCGACUCUGCAGCGGAUCUGGCUGUUUCGUUUUCAACUGCUGGACAUUUAACUUCCUCGAUCUCGACUGCAUGAUAAUCCAUGACACGCACCCUCUCUCUGUCCCUGAAACAAAAUUAAAACAUAGACCGUGCUCCGAAGCUGAAUGAAAAUUUAAGAUCAAAUUUGACCACCCAUUUCCAAGAAAUUACCAGCACAUCAACAAAUAAGACAAUAGCAAGAAUGAAAUGCUGAACUGCUUUUGUCGGAGGGCGUUUCGCCCCUCUUCCUUAAAUUUGUGAUAAUGCAGUUAAAGCAGCAGACUUUAGAACUAACCACGGAAGAUCGGACAGCGCUCAACGUCAGACCAGAAAUUUGAUCUUUGAGAUUGAUGCUCAUCAAGUGUGAAAGAGUCUUCACGCAAAACACUCGUGUUCCCAAAGCAAGAUUUGGAUUGUUAGAGGUCGGCACUAUCUAGUCUCCAUUUAUUUGUGCUUCUUCUUUUUGGUUUUUUGAGAUAUAUGCAACAACAAAAGUCCUAAAACUUAUAAGGAAAGUGUAAUUGAGUCCUAAAACUUACAAAACGUACAAUUAAGUCCUAAAACUUGUCAAAAUGGUUCAAUUGAGUCCUAAAUUUAAUACCGUCAGAUUUACUAACGAAAAUUGCUGACGUGGUGCUGAUAUCAUAUUUUAAAUUAAUUUCUAUUUUCCAUAUGGAUUUUUUAAAUUAUUUUUUAUUCAAAAUAUUUAAAAUUAGUUUUAAAAACUAAAAAGGAAAAAGUAAAAACUGUCGAAAAAAAAAAGAAAAGAAAAUGGUGCCACAGCCAUUGCCCAUCGCCGGAGGGGCUGACGACCGAAGCUCCACUAGUGCCUUUUUUUUUUAAUGGUUUUGUUUUGUUAAAUAAAUUUAGCUUUUCCUUUUUAUUUUUUAAAUCUAAUUUAAACAAGAAUAAAAAUAAUGUUAAAAGCCGCGUGGAAAAUAAAAAUUCAUUUAAAAUGCCAUGUCAGCAAUUCUGUUAGUAAGUUUGAUGGUGUUAAAUUUAGGACUCAAUUGAACUAAUUUAAUACGUUUUAGGAUUUGAUUGAACUUUUUAUAAGUUUUUGAACUCAAUUGUACUUUCCUUAUAAGUUUUAGGACUUCUGUUGCAUAUAUCUAUUGUUUUUUCGUUUUCAAAUUCUUCUCGAGUUGGGACAUAUUUGGGAGAUGUCAGUGAAGAAAGCAAAUCGACCCAGGCCAACUCUAAGUGUGUGUCUACAUACAUACAUACAUACAUAUAUAUAUACAUAUAUAUAUAUAUAUAUAUAUAUAUAUAUAUAUAUAUAUAUAUAUAUAUAUGCCAGCACCUAAUCAAUGUUAGUUUUACUCUAUUCACCGUGAGUCCACAUUGUGGUCAUCCUUAAGGCGACCAGUGCAGUCUUCUUUUUAUUUUUAUUCUUGGCCAGUGACAACUUUGGACAGUCUACUACCAAGUUAAGGCCUUGAGCAAAUUAGGUGAUCGAGCUGUUCGAUAAAUUGAUAGCUCUUUGACACUCCCUUCCUUCGUCCUUUUUUGCACUCAAAUCUAUUCACACUUCUUCGUCUUUUAUUGUUCUUGCUCUGUUUUGCUCUUUCUUAUCCUUGGCACAACCACUCUUCUUCAGUGUCUGCUUCUCUUUUUUAUCACUCUCUCUGUCUUUCUGUUUUCUCGCUCUUUCUUUCUAUUACAAAAAUCAAAGAAAUGGCGAUCCACUUUGUCGUUCCUAUUGCAAGUCGUCUCUUGGAGUACCUAGUUAAUCCGAUCAAGCGUCAAUUUGAAUAUGUGAUCUCCUCCGAGAGCUACGCUCAGGAUCUUCAAAAGGAAGUAGGGAAGCUCGCGUACCAGGCUGAUUCGGUCGACAUUGCCGUGGAAGAGGCCAAAAUAAAUUUUCGGGAUAUCAAGAGAUCUGUCACGAACUGGCGAGAAAGUGUUGAGAAGGCCUUGAAGGAGGCGAGAGACUUGUUGGGCAACUUUGAAGAGGCGAGCGAGACUUGCUGCUACGGGACCCUUCCCGACCGCAGUCAUUGCUAUCAGUUCAGCAGAAAGGCCAUGGGCAAAAUCGAGGAAAUUCGGGGACUCACUCAGACCGGCAAAGGAUUCAAGGAAUUGAAGGACGUUUCCUUCAAUCCUGAUCUGGGGAAUGUCAACUCGACGACAACUGAGCUUACGGAAGAUGGCGUCUUCGAAUCCAGAGCUUCUAUCAUAGAGAAAAUCGUGGACGCUCUUGCCGAUAACAGAACUAACGUCGUUGGGGUUUACGGGAUGGGUGGGAUCGGCAAGUCCAUCCUUUUGGCGGAUGUUGAAAGGAGAAUAAUAAAAGAAAGGUCGUUUGAUUUCGUCCUUCAGGCCAACGUGUCGAUGUAUCCAUACAUCAAGGAAAUUCAAGCUGAGAUUGCAUACAGGUUGGGGCUUCGCUUGAAGAUUACACAGAAUGUCAAAACGCGAGCAGAUCGUCUGCGCAAGAGGUUGCAAAAUGAGAAAACGAAGGUCCUCAUAAUACUCGACAACCUAUGGGAGGGGCUCGACUUGAAAUCAGUGGGCAUUCCUUGCGGAGAUGACAACAAAGUCAUAGGAUGCAAGUUGUUAUUGACGUCAAGAGAUCGAAAUGUUUUACGAAGGGAUAUGCACUGCGACAGGGACUUCCAUCUUGAUGGGCUGACGAAGAAAGAGGCAAAAAAAUUGUUCGAGAGGGCGGUGGGAGACAAAGUUCAUGACGACGACUUCAGACCCUUGAUGGAAGCAGUACUCAACAAAUGUGCAGGUGUUCCUUUCCUAAUUAUUGCAAUGGCAAAACGUUUUAAAUACGCUGAUUUAUCUGAAUGGAAGGACACUUUGUUAAAAAUCGAGAGGUCUAAACACGACGGGUUCAAUGAGAUAACAAAUGUGAUGUUACAAUUAAGUUAUGAUCGUUUAAACGAGAAGGAGAAGUCAUUUUUACAACUCUGUGUGGUUUAUGGCGGCUCGGAGCCCUCUCUUGAAAACUUGGUGAAGUGCGGUAUUGAUUUGGGGUUAUUUCAAGAAGUUAGCAGCAUGGAAGAAGCUAUAGAGAGUCUGAGCUCUGGGAUCCGUACUCUUAAGGCCUGCUCCCUUCUGUUAGAGGAUGGAGAAGCUGAUGGUUUCAAGGUACAUCCCUUGGUUCGUGAGUUUGUGAACGCUGUCGCUCUAAGAGAUCACUGUUUUCUUAUGUUGAAUGAUAAAGAUAAGGAGGUAAUGGAGUAACUCGAGACCAAGGGCACUUAUUGAGAAACUAAUUAAAGAAAGUUUACAGUUUCAAAAGUAUUUAUUGUCCGUAUGUUAUGCACAAUUUGUGCCUUGGAACUUGGAAUUUUCAAAAUAGAGGAUACCAACAGCAUUUGUUCAUAGCUUUACCAAAAAACAGCAUUUGUUCAUAGAGCCCUUGUGAUUUAUUAUCAUAAUAACUCAUUACUAAUUCUUGUCAUUGUAAUCUUUUUUAGAUCAUUACAUCUUUUCAAUUAUAAGAAAAGGAUAAUUCAAUGGCAAACAAUAGCAAUGAGAAGAUGAUGUCAACCGCGACCAUGAUAAUGAUAGUAGUCUUUUUUUUUCUUUCUUUCUUUCUUUCUUUUUCUCUGAUUAUAAUUGGUCUACUCUCAUCCUAGAACCGUUUAUCUUGUUUCGCAUCUUCUAAUGAAGAUGCCCCACUGCCCCUAAAGAAGUUGGUCUUGCUCGUCUUAGUCCAAAAAGCGGUUUGAUCUAUCCACGUUAUUUUAAUUAUCUUAUGCUUAAUUGAAUGAUCGCUCAAUUUGAUUUCUUUGCGAUUUCCCUUUUUCUAGUUACUUAAGCAUUCCUCUAGUUAUUUAGUUUUUCUUUAAUCUUUCUUUUUCGCUUAGAUAAAUUAUGGUGUGUUAGGUUGAAAAUUACGAUAGAACAUAGCUAUGUGCUGUUAUCAUCCAUGAUCCGUUUAAAAGGCAAUGAAGGAGGCUAUAAGCAAAAUGAAAUUUUGGACAAUUCUAUGAUAGUUGUAAGUGCUUGGGGUAUACUUGAAAGCCUACUGUAAGUUUAGCUCUUCAAAAAGUCAACCGUAUAACUUUUCACUUUUGUCAUAAACUUCUUCUUCAAGGUCAUUGGAAUUUUUCCCUCAUUUUUCUGUAUUAAUUUUGGAAAUUUUUAAUUUACUUUAGCUCAUUUGGAGGUCCAAGGAUGAUUUGACUAAGACAAAUAAAAUAAAAUAAAAAAUUACACUUUACCGUUGAAAAUCGCAUGUAAAGGGCUUGCAAAUUGUGAAAUGAACAAAGGAUUGAUAUUCACAAUCAAAUAAAAGUUGAAGGAAUUUAUGUACAGAAAUUUACGAUUAAAUGUGUACUGCCCUCAAAGUUCAUGAUGGGUUUUCUGCAAUUUCCCUUCAAUAUUUUCUAAAUAUAUGAAUUUUAUAUUGAUGUAAAAUUAGCAUCAUUGAAGAAUGAGGAAACAUAUAAGUGUUACAAUUAAGGUUCCGUUUGUUUUACAGAAAAUGUAAUAUUUCUGAAAAAAAAAAUUGUAAAAAUAUAUUUCAAGAAAAUGACAAUAUUUUCAUGUGUUUGGCCAAAAACUUGAAAAUUAACCGGUAAAUAUUUUCCAUUGUUUAGUAAAAUUUCCAAUUUUUAAUAAUUAUUUUUAUUUUUAUUUUGUUUUAUUUUAUUUUUUUCCUUCCUCCACUAGUCGCCAACCCUUAGCGACCUCUCUUGUGGCCGGUUGUGAUGCCUAGCAACCGGUGGAGGAAGGAAAAAAAAAGAAAGAAAGAGAAGAAGAAACUAUAAAAUUAUUAAAUAAUUCAAAUUUGGUAAUAAUAAAAAAUUAUUAUUAAAAAUAUAAGAAAAUAUAAGACAAAAUUAUUACUAAAAUGAUGGACCUCGGCUCAGUCUUAAUGGACUCAACCUUGCUACCAAGGGCUUGGGAAUGAGCAUUGAGGUUUCUAUGCCUAAGCACAAAGUUUCUGGAAAAUGAUUUUUGAUUUUUUAAAGAGGAAAUCUUUUUUUAGAAUUUAAAUGUUAGUAGGAAAAGGUUUUUUGUUAAAUAAGAAAACUUUUUCCAUUGACUCAACUUCAUCAAACCAAAUGCUCGAAAAUGAGGAAAAUGUUUUUUGCGGAAAAAAUGAAGCCUAAGGUUGCAUUUGGCAGUCAAGAUAAAAGAUAAAAUUCAUCAUAUCCUGUGUUCGGUGCUUACUCAAAAUGGGCUAAAGUCGGAUAUAAGAGGAAUAUAGAUUGAAUAAAAUUAUCCCAUGAUGAGGUGAGAUAAAUAUGGAUAGGAUUUCUAAUAUCCAUAAUAAGAAUAUCAUUUUUCUCGAAUAUCAAGCUUCUUAAAUUAACAAAAUAAAAAUAUAUUUCAAUAUAAAUAAUAUUAGAAUUAUAAUACAAGAAAUUCAAAAUAACAAAAAAUAUUAUUUAUUUUUUAAUUUAGGAUUUUUUUUUUUUGGGUGACCUAGGAACCCAUACAGCCGGCAGCCGGCCAAUAAACCUGGGGGGACAUGUAAGCGGGAGGACCCACCACCCCCGGCGUCCCACUUAAGACCCCAAGCGACCGUGAGGAGAUUUGAACUCCUCCCCUUUGUGAGGGGGAGAGAGCCCAAACCAUCAUGGCUACCAAGGCGGUGGUAUUUUUUAAUUUAGGUUUGAUACCCUAAAAAACCUCCAAAUAGAUACACACAUGACAAAUUUACUAAAAAUUAAUUUUUUCAUCAUAAAAAAUCCAAAACUGGUACACUUUCAACAAAUUUACGCUUAAAUUGGUACAUUUGUGAUAAAUUUACUCUAUAUUAAUUUUCGUUAAAAUUUACUGUAAAAAACUAAAUUUGAUGACACAUGACAGUUAAUUGGUAUAUCAAUUUGAGAUUUUGCUCUAUGUAUGUCAUAGUUGUACCAUUUUUAUGGUUUCUUGUGGUAUUAAUUCACUUAAAUGGAGAGUAUAUUUAUCAUAGAUGUACCGGUUUAGGAUUUUUGGCAGUCAAACAAAUUAGUUUGGGGUAAAUUUGUCACAAGUAUACCUGUUGGGGUUUUUUGUGGUCAUUCAGGGUAAAUUUAUCAUAGAAAUACCGGUUUUGGGUUAUUUGUGAUCAAAAAAUUAGUUUAAGGCAAUUUUGUCAUAAGUGUACUAGUUUAAGAUUUCCAUAAUAUUAACCUAUUAAUUUAAUCUCAUUUUAAUUUAUAUAGUCGAAUUUAAUUCUAUCUUAUAAUAUAAAUUCAAAAAAUUAUUAAAUAUUUUAGGUAUUUUGAAUUUGAGGUAUAUUAGUAUAGUUUGCUAUUUAAUAAAAUUUUAUUAGAGAAGAUGUAAAGGGAAAAAAGAAAUAAAAAAAAUAAAUGAAUUAAAAAAGAGAGGGAAAAUAAAAUAAAAUAGGCAAGAGUAUUGUGAUAGAUUUUGACCAUCUCCGUUUGUGAAUUUUUAAAGGCAUUUAUACUAAUAUGCUAUUUAAAGCAAACAAUAUACAUGAUAUGAUAUAAAUAUAUCCAACUUUAUUAUUGUAAUUACCAAAUAUUAAAUAGGGCAUAGUAAAAUCCUUAGAUUUCAUACCAUAUUCUAUCCAAUUAUAUCCUAGUCAGAAAUCCAGACGACCAAUAGAUAAUGAGUGCUUGUUGAGAGAGGAGUUCUAAUAUUGUUGAACAUGCAAAAUGGACAAAAGUAGCAUUAAAGCUUUAAGAUAACUCCAGGACAAUAACUCUAAUUCUUUGUACUGAUGUAGUUAAUGUAAACAAUAGAUAGAGAUAUGUUAGGGGAAAUGUGCCAUAAGAGUCCCAACAUUAUCAGUGGUGCCGGUUAGGAAUUCACAUUGAUUGAGAUGAACAUCAGAGUGUUAUUCUAAGCCAUUCUCAGUGUGGAUCUGAACUCAGGAUUCCUUAUUAUACCUCCUUUGCUCUUUAGUUGCGAAUCAAUGAAAAGUAGACGCUUUUCUGUUUAAGUUUUCUUCUUUCCUGCGCUAGUCUCAAUUCUGUAACUUCCACUAUGGAAAGAAACUCUCAAAUUUGGCGCUUUUUUAAGGUUUCUGGUAGCUCCACCUGAUAUAUAGAACUAAUAAAGUGUCAUGAUGUCAAUCGGACGCUCCUUUAGCAAUCCGUGGUCAUACGAAGUCAGUUUCUAUUUAAAUCACAUUUUUUACGUCCUUUUCAAAUUCUUAAAGAUUUUAUGCAAGUCUUUUUGCAUGUUGGUGCGACCUGUAGUUUUUAAGUUUCUUUAGAUAUGAAGAGCAUUUAAAAUUUAUUCCGUCAAAUUAACUGAAUUUUGAUUUUCAUGAUAACAGUAAUUUUCAAUCUACGCAAAAAAAUUUCAUAGCCAGUCAAUUAAAGAGAUGCUCCCUCCAACGUCUAUUUUAGUUCUCUUGUUUCACUACAGGUGAGAUCGAACAUUCUACAUGCAAAGCGGGCCAUUCUAAGCCGGAUUUUCAUGGUCAUACAAUUUCAAAGCCUCUCACAUCUCCUGAAUUGGCCAGCGAUGUCAUACCAUACCAAUAGCUCUACAUAACUAUGCGCUUUUCCCAAAAAAAUCCACAGAGACUUCCUCGCAUCUCCAUGAUCUGUAUUUCCAGAGUCUUUAUGCUAAUCUGCUGUCACUAGAUUCAUGUAUAAGAAACAGAUUCCGCAAAAUAACGACGUUGCCUAGGAGGGAGCUUGAGGAGUCCACCAAUUUCCUACACCGCAGUAUGACAAAGUGAACAACAUUUAAUACUCAUGCAAAUAAAUAUGAAGCAAAGCAGACCCAAAUAAAAAUUCAUUCAACCCCUAGAACACCAGAGCACAUAAGUUAACAAAUCUAUUUCAAUAUGAUUGAAUCAUUGAUUAAUUUAAAGAAUAGCGACUAAGCUGUGCAACAAUAGGUCACCGAUCAAAGUUUAUGAGUGCAAAGAGUGUCAUUGAAUAAUGAAAGCAAAUUACUACUUAGAAACGAGACGAGCAUGUCCAGUCUGCGAAUGAUUGCUUACCCUUUCUGAACAAAAAAAUGCAGGAAAAGAGGACGAAGGAGACAUGAAGCUUUCUGAGGCUAAUACCAAACAUUUUUAAGCUAAUGAAUUCAGUGUAAUAACAAUGGUCCGAUCCUGCACCCCACAUACAAAUAAUGAAAAAGCAGAGUAAAAGGAAAAACUUUGGUUGAAGGAACAUGCUAGGGAUGUUACACAGUUCAUGAGCAAACUUUCAUUUCACACACCACAAAUGAUUCUUGCAUCCAAUAGAUCCAAAAAGUGAUGAGUGAUCUAACAAGGCCAGAUUCGGUAAAGCUUCCUGUUAAUCCGAUACUCAAACGAUCGAAUAUCGAAAACGAACACAAAAAAUAUGCCCAGGAAACAUGUAACACUGAUCGAAAGAUAUAUCACGGAUACGGACUUACCUUGUUUACCACAUAUUAAGUACCGUUGCAGUCUUAGGGGAAUCCUUUGAAACCUUGGAGUUCUAUUCGUCAAGAGGGAGGAUACUACUUCAAAGGGGAGAAAAAAUAGCAAUGCCUAUUUUCUCUAAUACGCUACAGGUAACCUUAUCCCCUUUUAUUUUAUUUUUUUAUUUUUUAUUUAUAGGCCCUUCACAUACGGGGCGGGUUUUGGCCCAACAUGGGCGAACGGGCUUAACUUGGUCCAUCAAAUAAACAACCUAUCACUUCCUCUAGAUGGAAUGGCGACGUCUUCGCAGGGCUUGGGAGUGUUGGGCACUGACUCCUACUGCAGCUCCUCUUGGAACGAUAGGUACUAACAUAUCGCUAGCCAACGUAGAGUUCAUCUUUGCAGUAGAAUUUAUAACGUGUUCAAUUGGCUGCAAAAUCGAAUGUCAUAAACUCUACGCCUGAGACCAUAGAAAGCAGCGUUGACAUCAACUCCAAUGAAACCAGCCUCUGUGAUUGUAGUAUCAACAACCCUCUCAAGUCCACACUUCUGCCGAAAAAAUGAACUUUUAGACACAUUGAAAGACUCUAGGAUCUAUAGACAUUUCCUCAUCAAACGCAGCAUCCAGAGUCUCUCACAGUUCUUUUUCUCGCAGUAGCAUAACUAAAUAAGGGCACUUCUGCGGUACGACUCUGUUAUAGAUAAAGCCAAAUAUUUGUUUUUAGGGGCUUUUUUUGUCUUUUCUAUUAUAUUUCCUUUUAGGUUAAAAGUGGUACCUAUAUAUUAGCGAUGGCAAAACCCUAGCCGUCAAGACGCUGAAAAAGAAAAUAGAGAGGCAAGAAAAAGAGAGAAGAAAAAAGUGAGUUUUUUUUUCUUGAUGAGAGUUCUCAAUCUCUUUGUGCCCUGAUCUUAAGAGAAUAUCGUCGUUGUAUUCCAACUUUUUCCGAAGUCUAGUGGAUUCGUAGAGUGCCUCUACGCGGAGACGUAGCCCAGGUUUGGGUGAACUUCGAUAACAAAUUUUCUGGCGUGUUCAUUUGAUUCUGCCCUUUUAUUACUAUAUUUUGUCUGGUGAAUUGUUUGCGAGCGUUAUUUUUCUGGAAUUGACGUGUGAUUUCGUAACAACUGGUAUCAGAGCCUGGGUUGGCUAAUCGAAAACAUCGAGGGUUUUCGGUGACGUUCGAUUGAAAGCAAACAGGAUGGCAGAAGAUAAAAUCAGAAUCGAUAAGUUCAAUGGAGAGGAUUUCGGAUGGUGGAAACUACAAAUAGAGGAUUAUCUUUAUCAGAAAGAUCUCUAUGCACCACUUGAGGGUUGGAAACCCGAGAUGGCGGAAGUGGAUCCGACAACAGAAGCCGGAUGGAAAAUUCUUGAUUGAAAGGCGUUAGGUGCGAUUCGUCUAGGGUUGACGAAAAAGACAGGAUACCACAUCGCGAAAGCAAAAACUGCAAAAGAAGCCAUGGAUAUUCUAACGAAUAUUUUUGAGAAGCCGUCCACAUCAAAUCAGGUAUUUUUGCUGAAGAAACUAGUUAAUAUGAAGUUAUUUGAUAGAGGUUCUGUGGCAGAGCAUAUUAAUAGUUUCACGCAAGUCACGGGUCAAUUGGAAUCCGCAUGCAUAAAUUUAGAUAUGAAGCUUCAAGCUUUAUUAUUUUUAUGUUCUCUUCCAGAAAGCUACAAUAUCGUAGUGCAGGGAAUUUCGAGCACCAUGAAUGAUGAUUUAACUCUUGAUGAUACUGUGAGUAGUAUCAUGGAUGAAGAGAUGCGAAGGAAAGUCUCAGGUGGAGAUAAUUUUUCUGUAUCUACAUCUUCAACGGCACUUGCAGUGGAGAACCGUGGAAGAAGUAAAAGUAGAGGAAAUUUCAGCGGUCGUGGUAGAUCACAAUCAAGGGGUAAGAGACAGGUUGCAAAAGAUGAGUGUUGGUUUUGUCACAAAACCGGACACCGGAGGUUUCAGUGUGAAGCCUACAAAAAGAAGCAGCAAGAUGAGAAUCAAGGUGCUAAUGUAGUUAGCGAUAAAUCUUUGCUAGAUAACUUGUGUUUGUCUGCAGGGUUUGACUUGACAACAGAUAAAUGGUUUAUUGAUUCUGGCGCUUCUUUUCAUUGCACCUCACAAAGAGACAUAUUUGAUGAUUAUGCCAGUGGAAAUUUUGGACAAGUGGUUGUGGGAAACGGUCACAUGUGUCCAAUUGUUGGGAAAGGAACUGUGACUAUGAACAUCUCAGGUGGAGGACGUCUAGUUUGCGUGAAACUAGGCAUAUUCCGGAAUUAGAGAAAAAUCUGAUUUCAACUAGUAAACUUGACCAAGAAGGUUUGGUAAUAACCUUUGGCUGCAGAGAGUGGAAGAUAACCUCAGGGGUAAGAGUAGUAGCAAAGGAAAAGCGUACAUGUACACUUUACCUUCUCCAAGGAGACAAUAUUAGUGAUAUGGUUGCAACUACAAUGGCUACAGGUAAUUUAUCUACUCUUUGGCAUUAUCGUUUGGGACAUCUUGGCGAAAAAGGUGUAAAGCAAUUACACUCGAGAAAAUUACUCCCAGGUUUGCAAAAAGUUGAGUUAGAUUUUUGUGAGAGUUGCAUUUAUGGAAAACAGAAGGCUGUUAGUUUUCAAUUGAAUGGGCGACAAAAUAAAGGCCAGAAGUUAGAGUUGGUUCAUACUGAUGUAUGGGGACCUGCUCAGGAACUCUCUUAUGGUGGUAAGAGAUAUUUUGUCACAUUCAUUGAUGAUGCAACAAGAAAGACUUGGGUCUAUGCUCUUAAAGAAAAAUCAGAAGUAUUCGGGAUGUUCAAAAUGUGGAAGACCAUGGUAGAAAAAGAAACAGGUUAUCAGAUUAAAGCUUUGAAAUCUGAUAAUGGUGGUGAAUACACAAGUAAAGAAUUUGCAAAUUAUUUGAGCCGAGAAGGCAUACAUGGGCUAAAGACUGUUCCUAGAACUCCUCAAGAGAACGGUGUAGCUGAAAGAAUGAACAUGACUAUUCUAGAACGUGCGAGAUGCAUGAGACUACACGCGGGUCUCCCGCUACACUUAUGGGCUGCCACAGUUGAUGCAGUUGUUUAUCUUAUCAACAUAAGUCCAUCUAGUGCAUUGGAUAGAGAAAUACCACAAGAGUAGUGGUCAGGUAAGAAGAUUAAUUAUUCACAUCUAAAGGUGUUUGGUUGUAUUGCAUAUGCUUUGAUUGACAUAGAGGAUAGAAAAAAGCUUGAUGCUAAGUCCCAGAAGUGCGUCUUUAUCGGAUACGGUGGCGACGAGUAUUGCUAUAGGCUUUGGGAUUAUAAGAAUAACAAAGUUAUCCGUAGUCGCAAUGUGGUAUUCCAUGAAGAAAAGAUGUACAAGGAUCGUCAGACAGAGACAGAGCAUGAGAAGGUAGUACAACCAGAAUAUGUUGAACUAGACACAAUGCCCGUGAAGAUGUUUCCAGUAGAUCAAAGUUCACCUGAAAGAGAGGUUCAAGAUGAGCCUAAUAUCAGUGAAGAGGUAGUUCAAGAAGAACGCAAUGAUUCGGAGCAAACGAAUGACCCUGAAGUACCUGUCUUGAGAAGGUCUACACGUGUGAGAAAGCCAAAGGUAAUUUUUGAUCCAUCAGCUAAUACUGUUCUAAGCCAUGUCUUAUAUACAGAUUCGGGGGAACCAGAGACUUACGAUGAGGCAAAGGUAGACACGUCUCACUUGCAAUGGGGGUGUGCUAUUAAAGACGAGAUGAGCUCGUUAUUUCAAAACAAAACUUGGGAGUUGACCAAGUUGCCCACAGGUAAAAAAGCUUUAUUAAACAAAUGGGUGUAUAGGGUUAAGAAUGAAUCAGAUGGUAGUAUUAGAUACAAGGCGAGACUUGUAGUCAAGGGCUUUUCUAAAAAAGAAGGGAUCGACUACUCCAAGAUAUUUUCACCUGUAGUGAAAAUGACAUCAAUUAGAGUUCUGCUAAGUAUAGUUGCAGUGGAGGAUCUUCAUCUUGAGCAGAUAGACGUAAAAACAACGUUUUUACAUGGUGACUAGAUGAAGAAUUAUACAUGGCACAACCUAAGGGUUUUGAAGUCAAAGGUAUGGAGCACAUGGUAUGUCGCUUGAAGAAAAGCUUGUAGGGCUUGAAACAAGCUCCGCAGCAAUGGUACCUAAAAUUUGAUGGUUUCAUGCAAGAAAAAGGAUUUGUACACUGUGAGUCUGAUCACUGUUUAUUUUCGCAAAUAUGAUGAUGGUGACAUUGUGUAUCUAUCUUUAUAUGUGGAUGACAUGCUUAUGGCUAGUUCCAAUAUGAAGAGAAUCGUAGAAGUGAAGAAGAUGUUAUCAUCACAAUUUGCUAUGAAAGACUUGGGAUUGGCCAAGAAUAUUUUAGGCAUGAAAAUCAUCAGGGACAGGAAAAAUAAGAAAUUAUGGUUGUUGCAGGAAGACUAUGUGAACAAGGUGUUAAAGAGAUUUAACAUGGACAAAGCAAAACCGGUUGCAACUCCUCUAGCGAGCCACUUCAAACUUUCCAAGGAUAUGUGUCCAAGCACUCAAGCUUUGAAAGAUGAGAUGGCGGUAGUUCCAUAUGCAUCAGCAGUAGGGAGUUUGAUGUAUGCCAUGGUGAGCACGAGACCAGACAUUGCACAAGCAGUGGGAGUUGUAUAUGCAGAACCUAAGUAGAGAGCAUUGGAAUGCAGUUAAAUGGAUAUUGAGAUAUCUAGCAAGUACUUCCAAUUACUCACUUUGUUAUGGUGGUACAUCUCUAGAGUUGCAAGGUUAUGUAGAUGCAGAUCAUUCGGGUGAUCGAGAUAGUGGUAAGAGUACCACUGGAUAUGUCUUUACAGUUGCAAGUACAUCAGUGAGUUGGGUAUCUCAACUACAAAAAGUAGUGGCUUUAUCAACAACAGAGGCAGAAUAUGUAGCGAUUACAGAAGCCUCCAAGGAAAUCAUGUGGUCACAAGAUUAUAUGGAGGAGUUACAUCGAAAACAGCCAGUCAGUACACUAUGGAGUGAUAGUCAAAAUGCAGUGCACUUAGCAAAGAAUGCAGCUUAUCACUCAAGGACUAGACAUAUCAAGAAGCGUUAUCACUUUAUCAGGUCAGCAUUGAAAGAUAAUGAAUUAAAGCUACACAAGAUUGAUGGCUCAAAGAAUCCAGCUGACAUAUUGACCAAGGUAGUAGACAGAGAGAAGCAUAUUUUCAGAACUACUACUAUUGGUAUUACUCCAUGUUGAUUGAUGAGGAGUAUCGCAGAGGCACAAGUUUUUCAACUACUAUUUUUUGAAGAAGAUGGAUACAAAGUUGCUUGGUGCUUUGGUAUAUUUGUCUUCAAGUGGGAGAUUGUUAUAGAUAAAGCCAAAUAUUUGUUUUUAGGGGCUUUUUUUUUUUGUCUUUUCUAUUAGAUUUCCUUUUAGGUUAAAAGUGGUACCUAUAUAUUAGCGAUGACAAAACCCUAGCUGUCAAGACGCUGAAAAAGAAAAUAGAGAGGCAAGAAAAAGAGAGAAGAAAAAAGUGAGUUUUUUCUUGAUGAGAGUUCUCAAUCUCUUUGUGCCCUGAUCUUAAGAGAAGAUCGUCGUUGUAUUCCAACUUUUUCCGAAGUCUAGUGGAUUCGUAGAGUGCCUCUGCGCGGAGAAGUAGCCCAGGUUUGGGUGAACUUCGAUAACAAAUUUUCUGGCGUGUUCAUCUGAUUCUGCUAUUUUAUUACUAUAUUAUGUCUGGUGAAUUGUUUGCGAGCGUUAUUUUUCUGGAAUCGACGUGCGAUUUCGUAACAGACUCUUCUUCAGCCUUUCUAUAACUUCGUCAUUCCAUUGAACACCUUCCUCGCAAACUCAAUUCCCUCCUCCACAGCACAACCGAUGGCAAUUGAAUUUCUGAAGACAGCGAGAGAAUUGGGAGAAAAAACAAGAUCGAAAUAGAAGUCAAUAGAAAAUUUUUGAAUGAAUCGAAAUUCAUCCUAGAGUUCAGCACGAGAUGAUGGAUUUCGUCGUCACUUCAGUGUCACGAGGAACCGUCUCUAGAGAUCUCUUGAAGCAACGAUCGUCGGAGAUUUCAAUCGACAGCUUCACUCCUUCAUGGUUUCGUAGAGAGAGAAAGAGAUCCUUCUGUGAACUUUAGACACCUUGUUCUUUUCUCCUAUCUCUUUUCUUUUAUUUUUAUUUUUGUUAUUUCUUUUUUUUAUAUAUUUCUUUAAUUUUUAAUUUAUAAAUAACAAAAGUACAAUUUUAUUAUUUUCUCCCAUCUCUUUUCUUUUAUUUGUAUUUUUGUCUUUUAUUUUUUAUUUUACUAAUCUUUGAUUUGCCCGAUAAAACUAAUGCUACAGUAAAAAAGUUGAAGCCAUGCUCCAAUUUCGGAAGGGCAUAACUCUAUAAUUUGUCCAUAAGUGAAAUCCAUUCAAUUAGCACAUUCCGACUGUGCCAGUCCAACGAUGCAUGCUCCAUGGUCGAAGCAUUGGGCAUCACCAUAAGAACCAUGGUUGUAGUGGUCUAAUCCUCAUGCCCCGGUGUUGGAUUCAAAAUAUCUUUUGGUUCUGCCCAAUCUAGGCAAUUUGGAUUCCAAUUGAAGCUAGGAUUGCCCAUAUCUGUCCGAUUCGUAAUACAGAAAUAACAUCUCAAUUUCCUUCUCUCUGGGCCACUAUCUUUUUUCCCUUUCCCGCAGGUUGAGGUCUUGACAUUUCUGGUCACUCUUCUCUCACCCUCGUCAAGUCAUCUAGUCCCCACCAAGCCACCAUUACGCUAUCGUCGAGCCCCCACUAUGCUCGCUUGGUCAAUCUCUCUCUCUCACUCUCACUCCACUACCCUCGGCCAAAAAAAGAAAAAUGAAAAAACGCUUGCUCUCCUCUUUAUUGUGUCUUACUACAUGUUAUCAAAGUACAAAGCAAGCGACGCGACUCACACUUUUGCUCGUGUCAUGGUCUCUGUCAUGCUCCCCCAUCUCCAGCACUAGCUUGGUUCUUACUAGCCUGUUAUGAUGUUGUUGACACCUAAAUUUUAACUAUUUUUAUUUUUUUAUUAGGGUAACAAUGAUAUUUAACUCAUCUCUUAAAAAAGGUUGUUAAAAAAAAUAUUUUGUGGAGGAAUGAGAUUUUGAAGGAUUUUCGGAUAACGAAGUCAUAUCAAAAGUUGAGUGAAUUGUCUUUAAAAAAUCUUCAUAAAGAAUUUGGGAUUAUUUUCUUGUUGAGCACAUCUCUCCGUUUCUUCGAAUGAUCCUUAGCGAUUAGGUCAAUAUAUGCAAAUCUUCGUAGGUUGAACAAACCAGGGUUUUCUCUGUAUAAAUAGGGGGGCUUUUUCGUUUUCUCUUGGUCAAAAAAAGAAGAAAAGUCAAAGGAAAAGAGAAAUUCUUUGAGGCUUUCUUCUGCUGGCUUCGAAAGUGAAAAGGAGGGUGCAGAAAGUACAGAGAGAAGAGACAGGUGAGUGACGGAGAGGGAGAGAGAGCCAGAAAAGAAAAAAAGAAAAACAAAAGGAAAGGGAAAAGCAGAGCAGAAAACGGGGGACUGUUAAUCGUCUUCUUCAUGUAGCCGCUUCCCCCCCCCUCCCCCCGCCUUCCGCCUGCAACCCUUGCGCCGUCGCCGCGCCACCGCACCCUUGUGCUGUCAUCGCUGCGCCGCCUGCGUCCGGUAGCCAGCCUCGGAUGCUCCGCCACCGCUCCUCGCCCCGGAAGACGCCGCGCCCGUAACGCCGCCUCUGCUCUGGUUCUGCUCGCAAAACCGCUGACCACCGCCUCGAUUGCAGCCCAUCGCCGACGUCAGCAGCUCCUGCGACCUGCCCCGAUUACGACUCCAGACGCCGCGUCCCGCCGACGUUUCGUCCUGCUCGCUCGUUGCUGCCCGAGCUGCCAGCAGUCGAAGCCCGCGCCGUCUCCCUCGCCCGCGAGCUUAUGUCGCUGGUCUGCCCAGAAGCCGUGAAGCCGCUGACCCCCGCCGCGCUCACACCGCCGAGCACCACCGUCGCUACCCCUGAUCCGAGUCUACUGCUGUCCUCGGUGCGCCAUCAGCUACUGCCCGAGCGAUCUCCUGUUUUGUUGCAGGUUUACCUUUGCCGAACCUUGUCGGAGCUCCCACAUCCGUGCCCAUCACUCUCACCGGAGCCCUAAAUUAGCCAUACCGUCAAGCUGAUCUGCUUUCUGUUGCAGCCCAUUGCGACCCGCAACGCCCAAGCCUGCCGCGCCCACACUGCCGAGCACCGACGCCGAUCCACCCAACGCUGGCCCUGCCCGUCCAGACCCGAGCUUCCCUAGCUCCGCUCCUGUGUUGCUGCCGUCGCCGGUUCACCUUGGCCGGAGCCUCCUUUGCCGAGCCGAUUAGUCGAUUCCCCUUGGAGAUACACAAGCGAUGCCUGGAAAAGAAAAACAAAAAAAAAAAAAAAAGGAAAGAAAAGGAAAUUAGGUAGUUUUAUUUUCUUUUUCUAUUUACUUUAUUUAUUUAUUUCUUUUAAGUUUAGUUGUUAUUGUGAAAAUUUAAAGUGAUCUUCAUUUCAUGAAUUCAAUAGGCAUUAUCCGCAGGGUCUUCCCCAUAAUUAUUGUAAUUAUUAAUUUGAUCCGUAAGAUAUCGGAUCAUUUUUUUAAUUAUAUUAAUUUUUGGGGUUUGUCGAUAGUAUUUUAAGUGUUGAAUCAAUAUAAUUAUUAAUUUGAUCUGUAAGAAUUCGGAUCAGAUUUUUAAUUAUUUUGAACUCUUUGUCAUGAUAAUUAGGGUUAUGAUAAUCGUUAAUUUGACCUGUGAGACAACAGGUUAUUUUUUCGAUUAUUUUAAUCCUUUAUUUGAUUAAAUAUCUUGAUUGUUUAGAUUUAGUUGAUAAUUGUUUUUUUUUUUUGUGAAACCACUAAAAAAUCUAAAAAAUAUUUGAAUUAGGAUUCAGUUUGUUUUAGAAUAUUUCUCGUUAUCUUGCAUAUCUAGAAUAUGGAUUUUAUUCCGAAUUUAGAAAAAUAUAAAAUAAAAUAAAAAAACAAAAAAAGUGCAUCCAUUUAGGUUGUUAGUUUUAUCAUUAUUUGAAUUGCAUGUGAAAUUUUAAUUUUGAAAUUAAUAUAAAAACACAAAAAAAUCAUCAUGCAUAUAUCAUGUUGAAUUAGGGCAUUCUUUGCACGUCAUUGCAUAUUAGAUAAAUUGCAUGUUAGAUUAAGAUAAUAUCUUAGUUUAAAUUAGGAUUUAAUGUGACUUGAUCCUUAGUUUAAAUUAGAAUUUUAAUCUAGCUAGAUCAUUUUUGCAUUUUUAAAUAGAAAUAUCAAAUGCACGUCAUUUAGUUUUUAUUAAUUAGAAUUUCCUCGUCAUUAGACUAAGUCAUUUAAUAAAUGUCGCAUGACAUAUAACCCGCAUACUAAAUUGUAUGUUGCGUGUCAUUUUAGUUAAAAUAAUUUUGUAUGUCAUUGCAUUGCAUUACCUGUCAUUAAAAUUAGGUCAUUUGAUUAAUUUACAUUGCAUAUUUAAUUGAUGCAUUUCUUUAUUUUCAAAUUUCAUGAAAAAUAUAAAAGAAUUAGAAUGAAUUCAUUUCAUGCUUUUAGGAUAGAUUGCAUGCUUAUUUAGGACAUACAAUUUUGGUCAUGUUAUCAUAUUAUUUCAUGUUAGAAUAGUGAUAUGCAUCGCAUAAGUCGUGAUUUUCAUUAAAUAAAGUGAAAAAAAAAUUGAAAUUGCGUGUUAAUUAGAAAUCAUAUCUAGGGUUGCUGAUGUGAAUUCUGAUUUAACAAUGCAGAUGAUUUUGUUGCUUCUAAGUAUGAUUUUGUUGCUUCUAAGUAUGUUUUGCAAUAUUUAAUUGCUUUCUUGAGUGUUAAAUUGGUGGUAUGCGCACAUGUAUGAUCACCUCACAUGUUAGGAAGUUAAAUUAAAAUCAAUUCAAUUGCCAAACAUUUUUGAAAAAUGAAAUAAAAAGGUACCGAAAUGGCACUAGGAUAGUCUAGUGUAACCAAGUCCCAAAACUCAUAAAUCUCUAGUUCGUAGGAGUAAAAGUAAAUCUCAUGUUACUUUACUUGGGUUUCUAAUCGACCCACCAAAAAUAGAUUAGUGGCGACUCCUGAUUGAAAAUCAUUUGCAUGUUAAGAAUUCAAACCUAAGUCGCAAAUUGGUAUGGGCUUGGGAGAGCCCGAGCUAAGCUUAAAGACUUAAUAAUCCAUUAACUUAGUUUUAGGUGGUGAACCGAAAAAAUUAGGUCGCGACGGCUUGGCAACUCCGCUGGGGACUUGUGUUAAAACACUUAGUGGACUUAGGCCAAUUUUUCUUUUUAAAAAUAUUUUUUGUUUGGCAGCGAGGAUCUCAGGUAUGUCCCUAACAUUUCUAAGGUGUUAAAUGUUCUUGCAUAUUGGAGGUAUAAGGGGAGUAGUCUUUGCUAACCCUUGUCUUGCAGGGAGGUGUUGAGAUUAAUGAUUUAUUUUUCCUGAUUAGAAGUGUUGUUUGCAUUUAAACUGUUGUGCAUGCUUUAUUGCUUUAGCACCACACUAUUUGCACACAAAACCUGUGGUCGGACCUAGGCUGCGAUAGGACUUCUAGGAUGGUGUUGAGAAGGAUACUUCCUCUAAAGCGAGAUUGCUAUGUAGAGGUUGACAUUCUCUUCCCCGAAAUUUCUUUCAUGGUGUCGAAUGUGUUUGUCCAUAUCCGCGAGACUGCGUGGUUAUUAGGUAUUCCAUUCGACUGAGCCGGAGUUAGGGGGACCUGACACGUUAAUACGAGACUGCAAUGGUCAAAUCAUCCUUUUAGCUCCACCUUGUUAAGCCAUCUAGACAGAAAUCGAGCCUCACUUUUCAUACAUGUGUCUAUGCGGUUGUCAUCCAUUUCCAGUAAAAGUAAGUUGUUUAAAUUCUUUGCAAUUUAUUUACUUUAUUGUAAUUUUGUCGGUCCAUGGGGGAUUAGGUUUCGUCGUCAGUCUUGUUUUAUAUGCGAUGGGGAAAACUGACAUACAAUUCAUUUCUACUCCAAAAAAAAAAAGCUCAAGAAGUGGUUGGAUCAGUUGGAUCAAGAUGGCCAGAGAUAUGUGAAGGCCAGGAUCGUUCAACUUCUCCCACUGUUAGAGAUCAACGUCCACUCUGGUGUGAUUCAGGCACUUCCUCACUUCUGGUGUCCACAAACUUCCACCUUCAUAUUUGGUGAGUUUGAAUUAACUCCAACACUUGAAGAAUAUAGUGUCGCCAUUGGAAUGCCCUUGGAAAAGGAACUUGUUAGACCGCCUAUCGGUAUAGAUUCUAUUUCUGAAUUAUCACAGUUUUUAAAAAUUAAAGCCGAAAAAGUGAGGAAGGUUGUUAAAGCCAAUUGCUAUACAUGCCCAUUUUCAUUUUUGGAAUGCUGUUUUUCAAACCAACCAAUGACUUUAAAAGCUAAGAUUUCAUGUAGCAUUUUUUGGACUAUCGUUUUCUAUCGAAAAAUGCAUUNNNNNNNNNNNNNNNNNNNNNNNNNNNNNNNNNNNNNNNNNNNNNNNNNNNNNNNNNNNNNNNNNNNNNNNNNNNNNNNNNNNNNNNNNNNNNNNNNNNNNNNNNNNNNNNNNNNNNNNNNNNNNNNNNNNNNNNNNNNNNNNNNNNNNNNNNNNNNNNNNNNNNNNNNNNNNNNNNNNNNNNNNNNNNNNNNNNNNNNNNNNNNNNNNNNNNNNNNNNNNNNNNNNNNNNNNNNNNNNNNNNNNNNNNNNNNNNNNNNNNNNNNNNNNNNNNNNNNNNNNNNNNNNNNNNNNNNNNNNNNNNNNNNNNNNNNUAUGGCAUACUAAAUGGUUUCAAGUUGAGGAGGCUCGUUUCUCACACAAGCAUGAUGAGCCAAUUACGUUGUUGGGCUUUUCUAGUGCAACUUCUUACUAUCCUAUAGGGUGGCUCGUCAGUACAAAGCUCUUCAAGAAAUUCCUCUGCCACUCAAAACAGAGUUAUUCCAAGUUCGUUUUAUUCGAGCAAACUAUGACUACUUCAAGGAGAUCCGGAUGAUCAUUGUUGCAUGGAAUGAAUGCCACCUACAGAAGAUUUUGGUGCCCAAGAGACUAAAAGGCGAGAAGGAGAUUCACCAUCCGUCGACAUUCUACAUCCAACAACAUUGGAUUUCUGCCGCCCUACGUCCAGUGGUCCCUGAUGUGACUAAGAAGCCAACCCAAUGAGCACAAAUUGAGCAUCUUAAGCGGAAAGUGGAAAUGAUUGAAGCGGAAAAUAAGAAGUUUCGCAAGGCGUUGAAAUCCCGAAAGCAUAUAAAAUGAGACGUCUUGAAUUUUGAUUCUUAGUUCAAUGUUUAGGGACUUUGAUUUCUAGCUCAAUGUUUUCAAUUUUUAGAUUAAAUGUUUAGGGACUUUGGAUUUCAAUUCUUAGUUCAUUGUUAGGAAACUUGGUUCAAAUUUCAAAUAAAAUCAGGUGAUUAGACCAUUGUCAUGAGCCAUUUUUCCUAUCUUGUCAUUGGUUCUUACAUUACUUUUAUCCGAUUAGGUGAUAAUGGAUCCUCCACGUUCGCCCAUCAUUACACGAUCGAGAGCAAAAAUGGCCGACCAAGCCGAAAUGCGAGAUUGUAUGUCUGUCGUAGAAGACCAACUCAAACAGUUGCUCACCUCUAUGCAACUUAUGACAACUCAAAUGCAAUCUCUCCAAGUGAAUCAAACCCUUGCAUCCGCUCUCCCCGAGAUUGUAGUCCCAAAGCAAAUGAACAAGACUCAAAUUGAUGAUGACGACACGCCUGAACUGGAGGAUGACCCACUGUUUGUCACUACCAAAAAGGUUAAGCCCGAUAAUAUCCCUAAGGUGGAGCAGGAUGAACGCUUCACCAAACUUGAAGAGAAACUGAAAUAAUUGCAAGAGUCGCGAAGUUCACUUCCAUUUGACUUGUCAGUUUAUGAGAAAGUCAAGAUGCCGAAAAAUUUUAAGAUGUCGGAGUUCGAGAAAUACGACAGUAUUUCAUGCCCAAAGGCUCAUUUGCAGAGGUACCACGUACGCAUGGCCUAGUAUGUCAAGAAUGANNNNNNNNNNNNNNNNNNNNNNNNNNNNNNNNNNNNNNNNNNNNNNNNNNNNNNNNNNNNNNNNNNNNNNNNNNNNNNNNNNNNNNNNNNNNNNNNNNNNNNNNNNNNNNNNNNNNNNNNNNNNNNNNNNNNNNNNNNNNNNNNNNNNNNNNNNNNNNNNNNNNNNNNNNNNNNNNNNNNNNNNNNNNNNNNNNNNNNNNNNNNNNNNNNNNNNNNNNNNNNNNNNNNNNNNNNNNNNNNNNNNNNNNNNNNNNNNNNNNNNNNNNNNNNNNNNNNNNNNNNNNNNNNNNNNNNNNNNNNNNNNNNNNNNNNNNNNNNNNNNNNNNNNNNNNNNNNNNNNNNNNNNNNNNNNNNNNNNNNNNNNNNNNNNNNNNNNNNNNNNNNNNNNNNNNNNNNNNNNNNNNNNNNNNNNNNNNNNNNNNNNNNNNNNNNNNNNNNNNNNNNNNNNNNNNNNNNNNNNNNNNNNNNNNNNNNNNNNNNNNNNNNNNNNNNNNNNNNNNNNNNNNAAAUGACCAAGACAACACAACUACUGCGUCAUCAUUUGCCCAAGCAAUAUAGAAGCAUUUCUCUCUCCUGGGUCUCCAUCCCAAGUGCUGACAAUCUCCGAAAGAAAGCUUUGCUUACUAGUGAACCAAAACGUCCCAACCGCGAAAACAUUCACGGUUAUGACCCGACAAAGAAGUGUGACUACAUAACGGUGAAUUUGGGCAUUUAACUGACGAAUGUUUCACCCUCAAGCAUAAGAUCCAAAAUCUCUUGGACACAAAGGCCUUCUCAUUUCAAACUGCUCGGCCAAACGUCUAGAAGAAUCCGCUACCGGAGCAUGAGGGUACAGUGAAUGCUAUCCUAGAACCUAAAGUUAGACGGAUCAAGAACUCGAAGGUGCGUGUGGCAGAUGCCUACAAUGGACUGGUGAGAGCUGGAUAUUAUUCAGAUCAAGAAGAUGUUCCCCCAUCAUUGAUGAAAGAAAGAGUUGCUAGAAUGGUGGAUGAUGGUAUCAUUAUGUAUGCUGACCAUAACUGCAUAGUUUUCACUAUUUCUCAUAUCAUUAUCAAUUAGGAGGAAGAGCAGGCUGCUCUCGAUGAUAGUAAGGAAGAAGUAGAUCCGUCACUCGCAGAUAUGCCCCCGCUAGAAGAUGCAACUAAUGAGGAGAUUGUGAUCGAGAUGCCUCAACCAUAUGAGUAUGUCAACAAUAAGGCAGUGCCUUGGUCCUAUGAUUUAGAUGUUGACCUCGUUACAAGGUCUGGUUGAACUUAUACUCAAGUUAGUGCUCAACCUGCAAAGCCUAUCACUGACGAAGAGGCUAAGGAAUUUCUGACUGUGAUUAAAGCAAGUGAGUAUAAUAUCGUCGAUCAGUGACGAAAUAUGCCUGCUCAGAUCUCUUUGCUCGAGCUCUUCCAAACCUCCUCUGUGCAUCAAAAGUCAUUGAUGAAAGGUGCUAAGUGAAAUUCGUGUACCCGAAAACAGUUGAGGCAGAUAAGCUGGAGGAUNNNNNNNNNNNNNNNNNNNNNNNNNNNNNNNNNNNNNNNNNNNNNNNNNNNNNNNNNNNNNNNNNNNNNNNNNNNNNNNNNNNNNNNNNNNNNNNNNNNNNNNNNNNNNNNNNNNNNNNNNNNNNNNNNNNNNNNNNNNNNNNNNNNNNNNNNNNNNNNNNNNNNNNNNNNNNNNNNNNNNNNNNNNNNNNNNNNNNNNNNNNNNNNNNNNNNNNNNNNNNNNNNNNNNNNNNNNNNNNNNNNNNNNNNNNNNNNNNNNNNNNNNNNNNNNNNNNNNNNNNNNNNNNNNNNNNNNNNNNNNNNNNNNNNNNNNNNNNNNNNNNNNNNNNNNNNNNNNNNNNNNNNNNNNNNNNNNNNNNNNNNNNNNNNNNNNNNNNNNNNNNNNNNNNNNNNNNNNNNNNNNNNNNNNNNNNNNNNNNNNNNNNNNNNNNNNNNNNNNNNNNNNNNNNNNNNNNNNNNNNNNNNNNNNNNNNNNNNNNNNNNNNNNNNNNNNNNNNNNNNNNNNNNNNNNNNNNNNNNNNNNNNNNNNNNNNNNNNNNNNNNNNNNNNNNNNNNNNNNNNNNNNNNNNNNNNNNNNNNNNNNNNNNNNNNNNNNNNNNNNNNNNNNNNNNNNNNNNNNNNNNNNNNNNNNNNNNNNNNNNNNNNNNNNNNNNNNNNNNNNNNNNNNNNNNNNNNNNNNAAAGCCCUAUUAAAGCCCUAUGAAGCCUAGAGUCUCGAUUGCUGGGUUAGGGUACGAGGUGGAGGAAGUUCCGGAAGACAAAGACAGGGAAGGCGUAACCCGCCACCUGAGCAAGGGCGAGAGAGGCAAAAUUUACCACCUCCAAACAUUCAUGAGACGUUCCCUGGUCCUCCAAUUAUGAUGCAAGAUGAAGCUGAAGUCAUGGAUACUCUAGGACAACCAAGUGGGAAAUUCGACUAUAUGGUGAAGUAUUCGGCUCCUGCCAGCUUUUACUUUGACGCCCGCAAUAUAGUUCCAAGUGGAUGGGAUGGCAUGGAUGAUCCGACGCCUUCAAAGAUAGAAAACUCUGAUGACACCUUGGAAGGAAUUUCAAGUUUGUUCGAUGACCUCUCCAUUGGAGCCAUUGAUGGAGAACCUCUGGAAGAAACAGACCCUCGCCCACAAGAGUAACCCAUUUAUCACUUUUGCACAUUCCCAUGCGUGGGAAUUUUUAUUGCUUUCUAGGAAUUGUUUUUGAUUUCUUCUUUUUCACUUUCUUCUUAGGACUUGAAUUGCAUUUUCCAUUCAAUAAAUUGUAAUUUAUUGAUGAAUUUCAAUGAAAUUACAAGUUUUAUUUGAGGGCAUGAUGAGGUACACCAAACCAGCCUAGUGAUGAUAUCCAACCGAUAGAACAAAAUCAAAAUCCAAGGAGAACUCUGAGGCCUGGGCUUCAUCAUGUUUCUUCAUGUCAAAAACAUGAUUUUGCAAAAGAAUGUCAAAAAAAAUUCACAAAAAAAUAAAAUAUGAUUAACCCUGUCUGUCUUUUUUAUCCUUCUAUUUCCUGUUUCAGGGACGAUCAUAUAACAUGCAAAGGUGUGGAAAUGGUCCAAUCCAAUGCAACAAGUGAUGAUAAUGAUGAUCCUGAAGAUUCAAUCGAAGAUUCCAUUGAGGUGCAGCAAAGCUGGGAACAACAUGAAAAAGCCAAGACUCUCACAUCCGAGCAUACCGUCACUAUUAAUUUAAGUGACAUUGAAGAAGCCAAUGAGGUGAAAAUAGAGGCGAAUCUCCCCAAAGACGAGGCUAAGCGCCUAAUUCAGUUACUGAAGGAAUAUAAGGACAUCUUCGCAUGGACCUACGCCGACAUGCCUGGGUUAGACCCAUCAAUCGUGGAGCAUUAUUUGCCUACUAACUCGGACGUGCCUCCUAAGAAGCAAAGGCUGCGAAUAACUAAGCCUGAGCUCUCGAAGAAGAUAAAAGAAGAAGUGAUGAAGCUUUUAAAAGUCGGAUUUAUUGAAGUCUCGCAAUACCCUGAAUGGGUAGCAAACAUCAUGCCGGUGAUGGAGAACGAUGGUCGAGUUUGAGUUUGUGUCGAUUAUCGGGAUUUGAACAAGGCUAGCCCAAAAGAUGACUUCCCGCUACCUCACAUAGAUGUCCUUGUUAAUAGUAUUGCCAGAUUUGAACUAUUCUCAUUUAUGGAUGGUUUUUCUAGGUACAAUCAGAUAAUGAUGAAGGAGGAAGACACGGAGAAAACUGCAUUUAUCACCCCGUGGGGGACCUUUCAUUACAAGGUUAUGCCAUUCGGGCUCAAGAACGCAGGGGCAACUUACCAACGAGCCAUGGUAUCAUUAUUCCAUGAUAUGAUGCAUCAGGAGAUCGAGGUCUAUGUUGAUGAUAUGAUCGCAAAGACUCGACCUAGGAAAAGCCACAUCGAAACCUUGAAAAAGUUGUUCGAUCGACUCCGUGAGUUCAAGCUUCGUCUAAACCCCACUAAGUGCGUGUUUGGAGCAACAUCUGGUAAAUUACUUGGAUUCAUUGUAAACAGUAAAGGGAUUAAGAUCGACCCAGCUAAAGCUAAAGCCAUAUGUGAGUUGCAACCUCCAUCAACGGUGAAAGAAGUCCGAAGUCUUUUGGGCAGAUUGAAUUACAUUGCUCGAUUCAUUUCCCAACUUUCUGAAAUCGGCAAGCCAUUCUUCAAGCUCUUAAAGAAGAAUGCACGAGUCAACUGGGAUGAUGAGUGCCGAGAAGCAUUCGACAAGUUGAAACAGUAUUUGAUGAAUCCACCAGUUCUUGUCCCGCCAUCGCCAGGGCAUCCUUUGAUUCUCUACCUCACCAUUCAUAGUGAGUCAUUGGGUGCGAUGUUGGCACAGGGAAGUCCCGUCGACAAAAAAGAACGAGCCAUUUAUUACCUAAGUAAAAAAUUCACCAUGUCAGAGCUGAAAUUUUCUGAUGUGGAAAAGACUUGUGCUGCACUAGUGUGGGCGUUGCAUAGAUUGAGAUAGUACACACUGCAUUACCAGACAUUCCUUGUAACUGAGAACGAUCCUAUCAAGUACCUACUUGAUCGGCCAGCUUUGGUGGGUAGGUUGGUUAAAUGGCAAAUUUUGAUAUCAGAAUUUGAUGUGCAAUAUAUGCCACAGAAGUCGGUUAAGGGUCGAGUGAUCGCCGAUUUAUUGGCUGAGAAUCCGGAAGCCUCAAAUAGUGAUGAUCAUUCCCUAGAUGACCGUAUCUUGACUGUAAAUGAAGACUCAUGGACAAUGUUCUUUGAUGGAGCUGUGAACUUGUCUGAUUCUAGCAUUGGGGCAGUUUUGAUAUCCCCAGACAGACAUCAUCACCCAGUAGCUACGAAAUUGAUAUUCCCAUGCACUAACAAUACAGCCGAGUAUGAAUCUUGCAUCCUCGGGCUUCAAGCUGCAAUCGAGAUGGGUAUAGCCAAAUUAAAAGUGUUCGGGGAUUCCGCGUUAAUCAUACUGCAGACCGUAGGUGAAUAGAAGACUAAGGAUGCUAAAUUGCUCCCAUAUCACAAGUACCUAGAAGAUUUGAUCAAGGAAUUCGAUGAAGUUUCAUUUGAAUACUUACCGAGGUCUCACAAUCAAUUUGCAGAUGCACUCGCAACUUUAUCAUCCAUGUUGCAAGUCACUGACUGAUUAGAAGUCGAGCCAUUGAAGAUAGAGGUUUUGCCAAGGCCGUCUUAUUAUAUGGUAGUGACUGAAGAAUCUAACAAAAAACCAUGGUAUUACGAUAUCAUGAACUACAUCCAAAAAUAAGGAUUCCCCGAGGAAAGUACUCCAGUUGAUAGGAAGUACAUUAUGAAGAUGGCCUCAAAGUUCUUUGUCAGUGGUGAAAAUUUGUACAAGAGAACUUAUGAUUCAGUUUUGUUGCGGUGUGUGGGUGAAGCUGAAGCCACUCAAAUUAUGCAGGAGGUUCACGAAGGAGUGUGUGGCCCCUAUAUGAAUGGACACAUGAUGGCUAAGAAGAUCAUGAGAUUAGGCUAUUAUUGGCUCAUGCUAGAAGGUGACUAUAUUCAGCAUGUCUGGAGUUGCCAUCGUUGCCAAAUUCAUGGUGACAUGAUAAAUGUUCCUCCAACAGAGCUACACCAGUUUUCUGAGCCAUGGCCCUUCUUAAUGUGGGAGAUUGAUCUGAUCGGCCUGAUAAAUCCUAAGGCUUCAAAUGGAUAUCGUUUCAUUUUGGUGGCGAUAGAUUAUUUUUCCAAAUGGAUAGAAGCUAUGUCAUUUGCAAGUGUCACUGCUUGCAAUGUUGCGAAAUUCAUCAAACGUGACAUAAUUGCUCGUUGUGGUGUCCCUGAAACGAUUAUCACUGGCAAUGGAACAAAUUUGAACAACAAGCUUGUUGAUGAGUUGUUCAGCGAGUUCAAGAUCAAGCAUUUGAAUUCAUCCCCUUAUCGCCCUCAAAUGAAUGGGGCUGUUGAAGCGGCCAAUAAGAAUAUUAAGAAGAUCUUGGCUAAGACAACCGAGAAUUAUCGAGACUGGCAUGACAGAUUACCCUUCGCACUGAUAGCGUAUCGGACAUCGAUUCGUACUUCUACCAGGGCAACUCCUUUUGCUCUGGUAUACGGCAUGGAGGCAGUUUUGCCUGUGGAAGUGGAGAUUCCUUCCCUGAGAGUAUUAUCCCAAGUAGAAUUAUCUGAGGCAGAAUGGUCGCAACAAAGACUUGAACAGUUAAACUUGAUCGAUGAGAAAAGACUGAAGGCUCUCUGCCAUGGCCAAACAUAUCAACAGAGAGUAGCCAAAUCUUUCAAUCGAAAAGUGCGGCCGAGACAUUUCAAGGUAAAUGAUCUUGUUCUAAGGAAACUGUUGCCAAUUUUUCCAGAUCCUGGGGGGAAGUUUGCUCCAAACUACAGUGGCCCAUAUGUGGUAAAUAAGGUACUUCAUGGCGGUGCUUUAAUCUUGGCAUAAAUGGAUGGUCUGUGUUUUUCACUCCAGUUAAUUCAGAUGCUGUCAAGAAGUAUUACCCAUGAUAGAAUUUGCCAUGUUAGGUUUUGAAUUACAAACAUUUUAUGAUGAAUAAAUUGCCUCCUUGAAUUGCAAAUUCAAACUUGUUGCAAAUAUUGCAUGUUUUCCUUGAUGAAUAAUGUGAGAUAAAUUGAAUGUGUCAAAUGGGAUACUUUGGAAUGACGAAAGGCAAACCCUAUUCCAUACACUGACCCCUAGUGAGUUGUGUGAAAAAUUCCAUGCCUACGAGAAAAAGGAUGAUCUCGCAAAGGGUACGUCAACCAAGGUGAUGAGAGGCAGUUUUUUCUACUACCCGAAACACUACAGGUAAAUCCAUUGUUCAGCCCUUUGAGCCCACACACAUAAAGAGCUUUUUAAAUUAUUCCUGUCAAGAAUCGUCCCAUAUUGGGACAAGAUUUGAAAUAAAUGAUAGGAAUUUUCUUACUCACACUUGCAUCAAUAUUCGAGUAUUGCUUUUACAGUGUGACUUGUACGAUAAUUUAAAGUGCCUUAGGACGACGAAGAACAGUUCUUUCUCUAUCCUAUACACUUUAUCCAUUGCAUAGCCCCCUUGAGCCUAUGAAUUAAUUUCACAUUAAACCCAGUUGGUGAUCAUCCCCCACACUGGGGCAAGGCAAGAAAAAUUAAACCACUCAAGUAGCAUGAUUUACAAUGCUAAUAAAAAUGGAGACUUUGUCCAAAAAAAAAAAGAGUGCAAAAGUGGGGCAUGAAAAAGCAGUGUGCCUGGUAAAAGCAAUGACAAUGCCCAAAGAAAAAUCAAACACUUGAUGAAUGAGUCGUAAAAAAAAAGAAAAAACUCAAAUGUUGAGAUGUUGCAAUUAGUGGAGUUGUGAAGUGAAGAAAAUCUUCGACGAUGGAGAGGAAAAUUGCUGGAAAUGUCAAGAUGAUCACCAACUUUGACCCCAUAAACACUUUUUGAGCCAAAUGAUCCUUUCAUUUCCCAACCCAUGAACCCAACCUACGUUACGUCCCUUACAAAGUCUCUUCAGAUUAUAGCACUUGAAUUAACGUAAAAGUUCAUAUGUUUGGAAGCAUCACUUGAAGAAGUGUGAGUAAGAUAAUUUCUUCUUCAUUUCUCAUGUUUCUUGGCUUGUAAACCCCAAGAUGAUUGUGAAAUAUCAUUCAUUUUUUAAUAGCCUUGGCUCAAAGAGUCUCAUUUGCUAAGCCGUUGACCAAGCCAGCGUUGCAGUCCCUGUUAAAGACCUCUUAGAUUGGUAAAUUUCGUACCACUUGCGAGAUUGCUCAAACCCUUGUUUGGCAUGAUAACGGAAAGAUAGAGUGAUUGACAAAAAUCAUGUAUCAAAAGUCAGGAUAAAAUAGCUCAUUUUAAUGAGGAUGAGUGAAAAGUCCUUUCAGAUCGAGAGAUCCCCCAUUUGACACAUCCAUGACACUCAUGUGUUCAGAUUGGAACAUUUUUUUGAAAUAUUUCCCAAUGGAAAUUAGGUGAUGCAGGCUUGAUAUAAAUCAUAGUGCAUGAACCUCCCUUAAAUUAAUGCAUGUUUGUCAUCACAAAUGUAUAUUGCUUUUCCUAUGACCAUGUUUUGCAGAAAACAUUUCCCCUAGGAACAGAGAUGUUACCAGGUAAGUAUAUCUCUAUCUAUACCUUAAAUACUUGUUGUUGUACAGGUAUUUUCCCUUUUGAGUACACUGACACUCGAUGGAGUUGUCCCCAAAGAUUUUUCCCUAGAUUGCAAUGUUAGGCGACCGUAGAAUGGUACGAGUCCUCGACAACACCUAUUCCCUAUUUAGGCGACCGUAGAAUGGUACGGGUCCUAGAAAGUGAAUCCCCGUUUAGGCGACCGUAGAAUGAUACGGGUCCUAAAUAAAACCUAUUUCCCUAUUCAGGCGACCGUAGAAUGGUACGGGUCCUGGAAUGUAAAUCCCCGUUUAGGCGACCGUAGAAUGGUACGGGUCCUAGAAGGUAAAUCCCCGUUUAGGCGACCGUAGAAUGGUAUGGGUCCUAGACACAAUCAAACACUGUCAUACUGGGUGACCGUAGAAUGGUACGGGUCCUAGGAAAGCAGUCUCUUUGCAAAGUCAUGUUACUAUUCUAGGCGACCGUAGAAUGGUACGGGUCUUGGACAUGUAACACAAACUAUCUUGAAUCACUCUACCCUCCUUGAAGGUAAGAUAUUCUAGAUAAGUCUUUUUUUUACCAUUUUAUACUCUUUAAGGAACCCGAGUGAGAGUUAGGUACUUACAGAGUAAAUGGGGAUUUAUCAUGUACCUCAAGAUGCUUUACCACACUGACCGGUAACUAAUUACAGGUACGUCUUUUCCUUUCAGAUCAUGCAUUUGCAUUAACAUUUCCAUGAAUCAUUACAUUACAUGGGGUUCAUUUUCCGAAAAAAAAAAAUCAUUUAGUGCAUGUGCAUAGUCAAAAUUUAUGUCUCAAUUUGUCUUUGAAGGCAACCUCUUCGAGCUCACCUUCAAAGAUGGGCAGCUGUUGAUACCUAAAUUUUAACUUUUUUUUAUUUUUUUAUUAGGGUAACAAAGAUAUUUAACUUAUCUCUUAAAAAAGGUUGUUAAAAAAAUAUUUUGUGGAGGAAUGAGAUUUUGAAGGAUUUUCGGAUAACGAAGUCAUAUCAAAAGUUGAGUAAAUUGUCUUUAAAAAAUCUUCAUAAAGAAUUUGGGAUUAUUUUCUUGUUGAGCACAUCUCUCCGUUUCUUCGAAUGAUCCUUAGCGAUUAGGUCAAUAUAUGCAAAUCUUCGUAGGUUGAACAAACCGAGGUUUUCCUCUAUAUAAAUAGGGGGGCUUUUUCGUUUUCUCUUGGUCAAAAAAAGAAGAAAAGUCAAAGGAAAAGAGAAAUUUUUUGAGGCUUUCUUCUGCUGGCUUCAAAAGUGAAAAGGAGGGUGCAGAAAGUACAGAGAGAAGAGACAGGUGAGAGUGACGGAGAGGGAGAGCGACCCGGAAAAGAAAAAAAGAAAAACAAAAGGAAAGGGAAAAGCGGAGCAGAAAACGGGGGACUGUUAAUUGUCUUCUUCGUGCAGCCACUUCCCCCCCCCCCCGCCUUCCGCCUGCAACCCUUGCGCCGUCGCCGCAGCUCCACACCCUUGUGAUGUCAUCGCUGCGCCGCCUGCGUCCGGUAGCCAGCCUCGAAUGCUCCGCCACCGCUCCUCGCCCCGGAAGACGCCGCGCCCGUAACGCCGCCUCUGCUCUGGUUCUGCCCGCAAAGCCGCUGACCACCGCCUCGCUUGCAGCCCGUCACUGACGCCAGCAGCUCCUGCGACCUGCCCCGAUUGUGACUCAAGACGCCGCGUCCCGCCGACGUUUCCUCCUGCUCGCUCGUUGUUGCUCGGGUUGCCAGCAGUCGAAGCUCGCGCCGUCUCCCUCGCCCACGAGCUCAUGUCACUGGUCUGCCCAGGAGCCGUGAAGCCGCUGACCCCUGCUGCGCUCGCACCGCCAAGCACCACCGUCGCUACCCCUGAUCCGAGUCUACUGUUGUCCUCAGUGCGCCAUCAGCUACUGCCCGAGCGAUCUCCUGUUUUGUUGCAGGUUUACCUUCGCCGGACCUCGUCGAAGCUCCGACGACCGUGCCCAUCACUCUCACCGGAGCCCCAAAUUAGCCGUACCGUGGAGCCGAUCUACUUUUUGUUGCAGCCCAUUGCGACCCGCGACGCCUAAGCCUGCCGCGCCCACACCGCCGAGCACCGACGCCGAUCCACCCAACGCCGGCCCUGCCCGUCCUGACCCGAGCUUCCCUAGCUCCACUCCUGUGUUGCUGCCGUCGCCGGUUCACCUUGGCCGGAGCCUCCUUUGCGGAGCCGAUUCGUCGAUUCCCCUUGGAGAUACAUGAGCGGUGCCGGGACAAGAAAAACAAAAAAAAAAAAGAAAAAAGAAAGAAAAGGAAAUUAGGUAGUUUUAUUUUCUUUUUCUAUUUACUUUAUUUCAUUUAUUUCUUUUAAGUUUAGUUGUUAUUGUGAAAAUUUGAAGUGAUCUUCAUUUCAUGAAUUAUGUAGGCAUUAUCUGUAGAGUCUUCCCCAUAAUUAUUGUAAUUAUUAAUUUGAUCCAUAAGAUAUCGGAUCAUUUUUUUUAAUUAUAUUAAUUUUUGGGGUUUGUCGAUAGUAUUUUAAGUGUUGAAUCAAUAUAAUUAUUAAUUUGAUCCGUAAGAAUUCGGAUCAGAUUUUUAAUUAUUUUGAACUCUUUGUCGUGAUAAUUAGGGUUAUGAUAAUCGUUAAUUUGACCUGUGAGACAACAGGUUAUUUUUUCGAUUAUUUUAAUCCUUUAUUUGAUUGAAUAUCUUGAUUGUUUAGAUUUAGUUGAUAAUUGUUUGUUUUUUUUUAAACCACUAAAAAAUCUAAAAAAUAUUUGAAUUAAGAUUCAGUUUGUUUUAGAAUAUUUCUCGUUAUCUUGCAUAUCUAGAAUAUGGAUUUUAUUCCGAAUUUAGAAAAACUAUAAAAACAAAAAACAAAAAACAAAAAAAAAGUGCAUCCAUUUAGGUUGUUAGUUUUAUCAUUAUUUGAAUUGCAUGUGAAAUUUUAAUUUCGAAAUUAAUAUAAAAACACAAAAAAAUCAUCAUGCAUAUAUCAUGUUGAAUUAGGGCAUUAUUUGCACGUCAUUGCAUAUUAGAUAAAUUGCAUGUUAGAUUAAGAUAAUAUCUUAGUUUAAAUAGGAUUAAUGUGACUUGAUCCUUAGUUUAAAUUAGAAUUUUAAUCUAGCUAGAUGAUUUUUGCAUUUUUAAAUAGAAAUAUCAAAUGCACGUCAUUUAGUUUUUAUUAGGUUAAUUUAAUUAGAACUUCAUCGUCAUUAGACUAAGUCAUUUAAUAAAUGUCGCAUGACAUAUAACUUGCAUACUAAAUUGUAUGUUGCGUGUCAUUUUAGUUAAAAUAAUUUUGUAUGUCAUUGCAUUGCAUUACCUGUCAUUAAAAUUAGGUCAUUUGAUUAUUUUACAUUGCAUAUUUAAUUGUUGCAUUUCUUUAAUUUCAAAUUUCAUGAAAAAUAUAAAAGAAUUAGAAUGAAUUCAUUUCAUGCUUUAGGAUAGAUUGCAUGCUUAUUUAGGACAUACAAUUUUGGUCAUGUUAUCAUAUUAUUUCAUGUUAGAAUAGUGAUAUGCAUUGCAUAAGUCAUGAUUUUCAUUGAAAUUACGUGUUAAUUAGAAAUCAUAUCUAGAGUUGCUGAUGUGAAUUCUGAUUUAACAAUGCAGAUGCUUUCGUUGCUUCUAAGUAUGUUUUGCAAUAUUUAAUUGCUUUCUUGAGUGUUAAAUUGGUGGUAUGCGCACAUGUAUGAUCACCUCACAUGUUAGGAAGUUAAAUUAAAAUCAAUUCAAUUGCCAAACAUUUUUGAAAAAUGAAAUAAAAAGGUACCGAAAGGGCACUAGGAUAGUCUGGUGUAACCAAGUCUUCGAACUCAUAAAUCUCUGGUUCAUAGGAGUAAAGUAAAUCUCUUGUUACUUUACUUGGGUUUCUAAUCGACCCACCAAAAAUAGAUUAGUGGCAACUCCUGAUUGAAAAUCAUUUGCAUGUUAAGAAUUCAAACCUAAGUUGCGAAUUGGUAUGGGCUUGGGAGAGCCUGAGCUAAGUUUAAAGACUUAGUAAUCCAUUAACUUAGUUUUAGGUGGUGAACCCGAAAAAAUUAGGUCGCAACAGAUGUCUUAAGGUUUUUGGUUUUAGGACAUAGUAUUUGAAAUUUCGAUGGAAAGUAACAAGAAAAAAUUAAAAGAAAAACACUUCUUUUUUUAAAAAAAAAAAUUCGGGCUGUGCCCAAUCCUAUUGGGUCUGGGCCAAAUGGGGUGACUUCGGUCCUAGCUAGGUCAAAUCCCAAGCCACAUUUUUGGACGGGCCAAAAAAGGGGCAAAAGUCUGCCCCACUCACAUAUUAACUCAUUCAUAAAAGGUAUGAUAACUGCAUAUGAAUUUGGAUACACUACACUUGCAAAUCUAAAUAAUCGAUACAUAGCUUGGAAAAGGAUCUAAUAUAGUUAGCCAUGUCGGCUACAUUAAAUGUUUUGUAAGCUCGUCCAAGGAGAAUUGACAUAGUAAUAUGGAUGGUAUAUCUUUUGAUCGUGUGAUAUCAAUCGUAUAUGUUUGGCAGAGCAAAUAUAUAUGCAAUUCUUGAGCCCACACGACUUUAUCUUCCAUAAAUGAAAAGACAGAAUUAAAAUAAUUUAGAUGGAAUGCUUUUAUUUGAAAUUAAAAUAAGUGCACUAGAAACUUUAAAAUUUUUUUAAUAAAAGUGUGACCAAAUUUUAAAAUUUAUUGAAUAAUUACAAUUGAGUAAUUUAGUUAGUUUCCCCUGUUAUGACUGACCGAACGACCAAACAAGUGCUCUUUUAAAUAUUCCCAGGAAAUGUUGUGUCAAUGUAACCCCUAGUGAAAAAAAAAUAAAUGUAACCCCUAGUGGGCCCCAUAUCAGCAAAAUAGCCCCAAUAAAAUUCCGCUUUUACCCAAGUGCCGCAUUGUUCGUCGUGCCUCUCUUCAACAGCCGAUUGAUGGUGCGCAUCACACCGUUGGCACUUAUCGAAUUCUUCCAAUCUACCUGUUGGACAGAAUCAAUUAUGAAGAUUUCGAGCUAUUUAAAGAACAUGACGAUAGCCCACCAAUCCUGCUCGCUCAUACAAUCAGGAUCUAGGUUUCCAUAAGUAGAACCUUCCAAGUAUACUUCGCUAAUCAACGGAUCCAAGAUCCCUAAAUCAAUCUUGAUCUGAAUAAUGGAUUCCGACAUGUUGUAUCCAGAUAAGAGAUCUUCUUUAGUCGACAUAAUCAAAUCUUUAACGAAAUACUCUGUUUCAGAUAAGCCUUCUUCGACGGUCUAGAAACUGUCAAUGAGGAUAGACUUUGAGUCUUGAGUCUGGCAGUCCGAAGGUCUUCAGACUUUGAUGGAAGAGUCUAUAAGUUUUCAGGCUAGAUUGAUGGAAACAUUUUGUCAACUUCAAAACACUCAAGGAAGUUUUCUCUAACAAUCUCCCCAUUUUUGAUGGUGACAAAACUUUCCUGCAGAUUUGGAUAACUUUGACCUGCAAAACAUUACUCAAGCAAACAUGGAUAUCUCGCAAAAGAUAAAUGGCUUAGUAAAGAUAACAUUAAAAUCUGCAUCCACAAAAAGUAGGUUAGUUCUAUAAAUGAGCAAAGCCAUAAGAUAUCAAUGGUGCUUAAGACAAACAUUUAAACAAUCAAAUCCAAACCCAGUCCAAAUCAAAACAGCCAAACACAAAAGUCAAGUCAAUCAAACAUAAUCGUCACAAAAGUCAAGAGUUCAGAGCUCAGAGUUCAAAGUCAAAUAUGCACCACAUCUCUCCCCCUUUUUGUCAUCAUUAAAAAAGUAGAGAUGAAAAGAGAAUGGAAUUAAGAUUGCUUGGGAACACGAACAAGUUGGAAAUCUCCCAUUGACUGGACAAUCCCUUCCAUCUUUUUCAAAUCCUCCUUCAAUUGCGCCACAUCUUCACCCUUAGCAUUUGCUUGAACUUGAAGAGCAAGGGCAUUGAUUUGAUCAUACAAAGAAACUGAAGAGGCUUGUCCUGCAUUCUGCAAUUUCUAAAUUUCGUAUCCUAGAGUAUAAAUUUGGUCGCGCAUCUCCAAGAGAACAUCAAGCACUCUACGAAAGUCCGCUGAAUUAUCAGUCUGAAUACUGGCUUUUGCACGAUCAGACGGUGUAUUGGCAGAUGAUGGCAAAUCAGCAUGGUCACGCAGAUUGGGCGAUGAAAUAUCAUGUCCCUCCUCAGGAAAUUGAGAGGCAUAGAUGUCCUAUGGAUCUGCUGGAGAACGAUUUACUCAUUCACUGGUGGUAGGAAAUGAGGACGUACCCCUUUUCUCAAGAUCUCCCCCUAUUUCAAUGCCUUCAGGUGGAGAAAAAUGUUCCUCAUGCUCUGCUUCUGCUUGUUCUCCUCUGCCCUCUUCUUCUUCUUCCUCAAUUCUUUCCUCCUCUGAUUCUUUCUCCAAUUCUUCUCUCUCUCUCUAGUCCUCUGUUCUGUCUCAUCCUUGUCUUGUUCCUAUCUCUCCGUUAUCUCUAGAACAGAACGACUCAAGUUCUUCAAUGCCAUCGCAAAAAUGGUGAUAUCAUCCUCAUCCUCUUCAUCCUCAAUGAUGAGUGCUUUUCUUUUCUUGGAUGGAGCAAUCGUGGGCUCAUUACCUUUUCGCUUUGCAGCCAAAGAGACUGGAUGAGUCUUGACAGGGGUUUUCACCUUGAAUUGCUCCAAAGCCUUGUUGAGUUCCUUCAGACGCAUUUUAGAGACCAUUCUCAGUCCCACCACCAUUUGAUCGCAUGUUCGAACACAAAGAAUUCGGGAAGGCUGAAUGUUCAAAUGUCUGAAUAACUUGGUCACAAGUGCUGAGUAUGGAAGUUGACCCUUAUCCUUCAUCAUUAUUCUGUACAUGUGAGACAUAAUAGUGUGUGGAAGAGAGAACUUUUUGCCAGCAUUGAUGGCAUACAUCAACUUUGCCUCCGAGUUUGAAACGUCGGUUUUUGAAGUUGAUUUUGGUCUGAGGUAGUUAAUCACUAUCUUGUGAAGCAAAAUGUUGGACUCAUUCAUUUGAAUAAGAAAUCUUUCCUUCCGUUGUUCUAUCCUGAACAAGCUCUAUCGUUGCACGAGCAAUAGACACACUAAUAGGUUGAUAUCUCCCUCUUUCAACCCCAAUCAUAUCAGCCAAUGUAUUCAUGUCAACCACAUAGUCCUGAUCUCAAACACUGAAAGAGAAUUUAUUCGCAUCCAAGAAAUUGAGAUUCGAAUAGAAGUAAGUAGCAAGUUCAGCAUGAGCCUCUGUCGUUUCAGAACAAAACUGUUCGAGUUGAAAAAAAUUGAAUUUUUCUCGUAGAUUGACAUUCAGAGAGUCGAGAAAAUCAAAGUCCACAAUUCUAGGGUUUAUCACACCACGCUUUAGCAACUUAGAGUACAGUUGCUUGUGUUCCUCCCAUCGAAAUAAGUCUAUCUUUUUGCUUUAGAUUUUUGCCGCAACACUCAUUCUAGGUUUAAACUGACUGUACAUCCUAUUAUCAUCAUUCUCAUAAGGUUGACUCAGCCCUCCAACACGUGGAUCGCUUGGGAUAUUUGCCAAUGCUUCUUCCGCCAACCCCGCAGGGGCAAUUCCCAAUCGUUUCAUUGUGCGUAAAAAGAAAGUUUCAUUUCUAUACCCUUUGUCUUUCAGAAAUUCAUCAAUAUAGUUCAACGGAGUACCACUCCUCUUCAAAGCACAGUAAAGCUUGUAAGUAAAAGCGGGCUUAUGAGUUCUUAUAGGUUAUGCAUCUUCGAUGAUUUCUUUCUCUUCUCGAUGUGCAACAUCCUGAGGUCUAGAUGGAGGAGAUGGACUUUGCUGAGAAUGUUGUGGGCUUUGUUGUUGUCUAGGAGAUUCUUCUUCCUCGGUGAGAUCAAAGUGCGUAAGCCCCUCACGCAUUUGCUGUGGUCCCCUAUUCGCAAUCCUCAAAGACUUUCUUUGAGACGACAUCUUUCACAGUCUUUGAGAGAUUCCAAGCUUGUUUCUCAAGAAAGAUGAAAACUUUUCAAGGAUUAAACAAGAGAAGAAGACAGAAAUGGAAGAUCUAUGCUCUCUUAGGGUUUUUGGGUUUUUGUGUGUAAAACGAAGAAGAACCGACAGUAUAUAAGGCAGUUGAAGCGAAGCAUACGGAACGUCGUAAAAAGGAAAUAUAAAAAAUGCCUUUUAAAAAUAACUGCAUUUUCAAAAAUUAGAUAACUAUCGUUUAAAAAUAACUUCUUUUUCGAAAAGGAAGGAUUGCAAUAAUCACGAAAAUUGGGAAAUAACAUCAAUCAAUUUCGGAUAGAAGAUCAUACCUUUUCAAGAUUUGAUCCGAGAGAUAAAGUUUCUAAAAUAGAAGAACUAACAGUCGUAAAUCUUGAUUGUCUGAGUCUGAGUGUCUUUAGACUUUCAGUCCUGAGUCUGAACUUUCUCAGACUUUAAGAUAUUGAGUUUGGAACGAAUAACUUCAAAUUGAUUUUUCUCCAAAGGCUUUGUAAAUAUAUCCGCCAAUUGAUUCUUUGAAUCAAUAAACUGAAUUGAAACUUCUCUAUUUUGAACAUGAUCUCUAAUGAAAUGAUGUCGAAUCUCUAUAUGUUUUGCUCUUGAGUGAAGAAUCGGAUUCUUGGUGAGAUCGAUUGCACUGGUGUUGUCACAUUUAAUCUCAGUGUAUGAAUCUUCAAUUCCAAAGUCUCUUAGUUGUUGUUUUAUCCACAGAAUUUGUGAACAACAACUUCCAAGAGCUACAUACUCUGCUUCUGCCGUAGAAAGAGCUACUGUACUUUGCUUCCUUGAAAACCAAGAUAUUGUCCUGCUUCCAAGUAGUUGACAGGUGCUCAAGGUGCUCUUUCUAUCAACUUUGCAUCCGGCUAGGUCUACGUCUAAGCAUCCAAGAAGAGUGAAGUCUCCUUCUUUCGGUACUAGAGACCCAAAUUUGAAGUUGAGGCAAUGUAUUUGAUAACACGCUUUGCAGCACUUAAAUGAGACUCUUUAGGUUCUAAUUGAAAUUUGGCACAAAUACAAACACUAAACAAAAUGUUAGGUCUAGAAGUAGUUAGAUAAAGAAGUGAACCAAUGAUACUCCUGUAUAGCUUCUGGUCAACUUUCUUUCCUUUUUCAUCUUUGUCCAGUUUCAAAGAACUUGACAUUAGUAUAUUAGUCUUUUUGCAAUUUUCUAGUCCAAACUUUUUGACAAGUUCUUUAACAUAUUUUUCUUGAUGAAUAAAGAUUCCCUCCUUCAGUUGUUUCACUUGAAGCCCGAGAAAGAAGGUUAGUUCACCCAUCAUGCUCAUUUCAAACUCAUCCUACAUAGAUUUAGAGAAUUUUUUACACAGAUUUUCAUUAGAAGAUUCAAAAAUAAUAUCAUCAACAUAAAUUUGAACAAGUAAAAAGCUUUUGCUUUCUCUUUUAAUAAACAAUGUAGUAUCUACUUUACCUUUGACAAAGCCAUUUUGAAUUAAAAACUUACUUAGUCUGUCGUACCAAGCUCAAUGUGCUUGCUUUAAACCAUAUAGAGCUUUUUUCAGUCUGAAUACAGAGUCUGGUUUCCUUGGGUCUUCAAAACUGGGUGGUUGUUCCACAUAGACUUCCUCUUGGAUAAAUCCAUUUAGGAAAGUACUUUUGAUGUCCAUUUGGAAUAACCUGAAAUUCUUAUGACAAGCAAACAUAAGUAAUAAUCUAAUUGCUUCUAACCUUGCUACUGGUGCGUAAGUCUCAUCAUAGUCUAUCCCUUCUUCUUGCGUAUAUCCCUUGGCCACGAGUCUUGCUUUGUUUCUUACGACUUUUCCUUUCUCAUUCAUCUUGUUCAUGAAAACCCAUUUAACUCAAAUGAUGGAUUUACCUUUCGGUUUAGGAGUCAAUUCCCAGACAUCAUUGAUGCUGAAUUGCCUGAGUUCUUCUUGCAUAGCUUCAGUCCAUCUUUCAUCAGUUAAAACUUCUUCUAUGCUUUUGGGUUUUAUUUCAGAAAUAAGAGCCACAGCACUAGACUCUUCACGCCUUUUGGAUCUUGUGCGAAUUCCUUCAUUAAUAUCACCAAAAAUAAGAUAUUUGGGAUGACUAGACUUAUGCUUCUAAUUGCUGGUUGAUUUGUCAGAUUGUUGAUCUUUUUCCUCAUUUGAAUCUUCAUUGAUCAUUUGUUGCUUGUCUUCUGAAGUUUGAGCUACUUCUGGAGAUUUAGACUUUGUAGAGUCUGGAGCAAGUUUAGAUUCUUCAAGAUUAGUGUGAAUCGAUUGAUUUUGCAUAAAGUCUUGAAAUUUGACAUUCAUUGAUUCCUCCACAGAUUGAGUCUUUUUGUUGUAAACUCUGUAAGCUUUGCUUGUGAUAGAAUAUCCAAGGAAAAUACUUUCAUCUGAUUUUUCUUUAAACUUACUAACUCGAUCAUUUGCAUUUUUCAAUAUAAAACAUUUACAUCCAAAUACAUGAAAAUAUGAAAUAUUGGACUUUUUUCCUUUGAAUAACUCAUAGGGAGUUUUCUUCAGAAUAGGCUUUAAAAAGACUCUAUUAAUAAUAUAACACGCUGUAAAAACUACUUCAGCCCAAAAACUAGAAGAGAUGUUACUUUCAAUUAAAAGAGUUCUAGCCAUUUCCUGAGUGACCUAUGCUUUCUUUUCACGACUCCAUUUUGCUUUGGAGUAUAUGGUGAAGAGAACACAUGCUGAAGACCAAAUUCAUCACAUAAUUUUGUAAAGUCUUGAUUUUCAAAUUCACCUUCAUGGUCUGUCCAUAUACUUGAAAUAACAUACCCUUUCUCAUUUUAGACCUUUUUAGCAAACUUUAUAAAAUAAGAGAAUGUUUCAGACUUACUUGCCAGGAAAUAUACCCAAGUGAAUCGUGAAAAAUCAUCCACAAUUACUAAACAGUAUUUCUUAUCUCCAAUGCUCUGAGUUCUGGUAGGUCUGAAGAGAUCCAUAAGCAAGAGCUGUAGUACACGAUUAGUGGAUACUUGAUUUAUUGGUUUGAAUGAGUUUCUUACCUGUUUUCCCAACACGCAGGGUGUGCAUAGAUCAGACUUUUGAUAUGUCAGAUUGGGUAGUCCACGAACAAGCUUCUUUGCUGAGAUUUUGGCUAUUUACUUCAUGUUGAUGUGUCUAAGUUUUCUGUGCCAUAAGUUUGUUUUUUCUUGAAUUGAGAUUAGAUAUUGAGUUUCAUCUAGUUUGAUAUCCAAGAGGUAGAUAUUCACAUGUCUUCGACCUGUGAAAGACUGAGAGAAGUCUUUAUUGGUUCCUGAACAUAUUCCUUCUUGAAAGUUGAUUUUGAAAUCGGUGUCGCAUAGCUAACUGAUACUCAAUAAAUUGUAGUUGAGUCCUUCCACUAAGGAAACAUUACUGAUCGUGAGGCUUCCAAUCUUUACAGUUCCGUAUCCCACAAUUCUUCUUUUGCCGUUUCCUCCAAAAGAAACUUUUCCAUCAUUGACUUGUACAAGCUUUAUGAAGCAAUUUGAAUCUCCUGUCAUAUGUCUUGAGCAUCCACUAUCUAGGUACCAUUUAACAUUUUUCUUAAUAGUGACCUGCAUUUAGAAAGGAGACUUAAGCUUUCUUUGGUACCCAUAUUUUCUUGGGUCCAUUGGUGUUAGUGUAAUAUAUGGUCUUUGCCCAAACCUUCUUAAUAGGUUUCCAAACCAUAGGACAUUCUUUCUCAAAAUGAUCUGAGCUAUUACACUUAAAACAUUUAAGAGCACUGCGACCUACUAGUUUUACAAAAACUUUUUGGAAAUUAUUUUUGUAAGAAUCUCUUGUAGAUCUUUGCUUAAUUCUUUCCUUUACUUUAGGAAAAUCAAUUAGAAGAAUGGUUUCAACAAUCGUUCCUAAACCUGAUUUGUUGAAGUAAGGUCUUUGUGCUGAAAGAAUUUUUUAAAGUUUCUCUGAUCCUAUAGAAAAUCUUUUAGAAAUACUUGAGAUAUCAUUUUUCAAGAAUUCAUUUUCUUUUGAAAGAUUGUCUGCAUUUUCUUUCAAAGUAGUAACACUUUUAUCUAAACUUUUCACCUUUUCUUUACAAACAUUUUCCUAUUGUUUAAGUGCAUAAUUUUCUCUUUUAAGUUCGGAAAUCUUUUUGAGAGAAGUUUUGAGAUUAAGACACAAUUCAUCAAUGUAUCUAGAGACUUUAGUAGGGAUUUUCAAAUUACUUAUCUCGAUUUCACUAUCUGAAUCUAUGUCUGUCUCGGAGUCUAAAUCUGAGUCUGAUUGUGCCAUGAGAUAAAUAUUGGCAUAAUCAUCAUCACUUUCCUCACAUUUUGUAUUACUCCAAGUUUCUGCUUUAAGUGCCUUUCGAUAUUUCUCAGCUUUUCCUUUCUUUUUCCUCAGAAGAGGACAAUUGGGUCUAAUGUGUUCCUUUUUCUUACAUUCAAAGCAGACUACAUCUUUAUUGGAUUCAUCAUCCUCAACUGACUUAAUCUGUUGCUUUUGAAAACUUUGUUUCUUUGGAUUGAAUAUUUUCCCCUUUCUGUUUAGUUUUCCGAAUAUUCUUGUCAUGAAAGCAAGCUCUUCAUCAUCCAUAUCGUCUUCAGAACCCGUGACAUCAGAAUCAUCAUUAGAUUUUAAUGCAAUGGAUUUCUUACCUUUAGGAUUUUCAUCUUCGUUGAUUUGCUCCACUUCAUAAGAUUGAAGAGUCACAACCAAUUCGUCAAUAGAGAGUGACAUGAUUUUUUGUAUCUCUCUUAUUGCGGUCUUUAUGUGAUUCCAAUCCUUGGACAGUCCACGCAGUAGCUUAUUUACCUUUAUGGGUCCAGAAAUUGGUUGACCCUGAUAUUCAAGACCAUUCACAAUUUCUGUAAAAUGGCUAAACAUAUCGGUGAUAGAUUCUCCUGAUUUCAUUUUGAAUGCUUCAUAUUGAUCGAGUAGAAUGUUGAUUCUGGUUUCUUUCACUCGAUCAGUUCCUUCAUAGGUGAUGUGUAAUCUAUCUCAGACUUCUUUAGCUGUUUCACAAGAAGAUAUUCUAUUAUAUUCAGUAGGAGAUAAUGCACAAUAUAAAGAAUAAAUUGCUUUCGCAUCAAGAGCUUGUCUCUUGGUUAUCUCUUUUUGAGUCAUUUCAUUAGACUCAACGGCUUCUUUUCCUCUUUGUGAGACUGGUGCAGCUUUAGGAAUGAUUCCUUUGUCUACCACAUCCCAUUUCAGAGGAUCCUUUGAUCUUAGAAAUGCCUUCAUCUUGUUUUUCCAUAUGUUGUAUUUCUUUCCAUCAAAAUAAGGCGGUUUGGUAUUACUUUGCCCUUCAACCAGUCCUGGAGCAACAUACUAGCCAUGGAUCUUUAACUCUGAAGUAAAACACUUCAACUUAAGUGAGUACACAGGCUCUGAUACCAAUUGUGAAAGCUAGUAUGAGCACCUUGAGGGGGGUGAAUAUGUGUAAAAACAAAUUUCCGAGAUAAGUGUGCAACACUAAUCAAUAAUAGAUGAUGAAAAUGAAGUUAGGCUCUUGCAGACAAAAUGAAUUACGAUCAAAGUAAAAUAGCGUAGGGAAGAGAAUAUGAACACAUGGUUUAUAGUGGUUUGGCUUAAUCCAAGCCUACAUCCACUCUUCCGCACUGACAGCCCACCGGCUGGAUUUCACUAUGAAACAAAAGAGUUGUUACAGUAAAGCUCUUCCUUGAUUCCACAGUGUAGAGACUCUGCUACACUUCCUCAAGAUCUCUCAAAGAUAUAGACUCUCUUUUGCAUACAAUAUUUCGCUUAAUAAUUUAAUUGAUUAAGAACAAGGAGUUUCAGACUUUGGAAUUCUUUUAUCGCGCACACACUCGAACAACUGGAAUGUCUUCCUUAUAUACUCAUUCAUGUCAUCACACCCGUUGGCACUUAUCAAAGGAAUUCUUCCAAUCUAACAGUUGGACAGAAUCAAUUAGGAAGAUUUCGAGCUAUUUAAGGAAUAUGACGAUAGCUCACCAAUCCUGCUCGCCCAUACAAUUAGGAUCUAGGUUUCCAUAAGUAGAACCUUCCAAGUAUACUUCGCCAAUCAACGGAUCCAAGAUCCCUGAAUCAAUCUUGAUUUGAAUAAUGGAUUUCGACAUGCUGUAUCUAGCCAAGAGAUCUUCUUUAGUCAUCAGAAUCAAAUUCUUAACGAAAUACUUUGUUUCGAAUAAGCCUUCUUCGACGGUGUAGAAACUGUCAAUGAUGAUAGACUUUUAGUCUUGAGUCUGGCAGUCUGGAGGUCUUUAGACUUUGAUGGAAGAGUCUGCAAGUCUUCAGAGUAGACUGAUGGAAACGUUUUGUCAACUUCAAAACACUUAAGCAAGUUUUCUCCAACAAAAAGUAAUUGUUGAGACAUCUUAAGAAUUAGAAUCUAAGUCAUCUUGUAUGGAGAAAUUUGAUAACGUGAUUCGAUGUUGUAGAAGUAGAUUAUAAAUGUUAAUCACACAAGGAGACUAGUUGAUAUGGACAAGCAAAUUGCAAAGAAUGUUGUUGCCUCCAUUACUAAAGGGAAAGACCUGAAAGAUAAGGAGGUGCCUUGUUAUGAUUAUGAAGUUUCGUUGUAGAUCUAGUGACUAAUAAUUUUAAUAUCAAAUGGGAGAUAAUGUUGUAUUUUGUUAUACCAAUCAACUAUUUGAAAAGGGGCGAAAAAGCUUACUUUACUUUGUCAUAUUGAGCCAAUAGUCUGAUAAAGCAUUAAUUUAGCUGUGCUUGAAAGAAUUGAAAAGCUUAAAUUUAAAUUUUCGAUUCCAUCCAUGUUCGAGUCAUCGAAAUCGUUGCUUUUUCCCCAAAACUUACGGUCUGCAUGGCUUAAAUGCAUGCAUGUUAUAUAUUUAGACAUGGAAGGCAUCUUUUGGCCGUGUACCCUAUUGUAUAUUAGGUGCGUAUAUUUUGACAUUUGACUUCAGAUUGCACAUUGAGAUUGAUGACUUUCAUUGUAUGGUUUAUUGUUGAUUAAAACUCCUUAAGGUAGCAACCGCUGCCUUAAAUUCACACCGUGUGUGAUUUGAUUCUCUCAUUAGUGUAUGCUAAUGUUUUGGUCUUUCUUCACCAUAUGUUGGUUUUUCAACAAUGUAAAUGGGAAUACUGUUCUUGUUUCAUUCAUCAGGCUACAUAUUCAGGAAAACAAGCAAAUUGCGACUCUCGGUAUUCAGACAGGUCAUGGAUGGUGAGGCUUGGGAGCUGUGGAUGUGACCAGGGGGCAUUUCUUCUGUUGGUUGGCCCACAUUUGCAAGAGAAAAUCAUCCGCAUGCAGGAAAAUGUUUGUGUGUUUGAGCUCAUUGAUUGGGAGGAUGUUGUGUUUAGAGUCUAUGAUUCCAUUAGUGCUGGUAAAGACUUGAUUACAUUAAUCGAAAUGAACUCUCGAAGUGUCACUUUGGCUCAUCCAAAAAUAAAUCACUUUUUCAUCAUUUUAUCUCCUUUGUUUAGUCUCGGUGAAUCAAUGAAGUGUACUUCUUCCAUUCCCAUUGCGUUUGUGAGGUUCGCAAUAAUCCAGAUGCACACUCAUUAAUGCCGCAUCCCAAAUCUAAAUAAACCGAAAAGGAUGUGCUUCAAUAUCAGAAAGAAAAUUAAAACCUGAAACGCUCAUCAUUAGAAUUUAGAGGUGUGACUUGUUGGUUUCUAAGUUAUGCUUAUUUGUACAACAUCAUGUAUUUUUUCUUGUUACAUUUUCCUAAUAAGCUUUUGUAUAUUGAUGGGUUACAUUACUAUUUAGGAUAUGCUAAGUGUAGUUAAUUAGUUAUGUCACGUGAAGAACAUGUACUCAUUAGUAACAUUAUAACAGGUAUUGAUUUGCAUAUUGUUGUAACUCGAUACAUAAUAGAGCAGUACCUAUGAGAACUCUUCUUUUACUUCUGUGCAGGUCGGACCAAACAGUCCGAAUAUCAAUUGCGCCCCUCUGAGCAGGCUUUGCAUGGCCUUACAUUUCCGCGGCUUCCCACUGCUCUUGAAAAAACUAGGGAAUUUGAAUUAGAGUAUCCAUUUUUGAAAUUGGUGAUGGGCCAACUUUUAUGAAGGACAGAACCACGGUAAGGGCCCUAUGUCUUUCAUAAUUGGCAUAUCUCAACCAUGACGCCAUCUACAUCUUGUCCUAUAGUCCACUGUUUUCCCAAAAUGUUUUGGUCUUUCAUAGGAAUCAUGUGAGAUGUUAUUCUCUGAGGUGUCCAUGGCUAUAUGUGUAAAAUCAGGAAAGUUUUGACUUUAAAAUUUCUUUUCUUUUCUUUUCUUUUUUAAUUUAUGGAUUCAUAAGGUUACCAAUUCCAAAAUAAAAGAUUUUAUUUUUUCAAUAAUCAGGGGUAAAGAAAAUUACUAUUAUUCAUAGACUAAGAGGAUAUUGUGGAGACAAUCAAUGUUGGCAACUCUUGAAGCAUUACCAUGAGAGUUCAAAAAUUGUGUACACUAUUGUAGAGUCUAUGAGCAUUGUAUUGUCACAUUUUAACUUCAAAUUGCAAGUUGGGAUUGAAGACUUCUAUUAGCCAAUUAAGAUUGUAAUUGAAUUUCCUGAAACUAGUAAAUACUAUAUUUACAUUUUGUUUGCCUUUUCUAUUUAUUGUUUGUUUGUAUCAAUCUUUUCCUCAUAAUACGAUAUUGGCAAAGUGUUCCUUGUGAAUUCAUAAAGAGGUACAUCCAGGAGAACCAGCAAAUUACGACUCUUAGGUAUUUGAACAAAUAAUGGCUGGUGCAGUUCGUAACCCAUCAACACCAUUAUCCAGCAAACACAUCUGUGGUUGGCCCACUUUUAUGAGAGAAGCUUAUCUGGAUGAAGGGGAUGUCUGCAUGUUUGAGCACAUUGAUAUGGACGAUUUUAUGGUCUUAGUUUCCGUCUCCAAUUAUGCUAGUGAGGACCUCAUUUAGGUCGAUCGAGAUGAAGAUUAGAAGCGUCACUUAAGGCUGUAUAUUAAUGAAGCAAUUCAUGCCUCCUUUAUUUAGUUGCGACAAAUCAAUUGAAAGUGCACUACUUUUGGCUUUGCUUCUCUUUCUUGACCUACUUACAGUCUUAUCAGAGUUCUCUUAAUACUUUUGUGCAGGUCAGAACAGACAAGUCUGAAUGCCCAGUGAGCCCCCCUGAGCAGUUUUUUUCGUGAUUCCAAGUGCCUGAGGCCUCUCACUGCCCUUGAGAAAGCUAGAGAAUUUAAAUUAGAGUAUCCCCUUUUCCAGACAGUGAUGUGGCCAUCUUUUCCUAAGAAAGAAGUGGCGGUAAGUCCUAGAUUUCCAUUCAAAAUCGGCAUAUCUCAAUUAUGAAUGCCACCUAUUCUAUAUAUGCGCCCCACUCUGCAAAUUUUUCCCAUGUUAAUAUGCUUUUUAUAGAAACACAUGAUAUGUUAUCUUUCUUGAAGCGUUCGUGGUUAUAUGUUUAAAACGGGCAUCUUAACAACUGAGUAAAGGGACUAGGGAAAAGCAAUAAGUCAGGCAGCAAUCGGCAAAUAACCUAGUGACAGGUGUGUGUGGAGACAAGGUCAAAGGGUUGACAAAGGCAAUAACAACCAUAAGUUAGGAAUUUAAUGAUUUCUAUUUUAAGUAUAAAUUCCUCCCAAAGAUGACUACUUAGUACUUUCUCUGGCUGCCUAGGCUUGGGAAGAAGAGGCGACACGAAAUGUCCAGCUUAAGUCAUAACAACUGCAACAGGCCUAGGCUUGGGAUGAUUGAGCUCUCUGCAACAACAUGGCACCACUAGUCAGAUAUUGCUCCCUAGCAAUGACUGGUUUUGUGAGAGCUACUAUGAUCGGAAAUGGAGGGACGGUAGUGCAGCCCUUGACCUCAAAAAUUAGUUCCACCACCUCGGUGGUAUGAAAAGAAGAAAAGAAGUAUCACUUUUUUUGUUUUUUGUUUUUUUGUUUUUUUCCAGGAAAAAGAAGAUCACUCACUUAUUGUGUAUAUAUGCCCAUCUAGCACACUAGGUGCAGCUUUUCAUGUUUGUUUCAAUGCAUAUCGCAAUGCAAGAUUAGUGACUCGGAUAUUGACCAGAUUCAUGCAUGUCUCUAUUGAUUACACGUACUUGGUGUAGUGUCUAAGAGCACAGGAUUGUGGGGCUUUGAUUUCAGAUUGGAAAUUGUGAUUAAAGACCAUCUCACCAAGCCUUUUAGACUGCUAAUAUGGACUCUGUAAACUAACAAUUACUAGCAUAGACUUACUUCUUGUUUGCCUUUUCACUUUAGUGUACGCUUACAUUCCUAUGUCUUAUCAUAUAUCGGCUGGUCAAAUAUCUUCAUGGGCAGAGCGUUACUCAUGAAUUCAUGAAGACAUGCAGCCAAGAAAACCAGCAAAUUGCUACUCUUAUGUGUUUGGAUACAUUGUGGCUGGUGACCAUCAUGACCUAUCGACGCUAUGGUUUGGCGAACUUCUCUGUUGGUUGGUCCAAGUUUGUGAGGAAAACUUAGUCUUGAAUGAAGGGGAUGCUGCAUGUUUGAGCUCCUUAAUAGGGAUGAUGUUUAGGUUGAAAUGGGAUGAACAUUGGAAGUGUCACUUUAGGCCAUAUGCUAGUUAAAAGCGAUUUAUGCCUCUUUUCUGUUGUGAUGAACCAGAUGAAAGUGCACUUUUAUUUGUAACUGUGCUCUUUUUUGAGCUACUUACGAUCUUAUAAUUUCUAGGCCCGGCCACUCCCAUACAUCCGAUGUUAGUCCUACACACAUUUUCUACUUUGGGUAUCUCUUGAGCUCGUUACGCUUUUAUCAUUGCCUUUUUGGAAAGGAUCUCUUGUUCAGCACUCGGUCCACUUCCAAGUUAUCGAACCUAGUUUUGUAUUACAAAAGAAUGUCAAAAGUGACGUGUUUUAGUUCUAGAAGGGAUGUGGAAAUUUAUGCAUCAUUCCGUCACUCAUGGUCACCCAAUAGCUUUUAAAUAUGGGAGAGACACUAUACUCAUGUAAUUAUAUUUGAUAAAAAAAAAAACUUAUCUAGAUACAUUAUCCCUCAAGCGGUGAUGAAAUUUAAAACCCUGAGAGUGAAUUCCACCUACAUCUGGCCUAUAGUCCACUGUUUUCCCAAAUUGUUUUGCUUAUUCAUUGGAAUCACAUGAGAUGUUAUUUUCCUUCAAUGGCUAUAUGUGUAAAAUUUUGAUUUGGAAAUUUCAUUUUUUUUUAAAUUUGGAUUCAUAAGAUUACCAAUUCUAAAAUAAAAGAUUGCAUUAUUUAUUUUUUUAUACUAAUCAGGUGUAAAAAAGAUCACUAUUAUUCACAAACUAAGAGGAUGUGGUGGUGAAGAUCAGUGUUAGCAACUCCGGAAGUGUUACCAUGAGAGUUCAAAAAUAGUAUACACCAUUGUAGAGUCUAUGAGCACUGUACUAUGACAUUUUGAAUUUGAGUUGCGGGUUGUGGUUGCAAACUUUUAUUAGGCAGUUAAGACUGUUAAUUGAAACUCUUGAAACUAGUAAAUAUAAAUAAUUUACGUUUUGUUUGCAAGAUUCUUAUACGCUCUUGCCCAUUCAUUACUUGUCAACUUUUGUGGACUUGAUAUAGCAAGACCCUUUUUUUUUUCUCUUUCUUGAAUCAACAAUGGGGAGAAAAAAACAUAACGAACCCUUUUGCGAACUUGACACAGCACAACCCCUUUUUUCUCUUUCUUGAAUCAACAAUAGGGAGGAAAAAACGUAUUGAACCCUUUUCCGAAAAGAUGAACUUGCAGUCUCAUCCAAAUAUGAAGGAAUAGAUCAAUCAUUAGUGAAUUCGUAUUGCUCACAUCUAAUUCUACAGUAAAAAAGCUAAAGCUGUCCACUGACACUGAGCGUGCACAACUCUUUAAUUUGACCAUAAGCGAAAUCCAUGCAAGCAGCACAAUCCAAUUGUGCUAGCCCGAUGGCACAAGCUCCAUGACCGAAGCAUUUGGUGUCGCCAUAAUAAGCACUGAUGUAGUAGUUGAAUCCCUCGGUUGCGGUGCGGGACCUCAGAUCAGUCAAGACUUGAUCCAAAGCUCAUAAGUAAUCGUCGGUGUACUGCACGUCGUUGCAUAUCUUGUAGAUAACCAUCACGUCCAGGUCACUUCUCACAAGACUCGAACCCCAUAGAAGCCUCAUGAACAUAAGUGCAUGUGAUGUGGACAUGGUCAUCCUAGCCCUCUUUCCUCCCUUUGGUUCUCUUUUGUUUAAUACAAAGAAACAGACAAUUGAGUUAGGCUUUAAAAAAGGUUCGUCUCCACAGUGCAAUCCGUCAUUUAUGCUUUGUUUUUAGGCCAAGUCAAUCCCAAUUUUAGUCAUUUAUGAUGUCACAUGGAUGUAUUCUUGAUAACUUCCCCAGCCGUUUCUAUGAAUUGUUCGCCCAUUAGUAUACUGCAUGGUUGCCAUCCUUGCAAACCCUAAUCUUAUAAUUUUUUAUGAAAAUUUUCCCUCUCUUACCAUGCAUAAAAAAUUUAACAUUAGGAUCCUCUAAGUUUAUGAAAUAAAUUCACAUUAUGAUAAAUGACCAACUUCACUUUUUUUGUCCUUUUUAUUCUCCUACUCUGCACACAUGCAUCUGCCUCACAUACAAGUCUUGAAUAUAUUUAUAUCUGUAACAUUGUGAACUUUAGGUCAUGUAAUUAAUGGAGUUCAUGAUAGUUAUAAAACCCGAAUUACAUUAUACUUUUGCUGCUGCUAAUACUACCAUGUGAGUGUAUUAAAAAAAGGAAAAAGAAAAGGAAGCCUGAAAACCCGGAUCGAAUCACCCAAACUGGCCCAAUAAUUUUCGGCUCAAAUAGUCUCAAGCCUGCCGAUUUGGCCUCAACAUAUCCUUGAGUUUGGAACCCGAAUGAUUGCCAAAUCAGCCGUCAAUUGAGGGCUCAACUACUCUCGUUCUCCAGUCUCUCAUGCUGGCCGAGAUCCAGCCAUCGCUAAGCUGCCAUCACCGCCUGCCGUCGAGCCCCACUUAUGUGGCUAUCGAGCCCCACUACUCACCGUAUGCCCUCCGUCCAAUAUGUCUUACUCGCUCCCUCAGCCCCCUUACGCUUGCUCACUUCUUGGUCACUUCUUGGUCUCCUUUUUGCUCCCUCGCUCUCUACCGGUAGAAAAGAGGUUCUGACCAGCCUGUUUUGAUGUCUUAAGGUUUUUGAUUUUCGUACAUUCUAUUUGAAUUUUUUAUUAAAAUUUUUCAAAUGAUAGAUAGUCCCUGUUAAAAAGAUGCAAUUACGCUUUUUAUUAUUUUUGUUUCACAAUCUAUUAGUUACAUUUAGAUAGCGGAGAGUAGUGGAGAAUGGCUGUUGAUGACAAUUUUCACUUUUAAGUACUAAACGGCGAAAGUUGCCCCGAAUUUGUCUAAAAUCUAUUAUCAUCACAAUUUGAUUUUAAGGUAAUUUAGACCGAGAGAUCAACAGAGGAAUCUCUACCCUUAAAGAAUUCACAAAUUUGGUAAUGUCAUUUUACAAAUUCUAUUCUCUAAUAUCCUUAUGUUCAAAUGAAAAUUUAUGUAGGAUAGCCAACUAGUGCUAGUGCAAGAUAUGAUCCCUCAUCGAGCUAAUCGAGUCACGAAACAUGUUACCUAGACCGAGUGCAUACUCUAUUGCUCUCACAGAAAGCAUAUAUGAAGGCCUACUAAGAGUGAAACUAAGUCAAAUUAUUCAUGAGUUAGUUCGAGCUAGGGUUGAUGAUUAUAUGAGAACUAAUAUCUAGUUGAGUCCUAACUAUAGCUACUCCAUAAUCUUGUCAAAUUGAAGCUCUAGCUCGCUAAUACUUUUGUAAAUUUAAUUUAAAAAAUCUAAUUGUUAUAAAAUUAGCCAUAGACAUAUCAUCUGCACACACAUGUAUAUAGCCUAUGGACUUCUCAUUUGAAUCAAGCUCCUAUAUGAAAUUAAUUCUUGGCCGAGCUCUAAUCUAGUUUUAAACACUGGCUACGAAGUUGAGACAAUCUUUUGUUUGGCACUAUAGCAGAUUGAUUAGACUCGACUCCUAAGCCCCAACCAUGUUGACACCUAAUUCGAUUAAUGAGAGUCAAAGUGUCCAUUAAAGCGGUUAAGAAUUUUGAUGUGCAAAACUUGAGUGCAACGUUAUCGUUGAGAAAUCUCAUUACUCAAGAUAUAGUUGGAUCUUCAUCAUGCAAUUUUUAACCCCCCCUAUAAUUUUCAAUCCAUAUAUUAACUGAUAGCUCAAAUGAUGAAAGUAAGCGAACACUAAUAAAUGUAAGAAAUCUUCAAGAGUCGCCUUUCCUAAGUCCUAGCUAUAAAUCUAGUAGGGACGUAGCUUGGCUUAAAAAAUCCUUGCUGUAACUUUUCUCUGACAAAAUGACACUCCAGUUCUAGAGAAAAUUCUAAAUAAGGAAUCAAAGUGUUCUCAUUUUCUCAAAUAAAGGCAAGGAAUGGCCUUUAUUCAAUAAAGGCCUGCAAUGGCCAUGAUUAUUUCAAAUAAGGACUUAAAGUUACCAUGGUUGUUUGAGAUAAGGGCUCAACCUCGUCGGUUAUUGGUUGGCUAAAUAUUUGACCAGUUAGGGGCAUUUUCAUCCAAUUACAAUUUUAAUUUUAAAUUAUUUUUUAUUCUUUUCUUCUUCUUUUCUCCACUCUUUUUUUCCCCCUUUCUAAAGAGAGUUAGCAGUUGCAAACAAAUACUCAGCAACCCUCGCCAGCCAUGGGUAAGGGUCGGCAUGAACUUGGCCACCUUCGUUGGCCGUUGUUAAGGGCCCAUGAGGGCCUACAAGCCCUCGCUAGAUUAGGCGAGAAUCAACCUCGCCUAGGGCUGACAAGGGUUCGGUGACCCUUGCCAGACACAAGCGAGGGCCAACCUCACUAAUGACUACAAGGGCAACCCGCCCUAAGGUGAAGGUAGCUUGUCCAAACAAGAACGUCCCUUGCUAGCCGCUAAGGAGGUCACCCUCACCCAAAUCUAGUGAGGUGACUCUUUCGAGGCUGGCCUCACUCGCAGCAGCCUCCCUAGGGUAGGGGUCGCCUCGCGUUACAUUGAUGAGCACAACCUUCUCCCAGCCCUUUCCGACAUCGCUUGCGGGUGGUCAACCACCAAUAAAUAAGAAAGAAAAGCCAAAAAAAAUAAAGGAAAAAAUAAAUAAAUGAGUAAAAUGCCCUUGACCAACCAAAAAGUCAAGCCACUUUUUGAAGUAGACAUAGUUAGGGCCUUCUUUAAAAUCAAAUCUACUUCAAGUUCUCAUUUGAGAAAAUGAUAGCACUUCAGGCCUUUAUUUAAAACAAGAUCUACUUCAAAUCCUUAUUUGAGAAAAUGAAGACACUUCAAGUCAUUAUUUGAAAAUUUCCCCCAAUUCUAUAUAUAUGGUGUGUUUAUUGAAAAUUGGGUUUUUACUGCAAUUUUUGGCACAAUAUACCUUUAAUUUUGAAUAACUAUUUGACAAUAAAAAAAUUCCUUGUUGAUAAGAAAUUUUAAAUACCAAAUAUCCUCCUUUCCAUUUUUUCAUAAAUUAACUCGGGGCAUACAUAGAGAAAUCCUCAAUAAUUUCAAGUUUUAAGAUUAAAUAAAUCAUUGAGUCUCUGUCAUGUCAUUCAUCUUCCAACAAGUACUCCCUAUAGGAAGUUUCACUUUUGUUUCUUGCAACUUAAAUUCUUAAAAAAUAUAUAUUUUUUCAAUUUUUGAGGUCUAUUAAUGAAAAAUUUGCCUAAUUUCAUUUUCGGUCAUCAAUAUAACAUCAAUAAAUAUCAUGAUAAAUGAAUUUCCUCUCCUUGAAGUAAAUAGGGAAUAAUAUAUAAAAAAAGUCAACAAUUGUUAACAUCCGAGAAAUUAAAAGGGGAAGAAGAACAACAACAAGAAGAAGAUCCGUUAGGUUUUCCAGUUCUUGCGUUUCGAGCAUUCGGUCACUCUGGGAGCGCAUGGAAACAUUUCUGCUCUUUUUUUGUUCCUGGGAACAGAAAGAAAAAAAAGUGUUUCUGUUCCGGAGAACAGUUUUUGAACAAAAGAACGCGUUUAGUAAGUGUAAAAAAAAACUGUUCUUGAAAUAAAAAAAAGAACAGAAACACGUUUGGUAACUGCAGUCAAUUUUUGUUCUUAGAAUAGAAAAAGAACAUAAACAUGUUUGGUAAACGACAAAAAUGUUGAACUAACUUGUGUAAAACAGAUCAUACGUUGCAUUUUGAGCUACAAGAAAUACAUAGUAAUGCUACAUAUAGAAUGCAACCAUGAAAUUCAGCCAACAUAAGGCAGCAUUACCCUUAGUUAUUACCUUCUUACGAUGCCACACAACCACGCUGCGGCCCGACUUCGGCUGGUUCUCCCCCUUGGUGGUGAAAUCGUCGUUGAACGCCCUCGCCACGUGCUUCACCAGCCUGUCCAUACCACAUCACCAUGAGCAACAAAACAACAAUCGAAGGAAACCCCAAUCCAAUCGAUGAACUGAAAUUCCCCCCUUCCAAAACUGAAUCAAGCAACAACACAACAUCACUUGAAGAUCCUGCGGAAUCGAAGGAUCCACCUGGCUGCUGCUCGAGCGAGUUGGCUGCUGCUCGAGCAGCAGUUGGAGCUGUUGCGCGAGCAGCAGCUCCAGCAGCUCCAGUCGAGCUGCAGCUCUAGUGGAACUGCAGCUCCAGCAGCUCCAGUCGAGCUGCAGCUCCAACUCGAGCAGCAGCUCGCUGGAGCUGCUGCUCGAGCAGCUCUAGUCGAGCUGCAGCUCCAGCAGCAGCUCCAGCUCGAGCAGAGCAGCAGCAGCUCCAGCUCGAGCAGCUGCUCGAGCGAGCUGCUGGCAGAGCUGGCAGAGCUGCUCUGCCGCUCGAGCUGCUAGCAGAGCUGCUCUGCCAGCUCGAGCUUGCAGAGAGCUCGCUCGAGCUGCUGGCAGAGCUGCUCUGCCAGCUCGAGCUUGCAGAGAGCUCGCUCGAGCUGCUGCUCGAGCUGGCAGAGAGCUCGCUCGAAGCAGCUCGAGCGAGCAGGCGUCCCAGAUCUGCCGCAGAUCUGGGCGAGCACACUCGCUUGAGGCUCGAGCGAGCAGCCGUCCCAGAUCUGCCGCAGAUCUGGGCGAGCAACGCUCGCUUGAGGCUCGAGUGAGCCAUCCCAGAUCUGCCUCGCCGAAGCCCAUCGUCGACCGGAGAAGGAGGAGAACCAGAAAACCUACCUGGAUUCGGAGCUUCAGCCGGUGGAGUCGCCGGAGUGAGUCGCCGGAGAGACGAGGCCGAGUGGGAGUCGCCGGAGAGAAGGGAGACACGCCGGAAAGUUGCCGGAGACAGCCGGUGCGUCGGCGUCGUUCUUCGCCGGAGCGUUGGCCGAGUGAGGAGUCGCCGGAGAAGGAGGACGAACGAAGGAGAGCACGAACGAACGAAGUGUUCCCGUUUCGUUUUUUUGUUCUUUUCAUUUUUGUUCCUUUCGAGCGUCCAAGAAGUGUUUCUCAAGGCCAAACAACAAUUUGUUGUUUCUUUUUUUUGUUUCUAUUUUGUUCCGAGAACCAAAAAACAAAAAAAGAACAGAAACCCAACUAAACGCGUUUCUAUUCUUUUUUUUUGUUCCCGGAAACAAAAUCCGUACAAAAGUGUUCCAGAAACACUUCUUUGGAGCGUUUCCAUGCACGCCCUCUCUAUUUCUUCUUCUUCUUCUUCUUCUUCUUCUUCUUCUUCUUCUCUCUCUCUCUCUCUCUCUCUCUCUCUCUCUCCAACCCUCGAGCCGAGCUACACCGCCGUAUUGCGGCCUCCGACCGCCGCCGCCGCCAGGCCACCUUGGUGUUCGGCAGCAGUGCCGCCCCUCUCUCCGCCUCGUCCGAAACACCCUCCCCGAAACCCUUAGGUCCCUCGCUUCGGUUCUCCAGGAUUGCUCGAAGAUGGACGAGGACCAGGAGACGGAGAGGUUCGGGAUGGACAACGAUUACGACGACGGGCAGUGGAUCCACGGGGAGUUCUACUACCGUCGGCGGAGGGAGAAGCGCGCCCAGACCAAGGACGACGUGCUCUACGGCGUCUUCAUGUCGGGGGACUCCGAUUUGGACUACAACGACUCCUCCAAGAGGAAGUGGAGGAAGAAUAGGGACCUCCUAGGUAAGGCCGACCUGUCGAAGCCCGUGAAUUUCGUGUCCACCGGCACGGUCAUGCCGAACAGAGAGAUUGACGAGAACACGGAGAGAGAGAAUGAGGAUGAAGAAUCCGCUGUCGUGGAUGAGGAUAGGCCGGGCUUGGGGGUCUUGAGAAGAACCAACAAGGGAUUGUGACAUUCAUUGAAGCAAAGUUGCGUCCUAGGGAUAUGGGUGUGGGUUUCAACGACUUACGAGGAAACUCUUGCAAAGGCACCUGUUGCCUUGUUGGGGCCAGAGGAAUAGAAGCCAUCACCUGACGUGCCCGGUAAGGAGAAGCUUUGGUCUAAGCAAGCGAAGAAGGCAACGCUGAAAAAACAAAGUGAAGUAUAUUACGGCAGAAGAGCUGUUGGCGAAAGAAGCAGGAACAGGGCGUUGAAGUUGUGCAAAAGGUACUCAGACAUGCGCGGACCUCAGGUUAGGGUGUUAGCAAACUUGGAGAAUCUGAACACGGAAGAGAAGGCGAGUGAGAGUGAUGUUCAUAUGCCUGAGGUCCAGCACGAUAUAAGGUCGAUUGUGGACGUGGCUAAGUUGGAUAUUCAGAAGAUCGAUGUGGACCUGAGGAAGGAGAAGGAGACAGCUCUGAGCUUGCAAGAGGAAAAAGAGAAGCUGCAAGCUAAGGCAGAACUCCAGAAGAAACAAUUGAAUAAUCUAGCAACUGAGUUGUGCACAUGGAACAACGGAAGCACAAUCACAAUAGAGUCUGAUUCUGUUAGUUUGUACCCCACCUGAUGAUGCCAAAUUGCGCUGAGCUAUCAGCAUGCGAUUGGGGAGGGGUGACCCAUAGCGCCGGAGGUGUGCAAGAACAUAGCUACAUCCGAGGGAUCAUUGACGACUUUGGACAUCAAGUCGAGGCUCGGCUCUAUGUCGGUCAAAGAGAGAGUGAUUUUGGUAUCGGCAGAGUGAAGCAUGGCGGUUAGGUGGGGGAUGUUAAUCUUGGAAGCAGCGGAUUGAGCCCGUCGGUUUCCUUCUUGCGGUGUCAGUAGGAGCUUCGGUUCCGAGUCGGAAAGGUAGAACUUAAACUCCUUAGCUGCUUAGAUGGGGUUGGGCGGAGCUGCAGUGGCUCGGCAAUGGAUUACCGCCAGAAACAAGAUCACAAACUGCAAAACGAACACAUAUUUUCCAAUCAGCAAACUAUCAUACUAGUCCCUGCGGAUUGGAGAUACACACACAUGCAGAAUAUGCAGACAACUAGUUUGUCGACGUUUGAUUCCAUUAAAACCAUCCAUCUCCUUUAGAUAAGCUUUGACUCUUUUUUUUUUUUUUUACGAUGAAUCGAUGCUUGUACGUCCCAGAAAACAACCCUUGGACACGACAGAAAAUGCUCUUAAUGCUUUUCCCAAUUCAAUUUGUUCCUGUUCAAUUUGCACCACGCGCUCACAGAAAUUUCAUGCCUCAGAUGCAAUUUUUUUCAGUAGAAAUCGAUGCCAAUUCCUUUCUCUGUUCUCGAAGUACUGUAAAACUCCCAAGAAACCAUCUUCCUCUUUCUUUUCCAAGCUAUUUCCCAGUCGAUGUUUUGCAAGACAUCGAUCUCAUCAUUAGAAAUUCAUCGUCACCGCAAUCUUCCAGAUAUUGCAUUCUCGAAUUUAAACAGCAUCAUCCGUACUUGCGAACAGACCGAGAUGACACAGACGUACCUCGAUGUUGUUGAGGAAAGUGAGUGCGACGGUGUCGGUGCGAGGCAGUGAUGAGCGCGGUGGCAUGGUUGACAAGCUCCUGCAGCUGCAUGUGUGUCAGGUCGAGCUCCUCGCAGGCGGAGACGGCUCUCUUGUUGGGGAAAUCCGACAUUGCCUUCUUCAAUAGGUCCGUGAGCAUAAGUUCUCCCAUUGCUAACCACAGGGAACGAAUCAACGGCAAUUGGCUUCAGCUGAAACCAAUCCUCGAUCGAACUGAAGAGGGGCACCACAAUCGCUUAGCGAGACAAGAAUGAAGGAUCGACAAGAACAGGAAUUCGCACGUAUGCAUAUGAGAUGGAAAUGAGACCAGAGGGAGGGAGGGAAGGAAGUUGAUGCAAUCGAGGUGGCUCCGCGGCCAGUGCGAGCUCGGUUAAGGUGGCGACGGAGACUUAACGGAUCAAAGGCUGUAACUAGUCUCACUAAUGUCUUCGCAAGAAAAUGUUUCAAUAAACUAAGAUAGCCAUGUAAUCAAUACAUUUGUCCAUUCAGUGGACGACAAGUGGCACUAUGGGGGCCCGCUCUAUCAGCAAGUCUGCAAGUCCAUUCUGCACGACAAAACAAAUGUCGUCCAAGUUUGAGAUAAAAAAUGAAAACCGCAGCAUCAGAAAAGGUCAUAACCAAAGGAUUAAAAUCCAUUCCAAGUUUGGGACAAUGGCGAUUCUUGCACAGAUUGUAUAAAUGCAAAGAUCAAUGGCGAUUCUGACAGUCCAUUCUUUGCACGCACACACGCAGAUCUCCUGCUCCUUCACAACAGAAUACACAUUCAAAACUCGAUUAUGUUCAUACAGAACACCUUUAACUCAAACCAGAGGAAUCAGCAAGCCACGAGACAGCAAUUUUCAUGUCAUACGCCGAGCAUACGAGGCGAGAAUACUAACACUAUUUGACAAAUGAGCAUCCUAUUCUGACAAAGUCGGCCAUAAUAAGUAUUCAAAAAGUUGAGAACAAAUCGAAUUUAUGUAAUAUGAUUUUGCGGUUCGAGAAUUGAAUCGAAUUUACAUACUGAUCUAGUUCGAGCAUUUUAUCAAACAAGUAAUGUGCAUUUUAACCAAUGAGCUCAUACGCCAAUACACAGCAAGGAUUUACUUUCAGAUCAUCACGAAAAUAACAGCACAAGUCCGAGUUGUUAAAUAAAGCUUCAAUCUCAACUGAUUUACUCACAGACAUUAGCUAAAGCUAACCGGCUCUGUUUCGUUUAUGAGCAGCAGAAACAGAGUGCGUGGGAUUUACCUUGAUGAGAGUGAGUUUUUCACUUCGGUCCGUGAUCAGAUCGGAGAAAAGUUACUGGAGCUCUCCACGUUUGGGCGGCGUGACCAGAAAACAGAGCAGAAGGAGAGGAGGCCUUGCGGCAACGGAACCGGCAAUGGUGGAGCCGCUACAGCGGCGUUUCGAGCGUGUCGAAAGGACAAUGGAAAAGGAGAACCGAUGAAGGAUCCUCUAGAAUUCCGAAGAGAGAUGGUUUCUUCGUGAGCUUCAGUGUGUGCGUUCUAUCGUGUCAUCUCUGAGCCUGUGGUGGCCGUCGAUGGUGGUGCGACGGUGGCUGUGGUGAUUGUAGAUGGCGGACGGUGGUCUGGGCUGCGCCUUCUGGAUAAGGUCUGGGCUAGACGAAUUAAACCAGGCCCAACAAACCGGACCAGCUCCUUUCGAUUAUGAUUUUUUUUUUCUUUCAUUUCUUUCUUCGUUUGUUAUUUAUUUUUAAUAUUAUUUUUACUUUUUAUUUAUUUAUAUUUACCCAAAUGCAUGUUCGAAUUGUUGGCAAAAAUUCAUGAGUCGAUAGGAGCAAUAUUCCAUCAUUUGGCCUAUGAACAACUUCACACCAAACUCAAUUACAAUUCAUUGUUUGUGCAAUAUUGCGACAUUAUUCCCUUAAAGAUUAGUCCUUGUACUUAACUCUUCCAUCCAUGAGUUGAAUUUGAGCGCCGAUAGCAUGGCUGCACUUGUACUUGAGUUGAUUUCUUGUAGAAUCGAUGCACACAGUACAGUUUGCAUCUUGAAGCGCACUUCGCACGUUCCGUGCACGCAACACAUCGCGAUAGAAUCAUCAUACUCCUGUAGUAGUUGUACCCAUGACUCGCCAUCUUAGUUAAUCAUCAUAUGGGUGAUGCGUGUACUUUUAAGAUUGCCACUUUAUCUGUGUUCUUAGCACGUAUCUCAGUAUUGAUUUGUGCAAGUGCGUGGCACAUAUUCCGUCCAUGGUCUCCUCUGUUGAAUACUCUUGGCCAAGAGAUUACAAUGUCCUCUUUUGACUAACAUCCUCGUCUGUGCUUUGUCGUAUACGGUUUGUUAGGCAUUUAUACAGGUUCGAUACUUUUUGUGAUCAAGAACAGUACAUUCCAUCCUAUAACAUCAAUGAUCUUGUGGGAUUGUGACGAACAUCACAUCAGGUCCAUUUUCACAUUCUUGUUCUAUCGCCCUUCGCCCGCCACUUGUAUCCGGCAAACUCAAUAAGAUAGCUCCACCACCCGUCAUUUCUCCGGCCUGCCAGAAUUUCUUCCAAUUUCCGUGUCUUGUUGCGCGCGAAUCAGUUGAAGUCGGAAGACGGUUUCGUAAAAAUCUCCCUUCUCAAUCUUCAUCGUCGUCUUCUUCUUCAGCUAGGGCUUUGUUUUCAAAUUCGUCCCAUGUUCGAGGUUGUCUUAUGUUUUAUUUUAUUUUUGUUAUGUUUUUCCACUCGCGCCAGUGACUUCAGAUCAUGGUAGGCUGCCUUAGAGUGUCAAAAGGAAAAGUUCCGAAACUAGCUGAAAAGGACGAGGAUUGAGAGUGUAUAUAUGGGUCUUUCUUUAUCAAACUGGCUGUUUGAAAAUGCGGAUGAGCAGACCACUCCUUGUGGCUUCAUCAAGAAACAUCUUCAUGACAGCAAAGUAGUUGCCACUCUUCAGGCAUUUAGACAGAUCGCGGCCGGAGAAGUUAAGGAGCUAUGUGCACGUGGCAAUAAUAUCACGUCAAGUGUAGAUGUCUGCAUGUUUUGAGCUCGUCGAUGGAGAUGAUAUCGUGUUCAAAGUCUCAAUUUUCGGCCCUGUGGGUGCGUACCCGAAUUUAUUUGGGCAAAUCAACUGAAUCUUGAUAUGCAUGGCCAAGCAAUUUUCAAUCUACGCUACAACUUUUCAUAGUUAGUCAAUUUAAGAAACUUUCACGCCAAUGUCUUCUAAAUUCCUCAUCGUUUAAUUGGGAGAAAAGGUUAAUCAACCGAAGCUUGAUCCCUAUCUCUACCAGUUUUGGAUCUAAGUGCAACUUGGUCUCCUUGUCAUGCAAUCCCCAUCGCUAUUGACCUCCAAGAACCACAUCUGUCACUAGACAUUGGACGAUGCAGGAACGUUAUUGGAGGGGCUUAUGACAUCUCAAAGUCAGAAAAUCGGAUGGGAGAGAGAGAUUUCAAGAUAAAUAUCCUUGUCUGAAUGAUCAUCACAUUAUGCAGUUACUCAAAGUGUUAUUUUUUAGAGUGGAUCAGAUGGUUAAACCAUUAAACGGUAAUACGGACAUCCAACCAAUCAAGUUUUAAAAAAGACUGAAAUUGGAGAAAAGGAAGGUAGUUUUAAUAAAUAAAGAGGCAAAGGUUUCGGAAAAUAGCAAAAAGUGGAUAAAGUAGCUGAAGAAGGUCCUACAAACGCUCUCUGCCCGAUCGAAUGCCAUUGCUCACCCGCUAGCAAGUGGACCAACUCUUCAUAGCUACAAAGGCUACGCGCUUGCACCCUCUCUCUUGGAAAAGUGGGCUCUUGUGAGCACCACAUGCACCUGAGUCCCCAACUAGCCAGGUUGGAAGAGGAAAAUUAAACACAAACGUUUUGAAAAAGCCUUUUUCUUAAAAAUAAUUGAUUAUAUCUCAAAUAAUCAGUCAAAAAAAUGUUUUAUUACAAAUAACAAUUUAAUCAUUUUCAUUUAUUCAAUUUUGCAAGUGAUAAAAGCGAUUGUUUAUAGAGAAAUAUUUUUCAAAACAUAAAUUUUUCACAAAACAAAUGAAUCAGUUUUCAUUAUUUUUAUUUAUUUAUUGCCAUCAAGUUCGUCUCACCAUUGACUAAUAAGUCAUAAUCUUACUUGACUCUAUCCUCUGAAACUUGAAAAAAAUACAAUAUUAAUACCCCAAAACUCCGGCAACUUUUUAAAAGCCCACUAACGAUAAUGUUACGAAAGAAAUUGGUAUAGCCUUUUCAUUUCCAGUAUGUUUCAUCUACAAAAUUGCAACACCGAAAUCUAAUUCCCGAAGUAAAUUGAGAGAUUCAUGCGGUCGCAUUGAUGACAAGCAUGCAGUGUAUCCGAUCCUUUGUAGUUCUUGAACUGCAACAAUUUGGUAUAGUAGAAUGAGGAAUAUUGUCUCUCUAAUAAACAUGAAGAAAAGCAAACCCAAAUAAUAAUUCAUUCAAGCCCUAGAGCACCAGAGCACGUAAUUAACAAAUUGAAUUCAACACAACUGACUAAUUACCCUUGUUGCCAAACGGAAUAACAAUUUAGAGGAUAGUGGUUAAGCUAUACAACAAUAGGUCACCCAUCAAAUUUUAUGAGGGCAAAGAGUGUCAUUGAAUAGCAAAAGCAAUUGCUAAUUUACUAUUUCGUAACGAGACGAGCAUGUCCAUAAUCUGCCAAUGAUUGCUUACCCUUUCAGACAAAAUAAGGUAGGAAAAACGACGAGGGAGGCAUGAAGCUUUCUGAGGCUAAUACAUUAGCCUCAAAAAGCUUCACGCAAAUUAUCCACCCCUUGACGACAACGCAUACAAAUAAUGCAACACACUGCAUGUAAAAAUAAGCUGACUGCAAAUCUGAAAAAAGCAGUGGAUUAGGACGAACUUGGUAGGAGGGACAUAUCGGAUACGUUAGACAGUUCAUGAGAACCUCUCAUUUCGCACGCCAAGGAUGAUUCUCACGUCCGAUAGAUCCUGAGGGUGAUGAGCGAUCUAAUGAGGCAAGAUCCAGUAAAGCUUCCUCUCGGUGGGAUGGCGACGUCUUCACAGGGGUUGGGAGUGUUGGGCACUAAAUCUUGCUACAGCUCUUCUUGAAACUAUAGGGACUGAUAUAUCGCCACAGCCGACACGCAGCAUAGCAAAAUUAAAUGUCGUAAAAUCCAUGACAAGCCUGAGGCCAUAGAAAGCAGCGUUGACUUCAACUCCAGCGAAACCAGCCUCUGUGAUUGCAGAAUCAACAACCCUCUCAGGUCCAUACUUCUAAAAAGAAAAGAAGCUUUAGACACAUUGAAAGACUCUAGGAUAUGCAAACAUUUCCUCAUCAAACGCAGCAUUCAUGGCCUCUCUCACAAUCAUCUCUUUCCCAUAGUAUCAUAACUACGUAACGGCAUUUCUGCAGCACAACUCUUCCGUGGCCUUUCUCUUGACAACAUAGCAUCCGAGCCUCCGGCAUUGGCUUUUCGUAUUAGAAUCGAUAACAUCAUGCGCUCUUGAACUCUCUCUCUCUCUCUCUCUCUCUCUCUCUCUCUCUCUCUCUCUCUCUCUCGGACGGGUAUCCUUGGAAACAAAGUCCAGCUUCGUCAUUCCAUCGAACACCUUCCUUGCAAACUCGAUUCCCUCCUCCACAGCACAACCAACGGCAAUUGAAUUUCAGAAGACAGCGAGAGAAUUGGGAGAAAAAACAAGAUCGAAACAGAAAUCAACAGACAAAUCUGGAACGAAUCGAAAUUCAUUCUAGAGUUCAACGGGAGACGACGAAUUUCGUCAUCGCUUCAAUGUCACGAGGAACCGGCUGUCUCUGAAGAUCUCUCGAAGCAGCGAUCGUAAGAGAUUCCAGUUGACAGGCUCACUCCCUCAUGGUUUCGUAGAGAGAGAAAGAGAGAGAUUCUUCUCUGAAUUUUGGACAACUUGUUCUUUUCUCCUCUCUCUCCUUUCUUUUAUUUGCACUUUUGUUAUUUCUUUUUAUUUUGUUUUGUGUCUUUGAUUUGUAUUUUAUAAUAACAAAAGUACAAAUAAAAUUCAGCUUCUUCAAUGAAGGAACUGAAUUUUAAUAUUUUAUCCCCUCUUUUCUUUUAUUUGUAUUUUUGUUUUUUGUUUUUUAUUUUAUACAUCUUUAAUUUGCCGAUAAAACUAAUGAUACAGUCAAAAAGUUGAAGCUAUACUCCGAUACUGGAUGGGCAUCACUCUUUAAUUUGGCCAUAAGUGAAAUCCAUGCAAGUAGCACGUUCCAUCCAAGUACGCUAAUCCAACGAUGCAUGCUCCCUGGCCAAAGCAUUGGGCAUCACCAUAAGAACCACCGGCAUAGUGGUCUAAUCAUCGGGUCUCAAUGUCAGAUUUUCAAAAUAUCGUUCAGUUGCGCUCAAUUUAGGAAAUUUGGAUUUUAGUUAGAGCUGAGAUGGUCAUUAUUCGCUUCAUUUGUAAUUUAGAAAUAAUGUCUUAUUUUCCUUCUCACCAAGUCUCUUUCAUCUUUCAUUUUCCCCGAUCUCUCGUUCUCUCUUAUCUCAUGAUCAUCGAGUCGUCCAGUCCCCCACCAACCCGCCACCGCGCCACCUUCGAGCCCUGAGCCCUGCUACUCACCGUAUGCUCGAGAAAAUAUUGGGUACGUGAGACGCUCCAGCCUGUCAAACAAGAAGGCGUUCGGAGCGCGACACGUAUCCUCCCGUGGGACCCAUCAUCUUUAAAUAUUGGACGAGCAGGGCCACCAGAAACCUUUCCCUCCCGGUCAAAUUUGAAAAAUUCGGGGCGCUCUCUCUCUCUCUCUCCUCCCAAGAAAAUAUUAGCUGGGCCCCACGACAGAUCCUUCUCUCUUACAAUUAAUUUGAACGGAAGCGUUGGACUCUCUCUCUCUCCAUUUUUUCUUUCGACUCUCGCCCGGUUGCUCUGCCCUCCGCUUCUUCUCCGAUCGGACACGGAGCCGCCGGCCGACGAAUCACGCCACCGCCGCUGCUUCCGCAUCCGCCUCGUCGGCCGCCACUGCAUCUGAGCUAGAGCUAGUAUUUUCUCGUUCGUUCUGCCCCUUCGUCGCGCUGCUCCUCCGGCGAACGACGGAGCCCGCCGUCCGACGAACCACACCGCCGCACUUCCGCAUCCGCCUCUUCCGCCACCUCCGCAUCUGCAUUCUCCUCCGUCUUCAAUGGCGACCGGGCUCUUCCUCUCCCAGUCGCCGUCGAAGAAUCCGUACUCGAAAUCAACGUCCGGGCUGAUGCAGGGGAUGCGAGGGAGACGGAAGCGGGACCUCUUGGAUGCUCCGGGUCGAUGCAUCUUGACGUGGAAGACCAGGGUCUUGUCGAACGAGAGCUCGCGCUCCCCUUAGCGGAUAGGCAUCGAGCUGCGGUAGCCGCAACCGCCACCGAUGCCCUUGACAAAUCCAGCCACGGCGAGACGGAACUUGAUCACGAGGAGCCGCCUGAACGCCCCGCCUCUCCUCGGCCACAGCAGCGCAAGGCGGACCACGUCCCAAGCUCUGCGAGUGACGCCGGAGUCCCCGCUUGCCAUUUCCGAAUGCAGAACGUGUUACAGAGAUGGUGAGGACGGCGAAUCGCAAGCGAGCGGAAGCCCAACGCCGGAGUCCCCGCUUGCCAUUUCCGAAUGCAGAACGUGUUACAGAGACGGUGAGGACAGCGAAUCGCAAGCGAGCGGAAGCCCAACGCCGGAGUCCCCGCUUGCCUUUCCUGCUUUACCCAUCUCUCUCUGUUGGUCGGAGCGAGCUUGAGAUGCAUAACAAUGGAAGCUGCCGACAAGGCCACGGAGAAAGCAUUGGCCGAUUCCCUCUCGCGGGAAGUGAACCCUAUCUUUCUCUUUGUUUUUCUUUCUUUUUUCUUGUUGAACAAACGUGCGAAGCUCUCUGCAAAAGCAGUUGUCAUCACUGAAUUUCAAAUAGGCCUGCUAUGCAUGUAAAUGAAUUGCUUAAAUCCAUUGACCCAUUUGUGAUCAUUCAGUGAAUCAGGCUUUGGCUGGCGUUAGAGAUUAUAACUCCCUCAUUGCUUCCUUGUUUCUGCUCAAUUUUAAGAUCAAGGUUAUGUGGGUGAACGGUUCUUGCUCUGUUCCAGAGAAUACUUGCCUUGAUACCAGAAGUUGCUGCUUAUUAUGAUAUCAAAGAUUCUUGGAUUGUGUUUUGCUAUAAUGAUUUACAAUAUACUUCUAUUUGGCCAGAAAAUAUCGAUUUGAUUAUUGUAUCUUGGUAGACUGAAGCUGCUUUUCUUAGAUUGAUGUGCGAACUCCGAGCAAUAGGAAAAUACCGACUAGCACGGUUCAAACAAAUGAUGGUGUUGCCCACGGCAAUGUUCAUUGCUUGUGCAUAAUGGUGCCUUCAUUCUUUUAGGUCGAUAAUGCCGUGAGAAUAACUGAACAAGCCCCGCAAGCUCAUCACUGGAGACGACAAAAUGGCAAACAAUGCCAUAAUAGAUAAAACAAAAACAAAGCAUAUUGAAAGGGCAACCAUAUAUGCCAAAUUCUAAAAGGUUGGUAAGUUAGACUAACAAUGUUGGUAAAUUAUAAGAGAAGCCGGUAAGUUCAGAGCGAGCAAAUGAACAUCAAGCUAGAAAAGUUUUUAGAAAAGUCAAGUUGGUAAGUUAGACAAACAAUGUUGGCAAAUUAUAAACGGGUUCAACAAGUGACAAAAGUUUUUAAAAAAUAUACCAACACGGAAGAGCAUUCUAUACUUUGUGUACCAUAAAGCUAGAAAUCAGCAAAAAGUAAACGAACAGCAUCAACAAAAUUGCAAUAUUAUUAUUGAUGAUUGUUUCAGAAAACAACACAUUUCUUCGAACUUAGGGACUUAGCUACACGCUUUCUCUUCCAGAUCCAAAGGACUUAACAAUUCCUAGUUUUAUUUUUUCAUCGAGAUCCCCAUGAUCGAGUUCAGACCUCGGUUACAGACGAAUAAAGAAGAAUGCAGAGAGCCAAACAGUGCUCCAUGAAACAGAAGGAAGUCUAGGUCGACGAUUUCCCGUCUCUCGGGGGCUUGUCUGCAUACCUCCACGAGUAACAAGAGAACCCUUCUUGAAUGCUGCCACCGACGACCUCCUCGAUCGGCAUAGCAUCCGCUAUCUCUCUCACAUCAUCCUCUACAAGAUGGAGUUCACUUCCCGCGAGAGGGAAUCGGCCAAUGCUUUCUCCGUGGCCUUGUCGGCAGCUUCCAUUGCUAUGCAUCUCAAGCUCGCUCCGACCAACAGAGAGAGAUGGGUAAAGCAGGAAAGGCAAGCGGGGACUCCGGCGUUGGGCUUCCGCUUGCUUGCGAUUCGCCGUCCUCACCGUCUCUGUAACACGUUCUGCAUUCGGAAAUGGCAAGCGGGGACUCCGGCGUCACCCGCAGAGCUUGGGACGUGGUCCGCCUUGCGCUGCUGUGGCCGAGGAGAGGCGGGGCGUUCAAGCGGCUCCUCGCGGUCAAGUUCCGUCUCGCCGUGGCUGGAUUCGUCAAGAGCAUCGGUGGCGGUUGCGGCUACCGCAGCUCGAUGCCUAUCCGCUAAGGGGAGCGCGAGCUCUCGUUCGACAAGACCCUAGUCUUCCACGUCAAGAUGCAUCGACCCGGAGCAUCCAAGAGGUCCCGCUUCCGUCUCCCUCGCAUCCCCUGCAUCAGCCCGGACGUUGAUUUCGAGUACGGAUUCUUCGACGGCGACUGGGAGAGGAAGAGCCCGGUCGCCAUUGAAGACGGAGGAGAAUGCAGAUGCGGAGGUGGUGGAAGAGGCGGAUGCGGAAGUGCGGCGGCGUGGUUCGUCGGACGGCGGGCUCCGUCGUUCGCCGGAGGAGCAGCGCGACGAAGGGGCAGAACAAACGAGAAAAUACUAGCUCUAGCUCAGAUGCAGUGGCGGCCGACGAGGCGGAUGCGGAAGCAGCGGCGGUGGCGUGAUUCGUCGGCCGGCGGCUCCGUGUCCGAUCGGAGAAGAAGCGGAGGGCAGAGCAACCGGGCGAGAGUCGAAAGAAAAAAUGGAGAGAGAGAGUCCAACGCUUCCGUUCAAAUUAAUUGUAAGAGAGAAGGAUCUGUCGUGGGGCCCAGCUAAUAUUUUCUUGGGAGGAGAGAGAGAGAGAGAGUGCCCCGAAUUUUUCAAAUUUGACCGGGAGGGAAAGGUUUCUGGUGGCCCUGCUCGUCCAAUAUUUAAAGAUGAUGGGUCCCACGGGAGGAUACGUGUCGCGCUCCGAACGCCUUCUUGUUUGACAGGCUGGAGCGUCUCACGUACCCAAUAUUUUCUCGAGCAUACUCUCUCUCUCUCUCUCAGUCUUUCUUCUCGUGUCUCGCCCACAUGUCAGCGAGUUACAAAGCGAGUGAUGGGACGGACUCGCUUUUUUGCUCGUGUCAGGGUCUCCCUCCCGCUCCCCCUCUCUCCAGCAAGUGGCAAAACAGGUUUUUACUAGCCUGUUCUGAUGUCUAGGGGUGAGCGGUUCCCAGUUCCUUACAGGUUUCAGGUUCCAAGCGGAACCUGGAACCUACCCUCGAGUACAGGUUCUUCAUUUUUUGGAACAUGAAACUUACCCGUCAGAACCAAGAACCUGGAACCUACCCUGUCACAGGUUCCGGGAUCGGUUCCAAGUUCCAAUAGGUUUUUUUUUUUUUUUUUCAUUUUUAGUUUAAGAAAAAUGGAAAUGAAUGCAGCAAUAAUAAACAAACUUGUCAUUCAUCUAAGAUAGGACAAUAAAAGGAGGAAAAUAACAGAUGAUGAAAGUGCUUUGAUGGAAGCAAGUUCAUCAGAUUUGAUUGAACAACGCAUAAACAAAUUUCAUGAAUUUAGAUGCCCAUAACCUCAAGCUAUAGACUAACUGACCAAGCAACGGAAGCAGUAUUAGUAGAAUGGACAAGAGAGCUUCAACAGCCUGAUUUCUAUUCAAUGAAAAAAUGUCACUAUCCAACAAAGUACAUACAGAUGCGCCUCUUGCUGAGAAUCAUCAGUUCCCCAUAUAUAUUCCACAAACUGACUUCCCUACUUUUCAAAAAGGAAGAACAAAGCAACAAUAAUUCAGGAAGCCGAUUGGGCGUAUGAACCCUCAUCAAGCACCCUUUACGUUGAUAUUACAAUGGAGAUUGGGUAAACUUGAAUGUUAGCUCUACAAUUGGAAGAAACGGUGUACAGCAGAAUGAAUUCAAAAUAAAAAAGUUAAUUACCUCUGGCAUAUCAUUAGGACAGCCAAACUUAUGACAUCCGUCCACAUACCCUGCAAAGAGGCCGGUAUCAUUCGUCUCUCAGCUUUGAAGUCAGAAACUGGAUAUUCAAGAAACUAUCAACGCUCUUUUCCUGGAUUUGAUGAACCGGCAUGUAUGGAUAUGCCCUCUCCCGGCUUUAGCUCUACUUGACAUAUAGCACACAUGAACAGCCUAAACAUGUUGCAUAGGGGGUAUUUUGUAUCUAGUCUGCAUUUUACAAGCAUUUCUCAGUCAAAGAAACAUUGAUACGUCAUGCAAUCACAGUUAGGCAUACAAGAGUGGUCCACCAAAUUACUGUAAAAAAAGAUCCAUUGUUGUGACUGAAAGUGGAGGUUAAGAUGUAGACCUUUAUGAGAGCAUUGCGGAUCCGUCCUCAUAUAACUCCUCCACUACAUCUGGCUCAAUAUAUUCUUGAUCAAUCUGAGAAGAUGAUUCGGAUGACUUUUUACGAAACAUUGACUUGAAUACUCCUUUUCCUGGCUUCUUUGGUGGUGGCAAAGAAGCCAUUGGUUUAUCUUGCGGUAAUAUAUCAAUAACAAUGCAUGUUGUAUCAUCUCGAAGUCUUUUUUCAUGUAAAGCUUCCUGUAAUAAAAGAGGCCGUGAGUUUACAUCUAAUAUAAAGUACAUCAAGCUACGUCAUGUACCAGAUACAAUUUCACCACACAAUAUUUACCACAAACAAAUUAAAUGUUAUCCUAUUAAGUAGGGUUAGCCAUAUGAAUUCUUCCAAUGCCAUUGCACUUUGUGUCAAGACUUCCAUAAGAUCUAAGUGGUCCACAUCUUUUCUUAUAAUCUCCUUCCUACGUCUUCCCUCUUCCCAUUUAACUAGAGUCUUCAUCUCAUACCCACAUCUCCUCACUGGAGCAUCUGAAGGCUUCCCGUUUCAAACAUAUAAGCCUUGUCUAGGUUGUCUCUUCCUCUCCUCCUGAGCAUGAACAAGAGAAUGCAAACUACUCUUGUAGCAGGCGUGCCACAUAUUCCAUGUCUUUCAGUGAACAUCUCUUUCCACCAAUGUUGGUAGGUACUUAAGGUUAAAGCUGCAUUCACGAGGGAAGAAAUAUUCAAGAAUGUUUUGCUCUCCUUUAAACAGCUUAUGAGAAAUGAACCUAUUAGGGAUAGAACAUUGCAUAAAGGGGACUAUAUCAACCAAAAUCAAACAUUUAAAGCACAAUUCAUUACAGCAAAUAAGUAAUCAUCACUCCCAAACCAGGGUCCAUAAACCCCGAUGGAAUUACUCCUGUAUUGAGCUUACUAAAAGAGCACACCUCAACGGCAUAAGGACUAAAGACUUUCAGAAUUAUAAGAAAACAUCAUAUAUAUUGGCCAUCAGGUUAAAGAAACAAAAGAGACAGCAAAAUGGGGGCUUCUUCUCUGCACUUAUCCAGUAAAGUGCAACCAAGUAAGCACGUCACUGAAAGACAUUUUGUUUUCACAUGUUCUACUCAGAUUUCCAAAACAUCAAGCCCAACUAACUAAAAAACAACAACGAGUGUUAGACGAGCACCACGAAAAACAUAAGACUCUAAGCAAUGUUUCUAUUUCGAAGAUUAAAAGAAAAGACAAGGCAGAGCUGCGGCAUCGUGGGCUUUGGGGGCACGGCUUCGGGCGCGACUUCAAGUCACGGCGAAGGCAGAGCAGCGACGUCGCGGGCUGCAGGCGAGGUGCGGCAAAGGCAGCAGCGGGCCGAGCAGGAGCGACGUCGGGGCACGGCAGAGCAGCGGCGUCGCGGGCUACAGGCGAGGCGCAGCGAAGGCAGCAGCGGGCGGAGCAGGAGCGACGUCGGUGCGGGCUGCAGGCGAGGCGCGGCAGGGAUGCUAUUUGGUGGCGUCGAGCAGAGGGCGAAGAGAGAACAGACUCGUGGGUGAAGCAGCAGCCAGCAAGAGGAAGGAAGAAGAAGAAGAAGAAGAAGAAGAAGAAGAAGAAUGGGGGGUUUCGGCCGAGAGAGGAGGACAGAGGAGAGAGAGAAGAAAAGAAAAAAGUAGGGGUAGGGGGGCAGGAAGUGACGUGUGAGAAGGAAAAAGAAGAGAAAAGAAAGAGAGAGAAAAAAAAAAGAAAGGGGAAGGAGGGAAAAUCGAGGGGGAAAUCACGUGGGGGAAGGGGAGAAGGGGAGGUUUUGGGUUUUUUUUUUUUGAAUUUGACCGGUUCCGGUUCUUGUUCCAGGAACCGGAACCGGAACCGAGAACCGCCGGUUCCCAAGAAAAAGGAACUGGGAACCGGAACCGGCCACUUUAGAACCGGGAACCGAACCGGACCCUCCCGGUGCGGUUCCGGUUCCCGGUUCUACCCGGAACCACGCUCACCCCUACUGAUGUCUUCAAGGUUUUUGAAUUUAGGAUGUGUUAUUUGAAUUUCUCAUAGAGAGUUAAAGCAAAAACUAAAAUAAAAUAAACACAUUUUUUUUUUAAUUUCGGGCCGUGCCAAACCCUUGGAUCUGGGCCAUAUGGUAUGGCUUCAGUCCGGGCUAGGUCCUCAGUCACACGUUUUUGGAUUGACCCCCAAAAUAAAAGAAAGGUUUCGCUCCGGUCCUUUGGCCACAAGGCCUUUAUUGGCUUCCACAGCUAAUAGGCUAUGUAGCACGGACAUUCUCCGGAAGCCUUCGUGUCGUAUUCGACACUCCGACACAUAUCCGACACGCUCCGACACGUCCCGACACGCUCCGACACGCGAGUCCAGAAUUCCGACACGUGAUUCCGACACGCACGGGGUCAAUUUUAAAAAAUUUCUAAUACUUGAGAGAUCAAAAUAUAAAUAUACACUUUUGUAAUAAAAGAAGUAAUAAAAUUACUAUAAAUAUACACACAUGGGGUCAAUUUUUUUUUUCAGUUUUUUUUAGAAUUGUUUUAUUUUUUUUAAAGUCUUUUACUAUGAAAGAAGUAAUAAAAAAAUGCCAUAUAUGAUAAAUAAAUAAAUUUAAAAAAAUAUUAUUUCAGAAUUUUUCUUUAAACAAUGUUUUUUUCCUUUAAGUUUUGUGUAUUAUUGUAACAAAUUAAAAUAAUGAAUGAUAUUAUUUAAUAUUUUUCGUGUAAAUUAAUUCUAGGCUAUUAUUAUUAUUAUUAUUAUUAUUAUUAUUAUUAUUUAUGUAUUUAUAUAUAAAAAUAUAUUUAAUAUAUAACGUGUCGGAACGUGUCGAAAUUCUCUAUUUUUAAGAAAUGACGUGUCGGCGUGUCGUGUCGUGUCGUGUCGCGUGUCGCGUGUCCGUAUCGGUGCUAUAUAGCUAAUAGGUGGUCCAGCGAAUGACUGCGGAGCCGUUGGAGAUGAUAAGGGAUGCUAUUCUUCCAUAUCAGCUAACCUCACAAGUUUUCGGAGAACGGUUUGGUUUCGCCUCUUCUCUGUGUUUUUCCCCUUUCUGGGGUUCCUUUUUUCUCUCCCCUUUCUCUCAGCAUUGUGUAAUAUCAGCUCAUGCGAGCGAGCCAAUUGUGAGAAUUGCUUGUAAUUUUCUUGUUUUUUGUUUCUUUUCUUGGCAAAUGGAGCAACACCUAAAACUCCAAUCGCAUUUCAUUAAAUUGGGUAUCAUUAAUCCGGCCAAACCUACAACUUGAGGUGAGUUGUUUUCUUUCAUGACAAAGGCAGGAACACUAGCAUCUUACUAGUCGAAAGUUAAAAAGACUUUUAUCAAGAUACGAUAGUUGGAGCUAUAUAAUUCGUGAUAAAAUAUCGUGCUCUUCUAUUUCCUAUCGAUCGAGUGACAUGCAAAGACUAACAUAAUUUCUAAAAUAAAGGGUUUAUUGUUAUUAGCCCGUGAGAAGACCCAGGAAAAGGGCGAAACAAGAAUUGAAAACUUGUCAAAGAGGACAAAGGAAGAGCAAAUUCUUAUCUGGAUGUGGGGAAUCAUGACCAAAGGGGUUCUCAUCGUUGUCGUUAAUCGUUGGAGCCCCGCACUUGAUUAACGGCUCGAUCUCGGGUGCACGAAUCCGGAUCCAAGGCGAAAAGAGGGAAAGGGCCCCGUCCUGAGGAUGAUCGGGCGCGGGAGGAGGGAGGGAACACGGUAAAAGCGGUGGGGUGGCGGGGCAGGGGAGUGCACCGGCAGACUACUCCUGUUCAAUUUCGAUUGGGUUUGUGAGGUUAAUAAUAAUUCAGACGCACACUCAUUAAUGCCACAUUCCAAGCCUAAAUGAACUGAAAAGGACGUGCUUCUGGAUGUCCUUAUCCUUUCUCGUUAUGUUGUUCUUCAUUUUGAAUUUGAAAUUAAGGGUCAUGACCUAGUUAAAAUUAUGGGUUUUAUUUUUCCCACGGGGAACACCAAAGAGGUUCAUGAGAAAAUAUAAUGAGAAAUCUUCCAAUGGCCUGUGGAAUUGGAAAAAUGUGAUGAGAUGGUUUGGUUAUCAAACGGUUGGGAUGAAUUCGUAGAGCAUUACUCUAUCUGUGUGGGACAAUUUUUGGUCUUCAAAUCUGAAGUGGACUCCAUUUUCCAUGUAAUCAUAUUUGAUAAAAGCAAGUCCAAGAUAGAAUAUCCACCAAUAAAUGCCAAUGGGAGGAACCGACCCUCAGCAGUUGGGCAUUUGUCUGGUUGAAAGUGGAAGAUGCCGACGAUUUCCGUGAUGUUUCGGUCAAGCUUGAAGUCUAGGGGGAUGAAUUGCAUUCACCCAAGUGUCCUCGGCUUUGUAAGGCAAUGGAAUCUGAUCGGGUUUGUGAAGUUCAUGACGGUUCCUAUGCACACUCAUCAGCACAGAGUUUGCGAAGAGACGGAAGUUCGAACUCCUUAUCAUGAGAUUUUCAAGGUAUGAAUCUUAAUCUACGAGCUGGUUCUCCAUAUGAUUGUGUUCUCGUGUUUGAUUCCAAUUCCGUAUUCCGUAUAGGAACUCUCCAUGUGAUUUGGCUAAGAGAGGGAGCGUUAAAGCUAAUUCAACCUUGUAGGGCCCAUUUGGUUCACCUUUUGAGAAAUGCAUUUGCCAAAAUGCAAAUACCUUUAGGUGAAUAAGGUUUUCCGAAAUGCAAAUAUCGUUUGGUAAAAUUUGCAUUGAGAUACAGCUUUUGCCAAAAUAUCGUUUGGUAAAAUUUGCAUCUAUAAAUGACUUUUAUUAAAUUAAAAAAAACAUUUGUAUUUUUUUUUUGAAGUCCAGUCACCGGACCGCCGGAUCUGGCGGCUGAACCGCUGAAUCUAGUGACUGAAUGGCCGGAUCUGGCAGUGCGACCCUAGGCAACGCUCAGGCGCCUGAGGUCGCGCGACCCAGGCAACGGUCGCCUAAGGUGGCGCGACCUCGCCGGCGGUCGCCUAGGUCACGCGACCUCAGGUGACCGUCACCGAGAUUGAGCGGCCUUGGCGAUCGCCGCCUGAGGUCACGCGACCUCAGGCGGCUGCUUGGGUCGCAUGACCCAGGCGUCACCUGAGGCCCAGCUACAGUCGCCGGGGUCGGGCGACCCUUAGGUGGUACUCGCCAGAGCCUUGUCGACACACGCAACUCGAGUCGCCGACCUCCAGUCAGCUUCUUCCGAUGGUGUGCGGUGGUUUUGGAGAAGAUGAACAGUACCGGACUUGCAUUCCGGAGAUGCAACUUCCGAAAAGUACCUCCAGAGCUGCAUUGGGCUAAAGGCCCUUAAAGCCACUUAGAGAUGCAAUUGCAUCUCGCCAAAGUUAUUCAAAAAAACGAACCAAACACCUUUGCAUUUGGCCAAAGGACUUUCCAAAUGCCCAACCAAAUAGGGCCGUAGUGCUUAUCUAUCUCUAGCUUUCCCAUGUGUGCAUAUGUAUGUUUUAGGGGAUCUCAUAAAUGUCAAGCCAAUGGAAACAGGCCGAAUGAGUCAUAUCGGAUUUGAUUGUGCUGAAAUUGACAUUGGUGUGCAUAUAGGCCUCGAAAGCUAGACCAUUAGAAAGACCUAGAUCCAUCAAAUUGGGGUUGAUGUAUCAGGAGAUAUGAAUUUCACAUAAUAAGAAUAGCAUAUGCCUAAGCUUUCUUCAUGUUCUAAUUUGUGACUGUUGCAGAUAAACUGAAACAACUGGGCUUGCGCAGAGUUGUCAAAUCAUAUAGCAAAAUUAAACCCGACCACAUUGCGGUGAGGUGAAUAUAUCUAAAGAAAAGCAAUGUGGUAUGAUCCUCAUGACAAUGACAACACUUGAAUUUAAAUCACAGAGUCGCUAGACUAUAUUAGCUCUAGAUUGAUUGUGCAUCGGGUCAUUAAUUUCUGUUUUUAUCCUUGACAUGCUUUGAAAAGGAUCCUCGUACUGUCUUGGUGAGAAAUCGUUGGUUGUCUUCUUCUUUCUGAUGACAAAACUGCGGAACGUGCACUUGAGUAAAGAGUUCCCGAUCCAUUCCCAAAGAUGCACUUCAAGAAAAGCCUGUAGACUGUGGCUCUUAUAUAUCAGGACAAAUCGUGGCCGGUGAAGCGCAUUAGCCACGAACAUUAUGGAAAGUCAUCUAUUGGUUGGGCUACUUUCUCGAGAGAAACUUCUCUGAAGGAGUGAGGCUUGUGCAUGUUUGAGUUCUAUUAGAAGGGGCAACGUCGUGUUCAGAGUAUACAUCUUCAAGACCACUAGCCAGAGGUAGCUGAAAAAUCCUAUGCAAUAGGACACGGCAAAGGAAGCAUCACUUUAGCUCAGAAUUGCUUGGCUAAAAUCUGCUUCAAAUUUGACAAAUCAGAAAAAAGCAUGAGUUUUAUUCUAAUGAAUGGAAAGAUACCUUUAAUCGAUCCUAGUGUUACAGUCGCCAUGUGGGGAUGAGUCAUGAGUCAUGAGACGGAGGAAGCUAAUUGCUUCUAGUACAAGUCACACAACCUCAUUUCCUUACUCCUCCCAUAGUAGAUUUCCGUUGUCAUCCAACCACUCUUUAUACUUCAAAACACAAAAGGAAAUUUAUAUUCAUUUAAGCAAACAGAGAGAAUAAAAGGAUGUAAAAGCCAUCCUUCGAGUCUAUAUUAAUCAAAAUAUUUAGUGCUCUCUGGUGGUUUUUUUUUUUUUUUUUGAUCGGUCCUACUCUAACACUCACUCUCAAACUUUUGCCCUUACCUCCUUGCAGGGCGUGGGAGUCAAAACCCACUCCUGAAAUGAAAUCGUCCUCACCCCAAUCCCCCUUGAGAAGGUGGGGAUUUGAACUCCCAACCUCCCCCUUCCAAGUUGGAAUGGUGGCCAUUGGGGCGAACCCCCAAUGGUUCUCUCUGGUGGUUAAUACAUAGAUUUUGAUUAUAAUCGGACAUAUACUGAGCACAACUGAAGAAGAGUUCUAUAAGCCAGCAAUGACCUAAAAAAUAGUUCCACAAGAGGGCUCAACCUCCUCGACUUAUUAAAUGAAUCACAAGGCAAGGAAAAGAGAACUUGGGCAAUUAAUGGCAUUAAACGCAAUUAAUGCGAAUUAUGCAGAAAUUAUUAGAAUUAUAGUGAGCUGGGGCUUAGAUGGUGUUCCUUACUCUUGUCAAUUGACGAUGAUAAAGAAAAGUAAAUAACUUGUGUGAAAGUUACCGAAUCAUUUAAAAAUUUAGUGUCUUUAAAACUUACAAAAUUUAUUAAUCAGAUAAAAAAAAUUUACAAAAAAAUUUUACAAAUUAUCUAUGGUUACAAAUUACUUUCAAUCUGCAAAAUGUUACUUACAAAUUUGAAAAACUCUUUUAUGCAUGUGACACUCCAAAUUUCAUAUGGAUUAGAAGAGGGAUAAUUGACCAAUAGAUAAGUGUGAAUGCAAACCACCACCACUAGAUAUUCACCUCCCGAAAAACUUAUUUAGGGGCUUAGAUCAUAACAAAUCGGAUUGUUAAUAUUAGAAAAUUCCAUGCCUAACUUAUAGCUCGAACUUGCACAUUAAUUAAAGAUAUUUAACUUUUUCUAGCCGAGAGAAUGGACAAAUCUAGGCGAGCAAUUCUCUACUUGGUAUUUGGCUCAAAUAAAAGUUGUACUCUACAAUGCUAACCUAAGAAAAGUAUAUAAUUCUCUCAAAUUAAGAUAGGUAAUUUCGCACAAAAAUUGUUAAGCGUGAUUGUGGUUGGUGGAGGAGAAACACCUAUGUAGAUAAACCAAGAAAGCAAAUCUUCAUAAUACAAAAGUAAUUUAUACUAGCCAUUUAGCUUAAUUCUCCAAAAAAGCAUCAACUUUAACUGGAGUAUCAAUUUAGGCCUGACCCUUUUUUUUGUAAGGGAAAAGACCAUCAAAAAUCCCAAACUUUGCCUAAAGUGACAAAUUUACCCCAAACUUUUUUUUUUACGUGAAAAACCCCAAACUUUUCAAAUUGUGGCACAUUUACCCCAUCAAGGACAUUUUUGUCUUAUUUUUUAGGUUUUUCCUUUUUCUUUUUUUCUUCUUCUUCCCUUCGUUGGCCAUGGCGGAGGGAAGCUGGAGUCCGGCAAGGGCUGCCCUCGCCGGCGUUGGGCGAGGGUUGCCCUUGCCUAGGCUGGCUAGGGCCACCCUCGCCGGCGUCGGGUGAGGGCAGCCCUCAGCUGGGCUGGCCCAAUGCCAGUGAGGGCCUCCCUCGCCUGACGCUGGUGAGGGCACCCCUCACUCGAUGCAAGCGAGGGCCACCCUCGCCCGGCGCCGGUGAGGGCCGCCCUAACCAGCCCAGGAGGGGCGACCCUCACCCGACGUCGACAAGGGCAGCCCUCGUCGCACGCCAGCUUCCUUCCACCAACUCCGCUAUGGCCGACAAAGGGAAGAGAGAAGAAAAAAAAUUAAAAAUAAAAGACCAAAAUACCCUUUAGUUUAGGGUAAAUGUGUCAUGGUUGACAAAGUUCGGGGUUUUUCAUUUCACAAAAAAAAAAAUUUGGGUAAAUCUGUCACAGUUGGCAAAGUUCGGAAUUUUUCACGUCACAAAAAAAAAAGUUUGGGGUAAAUCUGGCACUUUAAACAAAGUUUAGGCUACAUUUAGUCGUUUGGAUAAGAUAAGAUAUGAAAUCCUGGGAUUUUUUUAUAUCCUGUCAAUUGUUUGGUGAAUCGCAGAAUUAAAAUCGGAUAUAUUCACAUUAUAUUAUAUACAUUUUUUAAAUAUAAAUGGCAUAUCAUUAUAAAUGAAACUAAAUAUUCAUAAACGAAGAUGGUGAAAAUCUCACGCAACACUAUUCCUUAAUUUAUUUUUAUUUUAUUUUUCCUCUUGUUUUAUAUUAUUUUCUUUAUUAUUUCUUUUUUCCCCUUUCAUCAUUCUUUAAUAAAAUUUUAUCAAGUAGUAAACUAUACUAACAUACAUAAAAUACAAAAAUACAUAAAAUAUAUAAUAAAUAUAAAUAUUUAAUUUAUAGAUUGAAUGUUUAUUAUAAGAUAGAAUUAAAGUUGAAUAUAUAAAUUAAAAUAAGAUUAAUUAAAAUAAAUUUCUAUUUUUUAUUUUUAAUUUCUUAAAUUAUAAUUCAAAUAUUAUUUAUAUUGAAAUAUAAUUUCAAUUUUGUUAAUUUAAUAAGUUUGAUAUUCGAGAAAAAUAACUUUCGUACUAUAGACAUUAGAAAUCCUAUCCACCUUUAUCCCAUCUCCCCCAUGGGAUAAUUUUCCUACAUAUAUUCCCCUUAUAUCUGACUUUAUCUUGUUUUGAGUGAGCACCAAGCGCAGGAUAUGAUAAAUCAUAUCUUAUCCUGAAUUUUAUCCUGUCUACCAAAUGCAGCCUUAAAGUUUUUCGUGAUUUUUCCCUUUUUGUAAUAAAAAAUCAUCAACUUCCAUGCCCAAAUCUAACCCCGCUUAACUUUCCGUCAACUAAUGGUGUUAAAUGUUUGAUGCGUCAAUUUCAAGUCAUUAUCUUUUCCCAAGUCAGAAUUUAUAUAUAUGAUGUCUUUCUUUUUCUUUUCUUUUUUUCUUUUGUCCUUUUUCUUUCUUCUUCUUCCUCUCACUGGACGACAGCCUGACCACCGUGAGUCAGCCGCACGAUCCAAUCAACGGCCCAGCCCUCCGUCCACCACCACCUCACCGCCGUCCUAGCCCUCUAUCCACCACCACCUCGCCACCUUCCACAACCCCAGCCGUCCAUCCUCGCUUCCGCCCUCGACCUCCGCUAAGAUUUUUGUUUUCCCCAACCUCUCGCCAUAUAUCUCCACCACUAGCGCCUCUACUCUUGGCCAAUGACCCCCUGGCUUCCGAUGUCCAGUAGCCCGGCCGCGGCUCGUCCUCGCCGUCGUCGAGCUCGAGUUCGGCCGGUGCUCUCGAGCCUCAAAUUUUGGGUCCAAGCUCAAGCGAGCCUUAGAUUCCAGAUAUGGGGAUCAGCUUGACCUCAGAUUUGUGUUGAUUAAGGUUGAGUAGGGUCGACGGUAGCCACAACUAGAUUUUUGGAGGUCAAUAUCCGUCCGUCCAUGGCUUUUCAAUCCGAGUCUGUGCAUGUUUCUUGACUCAAAAUGGGUGAAUCGGCAGAAAGUUCAGAUUUCUUUUGUUCAGAAUAAGAUCACGACCAGUUUUAUUUAAAAUAUAAGCAAAUAUAAAAUAAAAUAAAAUGCAAUGACAAAAGAGAAGCAUGGUGUAGUUUGUCACUUUUUUUUUUUUUGGGUAAGAGGUAAGAAUGUGUAGUUAGUCACUUUGGGCGCGUUUGGUAACGUUUCUGUUCAAAAAUUUAUUCCAAGGAACAUAAAUAGAAAAAACUAUUUUUGCUCCGGGAAACAAUUUUUGAAUAGAAGAAGGCGUUUGGUAAACUUGUUGCGGGAAUAAAAAAUGAACAGAAACACGUUCGGUAAAUUUGUGUUCUUUUUUUGUUUCUUUUAAUUUUUUAAUAUUUUUAUUUUAUUUUUUUUCUUUUUUCUUUUUUUCUUCUUUUGGCCGGUCGCCGACCUCAGCCAUGGCCGACGACCGAUCGACGAGGGCUGGCAGCCUCGCCCAGCCACGGCGAGGCUCACCGGCCCCCGGCGAGGGCCUCACCGGGCUCGCCUUGGCUGGGUGAGCUCGGGCUCGCCCAGAUCCGGCGAGCGCAAGCUCGCCCAGCCUUGCCCCGCUCCGACGAGGCUCGUCGUCACCUUGGCGGGGCGAGCUCGGGCUCGCCCAGAUCUAGCAAGCCCGAGCUCGCCCAGCCACCAGUGAGGCUCGGCCUCGCCGGGCCACCGCCAAGCCGGUAAGCCUCACCGGUGCGGGGCAAGGCUGGGCGAGCUCGGGCUCACCGGAUCUGGGCAAGCCCGAACCUCGCUAGGAGCUGGUGAUGCUCGGCCUCGCCGGGGGCUGGUGACGCUCUGGUGAGGUCACCGGCCCUCGACGGUGUCGCCGGCCUUGGCCGAGGCCUGCGAACGGGCAAAGAAAAAAGAAAAAGAAAAGAAGAAAAAGAGAGGAGAGAGAAAAAUUUGUUCUUAAAAAUUAUUCCAAAAACAAGAAAAGCGUUUUUCUUGUUUCUUUUUUUUGUUCCAAAUGUGUUCCUAGGAACAAAAAAGUAGAUUUGGAACAAAAACGCAAACAAAUACGUUUCUGUUCUUUUUUUGUUCCCUGGAACAAAAAAACAGAAAAUUUGUUCAUAAACAAAAAUAAAGAGCAUUAACAAACAAGGCCUUUGUCUUCAAGAAACUGAAAAUUAAAUUGGAAAUGGGCUAUGGAAUACAGAUUUAGCUCAUUCCACUGAAGAGUACAAAGAAAUGUGUGCAGACGGAGUAGAAGGCCGCCGAGAUAGGAGGUCUGGAUGCCGGGGUUCCAUCUGCGGUUGCCGCCGACAAAUGUGGUCGGUGGCAGCGGCGGAGGCCGGAGACACUACGGCGGCCACAAGGAGGAAGUGGAGGAUGACAGGGUGGGAUGAUGGUGGCCAUGGACGGAUAACCUUUAGGUAGCGAAAGGAAGAAGGAAGAUUAAAAAAAGAAUAAAAAAAGGAAAAGCUAUAUAUAAUUCUGAUUUGAGAAAAAAAAAUGAGUGGAAUUGACAAUUGAGACGUUUAAGGAUGCUCUUCGGACGGACAAAAAGUUAACAGAGGUCAGAUUUGGAUAUGAAGUCAAAGUUGGUGACUGUUUAUGAGAUACUAAAGAAAAAAAUAUUUGGGGCCAGAAUUGAGAUUUGAACUAAUUGGUGCUAUUUUGAGGAUUUAAUCCCUUGCUAUUUAGAAUAUUUGUUUUCGACUAUGUUUUAAAAAUGGUAGUGUCUAUAACAUGAUAACAACAUGAACAGUAAUAAGCAAGAGGAUGGAUUAGGGCAUGGCUAUUUCCGUAGCAGAAAAUGCUGCAGGCAGUCUUUCUAUUUGAAGAGAUGAUUCUGCCCCCACGGACGAGGACACUAACACCUACAAAACACGAACGGGGCGAGGGGGUUUCUAUUGGUGGGUUCCAUCAACAUUAAAUUUAUCUAUGUGAUGUAGAUGUUUCCGUAAUGGGUUCUCCAUUCUUUUCUUUUUCUUGAGUUUAAGCUUCCAUCAAUUAUCUGAAAAUGGAGGAGCUGGACUCAGAAAAACUUAUGAACUACUACCAAAUAAAAAAUUAUUGGAUGAUGAUUAAUAAUGUUUCAUUAUUUCAAUUUCAAAGAGUUUUGAUGGCUUAAAUCUUAUUUAUCAUAAAUUCUGUUUCUUUGCAAUCAAGAUUAUCUGUGAAGAACGAUGGAUUCAUGAGUUUGUGAUUAUGAAGGGUAUUUGCCUGCAAAAUUUCUUUCCUUGAAUCAAAAGGAGGGUUUAUCUGAUCCCUUCGUGCAUAGAGAAAGGUAGAUUCGUGCCCUCAAAUCUAGCGAGGCAUAUUUUUGCUUAUCAUUUUUGUAAAUCCAAUGAGAUUUUGUUAUAUAUGUGGGGUUGCAGGGGAGGUGAUUGAUUAUAUGCAUGAUCAAGUGACACAGAUCAUUGUUUACUUAUUUAUCCAUAAAAUCUCACACACACAAAUCGUUUAUCAACCAACAUGCAUGGCGGACUAGAUCAGGCUUUCUGUUGCAAAAUCAUUUCCUAAUUCUCUCCACUUGACUUUAGACCUAGCAGGAGGGCUUGAGAGAAUGUGAGUGAGUAUUCACGCUUAUAAUCAAGUUUACUUAACACGAAUCCAUUGGCUUGAUGGGAUUAUUUGUAUAAGUUUAGUUACUGUAUGGAGAUGCUCGAGUUAUAUAUUAGAGAAGUAUCUGCAUCGUCUACGUGAAAAAAUUUUGAGGCUCAUUCCGUCAUAGCACUAAAUAUCUAAGUCCAUAUGAAAACAGAAAUCUGCUAUAGAAAAAGAUAUCUGCCUCUUUCUACUAGGCUUAAACUCGUGUCCGGUUUCAUACAUCGGUCCAAAGCCCAAGCACCAAAUCGGUCCGUAGGGUCUAGCCCUCAACAUAAGCUAAGGUGAGCUCGUUCCUAAAACAUCCUAUCUUCUAGGCAUUAUUUGACGAUGUUAAGCCCAAAGGAGCAAUUAAUCCAAAAGGAAGACUUUCCCUGCUUGAGGAGCAAAGCUUCCCGCAUCUCGUAUGCUCUGAAUUUGAUUAUGCUUAUCAUUGUUUGUUGGGUGUAAAAUUUUCUUUUCAGAAAUUAUACUUUCCGACACAAAUUAUGCACCAACUUCACAUACAAAAUCAAUUGGAGAAUACAUAUCUACAAAAUUAUACAAUAACUGCUUUUUUCUAAGAUUGAUACACAACACUCUAAUAGCUAAAAAGGACUUCUCCUUGUUUCAAGAAUUAGAUUUGCAACGUUCUCUAGAAAAAAAAACACAUAAAUAAUGUGGCCACUUAGGCUUUACCUGAGCUAAUAUUAUGCACUACUAACUAAAUAGAUUACUCAAAUGAAAAUAUUCUUACAUGUAGUAAUUCCAAAAAAUCUUGACUAGACCUCAGAAUUUAAAUUAGGGGCAUGUAAAUCGCCAAAUAUGAUGAGUGUUAUAGGAUCAACGGCUGUGAUUCAUGUGAUGAGUCCGUGUAAGAAUUUGUCAUUCCAAGCGGGGAGGACAGACACUCCUGCGAUCUUACAUGGGGAUCCUAGAAAAGGAUCCUAGAAAAGGAAAAAGCGACGCGAGUGCAUUUUCAAAAAGAGAGAGAGGCUAAGGAUAACUAAGGAUGAAAGUAAAGCAGUGGGGACCAUAACUAUUUGGCAUUGCCUCAAAAAGGUCAAGAGAUCCAUCAAUUAUAUUGGGUUUGGUGGAUUAUGAGUUGAUUUAGUGCUUUGAAGCAGUGUGAAUUGGAUUCCAAAUAGAGAGCAAAAGAGGUGGAAAAAAAACAUGCUUUGGCUCAAUUGAACACCGACAACUCAUUACGUUACUCAUCACUUCCAGAACUAUGCCUAUGUAUACUAUUUUGCUUUUCCUUAAAGUGUUAGACACGACAUGACCGCUUCAAUGUCCACAUUAGAACUAGUCAUCUUCUUCACAAUUAGGAUAUCCAUUAAAAAUGACCAUGAACCUCCUUUAAAGAUUCACCCACAUAAAGUCCCAAUCCCUUUAUCAACUCAAAUUAAUUUUUUGAAAUUCCUUACCGUGGAGACUACGGGAGUCCGGAGCAAAAGUAAUGACAAUGGACGUCGGCAUCAACUUUUUCUAGUGGAAAAUAAAGCAUGUUUUUUUUUUUUUUUUUGGUAUAGUAUUGCCAAAUGCAUAAGGUAGGUUCAUCAAAUGUAUGGCACUUGGUCAAUUAGCUAUCCCAAGGUGGAUGUCUCCGUCGCUAAGAUUUGCAAAGCCUCAUUGAUAAUGACUCAAACGGGCAUAGCUAAGAUAGUGAACAGUAAAAAAUUAUUUAGUUACCUAUGAACUUUUUAGAUGGUUGUACAAUUCCUUAUUAAAAUUAGAGAGUAAAUGUGACUUCUAUCGGUAAGGUAAGGUUUUAAAGAUUUUGGCAUUUUCACUUAAAUAAGUAUGAAAGCAGAGUACGAAGAUCAUGUUUCAUCUUUCAAUUGAAAAUUAAAACUGUCCAAGCACUGGAAAUCUGACCUUCAACAAGUCAGAGUACCACGGCUGGAAACAAAACUUAAUCCAGAAAUCGCGCAUCAUGGGGACCUCCAAAAGAAGGAAAAAAAGCACGGUAGAAACAAUUGGUGAAAGCGAAUGGUGAACCGACCGAACAACCUCUACAUAUGCAUAUAUUUCCAAAGAAUAACCCCGCAUGAAACAAGGUUCAUUUUCCCAGCUAGAACUAGGGAUGGCAAACAAAUAGAGAAGAUUGUGGAGCAGAUAAGAAAGCUCACAAUGGUUUUUCUUUAUGUGAGGAUUGUAGAAUCGAUAUUUCAUGGGAUUUUAAAUAGACGUGUCUACACGUGCAUACCCCUAAAUUACCAAAAAAAAAAAUGCUUACUUUAGGAAAAUGCUAACUAUAUUUGGUAACUUUUUUUAUAUACACUUAUUCCUCAGAAACUAGUAGCUAUUAUGCAAAAGUUCCAUAUGACCUUAAUUUCAAAGAGAAUGUCCCACAUGACUUUAAUUAGUCAUAACCUUUUUCUUUUGUUAAUUAUUAGUCAUAAUUUUUUCAUAUAGUCAUAAUAAAUAUAAGGAUUUAGGAAUAACAUGACAUUAUAAUUUAACAAUUAUGCUUGGCAAACAAAGUUAAACAACUUCAAUUUUUACUUAUGAAGUAAGCUUUUUCUUUGUUCUCACUUAUAGGGAUGAUUAUGAGGGGCUCUCUUUCAACAAAUCUGUGAAAAAUUGAAGGACGAUACAUGAAAAGUCAAAACUUAUUUUCUACUAAUGCUUAACAUUAGCUGGGUAGAAGGCUCCAAGUUGGCUCGAGUCAUAUAUGUCAAUAAAUAGAAUCUCACCAAAAGUUGCCAUCCAAUAUAUAAAUCAAUAACACGGCCAAUUUAUGUUUUCGAUUUGCAUACCAUUUCAAAAGUAAAACCUCAAUUUUUUCCCAUUCAAUUAGCUUGAUUAUAAUGUUACUUCUCUAUUUUAAUAUGAUUUCAUGCCAACACGAAGAGAGGGCUUAGGAAUAGUACCUAAUCCUUUUUUGCGCUCAAAUCUCUUUGCCUUCUUUGUCCCUAAUCAUUCUUGCUUUGUUUCACUCUUCCGUUAUUCUCUCUGUCUCUUUGUUUUUUUUUUUCCUGGGUUUUCUCAACUAAAAAAGAAAAUCAAAGAAAAAUGUAAAAUCGAUGAUACUGUCGAGAAAAAUGGGAAUCGUCACAUUAAAUUCAUCUCAAGAAGUAAAAUUAUUGAUAUAAAGGUAUAAUUCGUGGUUGAAGAACAAGAGCAAAAAAACAUUAGAAAAAUCUCAUUUAUAUCAUCAAAUGAUAUUUUUUUUGAUAAUGUUCUACUUGGACUAUGAGUGCAUCAACCUCGAACAAUCCACGUCUCUGCUGGCUCCAUCAAUUUGUCUUCUUGACUCCUUUGAAGUCAUGAUGUUGUUUUUUCUUGGAUUGCUACAAAAUUUAACAGUUAAUACUUUUGACAUUUCACACAUAAUCAAUGAUGAUAUGGACAUCCAUCUUCAAUCUUCCAUUGCUGCUUUGUUGCACCGAAAGGUGAAAUUCCCAAGACUAAAAGAGAUAGAUUCCUCUGGUGGGCCUUCCUUUCCACCGAAACCCUUGAAAAAUAGUCAGGAGGAUCUUCUAAAGUCGUUGUGAUGAUUUGGUGUAUACAUGCAUAUUCACACACAUUGGGCGAGGCUAUUCACGCUCCCAAUUUAGCUUAAAAUCACAUCCUUUUAAGUAAACUCAAUUAUUAAUAGACCUGCCUUUUAUUUAAAAAUAAACAAAUCUGCCUUUUCCAAUUCCUCUCUCAUCUAUUGUCUAGUCUAUUUUCUUAUUUACUAUAGACAGUUGAUAAGAGUUUCCGAUAUCAAUCUUGUCAUGUACUCCUUUGAUUUCAAAGUUUUGUUCAUGUAAAAAUUUACCUAAAAAACGUCUUCAACCUAUGAAUCAUGAAAAAAAGAAGAAAAGAGAGGCUGAUUUAUUUAAAAGAUUGGAGCAUAAGCAUGUUCCGAAAUAUCAAAUUACACUCAUGCUUUCAUCGAGCUUUAGCUAUAAUUUUUCCAAUUUAUUAUGACCAAGUCUUCAGUUCUUUGAUCUGUCAUGUUCGAACUUUCAUUAUUUUGUAGAAGAGAAUAUUUCAACAAGUUAAUUUGGUAUAUUUUAUUUACGAGCUUAUAAGUCAAUGAAUAAUUAAUCCUCUUUAUUCAAAUGGUUAUAGACAAGGGUUUUGAGACAUUUAAAGUUAAUUUUCUUAUUGAUAAUUGGUUUUUCUGAAUUUAUCAUGCUAGUAAAUUUGGGAGAUCAUUGAGUGAGAGUUUCAUUUUGAGCAAUCUAAAUUUUUUUCACACUGCAUCUCUAGAGUUAUUUCAAAGUGGUGAAGUGGCCGUUUGAUAUGAAGAGAUUCAUGGAAAGGUCCCAAGCUUAAUUCAUUAGUAGCAUGUUUUCAAAUUGAAAAGCUUGCUCGUAUUUUUAGUUUGUUUUUGAGUUUUCAUUUUGUUUGCUUUAUUCCUUAUACCUAUAGCUAGGACUUGAGAUUAUAUUACGUACCCCAUGAAUAGUUCAAGAGCAUAAAUUUUGACAGGUUUAAGAUUGAUGUCUUUCAGAUUUUGCACCAUAUUAUAUAUAGUUAAGGUUGCUGAUUAUAAUUCUCGAAACUAACAAACUAUCAAGUGUUGUGAAACACACACACACACACACACACACACACACACACACACACACACACACACACACACACACACAUAUAUAUAUAUAUAUAUAUAUAUUGUGUUCUCUCAUUCUGUGUACUUAUAUUAUGGUCUUUCAUAUCCGUACAUUGCUUGCUCAAAUAUGCAUGUAGGCAAACAAUUCUCUUUACAUUCUUCAAGGAAUAUAUUGAGGGAAUAAUCAAAUCACAACUCUUAGACAUUUAGACAAAUUGUGCAUAGUGAAGCCGAGGAUCCAUCACAUCUUGUUGAAAAAUGAUGACUAAAUUACAUUUACCCUGUUCCUUGCCAAGACCGAAUUGCAAUCACAAGAAUUUGGUGGUGUUACUUGUAGUUUGAUAAGCCAUGUUUUUGCUCACAUUGUGUUGUUUUUAAUUGGUAGUUAAAUCACGUCUUUUACAAAUGACAAGUAAUUGAAAUUAUGAGUUCCUACGAAUGAUAAGCAUUAACAUGACGAAUGAUUUGAUGAUAGCAUUCGAGGCUCUUAGUUUAUACUUUUGUUUUCUAUGACAAUUUGAUUAAAAUUAUUAUUUUAAAGAAAGCAGCCAUGGAUUCUUACUGGAAUCCCAAUCCCCAUGAUUGAACCAUGCAGUCAAAAAUGGGGUCCAUAUGUCAUUAGAAGAAAGCUAUGCACGUUGCUCAUGCUUGCCUGUGGUCAUUCACUCGUGAAAGGGUUAAUAGUAAGAGAGUGGCUAAAACAGCCAAGAAUAUGCAAUAAUUUGACUAGACAUAAAAUAAUGGGAUGUCCUAUCUCCCCUUGAGUCUAUCUUAGUAUUAAUAUUACAAAAGCAUUGAUUAUUCAUCAAUGGCUUGUUAUAAGGAGCAUCAAACUCCCAAAACUUUUUUUACAAAUCUCAGUUAAUUUUUUUUUUGUUGAAAUUAUAACAUUCAAAUAAUUGAAAAAAAAGUUAUGACACUCAAGUUUAUGUUUUUUAGAAGCCAUGAUACUCAAAUAAUUGAAAAAAAAAUGUGAACACUUUACAAAAGUCAUGACACUUGCAGUGUUUUUUUGCUAUUCUUUUUAGGAUUUUCAUCCUAUCAUUUUCUCAAUCUUUCUUUCUCAAAAGAAAAACAUCAACGGAUGCUGCCAUCAAGAAAAAUGCGAAAAAUCACAGUAAACUCAUAUCAAGAAGUAAUUGUUGAUAAAAGGGUCUAAGUUAUGGUUAAAAGAGCAAGGACAAAAGACAUUAGAAAAAUUCCAACCGUAUCAUCAUAUGGCAAUUUUUUACAACGUUCUACUUGGACUAUGAGUGCAUCAACCACCGACAAUCUACUUCUCUAGUGGCUCCAUCAAUUAAUCUUUUGACUCCUUUCUAAAGGGGAAGUAAUGAUGGGUUUUUCUUGGAAUGCUACAAAAUUUAAUAGUAAAUACUUUUUGGCCUUUGAUGCAUAAUCAAUGAUAAUAUUGAUAUGCAUCUCCUAUCUCCGGCUGACAAUUGCUUCCUUGCACCGAAAGGUGAAAUUGUCAAGACUAAAACAGCAAGAUUCCUCUGGUUGACAAAUAGUUGUUGGGAUGAUUGGUGUGCACACACACAUUUGGUGGAGGUAAUUAUGCACCCAUUUUACACGUGAUACUUUGUUAGGGUCAAAUUUGUCUCUAUGUAAUAUUUCCUUAAGAGAACCCAAGGACAAAAUGCUAAAAUAGCCAACCUCUUAUAUUUCCCCUUAUUUCACUUUUUUAGCUUGCCAUCACCUUUCUUUUGUCUCCUUAAUGUUUCCGUUUUCACAUGUAGUAUCUCUCUGUUGGAAAGGGCUUUGAAUUUGAUUAUGCUUGUCAUUGUGUAUGUUGGGUGUAAAUUUUCUUUUUUGAGAAAUUAUACUUUGAUACAAAAUUAUUCACUAAUUCACGUACAAAAUCAACAUGAGAGUCAAUAUCUAUAUAAUUAUGCAAUAACAGUCUCUUCUCUAUGCCCUGCCUCUAAGGUUGACACAUAGCAUUCUAAAUAGCCAGAAAAGACUUCUCCUUAUUUUAAGAACUGGAUUCACAACAUUCUCCAUUAAAAAAAUGUGCCCACUUAGACUCCACCUAGGCUAAUAUUUUGCACUACUGGCUAGAUAGAUUAUUCAUAUAUCAUGAUGUACUUAUAGGCACUAAUUCCUUAUUAGCUACGUGAAAUCUACUCAAUCUAAUUACAAGGAGAAUGUCUCUCAUGACUUUAACUUGUUUCUAUUUAGUCAAAAUGUUUUCAAACGGUCAUAAUUCAUAUAUGGGAUUAGGGGUACAUUGACAUUUCCAACACAACAAUUUUUUUUAUGGGCAAGUCUGUCAUGUGAAACUAAUAAAGAGAAUUUCAGCCAGCUUAAUAUUCAAAACAGAUCGGAGACCAAUAUUAUGCCUAUCUAUCAUAUGAUACUAUUAUUUUAACGUUAUACUUACUUAGCAUCUCUAUCUUGCACUUAUUGAAUAUUACUAUAUUAUAAUUUUAUGUUAACCUUGUCAUUUUCUUAAGAAAUGGUUCAGAAUAGAAAAUACAAUACUCUUUACUAUAAAAAUUAUGCUUACAUAGCCCCAGAAUUGGCGCAAUUGGUUGGGUCAUUAGGGAUUUCCAACUUAGGAACUAGAGAUCGCCAGUUCGAAUCCCACAAACUAUAUGCAAACUGCUUUGGGUUAUAGUCACCUACAUAGACCAAAGAUCUAAGUUUAAUUGGUUCAUGGAAUUGGCACGAUAUUUCAUGAGCUUCUAGGUAAAUGGCUCUCCACACUCCUACCCCGAUAUUACACAAGUGCGCGCACGCGCGCACAUACACACACACUCACUUUAGGAGAAUGCUAACUUUACAUGGUAUUACACUUACUUUAGGAGAAUGCUAAUUUUAGAUGGGAUUUUUUUAUAUGCACUUAUUCCUCAUAAACUAGGUAGUCAUUAUGCAUUAGAUCUUUGUCAACUUAAUUGCAAAGAGAACAUUCCCAUGACUUUGAGGAAUAUUACCCAUCGAUCUUAAACAUAUUGUACGAAUACCAAUUUAGUUCUAAACUUUUCGAUUUUGCCAAUUUAGUUAUAAACAUUUGUGCAAAAUUCCAAUAUAGUCCUUUUGGCCAAUUUUCGACGUUGAAAUGGUCAUGUGUUAUUUAGAAUGGUCAGCGAUGACUGGAUUGCCACAUCAAUAAUUUCAGGCAAAAAUUCAUCAAAAGGGUUUUAUUGAAAUUUUCCCUAAAGGUGUAAAACUAAAUUGUCAAAAAAUUGAAAUGAUUAAAACUGAAUUAGCAUCUGUAUAAUAGAUCUUAGGACUAAUUAAAUAAUUUUUCCCAUGACUUUAAUUAGUCAUAAUAUUUUCUUUGUUAUAAAUUAGUCAUAACCUUUUUAAAUAGUCAAUACAAAUAUAAGGUUUAUGAGGUAAUUUGAUAUUCUAAUCUAACAAUUAUGGCUGAGUUUGAGAAAAGGAGCGAGGAAGUUAAGCAGCCACCUGGUGUUCCGGUUGAGCAAGCCAGCGAAGAAGACGCGUGAGUUUACUUUUUGCUUUUGUCUGAGUAUACGAGUAGUUAAAGAAAAUCAAUGUCGGAAUGCACUCAUUCGAGGAGCUAUGCGUAAUGACUCAGCAAGUUGCAUAUGAGGGAAACGCCUUCAUAGUUAGUGGAAUAUCCCCUUUCAACGAGAUUCACGUGGCACUCGGCAUAACAUUUUGUUGUUGUCCCAUAUGAUUGUCAUGAAAUAGGAAUACGCAAGAGUGAUUUUGAAAAAAUUCCAUGAGUUCCAUGGUCACUUUGGUCGACUUCUAGUUCUAUUUGCUUACACUUAUAUAUAAAAAAAAUUCUGCAUUUUGCUCUCCCUCGAGAAAAUUAAAAAUGGAAAAAAAAAAUAGGUUUCAUAAAUUAUGAAAAACCAUGUAAUAGCUCUACUUGUCAAUAAAUGUAUAUUUUUGAAAAUUCUAAAUUUCAAUAUUUGAUAACUACAAUAUUUGAAAAAUAAAUGUGAAAAGGAAAAGCUCUGGACAGAACCAAGCAUUUGGGAAGAAAUAAAAAAAAAAAGAAAAGAGGGUCUUUUUGGGGGGGGGGGGGGAGGGGAGACUUCAAUAUGAAUGAGAGCUCAUGGAGCAAAGUUAGUCCUUGCUGGCAAUGAUUUUGCAUGUUAAUUUUGUUAUGUAAAGAGUAACAGUGGUCACUAUGAUUUUGCCUAUUAAUAUUAUCAUCUAAAGAGUAGUAGUGUUCGAGAUAGUAAAUUAGUUUAAAAUGUUAAGAGGAUAGCAAAAAUUUAAUUUCCUUAGAAGUUCUAACCUAACAAUUACAGCUGCAGUUAAAUAUAACCUAGCAAUCAUAAUUGGCUUUAUAUUCUAACAAUUAGCCUAACUAUCAUGUUAAUUCGAAAUUUUUAACGUGAUUUCACAGACCAGCACAAUGAGCGGGGGUAAGAUUAUAUUACCUAACCAAUGUUUGUCCAUCAGACGUGGAGGAAAAACUAGAUGCCCAAAUUAUGUUUGUCUAAAGCGGUGAAGGAAAGGAUGUAUAUCUAAUCAAUGUAUGUCCAUUAGCAUCGGGGGAAGGGGUGGUGAUUUCGAAAUUGGUGUUGGUGACCUGCUCCAUGUAUUAAUAUAUUAUUUAUUAGACUACCAUCAUUGUCUUGAUUGACGCGACCGACAUCUUUUUUAAAUUUUUUUACUUUUGGCCAGUGGAGGCUCUAAGGACUUGGAGCCCUUUGCUCCCAACUUGUAGAGAGUGCAUGACAACCAAUAAUUUCUAUUUUAUAAAUAAUUUUUUUUAUUCCAAAUCUGUUUUUGGAAUAAAAAUUUGUUUGAUAAAUUUAUUUCGUUUUGAAUUUUUCUACUUCUCUAUUUCUGAAACAGAAAUGAGAAAUAAAAAAUUUUCUCAUCAUUCGUCAACUGGUCCUUCAUCCAAUGUUGCCGACCACUGUCCAUCGAUCGCCCGUCGCCCGCCGGCCCCAGUCGCCACCGGUCGCCAUCGCCCGCCGGCCCCAGUCGCCACCGGUCACCGGCCGCCAGCCGACCGCCAUCCACCGGUCCGCCAUUGUCGGAAAGGAAAAAUUUUUGUGUCGUUAUCAAACGAAUUUUUAUUUUUAGAGUAUAAAUUUUGUAUCGUUAUCAAACGGUUAUUUUUGUUUAGAAACUCUUAUAAAAAUAAGAAUAAAAAAAUCUAUUUCUGUUCUAAAAACUAUUUCUGAAAUAGAAAAAUUGUCAUGCGCGCUCUUAGCUUCCGAAGGAAUUGAGUGAGGUUUAGUUAAAGUCUUAACUGAGAUUAGAUUACCGAGCUCCAUAGUACAUACCCAUCCCAUCUUUCUUCUCGUGAUUUGGGCCUUUGUUAAAGGCGAAGAGACAUGUUAAGGUCCCAUCUAGUAGUACAUUUUAGUUUUUUGGUAAAACGUACAUCUCAAUCGUUGUUGAUCAAAUAUUCCAGCAAAAAGUUACCAUGUCUCUUUCUCCAUUGAUUGCUCUUUGACGCUCCCCUUCCUUCAUCUUUUAUCGCACUCAAGUUUCUUCGCCUUUCCGUCUUUCAUCAUUCUUGCUCUGUUUCACUUUUUCUUCUCCUUGCUACAGCCAUACUUCGUCCUCUUUUUCUUAAGUAUGUACGACCCUUUUUCAUCGUUCUCUCUCUCCCUCUCUAUGUCUCUCUGCUUUUCCUUUUGAGGGGUUUCUAUCCAAACGUUUUCUAGCUCUUUCUUUUUCGAAAUAAAAAUCAAAGAAAAUGUCAGAUCGAUACUGUUGUUGAGAAAAAUAGAAAAUUAUUAAACUCAUAUUAAUUAAUAAUUGUUGAUACAAGUGUUCUGAAUACGUAGCAAAAGUUACCAGCCAAUGUGGUGGCUGCGUUGGCUCAAGCUCCCUCCCUCUCACGAAAGGAAAGGAGUUCGAAUCCCAGCAUGAUCACUAAUGGUCUUAAGUAUGGUAUCGUGGUUGUGGUUUCUGUGCUAGUAUCACUUCGGAUUUACCUCGCUGACUGUUGAUUGUACGUGAGUUCUUGGGUCACCAAAAAAAAAAAAAAAAAACGUAGUAAAAGUUCAAUCCCUUUAACUGGAGAGGUCAUCAAGAGAAAGUUUAAGUUUGAGCCCAUUACAUAUUCAGUUGACCCAUCUCUAUUAAAAAUAAUGAGCUAAAAAGUUAUUAAUCAACUAUAAUAAUAUUAACUGCUUAAUACAAAAUUAAUUAUCUAUUGUGAAACUUUUCUAACCCAACUCACAUAUUCAUCUUAACAUUCACCUCUCGCGUGUUGGCUUAGUAUUAUGUCUGCUUCCCCUUGAUUCAAGUAUCGUUCUCCAUUAACAUGACUCAAUUAGAAUCUUCACUUAGGUGCGUGUGCUAACUAAAAUAACAACAACGCCCAUCUUCAUCCCUAGUCUCUUUCUCCAAAUUGAAUCAUGAAGGUUACCAUUAGAACCACAUUGCUACACAAAAAUGCCCACCUCCAUUCCAAGUUUCUUUUGCUAGAUCGAACUAUGAAGGUUGCCCAAAAACUGCGUUAAUCAUGAGAUUCCUUUCCUGAGAUAUUCUCCAAACAUUAGUAUACAUUGGAAUUGGCCAUUAGCUAUCAAUCAUUGGCUCUGGCAUCAUUUCUUAGGAGUGUCUUGCAGAAAUUUGAUACCUUUAACCAAAGAGAUCGCCAAAGAAAAGCACAUGUUUGAGCUAGCCAAUAUGUUUUAUUGAAGCCAAAUUCACUCAAAAACUAGGAUAUAUUAAUUGCUCUAUACCAUACUAAUUCUCCGGUAUAAGACUUUCUAACAUAACUUACAUAUAUAUCUCAAUAAGAAGGAUCUAAGUAAUGGUUAAAAGAGUGAGAACGGAGAGAUAUUAGAUGAACCUCAACCACAUCAUCAUAUGGCAAUUUUUGAUAAUGUUCCACACGGAGUCUGAAUGUGUCUGCCUUAAAUAAUUCACUUCUGUAGUGGUUCCAUCAAUUUGUCAUUUGACUCCUUUUUUGAGUGGAAGUCAUGAUGGGGUUUUUUGGGAUGUUACAAAAUUUAACAGUAAAUGCUUUUAGCCUCUAGCGCAUGAUCAAUGUCGAUACUGAUAUGCAACUCCAAUUUUCCAACGGGAAUAUUUUCAUCAAGUGACUAGUGUGGGAUGUUAACAAAGAAGAGUUCCGCUAUUGCGUAACCGCACUGUCCCUUCCAAUAGCGACGGCGCAAAUGGGACCACGAAUUCUAUUAUGCUUGUAAUGCGCAACCGGAUUACAACUUUAAAAUGGGAAAUCUUUACGAAAAUCCUUAAAAUAACUUUUAUCCCUUUCUGAAUGAAAUGUCAAUCAAAAUGCCCUCCCUCCAAAUUGAGCACCAAGUAAAGUCAUCACUCAUUUCUUUUCGUUUCUCUUGAAAUCAUAAAACAUUCAAUAUACAUACUAGUGUGCAACUAACUUAUAACCGCACACAAUCUCGUCAUAACUAUGAAUAUACAUACGUAUGUAUGUAUGCAAGCACACAUGAAAUUUUAAUUACCUCUUAUUUAGUUAGAUAUACAUCUUGAUCACAAAAAACUUUUUUUUUCUUUUUUUUAAACUUUAUUAACAAAGAAAAAGCUUCACCACGCAUUGUUGCAACUGUUUCUUCCUACUUCCUUAUUAAUUGAAGAAUUAUUGUGUACAGCGGACUUAAAUAACAAUGGCUCUAUACUUGGUUACCGCGAAAUACUAUACAGCCUAUUAACAUAUCGUAAAAUAAAUAAAAAAAUCACCUUUAACCUCUUUCAGUUAAUUAAUCUAGUAAAAAAAAAUGGGGGAUAUCCAAUCAUUGCAAAAUAACGUAAUAUAAGGUGUUGACUUGCAUAUUGAUUUUUUUUUCUUUUUUGAGAAACCCCUUUUCAGAUAAGUGAAGUUCAUAUUAAAGGUAAAGUGAUUGAUGAAAAUAAUGCCAAUACCAAAACGAGACCAAAAAUAUGAUAAGAGAAGAAGGACUUUUAACACCAAAAGAAAUGGAAGUUGGGUUGUAUCGAAUAAGUAUGUAGCUUUUUUCUUUUUUUCACUAAGCAGAGAGGAGAAUCAAAAUACCUAUCAUGGGCAGGGGUGUGGAGUUUAACUCUUAUGAGGAGGCUUAUGAAUUUUAUAACAAUUAUGAGAAAGAAGUAAGAUUUUGUAGUAGAGUUUCAAAAUUGUAGAAAAGGAAGAGAGUAGAGAGGAAAAGUGAGGCAUAGUUUUUUGGGGCUAGCUCCAAAAAAAUAAAGCACCAACUUUAGUUUGAGGGACAAAUCUAACUGAAUUUUUUUUUUUGUCUUGUAAAAAAGCACAUAUUUUAGGUUAAGGGACAAAUCCAGUCUAAAUUGUUUUUUUGUCUUGUAAAAAAAUGUCAAUUUUAGGUCAAGUGACAAUUCUAGCCCCAAGUUUUUUUUUUCUCAUAAAAAAUUACAAACUUUCACCAUUAUUCAACUUUCUAUUUGAAGUUAACCUUGUUUCAAGAAAAAAGGUUCUAGCCGUGAGCUUGGCGGAUCUUGUUCAUGGGGUCUCUCAAUGGGCGGUGGUUUAUAGCUUCAUUUUAAGACAAAAUGACAAAGUCUAGCCAGACUAAUUCAAUUUAGAGCUUUUUGACUUGCUAGUGAAGUGUAGGAGAUGAUGAACAAUUUACCGUUAUUCUCCAAGCUGUGGCUCAAACAAGAAGAUAAUGAAUAGUGUUUUAAAUCCAGCCAGCGAGUGCACGUGGAUUUAUCGCUAAAAACAAUCAAUGGAUCUAAAUUAAAGGGGGCUAAAUUUAGGAUUUAAGUGAAAAUUGGUGAUUUUUUUUAGACAAAAAAAGUUAGGAUUAUAAUUGUCACUCAUCCCAAAGUUAGUGUUUUUUUAUGUGAUAAAAAGAAGAAGCUUGAGCCAAAUUUGUCACUCGACUUAAAAUUAGUGCUUUUUUACAAGACAAAAAAUAGUUUGGGUUAGAUUUGUCCCUUAACCUAAAGUUUGUGCUUAUUUUUGGAAUUAGCCCCAGUUUUUUGCUGCAUUUGUCAAAGGCUAAAAAAAAAUAAAAAUGGGUCAGUUAAGUCGAUUCAUUUGAAAAGGUUAGAAUUCAAUAUUUUUUUUAAUUACUCAAGCACAAAGAAUGAGAAGCCCCAAAAAUGUACAAAAAUAUCUUUAUUAUUCUAAAAACAACGGUUCUGGUGUUUUUCUUUUCUAUUUUAGAAAUAUAAGUCAUAUUUAUAAUAAAAUUAAUAAUCUCUUUUUAGUGAUAAUUUUCGUACUUGUGAUUCUUAUAUUGUAGCAUUCAAUUUCCUUCAAGUCAUUUUUCCCUUGCUUUCGAAAGGAUGGAAAUUCAAGAAAUUAAUUGGUGUUUAGUUGAGGCCUUAAUCAAGGUUAGGUUAUAGACAAGAAAAUAGAACAUGCACUCUAUUUUUAGCUAAAUUUCCAUAUUGGUUAUGUCCAUAUUUUUAACCCACCAAUCAAAGAAUUAGUAAGGAUGGAAUAAACUCUGACUUAAUAUAAACUCGCAUACAUUAAGGAAGCCAUUGCUCUCAAUUAACAAAGAAAUCCAAUGAGAUGUAAAUACUGAAUCAUUCCAAAGCAUGAGAAGAAAAUGUAACCUUAUCACUGCUGCGUCAAAUAAAUUUGUCCUUGUCUCUUUCCACUUUUCCCUACCUAUAACAAUUGAAACGAGUAAUCUAAUAUCCGCCAACCUUUGUAUCACUUAUAUUAUGUUUGUGUAUAUGGGGCAGCGCACUAUCAUUAAGAUAAAGGAAAUGUGUGAUUGGCUCUAUUUAAAAUCAAUUAAAUGGGAUUCCUAUCCACGUCAAUAGUAUGCGAAUCAAUCACCAAAAGAAGACCGACCAAAAAAAAAAAUCACCAAAAGAAGCAAAUCCAGACCAUGUAACUAGAGACAAUUUUUUUUUUUUUAAGAACCUCUGCGGAAUGCAAAAUACACUUGUACUUUACAAGAAAAAAAAGUAUGCUUACUUAACAUCACCAUCUUGCAAUUAUUAGACACCAAUAAUAUUAUAAUUUUAUGUUAACACAGUCAUUUUCAAAAUGAUAUAGAAUGCAAAAUACACUCAUUCUUUAGAAUAAAAAAAAAACAUGCUCACUAAAUCCCAGGAGUGACAUAGCUGAUUGGGAUGCUAGGGGAUUUCCAACUCAGGAAUAGGAGGUUGCUUGUUAGGAUCCCACAAACUGCUUUAGGUUGGAGCCAACUACACAAGCCAAAGCCCUGAGCUUAACCAAUUCAUAAAGCCUACAGGAUAUUUCAUAGAAUUAUGGGUAGAGAGGUCUCCAUACCUAUGCCCCCAUAUCAUAAGUAAAAUUAUAUGCUUACAUUAAGAGUAUCCCAAAUUUAUAUGGUACUCUUUUUAUAUGCACUUAUUUCUCAUAAACUAGGUAGUUAUUAUGCAAAAGGUCCUGAUCAUAUUAAUUACAAAUAGAACUUCCCUCAUGACUUUAAUUAGUCAUAACAUUUUUUUUUUGUUAAAAAAGUAGUCGUAAUAGUUAUAAAUAUAUGGACUUAGGCCUAAUUUGAAAUUCUAAUCUACCAAUUAUGUUGGUAAAAAAGGAAACAACUUCAAUUUUUUUCUUUAAAACUGAGUUCUUUUUCCCUUAAACGGAUGAUUCAAGGGGCUUUAUGUCAACAAAUACGUGAAAAUUUUGAAUACUACAUAAAGACUCAAGAAUUAUUUUCAUCCAAUGGGCAAUAUCAAUUAGAUAUGAGGGUCUAAAUUAGCCCAAGUCUAUUUUGUCAAUAAGUAGAAAACUUACAAAAAAUUGCAAUUCAACUUAUAAGUGAAUAUCAAUAAUAUAAUAAUUUUACGUUAAAAUUGUCAUUUCUUAAAAAUGAUAGAUAAUACAAAAUAUACUUAAUCUUUACAAUAAAAAUUUAUGCCUGCUUAACCCUGGGAUUGGUUUAGCUAGUUGGGACGUUAUGGGAUUUUCAGCUCGAGAACUGAAGAUCCAUUAGAACCCCACAAAUUGCGAGCAAACUACUCUAAGUUACAGUCUCUUACACAGGUCAAAAGCCUAAGCUUAACCGAUUCAAGGACUAUAGGAUAUUUUCUAGGCUUCUAAAUAGAUAGGUUUCUACGUCUAUGCACUUAGAUUAUUAAAAAGAAAAUGCUUACUUUGGGAGGAUGCUAAUUUUAUAGAAAUUUUUCAUGUGCACUUAUUCCUCAUAAACUAGGUAGUUUUUAUGAGAAAAGGUCGUUAUCAACUUAAUUACAAAGAAUAUGUCCCUCAUCAUUUUAAAUAGUUAUAACCUUUUUUUUGUUAGAAAUUAGUCAUGGUUGGCAAAACAAUUAAACAACUUCAAUUUUUUUCCUAUGAACUGAGGUUUUUUUUAUUUAUUAUAAAUUUAAGACAUGAUUUGAGGGGCUUUCUGUCGGCAAAUAUAUGAAAAUUUGAAAGAUAACACAUGAAAAAUCAUAUGUCACUAAGUAGAACAUUAUCAAAAAUUGAUCUUCAAUAUAUAAAUCAAUAACGCAGCCGGUGAAUCCAUUUUUGUGUUUAGCCGUGGAGGAAAGGAUGGUCCCUAUUGAAUGUCCAUGAGCGGCUGAGGAAAGGAUGGAGACAUAGACAGUGGUGUGGUGGCCGGUCAAUUAAUUAAAAAAAUCAUCCAUUUCUCUUUAUAUAAAUGUUUUUUUUUUAAAUAGUUCAGCAAUUUCUUUAUAUUGCUCGAUUGUUUCAUUCAUAGUUCAUUGCCUGAGUGACAAGAGGACUAUGCAAGAGUCUUGGCAGUUGGGUAUUCCUUCCCAGUGAAAAUUAAUUCAUAAAAUGACAAAUAAAUUCUUAUUAAUUAUUGAUAAGACGAGUGAUGACUCUUGCAGCUUCUCAUAUCUCUUUAAAAAUAAUCUUAUAAAUGAAUCAAAUGUCUGAGGAUUAGUCGACAUCCAAUAUCAUCAAUCAUGUUAGAAACUAUCAUCGAUAAAUUGUAUUAUACAUUUGGCUGAACAAAAUCGUGUUCUAUAAUUAAAAUACUAUUUUUGUACAAUCUUUGUUGGAACAUUUAUGGUACAGCAAAUUAUAUAAAAACUGCCGAUUAGUAAGGAUUUACACAUUGAAUGAUAUAUUUCCCUCUACUUUUUUGUAUGGUUGCCAGUAUAGAAAGUAAAGUUUAUGUAAGUAUCUCAGUUGGCUAAAUUCUCAUCAUGAAAGCACAAGGUCAUCAUAAUGUUUCGUGUGUUACUUGACUUUCACUGUUAUAAUGACUAAAAUGCUUAGUAGCCUGCAACAACUAAUUUCAUAUAUGUAUAUAUGUAGGCUAACCUCUUGCUGUGGAAGGUUAUAAAAGUGAAAAAAAAUUAGGGUUAUAAAUUAUCAAAAGCCACAUAACUUUAUUAGUCAAUAAUUGUAUAUUUUUGAAUAUUUUAGGACCGAUUUGUGAUAAUUGCAAUAUUUGAAAAAUAAAUAUUAAAUGUAAAAUACUCCAAACAGACCCAAGCAUUUGAAAGAAAGGGGGGAAACUUCAAUAGGAACAAGAGAGACGCAAAAUAAUGUUAGCGGUGACUUGGGAUCGUUCCCCAUAUUAAUUUUAUCUCGUAAAGAGUAGCAAUACUCAAGAAAAUAAAUUGGUUUAAAAUGUUAAAAAAGAAGGCAAAAGUUUAAUUUACUUAGAAGUUUUGAUUUACAAUUCCAAUUCAAGUUACGUCUAAGGUAACAAUUACAAUUGACAUUAUAAUUUAACAAUUUGCUUAAUUACAAUGUUACUUAUGUAUUUUAAAUAUGAUUUCAUUGAUUCGCACAAGGAGUGACUUUAGGACUAGUACUUGAUCAAUGUUUGUCCAUUAAUGGUGGAGCUAAAGGAUGCGGAAACUUACCCAUUGGUGAUGAUGAUUGGUCAAAGUUAAGAAACAAGAAACCCAUUUCUAUUACCAUAUUCAACUUUUAAUUAAAAGUAUUGGGGGACACUGAAAGGAGAUAUCACCCAUGAUAGUAGUAAUAAUUUAUUUGCUUAUUUUGCUAGACUCACAAUGGGUUGAAAAUGAGUCUGGUGCAGACCCACGUAGGCUCACGUGGAAUUGGUGAUACUUUUUUCAUAUCAUUUCAACUGGCUUAAAAAUUUCAAGUGUCGCACCAAAAUUUUGAUAAUGGGUUUCAGAUACAUACUGCCACCUCUGGAUGAAACUACAUGUCACGUGGGUUUUGAUCCAUCCUCGUCCUUUUGUUCUCUUUAUUAAUUACAUUUGCUAUAGCGAAGAAUGACAAACUACAUAAAGUACCUAUUAUACAUGAGCGAUGAUUUAAAUCCAAUCAUUUUAAUAAUUGCGUUUUGAUCGAAGGUGUUAUAUACGAUUCGGAUUCUAAUCGUCACUCCAUGUUGAUUCACAAAAGUGCCCACAUACAAAUAUUGAUGAAAAUAUUAAUAUUAUGAACAAGAUUAAGGGAUAAUAUUAGGAAAAAUCUUAAACUGAUACACAUGCGACAAAUUUACUUCACAUUAAUUUUUUUUAUCACAAAAAACCCCCAAACUGAUACAAUUAUGAUAAAUUUAUUCUAAACUAAUUUUUUAACAAUGAAAAAUCUCAAACUAGUACACAUGUGAUAAAUUUACUCAAAACUAAUUUUUUUACCGUCAAAAACCAUAAAUUGAUACAUUUCUGACAAAUAUACCCCCGUUAAAUUAUAUAUAUAUAUUUUUGGUAAAGGGUAAGAACCCCGUUAAAUUAUAUUAAUACCAAAAAAAAAAAAUUACAAAACCGAUACACUAUGACAAAUAGAGAGUAAAAUCUCAAAUUGGUACACUCGUCAAUUACCACAUGUCAUCUAAAUCAGCAAUCUAAUUGAAAAUUUUAACGAAAACUAACAGAUAGUAAAUUUCUCAUAAAUUUAUUAGUUUAGAGUAUUUUAUAGUCAAAAAAUUAGUUUUUUGUAAAUUUAUUAUAAGUGUACCAAUUUAAGAUUUUUUGUAGUAAAAAAAAUUAGUUUGUGAUUAAUUUAUCAUGUAUACCGGAUUAAAGAUGAUAUUUGUCAAGUGCAUGGUUGGUGCGGCCUCUCCUUAUCAAGUGGGCGCCACCUAUUUUGCUAUUUGUUGCUCUUUCUUAAUUACAUUUUGUUAUAUCAAUCUGACAGGGUAUAAAGUAUUCAUAUAAUUUUAGUCAAAUCAUUUUGUUACUUUAGAAGUUGGUAAUCAUUCGUAUUUUAUUUUUUUAAUCCACUUCGAUGAGCGUGCAAUUCAAAUAAUGCAAAGAAAUCAAUUUACUCCACAAUUGUGACGUGACGGACAACUACCGUAAUUAAGUUAUAUAUUGAUGUUUAGUUAUGGCCUCAACUAAGAUUAGAUUUUUCUAAGAUCUAAAGUCUGUUGUCCACGUGACUAGUGGAUCAUGCAUAGUCUUGCGAGUUGGGUUUUCCUUCCCAGUAAAAAACUACUUCACAAAAUGAUAUAUGAACUCAUAUUUAUUAUUGAUAUAACAAGGAAUGACUCUUGCGGCUUCUCAUGUAUUUUUAAAUAUCAAUUUUAUAAAAUGAACCAUGUAUCCCUGGGUCAGUCUACAUCCAAUAUCAUCAAUCAUGUUAGAAUUAUCAUCCACAGAUUGUAUCGUUGUUUAACUCAUAAAUGGAUUCCAACCUGAGUAUUGAACUAUCUUCAACCAAAAGAUAUAUCUUUUAUUUUUAUGAAAGGGGUUCAGUGGCGAUUUUAAACAUGAGUUGCAAUUGGCAUGAUAAUGAAGAUGAACAACGAAUUUAAAGGUAAAAGGUGAUAGUAAAUGUUGGAAAUUAACAUGACAUUAAAACUUAUAAAAGUACAUCAAAAAAUAUUAGUAAUCAUGAUGAUCCUUGCAAUAAUUAUAUGUUGCCAUUUUAUACUCCGCCAAUCAUAAUCGCUUAUUAAGACUUAACCAUACUAGAUGCAGUUGUAACUACAUUCCCGAGAUUUUAGGACUCCUAUCUGCACAUCAUCCUAUCCACAAGCUGUUACAACUCUUUAAGUGUCACUAGGUUAACCGUUGCUUGGUGCCCUUAUCUUUAGUCGACAUUUUCACCAUCUCCUUUCUUCUUAGUUGAUAAUUGUCGACCAAUCAUCGUGGUACAUCGACAAUGGUAUCUCUCAAUCGUCUAUAAUUACUGUCCAUUGUCAUUGAUAUGCGCUUCUAUUGUCCUUAACUUACCAAAAACCAUAUCAAUUGUUACAAACUCUAUACCCACUUAUAUCAACAUUACGUCGUUCACAAAAAACUUUAUCAUUUUUUGGUGUAAACAAUUAUACAUAUGGCUAAAGAAAAUCUAAUUAAGCGACUAUCAUGUGAUUUAAAUACAAUCUUUAUUCUAACAAUUAUGGUACAACAUAUUACAUAAAAUGUACAACCAAUCAUAUGGGAUUUACACAUUGAAUGAUAUGUUCCUGGCUACUUAUUUGUGUGGUUGCCAAUUUAGAAAGUUAACUUUACAUGAGUAUAUCCAUUGGCUAAAUUCUCAAAGUGAAAGCACAAGGUGAUGGACUCAAUUUUGUAUUGCAUGCUACUCAACUUUCACUACUAUAAUGACUAAAAUGCUUAGUAUCCUACAACAACUAAGUUCAUUUACAUAUUUACAUAAGCCAAACUCUCGUCAUGGAAGGUUAUAGACCUGUCAUGCAUCGCAUGUUGUGAUGCAACUUGACUUAUGCACCAUAUUUAUAGUGUCAUUAAUAAUUAUGCAUUUAGUCAUAUUUACUUAUGAUAAAUACAUACCUGCGUAAUAUAACCCUCUAAAAAUUUAUAAUUUUCAUUCUAUAGAAAAUUUGUAACAAGGGAUAGUUUUUUCUCUUAUUGAUUUGCUAUCAGUUGUUUCUUUUAAUUUUUAAUAUUUAUUGCAAAGCAUGUACUGUAAUUUCGUUUUUAUGAUGAUAGAUAAUUUUUUGAAUUCUCUAAUAUCAUAUAUUUGUCAAACAUAGACAAUCAUGGAAUAAAAGAUGUUUCUACAUUAAGCAUCUUAUUUAUCACAUACAUGAUAAAUAUUUAUAUUGUCGAUUUGUUAUAUAUAUUGGCUAUCCCAUCACGUAAUUUUUCUAAAAGUUUGUCAAUGAUAUACCUGAAGAAGGGUGCCCAACGUCGAACGAGCGAUCAAAAAAGAUUCCGAAGCAUCUUCAUAGCACGACCCAGCAAUCAUGUUCUUUGGGGGUCCUCAGGGUAUAAAGCCGAUUUCCUUCCUUUUGGUCCGUCUGUAAAAGGCAACCAUACAUUUAUUUAAUUAUAAAAUUCGAAAGUUAUUGUACACUUAGUUAUAUCUUACUUUUGAAAUAUCUAAAGUCAUGUAGUGAAUCCUAUAUAUAUAAAGUGGGUAUCCAUGCAUUAUUGAACUCCUUUGAGAGCUUGUCAAAAUUUGUAAAUCAAAAUAUUAAUGGGGAUAUGUUAAAGUGGUCUUCAAAACCAAUUUGCUAAAGUGCAAAAUAGAUUGAUAUUCAAAUAAACAACAUAUGUUUAGGAAUUUGGGAUUUGUUAAAGUGACUAUCGAUAUCAAAUUAUUGAAUAAAGCUUACACGUGAUUGUGCUGGCUCAACCCUUAAGAGAGUUUUACCAUAUAUGUAUAUAUAUUGCUUUCCUAGGUAAAUCAAUUUAUUAAAAUGACUCAAUUUGUCUACCAUUUAAAUACAAUGAGGAAAAAAAAUUAAUUUAUCCAGGUCAAUCACAUGUUUUGAACAUUAUGAGUCUCACCUAUGACCGAAAUAAUUUAUAGUGAGAUUUGGUAAGUCCAAGCAAGAACUUGCAUGGUAAAAGAUUUACCAUCCUUUAGGAAAGAGAUAUUAUCAGGUAGAGAGUAUCAUUGUACUGCAUAUUAGUCGGAAAAAAAGUUGUUUUCCGGGGCAUUUUUCCUGACAUUAAAAGCUUACCGAAUUACCAUCGGACAGUCCUCCCAAAAAAAAAAAAACCAUUAGGACUUAUUCUGAGAAAGAAUAUAGAUGCCGUUUUCAUGUAUUUUCUGAAGUACUCUGGAAUUUCCGGGGGACCACUUGUGCUUCUCUGCCUUGGCCAUAUGGUCCACAUUAAAAAUUGAGUUGAUGGCAGACUGUAAAGUCACGUGGGUGUGGCCAGUCCUUGUCCAUUCAUUUUCUUUAUUCAUUACCUUUUAUUAUAUCAGUGCUGACACGCUGUUUAAGUCGACUCAUUUGUUUACUGCUACUUGAACAGCUGAUGAUCAUCUCUUUCUUUCUCGGUUCAUCGCUAUUCGACGCUCCCCUUCCUUCGUCCUUCUUUCGCGCUCGAAUCUCUUCGCCUCGUUCUUCUCUUGCUCUGUUUCACUCUUUCUUCUCCUCAGCACAAUCAUUCUUCCUAUUCCUCCUCUUCUUCAGUAUCUUCUCCUUCUUUUCAUCAUUCUCUCUCUGUGUCUCUCUUUCUUUCUUGGAAAAAAAAAAAUCAAAGAAAAAAUGUCGGUCGAUUCUGUCGUUGCUAUUGCGUAUGAUGUCUUCAAGAGCUAUGUAGUUGAUCCCGUCAAGCGUCGAUUCAGAUACGUGAUCUCCUCCAAGAGCUUCGCCGACGAUCUUCGGGAGGAAGUCCGGAGCCUGGAGAAGGAGGCUCAGAGGGUCCGUAUUUUGGCAGAAGUGGCCCGAAACAACCUUCGGAAUUUCUAUGAUUACUUUGCAGAGUGGCAGCAAAGUGCUGACAAGGCCUUGCAGGAGGCGGGAGACCUGUUGGGCGACAUGGGUGAGGCGAGGAAGACUUGCUGCUACGGGACUCUUCCCGACGCCAAAUGUCGCUAUCAGUUCAGCAGGAAGGCCGAGGGCAAGAUCGAGGUCAUUAAGCGACUCGCUCGAAAAUGCAGAGAAUUCAAGGAAUUGAACGACAUCUCCUUCAGCGAUCCUGCUCCGGGAAAUGUCACUGCUUUGAAUCCAUCCAGGAGAGAAGGCAAAGAUGUCGUCCAGUCGACCACCGCAACGGCCUCCGCUUCUCCUGUCUCAACGUCAAAUGAGCUUAGUAAGGAUUGCGUCUUCGAAUCCAGAACUGCGAUCAUAGGGGACAUAAUGGGCGCUCUUGCCGAUAACAGCAAUAGUGUGGUCGGGGUUUACGGGAUGGGUGGGGUCGGCAAGUCCACCCUUUUGGACGAUGUGGUAAGCAGAAUAAGAGAAGAGAAGCGGUUCGAUCUGGUCGCCAAGGCCGACGUGUCACAAAAUCCUGACAUCAAGAGAAUUCAAGGUGUGAUUGCCCAUGUGUUGGGCCUGGACAUGAAGGAUUAUGAGUAUGAGAGCUUGCGAGCGGAUCGUCUGCGCGAGAGGUUGGGAAAUGAGGAAAAGAAGGUCCUCAUAAUACUGGACAACCUAUGGAAAGGGCUUGACUUGAAAUCUGUUGGAAUUCCUUGCGGGCAUGACAACAAAGUCAUGGGAUGCAAGUUGUUAUUGACGUCGAGAGACCGAAAUGUUUUGCAAAGGGAAAUGGGCUGUGACAAGGACUUCUUUCUUGAUAGGCUGGAGGAGAAAGAGGCAAAAAUAUUGUUUGAGAGGAUGGUGGGAGAUAAAGUUCAUGAUGAUGAGUUCAGAUCCAUGGUGAAUGAAGCACUCCGCAAAUGUGCAGGUUUGCCUUUGUUAAUUGUCACAAUGGCGAAACAUUUGAAAUACGGUCGUUUGCCUGAAUGGAGGAAUGCUUUAAAUCAAAUUGAGCGGUGUUCAAACAAAGGGUUAAGUGCAGUGAUCAAUACGAUGUUGCAAUUAAGUUAUGAUCAUUUAGAAAGCGAGGAAAUGAAAAAUUUGUUACAACUCUGUGUUGCUUGUGGCGUCUCUAAUCCCUCCGUUGAAGACUUGGUGAGGUAUGGCUAUGGUUUAGGGAUAUUUCAAAAAGAUAUCAGCAUAAAAGAAGCUAGAGAUGAAGUGAGUACACUCAUCCACACUCUUCAAGCCUCCUCCCUUCUGUUGGACAAUGGAGAUGACAAUGCUUUCAAGAUACAUGACUUGGUUCGUGACUUUGUUGCUCAGUUCAUUUUAAAAGAUCGCCCUCUUCUCAUGUUGAAAGAUAAAGAUGUGUCGGCAACACAAUUGCAGAAUGAGAGGCUCAAAAGUUGUUCAGCGAUAUGCUUUCCCUAUAUUGAUAUGAAGGAGCUUCCCAAAGAAUUAGAUUGUCCCGAAUUGCGCAUCUUUUUGCUUUUUAACAACAAUAUAUCUCUUGAAGUUCCAGAUUCGUAUUUCAACUCUAUGAAGAAACUUGUGGUUCUAAAUCUAACUGGCGUACGUCUCACUCGUUCAUCGACGCCAUUUCAGUUCUUGGAGAACUUAUGUACUCUGUGUCUUCAAUUUUGUUCACUAGAGGAUGUGACCAUUCUGGGCAAGCUAAAAAGGUUACAAGUUCUUAGUUGUGCAAAUUCCAACUUUCAACAAUUGCCGGAAGAAAUUGGGCAACUAACAGAGUUGAGGAUGUUGGAUUUGAACCAUUGUCCACAUCUUCAGAUAAUUGAACCAGGUGUUCUUGGAAGAUUGAUCAAAUUGGAGGAGUUGUAUAUGGAGAAUAGCUUUAAUAAAUGGAAUUUCGUGGAGCAAACUCAACGAACUAAUGCCAGUCUGAUUGAGUUGAAUCACUUGAAGAAUCUUUGCACUCUACAUGUCUCCAUUCCCGAUCCGAGUGUGCUCCCAGAGGACCUAGAUGUCAAGAAAUUAACCAAGUACAAAAUCCGAAUAGGUAAUGUAACACACUGGAGCAAGGACCAAGGAUUGAGGAUUUUGUACCUCAAGUUGGAUCCAAUAAGUGAUGUUCUUCGAAAAGGAUGUAUACAAAGUCUUCUAAGCAAAACAGACGAUCUGUUUUUGGCCGAGUUGAACGGAAGCAAGCAAAAUAUUUGCGCAUUAUCUCAAGAAGGCUUUCCAAAAUUAAAGCAUCUACAGGUCAAGGAUAGUCUUUCCAUCCAUCACAUCCUCCAAUGGCGUUCCCUUAGUGCUUUUGAGAUGUUGGAGUCAUUACUUCUCAUAAAGCUUAUCAACUUGACGAAGAUAUGGCCCAACCAUAUCUCCUCCGCCAAGUCCUUCAGUAAAUUAAAAGUAAUUCGAGUCCAAAGUUGUGACAAGAUGGAAGUUUUGUUUCCUCUUUCAUUACUGAGAGGACUUACAAAUCUGGAAGAGAUUGAAGUUGUCUCUUGCAAGUUAUUGCGUGGGAUUGUAGAUGCUGAUGAUUGUGGCAAAGUGGAAUUGCAAAAUUUGCAUGUAAUAAAAUUGCACCACUUACCAAAUAUCAAGAAUUUUUUCACUGCCGGGACAGUUCCUUCAAAUAGCACAUCAGAGGACCAAGUUGGCACUCAAAUUGCAUUCUUCAAUGGGCAACAGGUAACUCUCUGUCAAAAGAGUAUAAUAUUUAUUCUUUUUCCUACCUUUGCUAAUUAGAUGCAACACAUAUUAUGUUGCUUAAUAAUUUUGUUAUUUUUAGUUCAUAUUUUUUCCUAAUAAUCUUAUCCAUUCAUGCCUUCUCUGCAAUUCUCUUUAUUGCAUAGAAAUCCAACUAAUUGUAUGAAAUCCAUGUACAUUUAAUUUGUGAUAGGCUUUGAGUUAUUUUCAAUUUAAAUGCUGCAAGUAUAUCUAUAUUAAUACGGUUUCAUAAAGCAAAAUUGAAGGGAAUUUCGUCACUAAAGUAAUACCACAAGUAAUUUUAAAUAUUUUGAAAUAGAUUCUAUUGAAUUUACUUAUCAUAAGAUAGCUGACUCUCCAAAAAAGCGAUACGAAAAAUGCGAAGGAGGACCGGGUUUUUUAAAUAAAAGCAACUAUAAUAAUCUAAUUGAUGCAUUAUAAGAGUAUGGAGUUUUGUGCAUGUCCAUGCAUGCAUAUUGUAUACAUAGAUAUCUUUGUACGUAUUUUUGAUAUCACAAAAGCAAAUCCACAAUUUGUGUUUAAUAUCCUAUUAAAUUGGUUAUUUAUAGUGAUUUGUUAAAGGUAAAGAGAAGUUAGCAAAAUAAGGAUGAUCAAUUGCCCAAUUAAGAAAAGCACAUGGCUAUUUUACAUGGGGAAGAAUUGCUGCGAAUAGUACCUUUUAGUUGACUAGAUAAGAUUGCCCUUUUAUAGUGGCGCAAUAUUGCUGAAGUUGAUCAUGAGGCCUUAGACACACAAUAGAUUAGCUUUCCCGUUCAUAAAGUCUUGGAAAUUUAAGUUGUAGGUCCCACGUGUUGGUGUGUGACUUAUCUUCUUCCCCUGCUUUGAGCUAUCAUGGAGAGAGCGCUCUCAAAGAUAAUGGAACUACAUUGGAGAAAUUUUACAAAGAGCCUUUAUGGCUUUGCUUUUUUCUUUUUACAUCGUAAUCUUGUAUAAUAGAUCCUUUUGGUAUCAUCUCUACACCAAAUUUAAAGAAGAUGAUAAAUUAUUCAAGUUCAACAAGGGGGAGCAAUUGUAGAAUUGAUAAAGUAGCUCAUCACAACAACAACAAUUAAUGGCAUUCAAUUGAAAUUGAGGGCGAAUAUUUGUAGUAUAUUAAAUUCUAGACUAGCAAGUGGAAACGUAGUUAAUAGUUUAACUAGCUUUAUUGACAACAUUUUAUAGGAGAUCUUUUUGCUAUAAUAUCUACAUGAAGUUCAUAGAAAAUGACAAAUCAUGCAAGUUCAAAAAGGGCAGUAAUUACAGAUGAAAAAUUCCUUUGUUAUUUUUUUUUUAUCAAUGGAAAUGAUGUUACUAUGCUGUAGAUAUAUUUUAUGGUCCUAUCUCGACUUCUACGGAUAGAAUUUACUAUGAUGAAAGAGAAACAAUAAACUAAGGAUAAAUAAUUGCCCAAUUAAAGAGAGCUAACGGCUAUAUUUUAUUUGGGGAAAACUACUGUAAAUAAAAAGUUUUAUUUGACUAGACAAUAUUACUCUUUCACAGUGGUGCGGGCCCAAGGCUCAUGCCAUACGUUAGUUUCCCUGUUUAUACUUAAUAGAGAGCGAUGGAGACCUAAUUGGUGGGUCCCACAAGGUUAUGAUGUCAGAGUGUGACUUCUUUCAACCCAUGCUUUGAGCUCCCACGGCGAGAGCUUGCUUUAAAAAAUAAUGGAGCUAUUACCCUUUGCCUUUUUUUUUUUUUUUUUUUUUUUUGCUGUAGUUUUUGGGGCUUUUAUCUUUCUAGGAUUCUAAUUCUCAUAAAAGAGUUACUCUUGCCUUAGUACUUCUUUUUAUUUUUAUUUUUUGUGUAAAACCGACAUAUGCAAAGAUCUAUGGGGUUAUAAUGAAAUUGCUUCUUAAACCUAUAAUAAAUCUCCUCCGAUAUUAUAAAGCACUGGCAGCCUCCACAAGUAGUAAUCUAGGGUUAGCUUGUCGGGGAUGAGAAUAGUCUAAUGAACGAAAUACAAAAAAGUUAAAAAGCUGUUGUAUGGGUUGGAGCCAGGCUGACGGCGAGAUAAAUGGGAGACUGUGAGCAACUUGGCAGAAGAUGGAUUCUCUAGAGUCAUAUAGCAAUGAACUUUUGGGGGAAAAAGAACAAAAAGAAAAUAAAGCUUUCCAUCAUCAUUAGGGACAGCUGGAUCCCUCACCUCUAAUGUUAUGGUUUCUGACAUGUUGACUGUGGAUUUAGACUCACCGCAAGGAAAUUAUGACAACAAGUAUGAUUAAUUAAGAUAGGCUACAUAUGCCUCUGAAUUUAAAGGGACACUCGAGAUGAUUUAUGAAGGAUAGGGAAAAAGAAGUCCAGUACUCAGUUAUUGUAAUAUCACAACUGCUGAAAUGUCCAAUUUCAGGUUAUUUUGUGGGGAAAUUAGUCCCAUUUUGCCUGAUAAAUUCGGAGAAAUUGAAGACAUCUAAGAAGGAAAAGAAAAAGAAAUGCCCGUCUUGUAGGAUUAUAAAUGAAUGGCAGAAAAAAAGAGUUCUCCUGACCUAAAUGAAUGAGGAAUGAUGUCAUGUUCGGCUAUCAACUCUCUAUGCCCAUAAGUCUUUUUCAUAUGCCACCGUUUGCCCAAUGUUUAUUUUUUGAGUUAGGCUCCUAACAAGAUGAUAUAUAGAUAUAGAAGGCUCAAUCUCGCCGGGACUCAUGGGACAUGAGUUGUAUACAUCUCCAUCUAAUCGAUAUAAUUUGACAAUUAGAUAAAUACUUCUUGUAUCAACAGAUUUGCAUUAGUAAUCAGAACGAGUGCUAAUUUUUUAUCAUUGCGAUUCCUGAUUUUGCUAGUAAAAUGCAAACAAAAUCUAAUCGUGACAGGAUCCUUGUUAUAUCGUAAAUAAAAGGUAAAGUUGAUUAGUUGUCUUUUGAGGUUGUAAAUUAGCUUUUGUUUAUCAUAGAUUUCCGUACAUGCAAAACUAUCCUAAAGGUUGUACAUUAUCUUUUUUGUAAAUUUCUUUCGCCAAUUGAAUUAAUAUACUAUAAAUAAUUGCCCUCAAUUUCAAUUGAAUGCCAUUAAUUGUAUUGUGAUGAGUUAAUGGCAUUCAAUUGAAAUUGAGGGCAAUUAUUUAUAGUAUAUUAAAUUCUAGACCAAUAGGCAGAAAUGUAGUUAAUUGUUUAACUAGCUUUAGCAAUAACAUUUAAUAGGAGAUCCUUUUGGUAUAAUCUUUACAAUAACCUUAAAGAAGAUAAAAAAUCAUUCAAGUUAAAAAAGGGGAGCAAUUACAUGUGAAAAAUGCUUUAUUAUUUGUUAUUAUCAAUGAAAGUGAUGUUAUGCCGUCAUAGAUAAAUUAUAUGGCCUUUAUCUGCACUUCUACGAGACUAAUCCCAUAUGCAACAUCAGUCAUUGAAUUUAAAACAAAAAACUUUCCACUUGUUAAAUUGAUCAUUGAUAGUAAGUUACUAACAUGAAAGAGAAUUAGUAAACUAAGGAUAAACAAUGCUCCUAAUUAGGGAAAGCUCACGGCUGUAUUUUAUAUGGGGGAAAACUGCUGCAAGUAGAGGGUUUUAUUUGGCUAGACAAGAUUGCUCUUUUACAGUGGCGCGAGCCCAAGGCUCAUGUUAUACGUUAGUUUCUCCGUUAAUAAAGAGCGGUAAUAAAGAGCGGUGGAGAUAUGAGUAGUGGGUCGCACGAGUUUGUGAUAUCAGAGUGUGACUUUUCUUCAACCCAUGUCCUGAGCUCCUGUGGAGAGAACUGGCUUUCAAAUAAUAAUGGAACUAGAUGGGGAAGCCUUUGUGGCUUUGCUUUUUCUUUUUCUUUUUUUCUUGUUUUUGGUAGUCUUUGGGGCUUUUAACUUUCUAGGAUUCUAAAUCUUUAUGAAAGAGUUACUCCUGCUUUAGUACUUCUUAAUAUUUUUAUUUUUUCUAUAAAACCUACAUAUGCUAAGAUCUAUGGGUUUAUAAAAUGCUUCUUAAACCUAUAAUAAAUCUCCUCCGACAUUAUAAAGCAGUGGCAGCCUAUAAAAGUAGUAGUCUAAGGUUGGUUUGUCAGAGAUGACAAUAGUCUAAUGAACGAAACACAAAAAAGUUCAAAAAAACUUGUUGUAUGGGUGGGAGCGAGGGCGAUGGCAAUAUAAAUUGGAGAUUGCGAGCAACUUGGCAGAUGAAGGAUUUUCUAGAGUUAUAUAGCAAUUGGACAUUUGGGGGAAAAAAAGAAGAAGAAAAAAAAAAUAAAGCUUUCCAUUGUCAUCAGGGACAGCCGGAUCCCUUCACCUCAAAUGUUAUGGUUUCAGACAUUUUGACUGUGGAUUUGGACUCACCUUAAGGAAAUUAUGGCAACAAGGAUAAUUAAUUAGGAUAGGUUACAUAUGCCUCUGAAUUUAAAGGGACAAUUGAGAUCAUUUAUGAAAAAUAAGGAAAAAGAAGUCCAGUACUCAGUUAUUGCAAUAUCACAACUGCUGACAUGUCCAAUUUCAGGUUAUUUUGCGGGGAAAUUAAUCGCGUUUUGCCUAAUAAAUUUGAAGAAAUUGAAGACAUCUAAGAAGGAAAAGACAAAGAAAUGCCCGUCUUGUAGGAUUAUAUCAAGAAGCAGACAAUUUUAGUGUGCGAUAAGUCCUCUAGACCUUAUGACCCAAAAAAAAAAAAGUCCUCCUGACCUAGAUGGAUGAGGAAUUAUGUCAUGUUCGGCUAUCAACUCUCUCUGGCCAUAAGUCUUUUUCAUAUACCAUCAUUUGCCCAAGGUUUAUUUUUAAGUUGGGCUCGUAACAAGAUGAUAUAUAGAUAUAGAAGGCCCAAUCUCGCCUUGACUAAUGCAACAUGAGCUGUAUAUAUCUCCAUCUAAUCGAUAUAAUUUGCCAAUUAGAUAGAUAUUUCAUGCAUUAAUUGAUUGUCAUUUUUAAACGGAACAAGUGCUAAUUCUUGAUGGUUGCAAUUCCUGAUAUUGCUAGUAAAAUGCAAACAAAAUCUAAUCGUAGUAGCAUCCCUUGUUAUAUUGUAAAUAAAAGAUAAAGUUCAUUUGUUCUCUUUUGGGGUCGUAAAAUUCUUUUUUGGAUUGGAAAUUAGCCUUCGUUUGUUAUAGAUUUCCGUACAUGCAAAAAUUAUACUAAAGGUUGUACAUAUCUUGCUUGUGAAUUUCCUUUGACAACCAUUUAUAAUACUUGUUAUACUGUGUAAAUUUCCGACUGUCCUUUAUAUGUGUAAAUGCUAAUGUUGAUGGGUUUGUUCGUUAGAUUUCAAUCCCAUCCUUGGAGUCCUUGACAAUGGGAGGACUUCCCAAUAUAAAAGAAAUAUGGAGUGAUCAAUCUCUAUUGGGGCUAAGCAAUCUUCGAUCUCUUAAGGUGGUGCAGUGCAAAUCUAUGUCAAAGGUUAUUAGCUUUGAGUCGCUGGUAAAACUACACGAAUUAAACAAUUUAAGCAUAUCAAAUUGCCAUUCGGUGCAAGAAAUUUUCGAUCUUGACAGACCAAGCACAAGUGGAGAUGUUGAGACUCUGUCUGAGUUGACCACCUUUGAUUUAAGGGGACUAGGGAGCUUGAGACGCAUAUGGAACAAGAAUCCUUGUGGAAUAGUGAGUUUCCAUAAUUUAAAGAAGUUGGAGGUGCAUGACUGUCCCAACCUUAGGUUUAUGUUUUUCCCAACCAUGGUUAAAUCUCUCGAACUCUUGAGAGAUCUAACAGUAAAACGUUGCAAGAAAAUGGAGGCAAUCAUUAUGGAGGAAGAAGGGUCGGGAUUGGAAACAUCAAAAACUCUGGCAUUCCCGAUGUUGACCAACUUAAACUUACAACGUUUGGAAAGUUUGAUGUGCUUCUCUUGUGGAAAGUGUAAGAUUGAUUUAUUUUGUUCUCCUCACUAAAGAUCUUCUUGUACAUAGAUUCAUCCUUGCAAUGCAAAUGGUGACAUUCUUUUCAUCCAAUGAAAAACCGACGACAGAUUCACGAGAAGCUCGAAGUCAGGACUGCAUCAAAUCAAGCUCCAAUGCACUCUUCGGUCGACAGGUACAUGAUUAACGUUAUGUCAAAAUAUCAAAUAUUACAGAAGUAUCAAAUAUGCAUGAGACAAAGCAUAGCGAAAAUAUUUUAAAAGAAAAUGAGUAGCAUGCAAGCAUUAAGUGUUCAGAGUUGCCAACAUGUAUGAGUUGCAAUGUCUUACCUUUAAUUUCUCUGGAAAUAGUUUUCAUAAAGAUGGUUGAACAUCUCUUAUGUUACCUGCACAAAGCAUGAAUGGUAGUACAAUUGCCAAGCAGGAUCCUUAAAAGCUUUCUAAUAUUCACAAGAAACUUAGAACACUCAUGAGCCUCACAUGUACAGCCUAGACAUUGCACGCACGUACAUUGAAAAAGAUUGAAAAAACAAUUGAGAGGAAAGUGAGCAGUGAGGUUCAAGAGGCUGGAGACGAAGGGCCUUUGAGACGCUCACUUUACUUCAUAUGCACUCACAAGAUCUCUCUCUGUCUUCUUUUUCUUAGUCGAAUGAAGCUUUAUUCUCUCUUCAUUGUACCAGCAAAAGGAACUUGAGCUCUCCGCCGCCAAACUGAGCAAGGCCUCUGGGGUCCAGGGCUUCAGAAAUCACCCCUUUUUAGUUUUUACAUGAAUUGCAAGACCAUUCUUGUUAAAGAAAUAAAUUACAUUCCGCAAAUCAGCCAUUUCAGCUUAGCUAUUUGACUUGUCGAGUGAAUAUUGGAAGAACAUUUGAGUGGAAAAUGAAAUAGAGUAAUUUAUGGGCGGAUCCGCUUUGACUAAACUAAAAGUAAUAUAGGACGUUUACCCAAAAUGUUGUUUAUGCCGCCGAAGAGGCUUCGAAAAUGGGCCCUCCCCCAAGAUUAACAUGUCGACUUUCUUAAAUAAUUUUAAUUUUCUAUAGACAGGAAAAUCUUCAAUUAUUUGACUCGAGUUUUUGUAUAAUCUGUCGUUGGUAUCUAACUAUUGGAUCCUCUAGCAUGGAUAAAAGAUCACUGAAUUUUAAAAGGAAAAUUAAAUCGAUUAAGUAUAAUGAGUUCUUUCAAGUGGGGAAUGGUGUAAGUAAGAUUUGUUCAUUUGACCCAAACAAUUCCUUUUUCAAUUCCUUUUUCAAUUCCUUUUUCUUAGCCUCACUUUAUAAUUGCUUUAGAGUAAUAUAAUAUUGAUUUGAGGCAUUCAGUAUUAGAUAAAAUCACACCUCCUACUGUAUUCCACCUUUCGAUGGAUGAUUGGUUGGCUCUUUAAAAUCAAUCUCUCCAUCAUUUUCUUUCUAAUUGCUAAUAUUCUUCCUCAAGCGAUCCUUAGCUGCAUUUUUCUUUUACCACAUCAAUUUAGUGACUUACAAGUUCUAACGUUAAUGACCCUUUUAACGUGAUUCUUGUUUCUUUAAAUAGAAUUUUCCUCCUCUCUAAGUGAUUUAACUAUUGCUACGUAUACUAGCUAAUUCAUUAUAUUAGGGAAGUAAUUAAAUUGAAGAGAGGAAGAGAUUUUAUCUAACUUUGGGAUCUGCGGGAGACGUGAUUGUAUGAUUAUUAUAUGAGCAUAUCCAAAUUACUAUUUUGUCCAUUGUCAAUAGAAUUUGGCUAGACCAGAAUUCUUAAUUUUUUUUUUUAAUUUUUCUCCGGUAAUUCCAAUGGCCUUCUCAUCCUAGAGUCAUCAAUAUUAGUACGGAGAUUUUUUUACUAACUUUUUUUUUAUCCUUUUUGUCCUUUUGUGCAACUUAAGAUAGAAUCAUCGAUUCUGUGAAUUCAUAAUUUAUAACUUGCUACUCAUCCAUAUUUACAUCUUGAAAAUUUAUGAAUUUGUAAUUUAAUUGAAUCACCAAUUUCAUGAGCAAAUACCUGCAGGUUGCUUUUCCUAGCUUGGAGACCUUACAUAUCAAUGACAUGGAUAACAUUGAGAUGAUAUGGGACAAUCAAGCUAUUGCAGAUUCUUUCCCCAAGCUAAAAUCACUUUUUGUGGAUAAAUGCAAUAAGUUUGUGACUGUUGUUCCUUCUUACAUUCUAGGACGACUCUUAUGCCUGGAAAGUUUAAUGGUAAAAGCAUGUGCUUCACUUGAAGUUGUUUUCCAACUUCAACCACCGAAUCCUCUAGAUGGACAUCAUGUUGCUCUUUUGUUAAAAAAGUUAAAGCUAUCAAAUUUACCAAUGCUAAAGUGUAUAUGGGAUAAGGAAAUACACCGUCAAGUUAAAUUUCAAUGUCUACGUUCUAUCAACGUUUCUGAAUGCAAGAGCCUCACCUCCCUAUUUCCAGCCUUAGUGGCUAGAGAUCUAAUCCAACUUGAGGAGUUGGAGAUCUAUGAGUGUGGCAUUGUGGAACUCAUUGAGAAGGAAGAAGGACCAGGUCCUAGGUUUGAUUUCCCCAAGCUAACCUCCCUUAAGCUUGAGCUUCUUAUAGAGUUGAAGUGCAUCUACACCAAAAGACAUGCUUUACAUUGGCCGGCAUUGAAGACCUUGGAGGUCCUUGGCUGUAACAAAGUGGAGAUACUUGUUUCACAACCUAACAAUGAGAUGCCACUUCAUAAGAACCCUCUCUUCUUCAUAGAAAAGGUACGAUGCUAGAUUAUUUGUUUUGCUUCAAUGGUGAAUAUUUGAACUAAUGAUUAAGCCAAGCAUCUCAUACAAGUAGCUUUUACAUACGAAAAUAUAAACUAUACAACUCUCCGUGAAUCCAUAGAAAUAUUACAACAUUGAAACAUCAUGUGUUCUUCAAGUAUUGAGUGAACAUUCUUGUCAAUGUCUGGCAUAACAAAUGCAUACUCGUUGAUCUCCUUAAAAAAAAAGAGAGGCUAAUUCCAAUUUUUUAGCUCUCUCUUAAGUGCCACAAAGAUCGGAAACACGUGGUAUGUGGUGUGAUCUUACCAUGGCACAAGUGUGUUGUCUAAUUUGAACCCUAUAAAAAGUGCUGAUCUUAUGCUAACAAUUAAAAAAGGGGACACUAUUGUUGACGUUCAAAACUGAAAUUAAUGCAAUUGUGACUGUAAUUGAUGCAAAAGUUAUUUUCACAGGGGAUAUAUCUUUAGAAAUGUGAAUUUAAGGAGUUAAUCAAGUUCAAAUAUGGAUACAAGUCAAAUAUAAAAUAUUAGCGAUAAUGUUUGUUUCCUGAAGGCACGUAUCUUUCCAUUGAAUCACAUGAGACUCAACAAUUUAAAAUGUAGUUAUUGUGCUCAAUAUGCAAGAUUUAUAUCAUAAUACAUGAAUACUCUUUUAGCUAAGCUGGCUUUAGGUUCUGAUUUGACUAUUUUCUCAGGGUGCAUUCCCUAGCCUCCAAGAGUUAAAAUUGGAUUUAUCCAAACGGAUGGAGAUAUGGCAUAGGCAUUUUCAUGAUGGAGAAUUCUUCAACAAGCUUAGAUUUCUUGAGCUCCGUCAUCUCUCCCAGGAGUCUUCAAUAUCCACAUCGUGUUUUGUUGAGAGUUUACCCAACUUGAAAGAGCUAGUUGUAUGUGAAUCUUAUCUAGAAGACCCAAGUAGCAUUAAAGAAGCCAUAGAAGGCAGAAGUCAUGAGCUAAAAGUGAUAUUACCAUUUUCAAGAUAUAUUCGACAUCUGAAAACUCUAGAUGUGUCACUUUGUGAUGGGUUAUCAAAUAUGUUCACAUGGACAAUAGCUGAAAAUUUGGUGGCACUCACCAAAUUGAAGAUAAGUAAUUGUAGAAUAUUGACAGAAGUCAUUAGUGAUGACGAAGGUGGGGAGGGGCAUGUAGUGGCUUUCAAUCAAUUGAAGUAUAUGGAGCUUGACAGGUUGGCUAGGUUGAGAUGUUUCAGCUCAGGUGGAUACACUUUGAUGUUCCCUCUCUUGGAAGAUAUCAUUGUGAAUAGAUGUCCCAAGAUGAAGUUCUUCUUCGAGGGACCAAUGGAGGCGCCAAAGCUGGAUAGAGUAGGAACAAUUUUGAAUGAAAGGUAUAGAGCAACAAAGUACCAAUAUUUUUGGAAGGGAAACCUCAACACGACCAUCCAAAAUAUGUUCCAAGAAAUGGUAUGCUUUAGUUACUAAAUUCUGUGCAAUUUGAUUUUUUUUUCAAUCACCAAUGAAGUACUUGUUUUUUUUCUUUUUUUUUGCUAACUAGAAUUUUACGUUUAAUGAUGCAUUUUCUAAUAGGCUACAUUUGCUGGGACUAAGUUUAUGAGGUUGUCUGAGUUCCCGGAGCUGAUUGGAAAAUGGCAGAGUGAACUCAAUCCCAUCACGUCAUCUUGGCAAUUAGAAUCAUUAGUGGUGGAUAAAUGUUCAUCAUUUAUUAACGCUAUUCCAUCCAGUUUGAUGCUUGUUUUAGAGAGAACGACAAGCUUGCAAGUGCGUGAUUGCGAGCCUUUGCAAGAAAUAUUCGAUCUUGAAGGGCUUGAGGCUGUGGAUUACACUCAGGUGUUGCCUCAAUUGGAGGAUCUGCACUUGGUCAAUCUACCAAAGUUAAGGCAACUGUGGAAUAGAGAUCUCCAAGGAACGACAUGCUUCAAUUGUCUACAGUAUCUUAGCCUUUAUAAAUGCAACAACUUGAGACAUGCUUUUGUUCCAUCAAUGGCUCGGUGCCUUCCCAAUCUAUGGGAGAUGGAAAUAAAGGAGUGUGAUCAAAUGGAAGGAGUGAUCGUAGACGAAGAUGGGCAGGGAAGCACGUUGGAGGAGAUUACAUUCCCAUAUCUUAUGUCGAUAUAUUUGGAAUACUUGCCUAAUUUGAGUAGUUUCCUCUCAUGGAAGAAUCAUAUGCUAGAAUGCCCUACUUUAUCAACGCUGAGCAUUGCCCAUUGCCCGAAGAUGAGAAGUCUAACUUGGCAAUCUUCGGUGGAGAUUAGCAAUGGCACCCCUUCGCUUUUCACUUCACAAGUCAGUCUCUCAAACAAAUGCAUUUAUGGCAUUUCAUUUGAAUAUAUUCAUUCGCGUAUAAUUGGACAAUGCAUGGUAUGCAAACAAAAGUGCUAGAUAUAAUUGUUUGUAAUAUCAAUCAUCAAUGCUUUGCUCAAAUUUGACUGGGACUCUGUUUCAUACCUAAACAAAGAUAACCAAAAUAUUUGCCUUCCCACAAUAAUCCAUGAUCACAUCCAUAAAGUAUUAAUGCAAAACAAUUCAGACAUUGAUAAUCAUGUGCAGUUUUAAAAUCAUUUAAUUAUACAUAUAUAUGUACAUAAUCUAUUAAUAUUUACUUAAAAGAUUAAAAUUUUUCUAAUCCUCAGCAAGUAUAACUAUUAAUUGUCCAUCUCCAUAUAUUUUUAGAAGUGUUAUUCUUGUGAGCUCAUAAAAUCAUAUUGUGUGCAGUACCUCAAAAUAUAUUACAUAGGAUUUUAAAAAUGUUAUGACAAUAGCCAUAUGAAAUCAUUUACUUUUUGUAAUUUCAACUAUAAAGAAUAUAACAGUAAACAUAGAAUAGCAUUUAAAAAUGGCAAAAAAAAAAAAAGAAGUAUUGCCCACUUCAUAUUUCUUGCAUGGAAGCAAACUGGCAUCAUUCUAUUAAACAUGAAGAAAAGAGGAAAAGAAAAUUUCAUAAUUAUAAAAGCUUAAUUCACAAAUUGCUUAGCUAUUACAACUCAUUGUACCAUAAUCAUCUUUCCAAUCAAUGAAAUUGGAGGAAUUAGAGAGAAUUUCUCCUUUAAUUGGAGUGCUUUAAACUUCGAUAAUGAUCAGUGCUGUCAACUUUUUAUAUCUUAAUAAUCACUAAUGCUUGAGCUGGGUCUUGAUAAUAAAAUAAAUAAAAAUAAAAAGGCCAAUAUGUCUGAAGUUUUUUUUUUUUUUUGUAAAUCAUAAUUGAAUCACUGUACUCCAACAACCUAUCAAAUUAUGUACCUAUAUUAUACAAUAAAUAUUAACUCUAGAUUAUCAUGUUGAGUGAUAAUUAGUGUGAUACUGCGUACAAUCUAUGUUUGGCUAGAGGAAAAUAUAGAUUGCUUUUUCCAAAAAAAGAAAUGGCAAUAAAAAGGAAAAAAAAAUAAAAGAGAGAAAAGGACAGCGGUUGCCGACAUUGCAAGUUUUAUUUCGUCACUAGAUGACAAAAUUUAGUCAAUGUCCUAGCUAAAAUAAAAAUUUAAAAAAUUAGAAUAAAUUAUCCAAUCAACAACACUACUGAAGAGAAAAUAUCAGGUGCAUUAAAUACACCAUGUAGGAUCCAUAUUAAAUCAUCUGCAAAUCGACAUGUGGUAAAGUCGGGCCCACCUAUCAGUUGAAUGAUCAAAAUAUUUGCUCCCCCUCCCUUCAAUAACGCCCUGUUAUUGGAAACCUCUCUUUCCUCUUUUCUGGUGUGGCUUUGCUCCCUCCUCUCUCUCUCUCUUUCCUUCCUCGGUGGCCUUGGCCUCCGUCUGUUGCAGUGCUGUUGCGAUGCGCUCACUAGACAAAGGAAGAAAUUAGACAAAGUCUAUUUGAUGAUUUCGCUUCUCCCCCUCUAAGAAAUGUUCGCUCUCAGUCAUUUCGUUUCACCUUUGAUCCUCCUCUUCGCGACGAGGGGAAAAAAGAAAGUGAACCAAAUCUACAGAGUCAAGUAAUAAUAACUCUUCUUCCUCCCCCUCCCCCUCAUCCUCUUACCUUCUGUUUUUUUGGGGCGAUUGAUUGGGCGGUCUGUCCAAUGGUUGAAUCGGAAGCUUCAGAAUCGCUUCUCUGAAGCUCGCCUCCUCUCUGUGUGCGUGCUUCCAUGGGUUCCGAGUGAUUGCGCGAACCGGAGCUUGUUGGUUAUGGUGGGUCGAAGUGGAUCUCCGAUACGGAAGCGAUUUCGGCAUCGAUUCGGUCGGGGCGUUGAUUCCCGGCGAAGAAAAAUUAAAAAAUCUUCUCUUCAGCCCUCUCUUCCUUCUCCUUCGUCCACAGCCGCCCGACCUCCGCCCCUCUUCCGCUGUCGCCAAUGGCGGAGUCACCGACGCCUUGAUUAGGCUGACCCCCGCUAUGUCCAAGCCGAGCAUGGUCGGCUUACCUCUGUUUUGUCCGUCUCAUAGUUCUACAGAUCUCGAAAUCUGGCUGUCCAUAGCGACGGAGUUGCAGAUCUGGAAGUCGACCACCGCCGCUCGCAGCCAUGGACGAGCCGCUGUCGCUAGAGACAUGGUUGCAGAUCUGGAAGUCUCGUCGCGAGCAACGACGGCUUAUGGACUGCCAUUAUCCCCUCCGUCGUCGCUCGCGAUUGGCUCGCGGUCGUUGCCCGUCCAAAUCUGGGCUGGAGUCGUGCCUUCAGAUCUAGUAUCGUCCAUGGACGCAAGCCUAGCUCGUCCAUGGCUCGCCAGGAGGCUCCUCCACAGAUCUGGCGACCGUAGCUUGUCCAUGGCCAUGAGUCUUGACGGCGAGUUUGAGAUCCCUUCGUCCAUGGACUGCGAGGUCAAACGGCGAAAGAGAAAACAGAGAAAUAGAUGUCAGGGAAGAGCGGCCAUGGACGAGAGGCGUCAUGAAUGGGUAGACCACAGAGACGAUGGAGAGGGUUGGACGAGAGGCAAUGGUCACCUUGGACGCGACGCCGGCAACUCCACCGGUGGUGAUGGCUGGGGGAUGCGGGAAGGUUGGGCUCAAUGUGGCUGGAGAUGGAGGAGAAAGCGUAGAUGGAGAAGGAAAGUGAGGUGGAUUGAGAUUUUUUAUGUUUAGUCAUCCGACCAAGAAGAAGCCAAAGUUUAGUCAAUGUCAUAGCGUCCAGUCAACACUUCCAUUUCGUCUCAUGAAGUUCUCCUCAUGUGAAGACUAAACGCAGUAAAUGACGACCUCCUCCAGCACUUUUUUUUUUUGGGUUGAAACUGAGGCACUUGAAAAUGCGCGAUAUCAUUUUUUUAUUACAGAUUCUAUACAAGUUUUGUUUUUUUUUUCCACGACAAACGAAAUCCUUUUUUUUUUUCCUUAUUCUAAUACUUUUGCGCAAUUCUUUCUAUGGUUUUAUACUAGUAGAAUAGAAUGUUUAAUUAUAACAAGUAUCUACACAUCUGGUUACUUUUUAAUUGUAAGAAUUAUCACUAAUUAUUUAUUGAUAAUGUCAUUUGCAUGGAUAAGUUGUUAUAUAAUACCUAGCCCCACAUUCUAAGAAUAUUUCAAAAAGUCAGUAUAACACUCAAUCAACGAUACUAAUAAAUUUGGGGAAGUAUGAAAAUAGUCACCUGAUCUUUUGGUAGUGACAAGUUGUGAUAGAAUUGUUUUCAUUUUAGUGUCAAAUAUGAGCUGUCAUAUAAUAAUUGAUUUCUCCCACAUUAUUAGAUAAUUUCAAAAACUCAUCAAAAUCCUCAAUUAAGAAUAUUGAUAGAUUUAAGGAAGUGUGGAAAGUCUUUUUCUUUUUUUUGUGACAAGUCGUAAUUGCAUUAAUUAUAUUUUAACCAAAUGAAAAAUAUCAAUACUUACUUUCCAAUGGACAAUUCAUCAAGGUCAUGAUGUAGCGAAAAAAAAAAAAAAAAAAAGCACUCUUGAGUUUCUCCAUACAAACAAAAUGUGAUCAGCGGGUGCACACCCACUUUUUGCCAAAGGGUGGACCACUCGUACACCACAAGAUUCUAUUUUUAUUAUUUCACCUCAAAUCUGAAUAAAUAUUAUUUCAAGGAUGUUAUUAAUGCUCCAAUGUAAAACUAGUAAAUUGUCCCAACGUGCUUUUGCUGAGAUCAUAACAUUAUGUUAUUUAUUCAAGUGUUAUGUUGCCCGUGCCUAUUAAGAAAUUAUUUUCUUUCAAUACAAAAAUUUUCCAUGCAUAAAAAAAAAAGAAAAGGUUGUGAACAAUUGAAGUUACUAUCUAUCCAUAUAUAUGCAGUUCGCCAUAUAAAUUUCAAGACUCUUCUCUUUGGUGAACUGUAUUAAUUAGAAGAUUCAUAAAUACCAUUCGCAAUUUAGUAUGAAUAAGUAGCAGUGCUCAUGGUAAAUAGAGGAAAUAAUGUUGAGCCAAGCAUCGGUUUCAUCCAUUCCUUCUUCAAUACAUACACUAUUUAAGUUCUCUGCACCCGCUAUUCAUAUCCUUAGUUGACUGGCUCAUCAUCACCAUGCCUGUGCUUUUUCUCUAAUUGUUAUGCAUGUUCACCUUGAAGCAAACAUAUCUAAAACAUAACUGAUCUUUGCCGACGAAACUAACGUAACGGAAAUUUUCAGUCUGUAUUAAUGAAUCUAAAUGUUGCUCUUUUCAAUAUUUCUAUCGAACUGCCUAGCAAGCUCCCUAAACUUUUUGCCAAUCUUCGUGCUUAUUCAUUACAAAAAAAAUACAACUUGUCACUCCUCCAUGGCAUCAACAUUGUUUUGUGAGAUUCAUAUUAUGUUCUUCUUCGUCUUUGUCCUCAUUUAAUUGCGUAGAGAAACAGUUGAGUGAGCUAUCAUUGAUGUUUAGUCAAUGGCUCCAUUCAUGCAUCAGCAUAUAGGAGGGCUCUCUUCUCUCUCUCUCUCUCUCUCUCUACGCGAGCUACUAUAAAAAAAAAUGAGGACUUAGGAGGGGAGGAUUAGGAUGAAGUUGAAAGGUAGAAAACUGGAAUUCGGGAGACCUACUUAGCAACCAUUUGAACGAGCCCAAGUUCCACGUGCAUCGGGCCCAUCCGCCUAAUUCCUGAACUUUUAAGUUAUCGCUAUGAUUGUGUUUUUUUUGGUAAGGGUUAUCGCUAUGAUUGUUGAGUAAUCAAGAAAAGUCAACAUUGGCUCAUCACUCUAAAAUCUACGUACCCUUAAUCAUCAAUUAAGCCACUCAAAAAGUCGAUGCUCAACAUACUAUUGAUUUAUAAAAGCAUUAUAAUUCCAUGCUUGUUGCAAUGCAAUACCCUUGGCCUUAGUCAUCAGUCAACUUGUAUAAAAGCAUCAAUCAACCCCUCCCUGUUUAUAUCACUAACAAGAUCUUGACUUCUCAUGAUUUGUGAGAACGAGGGAAGUUUGGCAAUUCGUUCUUUAAGGUCAUAAUUCAAUGCAAUAACAUUCAUUGUGUCAUUCUUUUCUCAAUAUGGCAGGUACAAUUUCCUCAACUUAGGUGGAUGCAUCUCUCCCACAUGGACGAUUUAAGCAAAAUAUGGACUGACGGUCCUCAAGAAACUCUGACUUUUGAUUGUUUAAGGGAAGUGAAGGUUCGGAAUUGUAAGAGCCUUGAAGCUUUGUUUCCGUAUUGGGUGGCUACAAGUUUAACCCACCUUAAAAAACUUCAAGUGGAGUCUUGUGAGAUCGAGGAAAUUGUUGCUAAUGGGGGUGACACUCCACACUCCAAUACUACUGAAGAUCUUUUCCCAGAACUAACCUCUUUGGUGUUACAUGACAUGCCACGACUCAAGAGUUUCUAUCCUAACUUGCCCACUUUGCAUUGGCCAUUAUUGGAGGAAUUACGAGUGAUUCACUGUAACAAACUGAACAUGUUAUCCUUUACGGCAUCCAUGAACAGUUGGGCUCAAAAAUAUGAUCAACAAGACCUUUCAAAUCAAGAAGCACACUCUUCAUUCGAGAGGGUAUGAUUAUAGCUACUCCCCAUUAGUUUCUACUUUGUUCUUUAAAGCAGUCACUAAUAUCAUAUCCAUUGCAUAUCAUGUCGCGUUAUAAUGUUAUAGAAAACAUGAUCUCCCUUACUUAUUAGUUUGUUGACAACAUUAAGAUAUUUCUAAUAUCUUAAGUAUACUUUCAUUUGUGGACAUGCAUAAGAUAUUCCAUUACCUAGAGUUACAAAAAUAUUUAUAGUAUUCUAUUGACAACGGAAUAUAUUCCUAAUCUAACUGAAUGGUGCUCCUUGGUGACAUCAAUAAGAAUUUGACAAGAGGUCCUCUCAAUUAUUGACAUGGGUCGCACAUUUGAACUUUUCUUCUCUAUUUCAUCUUCUACAAACUCUAAAAAAACACCAAUUCAAACUUUUAAAAAAAAAUAAUAAUAACAUCAGUAUCUUAGUGCACCAUUUCCUAAUGUAUUUUUUUAAUACACUGCACAGUCGUCGUGUUGUAACAUUAGUAAUAUUAGUACCUUAGUGCAUUGCAUAGUCGUCUUGUUGUCCUGUUAUAAUACUAUAGAAAACUAGAACUCCUUUCCUAUAAGUUUGCGAACAACAUAAGGUAUUUCUUAUAUCUUAAGCACACUUCUAAAUUUGUGGACCCCAUAUGUUUUAGUAACAUCAUGAGCGCAUCUCAUUACAUAAGAUUCCAAAGAAAAUAUAUUUUUGUUGACAAGAUAUUCCUAACUAAAGAUGAAUUUAAUGAUUGUAGGGGUCUUUGAUUUUAGAUUCACACUAUCCACUUGACCAGACCAACCUUCCAUGCAAAUUAUCUAAGUAGGUUUACUUUUUACAACACGUGAUUUAUUACCAAAACUUUGCUGAAUUUACUUCUAUUGUUGUAUUGGCUAUUUGACAGGACUUUCCCAACUUUGAGAGACUUUUAUUAGUCAAUAACAAUAUUCAGAUGAUACAAGAUGAAAAUUUUCCCGAUGACAUCUUUAGCAAACCAAUAGCACUAACACUGGCAUGCUUUCAUGAUGAAAAGGCCGUCUUUCCUUCUAUAUUCCUCUUAGAGAGAUUUCAGAAUCUACAAAGCCUUGAGGUAUUCUGUAGCUCCUUUGAAGAUAUAUUCCCGGACGAAGGGCUUGUUGAAGAGGGGAAACAUCCGGUGCUUGAAAAUUUAAGAAAAAUUAAGUUAAACGAGCUACACAACCUGAAGCGUGUGUGGAGAGAAGACUCUUUAGUGUCGAAAAUUCUUCAAAGCAUCGAAACAUUUGAGAUUUGGGAUUGUCCCUGUUUGACGACAAUAUUUACAACUGUGGCAUCCUUCCAGAAUCUGAUGAAGUUAGUGGUGAAGAAUUCCUCUGGAUUAGUACAUCUAGUAACAGUUUCAACGGUCACAAAUUUGAUGCAUCUCGAUAACAUGACUAUAAUAGGAUGUGAAAGAAUGAAAGAAGUAGUAGCCAAUGAUGGAAACGGAGAAGGAAAAGUGAUUUCUUUUGGAAAUCUACGCUUUUUGACACUCCAAGAUCUGCCAAGCCUAGAAUGUUUCUCCUCCAUCUCGAGUUGCACCUUCAGGUUCCCAUUCUUAAGGAAUAUUAAAGUGGAAGAGUGUCCGAAAAUAAAGACAUUUUCUAAGGGUACGCUAAGCACACCACUACUAUGUGCAGUGAGCCUGUUCAGAUACAAGUGGAAAGGGAAUUGGGGGGAGGGUGAUGAUCUGAAUACAACCAUACAAAAGUUAUCAGCAUGAACAAAUGCACAUAGAAUUGGUAAAGAUUCAACUGAUGUCAUUUUCUCAUCCAUUCGUUUUUCUUUUUCCUUAUUUUUUUCGGUAGCACGGUAAGUUUUUAAAUUUUUCUUUUUGUAUCUUUUCUAUUAUUGAUACCAUCGGAUCAAAGCAUCACAAACCCUUAUCUAUCGAUCGAUCGAUCUCGCCUCCUUCACUGAACAGCAGGAAACGAAGCAAGGCUCUCCUUCUUGAUUCCAGAGGCUCUCUCUGCUGCAUUCACGGAGGACGGAGCGAAAAGGAAGCGACGGGAAUUGCUAGGACUUGAGAGAAGAUGGCACUGCCGAGUCUGGACAGUCGGUCCUCCACUCACUUCAUCAAAGAAGAAGAUCAUACUCUCUCCGCAUCUGUAUCCGACGAAUCGUAAGUUCACGCUUCUGCACACAUCAUUUCUCCUGUCUGCCAGAAUUUCUUCCUGACUUUCGUGUCUUGUUGCUCGUAAUUUUCAUCUGGUUUUCGUAGAGACCUUUCCUUAAUCGUUGUCAUCUUCUUCAGCUAGGGCUCUGCUUUUUAAAUUCGUUUUGUGUAAAUUUCUCAGUCCACUACUUCAGAUCAUGGACCAACAGAGGUCCUCCACUGACAUCAUCGAAGAAGAAGAUCUCGCUCUUUCUCGCACUUGAACCCAGCAAACUCGUAAGUUCACGUUUCUUCCGAUUUUGGUGUCUUAUUGCGCGUGAAUUAGGUUGAAGUCGGAAGCUGGUUUCGUAGAGACCUUCCUCAAUCCUCGCCUUCUUCUUCAGCAAAGGGCUUUGUUCUUCAAAAUUCAUUCCACAUUAGAGUCUAAAAGCAUAAGUUCCUCAAACUAGCAAUUUUAUCUUAACAAUGGAGUAAUUGAAAUAGGGAAAAGAAUGAAAGGACUAUUAUUGGGACAUAAGCUAGUGGUUGGAGGUUCGAAAAGAUAACAAUCAUCUCCUUAUUCAGUGGAUACAUGGGUUGGAAAAGCAAUUCCUAAGGCGUCUUAGAAUUAGAAUCCAAGUCCUCUUAUAUGGAGAAAUUUGACAAUGUGAUUCAAUGUCGGAGAAGUAGAAUAUAUAUGUUAAUCGCACAAAGAGACUAUGUUCAUAUAGACAAGCAAAUUGCAAAGAAUGUUGCUGCCUCCUUAACUAAAGAGAAAGACCUAAUCGAUAAGGGGCUAGCUUGUUGUGAUUAAGAAAUUUCAUUGUAGAUCUAAUGACUGAUAAUUUUGUUUUCAAAUAGGAGAUGCUGUUGUAUUUUGUUAUGUUAAUCAGAUUUGGGGAAGAAAGAGAUUUUACUUUGUCAACUUGAACCAAUAGUUUGAUAAAACCUUAUUUGAGCUGCGCUUGAAAGAAUCAAACUGAUUAAGUUUAAAUUUUCAAUUCCAUUGAUGUUCCAGUCAUCAAUGUAUUUGCUUUUUCCUUUGUGAUUAUGAUUUGUGUGGCUGAAAUUGAUAUGUUUUAAAUAUAUAUAUAUAUAUAGGACCUGGAAGGCUUCUUCUGAACGUGUACCCUAUUGCAUUCUGGGAGCACGGAUUUGACCUUGACUUUGGAUGAAUGACUUUUGUCAUUUGGUUUACUGUCUAUUAAACUCCUGAAACUAGCAAGUAAUGCCUUAAACUCACUCUGUGUACGAUUUAAUUCUCUCAUUAGGGUAUUGCUUAUGUCUUGGUCUUUUCUUCACCAUAUGUUGGUUUUCCAACCGUGUACAUGCGCAUUUGGCUCCUGUUCAAUUCAACAUGCAACAUAUUCAGGAAAUUUAGCAAAUUGUGACUCUCAGGUAUUCGGACAGGUCAUGGAUGGUGAAGUUAAGGAGUUGUGGAUGAGAUUUUUUUUUUUUUUUUGGGUGCGGUGGGGAGGGGUGUAUGUUCUUUUCUGCUGGUCGGCCCACAUUUGCAAGAGAAGGUCAUCUGCAUGUAGAAACUCAUUGAUAGGGAUGAUUUUCUAUUCAGAGUCCACAUAUUCACUAGUGCUGGUUAGGACUUGAUUUACAUUGAUCUAGAUGAACUCUGGAAGUGUCACUUUCGCUGGUCCAAGAUGAAUUAAGUAUUCCAAAUAACAAACUCCUUUAUAUAGUCUUGAGGAAUCAAGGAAGUGUACUUGUAUGCCAAUUGGGUUUUAUGAGGUUGAUCACAAUCCAGAUGCACACUCAUUAAUGCUUCAUUCCAACUCUGAAUGAAUCGAAAAGUAUGUGCUUCAAGACGUACUUUUUGGUUUAUGCAUUCUUCAUUUUGAAUUUAAAACAAGUCUCAUAGGCUUAUUAAGAUUAUGGGUUUUAUUUUUCCUACAGGAAUAUUAAAAAGGUUCAAGAGGAUGCUUUUGAGAGAACAGUGCAAUUGUUUGGCCUGUAGAACUGGAAAAAUGUGAUGAGAUGGUUUGGUUAGCAUAGGGUUUGAAUGAAUAUGCAGAGCAUUACUCUGUCUGUAAGGUUCAAUUUUUGGUCUUCUAAUAUGAAGGGGACUCCAUUUCCCGUGUCACCAUAAUUGAUGAAAGGAUGUCCGAGAUAGAAUAUCCACCAAUCAAUGUUGAUAUGAGGAACCAAGCCUCAGCAAUUAUGGAAUUGUCUUGCUGAAAGUGGAAGAUGCCUUCAAUUGCCGUGAUGUUUCAGUCAGGCUUGAAGUCUGGGGGGGUGAAUUGCAUUUAGCCAAGUGUCCUCGGUUUUGUAUGGAAAUCGAAUCUGAUCAGGUUUGCAAAGUUCAUGGUGAUUCCUAUGCACAUUCAUCAGCAGAGUUUGGGAGGGACAGAAGUUUGAACUGCUCAUCUUAAGAUUUUCCAGGUGUGAAUCUUAAUAUUUGCUAAUUCUGCCCUUGAUUGUAUUGUUCUUGUGUUUGAUUCAAAUACCGUACAUGAAUUGUCCAUUUUGUUAGGCUAAGAGAAACUGUGUUAGAGCUAACUCAUUCUCUUAGUGUUUCUCUGUCUCUAGAUCUCCCGUGUAUGCAUAUAUAUGUGUUGAGACUAAAUGUGCCGGCAAUUGCUGUGAUGUUUCUGUUGAGCUUGGAGUCUUGUAAAUGAAUUGCAUUCAGUCAUGUGUCCUCAGCUUUGUAUGGCAAUGGAAGUUGAUUAGGUUUGCAAAGUUCAUUGCAGUUCCCAUGCACAUUCAUUAGCAAAAAAUUUGGGGAGGAACAAAGUUCAAACUGCUCAUCAUGAGAUUUUCCGAGUGUGAAUCUUAAUAUAUUAGCAAAUUCUCCCCUUGAAUGUGUUGUUCUUGUAUUUGAUUCGAAUAUCAUGCAGGAACUCUCCACGUUGUUAGGCUAAGAGAAACUGUGUUAGGGCUAAUUCAUUCUUGUAAUGUUUCUUUGUCUAUAGCUUUCCCGUGUGUACAUAUGUAUGUGUUGGGGGUUCACAUAAAUAAUGGAAACAAACCAAGCCAGUCAUAUCAGAUUUCAUUGUGAUGAGAAUGGAUUGGUGUGCGUAUAGGCCUCAAGAAGCUAGACCAUUAGAAAGACUCAGAUUUAUUGAUUUAGGGUUGCUAUGUCGGUAGAUAUGGGUUUUACAUAACAAGAAUAGAUUACGCCUAAAACGCUAAAGCUUUUUUCAUGUUUUGUUUGUGGCUGCUGUAGGUAAGCUGAGAGAGUUAGGCUUGUGAAGAGCUCUUGAAUUGGCCAGAAAAUUUGUACUCAAUUAUCCUUUCCUCCAAAUUGCGGUGAGGUGAAUAUAUCUGAAGAAAAGCAAUAUGGUAAGAUCCUCUUGACAAUGACAACUCUUGGAUUUAAAUCACAUAGAGUUGCUAGACUAUGUUAGAUCUAGAUAUUAAUCACGUGGCUAUAUAUAUAUAUAUAUUUGGUCCUUUACAUGCUUUGAAAAGGAUAUUCAUACUGUCUUCCUUAGAAAUCAUUGGUUGUUUUCUUCUUUCUGAUGACAAAAUUGCGAAAUGUCUCCUUGAGCAGAGAGUUCCUGGUUCAUUCCUAAAGUUGCAUGUUAAGAAAAGCCUGCAGACCACGGCUCUCAUAUUUCAAGACAAAGCAUGGCGUUGAAGCUCACCAGCCCUGAACAUUAUGGAAAGCUAUUUGCCCGCAGGGCUGCAUUCAUGAGAGAAACUUCUCUAAAGGCAGAAGAUGUGUGUGUGUUUGAGCUCUACUGAAAAGGACUAUAUCAUUUUCGGACUAUCCAACUGCAGAACACUGAUAAGACUUGGCUGAAUGAUAAUACUAUGCAAUACAAUAUGGCAGACGAAGUUUUGGCUUAGCUCACUUUUGGCGAGAAUGUGACUUUCAGAAUGGCUAGGCUGAAUUCUACUUCCAAUUCAGCAAAAUGGAUAAAAGCAUGAGUUUUGUUCCAAUGAAUGAAAUGGUCCUGAAUGUGCACAAUGCCUUUCCUUGAUCCUAGACUAAAUAAUCACCAUGAGGGCACGAGUUGUGAGCCGGAGGAAGCUGAUUACUACUUUUGAUUCUAUGACUUCCAUUUCAGGAGACAAUCUCUUAAAUUUGGGGCUUCUUCAAGGUUUCCAGUGGCUUAACCUGAUCUUAAUUGUCUCGUUGAUUUUUUCUUUCUAGCAAUUUUUGCAAGUUUGUAGAUUGAGUUCAUGAUAUAGAUAUCCUUGUUGAUUAAAGGGUGAUAUAGAUAUCCUUGCUGAUUAAAGGGUUGUACAGGUGUCUGUAUUUCAUUUUACGAAGUUUGCUUUUUUGUUUAGGCCAAUCAUCACUCUACGAGUUGCCCUUGCAACUCCUGAGUAUCUGGCUUAUGAAUGUGACAUGUAUGGUGAUUUUUUUUUUUUUUUUGAAAUGUCAAAAUCUCAAAAUUAUGUACAUGACAUAAAUUUUUCUUGUGAUACCAAGAACUCCAAAUUUAUAUCUGUGUGACACAUUUGUCCUCCAUCAAAAUUCUAUCAAGUUUUCCUGUCCAAAAUUACAUCGUUUUUAUUUCACUUAAGUUACGUGGGGUGCCGAGUCAACAUUGUUUGUCUUUCCAUCAACUAUUAGGUAGAUUUUAAUUAGAAAUACAGUCCAUCUGCUUGCCGUCUAUAGCCACCAUUGAGUCACCACCACGGUCCCUCCGCUCUAUCCCUGCUAGAUGUCCUUGGCGUGGAGCUCGUUUUGAGGUAGUAUAGCUCGGUUUGAGGUAGUAUUCCUGGUAGUAUAGCUCGGUUUGAGGUAGUAUUCCUAGUCCUCAUAGUAGUAGUAUUACUUCUAUCGAUACACAUGAUUGGAUGAGAUAAUCGCAUUGCUGUGCCUUCUAACAUCACGAUUAGCCAUUUUUCAUGCUAUUAUUUCACAUUGAGGCUUCGCUUGUUGAGCAUCCUUCUCGAAUCCGACUUGAGCUUGAAUCAUUCGUCUCUUAUUGUUUUCAUUGCUCAUAUUGAUUAACGUCGAUUAUGUUUGUUGUUCCUGUCCCUGUUACUAUUAGGAAGGCACUUUCAUCUUGCUCAUAUCUUGAAUUCAUGUCUUAAAAUCUGCUCAAUCAAAUCAUGUGUGUUAGCUAUCCGCGGUCUAUUCUCGCUUGAAUGAACAAUGUUUGAUGUGAUUUGUGAAAGGAUUUAUUUUAUUUCUCACAACUUCAAUUUCAUGGAAGCAUUUAAUUUUUCCUAGGCCUUUCAAUUUGAGAUUUGUAUUUGAAUUUCCUUUAACUGGAAAAUUUGACCUGCUGUCAUUCUCGGUUAUCGAGGUGUCAUUGACAUAAAUUAACAUCAUGAUCAAUGAAAUUCCUCUCCUUAAGGUCAACAAGAAUCAAUCCACAAUUGAUUGCUUGAAUCCUAAUUUAGAAAAUGUCUCGGAUGAACUUGCUUUAUACCUUUCAAUACUUCCAUCACUCUUUUAACUUUUGUAACAAGGGAUAUCCAGACUAUUCGCCUUAACUAGUCCUACGGUUUCUAUCAUAUGUUUGCUGACAUAUGACGUGAGUACUCACCGCUCGUGUGGCCCUUCUAUGCUUUGUUCACAGGAAGCGCCUCGUCGUUCUGAAAAUAAAUAUUGCUUGUACCUAAUUCCAUAAUCUUGGAGUUCCAUUCGGGCCCCAGUGCUGUGUCCGCUUUCGUUUUUAUUGGACACCACAUGUUGCUCAUGCAUGCAGUACAAUCCAGAUCGUUCAAUGCCUUGUCGCACGCUCUGCGGCUGUAACAAGACUCCUCACCAUCUUCGGAUUUAUCGCAGUAACUGUAUCCAGUUAUUCGCCGUUUUAGUACUCGGGUCAUUCACGACGUUACGUCGGGCAGUUUUGAAACCAUAACAUGCUUACCGUUGUGUAGCACAGCCAGCAAUGUAAAUUCUAUAGAGUUUGAGCUUCAUGGAUUUAUUCGCCAAUCUCACGUACGAUGACGUUUGCUUUAAGAUUUAUUUUUCGUUUUGAUUCUAUAUUAUUCGUUUAUUAUUUUAUUUUCACUCAAGGACUCCAAGAGAGAGAAAAAAAAAAUCUCCCCUUGAGGAAACCUUGGAAUAUGAGUUUCACAUUUCAUCAAAUAACUUCAAUAGUUUGUCUCGAUAUUUUCCGUGCUAAGCUAGCUUCACAUUCUAUAUGAAAUCAAUAAUCCCUCCUGCUGUAUGUAGUAAUAUCUUAGAGUUGCAUUGGACAUGACUAUUGAGGUGGUCGAUGAUAUGAAAAGUGCUAGAUAUAAGCAAUUGGUCUGCCCAAUUGGUGUGCAAAUGAGAUUUUUUCCCAUCAUGUAAUCAUUUUGUAUGAUCAAGUCACUAAACUUUGAUUUCAAUCGCCCGAUGCACUAAUGAUAUUUUCUUUUCCAUUUUACACUCAAUGCAUUAUGAAGACUUUUCGAACAAUUUUUUCUAGGUAAUAUUGACAUGGUGCUCUUACAUGUCUGAUUAAAGAUGCUAUAAUGACGACAUGACAACACGUGAAUCUCAACUAAGAAGAAAUGAAAAAAAAAAAGUUUAAUAAAAGAGAGGGUUACGUGGUCCUUGUGUUACAAGGGGAGGUUCCCAAGGUGUAACCUGAUCGGGAGGAAGCUAAAGUGAUAAUGAGUAUCUAAAUCUUGUUUUAUCCCCAUUGGAUUUUCUAAAAAUUUAUAUAACUGAGUCCAUAAUGGCUAUUUUCAUUUCAGUUUGCCCCCGCAAAUUGAUAAAGCUCAAUAAGCAAUUUUAGAAUCAUGAAAAUCUAGUUGUCAUAAACAAACCAAACUGACACAACGGUUAUUUCAUCACAUAUUUUUAAGCUCAAGAGCAUCAGUUUUUUUUUUCUAAGAUAAUCAUUAAUUACCAAAGUCUGCCCCCACAAAGAAAAUUAGUAGAUACAUCCAUGAAUUGGCCAUAAUUUGGUCGGUUUUUGAUUAAUUGCAAUUUCGGGGGCUCAUUCGACGAUUGAAAUCAAAAUUCAAUUAACCGAUUGCAAAAAUACGCCAAAUAAUUUGUUCAUCACAAUUGAUUUACCCUGAAUAAGUAGGCCUUAUAUUUUGAAAGUCAGUCUUAGUGUGUCUUAUAUAAUUCCUCAAGUAAUAAAAGUAACAUUUAUGUUCCUUCGGAUAUACAUCGAUAGGAUAUAAAUCCGUCUAUGUUCUACAAUGUUCUCAUCUGUUGCUCUCUUUAACAAAUUUGAACGUCUAGCAUCACCCGAUCAAACUUUUACAAAAUUCCCAUCAAUCCCUCUCCUGUCCCCCCUUCAACCGAGCGACAGUCGCAAUCACUGACUUCUCCCCAUCUUCAGUCGAAUGAAGACCUGCUGAAUGACCGCUAUGUGGUCUUUCAAGGCCAUUUUGGCUCCAUCCUUGAAGGUUGAGCCGAAAACUUCUGGGAAUAAAUAUCUAAAAUCAUUUGAUAUAGGACUGCACGGUCUACUUCUGCUCUGGAGUAGGAAGUAACUGAUAGUUUUUGAAUUUGUUUGUGAAAGAUGAGCCACUCAUGCAUCCAUCUUUAACUAUCGUAGUAUCUGCCACAGGCAAAGAGAAGAAAUCAAAUUUUUUUCUUUUUCUACGUGAAAUAAAGAGUUGAUUAGGUGCAAGUGUUCUGCCUGAGUUUGUCACGUGAAAUCUAGGCAAGGCAGACAACCUCAAUGUAAGCUGUAAUUUCUCCUUUUAUUUGGGACGCUCUUGGUAUAGGAGAACAUAGAAGAAAUGACAGUGUAAAAUAAUUCUUUUUUCUUUUGGGCGUUUCGAGAAAUUACUUGGACAAGCUCUAGCUGCUGAAAAAUCUGUUGUUUUAACCUAUGUGCAAUCCUAGAUUUUUUUUUAUAAGUACCAAGAUACAGGAUGCAAUGGCUUCUCAAAGAAGGUGUUGAAGUACUUUUUGGUGUUCUCAUUUUGACAUCUAUCAAGCUAAAGUAGAAUGAAAUGAACAAAGAUUCGCUAGCAUACCUGCAGUUUUCUUUUUCUUUCUUUCUAUAUCAUUUUAAACUCCUCCAUUUUUUAUUGUUUUCUGUGAUUAUGUUUGUCUCCCUAUUUCUGAUGAAUGUCUCUUUUAAUGUUCCAUGGACUGCCGUGGACGGACUCUUUCUGCUUUCUCUUCCUAUUUGGCUGGAUCAAAACGCUGUCUUCUACUGUGUUGAUCCAACCGCAAUGUCGUAUGCUUCAAUAUUUCUCAUUUCUGGACUUGCUGAACGGUCAUUCUUCAAUUUUUAGUGUGGCUUCACUUCUUGCAUUUGAUCAAAUUAGGUGCUUUGGUGGUGGGAAUCUACUAUUCAUACCUAUCAUUUUAGUAAAUGUUAAUUUUGUUGCAACAUGCGGACUAUAUAUGCUAGUACUUCAGUCUCUCUUUCUUUGGUUCUUGCAUGUGUGGAUGGCUUCUAGUAUUGGUGCCUUUAUUUUUGCAUAAACAGAAGGGAUACAUGCUUACUUCGAUUAGAUCCCACCUAAAGUAUCCUUCUCCCUCCGCACUCCCACCCCCUUAUUUGCUUGAGUUUUCUUCCAUUUAUAUCAGUUUCUCAAUUGAGAGUAUUGGAAACUAAGCAAGAACAGACCUGAGAGCACGAAGAAAUGAUAGCCCUUGGGGUGGUCACUCUUGCUGGUGAUAUUUCCCCAAUCCACUUCAUACCUACAUUGUUAGUACACUUAGUAGUUCCUCAUGAAGCAAUCAAAAAACUGCAUAUAAAAGAGACAUGCUUAAAAUAUAGAACAAAGCAAAAGGAAGAGAACUAUAAAAGGUAUAUCUAGGAAAUGUUGCAAUAUUCAGUAAGGUAAAACCAACAUAGCUAAGAAACUCACCUAGAUUGCACGCCUAGAACAUCUGACAAGCCAUGAACGAUUCGUAACUGAGCCUCCAUAAUAUGAAGCUUUCAGUAGGAAAGCAAUGUCUAGAAAUGAAAGACUUUGCUCCAAGGAUUGGAAGCACAUAGAAAACUGCUUUUUCAAACACGCCUCGAAUGGCCAGCAAAGCUGAAUGAUCAGCUUUGCUCAGUUCAGCUUUGCUUAGCAGAACAUGCUUCUACAAUUUGAUUCUGAUCAAAGUGAUCAAAACACAUUUAUAACUUCCACAAUGCAAUGUUAGAAGGGUAGAGAACUCGUGUGUGUACAGGAGUUAGAUCUCUAGUGCAUGCACUUAAAAGUUUAGCGGACCGGUGAACCUCCUUGUUUGUCAUAAAUCUGAUCUGACUACAUCAACAGUCGAACACACAUCAACAUAUUAGUGACCAGUAUUAUAUGACACAACCUCUUGGUUGAAGUGAUUCAUGGAGAACCAAAACAUACCCUCCAAGUUCUCGGUUUGUUCCUGUUUGUAAUGCCUAGCAUGGCAAUCAUGAAUAUGGUGACUACAUUCCCACCAAACGCCAAAACUGAGGACACCGUUAAGAAGAAGCCAAUCCAAGAAAAGUGAAACUGUCAUACUAUUCCAUUUGAACCAGAAGACAAGGUACUAAAUUUUGAAGGAUAUAUGAAGAACUUGGACAAUCUAUUUCCAUCCUACAGUUGAAAAGCUACAAACAGAGAUGUUCAAUCAAAAUCCACCAAACCAAUAGAUGCUCCAUUAACUAGAUGACAAACGAAUGAAACUACUUAAACAUUAAUCAUCAAAUUAUUAACUUCCACAAAAAUGGACCAAAACUGGGGCAUAGGGACGAGAGAGAAGUGUGUAGGAAAGGUUGUUUAAGUGGGUCCUUUGGUCAUUAUUUUCCUCUACAGUUUUAGUGAAACUUAGCACUUUUGGAGAUAUAUUAAGACCGGUCAGUGCGGAAGCUAGCUCAGUGAUUGCCAAGUCAAACUAGAAAGGGCUUAGCCAUAAAUUUGAAAGGCAAAAGCAUCACAUGAUUGGUCCUAAAGCUAGCUCCAAAAGUGAUUGCAUCGCUUAACAUUUCUAAAUAUACAGAGUUUACAUAUUGAGAAAUGAUGAUGAAAAUAUGUAGCUAGAAGCCCAGAUGAAGACAACGAGACACAAGCUGGUUAAAAGCUUAAAAGUGAAAAAUCCUAUGCGAUUUCAUUUCCACUAUGGAUACGAUACGUUCCUCGGUGGGUAGCAGAAUAAUUCAAGAGUUACAGAUUCCGCAUCGAAUUUGAUAAUAUAAUCUAGCCCUAUACGUAAGAUCAGGAACCACCAUGGUUCGCAUGUGAAGACACUGGAAUGAGUCCUAUUCACCUGAUCUGAUUUGAUACUUUGGUUCCGCAGCAACCCAGAUGUCAAAUCCCGCAGCAACAUCAUCACCAUUUAAAAGAAGAGAAGGAAAAAAAAAAUGAUAAAUACAUAGAAUCUAACAUCGAACGAAAGUGAAUUGACAAAUGUCAAAUUCCAAGACCUCAAUUUCGCAUUAGAAGCAGCUUAAGAAAAAUUACAGUACUUCAUCCUCUCUUUCCAUGGUUCUUGCAUGCAUGGGUGGCUGCUACUAUUGGUGCUUUUUCCUUUGCAUGAACAAAAGUGAUGCACACUCACUUAUUUUGAUUAUCUCCCACCCAAUGUAUGCUUCUCCCCCUGCUCUCCCACCCCGUUCUUUGCUUUCCUUCCUAUUUGUAUCAGUUUCUCAAUUAAGAGUGUUUGAAACUGAGCAAGAAUAGACCUGUGAGCACGAAGAAAAUGAUAGCCCUUGUGGUGGUCACUCUUACUGGUGAUAUUUGUAUAAUCCACGUCAUACCUACAUUGUUAGUACACUCAGUACUUCCUCAAGAGGCAAUCAAAAAACUACAUAUGAAAGAGACAUCCUUAAAAUAUACAAGGAACCACAAGGGCACUUCAAGACCAGUGUUGUUAUGCCUGUAAAGCAGAAGGAAGAGAACUAUAGAAGACAUAUCUAGGAAAUGCAGCAAUAUUGAAUGAGGUAAAACCAACAUAGCUAAGGAGCUCACUUAGACUGCAAACCGAGAAAAUCUGAAAAGCCAUGAAGGAUACAUAAUCAAGCCUCCAUAAUAUGUAGCGUUUAGCACGAAAGCUAUGUCUAGAAAUGAAAGACUUUGCUCUGAGGAUUGGAAGCACAUAGAAAACUGCUUUCCCAAACAUGCCUCGGAUGGACAGCAAAGCUGAAUGAUUAGCUUAGUUGAGCAGAACAUGCCUCGCCUCUGUGAUUUGGUUCCUAUCAAACUGGUCAAAACACAUUAAUAACUUCCACAAUGCCACAUUAGGAGGGUAAAGAACCCAUGCAUGCACAUAAGCUAUAUGCCUAAUGCAUACAGUUAAAACAUUUGGUGGACCGGUGAAUCUCCCAGUUUGUCAUGAUUCUGAUCUGACUACAUCAGCAAUCAAACCCCACAACGGCAUAUACAUAAACAACAUUAUAUAAUACAACCUCCUGGUUGAAGAGAUUCAUGGAGAACAAAAAUAUACCCCACAAGUUCUCAUUUUUUUCCUGUUUGUAAUGCCUAGCACGACAAUCGUGAAAAGGGUAACUACAUUCCCACCUAAUACCACAACUGUGGACACCGUUGAGGGGAAGCCAAUCCAAGAAAAUUGAAACUGCCAUACUAUUCCAUUUGAACCAGAAAAGACAAGGUAUCAAAUUUAAAGGAUAUACAUUACUAAAGCAGUCAAACAGUCUAUUUCCAUCCUACACUUGAAAAGCCACAAAAAGAGAUGUUCAAUCAAAAUCUGCUAAAACAACAGAUGCUCCAUUAACUAGUGAAGGAACGAAUGGAACUAUGUAAACAUUAAUCAUCAACUUACUUACUACCACAGAGAAUGGGCCAAAAAUGGGGCAUAAGGUCAAGAGACAAGUGAGCAGUGAAAGCUUGUUUAAGUGGAGUCCUUUGAUCAUUAUUUUUCUCUACAGUUGUUGUGGAACUUAGCACUUGAGGAUAUACAUAUAUUAAAACCAGUCAGUGUGGAAAACAACUCAACGAUUGCCAAGUCAAACUGGAAAGGGCUUAACCAGGAAUUUGAAAGGCUAAAGUAUCACAUGAUUCGUUCUAAAGCUAACUCCAAAAGUAAUUGCAUCACUUAACAUUUCUAAAUAUACAUAAUUUACAUAUCGAGAAAUGAUGAUGAAAAAGUGUAGCUAGAAGCCCAGAUCAAGACAAUGAGACACCAGCUGGUUAAAGCUAAAAAGUGAAAAUCCUAUGAGAUUUCAUUUCCACCAUGGAUACGUUCCUUAAAGGGUGGCAGAAUAAUUCAAGAGUUACAGAUUCCACAUCAAAUUGGAUAAAAUAAUCCAGCCCUAGACAUAAAAUCAGGAAUCACUAUGGUUUGCGUGUGAAGCCACUAGAAUGAGCUACAAAACAAUUCUCAUACAACUCAUCUGAUUUGAUACUUGGGUUUCACAGCAACCCUGAUGGCGAAUCCUGCAGCGACAACAUCACCAUUUAAAAGAAGAGAAGGAAAAAAAUGAUAAAUGCAUUGAAUCUAGCAUCGAUUGAAAGUGAAUCAACAAAUGUCAAAUUCCAAGACCUCAAUUUCACAUCAAAAGCAGCUUAAAAAUCCACAAAGAUACUUCCUUGGAUCUCCAUUAUCUGUAUUUCCAAAGCCUUUAAGUUAAUCUGACGUCACUAGAAACAUGUAUACAAGAGAAACAAAUGCCCCAAACAGCCUAUUAUCAAUGACAAUGUUGCCUAGGAGGGAGCUUAAGGAGUUCACCAAUUUCCUACACCGCAUUAUUACAGAAUAAAGCAACACAUAAUAUUGAUAUUAAUAACCAUGAAGCAAAGCAGACCCAAAUAAGAAUUCAUUCAACCCCUAGAAUACCAGAGCAUGUAAUAAACAAAUCGAAUUUGGCAUGACUGAAUCAUGGACUGAUUUAAAGAAUAGCGGUUCAACGAUAGGUCACCGAUCAAAGUUCAUGAGGGCAAAGAGUGUCAUUCAAUAGCAAAAGCAAUUACUACUUCGGAACAAGACAAGCAUGUCCAGAAUUUGCGAAUGAUUGCUUACCCUUUCGAACAAAAGAAGGCAGGAAAAGGACGAAGGAGACGUGAAGCUUUCUGAGGCUAAUACCAAACAUCACAAGCUGAGUUAAUCAGUGUAAUCACAAUGCGCCUACAUUAUUAUAUUGAGCAUAUGGGUCAUUUCGGUACCCUCAAAUUAUCAACUGAAAAGGAGACUUGAGUAAAUGCCAAUUAGAUUUGCAACCACGCAGCCUAUCCACUCUUUGACGACAAGGCCUUCAAAUAAUGCAACUAAAACACUGCAUUAAGAAAUUGGUGACUGCAAAUCUGGAAAAGGCAGAGGAUGAGGAAGAACUCCGGUUGGAGGGACAUACUGGAGAUGUUACGCCGUUCAUGAGCAACUCUCAUUUCGCAUGCCACAGACAAUUCCUGCCUUUUAUAGACCCUGAGGGUGACAAGUGAUCUAAGGAGGCCGGAUCCGGUAAAGCUUCCUUCAGGUGGGAUGGCGACGUCUUCACAGGGCAUGGGAGUGUAAGGCACCGACUCCUGCUACAGCUCCUCUUGAAACUGUAGGGACUGUUAUAUUACCAGUCAACAUGCAGUUCAUCUUUGCAGCAGAAUUUAUAACGUGUUCAAUCACCUGCAUAGCAAAAUUGAAUGUCAUAAACUCCACGACAGGCUUGAGACCAUAGAAAGCAGCACCGACUUCAACUCCAGUGAAACCAGCCUCUGUGAUAGCAGUAUGAACAACGCUCUCAGGUCCAUACUUCUGCCAAAGAAAAGAACCUUUAGACACAUUGAAAGACUCUAGGAUCUGCAGACAUUUCCUCAUCAAACGCAGCAUUCAUAGCCUCUCUCACAGUCAUCUAUUUGCUCACAGUCGCAUUACUACGUAACAACAUUUCUGCAGCCUCUCUCGACAAGACAGCAUCCAAGCCUCUGGCAGUGGCUUUUCGUAUUAGAAUUGACAACAUCAUGCCCUCUCAAACUCGAACUUGCUCUCACCGCCAGAUAAAGCUCGCUAAUUCUCUCUCUCUCUCUCUCGAACGGGUAUCCUUGGAAACGGAGUCCAAAUUAGUCAUUCCAUCAAACACCUUCCCUGCAAACUCGACGGAUUUUUCUCCGACCAAUUUUUCUUUUUUUUUCGCAUCUCUCUUUGGCUCUGGAUUCCCCUGAUUCAUCUCCAGCAAUUUAGAUCAUCCCCACAGUAAACCACACCAUUAGAUUCCACAUUCGAGUUGCGGCCACUCUGAUUCAAGUCCUCGCCUUCCUGUCCUUGCCCAUGUCUGGACUAGAUUUAUCUGUCGCGGGACCACCUCGGGCUUACGCUACCAUCGCCGCUGAACCAUCAACAGGACCAUUCCAUGUCUGAUUGAACUUCCGAGUCAAAUUCCAAUUCACUCCAGAAUACGUCCCGUCGACUCUUGCUUCGUUAUGCUCGCUCCCACUUCAUUGCCGCCUUUUCGGAAUUCCAUUAUUCCGCCCAUCUAUGCCGCGCGCAAAGGGGGACGCGGGGUGGUGUUCACUGUUUACAAGAGCCUUAUCCGAUUGCCAAGGCCGAGGUUGGAUGGAUGGAUCAUCAUCAUCAUCUGGAUACGAUCCGCCGAUUCGAAGGAUGAGAUUCUUUGGGUUUCGCUCUCGGCACCUCCACCGGUCCGGCGUUGCUCUUUCAACGGCAGCAGCCGAGGCCAAUCUGAGUCUGUCAUCAUCCGAGACGAUAUGCCGAGCGUGAAGAUUGGCAGCGGCAAGCACGAAGAGAAAAACGAUGGAGAAUAAAAAAACAAGGCGGGAAGCGAAGCGAGGGGGUGGAUGGAGAUGAUUUGGAUUUUGUGUGGGAAAACGGGGCAAACAGGUGAAGCCAGUGCCCAUUCCCAGUGGUUGUUCUUUGGAUUAAAAAGGAAUUGAAUUUGAAAAUAAAAGAGAAUAAAAAGGAAAAAUGAACCCACCGUCGUUUCCCGAAAAAGCCGGCAAAAAACUCCAAAUUAUAUUUAUUUUUAUCGCAUUUAUUUUUCUUUUUGUUACGCAAAAACUCAAAAUUAUGUAUAUGGCAUAUUUACUCUAGUUCUUAUGACGUCAAAAUCCUAAAUUUGUAUAAAUAUGAUAUAUUUACCUUCUAUCUAUAUAUAUGUUGACACCUAAUUUUUCAACUAGAUUAAUUAAUUUAAAAUAGUAUCAAAUGUUGGGAAUUAGUCACAAGAGAAAAUUUUAAAAAAUAUAUAUGUAUAUUAUUUAAUUAAGUUGUUUAAAAAAAAAAAAAACGAAAAUGGUCGGGUCGGGCCGGAUUCGACCAUGGCUCGACCAGCCCCUCUAUUUUAUUCUCCUCGCAUUGGGCCUGGCCCAAUCUCCUUUCUCUUUCAGUUGGCCCAGCCCCUUUUUCUUUUCUUCUGUUGGUCUUCGCUUGAAGACUUGCAGAAGACAGGGCAGCAGCACAGCAGCGAGAGCGGCAGCAGAGGAUCGGUGUGGCAGGUGCGCGGCAUGAUCCGCGGUCAGGAGCAGCCGACCGGCAGCUGGCUCGACCGUACCUUCCGAAAUGUGCUGUUAAGGUAGACUUUCAAAAGGCGUAUGAUACUGUAGAUUGGGAUUUUUUGGAACUCACUCUGCAAGCUUUCAGAUUCCCGGAAUGGAUCAUCCAUUUGAUAAUGGUGUGUGUGAGAACACCCAAGUUUUCAGUUUCUAUUAAUGGCGAACUUCAUGGCUUCUUUUCCGGAGGUCGAGGCCUUCGCCAAGGGGACCCUUUGUCGCCGUACCUCUUUACCCUUGUUAUGGAUGUGUUCUCAGGGAUUUUAAAUGCCCGUACUUCGGUGAAAGGCUUCAAAUACUUUUGGAGGUGCAAGAAGGUAAAGUUGACCCAUCUUUUCUUUGCCGACGAUGUAUUUCUCUUUUGUCAAGCUGAUUGGAUCUCCGCCACGAUCCUCAAGAGAAGUCUUGAUAUAUUCUCAUCUUGGAGUGGACUGAGUCCGAACAAAAACAAGAGCGAGGUGUUUCUCUCAGGAGGUCCUGUUUCCAUCAGAGAGAAUAUUCGACUUGCAUUUGGCUUUCAGGAAGGUCGACUCCCAGUCCGGUACUUAGGGGUGCCCAUCAUUACUUCAAGACUUGGGAAAGCUGAUUGUGCUUCAUUGAUUGAUCGUAUUACCGCAAGAAUUCAAUCGUGGGCUCACCGCUUUUUAUCCUUUGCUGGAAGGCUCCAACUUAUAAGGUCGGUGCUGCAUUCUAUCCAAGCCUUUUGGGCUAGUGUGUUUUCUCUGCCUAUCUCUGUUCUUGAUAGAAUUGAACAACUGCUAAGACAGUUUCUGUGGAAGGGCACCUCGCUUGGCCGAGGCGGUGCCAAAGUAUCUUGGGAUGACAUUUGCCUCCCAAAAAAUGAAGGUGGUUUGGGUAUUCGGAAAUUGAGAGACUGCAAUACUGCUUCCUUGCUUAAGUACAUCUGGUUUCUCUUCACCGAUAGAGAAUCUCUCUGGUGUCGUUGGAUCCAUUCAUAUUUUUUAAAGAAGGACAACUUUUGGAACUCCUCCACACCCACUACGUGUUCAUGGGCGUGGAAAAAAAUCCUUCAACUUCGAAGACACUUUAGGCUCUCUUUCUUUUGGAAGAUUGGCCACGGUUCCUCUGUUUCCUUAUGGCACGACAAUUGGCUGGAGUGUGGCCCGCUUAUCUUACUUAUCCCACCGGACCUUGUGGAGAGCUGUCGCCUUCCAAGCUAUUCUGUAGUGGCGGACCUUUAUUCUCCCAUGGGUGCUUCUUUGAGAGAAUCCCUUGCAAAUAUGGGAAUUACUAUACCCAUUCUUUCUACUAAUUCUGACCGCUUUACCUGGCAAGAAGAUCCAUCAGGUUCGUUUUCUGUUGCCUCUGCCUGGAAAUACAUCAGGGUUAAAAAGAAUCGAGUGUCUUGGGCUCCUCUUAUUUGGGACAAUGACCUUGCACCCAGAUUCCAAUUUCAUUUGUGGUUGCUCGCAAAAAAUAGGCUGCCAACUCAGACUCUCCUUCUCUCUUAUGGGAGGAUUGAGUUCUCUGUUUAUGCUUUUUGCUGCUUCGUUCCCGACUCCGUGGACCACUUGUUCUUUCAGUGUACAACGUCUGCGACUCUUGCGUUCUUUUGGGCUUCUAGAUGUAAUUUACCUUGGAAGAACAGAGUUUGGAAGGACAACCUCUCUUGGGCUCUCAAAUUCCUAUCCGGCAAAGAUUUCUUUCACAGUAUUGCCCGUUUCUCUUUUGGGGCUUUAUGCCAUUUCAUAUGGAAAAAAAGGAAUUCUAUCAUCUUUCAAGGUGAUUCUUUGGCAAUUCCGGCCAUGAAGAAUCACUUGAUCAAGGUUGUGAAGGAUAAGGCUCUUUUGUUCUCUAAUGUCCCGCCUACUCCAAGAAACAAGCGACUCCAGAGAAGUUGGGGGUUCGAUCCGUCCAUCUUCAACUCGGCGUCCUCUUCCUAGCUCUCCUCCAUCUCUUCAAUCUUUGGAGGGGUGCCUGAAGGUCAUUAGUCUGUUUUUUAAUUGUAGUUCAGCCGAGUAGUUGCUGCUUUGUUUCCUGCUCUCUGUAUCUUUUUGUUUCGGCACCCUCACACUCUCCCUGCCCCACAGCUAAAGUGUGAGUUACGGUGCCGAAUUCUUGUUCAGUUCUCCAAAGUUUAAUAUAUAUUCUUACCUUUUACCAAAAAAAAAAAAAAAAAAAAAGAAGAAGAAAAGGAGAGAUAGAGAGAGAGAGAGAACAAAAAGGAAAGCAACGGGAAGAUGAAGAGGAGGCGAGGCGGAGGAUCGGCAUGGCAGGGCUUUCGGCGCGAUCCGCGGGUCGAGGAAGCAGAACGAUCAACCAGCUGGCACGGCAGGGGGUCUUCGCUCAGGAUACCUGCAGGAAGUAUAAGAACACAGAGAAAGGGAGGAGGAAAAAAAGGAAAAAGGCAGAAAAACGAAAAAAGAAAACACCAAGGACGAAACAUAGAGAGAAACAGAGGAGAGAAACCAGAAGGAGGAGGAGAGCUCGAGGAAACAGCUGGCUGUUGCCGGAGGCCUGUCCGCCCGCCGUUGUCCACCGCAACUCUUCCCCGAACGAGCUCAGCAGAAGAACUCCACAGAGGACAGCACACCACACACCAGAGCACAGGGAGAGAGUGAGCGAGAGAGAACGAGCUCGAGAUAGUGGUUGGUCGUCGCCGGAGGUCCAUUCUUCAACCGCCGUCCAUUGCAACCUUCCCCUCAAACCAGGUAGGCUUGUUCCGACCGUGCGUCCCUUGUUUCCGGAAGACGACGUGCCGGAGCUUGCGUCGACUAGUUCGCGCAAGUUUCGGUCCAAGCCGGUCCUCCCUGAAAGCUGAUAGUUGUUCUAGAUGCAUCGUUAGGGAUUUAGAUUUGUGCCCGUGCCCGCAUCAAGUCGAAAAUCCCCUGUGUUAAUAGCGUACACCAAGUGCUUGUGAAAAUGUCCCGCAAAAGACCGGAAGCCAGCUCACGUUUUAAAUGGGGAUCGAUCCGUGUUUGCGUUAAUGGCCGUUGAAUCAUGUUUUCUCUUUGUAUGCUUAUUGCGUUUUGGCGUGGCUUUCGCAAAAUAAUUGUGUAUCGUCGAGAGAGCAAGAGUUUUCGUCGUUUUGAUGUUUGGAUUAAUGGUCGCCGGAGUUCGUGGCCAAUGGUGGUUUGUACCGGUUGGAAUGGGCGACCGGUAGAUGGUGGUGGUGCGGUGGUGGAACGCCGGUUGCGUCGGUCUGUGUCGCCGUUUGGACGAGCUUCAGCGAGGAACAAGAUCUCGAUGAAAGAAGGGUCUUUGAGCGUGCAGAGAACCCACGAAGAAGAAGGAGCCCAGAAAAAGAAAAGAAAAGAAUAAAAAAGAAAAAAGAGUAAAACAAACAAAAAAAUAGAAAACUAUAAAAAGGUUAAAAAAGAGAGUAAAAGGGGCUUCGGGAAAGAGGAGUCGCAGAAGCAGAGGGUGCAGGGAAAAGGGGUGCAGUGAGAAAAGACAAACAAAAAAAUUAAUCAAUUAGUUAAUUUUUAUUUUCAAAAAAAUGAAAACUUUAAAAAAAAAAUAAAAAUCCAAAAGUGUUGGAUCCGGGUUUGGGUUAGGUCCACGGGCCGGAUUGGGUUUACCCGGUCCGAACCCAUUUUAUUGAAAUAUAAUAAUAUUAAAUAUUAAAUAUAUAUUAAAAAUAAAAAAAAUUUAAAAAAAGAAAAUUAAAAAAAAGAAAGUUAAAAUUUUCCGAAAUUUCAAAAAACUCAGAAAACAUUAAAAAAAUUCGAAUUUUUUAAAAAGAAAAUUUUAAAAAAAAUUUAAAAAAUUAAAAAAUUAAAAAUUAAAAAAUUAAAAAAUUAAAUUAAAAAAAUUUCGAAAAAUCCAAAAAUGAUAGGGUUUGGUUAGGAAUUGCCAUGUAUUGCCGCUUUAGUGUAAUUAAGCCUUUAUUUUCUUGUAUGUUGUUUUUAUUGUAUGUUUAAUUUGCGUGUUUUGUGUUUAAUUUGCACGUGUUUAAUUUUAGGGCAAAUAGGAGCUUGGUAGGUAUAAUUAUUACUUUAUUGAUUGUGCACUUGCAUGCUCACCUCCUAUGUUAGUGGAUAGGUAUGAAAUCAAUCUAAACUGCCUGAUGAAAAUCAUUUUGUUAAAAUGAACAAGAAGGGCACUAAUUAGUCAAUUAGUGUAAUCAAGUCCCCGAUCCUAGACUUUCUGGUUGCGUAGGAAGUGAGGCACGCUCCCAUGUCUCACUUGGUUUCUAGCCGACCCCAAUAGGCUAGUGGCGACUCCUUUUGUACAAAUUUAUUAAGAAUAUCCCAACGUCACGCGGGGUAUGGGCUUGGGAGAGCUCGCGCCUAAUCAUGGGCCUUAGGCCCGUCCUUUAGGCAAUACCCUUAAACCUGUUCCCUCCCCCCGAGGGUAGGUCGCGACAAUAUAUAUAUAUAUAUUUUGGUGGAAGUUGUUCUUAUUUCAUUGACGUCAACACCGUUUACAUUUCGUCGUUCAUAUAGGCAAUCUUUUUUUAAACGAUACUCAUUGAUAGAGAAUAAAUAUUUCAAGUAAAUAUAGUUUUGAGUCUUUGGUGGCAUUAAAAAAAAGAAGAAGCUUAAGAUGGAUGUGUCGUAGUGGGCAUAUUUUAGUAUUUUUAGUGAUUUUCCUCCUCUCUUUUUUCUCAACUUCAUCAAUAAUCAAUCACAACUCAAAACCAAAAAUGCAUCGAUCUCUCUCUGCUUGUUGCCUAUCAGCCAUUGCCGAGCUUCCAUCACCCCGUCCCUCCUAGAUGUCCUUCUUGUCCCCUUUGUUGUUAGGAAGACAUUUUCGAUUGCUCGUAUAAUGAAUUUGCGGCUUCAAAUUUGCUUUCAUAAAUUGUAAGAAUAUGCUGUCCGUGACUUGUUCUAACUUGAAUGAACAAUGCUUUGAUAUCACUUGUGAAAGGAAAAUUCCACUUUUCUUUCUCGCAACUUCAAUUCCAAAGAAAUAUAUUUAAUUUCUACUGGUCUACCGGCUUGAGAUUUCUAUUUAAAAUUUCCUAUUAUUAGAAAAUUGACCCAAUGUCAUUUCCAGUUAAUGGCCUACAACGAUUAAUGACGUCGGAAAUGAUGGGAUUCUGAUUUUAAGCGAUCUUUGGCUGGGAAUGGGUUGUGGCCUUAUUAGCAAAUAGGGUGGGCCAGGGGGACGAUGGCCGACUAGGCUUGAUGCACUUACGACAAAAUUUCAUCUAGGGAGAGCUAAGUGAGUUGGUUAUUUUUUAGUUUAUUAUUUAUUUGUUUGUUUAUCCAUUCUUUUUCCACUGCUUUUUGUUGGUUUUUUUUUUUUUUUUUUAGUUUAUCAUUGCAUUUGUUAAGUGUAAAUUUUCUUUUUGAUAAAUUAUACUCGUUGAAUCAAAAUUAUGCACUCUUCAUUUUUUUGUCGGCAUAUUCUAUUUUUACUAACUCUCACUCUUAAACUUUUGAUUUACUUCCUUAUAAAACAUAGAAGUCAAAAUCCAUACAUAAAGAUGAAUUCAUCCCUAUCCUAAAUCCCAUGAGAAUGUUAGAAUUCGAACUUCCCACUCUCCCUUCCCACAUGGAAAGGGUAGCCACCGAGGCAAAUCUCAGUAAUUAAAUUAUAUAUUGCCUUCACACGAAUAUUAAUGUGAUGAUCUAUAUCUACAAAAUUACAUGAGAACAUUCGUUUCCUUAAGAGCAGCCUCCGAGGUUGAUAAUAGCACUCUAGAUAACUAGAAAGGGUUUUUCCUUCUUCCAUAAAUUGGACUCGCUACAUUCUCCGUAAAAAAAAUGUAGCCACCAAGGCUCCACCUAAGCUAACGUUAUGCAAUACCGACUUAAAAGUCCACUGCCCGGAUCACAAUUUGUUUACUAUUUGGAAGUGCUGGCGAACUUUGUAUGCUGGUCAUGUGGUCAUCAUAUCUCUCUAUUCAUUUUAAACAAAAUUGUGUGGAUGAAUUUCUGUAGAACUAGUAAGAUGGCUCUUCAUUGCACGGGUUUAAGACUAUUUUUAUGGGUUAAAGACUAUUUUUUAUAUUAUUUUAAAUGCUAUUUUUAAUCUAUUUUGCCUUUGUUCCAUUUCAAGUUAGUUAUUUUUCAUAAUUUUUAAAUUAAUUUUGUUGCAUUGUGAUUAUUUUGUAAAUUCCUUUUUAACUUACGUUAAUAUAUUUAAUGAACUACACGGACAUUCGUGUCAAAAUAUUUGACAGCCCGUACUUUAACUUUCCUACGAGGAAUUUUGGUAUUUAAGAGAGAGAGAGAGAGAGAGAGAGAAUGAGAUAUUGUAUAUAAGUUAAAAUAGAAUUUGGAUAAUAAUAUAACUUAAAGACUAAUGUAGAUAAUACUUUGAACUUGAUGUUGCCAUAAAAAUGUGCUCUGGAAUAUUAAACUACACUAUUAAUUAAGAAAAUGGAUGACCACUCAACAUCACAUUCUUACAAGGAUUUGACUGGCGCUUAUAAACUAAGGUGAGAUUACCGUGCUGGAUGGUUCAUACCUAUCUCCUUUUUCUUUCUCGCAAUUUGGGUCUUUGUAAAGGUUUUUAAUCGUUCACUCUCUAGAACCGAUUGUUGAUUUCACAUCCAACAGCAAAAAGUUGCUGUGCUUCUAUCACCAAAUUAUCAAUCUGUCAAAAACCGAAGACUUAAUGGAAAAAAGAAAUAGUAAAUGCUCAGGUGUAGUCACAUAUCUAUCUCCAUCACCUUCAAUUAAAAAAUAGCAAACAUUAUUGUUUGCCCCUUUAUUCCAAUAAAUCUGGAGUUAGACCCCUACUUUUUCCCUUAGAAGAGGCUUGGUAUUCAGGAAUAUAUAUAUAUAUAUAUAUAUAUAUAUAUAUCUUACCAUUAAUGUUCGCUGCAGAGGAAGUGUGUGUAAAGGACUUCAAGUCCGCAAAACUUUACCUCUAUAAAUAAUACAACCGGCAUUUGACGCCAAGCGCCAGGUCAUACUUUGUAUAAGUGUGUCCAUCUUCACUAGCCAUUGCCAAGCUUUAUCUCCAUAAAUAUAUGAUUCAAGAAAAAGUGCGUGUAUAUAUAUAUUGAAAAAAGGCUAGCUAUCGCGAUCAAAAUUUUGAGUGCAUCACCUAAAAUUAGACUAAUUGACUACUAAGUUUAAUUUAACUCGGGCUCUCUAGUUCAUAUCAAUUCGCGAUCUAGGUUCAAAUAUCUAACAUGCAAAAGGGAGUCACAACUAAUCAGUUUACUGUAAGUCGAUUAGACACCUAAGUAAAAUAAUGAGAGAAUUAUUUUACUUCUACGAACCAGAGAUUUUGGGUACGGGGAUUUGAUUAUACUAGACUUUUCUAAUGCCUUUUAGUAUCUUUUUUUUCUUUCUAUUUUAUUUUGGAAAAAUAUUUUGCAAGCAGCUUGAAUUAAUUUUAAUUCACUUCCCUAACAUGUGAGGUGAUUAUACGGGUGUACAAACCACCAAUUUAAUACUCAAGAAAACAAAUAAUAAAAAUGCAGAACUUAUCUCGUAGCAACGAAAGCAUUUACGAUGAUUUCUAAUUAAUAAGCAAGCGCUCAAUUUUUGUUUUCACUUAUUUAAUGAGAAUCUAAUCAAUAUGCAAUGCAAUGUUAUUAAUCUAACAUGAAAUGAUAUGACAUAGCAGUAUAGCCUAAACUAUAUGAUAUGAAUAAAGUAAUUUUUUUUGUUUUUAUUAAUGAAAUUCGAAAUUAAAGAAAUCCAAUAAUUAAAUGUGCAAUCUAAAUAAACCAAAUGACCUAAUUCUAAUGACGGGCAAUUUCUAAUUAAAUGAACCUAGCAACAAUCACUAAAUGACGUGCAUUUCAUGAGCCUAAUUCUAUAUGACAUGCGCAUAAUUUUUUUGCAUUUUUUUUAUAAAAAUUCGUAAUUAAAAUUAUUAAAAAAUAAAAAUCUAACUAAAAUUAGACAUUAUCUAUUUUAAGUUAGGAAUAAACUAAUCUGAAUUCUAUCUUAACUUGGAAAAUUAUCUCAUCAUGCAAUUUAAUUCAAAAAUAUUAUCUAACCUAGAUACCAUCUAAACAUGCAUUUAAAAAAAAAAUCUAACUUACCUAUCAUGCAAUCAAUUCUAAUCUACACAGAAUGCAAAUGCAAAUUUUUUUUGUAUUUUUGAGAUAAAUAAAGCGAUUAAAAAAUAAACACCAAUUCAUCCAUGGUCAUCAAAGAACUAUGCAAAUUUAGAAACGAUAAUUAAUCAAAUCUGAUUAUUUUGCUAAUAAAAUCAAUAAAUUGAUCUUAAGACUUAAAUAACAAUAUAUCACUUUUAUUCUCACAUGAUUAAUUAUUCCAUUUAAAAUCUUAUUGGUAGAGUAAAAAAUUUGCGUGCGGUUGCGAAUUAAGUGGUGCAUCGAGAAUUUCAAUCAAGAAAUAUUUCACAUAAAGAACGCAAUAAAAUAAGAUAAAAUAAAUUUACCUAAUAAAAUAAAUUUCUACCUAAAUUGGAAUUUUUUCCAAAAUCCGCACCGCUCAAGUGAACCACAGUGGAGGCUCGGCCGCUCGGCGCGGGCCGCGGCUAAGGAUGGUAGCUGUGAUGGUAGUUCACCGGGGGUGAUGGGUCGCCGUUCGAAGUGGGGGGUUGUCCGUCGGAGCUCUGGCGAGGAGGCUCGGGCAGUAGAUGAUGGCACAGCGAGGGGGAGCAGCAGGCGAAACAGGGGAGUCGCUCGGGGGCCGCGAGCAGCAAGCGAUAAAGGCCGGCGUCGCAGGGCUGCAGCGGCGUCGGGGACGUUUGCAGGGAGGUGCGACGUCCGGUUAGGAACCUGCUGGCGUCGCUUGGUUUCUGGGUCGAAGGGCGGCAGCUGCAGAGAAGUCGGGAGCAGGGGAGCCCAGCGUCUGGCGGAACGGCGUGCUGGUCUCGGAGCAACGGCGUCAGGCGUCGCGGCUGGGGCGCGGCGGGAGCUAGCGGCUGGGGCGCGGCGGGAGCUAGCGACUGGACGCGGGCGGCGCAGGGGUGCCGGAACAGCGGCAACCGGCGACUCAGGCGAGAGGUGAACGGGAGACGCACCGAGGAAGAAAAACAGUGCCCUUUCCCCCUUUCCUUUUUUCUUUGUUUUUUUCCUUCUUUUUUUUUCUGUCUCACCAGUCCCCUCACACGUCUCUCUCUCUGCCCUCUUUCUGCACAGCUUUGACUUUCCCCUUCCAGCCUUUUCCUUGCCUACGAAGGAGGAAAAAUAAACCCCAAGCAAAGAGCUUUUUAUUCCUUUCCCCUCUUUGUGCGUUGCCUUUUUUCGACCUAAGACUCCAUAAGAACCCCAAAAUCCUAUGCGUGGCCACGGCUUAGGAUUUUAAUUUUUCUAAAUCCAUAUCUACAAGAUUCAUUUUUUCGAAUGCAAUAUUUAUUUUUUAAAUACAAUAUUUACUUUUUUGAACGCAAUAUUUUUUUUUUAAUACAAUUCAGGAUUACAAGAGGAUUCUUCUCAAGUUUGAAAUCUCGCACAGAUAAAUUCGUAAAAUUUUCUCGAGGAUACGGGCCUUGGACAAUUUUCUCUUCGUGGGCUUAGCCCAACUCAUCAAAUUAAAGUUCUAAACCAUCAAUUUGAACCCAUCUGUCAUCGCCCAAUGUAAAUGGAAAAUAAUAAUAAAUGCACCUAAAACUAUAUGCCAUGCAACUUAAUUGAAUAAUUUAAAUUUUUGUAUGAAAUAAAUAAAUGACUAAACGGGUUGCUAAAAUUUUAGGUAUUGACACUAACUGUUAAGGAAAAUUAUAGUAUGCAAGUUCCGAAGAAGAGACCUUGUGCACGUUGUAUUGGAAUAUAAAUAUAAAAGUUGUGUAGAGCUUGAAAGAAUAAAUAGAUAUUGCUAACUUAAACCAUAGUAAUAAUAGAGACAGAUGUUACUGUAGCAUUCAAAAUAUUUACCAUGAAAUCGGUUUAUACAAUUAGAGAUACAAAACAAGUAGCAUUUGUUCAGAGUAAAGUGAAUUGGUUAAAAAAUGAAUGGCACAGAUUACUUGGAAUAUUUUUCAAUGGUAAGAAAUCUUACCUAAUUGUUGGGUCACUUGAAGAUAGAAGCCCCUCUUAUAAUAUUAAGCAAAAUUCUUGAGGAUGUAUUGACCUUCAAAUUUAUCCCUAAAUAAUAUUUCCUGAUGCCGAAAUAGCCAUUCUCUUAUAGUUAUCUUCCUACAUUAUACAUUUUUAGAUUGCCAUUACCUUUCUUUUGCCUUCUUUAUUUUUCCAUGAUCACCUACAAUAUCUCUUUGUGUGGAAAGGGCCAUAAAUGUAACUAUGCUUAGUAUUGUCUAUGUUGGGUGUAAAUUUUCUUUUUUGACUGAUUUUACUUUUGGAAAUAAAAUUAUGCGCUCACUUCACACACAAUAUUAGUAGAAAUAUGCGGAAGUGAUCUUGAAACUGAUAUGUUAACGUGCAGGACACAAUUGAUAUUCACAUAAACAACAUAUGCUUAAGAGUUAAGACUAAAGUAGAGUUAGGGAUUUGCUAAAGUGCAAAAUAGAACAAAAAAUAGACAAACAGCAUACACUUAAGAAUUAGAGAUUGUUAACGUGAUCACUGUUGAGUAAAGCUUGCAUGCAGACGUGCCAUAUAACUCAACUUCACAAGAGUUUUAUCUGAUAUAUAUAUAUAUAUAUGUGUGUGUGUGUGUGUUUUUAAAUUAAAUUAUCUAAAUGACUUAGCUGGUCUACCACUUAAAUAUUAAGAUGAUGCUCAAUAGCAAAUAACCUUCAAUUUUUUUUUCGCCAACCAUACAUUUUGAACAAUAUGGAUCUCAUGAGAGAUCAAAAUAAUCAAAUUGUGAGAUUCUCUUAAUCUAAGUGACUAACUUGCCUAGCAAAAUAUCUUAUCAUACUUUUAAAAAGAGAUUUUUAUUUUUUUUGUCAGGUGGAGAAUAUUACUGUAUUGCAUUUCAGUCGAAAAGAGUUGAUAAUCCAUCCAUUUUCUCUGUCACUAAAAACACAACCGACAUAAUCAUGGAGGAUGUUCCUGAAAGAUCCCUAUAGGGACUAACAUUUUUUUGGUAGUGUGCAUGCUCUAGAGAAGCAACUGUUGGGCUCGGAGAAUUUGCACAUCAACAACACCAAAUAAAUAUCUGUGAAACAACCAUAUUAAUCAUAGCUUCCAUCUUAUUGAAGUGUUCUCACAUAUGACAUUUAGUAGCACAAGAAGUCGAAUUUACCACCGGUUGUAUGGAUAUAUUUGAAACUAUCUGGACCUAGUUUGCUCAAAGUUAUGGUACCAUUCGUUGGUACCAAGCAGAAUUUCUAUUGCUGAAUGCUUUAUUGUAUAAUCAACCAGCUAUUGCAAUCAGUCUUUGUAGGUGCUAUAUACAUUUCAAUUUCAAAUUCAUGUGCGAGCACAUGCAUCAAUCGAUGAAAACGUUAACAUUAUGAGAAAGAAUAAAGAUGCCUUUUUCAUGUAUUUUGUUAAGUCCUCUAGAAGUUCCAAGGGUCCCCUUGUGCUUUCUGCGUUGGUAUAUAUGGUCCACAUUAAAAUUUGAGUUGAUGGCAGAGUGGUGCAAAGUCACAUGUCACAUUUUCUCUUUGUCGAGCCGCACCAUGCGAACGAUCUGUCGAUUGUCUCCACCUUUGGAAAUUAAAAUCCUAAAAAAAUCACGGUAAGUGACAAUGUGGUAAGAGUUAGAACUCCAUGUCACGUGGGUGUGGCCAGUCCUGUCCAUUCAUUAUCUUUUUAUUAUAUUGGUGCUGACACGCCGACCGUGUAGAGCUACAUUCCGAAAGCAAUCGUUUAACGAUCAAAACGGCUCAUCUAUUUCUUUCUCCAUUCCGAGGGCGAUCGUUUAACCAUCUAGUCGAAUCACCUGUUUACUUUGAACGGCGGAUGAUUAUUUAACCAUCAAGUCGAAUCAUCCAUUUACCUUUUUUUUUUGUCGAAAAGAUAAUUAUUAUUUAAGUAGUUGCAACAUUACAGAUAGGUGUAACAUUACAUCUAGAAGCUAUUCCAUCGGCAGAUACCAAAGCUUGCAAAAUAAAAGGAGGAAAGAUAUUCCAGUCGCGGGCCAGGUCAGAUCUGCCGUCGGCUUUAGCAACCCAAUCUGCUACUCCACUUGCCUCCCUUCUACAAUGCCGCAGCUGCAAAUUAGGGUAAAGGGAUAGCAAAGCUUCAAUUUCAGGGAACAUCGCACGUUCUUCCCACGGUGGCUUCUGUCUCGCAUGAACUGUGUCGAUCAAGAGCAAGCAAUCAGACUCAAUCACCAGAUUUUCCUUAUUGAGGCCUUGGUGCAGCAGGUGAUGAAGAGUAAAGGUAAGCGCCUGCACUUCCAUUUGAAAAGCCGAAGCUGCUGUGAAUCUUCUGGUGUAGACAUCUGUAAGAAUACCCUGAUGAUUUCGACUUAUACACGCCAUUGUGCCCUCUUGACUGCUAGGAUGAUAAGAUCCAUCUAUAUUGCAUUUCAGGAAUCCGCGAUCCGGGGGUUUCCACAAGGUUGCUGUUUUGGGAGCAGAGUCCCCUGUUCGCGAGUCCCCUGUUUGCUGUUGGCUCUUAGUAGAAAUGUGCUGAAUCCGUGUUUGUGCCAAGGCGUCUGCAACCCUCGGUUUGGAUCGGGGCGCUGUCGGCGAAAUAUGCUGUUGUUGCGCAGACACCGGAUCUGCCAUAAGACUUGUGCAAUUGUCUCCAGUCCAGGUAAAAGUCUGUGAUUUGUUGCUCUUUCUGUGAUCCACGCAUCCAGACGAUGCACAGUAUGAGGCGAUACAGAAAUGUUGAGCUGAGGAUGACUCCAUACUCCUUUAGUCCACGAACAGAAGAAGAAUAGGUGUUCUAUGGUUUCUGGAGAAGAAUAGCUCACCAAGAUUAGCUUCAGGAUAGAGAAGUCACAAAUCCGUUUACUUUGAACGGCGGAUAGUCAUCUCUUUCUUUCUCCAUUCGUUACUAUUCGAUGCUCCCCUUCCUUCGUCCUUUUCUUUGCACUCAAAUCACUUUGCCUUGUUCAUCUCUCGCUCUGUUUCGCUCUUUCUUCUCCUCCUCUUCAGUAUCUGCUGCUCUUUUUUUCAUUUCUCUCUCUCUCUCUCUCUCGGCAUAAGAAAACAACGAAAAAUGUCGGCCGAUUCUGUCGCUUCUAUUGUAUGGGAUGUCAUGAAGAGCUGUGUGGUUGUUCCCAUCAAGCGUGGAUUUACAUACGUGAUCUCCAGCAAGAGCUUCGCCGAUGGCCUUCGGGAGGAAGUCCGGAAUCUAGAUAAUGAGGCUCAGAGAGUCCGCAUUUUGGCAGAAGUGGCCAGGAGCAAUCUUCGGAAUUUCUAUGAUUGCUUCACGGAGUGGCAGCAAAGUGCUGACAAGGCCUUGGAGGAGGCGCGAGACCUGUUGGGUGACAUCGACAAGGCGAACAAAAUGUGCUGGCACGGGACUCUUCCUGACCCCAAAUUUCGCUAUCACUUUAGUAGAAAGGCCGAGCACAAGAUCGAUAUCAUCAAGCAACUUGCACAAAAAUGCAGCGGAUUCAAGGAAUUGAACGACAUCUGCUUCAGUGCUCCCGCUUUGGGGAAUGUCACUGCUCCGACUCCGGCGAGGAUAGAGGGCAAAGAUGUCGUCCAGUCGAACACCACAACAGCUUCCGCUUCUCCUGCCUUGUCAUCGAUUAAGUUUAGGGACAAUGACAUCUUCGAAUCCAGAGCUUUAAUCAUGCGGGACAUCAUGGACGCUCUUGCUGAUAACAAUAAUAGCGUGGUCGGGAUUUAUGGGAUGGGCGGGGUCGGCAAGUCCACACUUUUGAUGGAUGUUGAAAGAAGAAUAAGGGAAGAAAAGUUGUUUGAUUGGGUUGCUAAGGCCGACGUUUCAGAAAAUCCUGACAUCAAGAAAAUUCAAGGAGACAUUGCGGAUGCAUUGGGCCUUAGUGACAUAAAGAACAAAGAGUAUGUCAGUGGGCGAGCAGAACUUCUGCACAGGAGGUUGGAAGAUGAGGAGAGGCAGCAAAAGAAGGUCCUCAUAAUACUGGACAACCUAUGGGAGGACCUCAACUUGAAAUCAGUUGGCAUUCCUUGUGGACUUGACAACAAAGUCAGAGGAUGCAAGUUGUUGUUGACGUCCAGAGAUCGUCAUGUUUUGCGAAGGGAAAUGCGCUGCAAUAAGGCCUUCCUCCUUGAUGUGUUGAAGGAGGAAGAGGCAAAAAGAUUGUUUGAGACGAUGGUGGGAGGCAAAGUUCACGUAGAGUUCGAACCGCUGGCGGAUGAAGCACUCCGCAUAAGUGCAGGUUUGCCUUUCCUAAUUUGCGCAAUGGCGAAACUUUUUAUAGAUGCUAGUUUAUCUGAAUUGAGUGAUGCUUUAAAUCAAAUUGAGCUGUCUACAGACGAAGGAAUAAGUGCAGUGAUAAAUAAGGUGUUGCAAUUGAGUUAUGAUCAUUUGAAAAGCGAGGAGGCAAAAAGUCUGUUACAACUCUGUGCUGCUUAUGGCAUCUCUGAACCCUCCGUUGAAAACUUGGUGAGGUACAGCUUUGGCUGGGGGAUAUUUCAAAAAGAUAGCAGCAUGAAAAAUGCUAGAGAUAGGUUGUUCACACUCAUCCGCACUCUUCAAGCCUCCUCCCUUUUGCUAGACAAUGGAGGCGGAGAUGGUUUCAAGAUACAUGACUUGGUUCGUGACUUUGUUGCCCGGUUCAUUUUAAGAGAUCACCCUCUUCUCUUGUUGAAAGAUAAAGAUAUGUUGGCACGAUUGCAGAAGGAAAAGCUCAAAAGUUGUACGGCAAUAUGCUUUCCCUAUAUUAACAUGAAGGAGCUUCCUGAAGAAUUAGAUUGUCCUGAAUUGCACAUCUUUUUGCUUUUCAGCAAUAAUGAAUCUCUAGAAGUUCCAAAUUCAUAUUUCAAUUCCAUGAGGAAACUUGCGGUCUUAAAUCUUACUGGUAUACGUCUCACUAGUUCGCCGAUGCCAUUUCAGUUCUCCGAGAACUUACAUACUCUGUGUCUUCAGCGUUGUCUCCUAGAGGAUGUGGCCAUUCUUGGCAAGCUAAAAGGGUUACAAAUUCUCAGCUUUGUGGACUCUGAAAUUCAGCGACUGCCAAAAGAAAUUGGGCAACUGGUAGAGCUGAGGUUGUUGGACUUGAGACGUUGUUCACAACUUGAGAUAAUUGAACCGGGUGUACUUCAAAGCUUGAUCAAAUUGGAGGAGUUGUACAUGGAGAAUAGCUUUGAUCAAUGGAAUGCUAUGGAGCAAACUCCACCAACUAAUGCGAGUCUAAUUGAGUUGGAUCACAUGAAGAAUCUCUAUACUCUGUAUGUGUCCAUUCCCGACCUGAGUGUACUCCCAGGGGACCUAAAUGUCGAGAAACUAACCAAGUACAGAAUUCAAAUAGGUAAUGCGUGGCGUUGGCUAAGUGAGUGCAAAGGAUCAAGGACACUGGAGCUCAAGUUGGAUCGAUUAAGCGAGGUUCACCGAAAAGGAUGCAUACAAAAUGUCUUAGGGAAAAUUGACGAUCUGCUUUUAAAUGGAUUGGAUGGAAGUGAGCAAAGUGUUUGUGCAUUAUCAGAAAAAGGUUUUAUAGAAUUAAAGCAUCUACAGGUCGAGAAUAGUCCCUCUAUCCAUUACAUCCUCCAACGGCCUUCCCUUAUUGCUUUUGAGAUGUUGGAGUCAUUACUUCUCAAGAAGCUUAUCAACUUGAAGAAGAUAUGCUACAACCAUAUCUCCUCCUCCAAGUCCUUCAGUACCCUAAAAGUAAUUCGAGUUGAAAGUUGUAACAAGAUAGAAGUUCUAUUUCCACUUUCUUUAUUGAGAGGACUUCCACAACUAGAAGAGAUUGAAGUUGUAGGUUGCAAGUUAAUGCAAGGCAUUGUAGAAGCUGAUGAUUGUGGCAAAGUGGAGUUGCGUAAUUUGCAUACAUUGAAAUUGCGUGACUUGCCAAAUAUCAAGAAUUUUUUCAGCACUAGAAUAGCUCAUUUAAGUAGCACAUCAAACGACCAAGUUAACACUCAAGUUGCAUUCUUUAAUGGGCAACAGGUAACUUUCUAUAAAUAAAAAAAAAAUUACAUUUAUUAAUUUUUCUUUCCUUUGCUAAGUAGAUGCAAUACUAUGAUGCUAAUUCAUUUUGUCAUUUUCAGUUCAUUUUUUCUCUAAUUACCUUAUUUAUUCAGGCCUUCUCUACAAUAAGAUAAAGCAAUAUUCUAUUCCUCUUCAUUGUGUAGAAAUCCAACUAAUCGUGUGACAUCCAUGUAAAUUUAGUCUGUGAUAGGUACAAAGUUAUUUUCAACUUACAUGCUUGAAGUAUAUCUAUAUUAAUAGGAUUUCAUUGUGCAUUAAAGGGAAUUUUGGCAUUAAAGUAAUGUGACUAUUCUAGAAAAUUAAGUAAAUUGAAGAGAGGGAGAGAUUUUAUCUAAGUAUGGGAUUAUAUGAUCGUUAUGUGAGAAUAUCCAAAUUACUGUUUGCCCAUUGUUGACAAAAUCUACUUAGAAUUCGUACUUUUUGUUUUGUCUCCAGUAAUUCCAAUAGCCUUCUCAUUCUACGCUCAUCAACGUUAGUAUGGAGAUUUUUUAUUAACUUCUUUUUAUUUUGUUCUUUUUUACUAUUGUGCAAUGAAUUCAUAAUUUACAUCUUGGCACCCAUCUAUAUUCAUAUCUUGAAAGUUCAUGAAUAACUCAAUCACCAAUUUUGUGAGCGAAUAUUGCAGGUUGCAUUUCAUAGCUUGGAGACAUUAUAUAUCACCGGUUUGGAUAACAUCAAGAUGAUAUGGGACAAUCAAGUUUCUGCAGAUUCUUUUUCUAAACUAAAAUUACUUGUUGUGGAAAAAUGCAAUAAACUUGUGAAUGUGGUUCAUUCUUUCAUUCUAGAACGGCUUGUGAGCCUAGAAAGAUUGGAAGCAAGUUAUUGUGGUUCGGUUGAAGUUGUUUUUGAACUUCAGCCACUAAAUUGUUUAGAUCGACAUCCUAUUAAUCUUCCAUUAAAAGAGCUGAUAAUAUCAGGAUUACCAAAGCUAAAGUGUGUAUGGGAUAAGGAACUCCACCAUCACGUUAAAUUCCAAGGUUUACAUUCUAUUUGGGUUUUCAGAUGCGAGAGCCUCAUCUCUUUGAUUCCAGCCUCAGUAGCCAGAGAUCUAAUGCAACUUGAGGAGUUGAAGAUCGACGAAUGUGGCAUUGUGGAACUCAUCGAGAAGGAAGAAGGAUUAGUUCCCAAGUUUGUAUUCCCAAAUUUAACCUUCCUCGAGCUAAAGCAUCUGUCCGAGUUGAAGUGCCUUUACACCGGAACACAUACUUCCCACUGGCCAGCAUUGAAGACCUUGAAGGUGGAUGGUUGUAACAAAGUGGAGAUACUUGCAUCCCAAACUGAGAAUGAGAUGCCACGUCAUAAACAGCCUCUCUUCUUGAUGAAAAAGGUACGACCCGAGAUUAUUUGUUUUGCUUCAAUGGUGAAUAUUUGAAGUCGGCCACAGCCAAGCAUCUCAUACAAGUAGCUCUACAUAUGAAGAUGUAAACUGCUGAUUCACCUUGAAUCCAUAUGAAUAUUUCAACAUUGAAACAACAUAUGCUCUUCAAGUAUUGAUUGAACAUUCUUGUCUUUGCUUGAUGUAUUAAAUGCAUUUUCGUUGAUCCCCUUUAAAGAAAAAGGUUUGGGCUAAUUCCGAUGGUUUAGCUCUCUCCUAAGUGCCGCAAAUAUUGAAAACAUGAGGCAUGUGAUGUGAUCUUACCACGGUGCAAGUGUGUUGCCUAACUUGAAUCCUAUGAAGAUUAUUGAUGUUAUGCUAAAAACAGAAAGACUGGACAUAAUUGUUGACAUUAAUCACUUAAAUUUGUGCGAUUGUGUUUGUAAUUGGUGCAGUAGUUAUUUUCACAAGGGAUACAUCUUUAGACACGUGAAUGUAAGGAGUUAUAUAAGUUCAAUAUUGAUACAAGUCAAACAUAAAAUAUUAACGAUAAUGUUGAUUUGAUGUGGGAACAUUUCCUUAUGUUGAAUCACAUGAAACUCAGCAUUUUAAAAUGCAGUUAUUAUGAACAAAAUGCAUGACUAAAAUAAUAAUGCAUGAAUACUCUUUCAAUUAAGCUGGUUUCAAAUUCUGGUUUGAUUGUUUUCUCAGGGCGCAUUCCCUAAUCUCCAAGAGUUAAAAUUGGAUUUAUCAAAACGGAUGGAGAUAUGGCAUGGGCAUUAUCAUGAUGGAGAAUUAUUGUGCAAGCUUAGAGUUCUUGAGCUUCAUCAUCUGUCCAAGGAAUCUCACAAAUCCACAUGUCGUUUUGUUGAGAGUUUAACCAACUUGGAAGAGCUAGUUGUAUGUGAAUCUUAUCUAGAACAGCCAGACAGCAAGGAGGAAGCCAUAGAAGGCACAAGUCAUGAGCUAAAAGUAGUAUUACCCUUUCCAGGAUAUAUUCAACAUUUGCAGACUCUUGAUGUGUCGCAUUUUGAUGGUUUAUCAAAUAUGUUCACACCGACAAUAGCUGAAAAUUUGGUGGCACUCACAAAAUUGAAGAUAAGCAAUUGUAGAAUAUUGACAGAAGUCAUUAGUGAUGAGGAAGUUAAGGAGGGGCAUGUAGUAGCUUUCAAUCAAUUGAAGUAUAUGGAGCUUAAUGGGUUGAUAGAGUUGAGAUGUUUCAGCUCAGGUGGAUGCACUUUGAUGUUCCCUAUCUUGGAAGAUGUCAUUGUGACCGAAUGUCCCAACAUGAAGUUCUUCUCUAAGGGAACAAUGGAGGCACCAAAACUAAAGAGAGUACGUGUAUCUACAGAUGCAGCAGCAGCGUUAUUUUGGAAGGAAAACCUCAAUAUCACCAUCAGAAAUAUGUCUGAAGAAAUGGUAUUUGCUUUUUAUCACCAAUAGAGUAAUUGCUUAUUGCUAACUAGAAUUGUAUGUUUAAUGAUUCAUUUUUCUGAUAGGCCACAGUUGCUGGAGUAAAGGAAAUGUGGUUGUCUGAGUUCUCUGAGCUAAUUGGAAAAUGGCACAGCCAACUUAAUCCCAUCAAGUCAUCUUGGCAAUUAAAAACACUGGUGGUGGAUAAAUGUCCAUCAUUUAUUAACGCUAUUCCAUCAAAAUUGAUGGUUGUUUUAGAGAAAAUGACAAGCUUGCAGGUGCGUAAUUGCGAGUCUUUGGAAGAAAUAUUCGGUCUUGAAGGGCUUGAGACUGUGGAAAGUACUCAGGUGCUGCCCCGGCUACAACAUCUGAACUUGGUCAAUCUACCGAAGUUGAGGCAACUAUGGAACAAAGAUCUUCAAGGAAUGAUGCGCUUCAAUUCUCUUUAUGUUUUGACCCUUUAUAAAUGUAGUAACUUGAGACAUGCUUUCAAUCCAUCGAUGGCUCAGUGCCUUGCCAAUCUUGCACAGAUUGAAAUAAAGCAGUGUGGUAAGAUGGAAGGAGUCAUCAUACAGGAAGAUGAGCAAGGAAGUGCAGUGGAGAGAAUUACAUUCUCGAAUCUUUAUUGGAUUAAGCUAGAAUGCUUGCCCAAUUUGACCAGUUUCCUCUUGGGGAGGAAUCAUAUGCUGGAAUGUCCUAGAUUAAAGCAGCUGACCAUUGUCCAGUGCCCCAAGAUGAGAAGUUUGACUUGGCAAUCUAGGAUGGAGAUUGAUCACAACACCCCCUCACUAUUCACCCCACAGGUCAGUCUUGUUUUUCUUUAUCUAAUGCUUUUGAUUUUGAGAUCAAUCAUCUUUUCAGAUCAAAGUACCAAUGAAUGGGGUGUCAGUAAUUGGAAGUUGGAAAUAAAAUGGUGCUUCGCAUGCGUCACAUAAAACAAUUUCAGUUCCACUUUUUUCUUCUUCUUUUUCGGCCAAAGAAACCUUAAAAAACACGGCAUCAAUCAUGGAUAAGAAUUUAGUUUUCCCUUACUCACCCAAUUUUUGCCAGCGGUCGGAUCACUGCGCCCCCCCCCCCCCCCCCCCAGAAACUUAUGGAGCUGCCGACUGCCAAGAGACUACUUUUAUAAUAAAAAAGAAUUAGGAAAAAUUCUUUACUUUUUGAACCAACCCAUUGCCCCCCCUAAAAUGGAAAGGGAAAAAAAAAAGGGGGUUUCCCCGGGCCCCAAAAAAAAAAUUUUUUUCCCCUUUUUUUUUUUUUUUUUUUGGCCAAAAAAACCCUAAAAAACCCCCCCCCCACCCAGGGAAAAAAAUUUUUUUUUCCCUUCCCCCCCAAUUUUUUCCCGGGGGGGGGGAAGGGGGCCCCCCCCCCCCCCCCCCCCCCCCCCCCCCCCCAAAAAAAAGAAAAAGAAAAGAGAGAAUGAAUAUAGUUCCAAGCAAGUUAUUAAUAUCCCAUUGGAUCUUGAUUUGGAUCCGAAUCUUUUCAAUGUAAGACUAGUAAAUUGACUCCAUUUGCUUUUUCUUAGAUCAUUUAAGUCUUUAUGUUGCCUCUACUUGGUUGCUAAUUUAUUUUCUUUCAGUACAAAAAUUUUGUGCACACAAUAAAGAAAAAAACUUGUAAACAAUUGAAGCUAUUUUUUCUUCUUAUCUGCCAACAAUUUUUCAUGACACUUCUCAUUAGUGAACUUACUAAUUACAAGAUUCAUAAGUAAUGUUCCCAAUUAAGAUUAGCAUUGAAUUAGUAGUGGUGCUCAUAGUAAACAGAGGAAAUGACCUCUGUCUCGAGAAGACACAUGGAAUAUUGUCGUACUUGAGUUGCAAAUUAAUGUUAAGUGAGAUGCUCAACUCUCAUUUGUGCUCCCCUUCCGUAGCUUAUUAAGCUCAGCCAUUGAUCUAUAUAAAAAAGAGUAGUUCUGGAAUUUAUUGCUCAAUACAUCAAUGAUUGAGGAUGAUCAAGGUACCCUAUGGCAAAGAAACAGGAUGGGUCUCCAUCAUUUCCAUCUAUACAUGGACAUGGUUACGUGAUCAUCUUCCAAGUCCAUGCUAUAACAACCAAAUAAAUAUCAUAGUAUAAAUAAAUUUUACCUUUGUAACCAUAUGAUACUAAGAUAGUGUUACCGAUUCGCUUUUGCUAAUAAUUUUUGGAUAUUUCUAAAUCUACUAGAAAUGAAAAUGGGAAGUUAAUUUCUUUCAAUUGAUAAGAAAGAUAUGUAGAACCAUCUUAUACCUAUCGCUGGAACAUCGUAAUCUUGCACCCACCAGCACAACAUUGGAGCCGACAUUAGGAAGAGAGAAGAAGAAUAUAUAUAUUUUCCCUAUUGGAUUGAAUCACAUACGUCGAAGCUGCGUUGAACCGUGCUUUAGCUUCGUUCAUUCCUUGAAGUAAAGAAAUCUAAGAAAAUCUCACCUUAUCUAAUGUUGCAUUAUCAAAAGAUCAGCGCAACCUUCUAAUAAUGAUCGGUGCAAACAAAUCUAACGAAUUGCAGGAAAAUUGGAGAAUCCGAUAAUUCAUCAUUGCAACUUUCCACAAAUUAAAGGGAAAGGCGUUGCUAGUGUUUACUGUCAAUUAAGUCAAUUAAAAGCAGUGUUCAAUAAUUAUUGUAUCAUUCGACGGAAAUUAGGGGACGUCGUCAUCAGAGUAGAAUAUUAAGGAAUGUGUGGAAAUACACGUCAUCAUCUAAUUUUUUAAGAAUUAAAAUCAAAAUUUAAAUUAAUUUCGAUGGAUUCAGUAAAUACAAGCUAAUACCUUUACAGAAUUUAUUUAUAUUUGCAUCACUUCUUCAAAAGGCAAUUAACACAUAUCAAACUGAUCAUGUCAGUCUUUUCCCUCCGGUUUUUGACCCGUUUUGUUACAGGUACCGUACAAGUUUCAAUUAUUUUCUUUUCUGGCAGAGGAAAUGCUUGUGUGUAUUUUUUUCAUUCUAAUGCUUUUGCCCAAUUUUAUUAUUAUUAUCGUUAUUUGUGAGUAGAAUGUUUCAUUGUAUCGUGGAUUCACACGUGUUUACUCUUUAAUCAUAAGUCGUCAAGAAUUAGGAGCUGUGAUGUAAUAAUAUAUAUCCUCCACAUAAUUAUAAAUUUGCAAAAGGUCAUCAUAAUAGGCACCUUAGAGUACUAAUAGUUGUUGGGAAGUACGAAAAUAAUCAUAUAAUUUGCUCCUUGUGACAAAGUGUAAUAUUGUUAAUUUCUUGUUAAAUGCGAGCCGUCAUGCAAUCAUGGUUGUCCCCACAUUGUUAACUCAUCAAAAUCCUCAAUCUACAAUAUUAAUGGAUUUAGGAAUGUGUGGAAAUAAUUCUGUUUAUUGUUGUGAUAAGUCGUAAUUGCAUCAAUUUAUUGUAACAAAAUAAAAAAGUCAAUGCUCGCUUCUCAAUGGACAAGUCACAAGAAGUUAUAACACAGUUGAUUCUCUCCAAACAAACAUAAUUUGACUGCAGCAGAUAUCUUGGUGGACCGUUUGAUACUUGUCACAAACUUUUCUAGUUUCAUGGUCCAUGGACCUAGGGAAGUACGGAAAUAUGCAUAUGGAAACAAAGGUUGUACAUAACGUAAUUUCAUUAAUUUCAUCAUACCCAAUGAAAAUUCUGCAUGAGCUGUUACAUGAACAAUUCAUUGCAACUCAUACUAUGGUUUCGUUUUUUCGUACCAUGUUUUAUUUUGUCAUAACAUAUUUCAUGUGUUCAUGAACACUAAUUGUGUUAGUCUAUGGAUCCUUGUUUGUGUGAAAAAUUUGCCUUAAAAUUCAUGUCACACGAGAUAUAGGAAAUCCCAAAGUAUUCAUUUGGUAUUUGAGUUCGUGAUUGCGUUCUUUGUGCCGUAACUCGAUGUAAAAUGGUCUGCUAUCUUUUGUGUACACGAGUAUUAAAGUGUGGCAAGCACCGUAAGGUAAUUCAAUUUGUCACACCGCAUUACAUGAUUAUUGGAAUGCAAUAAACUCGGCCUUAAACAUCGGUCAGCUGAAAUAGAAGCAUCAAUCAAUCUCUCCCUAUUUAUCUCAGUAACAACCUCGAGGAUUUUGAGAGCUUGAAAAAUUUGUAAAAUUCUUUUUUAUGGCCAUAACUCAAUGUAACCACAUUCAUUUUUCAAUUUUGUCAAUAUGGCAGGUGCAAUUUCCUUGCCUUGAAUUGAUGAUUCUCUCCCACAUGGACAAUUUGAGCAAAAUAUGGACUGACGUUCCUCGAGAAACUCUCGUAUGUAAACAUUUACAAAAACUGGAGGCUCAAAACUGUAAGAGCCUUGAAAAUCUGUUUCCAUAUUGGGUGGCUACAAGUCUAAACCAACUUGACAAACUUCGAGUAGAGUCUUGUGUGAUUGAAGAAAUAGUCGCGAGUGGGGAUGACACUUCAUACUCCAAUAUUGCUCAAGUUCUUUUCCCAAAACUGACCUCUCUGGUGUUACAUGAUAUGUCACAACUCAAGAGCUUCUGUCCUAACUUGCCCACUUUGAACUGGUCACUCUUGGAGGAAUUGCGAGUGACUCAUUGUGAUAAAGUGAACAUAUUGUCUUUUGCAACAUCCAUGAGCAAGUGGACUCAGAGAAACAAUCAGCAGAACCUUUCAGACCAAGAGGCACAUUUUUCUUUUGAGAGGGUAUGAUUACCAUUGCUCUUCCUCAAUUUCUACUUUGUUCUUCAACGCACCCACUAAUCUUAUGUCCCCCUGCAUAAUCAUGUCACGUCAUAAUACUAUGAAAAACAUUAUCUUCCUUACCAAUCGGUUUGUUGACUGCAUAAGAUAGUUCUGAUAUCUCAAGUAUACUUUUCAUUUGUGGACACACAUAAGAUAUUUCAUUGCAUAGAAUUACAAAAAUAAUUACAGAUUUUUGUUGACAACACAAUUUGAUCAUAAUCUAAUCUAAUCUAAUGGUGCUUCUUGGGGAAGUCAAUGACAUUUGGCACGAGAUCCUCUUGACACACAUUGCACAUUUAAACUUUUCUUCUCUAUUUAUUUUCUACAAACUAUAAAAGAAUAAACUAGAACAUUUUUCUUUUUUUAAAAAAUAUCAUUCUUCAAUUCAUUAUAUUCUACUUUAUCCUUCAAUUCACUCCUCACAUUUCAUGUCCACUAAGCAUGUCACAUUAUAGCACUAAAAUCCCGAAACCCCCAUAUAUAAAUUUGCAGACGAAGGAAGAUGUCUCUUUAUCUUAAGUACACUUUUAAGUUUGUGGACACUAUACGUUUUAGAAACAUUAUGGGUGCAUCCCAUUACAUAAACUCCAAAGAUGACAAACUUUUGUCGACAAGAUAAGAUAUUUCUAAUAAAAGAUGAAUUUGGUGAGCUGGAGGGCUCUUGAAUUUAGAUUCACUCUACCAACAUAACCAUACCAACCUCCACUUGAGACUUUUAAAAGCUUGAGACUUGUUUGCAAGGAUCCUUACAUUUGAUUAAAUGCCCUUCCAUGUGAAUUAUAUGAACUAGCUUUACCUUUUACAACACAUGAAUUAUUGUCAAACCUUUGUUGAAUUUACUUCUCUCUUCAUGUUGGUAAUUUGACAGGACUUCCCCAAGUUAGAGAGACUUUCAUUAGACGAUAAAAAUAUUCAGAUUAUACAGGAUGGAAAAUUUACUGAUGACAUCUUUGGCAAGCCAAAAUUAUUAACAUUGGCAUGCUUUCAUGAUGAAAAGGCUAUCUUUCCUCCCAUAUUCUUCCUAAAGAGAUUUCAGAAUCUAAAAAGCCUUGAGGUCUUCUGUAGUUCCUUUGAAGAUAUAUUCCCUAAUGAAGGGUUUGUCCACGAGGGAAGAAAUUCUGUGCUUGAAAAUUUAAGAGAACUUAAGUUAAGCAAGCUACAUAGCCUAAAGCGUGUGUGGAGAGAAGACUAUUUAGUGAUGAAAAUUCUUCAGAGUAUUGAAACAUUUGAAGUUUGGGAUUGUCCUCAUUUAACAACAUUAUUUCUAGCAAAGACAUCCUUUCUCAAUUUAACGAAGUUAGUGGUGAAGAAUUCUUCUGGAUUGGUACAUCUAGUAAUAGCUUCAGAGAUCACAAAUUUGGUGCAUCUCAUUGAGAUGACUAUAAUAGGAUGUGAAAGAAUGAAAGAAGUAGUGGCAAAUGAUGGAAAUGAAGAAGGAAAAGUGAUUUCUCUUGGGAAGCUAAGAAUAUUGAGACUCCAACAUCUACCUAGCCUAUUAUGCUUCUCCUCCAUCACAAGUUGUAGUUUCAGGUUUCCUUCCUUGUUUAAGAUUGAAGUGGAAGAGUGCCCAAAAAUGAAGAUCUUUUCUAAAGGUACGCUAAGCACAUCAGAAUUAAAAUAUGUGAAAUUGUUCAGGUACACGUGGUCAUGGAAUUGGGAGGGUGAUCUCAAUAAAACCAUACAAAAGUUAUUAGCAUAAACAAGAUACAUGUGGCCAUGGAACCGGCAGCCACGUGUGUGCUAAUUCCUCCACUUUGGCCCUGUCGAGAAAUUUCUGUACUCUUUCGUUUCUUCCUUCAGUCAGGCAACAGUGAUACGUCUGAAACGUUUAUCCAAAAAGAAAGGAUUUUUCUUGCGAGAAGGUGCUUUUUGGAGACGAGCUGAACAGUGUGCACUUAUCCUGAGUUGGUUUUCUAUGGUCCCACCACCCAGGUCCUCUCAUUGCUCUUAAAUCGGCCAACAACUUUCAAACGGGGCAUCUCUUUUUGAAGGCAGUGAUGAGGCCGGCUUAUAUUGAUGAUGGCAUGGUAAGACCCCAGCUUUUCAACUCAAACUAGCAUGUCUGAAAAUUAAAUAUAUGAAGGCUGUUUACAAUGUCUAAAACCAAGGAGUAAUUAGUUAGACAUGCUGGAUCUAAAAACUGUGUGAAGCACAUGUCUAACCAAUGCUUCCCUUUGGGGCUUUCAAUGAUAGUCCAGUAACCUGGCACCUAGCUUGGAUGCAUUUCUUAUUUUAACGUGCUAGUACCCGCAUGCCUUGUCUCCCCAAUUGGAGAGAGGGUUUUUCUUCCCUCUUCUUGAGAAUACCUGAAUUUUAUGUCCUAGAAUUCAAACGAAGUAGUUUUAGGACAUACUCAGGUCCACAUAUCUUUGCUUAUACUCUAGUGUUUUUUCCAAGUUGACUUCAUUUGUGUAGGAAACCACAUGACAUGUUAUUUUCCUCGAAAUGUUGAUGGACAUAUGUUUUAAACCAGGAUUAUAUCUUAACAAUGUAGUAAUUGAAGCAGGGAAGAGAAUGAAGGGACAGUUAUUGGGACAUAAGUUGGAGGUCGAAGGUUCGAGAAGAAAAUAAUCAUUUCUUUUUUGGUGGAUAGAUGUCUCAAAUUGUUGGAAAGGCCAAUGCUGAGGCAAGUCUUAAGAUUAGAAUCCAGUUCUUUUUAUAUGGAGAACUUUGACAACGUAUUCAAUGGCGUAAAGGUAGAAUAUAUGUAGGUAAAUCACACAAGGAGACUAUAUUGAUAAGCACAAGCAAAUUGCAAAGAAUGUUGCUGCCUCCAUAACUAAAUGGAAAGACCUAAAAGAUAGGGGGUGGCAUAACUAAAUGGAAAGACCUAAAAGAUAGGGGGUGGCUAGUUACGAUUAUGAAAUUUCAUUGUAAAUCAAAUGAGGAGACUAUAUUGAUAAGCACAAGUAAAUUGCAAAGAAUGUUGCUGCCUCCAUAACUAAAUGGAAAGACCUAAAAGAUAGGGGGUGGCUAGUUAUGAUUAUGAAAUUUCAUCGUAAAUCAAAUGAGUAAUAUUUUAAUGUCAAAUAGGAGAUACUGUUGCAAUUCGUUACCUUAAUCAGAUAUUUGGAAAAGAGAGAGAGAGAGAGAGAGAGAGAGAGAGAGAGAGAGAGAGAGAGAGAGAGAGAUUGUCAAAUGAACCAACAGUUAGUUUGAACAGCUUAAGUUAAAGUUUUUGAUUGUAUCCAAGUUCUGGUCAUCGAUGUCUUUGCUUUUUCCCUUCGCAUGUGGUCCGUGUGCUGGAAAUUCUCGUGUGUGUGUUACCCUAUAGCACUCUUGGAGCAAAGAUAUUAACAUUUGACUUUGAAUUGCAGGUUAAGAUUGAUGACUUCCAUUGUAUGGUUUCCUGUCUAUUAAAACUCAUGAAACUAUUUCACCCAAAAAAAAACUCAUGAAACUAACAACUACCGCCUGAAACUCGUUGCGUAUAAUUUGAUUCUUUCAUGAAUGUAUGCUUAUGUUUGGUGUUUUUUCACCAUAAGUUGGUCUUUUGACUAUGUACAUUGGCAGACUGCUCCUGUUCAAUUCUUCAGGCGGCAUAUUCGGGAAAACAAGCAAUGCGUGACUGUCAGGUAUUCAGACAGUUCAUGGACGGUGAAGCUGAGGAGCUAUGGACACAAUCGAGGGCAGUCUUUUCUUGCUGGUUGGCACGCAUUUGCUAGAGAAACUCUUCUGCAUGUGGAGAAUGUUUGUGUGUUUACGCUUAUUGAUAGCGAUGAUGUUGUGUGCAGAGUCUACAAAUUCACUAGUGCUCGUAAGGACUUGUUUUACAUUGAUUGAGAUGAACUUUGGAAGUGAUGCUUUGGCUGGUCCAAAAUAAAUUCAGUAUUCCAACUAGUAUCUCCUUUCUAGUCUUGAUGAAUCAGUGAAGCGUACUUCUAUUCCUAUGGGUUUGUGAGGUUCAUAAUAAUCCAGAUGCACACACUCAUUAUUGCCACAUUCUGAAUCUAAAUGAACAGAUAAGGAUUUGCUUCAAGAUGUCCUUUUCGGUUAAUGCAUUCCUAUUUGGUUGUUGUUCAUUUUGAAUUUGAAAUCAAGUCUCUUAGGCUUAUUAAGAUUAUGGGUUUUAUUCUUCCAACAGGGAAUGCCAAGGAGGUUCAUGAGAAAAUAGGGUGAAAAUCUCUCAAAAAAGGAUGCUUGUCAAAGUGUGAAAUGGUGCAAUUAUUUGGCCUAUGGAAUUGGAAAAAUGUGAUGAGAUGGUCGAAUGAAUAUGCAGAGCAUUUACCCUAUCUGCGAGGGCCAAUUUUUGGUCUUUAAAUCUGAAGUGGACUCCAUUUUCCAUGUAAUCAUAUUUGAUAAAGGCGUCUCCGAUAUAGAAUGUCCGCCAAUGAGUGGUGAUGCGAGGAACUGACCCUCAGCAAUUGUGGAUUUGCCUUGCGAUGAUGGAAGAUGCCGGUGAUUGCCGUGAUGUUUCGGUCAAGCUAUAAGUCUUGGGAGAUGAAGUGCAUUGACCCAAGAGUCCUCGGCUUUGUAAGGCAACAAAAUCUGAUCAAGUUUGUGAAGUUCAUGGCGGUUCCUAUGCACAUUCAUCAUCGUGGAGUUUGGGGAGAGACCAAAGUUUAAACUGCUCAUCAUGAGAUUUUCGAGGUGUGAAUCUUAAUCACUAGUUAAUUCUCCUCCACACUCUGUUGUUCUUGUGUUUGAUUCAAAUUCUGUAUAGGAACUCUCCAUGACGCUAGUUAAGAGACUGUGUUAGAGCUAAUUCAUCCCCGUAGUUCUUCUCUGCAUCUAGCUCUCUCGUGUGUGCAUAUGUGUGUGCAUACGUAUGUGUUGGGUGGUCUCAUAUAUGUCAACCAAUGUGCUGAAAAUGACAUUGCUGUGCAUAUAGGCCUCAGAAGUUAGACCAUUAGAAAAGCUCGCAUCAAUUGAUUUAGCAUUGUUAUGUCGAUGGACAUGAGUUUCACAUGACCAAAAAUAGUGUAUGCCUAGAAAUGGAAAGCUUUUUAUGUUCUGUUUGCGACUGCUGCAGGUAAGCUGAAAGAGCUGAGCUCGUGCAGAGCUCUUGAACUGGCCAGCAAAUUUAAGCCCGAGUAUCCUUUCUUCCGAAGUUACAGCAAGGUAAAUAUAUCUGAAGAAAAGCAACGCGAUAAGAUCCUCAUGACAAGGAAAACUGUUGGAUUUAAAUCACAAAGAGUUGCUAAACUAUGUUAGCUCUAGGUUAAGCGUGCAUCGUGUCAAUAAUUUCUGUUUUUAUCCUUCAGAUGCUUUGAAAAGGAUCCUCCUACUGUCUGCCUCAGAGCUCAUUGGUUGUUGCAAAAUGUCUACUUGAGCAGAGAGUUACCGGCUCACUCCAAAAAUGCGCAUCAAGAAAAGUCCGCAGACCGUGGCUCUCAUAUUUUAAGACAAAUCAUGGCCGGCGAUGCUCAUCAGCCACGGUUAUCAUGGAAAGUUCUCUGCCGGUUGGACCGCAUUCACAAGAUAAACUUCUCUGAAGGCAGGUGGCAAUGUGUGCUCGAGCUUUAUUAGAAGGGAUGAUGUCAUUUUUGGAGGGUCCUUUAUCAGAACCACUGAGAAGACUUGGGUGAACAAUACUAUGCAAUGGACACAGCAGAGGAAGCAUUGCUUUUAGCUCAAUUUUGGUGAGAACAGAACUGCAGAAUUGCUAGGCUGAAAUCUGCUUCUGAUUUGGCAAAUUGGAUAAAAGCACAAGUUUUGUUCUAAUGGAUGGAAUGCUCCUGAAUGUACAUGAUACCUUCCUUGAUCCUAGUGUUGGCAGUCACCAUGUGGCCAUGGGUCAUGAGACGGAGGAAGCUGAUUGCUAAUGUCGAUUUGAUAACUUCCAUUUCUGGAAACAAUCUCUCGAAUAAGUUGCUUCUUUAAGGUUUCCGGUGGCUCAACCCAACCUUUGGAACUAUUUAAGUUGUAGUAGCAUCGAAUACGCUUCCCUUAAGUCAUGUACCAACUCUGAAUUUCAAGGCACAACCCAUGGUUUUACAAGCUCGAUGUGGACAUACGUUAGAUUCUAUUCAUCGUCGCUUUUCGAAUUCAUAAAGAUUCUAUGACGAGCCUUUUUUGGCAUGUGGGCGGCACAAAUUGAAGUUUUCUUAGUUUCUUCUCAUGUGAAGAGCAUUCGGAACUCAUUUUGUCAAAUGAACUGAAUCUGAUAUGCCUGGCCAAGCGAUAAUCCAAUCCAUGCUGCUUCUUUUCAUGGUUAGCCAAUUAAAGGAACUUUCACACCAAUGUCUACUGAAUUCCCUCAUUGUUUUAAACGGGGAAAAGGGUAUUUUCAUGCCUCUCUUGCAGCCAUCUCUUUUGCUGCAGUAGCAUAACUCUGUAAAGGCGUCACUGCCACACAACUCUUCCGCAACCCCUCUCAACAAAACAGCAAUCAAGCUGGAUAAACAUCGCCGAUUCUCCGUCUCUCUUGAACGGGGCGUUCUUCGAAACAGAGUCCGACUUCGUCAUUCCAUCAAACACCUUCCUUGCAAACUCGAUUCCCUCCUCCACGGGGCAACUGACGGCAAUGGAAUUACGCCGGGGGGGAGGGGGGUGAAGAGAGUGAGAGAGAGAGAACAAAGGCGAAAUAGAAAAUCAAACAGACAAAUUGGGAAUGAAAACGACCUGGGAAUGGUGAAUAUCGAAUGAUGGAUUCCGUCAUCGCCUGAACGUAGCAAGGAACAGCUGUCUGCAGAGAUUUCUCGAAGCAACGUUCAUCGGAGAGAGUUCGUGGGCAAAGGGAAUGUCUGGAUACUGUCUGCCAAUUCAGAGGAUGGGAUUUUUUUGGGUUUCACUCUAUCGGCCGUCCCGCCGGUGCAGCGUCCCUUCAUCGACCGAUGCAAUCUGAGGCCGAUCGAGUCGUCAUUGUCCGAGACUGAUAGGCCGAGAGCGUGAAGAUCGGUGGCGAGGCUGAAGAGAAAACGACGAGAGCUAAGCCGGUGGAGAUGAUCGCGUUGCCGCGUUCUGUUCCCGGUUUGAAUGAACAGUGCUUUAAUGUCAUUUGUGAAAGCAAAAUUCCACUUUUUUUCAAACAACUUCUAAUUCCGUAGAAAUAUUUUAAUUUUUCUUAAGUCUUUCAAUUUGAGAUUUCUAUUAAAAUACAUCCUUUAAUUGAAAAAAUUAACCUAUUUCAUUUCCGGUUAUCGAGAUAUCAUCGACCUAAAUUAACAUCGUGAUAAAAUGAAUUUCAUCUCGUUAAAGUAAAGCAGGAGUAAAUCCUAAUUUAAACAAUGUCUUGCGUAAAUGUGCUUAAUACCUUUCAAUAGUUUAUCUGCACUAUUUGCCUUAAUUAGUCCUACGGAUUUUUGUUGACAUUGGUCGCACGGUCCUUACCACCAUAAAAAGGAAGGAAAAAGCAGCUUCUGUCCAGGGGUCCUACCAUCCUUCGCGGGAAACACUUCAUCAAUAUGAAAAUGAGUAUUUCUGGUACCUAAUUCUACAACCUCGGAGUUGGAUCUGGCCCCAGUGCUGCGUAAAUAAUAAAGUUUAUUCUAGUUGAUUUCUUCGACUCACAUAUCACGACGUCGGCUUGAAGAUUUAGUUUUCGUUUUGAUUCUUGUUUUUGUUUUUGUUUUUUUUCCACUAAGGACUCCAAGAGUUAAAAAUCUCAACUCCAAUAAACCUCGAAACAUAAGUUUUCCGUGCUAAGCUAGUUUCACGUUCAAUAUGGAAUCCAUCUAGAAUGUAAUAAUCCCUAGCUUUUAAUGUGAGAAUAUCUUAGAGUUGCAUUGUACUUGAUGGUUGAUGUAGUUGAUGGUGCGGAAAGUGCUGGGUAUAAACAAUUGAUAUACCAAAUUGGUGUGCAAAUGAGAUUUUUCGGUAAUUGGGGUAAAUGUCAAACGUAGUCACUUUGUACAAUCAAGUCACUAAACUUUAAUUUUAAUCGCCCGAUACAUUAACAUCAUUUUUUUCCCAUAUGUAAUCAAUGAAUUAUGAAGAUUUUUCCGAAAAUUUUCUAUGCAAUAUUUACAUAGCAGUCUUACAUAUCUGAUUAAAAAUGUUAUAACAGCAUGACAUCAUAUUAGUCUCCAUUAAGAAAAAACCGAAAAAAAUAUAGAAGUUUAAAAAAAGAGAGGAUAGGGAUUCAUUCACUCCAACUCACGUCGAAACCCUCUGUCUCAUUUGGGUUACAUGGCCCUGUGUUACAAGGGAGGUUCUCAAGGCGUAACCCGAUCGGGAGCUAGCUAAAUUUAUCAUGAGUAUUUAAAUUCUCUUUUAUCCCCAUCAGAUUUUCUAAAGAUUUAUAUAAUUGAGUCCAUAAUGACUAUUUUCAUUUCAAUUUGCCCCCGCAAAUUAAUGAACCUCAAUAAGCAAUUGCAGAAUCAUGAAAAUCUAGUUGCCAUAAACAAACCAAACCGACGCAACUGUUAUUUUCAUCUCAUAUUAUUGAGUUCAAGAGCAUCGGUUUGUUUACUAAAAUAAUCAUUAUUUACCGAAGUUCGCCCCCACUAGGAAAAAUUUCUAGAUACAUCCAUGAAUUGGCCAUGGUUUGCUUGGGUUUUGAUUUGGUACAAAUUCUGAAGUUCAUUUGACGAUUGAAAUCAAAAUUCAAUGACCCGAUUGUAAAAAUGCGCUAUAUAAUCCAGUCGUCAAUAAUUGAUUCCUCAUCUGUUGUUCUCUUUAACAAAUUUGAACGCCUAGCCUCAUCCGAUCAAACUUCCACAAAAUUCCCAUCAAUCCCUCUCCUUUUCCCCUUCAACUUGGCUGCUACUCGUAGCUGCAAUCACCGCCUUCUCCCCGUCUUCAGUUGAAUGAAAGCCUAUUAAAUGAGCGUUAUGCAAUCUUUCGAGGCCAUUUUGGCUCAGUCUUUGAAGGUUGAGUUGAAAAAUUUCGAGAAUAAAUAUCUGAAAUCAUUUGAUGCAGGACUACGCAGUCUGCUUUUGCUUUAAAAUCAUAGAUAACUGUUAAUUUUUUAAUUUUUUUGUCAGAGAGAUGAGUUUCUCAUGUAUCCAUUUCUAACUAUUGUAGUUCCAUCUUUAACUAUUGUAGUUUCUGCUGCAGGCAAAGGGAGGAGAUCAGAUUUUUUUUGGUGAAAUCGAGAGUUGAUUCUUUUUUCUUGGUCGAAGAAAUCAAGAGUCGAUUAUUGUAGUGUGAAAUCUAGGCAAGCCAAACAACCACAGUGUAAGCUGUAAUCUCUCCUAUUAUUUGGGAUGCUCUUGGUACAGGAGAAUAGAAGAAAUGACAGCGUAAAAUGGUCCUUUUUUCUAUUGGUUGUUUUGAGAAAUUACUCGGAAAAGCUAUCUUUUAAUUGGUGGUUGAAAAGUCUGUAAUUUUAACUUGUGUGCAAUCCCAGAUUUUUCGCUAGUACUAAGAUAGAAGAUGCAGUUGCUUCUCAAAGGUGGUGUUGUAGCACUUCUUGGUGUUCUCAUUUUGACAUCUAUCAAGCUAAAGUAGAAUGCACGGACAUUCGUUAGCGUACCUACAAUUUUCGUUUCUUUCCAUAUCACUUUAAAUUUCUUCAUUAUGAUUGUUCUAUCAUUUUAGUUGUAUCCCCGUUUCUGAUUAAUGUCUCUUCUUAUGUUACAUGAACUGUGUGGACAUACUCUUUUUUUUGUUUUCUCUUCCUAUUUUGGCUGGAUCGAAAUGCUGUCUUCUACUGCGUCGAUACAACUGCAAUGUUGCAUGCUUCAAUAUUUUUGGAAUCGCUGAAGCUCUUGAAUUUUUUGUGGCACAUUACUUCUUGCAAUUUAUCAAAUUUUGGUUUUUCUUCCUUGUUUAUUCCUGUAUGAUUCCACCAUUCUCUAGAUGUUACGUCCUGCCUUCCAACAAGUUGGUCCUCAUGGUGGGUAUUUACUGUAUAUGCUAGUACUUCAUUCUCUCUUUCUUUGGUUCUUGCAUGUGUGGGUGGCUGCUACUAUUGGUGCCUUUUCCUUUGCAUAAACAAAAGUGAUACCCCCGUUCUUUGCUUGAGUUUUCUUCCUAUUUAUAUCAGUCUCUCAAUUAAGAGUUUUUGAAACUGAGCAUGAAGAAAAUGACACCCUUGGGGUAGUCACUCUUGCUGGUGAUAUUUUGUCCAGUCCACGUCAUACCUACAAUGUUUAUACACUUAGUACUUCCGAACGAAUCAAUCAAAAACCGCAUAUAACUUCCACAAUAUAGUCCUAGGAGCGUAAAGCAGAAGGAAGAGAACUAUAGAAGACAUCUUGGAAAUGCUGCAAUAUUCAAUGAGGUAACCAACAUAGCUAAGAGGUUUACUCAGACUGCAAAUCUAGGACAUCUAAAAAGCCAUCAAUGAUACAUAACCAAGCCUCCAUAAUAUGUAGCAUUCAGCAAGAAAGCCAUUUCCACAAAUGAGAGACUUUGCUCCAAGGAUUGGAAGCACGUAGAAAACUGCUUUUAUGAACAUGCCUCGGAUGGACAACAAAGCUGAAUGAUUAGCUUAGCUUAGCAAAACAGGCCUCGCCUAUGUGAUUUGAUUAUGACCAAUUGGUCAAAACACAUUAGUAACUUCCACAAUGCCAUGUUAGGAGAGUAAAAAACUCAUGCAUGCACAGGAGUUAGAUGCUCAACACAUAAACAUUUAGUGGACCAAGGAACCACCCUGUUUGUCAUGAUUCUAAUUUGACUACAUCAGCAAUCGAACACACAUCAACAUAUAUGUAAACAGCAUUAUAUGACACAACCUCUUGGUUGAAGUGAUUCAUGUAGAAUCACAACAUAUCCUCCAAGUUAUCAGUCUGUUCCUGUUUGUAAUGCCUAGCAUGGCAAUCAUGAACAUGGUGGCUACAUUCCCACCAAACGCCCCAACUGUGGACACCAUUAAGGAGAAGCGAAUCCAAGAAAAGUGAAACUGCCAUUCUAUUACAUUUGAGUCAGAAAAGACAAGGUAUCAAAUUUAAAGGAUAUAUAUUACUAAAGCGCUCGAAAAAUCUAUUUCCAUCCUACGCUUGAAAAGCCACAAAUAGAGAUGCUUUAUCAAAAUCCUUUAAAACAACAUAUGCUAGUUAAUAAACGUACGAAACUACGUAAACAUUAAUCAUCUUAUUAUUUACUUCCACAAAGAUUGGACCUAAAAUGGGGCAUAGGGACGAGAGAGAAGUGUGCAAUAAAAGCUUGUUUAAGUGUAGCCCUAUGAUCAUUAUUUUUCUCUAUAGUUCUAGUGAAACAUAGCACUUGUGGAGAUAUAAUAAAACCAGUCGGUGUGAAAGACAACAACUGAAUGAUCGUCAGGUUGAAGUAGAAAGGGCUUAACCAGAAACUUGAAAGGCAAAACGAUCACAUGAUUCGUUCUAAAGCUAGCUCCAAAAAAGCGAUUGCAUCACUGACAUUUGUAAAUAUACAGAAUUUACAUAUCGAGAACUGACGAUGAAUAUAUGUAGCUAGGAGCCCAGAUCAAGACAAUGAGACACAAGCUGGUUAAAGGCUAGAAAGUGAAAAUCCUACGAGAUUUCAUUUCCACUAUGGACACGAUUCGUUCCUUGGUGGGUAGCAGAAAAAUCCAAGAGUUACAGAUUCCGCGUCAAAUAGAAUUAAAUAAUCCAGCCCUAGACAUAAGAUCAGGAACCACUAUGGUUCGCGUGUGAAGCCACUAGAACAAGCUACAGAAUGAUUCUCAUCCAAUUGAUCUGAUCUGAUACUUCGGUUUCGCAGCAAUCCUGAUGUUGAAUCCUGCGGCAAACAUCAUCAACAUUGAAUCUAGCAUCGAUGAAAGUGAAUCAACAAGUGUCAAAUUCCAAGACCUCAACCUCGCAUCGGAAGCGGCUUAAGAAAACUUACGGGAAGAGGAGGAGGGGGAGGGGGGGGGGGAGAAUCCGUGUGGUGAAAAGAGGAGGAACGGUCUGCUGUUGGGACUGCGGUGGCGUUGCCGAGGUGGCUCCCGAUCCUCGGGUACAUCGGAGAUCGGACUUCCUGAGGGCGGCAACGGUGGUGUUGAGGGCGGCGACGAUGGCUUGGCGCGAGAGGAAGGAGAUGAAGCAAUGGAGGUGUUUCCAAGAAUUGCAACGGAAGGGACUAGAAAACCGUGAAAUUGAAAAGGGAAAUCUGAUCCCGAUUCGUUGGGGAAUUUUCUUUAUUUUUGGCCAAUCACAAAUUUCGGAAAAAAUUACCUCAAUUUAAAUCGCUGAAAAAUGUGGUGUAACUAUUUGGCUGGCGAGUGACAUCAAAUUUUUAUUUAAUACUGAUUAGGCAAUUUCAUUUUCUUAUUCGAAAUGAAAACGUGACUGGGGGAGGAGAAAAAAAAAAUGGAAGAGUUUCUAAGUUGUGCGACAAGAGUGGUCUGAAAUUGUGAAAUUGAAAAAGAAAACCUAAUCCCAAUUCAUUUUGGAAAUAAAUUCUUAUUUUUUAUUAAAUUACAAAUUUCGCUGGCUUAGAUCUUUAUUUGAGCCUAAUUUGGCCAUUUUAUAUCCUUAUCUAUAACAAAGUCCAUAAUUUUUUUUUCUCCAAGGAGGAACCUUGCUAUAUGAAAAUGGAGGCGCUGGACUCGGAACGAUUUGCAAAAAGACUCAUGGACUUUGACUUAGAAAAACUUUCGGACUAUUAUCACAGGAAAAUUUUUGGAUGAUGAUUAUUGAUCUUUCAUCAUUUCAAUUUUGAAGAGCUUCGAUACUUUAGGAUCUUAUUUCUCUUGAAUUAUUUCUUCUUUACAACCUUAAUUGUCUGCAAAGAGCAUUCAUGAUAUGCACGGCAAAGCAAUAAUCAAUCUAUGCAUCUCUUCAUAAGGAGUCAAUUGAACAAAUUUUUAUACCAAUUUCUAUUAAGGUUCUAUUUGUUUCACGAAAAGUAUCGCGCUUCUGAAAAAUGACAAUAUUUUCUAUUUUUUUUAUAACCGAGGACUCUACCAUGGCCCCCGUGCCCUUUUUUUUUUUUUUUCCUUUUUUCCUCCUUCUUCCUCAUUGGCUAGUCGCCUGGCGACUGGCCAAUGAGGAAGAAGAAGAAGAAAAAUAAAGAAAAAUAAUUUAAUUUUUUUUAAAUAAAAAGUUUAUAGAAAGGGGUGUAUGUAGAGAAAAAAAACAAACAGAAAAGUAAAAAUCGAAAAAUCGAACCAAACCGAACCGAGAUUUCGAUUCAGUUCAGAUCAUAUUUCGGUUCGGUACAAUAAAUUUCCUUAUCGAUUCGGUUCGAUUCGGCUUUUCAAAAAAGCCGAACCAAACCAUUUACACCCCUAACUGUAGCUCCUCUUGAAACUAUAGGGACUGACUUAUCACCACCCAACAUGUAGUUCAUCUUUGUAGGAGAAUUUAUAAAGUAGUCAAUUGGUUGCAAAGCAAAAUCGAAUGUCAUAAACUCCAUGAUAGGCCUGAGACCAUAUAAAGCCACACCGACUUCAACUCCACGACAGACCUAAGACGAUAGGGUCAAAGACUUAGUUACACUAAUUACUCAAUUAAUGCAUUUUCGGUAUCUAAUUUUGCUUUUACAAAAAGAUAUUUGUCAUGUAGUUUGAACUGGUUUUAGACCUAUCCAUUAAUAUGUGAAAUGAUCAUUCGUGUGCAUGAUCAUUAUAAUAACAAUUAGUAACCGAGGACAUCGAAUAAAUUGUAUGGCAAAGCGAGUAUUUAAUGCUAAUAGAUAAGAAAAAUACCAUUCCUAACUAGACUGAAAGUAAAUGACAAUCAAUAUAUUGAAAAGUGCAUAAUCAAAUGAUAAUUCGUCUUAAAAAAGAAAACAUUGAAACCCUAUCGCACAGCCGUAAGAGUUUAUUCAAAUAUUAAGCAUGACUUUUUAUCAAUAAUUUUCCACAAUUUUAAGAGAAAGACUUGCAAGAAGACUAUUUUAAAGCUUUCCAAGGAAUUCUAUAUUUCAGAAGCUUUUUUGAAAAUUUCGGAAUUUUUGAAUUUUUAAUUCUUCUAAUUCUUUAUAUCAUUUUUUUUAUAUUUUCGAUCUUUAAUAAAAAUAAUUUUUUAUUCCGAAAAUAGGGACUUGGCUGGGCACCAGGGCUCGGUCAAAAAACAGGGCUGCCUACUGACACCUCGUGGGUUUGGCGAACCAGGCUUUCAACAAGCUGCAUUUACAAAAUGAACUAAGCCCAUCUUUUGAAAUAAUUAUACUGAGCCCAAGCUCAACUAAAUACCAAAACUAGCCCACAUUUGCCAAGCUUCAACUUGAGUCCAAAGCCUACUAAUCCCAUCGCCUAAGAGGUCAGCCCAAAAUCUCUGAUUUCCCUUCCUCAUUCAUUCUGCCCUCCACGCCCCUCUCCAAUGUUCAGCCUGUCUUACGUUGUUCAGGUCCUCAUCGUCCGGCUCGGAGACGGCGAACGAGCGGGCGAGCUCGUGUCAAAUCGGGCUAAAUGGUAUGCUGCCUUGGUAUCUUCGAGCCGGGAUCCUCGGGCAGGGGAGGUUCGAACCGAAAAAGAGACUCACCAGCGACGCAGAGAUUUGGGGGGCGAAAGAUCGUGUGCUCGAGGGCGUCGGCCAGAGGUCGUCGGAGAGGGUUCGGGCGUGGCAGAGCUACUGGAGAACUCCUUCUCGCUCUCGAGUUUCACUCUCCUCCUCAGCUCUCGCUCGGAUCUCCCUCUGUUCUUCGAACCUUCCUCGUUCGAUUCUCGCGGCCGCGCGAGAGAGGAGCGCACUUGACCAGCCUCCCCUCCGGUCCUUCACCGCCGCGACGUCACCUCCUCCGCCGCCGGAAAGCUGCCACCGCCGAAGAUCUCGAGCACAGUCGCUUCUCUCUCGCUCUCUCUGGCUCCCACGAGCAGAUCUCCACCGUCUCCUUCUCGAGCAGCGCUUGCCCUCUCUGGUUUCCGGCCGAACCCCUCGAGAAGCAGCCCUCACCCUUUCUCUCCUUCUGUUUUCAGCCGAAGAAGAGGCCCUCUCGAUCUCGCUCCUUCUUUCUCUCCCGGUUUAACUGACCGGAUCUCUCUUUCUUCCCUCUUCUCUCCCCCCCGUUCUCUUCCUAGCUCUCCCCCUUUUGAGCUCGUCUCCCUCCAAGGACGGUGCCGGCUGCCGCCAGCCUGCUCAGACCGCGCGACAUUCGCUGUCCUCGCUCGCACGCUGUCCUUUUCCUCCUCAGCUCCCUGGCGACACCCCCGUUUUGUCCCCGACGCAUCGUCCAAAACAAGCGACGAGGGAGAGAGGAGGAAGAAGAAAUGGGGGCCGGGCUUGGGGAAGAGAGAAAGUGGGCCGGCCCGCUCGGGGGAAAAGAAAGGAGGGAAUAAAUAAAGGAGGGCCGGGCAGGCCCAGCCCUGGCCCGCCCAUAUUUGAUUUUUUUUUUACAAUAAUAAUAUUUUUUUGGAAUUUUUUUUCAAAAUGAUAAAAAAUUUAAAUUUCAUUAAGUUUUUCAAAUAUUUUUAAUAAUCACAAUAAUAAUACAAAUGUUUCCAAUGUCUGCGUGCGAUGCAUUUUAAGAACAAUUAUUUACCUUAUCUUUCGUUUUUUUGUGCCUAGAGAUUUUUUAUGCAAUUAAGUCCUAAAAAAAUAAGCAAAAUUUAAGUGUCAACAACCUUUACACAAAAUCCCAACAUAGUUCUUCUAGCCAAUUGACCUUAAUGUAACGUCCAAUUGACGACCUUUCGACACAGCAUGCUAACGUGCACAAUUGUCUUGUCAGUGAUAUAUGGCAGCAAUUAAUUAGAAGAAUUACAUUAGAAUUCCACAUAAAGAUUUAUGAAUAUAUUAGUAAGAUUGGAAAUUUUAUUACUAAAUUAACAUCCAUACAAUAGGUUUAAAAUUGAAUUGGUAAAUUUUUCCCACUCAAUUUGGGUUGGAUUCAUUUAAUGAGUCAAAACUUGAAACAUAUCCUAACAAUAUCUUGUUGCUUCAAGAUCUACUAUUGCGAAUUUUGAGUGUGGUCAAGCUCAAACAUUGUCAGAUCAAAUUGAACCAUUCUUGUAGACAAUUAAUCAAUUCAAACAAAUAUAAAGAUCAAUGGCAUCACGGCAUCUCUCAUUCCAUGUUCAUAUCACACUAUGAUGAGAUCUUAUUAAUUAUUAAUUUUCUUAGAGCUGAUGCAUCAUGAGACAAUAAAAACUCUGGUUAAUUUCUGAAUGCGUAUUGAUCAUACCUAAGCCUACAAUCGCAAAGCUGAAGUCGCGCCCCAAUGUUGUAUGGGCACACUCUCUUGAUUUCCGUGUGGGCAAAAUUCAUGCAGUCGGCAGGUGUCAGCGCACCGUUGCACUUGCCGUGGCCGAAGCACUCGGCAUGGAAGAAAGAAGCGUGGGUGUUGUAGUCGAACCCCUUUUCCACGGUGUUGAACCUCAGAUGGAUCAGGACGGUAUCCAUUGCCUCAGCAUAAUGUUCCCAUUCUGCGUACUCCUCUUGCAUGCCCUGUCCAUAAAAGUCACAUCCAGUUCACUACUAAUGAUACAAAGAAGACAACGUGAAAGUACGAUGAGCAGGACCCGAUAUUCUGCGAUGUGGACAUGAUGAUAGCGAUCGCUGUCUUCCCCUCUAAUUCUCUCGCGUUUAUUAGAGGGAAACACACAAACUGAGUUGGGUAUAAAAAGGGCUCACUUCUCAUAGGUCCUCAGUCAUUGAUUCAUUUGGUUUUAAGAGUCUUUCUUAGUCGUUAUGAUCAAUAUUAGACAUGAUAUGGGGGGCAACAAUUUGUGCCAAAUUUUUCAGAAAUCUUGGUGGAGUCUUCAUUGGAUCAAAAGGGUAUUGCUCCUCAAUCUAACUGGUUAAUUUGUCACAUAUAAUAUGAGUUUGUUGACGUCUUGGCAAACCAUACUCUCGUAUCCUUAUAUAUAUUAUAAAGUGGGAAUUUAUGUAUAAUAGCCAGCUUGUGCUUGCACAAUAUAUGAUCCCUUGUCAUGCCAGUCGAAUGAGAAAAUUCCUUUUCCCUACACCAAACAUAUACUCGAGUAUCAUUUCAAAUUGAAAUUGGACAAUUAAAAAAAAAUUAAUGUUAUAAAAUUAGGCAUAGACAACCCUAGCCAUAAGCGUGCAUCCACACACGUAGAUAUUUAUAUGAAAUUAAUACGUAAUCGAUCGCAAAUCGAGUUUUGAACAUUGAGUAUUGGGGUUGAGUGGAUCUUGACUUGGGCACUAUUGCGGCUCGUUUAGACAACUAGGGCCCAGCCAUGUUGACACUAAAUUUGUCUAAUUGGAGCUGAAGUCUCCAUUGAAGCGGUUGAGAAUUCUCACGUGCAAAACUUGAGUUUGAGGUUUUCAUUACUCACGAUUUCGUUGGGAUCUUCAUCAUGCAAGUAUUAAGUCCCCAUAUUAAGCAACUAGCAAGAUACAUGGGCCUAAGAUUAUAUUUGUUAUAUUACUCUAAAUAUUUGUGUUGACAUCAAUUUUUGCGAGAAAACAAUAUAUUGAAAAUGAUGGCAAUAUAUAUCUUCAUAUCAAUCAAAUCUUCGCUAGAGUUUAUGUGUAGUUUUAUUUAAUAAAGUGGACUCGAACCGCAUCAUGUAGUUUCGAGAUGUGGAAUUGCAAUAUACAUCAAACAUAAUAUACGUGCACGUUGUCAAUCAAUAAGUCGUUUAGGACCACAUUCAACCGCAUUCAUUGUAUUUCCAUACAGACCAUAAAGGUUAUACUGCUGUCCGUUGCAGAUUCUGUUCAGCAUGGUUGAGUCUAGGGUACCCCCACCGUGGUGCACAGAGAAAGGAGCCCCAUAAUUAUGCCUACGACCCCUUGAAACGUCAGCAUGAUGUUAAUAUACGUGAUUUGCCUAUGUCUCAAGUAAAUAUUUCUCUGUAAGUUUAAAAAUCAGCCAGUUUUGACUACAUAUAAGGGGGUCGACUCCAUAGGUUGGGCCGCUACUCUAAUGUCGAUGAAAGAGGUGAAAGCGUCCUUGAUUAUUCAAUUGUCUUCUCUCUUGAAUGUUCUUGGCCAAAAAGAGAUUCACAACUUCCUCGAUUCACUCGUCCUUGUCUAUGCUUUUGUAGUAUAUGGUUAGAUAAGCAUGAAAUAGGUUGGAUACUCUUUAUGAUCAAGAAUAAUAUGCUUCACCCUACAAUAUCAGUUGCUUCUAAAUUUGUCCUGAUUUUACUGUUAGUGAAAAUCGUCCUUGUCUAUGCUUUUGUAGUAUCCGGUUCGAUAGGCAUGAAAUAGGUUGGAUACUCUUUAUAAUCAAGAAUAAUAUGCUCCACCCUACAAUAUCAGUUGCUUUAAAUUUGUCUUGAUUUUACUGUUAGUGAAAUUAACGCAAAAAUUUGACAGGAUCUUGGAAUCAAAUCAAUGCGAAGCCAGAGCAGCAAAUGAGGAACAAUCAAGGACAUAAAAAAUUUAAAUGAUUUAAUCUAAGUAUUGAUAUUUACUCCAUAAGGAGAGUCGAUAGCAAAUAAUCUAUUAAUAAUCGAAAAAUUAAAUUUACAAUAUCCUAUACACUCGAGUGUUUUCCAUGCUUAGAUUAAGUCCAAACCCACAUUAUUUACAAAUAAAUAAUUUAAUUGGAUGUACAGCUCACAGCACGAAUCUCUCGAUGUUUUGUGGCCUAAGAAAGAGCUUCACUGCCGCUUGAAAAGAUCAGAGAAAACCCAUGCACCAUUUCUCUUCCCAGUGUGGGCCGGCCCAUCUCUAUUUCUUCCGGCCCGGCCCGCUCAUCCCUUUUCUUCUCCUUCCUUUGGACAAUGGCCUGAGAACAAAAGAAAGAAAAAACCAAGAGAGGGAGCGUAGAGAAGGACGGGGAAGAGGACAGAAAGGACGGGGCGCUAGCUCGCAUUUGCACAACCGUGAGGUCCCCCCUCCCGCACCGACGCCCCACCAGCAUAUGCACUGAUCUCCGGCGACACUCUCAGCGACAGCGAGCUUCAGGAUUUCUGACGCUGCGAGCCUCAGGUUUUUCGACGCUGGUCAGGACCGUGACACGCCUCAGAUCUCCACCAUCAAGGCGUCCCCACAGUAGAGUUCACCAAGCUCGACCGCUUAGCACCAUAGCCACCGCUCCAGCAAAAUGGACGAGUUGCCACCUUCCCCCGACGCCACCUGAACGCCAUAGCCGCUGCAGUAACAAGCUCCCGCCAAGCUUAUCCUGGCAACCUCGCUGUGACUCGCCCCUGCUCCAACUCGUUUUUCGUCAGCCACACAGCAUGGACGCCGGCUUUGCAAGCUUGUUAUGUAAUCCUUUUGAGCAAUGUGGCCCUAAAUCUAUAUGCUAGUUUCAGCUAUAUAUAAAGGGGUCGAUUCCAUAGGUUGGGCCACUACUCUUAUAUCAUUACAUCAGUGCAAAUGUUGAUGAAAUAGGUGACAACGUCCUCGAUUUUUCCAUCGUCUUCUCUCUUGAAUAUUAUUAGCCAAUAAAUUCACAACUUCCUCAAUCUACUCGUCCUUCUCUAUGCUUUUGUAGUAUAUGGUUUAAUAGGCAUGAAAUAGGUUGGAUACUCUUUAUGAUCAAGAAUCAUAUGGUCCAUCUUACAAUAUCAGUUGCUUCCAAAUCUGUCCAAAUUUUACUGUUAGUGAAAUUAACGUAGAAAUUAACAAGAUCUUGAAAUUAAAUCAAUACGAAAAUUGCCAAAACAAUAAAACAAGAAACAAUCAAGGACACAAGAAAUUUAUAUGAUUCGAUCCUAGCAUCGGUACUCAGGGAGAGCCAACAACAACUAAUCUAUUAAUAAUUGAAUAAUCUAAACAAUAUCCCAUACACUUGAGUGUUUCUCAUACUUAGAUUAAGUCCAAACCCACAUUAUUUACAAAUAAAUAAUUUAAUUGGAUGUACAGCUCGCAGCACGAAUCUCUCGAUGUUUUGUGGCCAAAAGAAAGAGCUUCACCGUCGCUUGAAAAAAUCAGAAAAAAACCCAUCCACUAUUUCUCUUCCCCCGUGCGGGCCGGCCCAUCUCUUCUUCUUCCGGCCCGGCCCGCUCAUCCCUUUUCUUCUCCUUCCUUUGGGCAUUGGCUCGAGGACGAAAGAAAGGAAAGAGCAAAGAGGGAGGGGACGUAGAGAAGGUCGGGGUAGAGGACAGAAAGGACGCGCCUCAGAUCUCCACCAUCAAGGCGUCCCCGCAGCAGAGUUCACCUAGCCCGACUGCUUAGCACCAUAACCGCCGCUCCAGCAAACCGGACGAGUUGCCGCCUUCCCCUGCCGCAGCAACAAGCUGCCGCCAAGCUUAUCCUAGCAACCUCACUGUGACUGCCCCUGCUCCAACUCGUUUUUCAUCGACCACCCAGUGUGGACGCUGGAUUUGCAAGCGAGCAUCCCGUCGUCUCCGGUGACCACCUCAACUAGGUUGACGUCGGUCCCUGUCCGAGAUCCUGACGCUGACGCCUCGCUGCUGCGCCAUUAGAGCCAGCCACGUGUAUUCCACCGCCACCGUGGUCGCGUUGCAUCGACGGUUACCCCAGCGUCACACGUUGUCAAGCGUCACCUCGAGCAAGCACCACCACCACCGUGGCCGAAAGUCAAGCAGUAACACGAUCCACACACUGAGACGUGCCACCGCGAGGUGACGCUGCUGCACCAGCACCUCGAGCUUGCCCUUUUUUCUUUGUGUUUUGCAGAUCUUCCAGCGAAUAUCCAGUGAUCCCGGUGGAUAUCUAACGUGCCGGAAGCCUCCACAUCACGCCGUGAUCCCCGACGUGUGAGAUCGUCCUUGCCUAGCCGCCACAACUGGAUCUUUCUUGUUGCAGGUUUUCUUCAGUCGAGUUGUUGUCCAACCCCGAGACUUCCGACGAGAAAGACACCAGAAAAAAAGAAGGGAAGGGCAACGAGCAUACUUGAGCCAAAUCAAUUCUUGUGUUUUGCAGGUUCACGGUGGUGUUGCUCCUACACGCUGCCAGUUGGACCUCCGGAAGACUUGUUGUUGCCUCUGGUUGGUGAUGGCUCCUGCUAUGCCGCGAAUUUUCAUGCUGUCCGUUGGUGUUCCUUGCUGUUCUGAGACAUGUCUUGCUCCGGCAAGCCCCGAUCCAGUCCGAUUCCGGUUAAAGUUACAAGCGUCCAAAUUAGGUGACGAUUUUGUCCAAUUUGAUUUGAAACUUUAAUCGCUAAUUUUGGAUUGAUUUCAUUAUCUUAUUACAAUAUUUGAGAAUUUAUGUGUCAUCCAGUUAAGGCAGGCAUUAUUGAUAAUAGUCAAUUUAAUUUUUAAUUUGAUCCGUUAAGAUUUCUGAUCAUUUUUUUAAUUACUUCGACUUAAUAUUAGAUAACUGUUGUGCCUAAAAAUCGUGAUAAUUUUAAUUUAACCCAUGAGACAAUGGGUUAUUUUUUCAGAUUAUCACAAUCUCUUAAUUUGAAUUUUUCAUGAAUUGCGCGUGUGGAUUAAGUGAGAUCCGAUCCUUAACUUGGAGGACUGCCGUGUUCUGAAAAUACCACAAAAAAUCAUCCUAGAAUGGAUUAGAUUCCUUUUCUUAGUACAAAUUACAUGUUUGAAUUAGGGAAUUUUUUUAAUUACGAAUUUUAAUCAAAAAGACCAAAAAUAUCAUGUGCUUGUUAUCUAGUUUUAAUUUCAUGUCUAUCUGCUAUGUCAUGUCUUGUGCAUGUCAUAUAGUUUUUAGUUGCAUCAUCAUUAUGCCACGUCAUCGUGCAUACCAUCAUGCCACAUCAUGUGCCCUAUCCAUGUCACCACAUAUGUCAUGUCAUCAUUCGCAUGCCAUUUAGUGAUUGUAUGUUAGGGUUGUUAAUUUAGAACGCAUGUUGUGCUAGGAAAAAAUGCAUAUUGAUUACUUCUUGUCCUUAGAAUUAGGACAUGUAGUCGAAUAUCAUCACUUCUUUACAUCAUUGCAUUUAGAGUAAGCUCACAUUGCAUAAAACAUAAUUUUCAGUAAACAAGAAAAAACCCAAAAAUAAUUGGUUGAAACAGUGUGUUAAUUAGAAACCAUAUAUAGAUUGAAUGUGUUUUUUUUUUCUAAUUAACCUUGUAGAUGCUUACGUUGCUUUAAGAUAAGUAUCAUUUCGUUAAUGAUUACGUACAUGCAUGAUCACGUCAUAUAUUAGUAGAUAAAUUUAAAAUCAAUCUAGACUGACAAAAAUCUUUUUGAAAUGAACAAUAUUAGAUAUUAAAAUGGCACUAAUUGAUUAAUUAGUGUAAUCAAAUCUCUGAUCCUAGAUUCUUUGAUUCAUAGAAAUUGAGAUAUAGUUCCAUACCUCACUUGAUUUCCAACCGAUUCCAGUAGGCUAGUGACAACUCCUCAUUAAAAAAAAAAUUAUAGCUUCAAUUUGGCUUAAUAUUGAAUACCUCAAUGUCACGUGAGGUGUGGCCAUGGGAGAGUCCACACCUAAUUGAGGGUCGUAGGCCCAACUUUUAAGAAAUAUGUCUAAAUCUAUUUUCCUUCCUAUUGAGGGGUAGGUCGCAGUAGUGUUUCCUUUUUUUUUUUUUUUUUUUAAUGAAGACGUCCACUCUGCGACAUUUAAACAAACCACAUCUUGAUCGGUCAAACUAGUCGAGAAGUGAACGUUUAUCUUCUCCAACACAAUUAAGAAAAAAAAAAUCCUUUGUGCCAAAGAGAUAAAACAAAAUCUGCAACUUCCUUAUUUCAAGACCACUUCUCACCGUCAAUUUGAAUUGACUCAGAUUUGCCUCGAACGCCUAGUUCUCGCUACAAUAUAUGGAGUAUAUAUCUUCUAUUCAUAUCGGAUUUCAUAAUACUCAAACUCGAGAUAUAAUUUAAUACUUACAAAGUGGAGGAGUUAUUGCAUGGAUCGAUGAGACACGGUGAGUAAAAAUAUAAAUAACAUGAGUGUUUGCAUAUAACCAUGACAAAUUCGAUAAAAGAUUAAGCAUUAUUGAGAUGCAACUAUAAGUUGUGUUAGAAAAUGCAUGGAGUAGUUAAGAUAUCAUGAUUCGUCCAUACCACAAAGGCUUGAUUUUUUAAGUGAAAGUUGGUCUAAUUGGAUAUAUUAAUAAGCUUAAAUUUAGGCUCCUUUUUUGCAAUCCGCCUAGAAGAAGCUGCGCAUUUCCAAUAAAUGAUAUCAUAUACUAGUAUUUUCCAAUAUGUUGACUGCUUGUGUUAAACAAAUGAGUUGACUGCGGAAGGUUUUACUCAUGGGACUCUCUGCUUUCUUUAUCUCACUUGCCAUCAGUUCGUCUAGUGCCUUUCGAUUGGGGUCCACUUUGGGUAGCCUCCUGCUUGAUCAAUUUCUCGGAGUUGGAAGCUGGCAGUACCUCGACUUAUAGAGUCAGUAGUUGGACAUAUUUUGGGGAGUUGCCAAGAGGUCUGAAUUUACACGAGAAAUCACAGGUAUGUAGUUCAAUAAUUUUAUUUUCUCGUUCCUCACCGAUUAUUAACUAGUAGCCCACUCCUAGUGUAUAUCUAUAUUCGGUGAAUAUCUCAAAAAAGGAAUUUCAUGACCAAUGCAACUUUCUAGCAGCCUUGAUGGUUCACUCUAGUGGAAGAGACUUGGGGUAAAAGUGAACGUUCCAUUGUAACAAUGCGAUCAUGAUGAUAGCUCAUAAUUCGGUGGAGAAAGAGAGCAAAAAUGAAGGUGAGUGUUGAAGAUUUAAGCUUAAGACAUGUUGAUGUAGAAGGGUACCUAGAUUAAAGGAGAGAAGACCUAUACUAACCUCACACAUGAGAUUUAGUUUAAAUUUUCCAAUUUGCAUAUUGACGAAAUCCCCCUUCAACUACUGAACAGAAGUUAAAUUGGGGUUUGAAAAAGAAGGAUCAUUUUCUGAAGAAAACUGAUAACGUGGUCAAAUUUAACUUCAAUAAUAAAAAGUUUCUAGAUGAGGUGUGACUAAUAGGGAUUUUUGCAAGUCAUAACGACUUGAUUGAUGAGGUGUGGUCAAAUUUAGUCAGGCUCCAACUUGAGCUACUCGAGUAUCUUGUCAAAUUGAAGUUCAAACUUGCCAAUACUUUGCUUAGCAAGCUUGUUAGCCUAAUCUUGACUAAUUUGUCCAUUGCCUUAUAUCAUAAUCCUAUAGUACAUUUUAACAAUAGACAUUAGAAUUUCAUGAAAUUUUUAAACAAAAGUCUGGAAUUCAUGUCUAUCGACUUCGAAUGUUGAUUACUUUCUAUUUAAUUGAGAAAACUUUGUACUUGUCAAGAUCUAGCACUGCUAAUUUUGAUUGGGGUCAAGCUCAAACAUUGUUAGAUCAAAUUGAUCCAUAAUGGUAGACUUAAUCAAUUUUAACAUAUGCAAAGAUCAAUGGCACUAACGAAGCCACUCAUGUUCCACAUUUAUAGUACUCUUGUGAUGAAACCUUAUUGAACUAUAGAUUUUCAUAAACGUGCCACCAUUAUGAUAUUGGACAUUUUUCCAAUACAAGCUUGGGUUAUUUCCUAAGCUUGAAUUGCUCGUACCUAAGUCCACAAUCGCAAAGCUGAAAUUGUACGCCAAUAUUAUAUGGGCACACUCUCUUGACUUGUAGGUGAAAUCCACGCAACUAAUAUAUUCUGUGUGCAUCAGUGCACCUUUGCAUGCACUGUGGCUGAAGCACGCGGCAUGGUGGAAAGAAGCAUGGGUGUGGUAGUCAAAACCCUUUUGCAUGUUGGCAAACCUCAGAUCGACCAGGACGCUAUCCCGUGCCAAGGAAUAACUGUCCCAUUCGUAGUAUUGCCCUCCAUCGCACACCUUGUAGGCAGGAGUCACGUCCGGGUCACUUCUAAUGAUGCAAAUACAUCACGAAAGUACUAAGAGAAGGACUGUGAUUGUCGAUGUUGUGGACACGACAACGGGGUUCACUGUCUUUCCCUUCAAUUCUCUUCUGUUUAGAAUACAAAAAUCCCGGAAUUGAGUCGGGUAUAAUAAGGGCUCAUUUCUCAUUGGGUCCGCCGGUCAUUGAUUGAUUAGGUUUUUCAUAGCAUCUUGGUGAAAUCUUCAUUGGAUCAGAAGGCUUUUGCUUCUCUGCUCAAUCGGUGACUUUGGCAUAUAUAUUAUAUAACACAAGUUCAUCGAAGUCCUUGCAAUCCAAAUUUUCUCAUGUCCUUGCGUAUUAAAAUGAAAAUUCGUGUAUAAUAGCCAACUUGUACUCGCAAGAUAUAUUUCGUUGUCACACUAGUCAUGUUGGUAAAAUUACUAUGUACCCAAUAUAUACCCUUUCCCUCUAUCAACGAGCAUAUGCGAAAACCUAGUUGGAGUGAAAUUAAGUCAAGCUCUCAUGAGUGGUCUGGUCUUGGGUUGAUGAUUACUUGAGAAGGGCUCGACUGAUUUCCAGUCAAGCUCUAGCAGGAAAAACUCGAGUAUCUUGUCAAAUUGAACUCAGGGUUGCUAAUACUCAGCUCAACAAGCUUGUGAGUCCAAUUCAAAAAAAUUAAUUGCUAUAAAGUUAGACAUGGACAUCCGUAAGUAACCACACACACACAUAUAUAUAUAUGCAUGAAACACAACAAUACCUCAACUUUUUAUUUGAAUCAAGCUCCAGCGGGAAAAUUAUAAUUGAUUGAGCUGAAAUCGAGUUCCAAACAGAGUACGGGAGUUUUAGUCUAUCUUGACUUGGGCGACCUGUUUAGACACUUAAUGCCCAGCCUUGUUGACACUAGAUUCGGGUAACUGGAGCCAACAUGUUCAUCGAAGCAAUUGCAGAUCUCAUAUGCAGAACUUGAGCGCAAGGUUCUUGUUGAGAAAUCUUAUUAUAAUGAUAUGGAUGCGAUCUUCAUUGUGCAACUUUUAAGUGCCUUGAAUCUUUUAAUCCUCUAUAUCAAGCAACUAGCUAGAUAUAAAAUUGGAAUACUUAUUGAAUUAUAAUAUAUGCACAUGCUUUGAAUCAAGAAGAAACACGAAAGCACUAAGAAUGUCCAUUCCUUUCUCUUAAUAGCUUUUCUGCAUUUGUUGGAAUAUCCAUGCUAUCCAAAUGUGGAAAAGGCGGGCAAGUUAUUUAUGCAUAAUCUUCUUGAGAGCAAAAUUAAUAGUUUCUUCUAUCCUCCAUUUGCUACUUUCAAAAAUUAGGAUCUUUGGAGUUUCAUUAUAGUCGAAAAGAAUGGUAGAUUCUAACUUUAUCUCGGUGCCAGCUUUUAAUAAUGGAAUUUUGAUGCUUUUCUAAUGAAAUAUCGACUUUUAUUACCAUCUUGUUUCGUUGAUUAACCCUCAACAUCACAUUCUCAAAGUGCACACAAGCAAAGUGUAACCAAACCCUCUCCUAGAUCUAGCGAAUGGCAAGGCUGGACCACAGCCGCCGCUCGCCCUUGUGUAGUGGUAGUGCACUGGGGACGAGAGUAAGACAUGUGGGGUUUGGCUGGUCCUAGGUCCUUGUGUUUAUUGGUGCACCGCUACCACGAGAAAGCAAUAGCAAGUAAUCCUCAUCGUUCAGACCAAAAAAAGAAAAGUAAUCAAUCCUCUUCGUAGCCCAUAAAUGCGUGCUUGUGCUCGACGCCGCAGUAAGGGUGGCGAUGGCACCACCAAAUUUAUUUUUUUCAAUAGCUAUUUUGGGCACCACAUUAGCAUUUGCUCGGUGCCUUAUCGAUCUCAACUGACGUAAUUUUUUUUUUUUUGAAAAUGCCACGUUAUAUUUUGUUCACUAAAAAUGGAGGAGAUAAUGGGAAGUAAUUGACAAUUUUUUUAAAACAAAUUUUAGGAAUUGCUAGCACCGCUUGUAAGUUUGAAUUAGUUUGUACUUACACAUUGCUUAAUUGCACAUUUUUUUUUUAUUUAUAAAUUUUACAUCUGUGAUAUAACUAUAUCUGUAGCACAUUUGUCUGUUUUAUUUUUAUGGUUUAACUGAUAAAUGAAAAUAUCAAUAGAUGAAAUACAAGACUAGUGUUGUACUUAUUUCAUUUGAUAACCAAAUUAGUUGUUAGCUCUCCCAAAUGAAAACCAGCCUAAAGUUCUCCCUUGAAGCAACUUCCACAUGUCACUUCAUCGCAACAUGUGCUAUUGUGCCAGAGUUGACAUAUUCGGGCAAAGUAGUCACUGGUCAGUCUAUCAAUUCGAAGCAUCCAUCAUGCAACCCUAUUGGUCGCCCCAAAUGAAAACCAGCCUAAAGUUCUCCCUUGAAGCAACUUCCACAUGUCACUUCAUCGAAACAUGUGCUGUUGUGCCAGAGCUGGCAUAUUCGGGCAAAGUAGUCACUGGUCAGUCUAUCAAUUCGAAGCAUCCAUCAUGCAACCCUAUUGGUCGCUCCAAGUUACGUGCACAAUCUCAGCCAUCGAAUAAAAAGAAAAUUGAUCUCAACCGUUGGACGAUAAGGCUUCUUGACCAUGUGAUAAAGACAAAUUUAUGUCAAUAGUUGGAUUCAUCAUGAGCCGGGCUAUAUCACCAUUGCCUUAAUCAGUGUGUAAAGUGUGGUUUGGAUUCUCUAGCUUUACAAUCUUGAAAUGAAGCAAUCAUCACUAAUUAAAUUUGUAAUAGAUAAUUAAUGUGGAAAGGAUCUCUCGUGCUUCUCCAAGUUCUGGCCGAUUUAACUUGUACUAUAGAACUAGAAAUGCAGAACAAUGACAUGGUUUUGCUAUGGAAAGGGUGGUGGAAAAUUUGUAAGCAUUACUCCAUUGGUCAUGUGCACCUCAUAGUUUUCAAAUAUGAAGGGAACUCCUCUUUUUACCUAUUAUUAUUCAGUGAGAGUGCUUCGAAGAUUUUAUAGUAACAUACAAUUGUACAAAAAUGCAAUCAAUAAUUUAAACUAAGCACGCAAUGCAGUUAAAUUGUGAAACAUUUGAAAGGCUAGUUAACAAGUGCAUGAAUUCAAUCAAACAUAGGCAUGGUUUUAGCAUUUAAUUAAACAAGAUUAGCUUAGAUUGACAUGUGGUUCCAAAGUUAUGGCACCCUAUCACUCAAUUUCAUUCCUCGGUAAGGGAAUCUUACUAUAUCAAAACAUAGUAAUAUAGACAAGCCGUUGUCACAACCUACCCUCUGUAUGGAGAGAAAUAUAGGUUUAAGGGUAUUACCUAAAAGACGAGCCUAUGGCCCUAGUUUUAAACACAGGCUCUCCUAAACUCACACGUCGCACGAUGUUGGAUAUUCAAAUUGAUGCUAUGAGAAUUUUCUAAUAAGGAGUCGCUACUAACUUAUUAGGAUUGGCUAAAAACCAAGUUGGGUAUGAGAGUGUACUUACUUUUUAUGCAACUAGAGAAUUUAUGGUCAAUAACUUGAUUACACUAAUUAAUCAAUUAUUGCAAUUUCAUCUAAUAUUGUUCAUUUUAGAAAGAUUUUUGUAAGGUAAUCUAGAUUGAUUUUAAACAUAUCCACUAACAUAUGAGAUAAUCAUGCGGUUGCCCAACCAUUUAAAUAACAGUAAGCAACCAAAGGAGCAUUACAUAAAUUAUAGAAAAAACAAGUGCUAGUGCUAAGGAAUAAGUACCGGUCCUAACAAAGCAAAGGGAAACCAUAAUCAUUUUGAAAGUACGCAAUCAAGGGCAUACGUUUCUAAGGACUAUCGAAAUCCUAGGGUAGAGCCCUAAGGACUUGGCCAACUUUGAGCGCGAUUUUUUAUCAAAAGGCUUCCACUUUCUAAAAGAAUAUUACUCGAAAACUAUUUUAAAGCUUUUCGAGGAGUUCUAAUUUUUUUGGAAUUUUCUAAAAUUUCUAUGAAUUUUCAAAUUAUUAUUGAAAUUUUUAUAUUUUUAUGCAUUUCCUGAAUUUUCUAAUUUUUUUAAAUACUUUUAAUUAUUAUUUUUAAUGAAUUUUAUUAUUAUAAAAAAUGAAUUCGGACCGGAUCAAGAGACCCGGCCCGACUAAGCCGACCUGAACCCUAUCGGUCCAGGUUGGAUUUUGUCAAGAGAAAAAAAAAAAGGGCCUCUCCAAGGCCCACCCCCAAAUUAACCCAAAAAAAGGCCCAUGAAAGCUUCUUUUGUUCAACCUACUCACAAUUCCCCCCCAAAAAACAAAAGGAUAAAUAAAUAAAGAAACCCAACCCAAAGCCCAUUAUAAACUUAAGCCUGAUAAACCCAAAUUUCAGAAAAAGCCCCAAAGCCCAAUAAACCUAGAUGAGCCCAACAGGCCAAAAAUUCACCCCACGGCCCACUUUAAUGCCAACCUAUUUUCUCCCGAGCGUCUGCCCCAUUUUUCCCUAACUUUGGACUCUUCACAGAGCCAUUCCCAAUCAUUAAGCUCUCUUCUUCCUCUUUUUUUUCUGUUUCAACGUCGAGGCUCGAAGGAAAACACUAAAAGAGAACUUCAUUCGUAGACAAGGAUCUCAAGACAUUAAACGAACGUUCACAGUUAUUUUCUACCGCCUUAAGCACGGCAACAACCAAGAAACACGUAUCCAAAGAAAGUUUGGAUUUGGCCACGGCAACAACGAAAUCUGAAUAAAAUCAUCCUCCAUGAUCCAUAAAGGAUUUCUUUCAUCAGAACAGGAGCAUACUCAUUCUGAAUGAUCUGAAAAUCACGGUUAAACCACAUUGACUUAGUUCAAGCGUUUCAUCAAACAUGUGGUGAGCACUGACUUGGGGGGAGAGGACAUCAACCCAUUUUCAGGACCCGCUCUGAUCCAGACCUAGGGAAAUCACCAAGAAAUGCUCAACAUCAAACAAAUCGACUCGGUUGGACGCAGAAAACUCAAGGAUCGGAGAAAACUCGCCCGGCUAUUCUAUCACUAAAACAGGGCAGUGCUAAAAGGGCUCGUGGGGAUGAGUUUCGGUCACAAAAACCCCUACUCGGCUCGAAGACGGCGGCGCGAGGGCCAAUUCGAGAAGAAUCGAACUUCGGUCGGCCGCCUCGCAAUGUCUCCGAGCCGAGAUCUUCGGGAACGACUGGGUUGAACAAAGGAAACUCACCAGAAAUGCAGAGGUUUGGUAAACGAGAAGUCGAGUGCUCGAGGGCGUCGGCAAUUGGCGUCGAGGAUGGGCCAGUGACGCUCGACCUAGGCAGCUUCUGGCUCUCUCGCUCUCCGUCUCGCUCUCACUCUCUGUCCCUCUCUCUCUCUUUCUCUGUCGCUCUGUGUCAGCCGAAGGACCAGCCCCCUCUCUCGGUUGCUCUCCCUUUGGCCGAACAAGCAAAAAACAAGCCCCUCCUUUUAUGCUCCGGCGCGCAUGGGAUGUGGCGUGCCAGCUGCCUCUGGCCAGCCUGCCCCCGGCCGAGCGUCUCGCGCGAUCGCUCGCCCUGUUCUCCCCGUCCUUCGUCGCGCGCGUCGUCCUUUCUGUCCUUUUGGUCGUUCCUCAGCUAGCGUCCAAGGGAGGGGAAAGGAGGAGGGGAGAGGCUGGGCCGGGAAAGAAAUGAAAAGGAAUGGGCUGAGCCGGCCCAGGUUGGGAGAGAGGCUGCGGUUUUUUAAAUUUAAAAAAUUAAUUUUUAUUUUUUUUUAAAUUUUGAACACUAGUAAUGCAAAUGCUCUUAAAGUAUGCAAUUUAAUGAAAACACGAUGCAUUUUAAUGAAAAUUAUUUACUUUACUUUUCACUCUUUUUUUAGAGACUAAUCCCUAAUUUUUUUAUGAGAUUAAAUUCUAAAAAAAAAGAAAAAUUUAGGUCUCAACAGUCUUAUAGUGACUUGAAAAAAAUUAAUCGAGAGAUGAAGAAGAGAAAAGUGUUGUAACAAUUAAUAUAGAGGAAUGGCAAGAAAAAAAAUACUUCUAGACCUCAAUCAAGUUAGGCCCACUAGCAAACCAGGCCACAUGCCGACAACGAACCGGGCAUGUCUUGAUCAAGGGCAAGGCCCAAUCCUAGUCACAAAUCAAGGUCUGUGUAGUUUUUGCUCUAUUUAAUGAUGAUCAUUAUUUAAAGAAAGUUCUCGCUCUCUACGUGUGAAAAACUUAUUUAUAAGAGAGAAGUGUUCGAUCUACUGAGAAUGCAAAUGACACUAAUUAGACUAUAAAUUAAUGAUUUAAAGGGAGUUCUCAAUUUUCUUCCUUUUUUCACCUCUGAAUUCUUCUCAAUACAUCAGAAUCUGUGUCUUUUCUUCUUCAAAAUGGAGGAGUCGCCAUGAAUAUCCCUUGGACACAAAGCUGAACGGUGCUUCUUACAAUUGGCAAAGAAAACGUCCCUAGUAUCAUGAAAAAUUGAUGGAAAAUCUGGACCAGUGGAGUCUCCACCUUCGACAAAUGCCCUGAUUCUUACUUUGCUUAAGGUUGUCCAUUGUGGCAAGGAAUCAUGUUCAAGCAUGGUAUGAUUCUAGAGAGAGAGAGAGAGAGAGAGGGAGGGAGAGAGGGGGGGGGGGGGGGCUUCAACAGGCCUUUCUGACGUAACCUUCAAAACCGAAAUGGGCCAAGGCUUUGCAUGCAUGCUAGGGCCUUAAUAAAAGAUCACAUUAAUCCAUACCACGAUGGCUUAACAACUAAAUUAGAUGUUGCUUUGAAAUUUAAAGUGAAUAAAGAUAGAAUUUUUCAAUUGAUUAUGGCAUUAGAUGAAGAAUAUAAAAAAAUAGCUAAUUUAUGACAUGAACGAAGUCUCUAAAUGGCAAUUGCCGGCAAAGCAGUGAAUCAAAAGGAAAGGGUAUGCAAAAAAACAGAAAAGUUACUACUAAGAUUUAGAUUUGAUAGUACUCGUUCCUCAUGCAACUCAAAGCAGGCAGAAAAAAGGAGAAGGUAAAGUGCCUUAACAUUCAAAGAUCUUAGCCUAUACUUUCGCUGUCCAUAAUAUCAACAUUAAAGUUAUUAUUUAAAAAAAAACAGUCAUGUAUUAUCAUUGGAAAUCCCAUCAUUAAAGAUGCAAUAAUUUGAAUUGACAUUAGAUAGUGAGGUGUCCCAUCUCCCUCUCAAGUCUACCUUUAAUAAAGAUGCUUUAUAAAAGAGCUAAAAAGAUGAAAACGUUGAUUAUCUUCAUCCCAUGUCUCUCUCGAGUUUGCCUUUAAUAAAGAUGCUUUAUAAAAGAGCUAAAAAGAUGAAACCGUUGAUUAUCUUCAUCCCAUCUCUCUUGAGUGCAACUUUGAUAAAGAUGCUUUAUUUAAAAAGCUGAAUAAACAAAAGGCAUUGAUUAAAGCAAGAAAAGGUAAAGCACCUUAAUAUUUAGAGAUGCUAGUUUAUACUUUCGUUUUCUAUGAUAUCCUUAUUAAAAUAUCUAUUUCUAGGAAAGUAGUCAUGCAUCAUCCUUAGAAUCCUAUAAUUAAAGAUGCAAUAAUUUUAAUAGACAUUAGGUAGGUAGUGGGAUGUCUCAUCUCUCUCGAGUCCACCUUUAUAAAGUUGCUUUAUAAAAAAGCUGAAAGACCAAGUGUUGAUUAUUUGUAAAUGACUUAGCAUAAGCAAAAGAUGUUUGCUACAAUAUGGAAAUAAAGCAAUAGAUUAAUGAUAAGCCAACUUGGUUGGGAAAUAUGGGUGUCCGUUGGCAAUUAUUUUUAGAAUAAGGAACAUCGUUCACUCAUUCGUGAAGGUUAGUAUGACAUUUUCUCUUUUUCUUAUUUUCACAAUUUUUUAAGUCGAAAUAGCUCAUCUUUUCUAUAUUUUCUAAUUUUUCUCAUUCAAUGUGCUUAUAUUAUGGUCUUUUGUAUUCAUACACUGCUUGUUCAAAUAUACAUGCGGCAUAAAAUUCUCUUUGCAUUCUUUAAGGGAUCUAUUAAGGAAAACAAUCGAAUUGCAACUCUAAAGCAUUCAGACAAAUCGUGCACGGUGAAGCCAAAGAUGCAUCACAUCUUCUGAAAAAGGUGAGGACUAAAUUGCAUUUACCUUGUUCUUUGCCAAGUCUAAAGAGCAAUCACGAGUUUGGUAGGGUCACUUGGAUUUCAUAAGCCAUGUAUUUUUUUCGCAUUGCCAUCUUUUAGCUAGUGUUUAAUUAAAUUGCAUCUUUUGCAAAUGGAACUACUUAAAGCUAUAAGUCUCUAUUAACGGUAAGCAUUGCAUGAGAAUGAUUUGAUGAUAGCAUUGAGUAAUCUUAGGGCGCGUUUGGUAACGAUUCUGUUCCCGGGAGUUGAUUCUGAUCAGAACUGAUUCUUUUUUAUUCUAUUCCCGGGAACUGAUUCUGAGUGAAAAAGCGCGUUUGGUAACUGUUCAAAAUUUUUUAUUCUAGAAUAGAAUUGCGUUUGGUACCGUAUUAAUUGAUUCUGUUCCAAAUUAAUUUCUUUUGAUUUUUAAAUAAUUUAUUUUUAUUUUUAAAUAAAUUUUAAAUAAUUUCUUUAUUUUUUACUUUUUUCUUUUCUUUUUUCCUUUUUUUCUUUUUUUCCCCUUUUUUUCUAUUCUUCUUCUUCUUCAUUUGGCCGGUCGCCGAACCGGCGAUCGGCCAGACGAGGGUCGGCGACGCUCACCGGAGCGCCGCCGGCCCUCAGCGAGGUCGGCCUUCGUCGGCUGAGCCUCGCUCGCAGCUGGGCGAGGCUCGCCCAGCCCCGCCGAGCCUCGGCCUAGCCAGAUCUGGCGAGGCCGAGCCUCGCCGGUGGCUAGGCUGGCCUCGCCCAGCCUCGGCGAGGCUCGGCCUCGCCAGAUCUAGCGAGGCCCAGCCUCGCCUGGCCACCGGCGAGGCUGGGCCUCGCUAGAUCUGGCGAGGCCGAGCCUCGUCGGUGGCUAGGCUUGCCUCCGGCGAGCUCGCCGGACCUCGCCCUGGCCUGGCGAGCCUCCGGCGACCUCGCUGGACCGGCGACUGGCGGCGGACCGGGGGCGACGGCGGGCGAUGGCGAAUGGCAACCGAGAUGUUGAAAGAGAAGAACAAGGUUUUACCGUGUUGAUUCUUUUUCUGAUUCUCGGACGUAGAAUCAAUUUUUUUUAGAUUCUCAAAUCUUGUCCAAAAUUGUUCCCAGGACAAAUUUGUUCCCGGAAAUAAAAAAUUUACCAAACGCGAUUCUCGUCCCAAACUGAUUUUGAGAACAAAAAAUCAGAAUCUGACACUAUUGGGCAAGUUGCCAAACAUGCCCUUAUUCUACACUUUCGUUUUCUAUGGCAUCAUGUUCUACGAAGGCAGCACCGCAUUAUUACCCCACUCCCAUGAUUGAACCGUGGAUGCAAAAGUGGGGUCUAUAUGUGUCCUUUUGUCUGAUAGAGUUCUGUCAUUGGAAAAAUAGCUUUGCACGUUACUCAGGUCUAAAGAGAAGCAAUAAUUUAACUAGACAUUAAAUGGUGGGAUGUCCCAUCUGUCUCUCAAGUCCAAGAUGCUUUUUGAAAAAAACUAAAUAGACAAAAGCGGAGCAUCAAACACGAGAUUUUGGCUACAACGUGGAAAUAAAUCAAUAGAUUAAUGAUAAGCCAAAGUGAUUAUAAUGAGAUCCUUGGCAGCAAAAUAUGCAGAGGUACCAUGAAAUUUUGAUUGUUGGGUCCAAGCGCGUCUCAUGCAGCAUGCAACUACUCAGACGUUAUCGACUUUUUUCUACAAAAAGUUGCUAUGUUUUGAUGCUGCCCUUCAUUCUUUUUUUCCCUGAAACCUUUUCACCUUCUUCAUCUAUCUUCGUUCUUGCUCCGUUUCACUCCUUCUCCUAUCGUCCCAACAGUGCGGUAAAUAAAUAAUGUGCACGCAUUUCAUAGUAGACAAUCUACACCCCAUGUAUAUAGUCCACACACGUGAUCAUCAUUGCUGAUGACCACUAGUCUGUAUUAUUGAGUCCACAUGCAUUGUUGGUGUGAGACUCAGUCUUUCUUUCUCAUAAGAAAAGUAAAAAAAAAAAAAUGUCGAUUGGUCAAUGUCUCCUUUUGAGAAUAAUAGAAAAAAAUACAUUAAAUUCAUAAGAAUAAGUAACUUUUAAAAGAGUGAGAGUAGAGAGACAUUAACAAAAUUUCAAACAUAUCAUCAUAUGGCAAUUUUAUGAUGAUUAUUUCACAUUCUAAUCUAAUAAUUAUAGUUGGCAUAAAAAUUAAACAACUUUAAUUCUAUUUGUGAACUAAGUUUUUGGUUUUUCACUUAAAGGGACACACCUAGAGGAGCUUUCUAUCAACAAAUUUGCGAAAGAUAGUACAUGACAAGUCAAGAUUUAUUUUCGUCAAGAAUUAUUUUCAACAAAUGGUUAAUAUUAAUUAGAUAUGAGGGUUUAUACCCAAAUCGAACGUAUUAAUAAAAAGAACAUUAUCAAAAAUUGCUAUUUAAUAUAUAAUCUCUACAUUGACAUAUCAUCGAGAUCACCAAUCUCUUUAACUUUUAAUGGGAUAUUACAAAGUCUAUUUCCUCCUAUCAUCCUACUGGCACGUUAGACAUACGAUGCGGGCGAAUUUCGCAGUAGAUGAUCUACAUCUCAUGAUUAUAGUUUACAUCAUCAUCAACUCCAUUUGCAUGUUUACAUAAAGGAUUUGAAAGAAUAAAAAUAUAUAUAUACAAUGUAGGGACAUGAUUGGCAAAAAAAGAGUUUAAAGACCUACUGAAAAUUUUUGCAAAAAAUCCAAUUGCUACGCUGCCUAAAUCCCUUUAUUAAUUAUCAAAUUACACUCCAAAACUUGUUCAAGCUAUCACUUAUUUUAUUUUAUUUUCGCAAAUUGCAAUGAAGGAAAACCAUUUCUUUUAUCGGUCUUUGGUAAAAUAUGCAUCGCAACUCACAAGAUAUUACUAAAUAUCAUUUGAGGUGUACACACUUUGGGGAUGAAGUGUCUAGAACAGCUUCAUUUCACAUGUUGCCCUAUUGAUUCGUGCAUGAAGUGCAUAGUCCGCAAACUACUUCUACUUUGUGGGCCAAUGCAAACACAUGUCCCUUUGAGCUUUGUUGAUGUGCCAUCAAGUUCCCAUCAGUCUUCACCAAAGAAGAUGCGUUUGUCUGAGAAUCCUCAAAAGGUGCGCGCCCAUCUGCCUGCAUUAAGUACAUUCAAAAGAUCAAUAAUACGAUUCUAGCAUAUUCAUCGGGACAAACUUUUGAAGAGUGGGAAAUGGAACAGCUCAUCAGGGAAUUUGAAAGAGAAAAGGACGAAAGUUUUAACAGUCAAUGAGUACUUCGAGUGAACACAAACACCACACUGUGUAUGUGUAAUGCAUCUUGCACGAUGCCUCAAAAGCCUGUAUUAUUGAGUCCACUAUGCAUUGUUGGUGUGAGAUUCGCUCUCUCUUUCUCGGAAGAAAAAUCAAAGAAAAUUGUCUAUCAAUGUUGCCGUUUGAGAAUAAUAGGAAAAAUUACAUUAAACUCAUGUCAAUAAGUAAUUUUUGGAAGAGCGAGAACAAAAAGACAUUAACAAAAUUCCAACCAUAUCAUCAUAUGGCAAUUUUAUGAUAAUUAUUUCACAUUCUAAUCUAAUAAUGAUGGUCCACACAAAAAAUUAAAAAUUAAACAAUUUCAAUUUUAUUUUGUGAACUAAGCUAUUUUCUUUUCCACUUAAAGAGAUGCCUAGAAGGGCUUUCUAUCAACAAAUCUGUGAAAAAUAAUACGUGAAAAGUCAAGACUUAUUUCCAACUAAUGGUUAAUAUUAGUUUGACAUAAGGAUUUUAAGUUAGUCCAAAUCUAAUAUGUCAAUAGGAAGAACAUUAUCAAAAACUGUUAUUCGAGAUAUAAUCUCUAAAGUGGCAAAUCAUUGAGAUCACUCAUCCCUUAAACUAUUAAUGAAAUGCAUCUUCUUUCCUUUUUAAUGAUCUCCCUUCUAGAGUUAAAAACUUAGUGUUAGUGGAGUCUUCUUUAAUUUAUCAUCUUGAUGUAAGUUCCAGUUUCAUCUUGUAAUAUUUGAACUAUAUUGAUGUGAUGGAAAGUUUGUUUUGGCCCAAAAAAAGAUUAAUUGAAGUGAAGGGAAAGCUUACUCAUCUGGGUCUCAUCGAGACGAUUGUCAGUUUUAGCUUAAUAAUUGGCAACUCUUUUGCUUAAUUGAUCAAUGCCUCAGGAGGGGGUGAAGUGAGAAAGCAAUGUUUCUCAACAGUAAAAGGAAAGAGGCCAAACAAGUGAGUGCACCUGGUCGAUUCAUGCAUUUACAAACACCUAGAUAUUUUUGUCCAGUAGUAGUGGACGAAAAGGACGCCGAGGUAGACAAUGGCGAUGGUGACUGAUCGAGUAAAGGAACAGUCAAAUGCAAAAAACCAUCUCAACUCCUGCGACUACUCUCUCUUUUUCUCCCUCUCCUUCGAAUAUUUAGAUGGUUGUCCAUGAGCAAAGGGAGAAAGGACGUGAAGACUUCCAUUAGUGAUGGUGACUCACAAAGGAACGGUAAAAUGCCAAAUAAAAAUAAAAACAAAAAUCUUUCAUAUAUAUAUCUAUCUUAUGAGUCAUCUAUUUCUAUCAUGAAUCAUUUAUUGGCCUAUUACUGCUCUUGUCUCGAUGGAGCUACCGACAUACAUCGGCCUUUUCUGUAGUUUUAUUUUUGGCCAGUGACAACGUGGGGGCAGUCUGCUUACCAUUCAGCUCCCCAAGUAGAGCUCCAUCCACACCCCAUGUCCUCUUUCUUCCUUGGGUUUUCGAAUCAUUCUUAAAUUGCCAGAUAGUAUAAAAACUCAGCCGUUUAUUAUAAGCUUUUCCAGCAAAAUGUUGCUAUUUUCGAUGCUCCCCGUCCUUCAAAAAAAUUAAAAUUGCAAGGAAAAUAAGGGUUAUAAAUGAUCAAAAGCCACAUAGCUUUACUUGUCAAUAAUUGUAUAUUUUUGUAAAACUGAUUUCUGAUAACUGCGAUUUUUGAAAAAUAAAUAUUAAAAGCAAAAUACUCUAAACAAACCCAAGCAUUUGAAAGAAAAUGGGGUAACUCCAAUCAUAAUGUGAGACCACAGAAAAUAUGUUAGUGAUGACUCGGAAAUAUUUCUCAUUUCUCAUAUUAAUUUUGUCCUGUAAAGAGUAGCAGUACUCAAGAAAGUAAACUAUUUUUGUUUUUUGGUCCAAAAGUAAACUGAUUUAAACUAUUAAUAAAGAUUGGCAAAAGUUUAAUUCAUUUAGAAGUUUUGACCUAAAAAUUCCAAUUGAAGUUAUGUCUAAUGUAAAUUGACAUUAUAAUCUAACAAUCUACUUAAUUAUAAUGUUACUUAUAUUCAUUGAUUUGCGUAAGGAGCGGGUUUAGGAUCAGUACCUAAUCAAUGUUUGUCUAUUAACGGUGGAGGUAAGGAUGCAGAAACUUACACAUUGGUGAUGAUAACGGGUCAAAUAAAGAAAAAAUAAAACCAUUUCUAUUACCAUAUUCAAAUUUUAAUUGAAAAGUAUCGGGGGAUGCUAAAAGGACAUCUCGCCCAUGAUAGUAGUAAUAAUUCAUUUGCUCAUUUAGCUGGACUCACGAUGGGUUGAAAAUGAGUAUGGUGCAAACCCACGUAGACUCACAUGGAAUUGGUUAUGCUUUUUUAAUAUCAUUUCAAUUAGCUUAAAAAUUUUAGAGAAAUGAUUGGGUGACAAUUUUUAAUCUACUAUUAGAAUAACAGUCUGUUUUGGAUUACAAAAAAUUAAAUAAUAAAUAAUUAUAAGUUGUCAUGGGGUCCACUUAUUUAAAAAUUUACAGCUGAUAAAAAUUUAUUAUUUUUACAGUAGUUCAAAAAUUAUUAUGCUAGUAAGUGUCUUAUAUACACCUAGUCACGCUGAAAUUGAGUUGAAAAAGAGUUUUUGCCAUCUCUGGAUGGAACUACAUGUCACGUUGGUUUUGAUCUAUCCUCAUACUUUUGUUCUCUUUAUUAAUUACAUUUACCAUAUCGAUGAAUGAAAAACUACAUAAGAUACCUAUUAUACAUGAGGGAUGAUUUAAGUCCAAUCAUUUUAAUAAUUGCGUUUUGAUUGAAGGUGUUAUAUACGCUUCACAUUCUAAUCAUCACUCCAUGUUGAUUCAUAAAAGUGCCACAUACAAAUAUUGAUGCAAAUAUUAAUAUUGUGAAAAUAAUUAAAGAUGCUACUUAUCACGUGUAUGGGUGGUCUUGGCCUGUCCUUAUCACGUGGACGCCGCCUAUCUUUCUUUUUGUUGCUCUUUCUUAAUUACAUUUUGUUAUACCAAAGUGGCAGUGUAUAAAAUUUUCAUAAAAUUCAAGUCAAAUCAAUUUGUUAUGUAAACAGUUGGUAAUCAUUUGUAUUUAAUUUUUUUAAGCCUCUUUGAUGAGCGUGCAAUUUAAAUAAGGCAAAGAAACCAAUUUACUCCUCAGUUUAAAUAAUAAUGAUCCUUUGCAAUAAUUACAUAUCUCCCUAGCCGCUCAUUAAGACUAUAGCUAUUCUAAGAGUAGUUGUAACUGCAUUCUCAAGAUUUUAGGCCUCCUAUCUGCAUAUCGAUCCUAUCCACAAGCAAUUACAAAUCUUAAAGUGCCACUGGAUUAACCAUUUCUCGGUGCACUUGUCUUCAAUCGACAUCUUCACUAUCUCCUUUCUUAUUUUCCCUUUGUCCAACAUUUAGACAAUCGUCAACCAAUCGAGUCGUACAUCCAUGGCUAUAUCUCUCGGUUAUAUGUAAUCAUCGCUCAUGGUCAUCGGUAAGUGCCUCUAUUAUCAUUAACUUACCAAAGGCAAUAUCAAUCGCUACAAACUCUAUACCCACUUAAAUUGACAUAAUAUCCUUUACAAAGACUUAGUCAUUUUUUCGAUGUAAACCAUUAAACAUUUGGCUAAACAAACUCACAUUUUAUAAUUAAGCAACUAUCAUGUGAUUUAAAUACAAUCUUCAUUCUAACAAUUAUGGUACAACUCAUUACAUAAAACGUGCAACCAAUCAUAUGGGAUUUACACAUUGAUUGAUAUAUUCUCAUCUACUUAUUUGUAUGGUUGCCAAUUUAGAAAAUUAAGUUUACUUGAGUAAAUCCAUUGGCUAAAUUCUCAAAUGAAAGCACAAGGUCAUGUACACAUCAUGUAUUGUGUGCUACUUGACUUUCACUGUUAUAAUGAAUAAAAUGCUCAAUAUCCUACAACACCUAAAGUCAUUUACGUAUCUAUGUAGGCUAAACUCUUGUCAUGGAAGGUUGUAAGCUUGUCAUGCAUUGCAUGCCAUGAUGCUACUUCACUGCCACACCAUAAGUAUUGUGUCAUCAACAAUUAUGCAUUUAGUUAUGUUUGUUUAUGAUGGGAAAAGUAUCAAAAAGUCCUAAAGUUAUUACAUUUGUAACAAUUUAGUCUUAAGCAUGGGACCAAUUUUGUCAUAAACUUUUUCACAUUGAUACUAGUUAAGUCCAUCCGCCCAAUUUAUGUUAGAAAUUUUUGACAUGGAUGCCGAUCGUCCUACGUGGCACAAUUAGUGCUAACGUGGACAUUUGUCGAUAAUAUUUAUUUUUUUAAAUUUUUUUAAAUUUAUUCCUUUUUUCUUUUUUUCCCCUUCUCUUUUCCUUAUUUUCUUAUUUUCUUAUUUUCAUUUCUUUUAUUUUUUUUUGUUCAUGCUUAUUUUCCUCUGCUAGCCUCUAUGAUGGUUGACGGAGGUAGCUAGCUAUCAGUGAGGGUCAACCUCACUUGGAUAGGGCCCCUCGCCAAUGCCAAAGGCCAAUGAGGCCAUUGCUCACUAGAUUUGGUGAGGGGACUCUAUGGCAAGGGUGUCCUCACCGGGAUAGUGAGGAGCCUCAUCUAGGUGAGCUGGCCUCUAGCGUUGGUGAGAGACCGUCGUCCAUGCGAGGCUAGCCCUUGCUAGAGGCCGACAAGGGCUGAUCUCACUUGAGAGCGGAGAGAGCAUCCCAACCCUUACCUUCACUGGCAGCCAGUGACCUCCUUCAACCAUCAUAGAGGCUAGCAGAGGAAAAUUAGCAAGAAAGGAAAAAAAAAAAAAAAAGGAAAGAAGGAAAGAAGGAAAAGAGAAGGAAAAAUGGAAAAUGGAAAAAAAAAGAAAAAAAAAAGAAAAAAUAUUAUAUUAAAAAAAAUUCACAUUAGCACUAAUCAUACCAUGUAAAAUGAUUGUUGUCCGUGUUUGCAGUUUCCAACAUAAAUUGGCUGAAUUGAUUUAAUUGGUAUAAAUAUGAAAAUGUUUAGGAUUAAAUUAGUUCAAUUGAAAGGUUUAAGACUGAACUGGUACCAAUGUAAUAGAUUUAUGACUUUUUUAUUUUAUUUUGUACUUUUCCCUGUUUAUGAUACAUGCGUAAUCAUCAAAUAUAACCCUCUACAAAUAUAUUAUUUUUUUUCUAUGGAUUUUUUGUGGGAAAAUUAUUUAAAAAGUCCUAAAUUUAUUCUAUUUUUGCCGAUUUUGCCAAUUGAGUACUAAAUCUUUUCACAUUUUGCCAAUUGAGUCAAUUCUACCAAAAUUGACUGGAAAUUACUAAUGUGGACGAUUAGCAAGGGACUGUCGAGCCCUGGCAUGACCAAAUCUAGGGAGGGCGUGGAGGCCCUCGUCAAUUGUGCGAGAGGGCUCACGCGCUCUUGCUUUGGUUGACAAGAGUGUUCUAACCCUUGCCUAGAGCUGGCAAGAAACGUGACACUCUCGCUUAGAGCUGGCAAGGGUCAGUUGCGCAAAAUUGAAUGGUUUAGAAAUGAAAAGGAAAAUGUGCAAUAAGUUUAAGACUUUUUGAAGAAUUUCCCGACUUUUUGUAAUAAUGGAUAAUUGUUUUCCUGUUAAUUUUCUAUCAGUUGUUUCUUUUACUCUUUAAUAUUUAUUUAUUUGCAAAGCAUGUGCCAUAAUUUUGUUUUUAUGAUGAAAGAUACUUCUUUUGACUCUCUAUCAUCAUUUAUUGUCAAAUAUAGAUUAUUAUGUCGUAAAAGAUAUUUUGACAACAAGCAUCUUAUUUGUCAGAGAUUUGAUUAUCAUAGAUUUGUUAAAUAUGGCCUAUCACGUCAUGUAUUUUCUCAAUCGGAUGUUAAUGAUUUACUUGUAAAAUAUGAAAAAAAAAAUUGUCAUAAUGAGUAACCACAAAAUUAUUUAAUCAUAACAUUUAUAAGUUAUUACAAAUUUAUUUUUUUUUCUUUUGAAAUAUCUGGGGUCAUUAAGUUUACACCAUCUCUCUCUCCCUCUCCCCUGUCUCCCCCAUAUUACCUUUUUUUAAUGACAUUUAUCUAUUGGGACUAAUUAUCUACCAUCUUAAACUUAUUGUGCAAUUACCAAUUCAGUCACAAAUCUUUAAUUUUCACCAAUUUAUCUAAAAGCUUUGCGCUAAGUUCCAAGGUAGUCCCUCAUUGAUCUCUUAUGAAAGUUGGUUAGAAGGACUGCAUUGAAAUGUUGAGAAUUAUUUAAAAUUAAAUUGACAAAAUUGGAAAGCUUGGGACUAGAUUUGCAUCUGAUUAAUAAGUUUGGGACCGAUUAGACAAUUUCCCCCCAUGCAUUGUUAAGCUAUUUUAAGAACUAUAUAUAUAGAUAUGUUAAAGUGAUCUUCAAAACUGAUUUGCUAAAGUGCAAAAUACAAUUGGUAUAUAAACAAACAAUAUAUAUGCUUAAGAAUAAGAAAUAUGCUAAAGUGCAAAAUAAAAUUCAUAAAGAAUACACGUUUAAGAAUUAGGGAUUUGUUAAAGUGACUAUCAGAAUGAAAUUGCUUUUAGAUUGUGUUUUCUUUUGGAUAAAACAGAGGGAAAAUUUCAAAUAAGGACCUACAGUGCCAUCAUUUUCUCAAAAGAGGACCUGAAAUGAAGUUUGUUUUAAAUAAGGACCCAAAGUGCCUUCAUUUUCUCAAAAGAGGACCUGGAGUGGAGUUUAUCUCAAAUAAGGACCAAAAGUAAUCAUUUAGUCUCAAAGAAGGACCUCAUUUGUCGGCUGGUGAAUAAAUGCAUCUCUAAUGCAUAUUCUGGUAGCCUAAUCAGGGAUAUUUUUGUCCAAUUUUUUUUUUUUUAAUUUUCGGUUCUCUUGUUCUUUAUUAUUAUUUUUUUUUGGGUCAAUGGUGGCACUGUUCAUCAUCUUCUUCGUCUCAUGUUCGUCUUCUUCUCAAGAACAUCGAACUUGGGAAGAGCCAGCGAGUGCUGGUCGUUGGUGAGGGUUGGCGAGGGUUGGACGCCCAUUGCCGGCAAUAGGCGAGGGCCACCAAGCCCUCGCCAGUUGGGGGCGAGGGCUUGCAGGCCGACCCUCACCAGAUCUAGCAAGGGUGGCCUCGGUUGCGGCUAGCGAGGGUUGUCAAACCCUCGCUAGCUACGGGUGAGGGCUUGCAGGCCCUCGCCGGCCCUUAUCAAUGGGCGAUGAGAUGGGCGAGCCCUCGCCCAAGGCCAGCAAGGGGUGACCUCGCUAAUGGCGGUGAGGGGUGACCUCCCCCACCUCCGCCCGCUGCUCCACCGACAACCUAGUCUUCUGCUAGGACUACGAUUGGGAUGCCCAUGUUGCUUUCUUCAUCCCUUCCUCCCACCAUUGCUCCCAGAUCGAUGACUUCUUCGGCUACCCCUUUUGCUCUCGAGGACCUUAUCGUAGGGCCUCGAUCUGGACGACCCCCAUCCCCCAUGGCUAGCAAGGGCUUGAUGGCCCUCUCCUGCUGUUAGUGAUGGGUGUCGAGCCCUCGCUUGCUGCCGCUGAUGGGCGUCGAGCCCUCGCUGACCCUUACCAACGGCUAGUGCUCGCUAGCCUUUCCCCAAGUCUGGUGUUCUUGAUUUGGGCAAGAAGAAGUGAACUGGGGACGAAGAAGACGAUGAACAGGGCAACCAAAAAUGAAAAAAAAAAUAAAAGGACGAAAAUACUGUAAGUAGGCCACCGGAAUAUAAAUCGAAGAUGAAUCUAUUCAUCAGCUAGCGAGUGAGGUCAUUCUUUAAAACUAAAUGACUACUUUGAGUCAUUCUUUGAGACAAAUUUUACUUUAGGUCAUUUUUUGAGAAAAUGAUAGCACUUUGAAUCCUUAUUUGAGACAAACUUCACUUUAGGUCAUCUUUUGAGAAAAUGAUGGCACUUUGGGUCAUUAUUUGAAAUUUUCCCUAAAACAGAUAAUUGGAUGAAAAAUAAGAAAGAAAAAAUAAAUAAAUCUCAUUUGCGUUUAUAUUAGGAUUGCUGUUAGGGAUUAUUUUAUUGGAUGUCUUCGUCUAUAAUAUCGUUAAUAUUUUAUUAGUAGGGAACUCUCUUUAACUAAAAUUAGACUUUGGCUUUUGAUUUUUAUUUCACAGAGAUUCAUGUCCCUAGGCUUAAUAACGAGAUAGUAUAUAUUCUUUACCCAUUUCAUAUCAGGUUACUUUACCGCAUUUUAUAGUGUUGUUAUUUCAUCAUGUUUGAGUGACCAUGAUCUUUUAAUUUUAGUCCACGGGAUCUUGUCAUAGGACGCCUUGUAAUAUUCUUUGUUCAACUCAUAUGGGCUUUACUUUCCUAUACUCUUACUUGUCUUUCAUUAUCUUUUCGAUUUGUUGUUUUGAAUUCCUUACAUGAUUUUUACAUUUCGAUUUCUUUAGCUUCUUUUGACGAUUAUCACCCACUUUAGGAACAAAUUAAAUUGAAUAACUACAAGUGAACACCUAGUGGAAAGAAUCUUAUGAUUCUAUAAUUUGACAAGAUCACAUGAACCCUAAAUUUAAAGUCUUUAAUUUGCACAAAAUAGAACAUUCUCUCACGUUCUACUUAGCUCUUAGCCAAUCCUAAUGCGUUAAUGGCCACUCUUGUUUAUGAUAGAAUCCCAUCUCUAGAUCAAUUGAAUUUGAAUUUCCCAACGUUAUGUGUGAUGAGAGUUUGGGAGAGCUUGCACAGAGUGAUAUCAAGUAAACCUUGAGUAGAAGUAAUGAUAGUUCUUGCUCAACAAUCCAUUAAACCCACUCCACCUCGAGAAGAACCCGCUCAGGAGGAUCGCGACAAACCUCAAGAGAGUUUAACCAUAUGUAUAGAUGUUUUCCUAGCUAAAUUAAUUUAUUUAAAUGACUCAACUUGUCUACCAUCUAAAUACAAUGAGAAACAAAAUUUAAUAUAUCUAGAUCAAGCACAAAUUUUAAACAUGGAGUGAAUCUUAUGUGAGAUCAAAAUAAUUAAAUUUUGAGAUUCGCUCAGUCAAAACAAGAAACUUGCGUAGUAUAAGAUUUUACAAUACUUUAGAAAAGAGAUUUUUUUUGGUAGAAGGUAUUAGUAUAAUGCUUUUUAGUUGGAAAGAAUUGUAAUCUGUCCAUCUUUUUUAUCACCAAAAACACAACCGGCAUAAUCAUGGAGUAUGUUCCUAAAAGGUCCCUACAAGGACUCACGUUUUUGGUAGUGUGCGCGCUCUUAAGGGGCAACUAUUGGGCACAGAGAAUUUGCACAUCAACAAUUUCCAGAGAAACAUAUGUAGAACCAUCCAUAUUGAUCAUAGCUUUCAUCUUAUUCAAGUGUAUUGAUAUACGACAUUUAGUGGCAUGAGAAGUCCCAAUUUACCAUGGAUGGUACAGAUAUAUUUUAAACUAUGAGGACCUUACUUUGACCAAAGUUAUUAUACCAUCAUUGGCACCGAGCGGAACUUCUAUUGCAGAAUGCUUUCUUGUCUAAUCAACCGGGUAUUGCAAACAGUCAUUGUAGGAUUUAUGUACAUUUCAGAAUCAAUAUCACGCAAGCGAGCACAUGCAAAUAUCGAUGAAAAUGUUUAAUAUUAUGGGAAAGAGUAAAGGUGCCUUUUCACGUGUUUUCCUAAGGUCCACUCGUGCUUCUGCCUUGGUGUAUGGUCCGCAUUAAAAAUUUAGUUGAUGGCAGACUCUGUAAAGUUACAUGUCGCGUCUCUUUGUCAAACAACUUUGUGCGAGCGAUCUGCUAAUUGUCACCGCUUUCAAAAAUUUAAAUCCUAAAGAAAUCACGGUAAGUGACAAUGCCAUGUGGGUGUGGCCAGUCCUUGUCCAUUCCCUAUCUUCAUUCAUCUUUAUCUUUUAUUAUACGUGAUACAUGACACGACACGAUACAAUGAUAUGAUAUGAAAAGUCCCGAAGGAGAGUGUGGGUGCUUCUCCGAUGUAAGGUACAUAUAUUCCAGGGCAAUGGUUAGAGUUGAAUCGUUCGUUUCCUUCAACAGUUGAGAAUCGUCUCUUUCUUCCUCCAUUCAUUGCUAUUCGACGCUCCCCUUCCUGUCUUUUUUUCGCUCAAAAUCUCUUGGCCUUCUUUGCCUUUCGCUCUGUUUCGCUCUUUCUUCACCUAAGCUCAACCAUUCUUCUUCCUUCUCCUCUUCUUCUUCUUCGGUAUCUGCUCCUCUUCAUAAUUCUCUUUCUCUCGAUCUCUCUUUUUUCUUGCUCUUUCUUUAUCCGGAAAAAAAAAAAAAAUCAAAGAAAGAUGUCGGCCGAUUCUAUCGUUUCUAUUGCAUGGGAUGUCUUAAAGAGCUAUGUAGUUGUUCCCAUCAAGCGUCGAUUCGAAUAUGUGAUCUCCUCCAAGAGUUUCGCCGAGCGACUUCGGAAGGAAGUCAAUAAUCUGAAGAAGGAAGCUGAUAGGGUCCAGAUUCUUGAAGAAGCGGCCACAAACAAUGUUCGGAACUUUCACAAUACCUUCACGGACUGGAAGGCAAGUUGUGAGAAGGACUCGAAGGAGGCGCAAGAACUGUUGGACGCCUUCGAUGAGGCUAGCAAGACCUGCUGCUACGGGACCCUUCCCGACCCCAAAUGUCGCUAUCAGUUCAGCAUGAAGGCCGAGGCCGAGAUCAAGGUCAUUAGUGAACUCGCUGAAAAAUGCAACGGAUUCAAGGAAUUGAAAGACAUCUGCUUCAUCAAUCCUUCUCCGGGGGAUGUCACUGCAAUGACCUCUGCGUCUUCUGUCUCGACAUCGAUUAAGCUUGCAGACUAUGACAUCUUCGAAUCUAGAGUUCAAAUCAUACGGGACAUCAAGGACGCUCUUGCCGAUGACAGCAACAGCGUGGUCGGGGUUUAUGGGAUGGGCGGGCUUGGCAAGUCCACGCUUUUGGAGGAAGUCAAAAGGAUGAUUAGCGAAGAGAAGUCAUUUGAUUGGGUCGCUAAGGCCAACGUGUCGGAAAAUCCAAACAUCCGGACAAUUCAAGGAGAGAUUGCGGAUGCCUUGGGCCUUACUGACAUAAAGACCAAAGAGACUCCCACCGGGCGAGCGGAACUUCUACAACAGAGGUUGAAAGAGGAGAGUAAGAACAAGAAGGUCCUCAUAAUACUGGAUAACUUGUGGAAGGGGCUAGACUUGAAAUCAGUCGGCAUUCCUUGUGGACAUGACAAUAAAGUCAUAGGAUGCAAGUUAUUGUUGACGUCAAGAGAUCGAGAUAUUUUAAAAAGUGAAAUGGGCUGCGACAAGGACUUCCUCCUUGGUGGGCUAGAGGAGGAAGAGGCAAAAAGGUUGUUUGAGAAGUUUGCGGGAGACAAAGUUAAUGAUAAUGAGUUCAAACCCUUGGUGAAUGAAGCGCUCCACAAAUGUGCAGGUUUGCCUUUCCUUAUUGUCAGUAUGGCAAAAUAUUUUAAAGGCGUAGGUUUGCCUGAAUGGAAGAUUGCUUUGAAACAAAUCAAGUUGUCUAAAAACAAACACCUUCGUGGGGUGAUAAAUGACAUGUUGCAAUUGAGUUAUGAUCGUUUAAAAGGCGAAGAGAAGUCUUUGCUAGCGCUAUGUGUUGUUUAUGGCACCUCUAAUCCCUCUUUUGAAAACUUGGUGAGGUAUGGCAUUGGUUGGGGGCUAUUUCGAGAAGAUGACAACAUAGAAGAUGCUAGAGAUAGGUUGAGAUUGGAGAUUCGUACUCUUCAAGCCUCCUCCCUUUUGUUAGAGAAUGGAGAUGCUUAUGGUUUCAAAAUACAUGACUUGGUUCGAGAAUUUGUUGCCUCUGUUGCUUUUAGAGAUCACCCUCUUCUCGUGUUGAAAGAUAAAGAUAAGUCAAUAAUGGAGUUGUCGAACGACAAGCUCAAAAGUUGUAGGGCAAUAUGCUUUCCAUAUGUUGACAUAAAUGAGCUUCCCCAAGAACUAGAUUGCCCUGAAUUACAGAUAUUUUUGUUGUUCAAAUACGACAAAUCUCUUAAAAUCUCAGAUUCAUUAUUUUACUCUAUGAAGAAGCUCAUGGUCUUAAAUCUUACUGGGAUACAUCUCACUUGCUUCCCUUCGUCAUUUCAAUUUUUGGAGAGCUUACACACUUUGUGUCUUGACUGUUGUUCGUUAGAUGAUGUAGCCAUUCUUGGCAAACUAAAAGGGUUACAAAUUCUUAGCUUUGCGAAUUCCGAUAUUCAUCGAUUGCCAAGAGAAAUUGGGCAACUGGCAGAGCUGAGGUUGUUAGACUUGAACAGGUGUUAUAAACUUAAGAUAAUUGAAUCGGGUGUACUUCGAAACUUAUUCAAAUUGGAGGAGUUGUUCAUGAAGAAUACCUUUGACCAAUGGAAUGUUGUGGAGCAAACUCUACCAACUAAUGCCAGUCUGAUUGAGUUGAAUCACAUGAAGAAGCUCCACACUCUACAUUUGUCCAUUCCUAGUCUAAGUAUGCUCCCAAAGGAUCUAAAUGUCGAGAAAUUAACCAAGUAUGAAAUUCGAAUAGGUUAUGGCAGGACCUGGUGGCAUGAGUGCAAAGGAAUGAGGACAUUAGAGCUCAAGUUGGAUCCAUUAAGUGAUGUUCUCGCAAAAGGAUUCAUACAAAGCAUCUCUGGCACAACUAACUAUCUGCGUUUAGACGAGUUCAAUGGAUGUGAGCAAAGUAUUUGUUCAUUAUCCCGAAAAGGUUUUCCGGAAUUAAAGCAUCUAGAGGUCACGAAUAGUUCCUCCAUCCAAUACAUUCUCCGAUCGCCAUCCCAUACAUAUUAUGAGACAUUGGAGUUGUUACUUCUCGAGAAUCUCAUCACCUUAGAGAAGAUAUGCACCAACAAUAUCUCCUCCAAGUCCUUCAAUACAUUAAAAGUAGUACGAGUCAAAAGUUGUGACAAGAUGGAAGUAUUAUUUCCUCUUUCAGUGUUGAAAGGACUUCCACGGCUAGAAGAGAUUGAAGUUGUCGAUUGCAAGUUAAUGCGCGGGAUUGUAGAAGUUGAUGUUUGUAGCAAAGUGAAGUUGCAUAACUUGCAUGUCUUGAAAUUGCUUAACUUGCCAAAUAUCAAGAACUUUUUAGAUACUAAGUCAGCUCCUUCGAGUAGUACAUCAAAUGACCAAGUUAGCACUCAAAUUGCUUUCUUCAAUGGGCAACAGGUAACUAUUUAUUAACUUUUCCCUCCUUUGCUAAUUAGAUGUAACACAAAUUAUGAUGCUUAUUCAAUUUGUUAUUUUCAAUUUAUUUUUUUCCUAAUUAGCUUAUCCGUCCAUGCUUCUCUGCAAUUAGAUAAACAAUCUUAUAUUUCUCUCAUAGUGUAGAAACCUAACUAAUUGUGUGAAAUCAAUGUAAAUUUAGUUUGCGAUAGGGUCUAAAUUAUUUUCAACUUACAUGCUGCAAGUAUAUCCAUAUCAAUAGGGUCUCAUAAAGCAAAAUUGAAGGGAAUUUUGGCACUAAAGUAAUUCCAUGAGCAAAGUAAUUUUUAAUCUUUUGAAAUGGAUUCCGUUGAAUUGAGUUAUCAAACUUUGCUAUUAUCCACAAAAUGUAUAAUAUAAGUGACUCUUAAAAACUAAUAUGAAGGAUGGGAAGGAAGAUUCGGUUUUUUAAUAAAAGCAACUUUACUAAUCUAAUUGAUGCACGUAUUUUUUGUAUCGUGUUUACACAAGCACUUAGUCAUUGCAUAUGCUCUAUAAUUAUAAGAGUAUAGAAUUUUGUGCUUGUUCAUACAUGCAUAUAGUAUGGAUAGAUGUAUUUGGAUGCACUUUGGCAUCACAAACACAAAUUCGUGCUUGAUAUCAAAUUGGUUAUUAAUAGGCUAUGUUUAGUCGUCUAGGUUUCUAAUUAUGAUAAGAUUGGAUUUUAUAAGAUAUGAAAAUUCAAGGAUUUUACUAUAUCCUAUUUACUGUCUGUUGAUUGUAGUAAUAAAAUUGGAUAUAUUUACAUUAUAUCAUAUACAUUAUUUGAUAUACAAUAGCAUAUUCAUAUAAAUGAACCAAAAAUUUUACAAAUAGAGAUAAUAAAAAUCUCUCGCAAUACUCUUUCAUACUUUAUUUUUAUUUACUUUUUUAUUUUAUUUUCCUCUCCUUUUUUUUAACUAAUUUCUUUUUUAUUUAUUUCUUCCCCUCCCAUCAUUCUCUAAUAAAAUUUAUUAAAUAGUAAACUAUACUAAUAUACCUAAAAUAUGUAAUACAUAUAAAUAUAUAUUUAUAUUUAUAUAUUGAAUUUAUAAUAUAAAAUAGAAUUAAAUUCGAGUAUAAAUAAAAUAAGAUUAAAUUAAAAUAACCAAAUUGAUAUUUUUGUUAUUUUGAAUUUCUUAUAUUAGAAUUCAAAUAUUAUUUAUAUUGAAAUAUAAUUUUAAUUUUAUUAAUUUAAAAAUUUUGUUAUUCGUUAAAAAUAACUUUUCUAUUAUGAAUAUUAGAAAUCUCAUCUUCCUUUAUCCCGCCUCUUCGGAGAUAAUUUCAUCCUAUUUAUAUCUCCCUUGUAUCUAGUUUUAUCUUUUCUAAAGUAAACACUAAAUACAUAAUAUAAUAAAUUUUAUCUCAAUUGCAAAAUGUAGCCAUAGUGUUAUUAAAGAGAAGCUAGUAAACUAAGGACAAACAAUUGCCGUGUCAAGGAAAGCGCACGGCUGCGACUAUUUCGUUGAGUAGACAAAUUUGUGUAUGGAUAGAUGUAUUUGGAUGCACCUUUGGCAUCACAAACACAAAUUUGUGUUGGAUAUAAAAUUGGUUGUUAAUAGUGAUUUAUUAACAUUAAAGAGAAGUAAGUAAACUAAGGACAAAUUAUUGCUUAGUUAAGGAAAGUGCGCGGCUAUUUUGUCCAGCAAAAAUUGCAGCGGCUAUUUCAUUGAGUAGACAAGCUCGCCCUUUUACGAUGGUGCGAUUAUCAUCAGAAGUUAAUGGUGGGCCAAGACUCUGGCAAUACGUUAGUUUCACGGUCAAUAAAGAGUCAUAGAAAUUUAAGUCGUGGGUCCCGCAUGCCAGUGAGUCUGAGUACGACUUAUCUUCUGCCCAUGCUUUGAGCUUCCGUGGUGAAUUCAGAGACAAUGGAACUAGACCGGGGAGGGGAAAGUUUGCAAAGAGCCUUUGCGGCUUUUUUUUCCCUGUCGUAGUCAAGCCGGGGGUGACAAAAGUCCAAUAAAUGAAGCACAAAAAAGUUAAAACUUGUUGUAUGGAUGGGCGUGAUGGGUGAGGGUGAAGUAGAUGGGACUUGCACGUAACUUUGCGGAUGAAGAAUUUUCUAGAGUUAUAGCAAUGAACAUAAGAAAAAGGCUUGUUGGGUCAUUUGUUUGCGUUUCUGUUUAAAAAUUAUUCUAGAGAACAGAAAUAGAAAAAAGUGUUUCUAUUUUAUUUCUGUUCCGGGGAACAAUUUUUGAACCAAAAAACGCGUUUGGUAAACUUGUUCCGGGAACAAAAAAUAAAUAGAAACACGUUUGGUAAAUUUGUAUAAUUUUUUAUUUCUUUUAUUUUUUCUAUUUUUUUCUUAUUUUUCCUUUUUUUUCUUUUUUCUUCUUUUGGCUGGUCGCCGGCCUCGGCCGUGGACUGAGACCGAACGGCGAGCAUCGGGCGGAUCGGCGGCCACAUCCCUAGCAUCACCCCAUUACGUCAAACGUGAACGGACAAAAACUCUGGGAUAAUAGGGCCAUUAGGUGAACCCACGUGCUACAUCACCUAUACUCGGACUAGGACAUACUCCAAACCAGGUAUACUAAUACAGGAAUGCUCGGUGCACUCCACCUACACGUUAGUAGGUAGGCCAUAGAAGGUACCACGCAUAACUUGAGAAAAAGGCGUAUUUUUAAUCUGAAAUGUUAAUUCACAAAAGGAAUGAGUACCACCCUCAGCAGUAAAGAUCNNNNNNNNNNNNNNNNNNNNNNNNNNNNNNNNNNNNNNNNNNNNNNNNNNNNNNNNNNNNNNNNNNNNNNNNNNNNNNNNNNNNNNNNNNNNNNNNNNNNGUCGGCCGGUCGUCGGCCAUGGCCGAGACCGGCGACCGGCCAAAAGAAAAAAGAAGAAGAAAAUAAGAGAAAAAAGAAAAAAGAAAAAAAUGUUUCUCAAAUGUGUUUCAGAAAUAAGAAACACAAAUUUUUGUGUUUCUUAUUUCUGUUUCUUUUUUGUUCCUGGGAACAAAAGAACAAAAAAACAGAAAAAGUGUUUAAAAACAAAAAAAAGAAACACAAACAAACGCUGCCUAAAACUCUUUUCAAAAAAAAAAAAAAACAGAAAAAGGGAUAAUGGGGCUUUUUCACAUAAAAUAUUAUGGUUUCGGACAUGUAGGCUGCAGAUUGAGACUCAUCCUUAAGGAAAUUAAGACAAUGGAGAUGAUUAAUUGGGAUAGGUUAUAUGAGCUUAUCUUGUAGGAAGUAAUUUAGCUUGGAAGUAAUUUCAAAAAGAGGAGCAAUGAAAAUGGUGUUAGGCCGCUGUCAAUAUAUUUUAUGGUCCUAUCCACACUUCUACGGAUGGUAAUUUACUAACAUGAAAGAGAAUCGGUAAACUAAAGGAUAAACAAUGCCCCCAAUUAAGGAAAGCUCAUGGCUAUAUUUUAUAUGUGGGGAAAACUACUGCAAGUAGAGGGUUUUAUUUGACUAGACAAGAUUGCUCUUUUAUAGUGGCGUGGCCCAAGGCUCAUGCCAUACUUUAAUUUCCCCGUUAAUAAAGAGCGGUGGAGAUAUAAGUGGUGGAUUCCACAAGGUUGUGAACUCAAAGUGUGAAUUUUCUUCAGCCCGUGCUCUGAGCUCCCAUGGAGAUUUGGCAACAAGCGUUUGUGGCUUUGCCUUUUUUUUUGGUCGUAGUCUUUGGAACUUUUAACUUUCUAGAUUCUAAAUCUUCAUGAAAGAGUUACUUUUGCCUUAGUACUUCUUUUUAUUUUUAUUUUUUUGUGUAAAACCUAGAUAUGCGAAGAUCCAUGGGUUUAUAAUGAAAUGCUUCUUAAAAAUGCAAUAAAUCUCCUCCGACAUUGUAAAGUGGUGGUAGCUUACAAAAGUAGAAGUCUAAGGUUGGCUUGUCGGGGAUGACAAUAGACUAAUGAAUGAAGCACAAAAAAGUUAAACUUGUUGUAUUGGUAGGAGCGAGGGGUGGUGGCGAGAUAGAUGGGAGAUUAAGAGCAACUUGGCCGAUGAAAGCUUUCCUAGAGUUGUAGCAAUGAACUUUGGGAAAGACUAGUUAUUCUUUACAACAAAAAGUAAAUAAAGCUUUUCAUUGUCAUGGGGACCGUGGAUCUCUUCACCUUUCAAACAUGUUGAUUGAGGAAAUUACAACAACAAGCUUGAAUAAUUAGGAUAGGCUACUAACGCGUCUGAAUUGAAAGGAAUAUCUGAGGUAAUUUACAAAGGAUAGAAAAAAGGAAGUCCAAAUAAUCUCAAGUUAUUUACUAUUUUUCAAGUAAAGUUGGGAUUUCAACCGGUGGCAAUGACUAGUGACCACUCAAUUAUUGCGAUAUCCCAACUGUUGAGGUGUCUAAUCUCACGUUAUUUUGCUGGGAAAAUGGUCCCUUUUUGCCUAAAAAAUUCGGAGAAAUUGGAGACAUUUGAGAAGGAAAUGACAAUAAAAUGCCUGUUUUUUUGGAUUUUAUCAAGGAAGCAGGCAAUAGCAGUGUGUGAAAAGUUCUCUUGACCUAAAUGGAUGAGGAAUCACGUUCAGCUAUCAACUCCGUCCAUAAGUCAUAUUCAUAUACCAUUGUUUGCCCAAGGUUUAAUUUUUGAGUUGGGCUCGUAACUAGAUGAUAUAUAAAAGGCCCGACCUCACUGAGAAUAAUAUAAUUGACAAUUAAAAAAAUAUUUCAUGCAUAAAUUAAUUUUCAUAAGUAACUAGAAUGAUUACGAAUUCUUGAUGAUCGCAAUUCCUGAUAUUGCUUGUAAAAUGCAAACAAAUUCCAAUCUUAAUAGCAUCCCUUUUUAUAUCAUAAAUAAAAGGUAAAGUUCAUUAGUUGUCUUUUGAGGUCAUAAAUUAGCUUUUGUUUAUCAUAGAUAUUCAUACGUGCAAAAAAUAUCCUAAAGGUUGUACAUUAUCUUGCUUAUAAAUUUCUUCGGCAACCAUUGAGAAUACCCACUAUAUCACGUAAAUUCCUCACUGUCCUUUGUAAUUGUAAAUGCUAUGUUGAUGGAUUUGUCCGUUACGUUUCAAUCCCAUCCUUGUAGUCCUUGACAAUGGAAGGACUUCCCAAUCCAAAAGAAAUAUAUUAUCAGACUAAUUGUAUGAAAUCCUUGCAAAUUUAGUUUGUGAUGGCUUUUGAGUUAUCUCAGUUUACGUGUUGCAAGUAUAUUUAUAUUGAUAGGGUUUCAUCAAAACAAAAUGAAGGGAAUUUUGGCAUUAAAGUAAUUCCAUAAGUAAAGUAAUUUAUAAUCUUUUGAAAUUUGUUCCAUUGAAUUUAGUUAUUAAAAUUUGUUAUUAUCCACCAAAUGUAUAAUAUAGGUGACUCUUUUGAAAAGCAAUACGAAGAAUGGGAAGGAGGAUUGAAUUUUCAAAUAAAAGCAACUAUGCUAAUCUUAUUGAUACAUGCCUUUUGUGUAUCAUGUUUAAAUAAGCACUUAAUAAUUGCAUAGACCCCAUAAUUGUAAGAAUACAGAGUUUUGUGCAUAGUUUAUAUAUAUAUAUAUAUAGUAAAAGUAGGCCUUGGCAAUUGUAUGAUUUUUAUAUGUCACAACAAACUCGUCAUUGCAAAUUCGGAAUUCUUGUUCUUGGAGUUCCAAAGUGAUGUUCACCAUUUCUUUUUUCGACACAGCAGAAUUUGAGAUCCCCUAUGGUAAAAGAAAUUACUUUUGUGUAGCUCCAUAUCCCACGUCGAGUAGAGAAUGUCUCGCUAAAUAAUAUAUGAGUAAGAUUCACCUUAAAGAUCAUCUUAUUUGGUGAUCACCCUUAGAUACUCCUUUGGGGAGAUUGGGUCACGUGUAUAAGGCCACAUCUGUAACAAUAUCAAAUAAUGGAACUUGAUGCCUUAAUGAUAAAAUUCAAUAUCUUAAAGUCCAAAAAUUUUUAUAGAGACUUACUUCAUAAGUUUCAACGGGUCUUGUAUUUCAAUUCAGCUACUUAGUAUGUGUUAGUUUAAUUUCUGAAACUUCAAGUGCUCCACAUUACAAUCUUCAAGAAAUUUGUGCCGAAAUUUGAGUUUUCUUGUUGUUGAGUCCAUCCAAUUUAUAUUGUAACUUUUAUGUAUCUUCAUGCCCAGUCUCACAGGAACAUAUGUGCUCAUUGUGGCUUCUCUCCACGGCGAUCUAUAAACUAAAUACCAAGUCAUUUCAACUAAAUGUCUUUGCAUUUGACCUUUAUAGUAUGUAUAGAUAUAAUUGAAUGCACUUUUGGCAUCACGAACACAAAUCCGCAUAUUUAUGUUUGAUAUCCUAUUAAAUUGGUUAUUGAUACUGACAUUAAACUAAGGACAAACAAUUGCCUGGUUAAGAAAAGUGCACGGCUAUUUUGUCCAGCAAAAGUUGAGGCGGCUAUUUCUUUGACCAGAAAAGAUUGCACUUUGAUGGUGGCGAUUAGCACCAAAGUUGAUGGCGGGGCACAAGAUUCCUGCAAUGCAUUAACUUCUCUGUCAGUCAGUAGAGGGUCUGGACAUAUUUGUUGUAGGUUCCAUAAGGCAAUGUGUGUGAGUCGUUACGUCUUUGCGUUUUCUUAAUCAUCGUAGUCUUUGGAGCUUUUGACUUUCGCCAUAGUUCUCCCUAGACACUGGCUAUGGAUAUUGGUUGAACUUUUUUUGGGCCAAAAUUUAAGGUUGAAAGUGUUGUUGGGUUUGCUUUUUUACAUAGAGAGAGAUAACUAAUACUCCACUCGCUAAUACAUUUCUGACGGAGAAAUUCUUCAGAUAGAAUAAAACUAGCUCAUUCAUCAAAUUAAGCUCAUCAUUGCAAGUUUUUUAGCGAAGGAAAGACUAUUAGAAACGAUGCUAGUAUGGAGACUUUUUCAGUCCAUUUUUUUGUUUUAUUCUUUUUUAUUCCUUUUGUGCAACUUAAUUAAUCCCCCUCUCUCCUUGGCACUCGUGUAUAUUUACAAAUUUGAGAUUUAAAUUAAUCACUAAUUUCAUAAGCAAAUUUCGCAGGUUGCCUUUCAGAGAUUGGAGACAUUAGAAAUCAGUGGCUUGGAUAGCCUCGAGUUUAUGUUUUUCCCAUCCAUGGCUAGAUCUCUCACACAACUGAAAGAACUGACUAUAUCGAAUUGUCAAAAGAUGGAGACGAUCAUUAUGGAGGAAGAAGGGUUGGGAAUGGAAAUAUCAGAAAUUUUGGCAUUCCCGAUGUUAACCGAUUUACACUUAGAACAAUUGAAAAGUUUGACGUGCUUCUCUCAUGGAAAGUGUAAGAUUGAUUUUUUGUUUUUAUCAUUGAAGAUUGUCUUGUAGAUAUAUUGAUCUCUACAAUACAAAUGGUAAUAUUCUUUUCAUUUUAUGAAAUACCAAUUACAGGUGUACGAGAAAGUCAAAGUCAAGAUCGUGUCACAUCACGUGCCAUUGUACUCUUCAAUCAAGAGGUACGUGAUUAACAUUACGUUAAAAUAUUAAAUACACUAGAGACAAGCAUGGCCAAGAUAAAAACUAAGUUACUUAUAAUGUAUAUUUUGAUUAAAAUAUUUUUAUAGAAAAUGAGUGUUGUACAAACAUAAAUGUUCAAAGUUGCUGACAUGUAUGAGUUGCAAUUUCUUACUUUCAAUUUCUCUACAAAUAGUUUCCAUAAAUAUGGUUGAACAUCUCUUAUCAUACCUACACAAAGCAUGAAUGGGUAAUACGACUGCCAAAUAGGAUCUCUAAAAGCUUUUUGAUGUUCCAAAAAAACUUAAAACUCUCAUCAACCUCACAUGUAUGGCAUAGACAUUGCACGCAUGUACAUUGAAAGAAAUUGAAAAAACAACCGAGAGGAAAGUGAGCAGCAAAGUUCAAGCGGCUGGAGAUGAAGGGCCUUCAAUACACUCACUUGACAUCAUUUGCACUUGCAAGAUCUCUUUUAUUUUCCUGAUCGAAGGAAGCUUUGCUCUCUCUCUUAAUUGCACUAGUGAAAGGAAUCUAAGCACUCUUCGUCCCCUAACUGAGCAAGAUAUCUAGGGUCUAGGGCUUCAGAAAUCACCCUGUUUAGUUUUCACAUGAACUGCAAGGCCACUCUUAUGAAACUCUUGCUAAAGAAAUAAAAUACAAUUCGCAGAUAAGAUAUUUUAGUUGAGUCAUAUGUCUUGUCGAGUGGAUAGCGAAAGAAUGUUUCAAAGGAAAAUGAAGUAGAGUGAUUCACAGGCAAGUCCACUUUGACUAAACUAGAAGCAAUAUAGGCUUUUUACCUAAAUCGUUGUUUAUGCACCCAAAGAAGCUGUGGAAAUGGGCCCUCCCACAAAAUACAUACAUCGACUUUCUUAAAUAAUUUUAAUUCCUAUAAUGGGAUAUUCAGGAAAACCUUUGAUUAUUUGACUUAUGUAUAAGUAUAAUCUAUCCUUGAUAUCUAACUAUUGGAUCCUCCAGCAUGGAUAAAAAUCAUUGAAUUUUAAAAGGAAAAUUCAAUCGAUUAAGUAUAUUUAGUUCUUUCAAGUGGGGAAUGAAGUAAGUGAGAUUUGUUCGUUUGGCCCAUUCAAUUCCAUUUUUAAUGGCUUUCUCUUAGCCUCACUCUUUAAUUGCUUUAGAGUGAUAUAAUAUUGAUUUGAGGCAUUUGGUAUUGGAAAAAAUUACACGCCCUACUGUAUUGCACCUUUUGAUGGAUGAUUGGUUGGCUUUUUAAUAUCAAUCUCUCCAUCAUUUUCUUUCUAAUUGCUUAUAUUCUUCCUCGAGCGAUCCGCUGCAAUUUUCUUUUACUACAUCAAUUCCGUAACUUGUAACGUUGAUCACCCUUUUGAUAUGGUUCUUGUUUCUUUAAAUCAAUUCUUCCUUGUCUAUAAGAGAUUUAAAGGUACGAUCCAAUAUUAUUUGUCUUUCUUUGAUGGUGAAUAUUUAAAGUGAUGGUUAAACCAAGCAUCUCAUACAAGUUGCUUUUACAAGCGAAGAUAUAAAUUGUACAACUCUCCUUGAAUGCAUAGACAUAUUGCAACAUUGAAACAUCAUAUGUUCUUUGAGUAUUGAUUGAACAUUCUUGUCAAUGUUUGAUGUAACAAAUGCAUACUCAUUGAUCCUCUUAAAAAAGAGGCUAAUUCCAUCAUUUAGCUCUCUUUUAAGUACCACAAAGAUUAAAAAAAAAAAAAAACACGUGGUAUGUGGUGUGAUCUUACCAUGGCACAAGUGUGUUGUCUAAUUUGAACCCUAUAAGAGUGCUGAUCUUAUGCUAACAAAGAAAAGACGGGACAUUAUCGUUGACAUUACAAUUGAAAUUAAUGCAAUUGUGACUGUAAUUGAUGCAAAAGUUAUUUUCACAAGGGAUAUAUCUUUAGAAAUGUGAAAUUAAGGAGUUAAUCAAGUUCAAAUAUGGAUACAAGUCAAAUAUAAAAGAUCAACGAUAAUGUUUGUUUCAUGAGGACACAUUUCUUUCCAUUGAAUCACUUGAGACUUGCCAUUUUAAAAUGUAGUUAUUGUGCUCGAUAUGCAGGAUUCAAGAUAUAUUCAACAUCUGCAAACUCUAGAUGUGUCACAUUGUGAUGGGUUAUCAAAAAUGUUCACAUCGACAAUUGCUGCAAAUUUGGUGGCACUCACAAAAUUGAGGAUAAGUAAUUGUAGAAUAUUGACAGAAGUUAUUAAUGAUGAGAAAGGUGGGGAUGAACGUGUGGUGGCUUUCAAUCAACUAAAGUAUAUGGAGCUUGAUGGGUUGAUAGAGUUGAGAAGUUUCAGCUCAGGUGGAUACACUUUGAUGUUCCCGCUCUUGGAAGAUAUCAUUGUAACUAGAUGUCCCAACAUGAAGUUUUUCUCUCAAGGACCAAUAGAUGCGUCAAAGUUGGAGAGAGUUCAAGUAUCGAAAGCAUCGUGGUUUUGGAUGGGAAGCCUCAACAUCACCAUUCAUAAUAUGUUUGAAGAAAUGGUAUGCACCAGUUACCAAAUUUUGUGCAAUUGGAUGGUUUUGACCACUAACCGAAUAAUCGCUCUUUGCUAGCUAGAAGUUUAUGUUUAAUGAUGCAAUUUUUUUUUUUGAUAGGGUACGUUUGCUGGAGCAAAGAACAUGUUGCUAUCUGAGUUCCCCAAGCUGAUUGGAAAAUGGCAUAACGAACUUAAUCCCAUCAAGUCGUAUUGGCAAUUAGAAUCAUUGGUGGUAGAUAAAUGUCCAUCAUUUGUUAACGCUAUUCCACCUAGAUUAAUGCUUGUUUUAAAAAAUUUACGCUUUUUGCAAGUGCGCGAUUGCGAGGUGCUUCAAGAAAUAUUUGAUUUGGAAUGGCUAGAAGCUAUGGAAAGCACUCGAGUGCUACCUCAGCUACAGGAAUUGAACUUGGUCAAUCUACCACAAUUGAGGCGAUUGUGGAACAAGGAUCUUCAAGAAUCGCUAUGCUUCAAUUCUCUAGUAAAUCUCAUCCUUUAUAAUUGCAACAACUUGAGACAUGCUUUCUCUCCAUCGAUGGCUUGGUGCCUUGCCAAUCUUGAACUAAUGGAAAUAAAGGAGUGUGGUCAGAUGGAAGGAGUGAUCAUAGAGGAAGAAGGAGAGGGAAGCACAAGGGAGAAGAUUACAUUCCCAAAGCUCGAGCAUAUGACUAUGCAGUACUUGCCCAAUUUGACUUGUUUCCUCAUGGGAAAAAAUCAUAUGAUGGAAUGCCCCACAUUACAAGGGCUGAACAUUGCCCAUUGCCCUAGGAUGAGAAGUUUGAUUAGGCAAUCUUGGAUGGAGAAUGACCAUGGCACCCCCUCACUUUUCACUCCCCAAGUAAGUCUUUCAAACAAAUGCAUUUUUGGCAUUUCAUUUUGAACAUAUUCUCAUAGUAUUGGACGAUGCACGGUAUGAUACAAAUGUUGUGCUUUGUGCUGGUUUAUAUACAUAAUCUUCUAAUAUUUAAUACAUAGAUUAAAAUAUUCUUAUCCUUAAGAAAUAUAAAUAUGAAUUGUACAUCUCUGUAUCCUUUUGGAAGUGUUAAGUUAGUGGUGAUUCAUGGAAUCGUAUCAUGCGUGGUACUUUAGAAUUAAUUAGCAAGCUUCUUAAGAAAGUUAUCACAAUUACCAUGAAAAAAAACAUUCAAUUUUUGCAAUUUCAACUAUAAAUAGCUAACAGUAAACAUAGAGUAGCAUCUAAUAAUGGCAACAAAAAAAAAAAAUGUUGUAUCGCCACUUCAUAUUUUCUUGCGCAGAAGCAAACUAGCAUCGUUCUAUUAAACAUGAAGAAAAAGGGAAAAGAAAACUUUAUAAUGUAAAAGUCCAAUUCACAAAUUGCUUAGCAAUUACAGCUCAUUGUACCAUAGUAAUCUUCCCAAUCAACGAAAUUGGAGGAAUUAGGGAGAGCAACUCUUUUAACUGGAGUGCUCUAAACUUCGAUCAUGAUCAAUGCAGUCAACCUUUUUAUUUCCUAAUAAUCACCAAUGCUUAAGUUGGGUUUGGAUAAUAAAAUAAAUAAAAAUAAAAAGGUCCAUAUGCAUGACGCAAUUCAUCUUAUUUGUUCGUAAAACAUACUUGAAUCGCUAUACUCCAAUAACCUAUUAAAUUACGUGCUUGUAUUAUACACAAUCUGUGUUUGGCAAGAGAAAAUGCUUUCAAAAAAAGAAAUGGCAAAAAAAAAAGGAAAAAUGAAAGAGAGAAAAGGACAAUUGGGUAAUAAAUAGUAGCAGUUCCGUGGGCGGUUGCCGACAUUGCAAGUCUAAUUUCAUAACUAGAUCACAAUAUUUAAUCAAUGUCCUAGCUAAAAUAAAAAUUUUAAAAAUCGGAAUAAAUUAUCCAACCAACAACACUACCCAGUCAACACUUCCAUUCCGUCUCAUGAAGUUCUCCUCAUGUGAAGACUAAAUGCAAUAAAUGAUGACCUCCCCGGCACUUUUUUUUUUUGGGUCGAAUCUUCAGGCACUUGAAAAUGCACAAUAUCGACCCAAAUUUGAUUUUUUUUUGACCUUUUGUAUUACAGAUUCCACACUAGUUUUGGUUUUUUUUUUCCUGAAGGAGGAAAUGCUUUUUUUUUUUAUUCUAAUACUUUUGCACAAUUCCUUCUAUUGUUUUAUGCAAGUAGAAUGUUUAAUUAUAACAAGUAUCUACACAUUUGUUUACUUUUUAAUUGUAAGAGUUAUCGCUAAUUAUUUAUUUAUAAUGUCAUUUGCAAUUGUUAUAUAAUACCUAGCCCUGCAUUCUAAGAAUAUUUCAAAAAGUCAUUAUAACACUCAAUCAACAAUACUUAUAAAUUUGGGGAAGUAUGAAAAUAGUCAUCUAAUCUUUUGGUAGUGACAAGUUGUGAUAGUGUUAAUUUUAUUUUAGUGUCAAGUACGAGUUGUCAUAUAAUAAUUGAUUUCUCCCACAUUAUUAAAUAAUUUCAAAAACUCAUCAAAAUCCUCAAUUAAUAAUAUUGAUAGAUUUAAGGAAGUAUGGAAGUCAUUUUUUUUUUUUGGGUGACAAGUUGUAAUUGCAUUAAUUAUAUUGUAACCAAAUGAAAAAUAUCAUUACUUACUUUUUAAUGGACAAUUCAUCGGAGGUCAUGAUGUAGCGCAAAAAAAAAAAAAAACACUCUUGAUUUUCUCCAUACAAACAAAAUGUGAUCAGCAGGUGCACACCCACUUUUUGCAAAGGGGUGGAUCACUCAGUACACCGCAAGAUUCUAUUUCUAUUUUUCCACCUCAAAUCUAUAUAAAUAUUAUUUCAAGGAUUUUAUAAGUGACCCAACUUGCUUAUGUUGAGAUCAUAAUAUUAUGUUAUUUAUUCAAGUCGUUAUAUUGCCCAUGCCUAUUAAGAAAUUAUUUUCUUUCAAUACAAAAAUUUUCCAUGCAUAAAAAAGAAAAAGGUCGUGAACAAUUGAAGUUACGAUAUAUAUAUAUGUAUGUAUGUAUAUAUAUCCGGUUCGCCAUAUAAAUUUCAAGACUCUUCUCUUUGGUGAACUGUAUUAAUUAGAAGAUUCAUAAAUACCAUUCGCAAUUUAGUAUGAAUAAGUAGUAGUGCUCAUGGUAAAUAGAGGAAAUAAUGUUGAGCCAAGCAUCGGUUUCAUCCAUUCCUUCUUCAAUACGUACACUACUUAAGUUCUUUGCACCCGCUAUUCAUAUCCUUAGUCGACUGGCUCAUCAUCACCAUGCCUGUGCUUUUUCUCUAAUUAUUAUGCAUGUUCACCUUGAAGCAAACAUAUCUAAAACAUAACUGAUCUUUGCCGACGAAACUAACGUAACGGAAAUUUUCAGUAUGUAUUAAUGAAUCUAAAUGUUGCUCUUUUCAAUAUUUCUAUUGAACUGCCUAGCAAGCUCCCUAAACUUUUUGCCAGUCUUCGUGCUUAUUCAUUACAAAAAUACAACUUGUCACUCCUCCAUGGCAUCAACAUUGUUUUGUGAGAUUCAUAUUAUGUUCUUCUUCGUCUUUGUCCUCAUUUAAUUGCGUAGAGAAACAGUUGAGUGAACUAUAAUUGAUGUUUAGUCAAUGGCUCCAUUCAUGCAUCAGCAUAUAGGAGGGCUCUCAUUUCUCUCUCUCUCUCUCUCUCUCUCUCUCUCUCUCUAUUUUGCAUUGUAGGUUUUCUUAUGCUUUAGAUGCUCUUGCAUCCAAUUGGAAAUAGCCCCCCCCCCGCCCCUCUCUCUCUCUCUCUCUCUCUCUCUCUCUCUCUCUCUCUCUCGACACGAGCUACUAUAAAAAAAAAAAUGAGGACUUAGGAGGGGAGGAUUAGGAUGAAGUUGAAAGGUACAAAACCGGAAUUUGGGAGACCUGCUUAGCAACCAUUUGAACGAGCCCAAGUUCCACGUGCAUAGGGCCCAUCCGCCUAAUUCCUGAACUUUUAAGUUAUCGCUAUGAUUUGUUGAGUAAUCAAGAAAAGUCAACAUUGUCUCGUCACUCUAAAAUCUACGUACCCUUAAUCAUCAAUUAAGCCAAUCAAAAAGUUGAUGCUAAACAUACUAUUGAUUUAUAAAAGCAUUUAUAAUUUCAUGCUUGUUGCAAUGCAAUACCCUUGGCCUUAGUCAUCAAUCAACUUGUAUAAAAGCAUCAAUCAACCCCUCCCUAUUUAUAUCACUAGCAAGAUCUUGACUUCUCAUGAUUUGUGAGAAUGAGGGAAGUUUGGCGAUUCCUUCUUUAAGGUCAUAAUUCAAUGCAAUCACAUUCAUUGUGUCAUUCUUUUCUCAAUAUGGCAGGUACAAUUUCCUCAACUUAGGUGGAUGGAACUCUCCCACAUGGACGAUUUAAGCAAAAUAUGGACUGACAAUCCUCUAGAAACUCCGACUUUUGAUUGUUUAAGGGAAGUGGGGGUUUGGAACUGUAAGAGCCUUGAAACUUUGUUUCCGUAUUGGGUGGCUACAAGUUUAACCAAACUUCAAAUAAUUCAAGUGGAGUCUUGUGAGAUCGACGAAAUAGUCGCUAGUGGGGAUGACACUCCAUGCUCCAAUACAACUCAAGAUCAUUUCCCAAAACUAACCUCUUUGGCGUUACAUGAUAUGCCACGACUCAAGAGCUUUUAUCCUAACUUACCCUCUUUGAAUUGGCCAUUAUUGAAGGAAUUACAAGUGACUCACUGUAACAAACUGAACAUGUUAUCCUUUGCGGCAUCCAUGAACAGUUGGGCUCAAAGAGAUGAUCAACAAGACCUUUUAGAUCAAGAAGCACACUCUUCAUUUGAGAGGGUAUGAUUAUAGUUGCUCUCCCUUAGUUUCUACUUUGUUCUUUAAAGCAGUCACUAAUAUCAUAUCCAUUGCAUAUCAUGUCGCGUUAUGAUGUUGUAGAAAACAUGAUCUCCCCUACCUAUUAGUUUGUCAACAACAUUAAGAUAUUUCUAAUAUUUUACGUACACUUCCAUUUGUGGACAUGCAUAAGAUAUUCCAUUACCUAGAGUUACAAAAAAAUUUACAGUAUUCUAUUGAUAACAUAAUAUAUUCCUAAUCUAACCUAAUGGUGCUCUUGGGCGACAUCAAUAAGGAUUUGACAAGAGGUCCUCUCCAUUAUUGACACAUGUUGCACACUUGAACUUUUCUUCUCUAUUUCAUCUUCUACAAACUCUAAAAAAAUUGAUUCAAACUAAUUUUUUUUAUAACAAAAAUAACAUUAGUACCUUAGUGCACUAUUUUCUACUGUAUUUUUUAAUACACUAGUCGUCGUGUUAUCCUGCUAUAAUAUUAUAGAAAACUAGAAUCCCUUUCCUAUAAGUUUGUAGACAACAUAAGAUAUUCCUUAUAUCUUAAGCAUACUUCUAAAUUUGUGGACCCCGUAUGUUUUAGUGACAUCUUGAGUGCAUCCCAUUACAUAAGAUUCCAAAGAAGAUAAAUUUUUGUCAACAAGAUAAGAUAUUCCUUACAAAAGAUGAAUUUAGUGAGUGCAGGGAUCUUGAAUUUAGAUUCACUCUAUCCACUUGACCAGACCAACCUCUACAUGAGACUUUUAAAAGCUUGAGUCUUGAACACAAGGUUCUUGAGAUAUAAUGAACUUUAAAAAGAGGACCACCUUCCAUGCGAAUCAUCUUAAUAGGUUUACCUUUUAUAGCACGUGAUUUAUUGUUGAAACUUUGUUGAAUUUACUUCUCUUGUUGUAUUGGCAAUUCGACAGGACUUUCCCAACUUGGAGAGACUUUUAUUAGACAAUAACAAUAUUCAGAUGAUACAAGAUGGAAAUUUUUCGUAUGACACGUUCAGUAAGCUAAAAGCACUAACACUAGCAUGCUUUCAUGAUAAAAAGGCUGCCUUUCCUUCCCUAUUCCUCCUAGAGAGAUUUCAGAAUUUACAAAGCCUUGAAGUCUUCUGUAACUCAUUUGAAGAUUUAUUCCCGAACGAAGGGCUUGUUGAAGAAAGGAAACAUCCGGUGCUUGAAAAUUUAACAGAACUUAAGUUGAACAAGCUACACAACUUAAAGUGUGUGUGGAGAAAAGACCCUUUAGUGUCGAAAAUUCUUCAGAGCAUCAAAACAUUUAAGGUUUGGGAUUGUCCCUGUUUGACAACAAUAUUUCUAACCGAGACAUCCUUCCAGAAUCUAACAGAUUUAGUGGUGAAGAAUUCCUCUGGAUUGGUACAUCUAGUAACAAUUUCGGCAGUCACAAAUUUGGUACAUCUCACUUUUAUGACUAUAAUAGGAUGUGAAAAAAUGAAAGAAGUAGUGGCCGACGAUGGAAACAGAGAAGGAAAAGUGAUUUCUUUUGAAAAGCUAAGAUUGUUGACACUUGAAUAUCUGCCAAACUUAGAAUGCUUCUCUUCCAUUCCAAGUUGCAUCUUUAGGUUCCCAUCCUUAUGGAAUAUUGAAGUGGAAGAAUGUCCGAAAAUGAAGAACUUUUCUAAGGGUACACUAAGCACACCAAAACUAGAUGAUGUGUCACUGUUCAGAUACAAGUGGGAAGGGAAUUGGGAGAAGGGUGAUGAUCUCAAUACAACCAUACAGAAGUUAGCAGCAUAAAUCAAUGCACAUAGAAUUGGUAAGAUCCAAUUGAUGUCAUUCUCUCAUCCAUUUUUUUUUUCUUUAGUCUUUCGGCAGCGCCGCAACUUUUUAAAAUUUUCUUUUUGUGACUUUUCUAUUAUUGAUUUCGUCAAAUCAACAUCACCGUCAACCCUAUCGAUGGAUCUCGGCUCAUCCUUAACUGAACAGUAGGAAGCAAAGCGGGUCUCUCCUUCUCCUUCUCCUUCUUGACGCCAAAGGCUCUUUCUCCAUCUUUCUUCUUCUUCUUCCUCCUCCGUGGAGCGAAAUUGGGGGAAGCCUCUGCUGCCUUCACAAAGGACGGAGCAAAAAUGAAGCAUCAGGAAUUGCCAGGACUGCGAGAAGCGAAGCUGCAUUUAGCGGAGCGGAGCCAAGUAGAUUCAACCAGACGCUGUCGUUGUCGCCGUCGUCACCGUCGGAGGUGGCACAACCGAGUCUGGACAGUUAGUCGUCCACUCACUUCAUCAAAGAAGAAGAAGAUCACACUCUCUCUCCGCAUCUGUAUCCGACAAAUGGUAAGUUCAUGUUUCUUCCGAUUUCGGUGUAUUAUUGUGCGUGAAUUAGGGCUCUCUUCUUCAAAUUCGUUCCACAUUCGAGUCUAAAAACAGGAGUUACUCAAACAAGCAAUAUAUUGCCCUUAAAUCUACAUCUUCUGUGCUUCCCUCCCGAGCAUUGGCGAGAUUUCUGCGUGUUUGACCUCUCAUAGAUGGAGAUGAUAUAUUGUGUUCAAGGUCCUCAUGUUGAAAUUUCUUUAGGGAGAGAUAUCUCUGUAACAUCAUAUACAAAUUUCUAUCAGGAAAAAGGGAGAAAUCAUGGAACUUGAAAAUAUUCCGAGAAUUCCAUGCCUUGUCAAAAAUCUGAAAUGUCACUUUUACGCCUUGAUCGCAAUAUAGUUUGGAUUGUCUGAGGAAUCACCUGUAAUCUUGAUUGGUUAUGUGAUGCUGGAAGGAUAAAAUUUAUCUCCAAUUUAUGCUAAAAUCUUUACAUAGCAAGUCAAAUUAAUGAAGUGUACUUAAACUGUCUCUAAAGUUGUCGUUUAAGUACAGGCUGGUCCAAACAUUUGAGCAAAUUGAGGCAUCCUGAGCUGGUUUUUUAAGGUCCCAUGCGCCCAAGGCCUCUCACUGCUCUUACAUCGGCCAACAAAUUUCAAAUGGAGCAUCCCAAUGGAGCAUUCCUUUUUCAAAGGUGGUGAGGAGGCCCUCUUAUGUUGACUUUGGCUUGGUAUGAUCCCACGCUCAUUGACCCAAACUCGCAUGUCUGAAAAUCAAACAUAUGGAUGCUGUUUAUAUCUUUGCUUAUACUCUAGUGUAUUUCCAAGUUGACUUAAUGCAGUAAACAACAUGACAUGUUAUAUUCCUUGAAGUGUUCAUGGGUAUAUGUUUAAAACCAAGUAUAUGUCUUAACAAUGGAGUAAUUGAAGCAGGGGAAACAAUGAAAGGACAGUUAGUGGGACUUAAACUGGUGGUCGAGGUUUGAAAAAAUAACAUCUGUCCCCUUUUUGUGAAUACAUGUGUUGGAAAGCAGUUGCUGAGGCAAGUCCAAAGAAUUAUAAUCCAAUUCCUCUUAUAUGGAGGAACUUGACAAUGUUAUUCAAUGCUGUAAAAGUAGAAUAUAUAUGUAAAUGCAUGAGGAGACUAGUUGAUACGGACAAGCAAAUUGCAAAGAAUGUCACUACCUCCAUAACUAGAGCGAAAGACCUGAAAGAUAAGGGGGUGGCUAUUUAUGGUUCUGAAAUUUCAUUGUAGAUCUAAUGAGUGAUAAUUUUGUUUUCAAAUAGGAGAUACUAUUUUAUUUUGUUACAUUAAUCGGAAAUUUGAGAAAAAAAGAUGAGUUUACUCUGUCAAAUUGAUUCAGUAUUUUGAUAAAAUUUGAGUUGCGCUUGAAAUAAUUGAACAGCUUAGAUUAAAAUUUUUCACUUCCAUCCGUGUUCCGGUCAUUGAUGUCUUUGCCUUUUCCCCUGCUCUUGUGGUUUGUGUGGCUUAAAUUCAUCAUUUCAAAUAUAUAUGGGACAUGGAAGGCUUUUUCUGGUCCUGUACCCUAUUGCACCUAGGAGCGUAUAUUUUGUCAUUUGACUUUGGGUUGCAGUCUGAGAUUGUCUACUAUCAUUAUAAGGUUUAUUGUCAAUUAAAACUCCUAAAAGUAGCAACUACUGCCUUAUAUUCACGCUGUGUGAUUAGAUUCUCUCAUUAGUGUAUGCUUAUGUUUUGGUCUUUCUUCACCAUAAGUUGGUUUUCAACCACAUAAAUGAGGAGACUACUCCUGUUCAAUUCAUCAGGCAACAUAAUCAGGAAAACAAGGUAAUUGCAACUCUCAGGUAUUCAGACAGGUCGUGGAUGGUGAAGCUCAGGAGCCAUGGACUUUUUUUUCGCUGCUUGACACCCAACUGCUAGAGAAGCUCGUUUGCAUUUAAGAGAUGUUUGUGUGUUCGAGCUCAUUGAUAGGGGGGAUGUGUGUUUAGAGUCUACAUUUCCACUAGUACUGGUAAGGACUUGGUUUACAUUGACCGAAAUGAAUUUUGGAAGUGUCACUUUAGAUAGUCCAAAAUAAAUUCAGUAUUCAUAGUUAUAUCUCUUUGUUUAGUCUUGGUGAAUCAAUGAAGUGUACGUCUUCCAUUCCCAUUGGGUUUGUGAGUUUCACAAUAAUCCAGAUGCACACUCAUUAAUGCUACAUCCCAAGUCUAAAUUAACCAAAAAGAAUGUGCUUCAAUGUCAAAGCGAAAAUUAUAACCUAAAUGCUUAGCAUGAGAAUUUAGAGGUGUGACUUGUUGGUUUCUAAGUUGCACUUUUCUGCACAGUGUUGCAUUCUUUUUCUUGGUCUGUCUCAAAAGUUAUGAAAUUUUCCUGAUAAGAUUUUGUAUAUUGAUGGGUUACAUUACAAUUUAGGAGAUGCCAAGUGUAGCUAAUGUGUUUUGUCUAACAUGAAAAACAUGUAAACGUUAGUAACAAGAUUGGAUGCAUUGAUUUGUAGAUCGUUGUAACUUGACAGAAGGUUUACAGCAGUACCUAUGAAAACUCUCCUUUUUCUUUUGUGCAAGUUGGACCAAACAAUCUAAAUGUCAAGUGAGCCCCCAUGAGCAGUUUUGCAUGGUUCCAUGUUUCUGCGGCCUCCCCUGCUCUUGAAAAAACUAGAAAAUUUGAAUCGGAGUAUCCAUCUCUGAAAUUGGUGAUGCGGCCACUAUUAUCAAGGAUAGAACUGCGGUGUGGCCCCUAUGUCCUUUCAUAAUUGGCAUAGCUCAACCAUGAUGCCUUCUACAUGUUUCCCUUUAGUCGACUCUUUUCCCAAGUCGUUUUAAAUUUUUCAUAGGAAUCACAUUAGAUGUUAUUUUCUUUGGAGUGUUCAUGGCUUUAUCUGUAAAACCGGGGCAGUUUUGAUUUUGAAAUUUUAUUUUUUAAAUUUAUGGAUUCAUAAGAUUACCGAUUCUAAAAUGAAAGAUUCUAUUCUUGUUUUUUUUUUUUUUUUUUUUCCAGUAAUCAGGUGUGAAGAAGAUUACUAUUAUAUAUAGACUAAGAGGAUGUGGUGGGGACGAUCAGUGUUAGCAACUCUUGAACUUUUGUCAUGAGAGUUAAAAAAUUAUGUACACUACUGUAGAGUCUACAAGCACUGUAUUGUGAAAUCUUAACUUCAAGUUGCAGGUUGGGAUUGAAGACUUCUAUUACCCAGUUAACACUAUUAAUUGAACUCCCUGAAACUAGUAAAUACUAGCAUAAAUUUACAUUUUGUUUGCGUUUUCCGUUUAUUAUUUCUUUGUAUUUAUUCUUUUCCUCAUUAUACUACAUUGGUAGUGUUCCUUGUGAAUUCAUAAAGAAACAUUCAGAAGAACUAGCAAAUUGCAACUCUUAGGUAUUUGAACAAAUUAUGGCUGGUGCAGCUCAAGACCUAUCAACUCCAUUAUGUAGCUGGUUGGGCCGCAUUUGUGAAAGAAGCUUGUCUGGAUGAAGGGGAUGUCCACAUGUUUGAGCUCAUUGAUAGGGACGAUUUUAUGGUCAAUCUCCAUCUCCAAUUAUGCUAGUAAGGACCUCAUUUAGGUUGAUUGAGAUGGACAUUGGAAGUGUCGCCUGCAAGUAAUUCAUGUCUUCUUUAUUCAGCUAUGACAAAUCAAUUGAAGUGCACUUACUUUUAGCUUUGCGUCUCUUUCUUGACCUGCUUACAGUCUUACCAGAAUUCUCCUCUCUUUUUUUUUCUUUGUGCAGGUCAGAACAGAUAGUCUAAAUGUCCAGUAAGCCCUCUUGAGCAGCCUUUUCAUGGUUUCAAUUGUCCGAGGCCUCUCACUGCCCUUUAGAAUGCUGGAGAAUUCAAGUUAGAGUAUCCCUUUUUCCAGAUGGUGACAUGGCCAUCUUUUCUUAAGAAAGAAAUAAUGGUGAGGCCCAGAUCUCCAUUCAUAACUGGCAUAUCUCAAUUAUGAAUGCCACCUAUUUUAUAUAUGUGCCCUAUUGUGCAAUUUUUUCCUGCAUUAAUUUGCUUUCUAUAGAAACACAGGAUAUAUUAUCUUCCUUGAAGUGGUCAUGGUUAUAUGUUUAAAACAGGCUCCUUAACAACUAAAGGGACUAGGGAAAAACAAUAAGUCAGACAGUAAUCAGGAAAUUACCUAGUGAUAGGUGGGUGUGGAGACAAGGUCAGAGGGUUGAGACAGGCAAUAACAACCAUAAAUUAGGAAUUUAAUGAUUUCUAAUUGAAGUAUAAAUUCUUCCCAAAGAUGACUACUUGGUACUUUCUCUGUCUUCUAGUUUAAGUAUAAAUUCCUUCCAAAAAUGACUACUUGGUACUUUCUUUGGCUGCCUAGGCUUGGGAAGAAGAGGCGACACGAAAUGUCCAGCUUAAGCAAUAGCUAUUGCAACAGGCCUAGGCUUGGCAUGACUAGGCUCACUGCAACAGCACGGCAACACUAAUUGGGAUAUUGCUCCCUGGCAACAAAUGGUUUCCAAGAGCUACUAUUGCAAGCAAGUUCAAACUUGCGAUCAGAAAUGAAGUGAAGGUAGUGUGGCCCUAGACCUCGAAAAUUAGUCCCACCACCUCUGUGGUAUGAAAAAAAGAAAGGCAGCUAAUUUUUUUUUUUUUUUUGCCAGGCGAAUGAAGAUCACUUUUUGUGUAUAUGUAUCCAUCUAGGAUGCUAGGUGUAGCUUUUCAUGUUUGUCCAAUGCAUAUCGCGAUGUGAGAUUGGUGACUUGGAAAUCCACCAGAUUUGUGCAUGUCUCUAUAUUGAUCACACAUACUUAGCGUAGAGUCUAAGAGCACAGGAUUGUGAUAUUUUGAUUUCAGAUUGCAAGUUGUGACUAAAGAUCAUCUCAUCAAGCCUUUUAGACUGCUAAUACGGAUCUCCGGAAAUUCCAAAUACUAUCAUAAAUGUACAUCUUGUUUGCCUUUUCACUUUAGUGUAUGCUUACAUUCCUCUGUCUUAUCAUACAUUGGCUGGUCAAAUGUCUUCAUGGGCAGAGCGUUCCUUAUAAAUUUAUAGAGACAUGCAGUCAAGAAAACCAGCAAAUUGCUAUUCUUAGGUAUUCAGACACAUUGUGGCUGGUGACCAUCAUGAGCUAUCAGCACUACGCUGUAGUGAACUUCUCUAUUGGUUGGUCCAAGUUUGUGAGAGAAACUUAGUCUUGAAUGAAGGGCAUGUCUGCAGGUUUGAGCUCCUUGAUAGGGAUGAUUUUUAGGUUGAAUUGGGACGUGAACACUGGAAGUGUCACUUUAGGCCAUAUUCUAGUUAGAAGCGAUCUAUGCCUCUUUUCUGUUGUGAUGAACCGGAUAAAAGUCCACUGUUAUUUCUGACUGCUUUUUUCUGAACUAGUUACAAUCUUAUAAUUUCUAGGCCUAGCCACUCCAUUUAUCGGAUAUUGUGAUGAAUAGCCUCGCACACACUUUCUACUUUGGGUAUUUCUCUUGCGCUUGUAAUGCUUUUAUCAUUGCCUUCUUGGAAAGGACCUUAGUUCAGCAUUAUCAUGGUUCUGGUUAUUCAACCUGGUUUCGUAGAACAAAUGAAAUUUAUGCAUUAUGCCAUCAGUCAUGGUAACUUGAAAUUUUCCAAAGAUGGGAGAGAUGGACUCUAUACUCAUGUAAUUAUAUUUGAUUAAAGUGCUUAUAUAGAUACAUUAUCCUUUCAAGCAAGAUGAAAUAUAAAACCAAGAGGGCGAAUUCCUCUCGAGAAAAUGGGAAGAAUCCAAAGACCUCACGGACCUUGAAGAUUCAGAGGGUUCCUGGCCAUGUUGGAAACCAUUGGCUAAACUGCAAUUACCUUCUUAUCUGCCUUCUACGGUGAUGAAUUCCUUUUCAAUUUGUGAGUUUCAAAGUGAUUGAAUUGAACACUCAUUGAUACGACUUUUUAAAAUAAUAUGCUUGGAACCAAAAAGGACUAAGCUUCCAAAGUCAGAGUGACAGAAGUUCCAAAUUGUUCCUCAAGAUAAUUUGGAGGUGCGUGCACAUGACAUAGUUUUCUUAGUCACUCUUCAAAAUUCUUAAAAAUUUGAUGAGAAGCUUUUGGUAUGUUGGUUGAUGGCAUUGAUUUGGGUGUUCGAAGUUGUAGUCAAUCAGUUUUAUCUAAUACGAAGAGCGUGCAAACUUCUGUUUUAUGUUCGCACUCGUUGAUUUCCAAACUAUGCUGGAUCUUUUCAUAGUAAAUCGAAAAAAUUCACAUAUGUGCCCAUGAGAGUUCUUUUUUUAACCGGAGGUCAGACCAAACAGCCUAAAUGCCCACUGAACCCUGUUGAGCCGGUUUUUCAGUGUUUUACUUGUCCAAGGCCUCUCCCUGCACUUGAAAAAGCUUAGAGAAUUUGAGUCAGAAUAUCCCUUUUUCAAAAUGGUGAUAUGGCAAUUUGUUGUCAUGAAAGGAAAAGAACUGUACAUUCCCCAUCUCCAUUCAACAUUGGCAUAUUUCAAAUAUGAAACAACAUGACAUGUUAUUUUCGUUGAAGUAUUUGUGGCCAUUUGACCAUCCUAAUGGCAGAGUAAUGGAACUUGAUAAAAUGGCAAUCAAAAUGGUAAUUGUGAUAUAACCUUUAUGUUUGUGUGUGUCGAUUCGGAUUAUUAACUAGUGCGUCUACCUUGAAACAAUCUACUUCUCUGGUUGCUCCAUCAAUUUGUCUUUUGCUCCCUUUUUUAAAGUGGAAAUCAAGAUGCGGACUUUUUAAAAUAAUAUCUCAAUAUAUAUUUUUUAUUUUUUUAUAAUUUUGUUAUUUUCUUUUCUUUUCUUUAUUUUUUUCCUACCCUUACGGUUGGCCAGGAUGUGGGCGCACAGCCCCUCGCCCAGACCAAGUGAGGGCUGGCGAGGGUGUGCAGGGAAAAAAAACAACAACAAAAAAAACAAAAGAAAAAAUAAAAAAUUCAAAAAAUAUAUUAAAAUAUUAAAAAAUGUCCACAUCACCUUUAGCAGUGUCAUGUCAAGGCGGUUGAUCAAUAUUGACAUAAUAGACUAAUUAGCACAAAUGCAAACAAAUAUAGGAUUGAAUUGGCAAAAAAAAAAGUUAGAAUCAAUUAGCACAAUUACAAUAAGUUUAUGAGUUUUUUUAAUAAUUCUCCCGAUAUUGUUUUCUUAUUAGUGAAUUUUGUCUCGCAAUUCAAGGUACAAAAUGGCAUUGUUCUUCAAAAAAGCUUAAAAACUUAUAUAUAUAUAUUGAAAUAAUUUGGAGAGAACGAAAUAUCUUUUUUAUCAAGGAAUAGAAAAGGAAAAGGAAAGAAAAGCAAACAAGAAAAUAAUAAGGACACAAAUUACUCUUUGCCGUGCCAAACCUAACCUAAAGGUAACAAACUGUCAACACGAUACAACUUUUAUUUAUAUCACAAGAUUCUAUAUGCUCUUCGUCCAUUUAUUACUUGUCAACUUUUACGGACUUGAUACAUCGUGACCCUUUUCCUCUUUAUUUCUUGAUUCAACAAUAGGGAGAGAAAAAAACACAUCGGACCCUUUUCUGCAAAGAUGGACUCACAGUCUCGUCCAAAUAUGAAGGAAUCGAUUAAUUGCCCAUUGAAUUCAUAUUGCUCGCAUGUAAUUCUAUAGUCAAAAAGCUGAAGCUAUGCUUUGGCAUUGAGCGUGCACAACUCUUUAAUUUGACCACAAGCGAAAUUCACGUAAGUAGUACAGUCCGACUACCCCAGCCUGAUAGCACACGCUCCACGGCCGAAGCAUUUGGUGUUGUUGUGAGAGGCAUUGGUGUAUUAAUUGAAUCCCCCAAUCACAGUGUCGGACCUCAGAUUGGUCAAGACUUGAUCCGAAGCUUGGUGCGUACUGCACGCCAUUGCAUAUCUUGUACAUAAGCAUCACAUCCAGGUCACUUCUUACGAGUCAGACCCCCACAGAAGCCCCAUGAACAUAAGUGUGAGUGUAUGUGAUGUGGACAAGGUCAUCCUAGAGCCCCGUUUCCUCCCUUUUGGUUCUCUUUGGUUUGCUACGAGGAAACACACAAUUGAGUUUGGCUAUAAAAAGGGUUUGUCUCCAUAGUGCUAUCCAUCAUUUAUUCUUUGUUAUUAGGCUAAGCUAGUACCAAUUUUAGUCAUUUAUGACGUCACAUGGAUUUUUUUAUAACUUCCAGAGCUUUUUCUAUGAAUUAUUUGUUCAUUAGUGUAAUAUGUUGUUGCCGUCCUUGCAAACCCUAAUCUCAUAAUUUUAAAUGAAAUUCCCCUCCCCCUCUCUUACUAUGCAUGAAAAAUUUUAAAUUGGGAUCCUCGAAGUCUACGAAAUAAAUUCACAUUACGAUAAAUGACUCACUUCUUCUUUUUCUGUCCUUUCUCCUCUUACUUUGCACAAACGUGUAAACCUCAUGUUCUAGUCUUGAAUAUAUUUCUAUAUGUAAGAUUGUAAAUUUUAGGUCAUGUAAUUAAUGGAGUUCAUGAUAGUUAUAUAACCCGAAUAACACAAUACUUCUACUACUACUAAUAGUACUACUAGGAGUGUAUUAAAAAAAAUAAAAAAUAAAAAAAGACCGAAAACCAGAUCGAACCAUCCAAAUUGGCCUGAUAAUUUUCGGCUCAAAUAAUCCUGGGCCGGCACACUUGGCCUCAAACUAUCCUUGAGUUUGGGACCUGAAUGAUUGACAAACCGGCCGAUUCAUAGAUCAGAAACUGUACAUAUAUAUGGCCCCUAUGUCAAUUCCCAUUCCUGCUGGUUGAGUGUUUUACUUCUCUCGUUCUCCCAUCUCUCACGCUGGUUGAGAUCCGGUCACCGUUGAGCUGCCAUUGCCACCACUGUCGAGCCCCAUUUAUGUGGCCAUCGAUCCCCACACUCACCUUAUGCCCUCCGUCCAAGACGUCUCGCUCACUCCGUCAGUCCCUCUUCUGCUUGCGCACGUCUUGGUCUUCCUUACGCUCCCUCACUCUCUACUAGUAGCAAACAAGUACUUACUAGCUUGUUUUGAUGUCUUGAGGUUUUUUUUUUUUUCAUACAUGCUAUCUUUAACAAGAUGCAAUUAUCUUAAGAUAAACUCUAAACUAGUACACAUAUGAUAAAUUUAUUUUCUAUUAAAUUUUAUUGUCAAAUUAUUAAGUUGGAUGGCACGUAAUAAUUGACAAAUGUAUCAAUUUGGGGUUUUCUCCUCCAUUUGUUACAAUCAUACUAGUUUGUGAUUUUUUAUAGUAUUAAUCCAUUUUAACAAAAACCAACAAAUAGUAAAAUUAUUAUAAAUGUAUCAUUUUAUGAUUUUUAAUAGUCAAAAUACUAAUUUGGGGUAAAAUGUGUGAUGCACUAGUUUGGGAUUUUGGUUAGUCAAAAAAUUAAUUUGAGAUAAAUUUAUGAUGUAUAUAUCAAUUUUAGAUUUUUUGUGACAUUAAUUCUUUAUUAUUUUUUUGUUUAACACUUUAUUAGUUACAUUUAGAUAGUAGAUGGUAGUGGAAAGUGGCCGUUAAUGACGAUUGGCACUUUUUAAGUGCUAAAUGAUGAAAAUCACCUCUGAAUUCGUCUAAAAUCUAAUCCGAGCUGUCAUAAUAAUUUGGUUUUUAAGGUAAUCUAGAUCGAGAAAUCAAAAGAGGAACCUCUCCCUUAAAGAAUCUACAAUGCUAUUUUAUAAACCAUAUUCUCUAAUAUCUUUAUGUUCAAAUGAAAAUUUACGUAGAGUAAUAAUCGAGUCAGGAGAAUCAUUACCUACACCCGGUGCAAACUCUUUUCCUCUCAUAGCAAGCAUGUAUGAAGGCCUAAUAAGAGUGAAACUAAGUCAAAUUAUUCAUGAGUUGUUCAAGCUUGGGUUGAUGAUCAUUUGAGAACUAAUAUUUAGUUGAGCUCUAACUCGAGCUACUUGAGUAUCUUGCAAAUUGAAAGCUCUAACAUCCUCAUCCGCACACAUGUAAUAUAUAGUAUAUCAUCUUUUUGUUUGAAUCAAGCUCUAGCAUUAAAUUAAUGUUUGGUUGAGCUCAAAUCUUGUUUGAAACAUCGAGUAUGAAGUUGAGUUGAUCUCGAGUUUGACAUUGUAGCGGCUCAGGUGGCUCAAUUAGAGACCCCUAGACCCCAGCCGUGUUAACAUCCAAUUCGAUUAAUAAGAGUCUAUGUGUCCAUUGAAGCGAUUAAGAAUUCCGACGUGCAAAAUUAUCAAGAAAUCUCAUUGCUCAAGAUUGGGCUGUGAUCUUCGUCACGCAAAUUUUAAAUCCCCUAUAAUUUUCAAUCCCUAUAUUAACCAAUAGCUUAGAUGAUAAAAGUAAGUGAACAUUAAUAAAUGUAGGAAAUCUUCAAAAGUCACUUUUCCUAGGUAUUAGCUGUAAUCUCUAGCUUGGCUUAAAAAAUCCUUGCUGCAACUUUUCUCCGACACAAUGGCACUCCAGUUCUCUCUCCUCAGUUCUAUGUAUUUGUUUGUUUACUAAAAAGAGGGCUUUUGCGGCAAUUUUUGUCUCAAUAUAAUUUAAUUUCGGAUAACCAUUUGACAAUUGAAAAAAUCCCUCGGCCGAUAAGAAAUUUUUAAUAUCAGAUGUCCCCCUUUUCGUUUUUCAUAUAUUAAGUUGAAGUGUACAUAGAGAGAUCCUUGAUGAUUUCAACUUUUUGGAUUAACUGGUAAAUCACUAAGUUGCGUCAUGCUAGUUUCUCUCAACAAGUACUUCUUAUCAUUUAAGAAAAAAAAGUUCCACUUUUAUUUCUCACAACUUCAAAUCUUAAAAAAUAAUUUUUUCAAUUUUCCUAGGUCUUUAAUUGAAAAAUUAACCCAAUUUCAUAUCAUCAACAUGAACAAAACAAUCACGAUAAAUGAAUGUCCUCUCCUUGAAGUAAAUAGGGAAUAAUAAAAAAAAUCAACAAUUGUUAACAUCUGAGAAAUUAAAAAGGGAAGAAGAUCCGUCAGGUUUUCCAGUUCUUGCGUUUCUAGCAUUCGGUCACUCUCUACUCCCUCUCUCUCUCUCUCUCUCUCUCUCUCUCCAACCUUCGAGCCGAGCUGCACCGCCUGAUAGCGCAGCCUUCGACCGCUGCUACCGCAUCUACGCCGCCGGCCCACCUCGGCGUUCGGCAGCAGCACCGCCCCUCUCUCCGCCUCCUCCGAACACCCCCCCACCAAAAAAAAAAAAAACCUAGGUCCCUCGCUUCGGUUCUUCAGGAUUGCUCGAAGAUGGACGAGGACCAGGAGAUGGAGAGGUUUGGGAUGGACAACGAUUACGACGAUGGUUAGUGGAUCGACGGGGAGUUCUACUACGGGAGGCGGAGAGAGAAGCGCGCCCAGACCAAGGGUGACGUGCUCUCCGGCGUCUUCGCGUUGGGAGACUCCGAUUCGAACUACGACGACUCCUCCAAGAGGAAGUGGAGGAAGAACAGGGACCUCCUAGGUAAGGCCGAUCCGUCGAAGCCCGAACUUCGUGUCCACUGGCACAGUCAUGCCGAACAGAGAGAUUGAGGAGAACUCGAAGAUAGAGAAUGAGGAUGAAGAAUCCGCUGUCGUGGAUGAGGAUAGGCCGGGCUUGGGGGUCUUGAGAAGAACCAACAAGGGAUUGUGACAUUCAUUGAAGCAAAGUUGCGUCCUAGAAAUAUGGGUGUGGGUUUCAACGACUUACGAGGAAACUCUUGCAAAGGCACCUGUUGCCUCGUUGGGGCCCAGAGGAAAAGAAGCCAUCACCCGACGUGCCCGGAAAGAAGAAGCUUUGGUCUAAGCAAGCGAAGAAGAAGACGCUGAAAAACAAAGCGAAGUAUAUUAAGGCAGAAGAGCUGUUGGCGAAGAAGCAGGAACAGGGCCUUGAAGUUGUGCAAAAGGUACUCGACAUGCGUGGACCUCAGGUUAGGGUGUUAGCAAACUUGGAGAAUCUGAAUGCGGAAGAGAAGGCGAGGGAGACAGCUCUGAGCUUGCGAGAGGAAAAAGAGAAGUUGCAAAACGAGGCAGAACACUAGAAGAAACAACUGAAUAACGUGAAGGAGAUAAUGAAUACGCUAGGCCGGAUUGAGGAGGAAGAGUUACUGGAAACAUUGACAUUGGACUCGCUAGCCAGGUUUUUCGGUGACAUGCAAAUAAGGUUUCCUGAUGAUUAUGAACUCUGUAACUUAUCCUGCAUUGCUUGCUCGUUUGCGCACUCCCUCUGUUUAUCAGAGUAUUUCAGGGAUGGAAUCCUUUUUGGAAUCCCUGCCUCGCACGGGUUGGAAGUUGUUUCGCGGUGGAAAUCUCUAUUACGAGGACAGGAAUGUCUUGAUAUAUGGGAUUCGGGAUCCCCUUAUGCCCAGCUGGUUUCAGAAGUUGUCCUGCCUGCUGUGAGAAUAUCAAGCAUCAACACUUUUCGCGUGCGGUUGGACCAAUGGCCCACUGCAAGAUUCCACCUCAAAAGUUAAUAAAUAUUAUCUCAAGCAAGUUAUUAAUGGUCCAAUGUAGAACUAGUUAAUUGACCCAACUCGCUUUUUUGGGAGAUCAUAACAUACGUUCGUUAUUUAUUCAAGCCGUUAUAUUGUCCGUGCCAGUGGAGAAUUUAUUUUCUUUUAAUAUGAAAAUUUUCCAUACGUAAAAAUGAAAAUAACUUGCAAACAAUUGAAGUCAUUAAUUUUUUCUCUGGUUCACCAUCUAAUUUCCAUGAAGCUUCUCAUUAGUGAACUUUAUUAAUUAGAAUACAUCUCUGUGGCAUCGUAUGAAAUCAUAUCUGUCCAAAAUGUGCGCGCCGAGAAGCUAACAGCCACCGAGAGGGCCACGGCAACUCCAGCAGCUAAAGAACCCGAUAAUCCAGCAACUAAGCUGUGCACAUGGAACAACGGAAGCACAAUCACGAUAGAGUCUGACUCUGUUAGUACGUACACCGACUUGAUGUUGUGAACUAAUUAUGCCAAAUUGUGCCAAGCUAGCAGCAUGCGAUUGGGGUGAUCCAUAGCGCUGGAGGUGUGCAAGAACAGAGCUACCUCCAAGGGAUCGUUGACGACCUUGGACAUCGAGUCAAGGCUGGGCUCUACAUCAGUCGAAGAGAGUGUGAUCUUGGAAUCAACAGAGUGAAGCUUGGCGGUCAGGCGGGAGACGUUAAGCUUGGAAGCAGUGGAUUGACCCGCCGGUUUCCUUCUUGCGGUGUCAAUAGGAGCUUUGGUUCCGAGUUGAAAAGGUAGAACUCGAACUCCUUAGCUGUGUAGAUGGGGUUGGAUGGAGCUACGGUGGCUCAGCAAUGGAUUACCACCGGAAACAGGAUCACAAACUGCAAAACGAACACAUAUUUUCCAAUCAGCAAAUUAUCACACUAGUCCUUGUGGAUUAGAGAUACACAUGCAUAUGGAGAAUAUGCAGACAACUAGUUUGUCAACGUUUGAUUUCAUAAAACCAUCCAUCUCCUUUUGAUAAGCUUUGACUUUGUUUUACGAUGAAUCGAUGUUUGUAAAUCCCCAAAAAAAAAAAAAAAAAAACAACCACCUUUGGACACGAAAAACGCGCUUUUCCCAAUUCAAUUUGUCCUGUUCAAUUGGCACUACAGGCUCACAGAAAUUUCAUGCCUCAGAUUCUUUUCUUUUCAUUUCGAGUUAUUUCCCAGUCGAUCUUUCAUAAGCAAUCGAUCUCUUCGUUAGAAAUUCAUCAUUACCGAGAUCUUCUAGAUAUUGAAUUCUUGAAUUUACACAGCUUCAACAGGGAAUUUUUCUGCAUUUGAAUUCACAUCAUCACACAAACGGAAAACCUGCGCCGUCCUCCUCGCGAGGAGACUCGAUGAUCGGGGGGACAUGCAUACCUCAACGGUGUUAGGGAAAGCAAGCACAACAAUGUUGCCGGCGUCAACGCUGGAGGCGGCGAGGAGCGCGGCAACAUGGUCGACGAGCUCCUGUAGCCGCACGUGCGUCAGGUUCAACUCCGCGCAGGUGGAGAUGGCUCUCCAGUCGUGGAAAUCCGACGCCGCCUUCUUCAACAGGCCCGCGAGAGGGAGUCCCUCCUUGGCGAGAUAGCCAGGCUGAAGCUUCGGAUUCAUGCCAGACGGCACGGAAUUCAGAUUCCGCGAGGCAAUCCGGGGAAGGUGGCGGACGUGGCUGCUCUGUUGCAGGUUUUGCAGGAGAGGAAUUUAAUCCCGGAGAGUGGUUGAGCGCGAGUCUGAUGCUACUGGAGGAGAGAGAGGAGAAGGAAACUGUAGUGGAGGAGGAGAGAGAUGAAGAUUGGGGUUUUCUGUGGCGAUUUUGAGAGAGGUGAGAAAGAAGGGAGAGAAAAAUAAAAACGGUUAUUUUUUUAUUAUUAUCCGAAUUGAAAAUAAUGCAUGAAAUUUCAGUUAAGUUGCAUUCUAACACCCCUAUUAUAAAUGGACAGCACUAGCGCCCCGUCAUUUGUUAAAUGAUUUUGAAAACAUUCGCGAAAAGAAUCUAGAAUUUAGCUUUCCAUAGAGGAACAAUGGGAUUGACACUAGACUACUCAAGAACACAAGCUAGUAUUGCUGGAAGCCCAGAUGGAAAAGGGCAGUAUGGAAAUAAGUCUCUCUAAGGGAACUGGGACGUCACUUUGUAUAGCAGCAGAACUUCUCAGGCAGAAAACAUUGGCAAAUUGGCAGCUUCACGAGCAUUUUGAAUGAUGCAGGACAUAUAGCAGAGGAUGUGAAAAUGAAGCCUUACAUAUCCAAGAAUUUAUCUAUUGUUCAUGAUGCUGCUUCUGCUAGUGCUAUCACAAUUCGGACCUUAAAAGAUCGGAUGAAGCAAAGAAAGGUAAGGGACCACUUUAUUGAGCUAAAUACUGUGCAUAAUACAUAAUACCUUGGUAAAAAGAAAAACAGGACAUCAAGUUAAGAUUUCGAGGGAGGAGGAAAGCAAGUCACUCCCUUGAUGUAAAGGUUUCUUCUCAAUACGUAGAACAAACACCCUCGAGUUUUCCUUUUCAGAAGCUCGUCAAUGAAAAACUUCAUUUGCACAACCUGAUCACAGACAAUAGAAAGGAUUAAGGAAAUUUAUAUAAUAAUAAAAAAAUGUCGAAAAAUGUUAUAGAAAACAAUGGUUUAAAGGAUACGCAUGUCUUUCAGAAAAAGAAAAAAGAAAAAAAUGAUACGCAUGUUAAGGUUGCUACUAUGAAACUGAUCGAGAGGGCAACCAACCAUAAUUCCAACUAUCGAAAAUUCAGAGACCUGCAUUUAUACAAGGAAAUAGGAACCCAAUCAAGCCCCAAGUAGAAACGUGUCCAAGACAAUUUGUCAUAACACUAUACUACUACUAUUAACAUUACAACUAGGGGUGUGCCAAAAAAUAAAAAAGAAAUAAAAACAUGAGCCCGAAAACCGAGGCUGAACUGCUGGGCUGACCCCAUUUUUUGUGCUAAAAUAGUCGCAAGCCGGGCCACCAUAUCUCAAAAUACCUUUCAAUUCGACUCGAUAUAAGCAAUUUGGGUUCAGUUAAAGCUUGAAUGGCCCAUACCCGCCCAGUUCAUAAAUUAGAAAUAAUGUCUCAUUUUCCUUCUCUCCGGGCCUUUGUCAUUCUUACCUUUUAAUGAAUACUUAGGUCUUGACUUGUCUCAUUCUUUCUUCUCUCACGCUUAUCGAGUCAUCCAGUCCCCACCAAGCCGCCAUUGCAGCAUCGUCGAGCCCCCACCGUAGGGCCGCCGAACCCCAACACUCACCAUAUGCCCACUCGGUCAAUUGCAGUCUCCCUCUCUCUCUCUCUCUCUCUCUCUCUCUCUCUCUCUCUCUCUCUCUCUCUCGCGGCUCUCCGCUCCCCCACUCUCCAGCAACAGCAAAACAAGUUCUUACUAGCCUGUUCUGAUGUCUUCAAAGUUUUUGGUUUUAGGACCUGGUACUUGAAUUUUUUUAUGGAAUGUAAAAACAAAAAUAAGAUAAACUAAACACAUCUUUUUCUAAUUUUAGGCUGCGAGCAAUCCUAUUGAGUCUGGGCCAAGUCCUCUAGCUAGAAUAUCCUAAGCCACAUUUUUGGACAGGCUGAAAAAUUGACAAAAUCCCGCUACGCCCACAUUAUAACUCAUUCAUGAAACGUGUGUUAACUCAAUAUAAAUUUGGACACAGUGCACUUGCGAAUCUAAAUAAUCGAUACAAUGCUAAAAAAAAGUGAUGACAUGGAUGUACUAAAUAACAUCAUUUGGGAGCACAUGGGACUUGCCAUAUAGUUAUUAAUACCAGUUACACUACAUGUUUCAUUUAAUUCAUGUAAUUUCAUAAUUUACUACUACAUUCUUCUUCUUCUUCUUCUUCUUUUUUUAUGUCUUUAACUCAUCGAUAAAGCAAACUAGACUACACAUCUCCUAGAUAAGAAUUGGCCUAAAGUUCUCUUGUGAAGCAACUUCCGCUUAUUGCUUCAUUCGGUUAAACUAGUCGUGGGUUGGUCUAUCAAUACAGAGCAUCCAUCAUGUAACCAUAGUGGUGGUGUUCUACUGUUCCUCAAACCCCUCGUUGCUCAUUUUGUCACUUCGCUUUAGUUUUCUUUUGUCAAGCAUCUUGGCCUUAAUUCAGAUUGUAAUGAAUAUAAAUAUUUACAUAGGAUUCUCAAUCGAUUAUCCUAAACCAAUCGCGAUAAAGUCUAUUAUGCAUGAUUCAGAUUUCCACGACAUCUUUUCAAUCAUUAUUUCCUAUUCUGAAAAGAAUAGCGUAAAUUUCUUCCGAGAAAAAGUGAAGAAAUCAUGGAACUUGAAAGUUGAGAGGAUUGCAUCCCUUGUCAAACUAGAAGAACAUGAAUCAAAUGAAAUUCAAAUUAAACUACUCUUAAAAUAUAACUAUCGUUGCAUUCUUCUACCAUUUUUAUUUAUUUAUUUAUUUAUUUAUUUAUUAUUAUUAUUAUUAUUAUUAUUAUUAUUAUUAUUAUUAUUAUUAUUAUUAUUAUUAUUAUUUGUUUAGUGAAAACAAAAUCGAAGAAUUAAUCUAGAAACAAAUGUCGUCAAAGGAUAAGAAAUGAUGACCACAGCAGCAUCAGAAAAGGUCAUCACCAAAGGAUUAAGAUCUAGUCCAAGUUUGGGGCAAGGGCGAUUCCUUCACAGAUUGUAUAAGUGCAUAGAUCAAUGGCCAUUUUGACGCUCCAUUCUUUGCAUGCAGAUCUCGUGCUCCUUCACAAUAGAAUACACAUUCAAAACUCGAUUAUGUUCAUAUAGAACACUUUAACUCAAAUCAGAGGGAUCAGCAAGCCACGGGACAUCAAUUUUCAUGUCAUACGUCGAGCAUACGAGACGAGAAUCCUAACACCAUUUGAGAAACGAGCGUCCUAUUUCAACAAAGUCGGCCAUAAUAAGGGUUCGAUAAGUUGAGAACAAAUCGAAUUUAUGUAAUAUGAUUUUGCGGUUCAAGGAUUGAAUCGAAUUUACAUAUUGAUUUAGUUCGAGCCUUUCAUCCAACGUGAUACACAUUUCAAUCAAGGGGCUCAUACGCAAAUACAAACCACCGAUUCACUUUCAGAUACUCACAACAACAACAUUAUUACGAGUCCGAGUAGUUAAUUGAGCUUCAAUCUCAACUGAUUUACUCACAAACAUUAUUAGCUAAAGCUCACCGGCUCUGUUUCGUUCGUAAGCGGCAGAAACAGAAUGUGCGGGAGUUUUUGACCUAGUGGUGUCCACGUCGAUAAUCGGGAACGGCGAAGGGGAAAAACCAAGGGCUUGUGCACUUUCGGGCGUCCUGACCAGAAAACAGGGCAGAACGACAGUUGGCCUUGCUGCAGCGAAACCGGCGAUGGCGGAGCGGCUACGGUGGCGGCUAACGGUGUCUAGAGGACGACGGAGAAGGAGAACUGACGAAGAAGCCAUGAGAAAAACAUGGCGGAUUUCUGUUGUCGAUCAGUGGAAUGGCGGAUUUCUGUUGUCGAUCAGUGGUGGAGAAUCUUCUGGAACUCGGCUGAUCGAAUGAGAGAGACUGUGGAUCGUGGGCUGCGGCGAGGGAAAUUGUGUGGGCCGAGGCUUACUCUGAUGGGCCUGGCGUGCGCAUUCGGGACGAGGAAUGCACGAACGGGAGGUCAGCAAGAGAGAAUUUCUCUAUCGGGUCAACCCAUUUCUAGAAGCGUCUCCAUCUUCACUCCCUCUCCGUCGCCUCAGUCCCCCCGGCAGCCACCGCGCUCGUCCUCCAUCGCUGGCCACGACAACACUCAAUGCACUCAGCAAAGAUCACACAGGGUGGGGAGGCUCAAAGAUUUCUAAACGGCCAGAGAAUUAUCUCUCUUGGCUCCUUGCUUCGUCUGGUGACCUCCAACUGACCUCCCGGAUCGCUCCACCACCAGGCCGUAGCUCUGUCAGCACCGUUCUCCGGUCAGUUUGCUUUGGCUGCUCUGAAUUUGUUCGUUUCUCCUUCGCUGGCUCCGAUCCUCAACGUCAUUGUCUCGCACAACCUCUUCCACUGAUCCGAUCGUCCUUCGUGCAUCGGAUAACAUAAACACUAUAAUCUUCCUUCUUCGUUCUUAGCUUCAUGAAGAGAGACCCAGCAUAUUUGUGUGAUUUUUGUUGUUCAAAUUCACUGCUGGCGUGUCAAUGCGCGCGCUAUAAGUGCUUUUUAUGAUCCAUCGCAUGAAGUGCUCACUGUGACAUGUUCAUAUUAAUAAUCUGAAUCAUAAAUCAACGUUCACUGCAAUGCGUGUUCGUCUGUUAGAUGGUCGAUUCUUGUUUAGUUCUCUGCCAAAAAUCUUGCAAACAUGAUUCCGUCUUCAUCUAUGUUACUUUGGCGGUUUCUGGAUUGAUGUUCCGUAAACUGUAUAAUCUCUUCUACUGGGAGGAGAAAGAAAUUCUCAGCAUUAUCUCCCACAUGCUUAAAAUUUGUUCUCAUGUUUUUUACAUUGGAUCACCUGACCAUUGAAAUUAAUAUGAUUUCUUUUCUAUUGAUUGUGUGUUUGAUGAAUCCAAGUAACAAUCCAAGGUAAGUUUCGAUUGUCUGCAAUAUGAAUUUGGUGGCUGGGGAGGUUCCGCUGUGAAACGUUGGCCUCAGUUGUUCUGAAUGAAAGAAUACGUUUGCUUGAAUUGUCAGCUUAAUAAGGAAGAGAGUGACGCAGGCUACAGUUUGUUGUGAAAAAGAAACAAGCAACAAUUGCCGAGUUUCUGUUAUGUAGGAAAUGGAAGCGAAUUAGAAUAACUAAUGUGCUUUUGAGCAAUGAUGCUGAUUGCUGGAUUAUCUUUGUGAACAUAUGGUAUCUUUAUUUCUCUUUCGAACAUUUGGUAUUUGCUUCGCUCUCUUACUAGUAACCAGUGCCGCAAACUUCUUGGUUGAUUAAUUCCUCUUUCUGCAAAUGACUCUGGCCCCAGUUAUUGUCCACUUUCAGUAUAUGAGUCCUCAUUGUAAUUUGAGUACCGGUUGAUGUGAUACAGUCUUGUCGGUUCAUUUCUCAAUAUGUUUCCCAAAUGUUGCCUGUUGUAAAAAAUUUCAAAUAUUAAAUUCCAUCAGCCUCAGUUUUUUCCCUUUCUUUGUUGAUCAGAAUUCUGUGUUUGUAUGAGCUAGAUCUUUGCCCUGGAUCAACUCAAACGAUAUUUUAUCAUAGAUAUUUAGGAUGGAGUAUUUCCUUAGUUGGCUACUUUGUGGCUUUUGCCGCUGAAAGUACAUUGACUCGCUAGAAGGAAUUAGUGUUCUGUAAGUGCAGCCAAUUUUUUUUGUUAAUUUUGCUGCUAGGUGUGAUGAUGUUCAUGGAAUGAAUGCUCAUCAGAUUUGGUAGAUUGAAACAAUGGUAAAUAGCCCAAGCAACAUCAGGAAAAGAUCAAAAAGCAUUUCUCAUUUGUUAGUCAUAAUCAUUCUUUCUCUCGGUAGUGAGAGAUGCUGCACAUAUCGUAGAGUAAAAAUUGAAUGAAGCGGUGUCGUAGUAUUGGACUUGUAUGUCAAUCUUGGCUUAUCAAUAGCCAAUGCCGAUAUUUGAAUGAAUUCAAGCACUUAUUUUAAGUAGGCUUUGGGAUUUUCACAAUUUAUGGAUCCAAUGAGUCUUAACAAUUGAUGUGUUGGGGAAUUUCUUGCCUAUAACGGGUCCACUAGGCGGGGCUGUGUCAAUGGUUGAUCGUCUAUGCCCCAUAUGCAACAUUAAUUUGAGACUCACAUGAACAGCUAUAGGAAUGGACCCAAUCUACACGUGCACAGACACUACAUGGAGGAAGCUAUUCUUUGGCUGACGGCAUAAAAUGUAUAAAUUCUCAAAAUCUCUGCCUUCUUUGCGCUUUUGCACUUUGGAUUUAGCUUGCGAUUAGUAAGGGCCCUGGACUUACUUUAAGUUGUGUUGAUUACGAAAAAGUUCUUGAGGAGAUAUGGCUAUACUCUCCCGAAUUCGAUGCUUCCAAAGGUCACAAGUAGUUCAACUUGGGCAACUAGAAAAGAGUAACGACGAGGCCGGAAUGUUAUGGAGCAUUAGCCCAUUGGUCAUUUUCAUCUCAACCUUUCUAAAUGUGGAGAUAACUCCACUUUUCAGGUGUUAAUACUUUAUAAAGGUGCUUCUAAGAUAGAUUAUUCCUCGAGUAAUGGCCAAAUAUCAAACCCUGAGGAUCAAUUUUUCUAACAAGAAAGGGAUGAUGUUGUUGAACUUGAAGAUUUAGAGGGUUUCCUGCAAUGUCGAUCGAUUUUACCCUGUUCUAGCGAAGUAUCUGAUUGCCUAUCACUCACUCAUCAUGAGAAUUUGAGUCUUAUUAGUCAUGUUUCUGCCUUUAUCAGUGCCUUUUCUUUGUUCUUUCCAAAUUCUUUAAUGCUUUUUGAUGAGCGUUUCGGAUGUUGAUUUAUACAGUAAUAUAGGGGAAGUGCAGAUUGCAAUUAAUUGGUGAGGUAACUAGCUCUAAUGUGAAGGGGAUGUAAAAUUAUUUGAUAAAUUUUAAUUUUUCUGAUUUUCCAUGGAAAUACUAACUACCAAUGUAUGCUAAAUCAUUUCAUACAAAGUCAAUGCUCAGUAAUUUCUGGAAGUGGAAUCACCAUAAUCUAAAACUUUACACAGACAAGUCUCAAUCGGCAAAGAAUUGGAACUCACCGAAGUCGCAAAUCUUGAAAAUCAAUGACGGCAGAGCUUUUUUUGAAGGUGAAACAAUUGGAGCUAUUUUGGGAAUUCUUCGCAACGAAACGGGAGCUCUACUGGAUGGCUCUACUACGAAUGUUCCAGCAUUGUCGGCGUUUUAGACGGAAGCCAUUCCCCUGCUCGAAGCUUUGAAACGUUUUCAGUCGAGAAGAGAGUGUUGGAGCUCGAGUCUGAAUGCGAAGAGCUGGUCAACGUUGUGCUGAUGAAGACAGCUCUAAUAGAGAAAGCCCAGCUCUCUUUGGCCCAAUUUUACUCUCUUUUUGGCCCAUUGUCACCGGUUCGCAAACAAAAUGGCUGAUUGGGUCGUGAAAAUCUAACAUACGAAUGCUCUCCCUCCCUCUUGAGUGGCCCAUCCCUCCAAUCUUUAUGGAAUUAUUUGCGUUUGGAUGCCCCUUUGGUGGGCUUUUGUUUUAAAGACCCCCGGGUUUUAAUUCAUGGCAUGUCUUCAAAUUUGAAAGCUUGACUCGUAUAUUAGUUUGUCUUAAGCUCGAAUUGGUCGACGGUCAAAACCCAAGUUCAAAAUUACAUGGAAAGUAGACGAUCAAGCAAGUCUUAAGAGCUAGAAUCCGGAGAAAUUGGACAAUUCCAAGUGAGGUUGUUCACACAAUUUGACUUGAAAAACUAGAAAACUGAAAUUGGACCAGCAAGUGAAUGGAAAUAUUAAUUAAACUGGAUUUUCAUCCCUAUCUUGUUGGGGAAAAGACAAAUAAUUAGUGCUCGAGUCUUUUCCAACUACUCUGCACCAUGCAUUGUUUCUUUAUAACUCAGUAUCCAUAUGAUUGAUUUUUGGUUGAAAUAGCCUCAUAAGUAUGAUCAUUACUCCAAUCUAAUGAAGUAAAAUAACCUUCACUCCAAUCAUGACGCCUCCUCCAACAUAAAAAGAAUAUCCCAUCCACGUCAAGAUGAAAGCAACAUAAUGACUAUAUAACUAAAUAAGUUAGCUGACUCUUUCCAUUUAUAAGAUUCAAUUAUUUGUAAGUUACCAUUCUUGUCUUGGUUGAGGUGGCCGACAAUAGUCCUUUUAUUUUUUAUUUUUUUAUUUUUUGGAUUGAGCAGUUUCGACUUGUAGCAAUGUGCUACCAAGUUUUCAACUUCCCAAGGAAUUGAUUUGUGUUUAGUUGAGGCCUUAACUAAUGUCAGGUUACCGAGCUCCAUCGUCCACACCCAAGGAAGUCACUUGUAUUUUAAUUGAUUAGUCUAUAACUUUUUUAAUUUUCUCGCUAUUUCUUUUCAUACGCAAUAGUUGUGCUCUUUUUCUAGUAUUAAGUAAACAAAUAACAAUUGAGAAACAUCCCAUAUUCUUUCUGGUCUGCUCAAGCCAUUGGUAAAUUGGCUAGUGCAGUGGGCAAGCCUUUAUAUGUAGACCAGAGAACUGAAUAGAUGAAUAUGUUGUCGUUUGCUCGAGUUUGUGUGGAGAUCACAGCUAAUCAGCCUAUUUGUGAAUUUAUUGAGUUGGUACAUAAUGGCAAAUCUUGUGAAAUAGGGGUGGAACUUGAAUGGAAGCCGGUUGCAUGUUCUAGUUGUGGCAUAUUUGGGCAUAAUUGCAGCCCUCUUGUACCUUGGAGCUCUACUGCUCGUGCUUCUGCAGGUCGACCGGUGGAUACAGUUGCUGCGCCACAGGGCCCAGCUGAUGACGGUCGCUCUACUCAAGUGGUAGCCUCUACUCCUGGAUCUCCCACUUUGUUUGAGGUCCCUAUUGUCCUCCAGAAGCAAACUUUGGAGGAAAACCCAGUGUCUCGGGUUGGUAAACCAGUUCCUGUUCAGUCUACACCGGCGGUGGACUCCUCACAUAAGCAAUCGGUUGAAGCCCCUAUUAAAAAUCCUCCCGUGCCUUCGAGCACUAAGGAUGCUGGUCGACCUGGUGAUGGUCGUGAAAUGGUUUUAGCUACAACCUCUACUCAAGCUACUGCAGAUCCGAACCCAGCUAAUUUGGGUUGGAAUAAGGUGAAAUGCAAGAAGAAAAAACAUCCUCCUGCCAAGGAUAUGGCUUCUUUUGGCUUAGUUUUGCCCAGUAAGGGGGGUGUCAAUCUUUGAAGCUCAAGGCGCCUCUUACUUCAGAACCCCUCAAUCCACCAAUGAAGCCUUCUAAAGGCAGUUUGAAAGCCCCUCCCAAGGCUAAUACGGGUCGUCCUUCCCUUGCUCCUAAGAAGGAAGGUCCUCCUGGCCCUCUGGCCCCUUUGGAAGGUUCAGAUGAAAUUUGCAGCUCUAACGGCAAUGCUGACUCAAGUGAUGAUGAUCUACUAUCGGGUGGCCCCCAUUCGCUGAAAAGCCCCCCACCUCAUACUGGGACGACAAGUUUAUAGGAACAUUUUCUGUUGCUCUGCCCUGAUCCUCCUGACCCGACCCCCUCUGCAACAACAAAAGCGACUUCUACCAGUCGCAAGCCCUCUAAGAAGAGGUAACCUUCUUUCCUCCCUUUGUAAAUAUGUUUUUGGGUUUUUGGAAUGUUAGAGGUAUAAUGAAUCCUAUAAGGCGGGCUAAGAUCAGGAAAUUUGUUUCUUCGAACAAGUUGUGCCUGGUCGGUCUGAUUGAGACGAAAGUCCCUGAGUCCCUAUUCGAGUCUGUCUCUUCUACCUUGAUAAGGGGUUGGAAAUGGGCUUCGAACUAUGAUUUUUCUCCUCGUGGAAGAAUUUGGGUUGGGUGGAACCCGGAUCUCGUUACUUUUGAUCCAUUCGCUUUCAGUGCCCAGGCUAUUCAUGGUUGUCUUAAACUCAACAAUUCUAAUUCUCACUGUUGUAUCUCUGUGGUUUACGGUGAUCACACUUUUGUGCGUCGAAGACCACUUUGGGAGGACCUCAUCUACCAUAAUGAUGUCUUACAGGACACUGCUUGGCUUGUUGCUGGUGACUUCAAUGCCAUUAAAGAUCCCUCGGAUCGUUUUGGAAGCUCGGAUACUUGGAUUCCUUAUUUUGAUGAAUUCGGCCAGUGUUUAGCCCAAACAGAGCUGGUUGAUCUUAGAUAUGUGGGUCUCCGCUUUACCUGGUCCACCUCGGCUGGUGCGAAUAGGAAGAUGAGAAAGAUUGAUUGGGUCUUGGUUAACACCAAGUGGAACCUUGAUUACUCCUUCUCGGAAGCAUCUUUCCUUAACCUGGGGAUCUCCGAUCACUCUCCUAUGAUCGUAAGAGUUCUUAAUCCGGUCUCUAAAAAGAAGCCAUUCAAAUUUUUUGAUUUCUGGUCAAAGCACCCAAAUUUCCUCUCUAUUGUGCGGCAGGCAUGGGACAGCCCGGUAAAAGGUGUUCCCAUGUUCAAACUUGUCUCUAAACUGAAGAUUUUGAAAAGCCGCCUUAAGUUACUUAACCAGGAGUCUUUUUCAAACAUCUCGGUGAGGACAACAGAAGCAAGAGAGGCUCUUCGCAGCACCCAAGUUGCUCUUCAAGCUGACCCUGAAAACGUCCAGCUUACAGACCAAGAGAAAUGUCAGCGGCGUAUCUUUGUCGACCUGAGGAACCAAGAGGAAUCCUUCUAUAGAAAAAAGUCAAGAGUAAGAUGGCUUAAGGAAGGGGAUAGGAACACUAAAUUCUUCCACAACUUUGUCAAAAGAAGACAACUCGGCAAUCGAAUUCUUUCUGUCAAAGAUCCAUUCGGGUCUAUAGUCACGGACCCCUUAUUGGUUCCGCAAGUGUUUGUAUCCUUCUUCACAGACCUUCUUUCACCUCAUGGGGUGCUGUCUAAGCCUUCACUUCAAGAGGUAUAUAUGUCUAUUCGGAGGCCUCUUUCGGAUGCUCAGGUGUGCUCUCUUUCUGCCCCAGUUUUUGAUGUUGAGAUAAAGAACACUCUUUUCUCCCUUCCCAAAGGCAAAGCACCGGGUCCGGAUGGUUAUACAACUGAGUUCUUUAAGAACAAUUGGGAUAUUGUGAGGUCUUUGGUUUUGGAAGCAAUCAAAGACUUCUUCUCUUCUGGUCGUCUUCUCAAAGAGGUAAAUAACACUAUCUUGGCUCUGGUGCCAAAAAUCCCAACGCUUGUGCUGUUACUGACUUCAGGCCCAUUGCGUGUUGCAACGCGAUUUAUAAGGUUAUUACGAAGAUCCUUGCUAAUCGCCUAGCUGCUGUUUUGAAUGACCUCAUAAGCCCGUCGCAGAAUGCAUUUGUGAAGGGUAGAAGAAUCAGAGAUAACAUUCUCUUGGCUCAAGAGCUGUUUGCAGGUUUCCAUUUAGAACCUUAUCUUCCAAAAUGUGCCAUUAAGGUUGAUUUCCAAAAGGCGUACGACACGGUUGACUAGGACUUCUUGGAGCUCACUCUCUUGGCUUUUCGCUUUCCAGAUUGGAUUAUUCGUCUGAUCAUGGUCUGUGUUCGCACUUCUAAGUACUCCAUCUCUAUUAAUGGUGAAUUGCAUUGGGUUUUUCCAAGGCGGCCGUGGCAUCCGCCAAGGAGAUCCUAUGUCUCCUUACUUGUUUACUUUAGUUAUGGAGGUAUUUUCGGGAAUUUUGAACUCGCGAACAACUGCCAAAGAUUAUAAGUAUUUCUGGAGGUGUAAAGUUGUGAAGCUAUCUCACCUCUUUUUUGCAGAUGAUGUGUUCCUUUUUUGUCAGGCAGACUGGCCUUCUGUGGUAAUGCUUAAAAGGGGUCUGGAUACUUUCUCCUCCUAGAGUGGGCUUCUUCAGAACAAGAACAAGAGUGAGAUCUUUCUCUCGGGCGGGCCUUCAUCCCUACGGAACACAAUUCUGUUGACAUUUGGCUUUCAAGAAGGGAAACUCCCGGUCCACUAUCUGGGUGUGCCUAUAAUUUCUUCUAGACUGCGGAAAGCAGACUGCAUCGUCUUGAUAGAUCGCAUAACCGCCAGGGUCCAAUCUUGGGCUCAACGUUUUCUAUCCUUUGCAGGUAGGCUUCAGCUCAUAAGGUCAGUUCUACACUCCAUACAAGCCUUUUGGGCUAGUGUCUUCUCCUUGCCUUCCUUGGUUCUAAUGACCAUUGAGCGUAUCUUGAGACAAUUCCUAUGAAAGGGCACUACCCUGGGCCGGGGGGGUGCUAAGGUAUCUUGGGAUGACGUUUGUCUUCCCAAAGAAGAAGGUGGUUUAGCCAUUCGAAAACUGAAGGAUUGCAACGAAGCUUCAAUGCUUAAGUAUAUUUGGAUACUCUUUACCGAUAAAGAAUCCUUGUGGUGCCGUUGGGUGCAUUCAAAUUUCUUAAAGAAAGUGAAUUUCUGGAUUUCUUCCUACCCCUCUCUUUGUUCUUGGGCGUGGAAGAAAAUACUACAACUCAGAAGGUUUUUUCGGCUCUCCUUCUUUUGGAAAAUCGGUAAUGGGCUUUCGGUUUCUCUUUGGCAUGACCAUUGGCUUCCUUGUGGCCCCUUGGACACUUUUAUUCCGGCCUCUAUGAUGGACAGUAUAAAUCUCCCUAACAAUGCGGAUGUGGCAGACCUGUUUUCUCCUGCAGGAUACACGCUAAAAUCUCUUCUCCAUAGUUGGGGCAUUGUCCUCCCGAAUUUAUCCUUGGCUCCUGAUCAAUUCUCUUGGCAGUGUGAUCCAACUGGUUCGUUCUCGGUUUCUUCUGCUUGGAGCACCAUUAGAGCGAAAAGAGACUGUGUUCCGUGGGCUUCUCUAGUCUGGGAUAGUGCCAUAGCUCCUCGGUACCAGUUCCGUCUUUGGCUUAUUACUAAAAAUCGCCUCCCCACUCAAAUGCUCCUCCUCUCUUAUGGUAGAAUUGAUUAUACGGUGUAUGCUUUUUGCAAUGCCCAACCAGAUUCAAUUGACCACCUUUUCUUUGAAUGUCACAACUCCGCUACGCUUGCAUACUUCUGGGCUUCUAGGUGUAACCUUCCUUGGAGGAGUAGAACUUGGAUGGAUACCAUCUCUUGGGCGCUUAAGUUCUUAGCCAGAAAGGACUUUUAUCACAGUAUUGCACGGUUCUCUUUCGCAGCUAUGUGCUAUAUGAUCUGGAAAAAGAGGAAUUGCAUCAUUUUCCAUGGAGAAUCCUUUGCGAUCUCGGAUUUAAAGAAUCACCUUAUUAAGGCGGUCAAGGACCGAGCUCUUACCUUCAGAAAUGUUCCUAUGUCUCCAAAGAACAAGAGACUCUAGAAAGGUUGGGGUUUUGACCCUUCGGUUUUUGCUCAGUCGCCUGGUUCGUCCUAAGCGUCUAGUCUGUGCCUUGUUUUGCUUUCUAGCCUUCUCUUAGGCUCUCUGUUCUUCGACCCUUUCCCUUUUGUAUUUCUGAGGGUUGCUGGGUUUGUUGGUUGGCGCUUGGCCUUUGGUUUGGGCUGUUUAGCUUUGGUUCUCUUGCUUUUUGCCUGUUUGGCUUGUUACUUGGCUCCCUUUCACUCUUUCUGCUGUUGCAAUUAGAGUAGAAGUUUUUGGUGCCAAUUUUGUAUCUUGUUCCAAAGCUCUAAUAUAAUUUCUUACCUUUUACCAAAAAAAUAAAAUAAAAAAAUAACAAUUGAAAAUGUAAAUGUAAAUAAAAUUGCCAAAAAAAGACCAAUAAAUGCAACGUCUAGGCCGUACCAUAGGUCUCUAGGUAGUCACGCCUCAACUUUUGUGCCCCUUGAUCAUUAAAAGAAGUGGACUAAAAAAGAGAUGAUUUCUUCAUCGUAGCUUACUAACAUGAAAAUUGAACACGCACUUCAUUUUUAGUUAAAUUUGCUUAUUAGUAAAAAAUAAACUCUCAUGUGUCAUGUAAGAGGGUGUCUCAAUUAGUGAAGAUUAUCAAAUCAUUCCGAAGCAUGAGAGAACAAUGUAACAUUAUCACUUGCCGCAUUAGAUAAUUUUGUUCUCAUCUCUUUUCCCUUCACCUAACCUACAAAAAACGAAAGGAGUAAUCGAAUAUCCCCUGCAUCUGUAUCACUUAUAUUCUCUUUGUGUGUACUUGCACCACAGUAAAAUUAAGAUAUAGCAAAUAUGUGAUUGGCUCUAUUUAAAAAUAUCGCGAUGGGAGUUCACAUCCACAUCAAUCAUAUGCAAAUUAAUCAUCAAAACAAGAAAAACUAAUCAUUUAACCGGAGAUUAUCCUUUAUUAAGAAAUUUUGCAAAACACAACAUACAUUUAUUCUUUAAAAUUAAAAAAAAAAUCAUGUUUACGUGGCAUCUCUAUCUUGCAAUUAUUGACCAAUAGUAAUAUGAUAAUGUUAUGUUAACAUUGAUAUUUUCAAAAUGACAAAUAAUGCAAAUGACAUUAUUCUUUAGAAUAAAAAGUUAUGCUUAAUUAAUCCCAUGAUUGAUAAUGCUGGUUGGGGAGUUGGUUUCUAGUUUUGGAACCAAAGAUCCUCCAUUAGAAUCCCACAAAUGCACGCAAACUGUCUCAAUUAACGAAGAUUAUUGAAUCAUUCCAAAUCAUAAGAGACAAUGACACCUCUUCCUCUGAUCCGAUCGUCCUUCAUGCAUCGGAUAAAAUAAACACUAUAAUCUUCCUUCUUUGUUCUUAGCUUCAUGAAGAGAGACCCGGUCAUAUUUGUGUGAUUUUUGUUGUUCAAAUUCACUGUUGGCGUGUCAAUGUGCGCGCUGUAAGUGCUUUGUAUGAUCCAUCGCAUGAAGUGCUCACUGUGACAUGUUCGUAUUAAUAAUCUGAAUCACAAAUCAACGUUCACUGCAAUGCAUGUUUGUCUGUUAGAUGGCCAAUACUUGUUUAGUUCUCCCUGCCAAAAAUCUUGCAAAUAUGAUUCCGUUUACAUCUAUGUUACUUUGGCGGUUUCUGGAUUAAUGUUCCGUAAACUGUACAAUCUCUUCUAUUGGGAGGAGAAAGAAAUUCUCAGCAUUAUCUCCCGCAUGCUUAAAAUUUAUUCUCAUGGUUUUUACAUUGGAUCACCUGACCAUUGAGAUUAAUUUGAUUUCUUUUCUAUUGAUUGCGUGUUUGAUGAAUCUAAGUAACAAUCCAAGGUAAGUUUCGAUUGUCUGGAAUGUGAAUUUGGUGGCUGGGCAGAUUCCUCUGUGAAAUGUUGGCCUCAGUUGUUCUUAAUAAAGGAAUAUGAUUGCUUGAAUUGUUAGCUUAAUAAGGAAGAGAGUGAUGCAAUCUACAGUUUGUAGUGUAAAAGACACAAGCAACAAUUGCUGAAUUUCUAUUCUGCAGGAAAUGGAAGCGAAUUAGCAUAACAAAUGUGCUUUUGAGCAAUGAUGCUGAUUCUUGGAUUAUCUUUGUGAACAUGUGGUAUCUUUAUUUCUCUUUUGAAUGUUUGGUAUUUGCUCUGCUCUCUUUCUGGUAAACAGUAGUGCGGACUUCUUGGUUGAUUAAUCCUUCUUUCUGCAAUAGACUUUGGCCCCUGUUAUGGUCCGCUUUCAGUAUACGAGUCACAUUGUAAUUUGUGUACCUGGUGAUGUGAUACGGUCUUGUUGAUUCAUUUCUCAAUAUGUUUCCCAAACAUUGCUUGUUGUAAAAAAUUUCAAAUAUUAAAUUCCAUCAGCCUAAGUUUUUUCCCUUUUUUUGUUGAUCAGAAUUCUGUGUUUGUACGAGCUUGAUCUUUGCCCUGGAUUAACUCGAAUGAUAUUUCAUCAUAGAUAUUUAGGACGGAGUAUUUCCUUAGUUGGCUACUUUGUGGCAUUUGUUGCUGAAAGUACAUUGACUUACUAGAAGGAAUUAAUGUUCUGUAAGUGCAGCCAAUUUUUUGUUAAUUUCGCUGCUGGGUACGAUGAUGUUCACAGAAUGAAUGCUCAUCAGAUUCGGUUGACUCGAACAAUGGUAAAUAAACAGCCCAAGCAACAUCAGGAAAAGAUAAAAAGGCAUUUCUCAUUUGUUGAGCCAUCAUCAUUCUUUCUCUCGAUAGCGAGAGAUGCUGCAAAUAUCGUAGAGUAAGAAUUGAAUGAAGCGGUGUCGUAAUUUUGGACUUGCAUGUCAAUCUUGGCUUAUCUCAUCAAUAGCCAAUGUCAUGCCAAUAUUUGAAUGAAUUCAAGCACUUAUUUUAAGUAGGCUUUGGGAUUUUCACCAUUUACGUAUCCAAUGAGGCUUAACAACUGAUGUGUUGGGGAAUUUCUUACCUAUACUGGGUCCAUUGGGCGGAGUCUAUGUUAGUGGUUGAUCGUCUAAGCCCCAUAUACAACAUUAAUGUGAGACUUACGUGAACAACUAUAGGAAUGGACCCAAUCUACAUGUGCACAGACACCACCUUGAGGAAGCUAUUCUUUGGCUGACAGCAUAAAAUGUAUAAAUUCUCAAAUCUCUGGCUUCUUUGCGCUUUUGCACUUUGGAUUUAGCUUGCGAUUAAUAAGAGCCUUGGACUUACUUUACGUUGUUUGUUAAUGGGGGAUUAUGAAAAAGUUUUUGAGGAGAUAUGGAUAUACUCUCCCGAAUUCGAUGCUUCCAAAGUUCACAAGCAGUUCAACCUAGGCAACUAGAAAAGAGUAACGACGAGGUCGGAAUGUUAUGGAGCAUUAGCCCAUGGGUCAUUUUCAUCUCGACCUUUCUAAAUGUGGAGACAACUCUACUUUUCAAGUGUUAAUGCUCGAUAAAGAUGCUUCUGAGAUAGAUUAUUCCUCGAGCAAUAAUAUCAAACCCUGAGAAUCGAUUUUUUUAACAAGAAAGGGAUGACGUUGUUGAACUUGAAGAUUUAGAGGGUUUUCUGCAAUGUCGAUCGCUUUUACCCUAUUCUAGCGAAGUAUCUGAUUGCCUAUCACUCACUCAUCAUGAGAAUUUGAUGGUAAUGAAUGGUAGUCUUAUUAGUGAUGUUUCUGCCUUUAUCAGUGCCUUUUCUUCGUUCUUUCCAAAUUCUUCAAUGCUUUUUGACAAGCGGAUGUUGAUUUAUACAGUAAUAUCUGGAAAGUGCAGAUUGUAAUUAAUUGGUGAGGUAACUAGCUCUAAUGUGAAGGGGAUGUAAAAUUAUUUGAUCAAUUUUAUUUUUCUGAUUUUCCAUGGAAAUACUAACUACCAAUGUAUGCUGAAUCAUUUCAUACCAAGUCAAUGCUCAGUAAUUUCUGGAAAUGGAAUCACCAUAAUCUGAAACUUUACAGAGACAAGUCUCAAUCGGCAAAGAAUUGGAACCCACCAAAGUUGCGACCUUGAAAGUCAAUGACCGCAGAGCUUUUCUUGAAGGUGAAAAAGUUGAAGCUAUUUUGAGAAUUCUUCGCAACGGAACGGGAGCUCUACUGGAUGGCUCUACUACGAAAGUUCCAGCAUUGCCGGCGUUUUAGACGGGAGCCAUUCCCCUGCUCGAAGCAUUGAAACGUUUUCAGUCAAGGAGAGAGAGUGUGUUGGAGCUCAAGUCUGACUGCGAAGAGCUGGUCAACGUAGUGCUUAUAAAGACAGCUCUAAUAGAGAAAGCCCAGCUAUCUUUGGCCCAAUUUUACUUUCGCUUCUUGGCCUAUUGUCACCGGUCUGCAAACAAAAUGGCUGAUUGGGUCGUGAAAAUCUAACGUACGAAUGCUCUCCCUCCCUCUUGAGUGGCCCAUCCCUCCAAUCUUUGUGGAAUUAUUUACGUUUGGAUGCCCCUUUGUUGGGCAACCCCAUGGGUUAUAAUUCAUGGCAUGUCUUCAAAUUUGAAAGCUUGCCUCGUAUAUUAGUUUGUCUUAAGCUCGAAUUGGUCGACGGUCAAAACCCAAGUUCAAAAUCACGUGGAAAGUAGAUCAUCAAGCAAGUCUUAAGAGCUAGAAUCUGGAGAAAUUGGACAAUUCCAAUUGAGGUUGUUCACGCAAUUUGACUUGAAAAACUAGAAAACUGAAAUUAGAAUGGAAAGAUUAAUUAAACUGGAUUUUCAUCCCUAUCCUGUUGGGGAAAAGACAAAUAAUUAGUGCUCGAGUCUUUUCCAGCUACUCCACACCAUGCCACCAAGUUGUCGAAGCAGUGUUUCUUUAUAACUCAGUCUCUAUAUGAUUGAUUUUUGGUUGAAAUAACCUUGUAAGCAUGAUCAUUUCUCCAAUCUAAUAAAGUAAAAUAACCUUCACUCUGAUCAUGAUGCCUCCUCCAACAGAAAAAGAAUGUCCCAUCGACGUCAAGAUGAAAGCAACAUAAUGACUAUAUAAAUAAAUAAGUUAACCAACUCUUUUCAUUAAUAAUAUUCAAUUGUUUGUAAGUUACCAUUCUUGUCUUGGUUGAGGUGGCCGACAAUGGUCUUUUUAAAAAAAAAAAAUUAAUUUAUAGAUUGGCCAGUUCGACUUGUAGCAAAGUGCUACCAAGUUUUCAACUUCCUAAGGAAACGAUUUGUGUUUAGGUGAGGCCUUAACUAACGUUAGGUUACCGAGCUCCAUCGUCCACGCCCAAGGAAGUCGCUGGUAUUUUUAUUUGAUUAGUCUAUAGCAUUUUUAAUUUUCUCACUAUUUCUUUUCGUACGCAAUAGUUGUGCUCUUUUUCUAGUAUUAAGUAAACAAAUAACAACUGAGAAUGUAAAUAAAAUUGCUAAAAAAAAAACCGAUAUAUGCAACUUCUAGGCCGUACCAUAGGUCUCUAGGUAGUCGCGCCUCAACUUUUGUGCCCCUUGAUCAUUAAAAGAAGUGGAAAGAGAUGAUUUCUUCAUCGUAGCUUACUAGCACGAAAAUUGAACAUGCACUUCAUUUUUAGUUAAAUUUGCUUAUUAGUCAAAAAUAAACUCUCAUGUGUUAUGUAAGCCACCAGAGGGUGCCUCAAUUAGCGAAGAUUAUUGAAUCAUUCCAAAGCAUGAGAGAAUAAUGUGACCUUGUCACUUGCCACAUUAGAUAAUUUUGUUCGUCUCUUUUUCAUUUACUUAUAUUCCCCCACAUCUAUAUCACUUAUAUUCUCUGUGUGUAUUUGCACCAUAAUAGCAUUAAGAUAUAGCAAAUAUGUGAUUGGCUAUUUAAAAAUAUCGCAAUGGUGGGUUCACAUCCAUAUCAAUCAUAUGCAAAUCAAUCACCAAAACAAGCAAAACUAAACAACUAGAGAUUAUCCUUUCUUAAGAAAUUUUGCAAAACACGACAUAUAAUUAUUCUUUAAAAUUAAAAAAAAAAUCAUGUUUACUUGGCAUCUCUAUCUUGCAAUUAUUGAACAAUAGUAAUAUGAUAAUGUUAUGCUAACAUUGAUAUUUUCAAAAUGACACAGAAUGCAAAUGACAUUAUUCUUUAGAAUAAAAAGUUAUGCUUAAUUAAUCCCAUGAUUGAUAAUGUUGAUUGGGGAGUUGGUUUCUAGCUUAGGAACCAGAGAUCCCCCAUUAGAAUCCCACAAAUGCAUGCAAACUGUCUCAAUUAACGAAGAUUAUUGAAUCAUUUCAAAUCAUAAGAGACAAUGUGACCUUAUCACUUGCCGCGUUUCUUGUCUCUUCGUCCUUCCCCUAACCUAUAAAAAAACAAAAUGAGUAAUGGAAUAUCCCCUAUUUCUAUAUCACUUAUAUUCUCUUUGUGUGUAUCUGCACCGCCCUAUCAUUAAGAUAUAGCAUAUAUGCGAUUGGCUCUAUUAAAAAUAUCACAAUGGAGGUUUCCAUCCACGUCAAUCAUAUGCAAAUCAAUCACCAAAAGAAGCAAAACCUACCAUUUUACUGAGAUUAUCUUUUCUUAAAAAAUUCUGCAAAAUGCGACACGCACUUAAUCUUUAUGAUAUAAAAAAAAAAUCAUGCUUACGUGGCAUCACUAUCUUGCAAUUAUUGAACAAUGGUAAAAUGUUAAUAUAGUCAUUUUCAAAAUGAUGCAGAAUGCAAAUGACUAUUACUUUCAAAAUAAAAAAUUAUGCUUAAUUAAUCCUAUAAUUGAUAAUGGUGGUUGGGGAAUAGGAUAUUUCCAGCUAAAAAACUAGAAAUCCCCUAUUAGAAUCCCACAAAUGCAUGCAAAUUGCUCUGGAUUAGAACCGCCUACAUAGACCAAAGGCUUAAGCUGAACCAAUUCACGAGACUUGUAAGAUAUUUCAUGAGCUUCUAGGUAGACAGGUGUACAUGCCUAUGCUCCUAGAUAAUACAAAAAAAAUGCUUACUUUAGGAGAAUCCGAAUUUUUUACGCUAAUUAUUUUAGUAUAUACUUAUUCCUCUAAACUAGGUAGUUUUUAUGCAAAAGGUCCUUAUCAACUAAAUUACAAAGAGUAUAUCCCCCGUGACUUUAAUUAGUAAUAACACUUUUAUUUGUCAGAAAUUAGUCAUAGCCUUUUCAAAUACUCCUCCUAAUAAAUUUACAUAUUUAGGACUAAUUUGACAUUCUAAUCUAAAAUUAUGGUUGGUAAAAAAUUACAUAACCUCAAUAUUUCUUUCUGAACUAAGUUUGUUUUUGUUUUUGUUUUUUUUUUUAAUGGCCCCUCUCAUGUGCAAGCUAGAUCAAGAGUAGCACGUGAAAUUUGACAACUAAGAGUGGACUCACACACGAAAGGGGUAAGUAGAACUUGGUUAUGAUAUCAUGUUAGAAAAUCCAAUCCAAAGAUAUGUAAAGAGCAUAUAAACUUCAUUAUCAUGCGAUGCGGGAUAUUUCAUUACAUGCCAACCAACGAUAGAGACAGAGCCCCUCUAAUGUGUUUGUAGCUCCUAAUGAGCUUCACCAAUCAUGAUAUGUUGAAAUGCCUCUAAGUUGCUCUUUGCUUUUCCUCAAUAUGUUCCUUGAUGAAUCCACCUAGAAUAGUCUGCACGCGUACAUGUGUGAACGAUCCAGAUGUGAAUUUGCUUAAGUGGAAUGAGAAAUCCAAGGAUAAAUUUGAAGGUAAAGAGCAAGAAGGUAAUGAUAUGAGGUCGAAGAAAUUUAAUGAUAAAUUUAUUCUUUUGAAAAUGGUCGAGGACGAAAGAAAUUGUUGGCUGACAUCGUCUCCUAAUAUAUGUUAUUAGGAGACACUAUGUAGAUGGAAGAAAGCCUGCAGCAAGUGGACAUCAACAGCUAUGACAUUUUAGUGCUAGCGUAGAGCUGCUCGUGGAGAUUAUUCAAGUGACUAUUUUUACUCCAUUUUUUAUUUCCUGGCUGACGUUACUCCAAUUAGGAUACCCCAUGGACACAUUGAAAAAUAAAUAAAAUUCCAUGUCAUAUGAUUUCCCACACAAACCAAAUCAACUUGAAAAGCACAAUAUUGAGUCCUAACAAUUAAUGCCUUGGGACUCAACCACGGGUAGCGCAGUUGGUGUGCAUUCUCUCCCUCAUCAUUGAGGUCAAGAGUUCAAACCCUAUUGUUGCUAAAAUGUCUUAAGCAGGGGGUCCUGGGCUAGCCUCCCCUAAGGUUUAUAUCUAACUAGUGGCUUGCAGCGAGGCACGACGGAAGGUCGUGUGAUUCCCGAAGGGUGAUCUCCGGCUGUUCCUCGAUCAUCAAAAAAAAAAAUUAAUGCGUUGGGGAACUCCCUGCCUGUAUCAGAUCCAUUGGGUAGAGGAAGGAUCCAGGUGGACCAUCUCUUAUUUCCAGGUGCCACGGCAUCUUCAUCACUUCGUUGCCCGGCAAGAUUGGCCGCGUCUGCCCCCGGUCAACAGCCUCCAGACACUGUAGCCCCAGGUCAAGCAGGUGGUCCAGCAGUAGCAUCCGGUCAAGGCCCCUUCCCAUAAAAAAACAAAAAUAAACAAACUUCUAACGUAAAGCUUGUGGUUAUAUAUGUUUCUGAUUCGUGAUAUCACAUCACUAUAUCAUGGUUGGAUUACCUGUGAGUUUCUUUUCAUUCAAUAGGUAAAGGUGUCGUGUCAAGGAAAUUGGAAAAAAAUUGAAGAGGCUCUUCUUUUUGGUGAGAAAAUGCGAGAUGGUUCUCUACUGCCUUUGUUUCCUUUUAUUUUGAUAUUUGUUGGAUAGGUCCAAGGACAACCUAGGAGUUCUAAUUUCAAUGGAAAGUUGUUCUUCUUAGCACAUUUUGCCGAGUCAUUGUCUUCUGAAGUUUGUCAUCUUUUUGGCACUUUGGGUGAGAUUGAAUCAUUCACUUAGAAAGUUUAGGUAACGGCAUCUCAUUUAGAAUGAGUGGUGCAUUAUCAGUAAACAGAUACAAGGGACUAAGUUAGUUCAAGUAUAAUAUGUCAAGAAGAUUAACAUUAUCAAAAUUUGGUAUUUACUCCACAAAUCAAUAAUACGGCCAGCGAAUCAAUGUUUGUCCAUUGGCAGUCAAGGAAAGGAUGGAGAAGUAAUAAAUAUUUGUCCACUAGCCGUGGAGGAAAGGAUGGUUUGCCAAAUCAAAGUUUGUCUAAUCACUAAUUGUCUAUGAGCAGUACAUGAAAGAAUGAAUACUUAAUCAAUGUUCGUCCAUUAGUGGUGGAGGAAAUGAUGGUUUACCUAAUCAAUGUUUGUCUAAUCACCGUUUGUCUCUGAGCGGUGCAGAGAAACAAUGGAUAUCUAAUCAAUGUUUGUUCAUUAGAAGUGGAGUAAAGGAUGGAGACAUAGACACUGGUGAUGGUUACUGGUUAAGGAAUCAUCAAUCUCUAUAUGCGUAUUAGAUGGUGACUAGGACAUUAGGACUAGUACCUAACCAAUGUUUGCAUCACUCGAUUGUUUAUGUGUGCACAUUAUUGUCUUGAUUGAGGCAACCGAGAGUGGUAUUCCCCUUUUUUUUUGGCUGGUAAUGACUUGGCACAUUUUGCUGCCGAGUUUUCAGCUACCUAAGGAACUGACUCGUGUUUAGAUUAAAAAUGGGUUUGUAACGCAUAUUGAGACAAUUAUUACACGAGCGGUGAUUACAACAAGCUAAAAUUAAGUUUCAAAUCAUAAUCUCAUUUUGACGAUGACAGACUAUAUGAAGUACUUAUUACACGGGAGAUGAUUCAAGUCAAAUCAUUUUGGUACUUUGACAGUUGGUAAUCAUAUGAUUUUUACUUUCUCUUUAAGCCACUAGAUGUUAAAAAAAUGCAAAGAAACCAAGCAAAGAGCUUGCAUACCAUGUAGAUAUUAAGUGAUUGUUAAUAAGCUGCGGGUCGUAGGGUCUUAAGAUAAUUUCUCGAAUUGCUGGAAAAGCAAAUGCUGAAGCGAGUCUUAAAAAUUAUAAUCCAAGCCCUCUUAUAUAGAGAAAUUUGACAAAGUCAUUCCAGAAGAAUAUAUGUGUAUAUCACACAGACUAUGUUAAUAUGGACUAGCAAAUUAUAAAGAAAUUUGCUGCUUCCAUAACUAAGUAAAAAAGCCCAAAAGAUAAGGGGGGGCUAGCUAUGAUUCUGAAAUUUUAUCGGAGAUCUAAUGACUAAUAAUUUUAAUAUUAAAUAGGAGAUACUGUUGUAUUUUGUUAUAUUAAUCAGAUAUUUGAACAAAGAAGAUUGCUUUACUUUGUCAAAUUGAACCGGUAGUUUGAUAAAACAUUAUUUGAGCUGUAGAAUUAAACGUCUCUAUCCUAUUCUUUUUCUUUUUCUCCAUAUCUUUACAUUCCGAGCUUGAGCUAAUAAUCAAAAUGAGUUGAAUAUAGAUUUGGUGCAAAUCUACAAAGACCAGCAUGAUAUAUUAAGUGACUCAAUAGAACUAGGCACAUUUCGACCAAAAAAAUAAAAUAAAAUAGAACUAGGGCACCUUAAAAUUGAGUUGAUGACAUGGUGCGUAAUGUACAUGCCACGUGUGACAAUAAUAAUUUAAAAAAAAAAACAUACAUGUCAUGUGGGGGUGGCCUAUCCUUAUUUGUAUGUUCUCUUCUAAUAAUUACACUUUGUUCUUUAGAUGGUGACAAAUUGCAUAAAGUGCUAUCCUCAUUUGUAUGUUCUCUUCUAAUAAUUACACUGUGUUCCUAGAACCACAGGCACUCAUUUUUCCGCUUCCCUUCAAUGUCUUACUCAGCAUCUUUGCCUUGAUCAUUGUGCAAUAUGUGUGUCCUUUUUUAAGACUAAACUUAUCUGAAUAUGGUCAUAAGAUUCCAAAUCGAUAGAGCUCUGUUAUUGGAAAAAAGCUAUGGAUGUUGCUCAUAUCCACAAGAAGCAAUAAUUUGACUAGACAUCGGAUAAAUGGGGUGUCCCUACUCCCUCUCGAGUCCACAUUCAUAUAGUUAAGGCUGUGAAUAUACAUAUUAUUGUGUCCUCUCAUUUUAUGUGCUUAUAUAAUGAUCUUUCAUAUUCGUGCAUUGCUUAUUCAAAUAUGCAUGUAGGCAGACAAUUCUCUUUGUAUUCUUCAGGGGACAUAUUGAGGGAAAUAAUGGAAUUGUAACUGUAAUCAUUUAGAUAUCGUGCAAGUCUGAACUGCAAUAAGAAGUGUUUGGUAAUAUCACUUGUAGUUUUAUAGGCCAUACCUUUUCUCAAUUUGCAAUCUUUUGACUGGUGUUUAGCUAAAUCACAUCAUUUACAAAUGGCAGGUACUUGAAAAUAUGAGUUCCUAUUAAUAAUAAGCAUUACAUAGUGAAUGAUUUAAUUAUUAAGGUUUUUAUUUUCAAGAAGGCAGCCAUGCAUUCUUACCACAAUCUCAUUAUUGUACCAUGCCCACAAAAGUAAGAUCCAUAUGUACUCUUUUGUCUUAUAUAGCUUUGUGUUUGCAAAUUAGUUUUAAACUUUCCUCGAACCUCUUGUUUAUUUGGAAAAUAGUUUUAAACUUUCCUUGAACCUCUCGUUGCUCCUUUUGUCACUUUGCAUCAGUGACGCACGGUCAAGCAUAUUGGCCUCAAUCACCAAGUGAUGUGUUUGUUCUUUUUCAGACUUUAAUGAUAUGAAUAUCUGUAAAGGAUUUGUAAUCGAUUGUCCCGCACAAAUAGUGAUGAAGUGUACUAUGCAUGAUUUGGGUUUCCACAACAUCCUUUCAAUAAUUAUUUACUAUUUUGAGCAGAAGAGUAGUUGCAUAGAUAAAUAGAUUUGACCGACAAAAAUCGAUGUAACAAAGUAAUGUUGGACGCAAAUUGCGCAACCCCAAAAUCUCCAUAACAAGAACAAGAACAUGCAUAAUUGAGUAGAAAGAUUAAUGCACCUGUUUUGGGAUCCAUUGUUCUUGAAGCGGAAGCGGAAACACAAUGUUCCACUCGCAAGUCCUUCUCCUCUAUUGCCCUCCGUAUCACUAGCUCAAUGAGGCAGCCCCCUCACAUAUACCGUUAGGUAAACGCCCCUUAGGUGAUGAUACAAGUGAGAAUUAGGGUUAGAGGAGAGACUUGAGCACUAUUUAUAGAGUUUCCAGCCAGUCCCUCUCAUUACGAGCUAGGCUCAACUCGGCCCACAUUAGCCAGCCCAUAUUAGACUAAUUAAGAAACCUUCUAUCUCACCUUAGACCAACCAUGUUUUACGGUAACCGUAAAAACAGUAAAUUACAAUAUCAAUUAAUUUAGUCCACAUUAGGAUAACUCUUACAUUCUCCCACUUGGUCUAUAUUAAUUGAAAUCGUACUGUAUAUACGCACAUUUGGUCCAGAGAUAAUUCUUAAUAGUCAAUCAUAUCCCAUAAAGUCUUAAACACCGAAUCAUGGCGGUAACUGCAUGUAUACACACAGAGCAUUCCAUGGUCACGAGUGCUCUCAACUUUAUUGAUAUGGAUUCAAUAUGGUAGUGUGGCAAAUGAAUAACAUCUCUCAUAGAGAGAUCCCAUUUGUCAGUCAUCAUUCUCUUACCUUAGGUGUCACAAAAACUUGUGCCACUAGAGAAUGCUUUAUGGUUCCAAUGAACCCACAUAUGUCUUGUCCUUAUGGUUAACCUUUUCUUUAUGUAUCACAAGAUAUAUGCACAAGGCUAAUAACCAGAUGCCCGGAUGCCCCUAGCCUUCACUCAAGGUUUAUACAAUUCCUUGAGACUUUAUCAAUAUGUAUUCAACAUAAUAACAAUACAUUCAAAAAUAUUUUAUUGAAUGCAAAAGUUGAUACAUAUCAAACCGUUACAAAGUGUAACGAACACAGAUGAAACCUUUAUCAGAGUAAAGCCAAAAUAGCUCCCACUAAACAACAGUAUCCGAAAAUACUCCUAGGCCCAUGCUAAUGACAUGUCACUCAAAUACAAAUGGGCGUAUGCCUUUAGUUAGUGGAUCUGCAACCACAUCAUCUGUGAAAAUAUGUUAUAUUAUAAGUCACCUUUCUAUACCGUUUCUUUAUGGUAAAAAAUAUUUGACCACCAUAUAUUUAGACCUCUUGAGACCUCUGUAGUAAAUAAAUAAUACUACAAAUUUGUUAUCUCAAUACAACCCUAUGGGUCUAUCCAUCAAGUUAAAACGAUCAACUCCAUCAUGAGGUUCUGGAGCCUAAUAGCCCAAGUAACAACCUAAAAGAAUGUUACAAACACUGCAUACAUAGUAGAAGAUAACAUAGAACUUUAUUUACUGCACUUCCUACUAACAUAAAUCUGUAUCUUGUUAUUGAUAUUAUAUCAUCCUAAUAGCCAGCAAAGUUAACAUAUGAAUACCUUACUCACUGCAAGAAUUAAACUUGUAUGUAAAUUAACAUAUACUCUCUUGUCCUUUUAAGUACCUUAAAACCUUUUGGCAGCAACUCAGAUCGUGUCCUGGAUUCAACUUAUAUUUGCCUAAAAGUCCCAUCACAAAGGUGAUAUUUAAUCUAGUGCAAAAUCAAAGCAUACAUUAUACUUUUAAGUGCACUAACACAAGGUACACCAUUUAAUUAGAUUUUAUCAAUAUCUAAAUAAGGACAAUGUGAUAGAUUUAGUCUAUCACCCUUAACAACAGGAGCAAUUCCCGGCUUGCAAUGAUGUAUAUUGAAUAUUUCCAAUAUACAAUCAGCAAAUGUCCUCCGAGAAAAUAUAAUAUAAUAUGUCAAAAACAAUCCUUACAGACCUCAGUACAAAAGAUAUAAGAUGUUUCAAGGCCACAACUUGUAAGCAAAAUAUCAUGUAUAUAGAGUAUAAGAAAAAAUAAAUUUCCUCCCAUUGACCUUACAGUAUAUUGAAUUACUUUGUUCCCAAUUGAACAAGAUAACAAUACUAUAAAACUUUAAUAAUAUUGUUUGGAAACUUGCUUAAUGCCAUGAAUUAGAACUUUUGAGUCUAUACACAAGUUUACUUGAAUCUGUUGCAAAAUCAUCUAGUUGCAUUAUAUAGAUUUUGUAUCUAUUUGGCGUAACUCCAUAUCAAAAUAAAUUAUUAAUGCCACGUUCACUCUAAAAGAAUCUUUUAAAAAAAAAUUAUUUCUUCACUAUUAACUAUCCACCCCUCUUUCAGAGUGAAAACUUUAGCUACAAGUUUAGUUUUAAACUUCACAGUUUUCCUUUGAAAUCAUUUUAAUUUUGUACGCCAAUAUGCAACUAAUGAACUUGUGAUCUUUAGACAAGUAAGUUUUUUUUUUUUUUUUGGUAAGGGUAAUUAAAUUAGACAAGUAAGUUAGUUUCCAAAUACUAUGAUGUUUCAUUGAUUGUAUAUCGACUUUUAUGGCAUCUAAUCACAUACUUAAUUGAGAACAAUAAACGACAUUUAUAUAAGUUGCUAAAACAACCAUGUAGUGGAUAUUGUAAUCAUGCUCUCACAAAUAGACUAUAUAGUAUGAUGAUAUAACUGAUCGUCUUUCCCUAACAAAUCUCCUUAAUAAAGCUGCAACCACUUCAUUCUGCACUUGUGAGGUUUAAGAAAAUUUCAUCAUAAACUAUAUCAAGCAUAGUACCUUAAACCUCAACAAGUUUAGUUUAUGGUAUAGGAGAUUCAAUAAUUGUUUGUACCACAAUUAUCUGUAUAGGCAAAGAUAAAGACACAGUGAUUUUCCAUCGUACUAUUAUUCUUAAUAGUCUAAGAGCAACUAUUAUCUACAUUACGUUGAACUGUAGAAAUUUUACAGUAUGUGAUUCCAUAAUACCUAUACCUUCUUUAGGGUCAUAAAAUAUACCUCUUUAACAAUCUAGAUAAGAUACAAAAUAAUUCCGAGUGGAUCUAAAUUCCAACGCACUUUAUAUUGGAUUAGAUAACCUCAAUUUUGCAUGACACUUCUAAAUUUCAUAUGAUUCAAGUAAUUUAUGUCCAAUCUAUAACUCGAAAGAAGUUUAUGAAAUAACUUUGAUAAGAAACACAUUUUGUAUCUGAAAAAGUUGCUUUCAUAAUAUUAGCCCACAAAAAAUCAGAUAAAUUAGUCUUACUAAUCAUACUCAUCACCAUGUUCAAUAUGGUGCAUUUAUGCCUUUCGGCCAAAUCUUUUUGUCAGAAUUUUCAAGUAUAGUAAUUAAAUUACCACCCCAGAAUCUACCAAGUAUUUGACAAAUGACCCUUUAAGCUAUUUCGCAUUGUCAUACUUGCCAAAAUACUCACGGCCACUGUUAAACCUGACAACUUUUUAAGACUAAUUGUAAUUGUUUUAUUCUUUAUCUUGGUCAUUUUCCUUAAAUAGAAAACUUUCGGAAACAACAUUUUAAUCAUAUACGAGAUGUAUAUGUCAUUAGGACUUAAACACAAUCUUUGCAGAUGUGUCCUAAUUUCAAUAUCAGACAAGACAUAAUUUCAAGCAACUAAGGCUUCCAUCAUCUUAUAGCAGUGCAGUCCGCAGGCAAACCUCUUUUCAAGUGUUCCAGAAUGGAACGCUUCAUGGACAGUAAGCAAAUUCAAUUGCUCUUUUCUUAAGCAACAAAUAAUAUGUCCACAACUUAAAAUUUGAAGCAGUAAAAACCUCAAUAAUAAUGAAGUUAUUAAUUACAUAAAAGGUGACUGAAAACCAAGCAAUGUAUAUAAUUAGCAUCAUAUGAGUACUGUGUAACUUGACGUACAAGUACACAUCCAGAGAGUUACACGCAUAAUCAUAUCAUCACCUUUGGGCAGAAUACAUGACAUGCAGUUGUACACUCCCCACAUGAUAGCGGUUAUGAGAAUAUAUUUCAAUUCUUCGUGAAUUCAUUACCUUUGGGCAUAUGAAUCACUAGAAUCAAUCAUUCCUCCACCACACUAUCAUGUAUCCCUCCAUGAACUAAUACACAAUCACCUAUUUUGGGAGUAUGACUACGCAUUAGAUCAGGAGACAUCCCAAUCAUUAUACGAGACCGAAAUUUCUCAAACCCAAUCAAGCGUGCCACUUUGGCGGUCACUACUCAACUGAAUCAUUGAAAUUCUCUCAUACCAUGGAUAUAAACUUUACUUCUCACAUACACCAUAUACAUGUGAUUUUAACUUUAGUGAUAGGGGCAGCAUAUCACCAAAAUCACAUAUCAUGCUAAUUACAUUGCUUUAUUCAUUAAUAAAAUUAAUCAUAUAUAUAUAUAUAUAGCGAACCUGAAAGACAGAUUCCAAUGAGAUCAUUGAUCAUAGUAAUACAAGAAACUUCUCAUAACAGAGAAUAAAACAUCUCUUAUGCACCCCAAUUAUAUAUUACCAGAACAACAUAAAAAGAAUGCUGAUAUAAAAUAUCUCUCACAAAUUAACAUCAAUAGUAAUAUAGGGUACACCAAAUCGACAAGCUUGACAGUUGAUCCAUUAUCACUCAUGAGUUCAUAAGGCAAAAAUGACUCCAAGGCCAACAACUGAUUUAUUAAUCAAUUUUAGGUAACAAAUAUCAUUACUUCAACCAGUGGCCUAUAAAUUGAGUCAAACCACAGAACUAAAUAUCUAAACUAUAACAGUAGAUACUAUUACUCUGCAUAAAUAUUGCCAUACUCCUUUACCAUAAAAAAUAUUUAACUCGAUAAACAUUAACCAGUGACCAUAUGAGUUUAUGUACAAUAUGCAAUAACUUUACUAACAUGCAUUACCUACACUAGGUAUAUGUGUUAAUUAGUACAAUCAGUUUGGUCACAGAUUCUUAAAACGUCCAUCAUUCAAAGGUUACCAACAUGUAAAAGAGUAUGCAUGAGCAAUAAAAAAUUUAAUGACUUUUACUGUUUCUCAUUAUCUCAAGAUAUAUUCAAUUACCAUCUCAUAAUGAUUAUAUCUCAUUAAACCAGCUUCAGUUCACAAUAAAGUUUGAUUUUUAUUGGUAAAUCACACCUUUAUAAUGAUUAUGUGAUAAUAUACCUAUAACCCAACCCUUGUAUUUCCAAAAUCACAGAAAAAUACAAGGAAAAAUACGCAAAAAUUCAUUUAAAAUACACGUAUUUAGGGUUGCAUAUGCAAUUUCACAUCAAUAAAACUAUCAAAAAUAUAAAAUAAAUAUACCACGAGAUAGGAAAUCACCAUACGAGUCCAACGUCGCCAACCACGCGCCAAAAGAAGACCCCACGCGCCCGCAUGCGCCACCUGAGUGAGCAGCGCGUGGGGCUCACGCGCGCGUCUUGAAGCCGGUUAGAAACCGGUCCGACCAGUGGCGGUCUGACCGAUUCCCGGUCUGACCGUCCGGUCUAGCCGCCCAAUCCAAACGGUUGACCGGUCCAGUCAACGGUUGACCGGGCCGGGUCGGUCUAUGGCACCCCUCGACAGCCCCCGAUCUGUUAAGGUCGCCACAGUUCGCUUGCCUUUCACUUUCCCUAUUAACAUGUCACUCUGAUACCAUUUCAAUUGCAGCGGGUCUAUACAACCAUGGGGGUUUACAUUUUUUUUUUUGAUAGGUCCCUUGCGCAAUUCAUAUACGGAAGCACAUCCAACAAACUCCCUUCCCUAUAUUCAGAAAACGAUGCACACCUACAAAACAUCUUAUAUAAGUUAAAGCCGAACACGUUUAUUUACAUAAAGCAUAUGGACAUCUUUAGUCUGUACAUCGAAAUGCCAAUGUUUCUAUACUCGGCUAUACUUCAAAAGAUGACUGACAUCUCUUAUAACAGUCGAAUAUUUAAAGUCCAUCGAUUAGUGUCGGCAUCCAAAAAUUCCUCCAUUUGCUAUCCUCCUCCUCGCAAUCAUAUCCAACCACUUGAUUCAUCUACUGGUAGCAGUGGCAGCAGAGACAUCUUAUCUAGUCUGAAAUGUUAUUCCCCAAAAGGGGUGAGUACAACCACUCAGCAGGUAAAUGAUCAAUAAACCACUCAAUACAUCAUGCCAUGCAAUCAUCACAAUCAUAACAUCACAUGUCAUACAAGCAUCCAUGCACAACAUACCCUGGCAUCAUGCACAUGUCAUCAUACCUCAUGUACCAUCAUCAUCAUAUAGACGUCAUCAUCAUAUCAUACACUUACCAUCAACAUGUCACAUAUGGCAUCAUCCUUACCAUGCAUCCAUGCGUAUAACAUCAUCAUCAUAUCACCAUAUCACAUGUACCAUCAUCAUNNNNNNNNNNNNNNNNNNNNNNNNNNNNNNNNNNNNNNNNNNNNNNNNNNNNNNNNNNNNNNNNNNNNNNNNNNNNNNNNNNNNNNNNNNNNNNNNNNNNNNNNNNNNNNNNNNNNNNNNNNNNNNNNNNNNNNNNNNNNNNNNNNNNNNNNNNNNNNNNNNNNNNNNNNNNNNNNNNNNNNNNNNNNNNNNNNNNNNNNNNNNNNNNNNNNNNNNNNNNNNNNNNNNNNNNNNNNNNNNNNNNNNNNNNNNNNNNNNNNNNNNNNNNNNNNNNNNNNNNNNNNNNNNNNNNNNNNNNNNNNNNNNNNNNNNNNNNNNNNNNNNNNNNNNNNGGCAUCUCGUAUCCCAACUAGCAUCACGAGGCAUCCCCCUGGGCACAAACCUCCAGGGCUUCCGGCAUUUACACUCCUUGGCCGGGCAUCUCGCAUCCCAACUAGCAUUGCGAGGCAUCCCCCCGGGCACAAACCUCUGGGGCUUCCGGAAUUACGUACCGACAUAUCACCAGGAUCCCCCCCCUCCUCUGGAAUUAUGUACCGUAUACCACCGGGCAUCUCCAAACUCCCGAGGAAAUCUCCGGGGCUCGCCAUGAAAAUGGUUUCCCCUACCCUCCGGAAUUACGUACCGACAUACCACCAGGCCUCCCCUGGAAUUACGUACCGUAUACCACCGGGCAUCCCGACACUCCCGGGGAACCGUUGGCUCACACCUCCGACGGCCUUCUCACUUAUCUCAAUUCACAUUUUCAAUUAUAGUUCAAUUAUAACAUGGCAUGUGAUGUGAUGGCAAUCAAGAUCAUAUUCAUCAUUGAAUUCAUACAUGCAUCUCAAAUCAUUAUCAUGCAUGCAGCUAGACACCAUCAUCCAUCACAAUACAAUUCAUGGAGUCCAUGCAAUAUAAAAUGGUCCAUAUCUCAUGCCUUUUCAAAGUUUACAAAAUUCCAGCAUGUACCAUUUUUAGAAAAUAUUUAAAUUAAAUAUCCAUAUGCUUCUCAAAAAUCAUGAAAUUAAGGCUAGUGAUAGACAAGACAAUAGGGUAAUAAUUUCAUGAAAAACACAAGGCCAAUCAAAUUCCACACAAAAUUAUAAUUCACACAAAUACAGCAUGUAAUUUCGGAUAGAAACAGAAUGCACAGUUUCCGAAAUAAUUUUAUUAAAAUAUCCAAAAAACCUCAGAAAAUUAUAAAAUUUUACCAGGUUAUAGCCAAGACACUAAAGUGGAUUUUUCAUGGAGACUUCUAAGACAAAUUAUCUUUAGAUUAUUUUCUACAGUCACACGAAGCUUCUGGAUCUAACACCGAAACGUCCAGUGCAUGCUUCUCCGAAAUACUGAGUUUUCACCUACCUAUUAUUCUUAUUUUCCUCUGAAAUUUGGAUAUGUUUUACUUCAAGAGGUCCCCUACAACUUUCAUUAAGGGAUCUAAGUCAAAAUUCCAGAGUAUAGUCAUCAUUCGGGUCCAUGAAGUCUCGGGUAACCUAUACCGCGUCUCCAGAUCUACGGUUUUCAAGAGUAAGUUGAUUCACUAGGCUACACUUGUUUAUUUUGCUUCAAAUUUGAUUUUGUUAAACUUAAAGAUGUUCUCUACAAGUUUCAUGAAGAAGUCAAAAAGAUAUUCUUAGUAAAAAUCAAUAUGCAACCACAAAUCCACCGAAAGGUCAGUGAAAUCGUUCCAGAUCUGGUGUCUCCGUAGGAUGAGUGUUUGACCCCUAAAAUCUCCAUCAUUUUGUACUAAAUUUUAGUAUGUUAUAUUUUAAGAUGUUGGAUACAACUUUUAUGAAGAGAUAAAAGUCAAAAUCGAACUCAAAACAUGCAUGCAAGCUCUCACAAGAUUCUGGGUCAGGCGGUUCAUGCGAAAACAUUCCAGAUCUAGCAUCUCCGUAGGAUGAGAGUUUGACCCCUUAAAUCUCCAUAAUUUUGCACCAAAUUUUAGUAUGUUGUAUUUUAAGAUGUUGGCUACAACUUUCAUGAAGGAAUCAAGGUCAAAAUCAAACUAGAAACAUGCAUGCAAGCUCUCACAAGAUUGUGGUUCAGGCGGUUCAUACGAAAACAGCAUGCAUCUCCAAGAACAAACCUCAUGUACUUCGAUUUCUAACCACUAAACAUCCAAAAAUUCAACCACACAUGCAAGGGGUGGAAAUCAGUCCCAACUUGCCUCUAAAACCAAGCGGACAUCGACACACAAACGGCACACCGGCGACGAACGGACGGCGUGCGGGCGGCGACGGGUGGACAGCUCCUUCUCUCGGCUCCCCCUUCUCUCUCGCCACUCCCUCUCUCUCUCACUCUCUCAAAACCAGCCACUCUCUCUCUCUCUCUCUCUCUCUCUCUCUUUUUGGUUGCUAUAUAAAUUGCAUGCACCCUCAAUUUGCAUGGGGGACACUUGUCCCUAAGAAGGAGACAAGUGUCUCCUUUGCCGAAGACACUUGGAGGAAGCCAUGCGGCUCCUCCUUCCCCCUCCAUGCGCCGACAAUGGGCCGGGCUUAUGGCCCACUUUAGGCCCAUCUCACUUGGGCCUAAGGUCCAAACUUAAAUGGCCCAAGUUUAUUUUAUUUUAUUUUUAUAAUAUAUCUUAAUCAUCAUUUAAAUAAAUAUCUAAUUGCAUAAAUAAUAAAGGCCAUUAAACUUAUAGUCACAAAUCCAUAAAUUCCAAUUUAAUGAUGCACAUGGCCAAUGAUAGAAUUUUCUUUCCUAUCACAUAAUUAUCCUUUAAAAGCUUGGCCAUAUAUCUUAUUGCAAAUUAUGGAUUAAAUAGCCAUAACUUGAUGGUACUUCUAUCACCUAUUCAUAGACUUUAAUGUAACUAGAGGUCAUUAUGAAUUUUGGGAUGCCACACGGUCAACGGGUCGGGUCGGUCGCCUUCUAGGUCGGGUCAAUGACGUCAUUCAAGCCGGGCGCUGACGUCAUCGGGUCAAUUGCUAACGUCACCGUGACGUCAGCACUCACGUGCGGUGCACGCAUCGGGUUGGAUCCGGGUCGCUAACUUCACCGUGACGUCAGCGGCCGCGUGCGUCGCACGCCCCGCGCGUGGGGGCGAGUGCGGCGUCCUCCAGCGACGCGCCGCCCACAGUUCUGCUCGUAUCGUCGAGCCCAGUCUGAAUUUGCAAUUUAAUUUUAGUUUUAUUGAGCAAAAAAACUCGAAAAUCGCAAAUUAUGGCAAGAUACAUACUAAUUAGGGCAAAUCCAUACAAAUUAGGGUAGAUCCGUACAAAUUAUGGUAAAUAUGUACAAAUUAGGGCAAAACCAAUUGCAUUCAAGUUUUAGGGUUAUGGUUGCUCUGAUACCACGUGUUGGACGCAAAUUGCACAACCCCAAAAUCUCCAUAACUAGAACAAGAAUAUGCAUAAUUGAGUAGAAAGAUUAACGCACCUGUUUUGGGAUCUAUUGUUCUUGAAGCGGAAGCGGAAACACAAUGUUCCACGCGCAAGUCCUUCUCCUCUAUUGCCCUCCAUAUCACUGAUUCAAUGAGGCGGCCCACUCACAUGUAGCGUUAGGUAAACGCCCCUUAGAUGAGGAUACAUGUGAGAAUUAGGGUUAGAGGAGAGACUUGAGCACUAUUUAUAGAGUUUCCAGCCAAUCCCUCUCAUUACGGGCUAGGCUCAACUCGGCCCACACUAGCCAGCCCAUAUUAGACUAAUUAAGAAACAUUUUAUCUCACCUUAGACCAACCAUAUUUUAUGGUAACCGUAAAAACAAUAAAUUAUAAUAUCAAUUAAUUUAGUCCACAUUAGGAAAACUCUUACAAGUAAUGGGCUUGAAGUUACAUGAACGAUCUCAACCAUCGAAUAAAAUAAAAUUAAUGUCAAAUGUUUGAUUUGGCAUGACCAUUUUGUCCUGCCAAACCCUACUAUCCCAUACCUCAGGCCAAAAAUUACAAGUUGUGCCAUAUCUUUAGCUUUACGCUUGUGAAAUGAAACAAUUAUCACUAAAAUCCAAUCUCGUAUUUAGCUCAUCCAAUGAGAAUCGAUGAGUCUAGAACACUUGGAAUGCCAAAACUUGUCACAAUUGGACACUUAAAUGUCAAAAGUUAGGGAAGUGAUACUUAGGGGGUGUAUGACAAACCAGAAUUUAUGUUCUAGAAACAAUUUUUCUAUUCCAGACUUGAAUCUGGAAUAGAAAUCCGUUUGAUAAACUUAUUCCAUUUUUCUUUUUCUGAAAUAGAUUUCUAUUCCAGAAAUAGGUUUGGAAUAGAAAUCAGAAGUAUAAAUUUUUUACUUCUCUAUUUCUAGAACAUAAAUGAGAAAUAAAAAAAUUUCUCAUCAUUCGUCAACCGGUCAUUCAUCUGUUGCUGCCAACCACCGUCCGUCGAUCAUCGGCCCCCACCGCCGCUGAUCGUCGGCCGCCUGCCAGCCCUCGCCGCCGCUGCCGGUCGCCCGCCACCGGCCGCCGCUAAUCGCCGACCACCGGCCGCCGCCAUCCAUCACCACUAUCCGCCGGUCUGCUGCCAUCCGAAAAGAAGAAAUUUUGUGUCGUUAUCAAACGAAUUUCUAUUUUUAUAGUAGAAAUUUUGUGCUGUUAUCAAAUGGUUAUUUUUGCUUAGAAACUCUUUUAGAAAUAGAAAUAGAAAAAUCUAUUUCUGUUCCAGAAAGUUUCUGGAACAGAAUGGUUGUUAUGCGCGCCCUUAAAUACCAAAAUCGGAGUAAAAUUGAUCAGUUUAGUACCAACGGCAAGAAAUAAAGUUUGGAUAAACUAUGACUUAAAGACUAAUUCAAAUAAUACUUUGAACUUAAUGUUGCCAUAACAAUAUGCUUUGAAAUAUUAAUCUACACUAUUUUAAAAAAACAAAUGAACGACCACUUCAACAUCACAUUUUUACAAAGAAAAUUCCGUGAAAAACCCCGCGCAUAUAUUCCAAAGAAAAAUAAGAAGGCAUUCAGUGAAUCUCUUACCUUCUAAAUUCUGAUUCAAAAUACCAACCAAAAAAAAAAAAAAUUGAUGUAAAAUAGUGGUUAAGUAUUCCAUCAAUCUGUCAUCUUUUUUUAAGAAAUUGUGCAGAAUGCAUAAUACACUUAUUCUUCACAAUAAAUUAAAAAAAAAAAACAAAUUAGACUUACUUAGCAUCUCUAUCUUGCAAUUAUUAAAUAUAAAUAAUACGAUAAUUUCGUUAGAAAAAGCCAUUUUCUCAAGAAAAGAUACAUAAUGCAAACUUAACUUAUCCUUUACAAAAUAAAAAAUAAAUAAUUAUGCUUCCUUAACCCCAGAAUUGGGCUUUAGGAGUUUUCCAACUCAAGAUAUGGAGGUCGCAUGUUCGAAUCACACAAAUUGCGUGCAAAUUAGGGUAGAACCACCUACACAGGUCUACAGUCUAAGCUUAAUCGUUUGAUAAGGCUUGCAGGAUAAUAUAUACAAAAUCCUCAUAAACUUGGUAAUCAUUAUACAAAAGAUCCUUAUUAACUUAAUUACGAAGAGAAUGCCCCCAUCAUACUUUAAUAAGUCAUGACAAAUUUUCUGUUAGAAAAUAGUCAUUACCUUUCCAAAUAGUCAUAGUAAAUAAACAGUUCUAGAAGUGAUUUGACAUUUUCCCCUUAUAAACUGAGUUUUUCAUUUCACUUAAAGGAUAAUUUCAGGGGAUUUCUAUCAACAAACAUGUGAAAAAGUGAAAGAGGAUACAUGAAAGGUAAGGCUUAUUUUCAACUAACGGCCAAAAUUAAGUAGAUAUAAGAUGCCAAGUUAGCCCAAGUCCUAAUGUCAAUAAGCAGAACCUAUUCAAAAAUUGCUGCUCAAUAUGUAAAUUAAUUCUGCGUUUUAGACUGUUUCGAUCUUUAUACCAUUUCAAAAUUAAACUUCAAAUUUUUUUCUUGUUCAAUUAGUUAAAUUAUGACAUUAUUUCAAUAGUUUUUUAUAUGAUUUCGUAGACUUGCACAAGGAGUGGGUUUAGGAUUAGUAUCCCAUCAAUGUUUGUCCAUUAGCGGCGGAGGAAAGGAUGUGGAGACUUAGAGGUUGGUGAUGGUGACUUGUCGAGUAAAGAAAUACUAAACCAUUUCUAUAUAAUCUAGCGAAUCAUGUUUAUAUUAUCAUAUUCAAUUUGUAAACUAAAAGGUAUUGGGAGACACUGAAAUGAUAUCCCCCAUGAUAGUAGUAAUCGAUUAUCUACUCAUUUCACUAGAUUUACAUUGAAUUGAACAUGAGUCUGGUGCUAGCCCUCAUUGACCGACAUAGACUUGGCUUUGAUUAUUUAAUCUCAUUUCGGCGAUUUUUUAAAAUUUUAAGUGUUACAUAUAUAACAUGUCACAUUAAAUUUAAGUUUAAAAAAUGGGUUUCUUACGCGUAUCGAGACAAAUAUUCCAACGGCGAUGAUUCCAACAAUUUAAAAUUAAGUCAAAAAAUUGUAAUCUCAUUUUAAUGUAACAGGCGAUGUCAAGUACUUAUUACAGGUCGAUUAUUUUAGUCAAUUUAUUUUAGUAGUUCAGGACGCAUAUUAUAACUAUUUUGUUUAUCUACUUUUUUUUUUCUUGUGAACGAUUUACAAUAAAAAUUUAUUCAACGCAAUUUUUUUUUCUAUUUUUGGAAUAAAUUUUUAGUCUACAAAUAUGUUUGAAAGAAAAAUGAAAAGUAAAAAAUUUAUACUUGUCUAGUUCUAAAAUAAAAAUGAUAAAUAAAAACUCUUCUCAUCACUUGUCCUUACUAUCAAAUAAGUUUUUGUUCCGAAAACAAAAAAUUUGUGUCAUUAUUAAUUGUGUGUUUUUGCUUAAAAACUCAUCCAAGGCAUAGAAUUAGAAAAAUCUAUUUUUGACCAUAAAUUAAUUUCUAAAAUGGAAUGGUUAUCAUUUAUGCCCUUGACAGUUGUUAAUAAUGUAUUUUUUCCUUUCUAUUUAAGUCACCUGUCGUUAAAAAAUGAGGUUAAUAUCACAAAAAAUCCUAAACUAAUAUAUCCGUAACAAAUUUAUCCAACUAAUUUUUUUACCACAAAAAACUUCAAAGCAGUACGCCUGUGACAAAUAUACCACAUAUUGGUACAUUGAUGAUAAAUUUAUUAAUAAUUAGUUUCUAUUAAAUUACAUUGAUAGUACAAAAAAUCACAAACCAGUACACACGUAAUAGAUGGAGGGUAAUUCUCCAAACAACUAUCACGUGUCAUUUAACUCGGCAAUUUGACUGUAAAAUUUAACAGAAAGUAUAUUUGUUACAUGAAUUUUAAAAAUGAAUUUUUGUUGACCACAAUAUUUGAAAAAUGAAUGUGAAAAGUAAAAGACUCUAGAUAAACCCAAUAAUUUCCCAUAUUAAUUUUUUUUUCAUGUAAAGAGUAGUAGUAUUGAAGAAAGUAAACUUGUUUAUAACGUUGAUGAAAAAUAGCAAAAGUUUAAAUUCCUAAUCUAAAAAAAUAUAAUUUAGGUUACGUCUAAACUAACAAUCACAUUAGACAUUACAAUAUAACAAUAAGCUUGAUUAUAAUGUUACUUCUAUAAUUUUAAUAUGAUUUCAUGGGCGAACACAAGGAUUGGGUUUAGGAGUGGUACUUAAUUAGUCAUUAUUUGUGGAGGAUAGGACGGAUUCCCAAUUUAUGUUUGUCUAAUCACUGUUUGCCUAUUAAUGAAUAAUUAUUCAAAAAAUCCUAAACCUAUUGUAUGACAGCCAAUUUAGUUAUAAACUUUUCAAUUUUACUAAUUUAGCCCUAAACUUUUUAACGAUUUGCCAAUAUAGUCCUUCCAACUAAUUUUGGUUGGAAAGCACUUGGCGCUUGUAUCAAUUGUGAUAACUCGCAUUCACUUUAGCGAUUUCCAUUGAAAGUUGGCUGAAAUGACUAAUUGACAAAUCAUCAAAAGAUUUAGAAUUAAAUUGGCAAAAUUGGAAAUGUUAGGGCUGAAUUGGCCAUUGUACAAUAAAUUUGAAAGUUUUUGGACAAAUUUCUAUCUAUAAACACUGGAGAAAAGGAUGGAUAUCUAAUCCAUGUUCAUAAGAAUGGAGACUUGCACAUUGGUAAUGGUGAUGGUCAAGGAACAGUAAAAUGCAAAAAAAUCAUCCAUCUCAAUAUACAUACAUAUUGAGAAAUUAGCAGUAGUACCAAACUGAUGCUUAUAUUGCUCGAUUGUUUAUAAGUCCACAUUGUUGUCUUGAUUGAGCGACUAAAGGCAGUCCUUUUUUUAAAAAAAAUUUCUUGACCAAUGACGACUUGGAGCGGUGUCCUACAAGUUUUCAGCUUCCCAAGGAAUUCAUUGCAAAGGAAGAGUGGGAAAAAUUGUUCAAGUCACUGCUGGUCUAAUUAGGGGUAUGCAAAAGAACUUGGACCCGCCCGGACGAUAUGAAAUCGGACUGAAAUUGCCCAAAACCGGUGGUUCUUAAGGGAACCGGUCCAAUUCCCGGUUCCAUGGGUGGAUUCGCCCACCCAAACCAAAUCAAUUAUAUUAUAAUAAUAUAUUAAUUUUUAAAAUUAAAAAAAUUGUUAUGAUUAAUCUCUAAUUUUGGGAUAUGCCCGAAUUUGAGUGCGCAAGAUAUGCAAUGUCUCCCUCUCCGUCCAUGCCUACCACAUGUUUGAAGAAAUGCCUAAACCAAAUUUGUUAGGAUUAAUCUUUGAUUCCGAAUUGUUAAAAGGAGUACGUGAAUAUAUACAGUGCAUUAUAGGCUUUUGUUGAUUAUUGAGUAUAUUUUCAAUCAGAUUUCAUCUCCACCGAGUCCGAAUCUCUUUAAUCUUUGGUUACCUUUGCUUUGUGCUUUGACCAUAUCUUUGUGAAUGUCCUUUGUAUUUGUGUUGUGGCUAGGAUCAUAAGUCUUGAAUGGAUGAUGGUGAGGAUGAAGGCCGGCAAAUUUCCAUCUGGUGAUCAGAGGCAACCGAAGAUGGAGGUCCGACAAUGGAUAUUUUGUUUUUUUUUUUUUGGUAAAGACAAUGGAUAUUUUGUUUGAGCGUACGAUGUUACAUAAGUUGUGGUGUUCUGGGUUUAAUGUCCUAUUUCUGGAUAAUGGGAUGAAAAAAUUCUAGGAAGAAAUAAAAUAAGAUAAAAAAAGGGAGGAAAAAGCUUCUUGACCGGUUCCAUGGAUUCACUUAGGUGGUCCAGUUCCUGGGUGGAUCCAUGCAACUAAUGGGCGGUUCUCGGUUUCAAUUUUUUGAAACUAAUCCUUAGCGGGUGGUUCCUAAUUUUAGGGUAGGAACCACUCACCCAUACCAUGUACACCCCUAAAUCUAAUUGGCCUCUCCCACCAAGGGCCAAGUUCUACUGCAUAUCAACGAGUCCAUCUUCGCUUACCAUUACCAUGCUUUAUCCUUGUGAAAAAAUCAUUCAAGAAAAGCAGCAUUUCCCUCAUAUAAGGGAGGAAGAGAGAGAGAGAGAGAGAGAGAGAGAGAGAGAGAGAGAGAGCAGGCUGUCAAUGAAAGGGAAAUCAACUUUUAUCUUGCAAAAGGGGCAGCUGUCAUAGAAAUUCACUUCAUGCAAGUUUCGGCGAAGAAAGCUCGUGUACACUAUACAGCAAUAUGAAGAAAAAAGUUGUGAAGAGCUCGAAAAAGUAAACAGACAUUGCUAACUAAACUGUAGCGUGUAAUGGAGACAGAACUUAGGACAUGUGGGUUCUAAUCUAAAGUCGGAUUUCUGACAUCGAAGGCCAUUGCUAUUGUAAGCGCCCCAGCAGGCAUUUCACCAAAUUAUUUUGGAUUUCAACAUUAUUUUUAUUUUAUUUUAAUUGCAGAUAAAUGAAAUUUAACUACAAACUACCUUCACUGGUUUGUUUGACAGUACAAACUGGCCAAAAUGUGUUCUUAUUCUAAGUAAAUAUAUAUUUUAUAAUCUCUUUUUUUUUUUGGCUUUUCUUUUGGUUAAUCAUUAUAUUUUUCUGUUGAUUGAUUUUUGUUGAUAUUACACUGAUGAAAAGGAAGCAUAACUUAAAAAGGACACUUUUUUUGCUAUUAAUGAGUGUUUUUACAACAUAUGGAAUAUUUCCCCAUAUAUGAAAGUCUUUCAGCCUAUACUAGAUACAUUUACCAAGUACAAUUAGUUUUUAUUAAGAGUAACGUGCAAUCUUAUCAAUAUGUUAAGAAAUUAUCGGUAUGGAUUCCCUGUAAUAUUUUUCAACGACAAAAGAUCUAACUUUAACAUUAAGUCAAUUGACGGUAGAUGGCCCUCUUAAAAUGCAAAAAUAAAAAAAUCCCUCUGUAAUAUUUCCUUAAGAGACCAAAAAGAACAAAAUGCUAAAAUACCUGUUCUGUUAUUGUUAACUUCCCACAUUCACAUUUUUAGCUUGCGGUUACUUUUACCUUUUUUUUUCGUCUUUCCAUUUUCACCUACGGUAUCUCUCUGGGCAAAGUGCUCUGAAUUUGAUCACGUUCGGUGUGAAUUUUCUUUUUGGGAAAUUAUACUCUUUGAUAUAAAGUUAUGGGAAAAUUUCAAAAAAGGAUCGGAAGUAUCCUUAUUUUCUCAAAUAAGAGCUCGAAAUAGACUUUAUUUCAAAUAAGAACAAAAAAUGGCUUUGGUUGUUUUAAAUAAGAGCUUGAAGUGGCUUUGGUUGUUUCAAAUAAGAACUUGACCUCAUUGGUCGCCGGCCAACUAAAUUUUCCGAUCAGUCAAGGUAUUUUCAUCAUUUGACAUUUUCCUAUUUUUUCUUCCUUUUUUUUCUUUCAUUUUGUUUUUUAGCUUUUCUUCUUCCUCUUCACCGGUGACCAACCAGCCAUCGGCAAUGCCCACAGAGGGUGAGGCGAGGGUUGCCCUUGUCGGCAUGGGCCACCUAUGCCAACCACAGGCGAGGGAUGGCCUCGCCUAGUUGUGGCAACCCUUGCUCAAGGGCCAUUCGCGAGGUUGGCCCUCGCUCAUGGCAGGCGAGGGCUUUAGGCCCUCACUGACCCUUAGCAGUGGUCGACGAGGUCGCCCAGGCCUUGCCGGCCGCGAGUGAGGCCACCCUCGCCAGAUCUAGCGAGGGUUGGCCUCGCCUUGGGCCGACACAGGCCAACCUCGCGGAUGGCCCCUCGCUGAUAAGGGCGACUCUCGCCCAACUUUCUGUAGGACUAGCCACCAGCAAAAAGGAAGAAGAAGAACCAGAAGAAAAAAAGGAAAGAAAAAAGAAAAUAGGAAGAAAAAAAUAGGAAAAUUGACAAAUGACGAAAAUACCCUUAACUGCUGGUAAGUCAGGUACUUAUUUGAAACGGAUGUAACCACUUCAGGCCUUUAUUUAAAACAAACAUAAAUACUUUAGAUCUUCAUUUGAAACAAUAUCUACUUUAGGCCUUUAUUUGAGAAAGUAAUGGCAUUUUGGGUCCUUAUUUAAAAUAAGGUCCAUUUCAGGCCCUUAUUUGAGAAAAAUAGGACACUUUGGGUCCUUUUUUGAAAUUAUGCAUUAACUUCACAAAUAAAAUCAAUGUGAAAAUCUACCUCUAUAUAAUUUUGUAUUACACCCUCUACCCACCUUCUAAUAUUAAUUUUUGGUAAAUUUACAACCCUUCUAACCCAAAGGGGCUGCAAUUUUAAGAAUUUCAAUUUUCCAUGCCCCUCUCCCAAAAAACAUUGUGGCCCAUCUAAGCUCCACCAUCAAAAUAAUAUUACGUACUACUAACUAGAUAAAUUAUUGACAUAAUUGCACAAUUAGUUUUAAACUUAUUAUAUGGAAACUAAUUGAGUCUUAAAUUAUUUGUAAUUGAACAAAUGUAGUCCUAAACCUUUGAGUGGAAAAUGCAAUCCAAUUAUUCCUACCAAAGUCACACUUGAUAUAUACAACAUGGCAGUCCCCGUCAUCACUGGCAAUCUGACAUGUAAUACUGAGGUGUGAUGUGGACUAUUUCAACAAAAUGAUGCCGUUUUUAUUGAAUAUGGAGUGAAUAUGAUUCUGUUGCAAACCUACAAAGAAUCAUGUACAGCUGAGCUUUGAUGUUUUAAAUUUAUCUUAAUUGGGUUUUUAAAUUUUAAUUGACUCUUAUAUAACCUGACACACUAAAAUUGGGAGAAUUACCAAAAAAAGUCCUAAACUUUUUGUAGUUGUGUCAAUUUAAUCAUAAACUUUUUUUUUUGGUCAAUUGAGUUCUAAACCUUUUACAAUUAUAACACUUUAGUCCUUCCGGUCAAAAUUGGCCAAUACCGACCACAAAUUUUUUAAUAAUAUUUUAUUUUUCGAAUUAUUUUAUUAAUUUUUAAUCUUUUUAUUUUUACCUUUUUUCUCUCUUUUUUCCCCCUCCCCCCUCCUUCCUCUUUCCUCCUUCUUCCUUGGGCUCCGGCGACUGGCCAGCCCUCAUCGAUUGUCAGAUUGAGGUGGCUGGGGGAGCUCCCCCUCACUAGAUCCAGCGAGGGGGGCCUCUCCAUCACUGGGUCUAGCUAGGCGACCCCUCACUAGAUCCAGCGGGGGCUCGCCCUGCCAGUGGUUGGGCGAGCUUGCCCAAUUGCCUCAAUCUGGCGACCGGUGAGGGCUGGCCAAUCGUUGGAGCCCAAGGAAGAAGGAGGGAGGGGAAAAAAAGAGAAAAAAGGUCAAAGAUAUUAAAAAUUAAUAAAAUAUAAUUAAAAAAAUAAAAUAUCAUUAAAAAUUUGUGGCCGAUGCCCACGUCAAUGUCGGCUAGCCAAUUUUGGAAAAAAUGAUUGAAUUAGCACAAUUAUAGAAGGUUUAAGACUCAAUUGGCCAAAAAAAUAAAUUUAGAACUAAAUUGGCACAACUAUAAAAGGCUUAUGAUUUUAUUUAGUAAUUUCCCCCACUAAAAUUAAGUUGAAAAAUGGAUUUAUAACCCAUAUUGCUACUUCUUUAAGAACUACAUUGUGAGUGUGGCCUAUCUUUGUUCGUUUGUUCUCUUUAUUAAUUACAUUUUGUUAUAUCGAUGCUCUAUUGAUGCUAACACCGUGUAAAUCACUCAUUCCACGGGCGAUGAUAUAAUGCGAGUCAUUUUUGUUAUUUUGACAGCUGGUAAUUGUACGUUUUUUAUUUUUUAGUUUGAAGCUACACGAUGCGCGUGCAAUUUAAAUUUUAGGGGAAAAAAAAAAACAAGCUGGUAUCCAAUAUUGUGACUACUUGGGGUUUGGCUUUCGUUACUUUUAUAAUUUUCUCGCACCUAAUCAAUGUUUGUGCAUUAGCGGUGACCGGUCGACCGAAGGAAUAACAAAAUGAAGAAAAUCACCCAUUUCUGUUGGUCAUCGUCUACAACUCCCCCAUUCCAUUCUUGUCUGGAUUGGAUGCUACCCAACUUAUAAAGGAACUGACUGGUGUUUAGUCAAGGCUACCAAGCUCUUCCACGCUUAUAUUGAUUGCUCUUCGACAUUUCCGUCCAUCGUCCUUCUCUGCACUCAAAUCUCUUUGCCUUCUUCGUCUCUCAUCGUUCUUGCUCUGUCUCGCCCUUUCUUCUCCUCAGCACAACCUUUCUUCCUUCUCCUCUUCUUCUCCUCCUUCAAUAUCUGCUUCUCUUUUUCAUCGUUCUCUUUAUCUGUCUCUCUGUUUUCUCGCUCUUUAUUUCUCGGACAAAAAAUCAAAGAAAAAUGUCGACCGAUUCUGCCGUUUCAAUUGCAUGGGACGUUUUGAAGUGCUUAGUUGCUCCCCUCAGGCGUGGAUUCAGAUACGUCACGUCCUCCGAGAGCUACGCCAACAAUCUUCUGAUGGAAGUCGGGAAUCUGAAGUACGAGGCUCAGAGGGUCCGCAGUGCCGCCGAAGUGGCUAGAGAUAAUCUUCAGAAUAUCCACGAAUGGGUCCCAAAGUUUCUGGCAAGUGCCGAGGAGGCCUUGAAGGAGGCCGAAGACCUAUUGGAAAAUUUUGAAAAGGCGAGCAAGACUUGCUGCCACGGGACUCUUCCCGACCCCAAUUGUCGCUAUCAGUUCAGCAGGAAGGCCAAGCACAAGAUCGAUGACAUUAAGAAUCUCAUUCUAGAAAACAGUAAUAGGGAGAUCUCCUUCAGCGGUCCUGCUCCUGGUGAUGUCGCUGCUCUAAUUCCAGCUGGAAGAGAAGGCAAAGAUGUCGUCCAGUCGACCACCACAGCGGCCUCAGCUUCUUCUGUCGACUUCGAAUCCAGAGCUUUGAUGAUACUGAACAUCAUGGACGCUCUUAUGGAUAACCGCUAUAGCGUGGUCGGGGUUCACGGGAUGGGCGGGGUCGGCAAGUCCACCCUUUUGGUGGAUGCUGAGAAGAGAAUAAGGGAAAAAAAUUCGUUCGGUUGGGUUGCUAAGGCUGACGUGUCGCAAAAUCCAGAUGUCAAGAAGAUUCAAGAAGAGAUUGCGCACUGGUUGGGCCUUAACGACAUAAAGAAGGAAGAGAAUGUCAGUUUGCGAGCGAAGCUUCUGCGCGAGAGGUUGGAAGAUUUGGAGAGGAAGAAAAACAAGGUCCUCAUAAUAUUGGACAAUCUGUGGGAGCGGCUCGACUUGAAAGACAUUGGCAUUCCUUGUGAACUGGACAACAAAGUUAUAGGAUGUAAGCUGUUGUUAACGGCGAGAGAUGAACGUGUUUUGCGAAGGGAAAUGCGCUGUGACAAUGCCUUCCUCCUCGGUGUACUGGAAGACGAAGAGGCAAAAAGAUUGUUUGAGACGAUGGUAGGAGGUAAAGUUCAAGUUGAAUUAGAAUCCUUGGUGGAGGAAGCACUCCACAUAUGUGCAGGUUUGCCUUUCCUAAUUCUCGCAAUAUCAAAACUUUUUAUAGACACUAAUUACUCUGAUUGUAAGGAUGCUUUGAAACAAAUCUGGAACGAAGAAACCGGUGAGGUGAUAAAUAAGACGUUGCGAGUGAGUUAUGAUCGUAUAAAAUGCGAGGAGGCGAAGACAUUGUUACAACUCUGUGCUGUUUAUGGUGUCUCUAAGCCCUCUCUUGAAAACUUGGUGAGGUACAGUGUGGGUUUGGGGCUAUUUAGAAAAAAUAGCAGCAUGGAAGACACUAGAAAUAGAUUGAGCUCACUUAUCCAUACUCUUCAAGCCUCCUCCUUGUUGUUACACAACGGAGAAAAUGAUAGUUUCAAGAUACAUGACUUGGUUCGUGGGUUUGUUACCUCGGUUACUUCAGGAGAUCACUUUCUUCUUGUUUUGAAAGAUAAAGAUAAGUCAGUAAUAGAGUUGUCAAAGAAUAAGCUCAAAAGUUGUAAGGCCAUAUGCUUUUCCUACAUUGAUUUGAAGGAGCUUCCCCAAGAAUUAGAUUGCCCCAAAUUGCAAAUCUUUAUGUUGUUCACAAACAAUAAAUCUCUUGAGGUCCCAGAUUCAUAUUUCAACUCUAUGAGAAAUCUCAAGGUCUUAGAUCUUAGUGGGGUACGUCUCAGUCGUUCACCUUCGUUGUUUCAAUUCUUGACGAACUUACACACUCUGUGUCUUGAUCAUUCUUCGUUAGAGGAUGUGACCAUUCUUGGUGAGCUAAAAAGGUUACAAAUUCUCAGCCUUAUGAACUCCAAAAUUCGGCGAUUGUCAAAAGAAAUGGGGCAAUUGGUAGAGCUAAGGUUAUUGGACUUGAAUUAUUGUUCAAAUCUUCAGAUAAUUGAACCAGGUGUGCUUGGAAGCUUAAUCAAAUUGGAGGAGUUGUACAUGAAUAAACUUAAACAAUGGAAUGCUGUGACCCAAACUCUACCAACUAAUGCUAGUCUUAUCGAGUUGAAUAACAUGAAGAAACUCUGGACUUUGCAUGUGUCCAUUCUCGAUCCAAGUGUGAUCCCAGAGGAUCUAAAUGUCAAGAAAUUAACCAAGUAUGAAAUUCAUAUAGGUGAAGGAUGGCAUUGGUCUGGUCGCAAAGGAUUGAGCACAUUGAUGCUCCAGUGGGAUCCAAUAAGCGAUAUUUUUCAAAAAGGAUGCAUACAAAGAAUUUUAGGCAAAACUGACAAUAUGAUAUUGGAUAGUUUGAACGGAAUUGAGCAAAGUAUUUGCACAUUAUCCCAAAAAGGUUUUCCAAAAUUAAAGCAUCUAUGUGUCGAGAAUAGUCCCUCAAUUCAUUACAUCCUCCAAUCGUCAUCCCAUAUAGAUUUUAUGACGUUGGAGUCAUUACUUCUCAAGAAUCUCAUCAACUUGGAGAAGAUAUGGACCUCCAAUAUCUCCUCCAAGUCCUUCAGCGCAUUAAAAGUAGUACGAGUCAAGUAUUGUCACAACAUGGAAGUACUAUUUCCUCUUUCAUCAGUGAGGGAACUUCCACAGCUAAAAGUGAUGGAAGUUGGCAAUUGCAAGAUAAUACGGGGAAUCGUAGAAGCUGAUGAGAGUGGCAAAUUUGGGUUGCAUGAUUUGCAUGUAUUGAAAUUGCAUUCCUUGCCACAUAUCAUGAACUUUUUCACUACCAAGCUGGCUCCUUUGAGUAGUAGAUCAGACAGCCCAGUUGGCACUCAAAUUGCGUUCUUCAAUGGACAACAGGUAACUUUCUAUCAAAAGAAUGUUAAUUAUUUAUUAGUUUUUUUUUCUUCCUUCGCUUAUUAGAUGUAACGCGGAUUAUGGUGCUUAUUCAAUUUGUUAUUUUUAGUUUGUUUUCUUCCUAAUUGCUUUAUCUGUGCAUGCCUUCUCUGUAAUUAGAUAAAGUAAUCUUCUGUUACUCUUCAGUACAUAGAAAUCCAAAUAAUUGUAUGAAAUCCAUGUAAAUUAGUUUGUGAUAAAUUCUGAGUUAUUUUCAACUUACAUGCUGCAAGUACAUCUAUAUUCAUAGGCUUUCAUAAGCAAAAUCAAAGGGAAUUUUGGCACUAAAGUAAUUCCAUUGGUAAGGUAAUAUUUUAUUUUUUUGAAAUGGAUUCCAUUGAAUUCAGUUAUCAAACUUUGUUAUAAUCCAUAAAAUGUAUGAUAUAGGCAACUCUCUUAAAAACCAACAUGAAGAAUGGAAAGGAGGACAUGGAUUUUAAAUAAAAGUAACUAUGCUAAUAUAAUUGAUGCACGUCUUUUGUAUAUUGUAAGAGUAGGAAUGUUCAUGCACGCAUGUAAUAUGUAUAAAUAUUUUUGUACUUAUUUUUGGCAUCACAAACACAAAUCCAGAAUGGGUGUUUAAUAUCCUGUUAAAUGGGUUAUUGAUAGUGAUUUACUAACAUUAAAGAGAAGUUAGUAAACUAAGGACAAACAAUGGCCUGGUUAAAAAAAGCGCACAACUAUUUUGUCCAAAAAAAGUUGAGGCGGCUAUUUCAUUGACUUGAAAAGAUUGCAUUUUCAUAAUGGUGAUUAGCACUAAAGUUGAUGGUGGGCCCAAGACUCUUGCAGUACGUUAAUUUCCCCAUCAGUAGAGGUCCUGGGCAUAUUUGUCGUGGGUCCCACAAGGCAGUGUGUGUGAGCCUUUACGUCUUCGUUUUUUCUUAAUCGCCGUAGAUUUUGGGGUUUUAAACUUGUGCCAUUGUUAGUGGCCACCCUCCAACAUGGAAGGGGGAGGUGAGGGGUUCAAAUCUCCACAUUCUCAGGGGGGAUGGGGUGGGGACGCGUAAGUUUCAAGAGUGGGUUUCGACUCCCACGCCCUGCACGAGGCAGGACAAAAGUCUGAGAGUGAGUGUAGAGUAGGAAUAGAAUAGGACUGACAAAAAAAAAAAAACUUGCACAAUUGUUCUCAUUGGACACUAGCCAUGGAUAUCAAUUGAACUUUUUUUGGGUCGAAAUUUGAGGCUGAAAGCGUUGUCAAGUUUGCUUUAUUAUGCAGAGAGAGAUAAGUAAUGCUCCACUCUCUAAUCCAUUUCUAAAGGAGAAAUUCUUCGGAUGGAAUAAAACUAGCUCACUCAUCAAAUUAAGCUCAGCAUUGCAAGUUUUUUUUAGCAAAGGAAAGACUGGAAAUUAGAAACGACGUUAGUAUGGAGAUUUUUUUUACUUCGUUUUUAUUUUCUUUGAUUCUUGUUUUCUUUUUCUUUUUUCCUUUUGUGAAACUUAAUAAUCCCCCUCUCCCCUUGGCACUCAUCUAUAUUUACAUCUUGAAAGUUCAUGAAUUCGAAUCUAAAUUAAUCACCAAUUCCAUGAGCAAAUUCCGCAGGAUGCCUUUCAGAGAUUGGAGACAUUAGAAAUCAUUGGCUUGGAUAACCUCAGGUUUAUAUUUUUCCCAUCCAUGGUUAAAUCUCUCACACAACUGAAAAAACUGACUGUAUCGAAUUGUGGGAAGACGGAGGCAAUCAUUAUGGAGGAAGAAGGGUUGGGAAUGGAAACAUCAGACAUUGUGACAUUCCCCAUGUUAACCCAUUUACACUUAGAACGUUUGAAAAGUUUGACAUGCUUCUCUUGUGGAAAGUGUAAGAUUGAUUUUUUAUUUUUAUCAUUGAAGAUUGUCUUGUCGAUAUAUUCAUCUCUGCAAUACAAAUGGUGAUAUUCUUUUCAUCCAAUGAAAUACCAAUGACAGGUGCACGAGAAAGUCGAAGUCAAGAUCACAUCAGAUCACGCACCACUGCACUCUUCAAUCAAGAGGUACAUGAUUAACAUUACGUCAAAAUAAUAAAUAUACCGGAGACAAAAAUAGCCAAGACAAAAACUAAGUUACAUAUAAUGUAUAUUUUGAUUAAAAUAUGUUAACAGAAAAUGAGUACCGUACAAGCAUAAGUGUUCGAAGUUGCUGAUAUGUAUGAGUUGCAAUUUCUUCCUUUUAAUUUCUCUACAAAUAGUUUCCAUAAAGAUGGUUGACCAUCUCUUCUCAUACUUGCACAAUGCAUAAAGGGUAAUACAACUGCCAAAUAGGAUUGCUAAAACUUUCUGAUGUUCCCAAAAAAACUCAAAACUCUAAUCAGCCUCAAUGUACCGCAUAGACAUUGCAUGCAUGUACAUUGAAAGAAAUUUAAAAAAUAAUUGAUUGGAAAGUGAGCAGUAGGGUUCAAGAGGCUGGAGAUGGAGGGCCUUUAAGAUUCUUACUUGACAUCAUUUGCAUUGCAAGAUCUCAUUUAUUUUCUUGAUCGAAGGAAGCUUCACUCUCUCCUAAUUGCACCGGCAAAAGGAGUCUAGGCACUCUCCAUUGCCAAAUUGAGCAAGAUCUCUAUGGUCCAGGGCUUCGGAAAUCACCCCUCUUAGUCUUUACAUGAAUUGAAAGACCAUUCUUAUGAAACUCUUAUUAAAGAAAUAAAAUACGUUUCAUAGAUCAGCCAUUUCAUCUGAGUCAACUGUCUUGUCGAGCGAAUAGCAGAAGAACAUUCGAGUGGAAAAUGAAAUAGAGUAAUUUACAGGCGGGUCCACGUUGACUAACCUAAGAGCAAUAUAAGCCGUUCACCUAAAAUGUUGAUUACGCAGCCUAAUAGGCUAUGAAAAUGGGCCCUCGCACAAGAUUAAUUCGUCGACUUUCUUAGAUAAUUUUAAUAUUCUAUAACGAGGUAUUUAGGAAAAUCUUCAACUAUUUGACUCAAGUAUAUGCAUAAUCUGUCGGUGGUAUCUAAUAUUGGAUCCUCUAGUGCUGAUAAAGGAUCAAUGAAUUUUAAAAGGAAAAUUCAAUCGAUCAAGGGUACUUAGUUCUUUCAAGUGGGAAAUGAUGUAAGUAAGAUUUAUUCGUUUGACCCAAGCAAUUCCUUUUCUAAUUGCUUUUUCUUAGCCUCACUGCUUUAGAGUGAUAUGAUAUUAAUUUGAGGCAUUCGGUAUUAGAUAAAAUCAUAACUCCUACUGUAUUGCACCUUUUGAUGGAUGAUUGGUUGGCUUUUUUUUUAUCUCAAUCUCUACAUUAUUUUCUUUCUAAUUGCUAGUAUUCUUCCUCAAGCUAUCCUUAGCUGCAUUUUUCUUUUGCUAUAUCACUUCCGUAUAUAUAUACUUGCUAAUUCAUUAUUUUAGGAAAGUAACUAAAUUAAAGAGGGAGAGAUUUUAUUAAAAUUUGUGAAAUAUGGGAGACUAAUGUGAUCAUAUGAUUUUCAUAUGAGCAUAUCCAAAUUACUAUUUUGUCCAUUAUCAAUAAAAUCUCAUCAGAAUAGAAUUCCUACUUUCCGAUUUGUUUCCAAGUAAUUCCAACAGCCUUUUCGUCCUACAAUCAUCCACAUUAGUAUGGAAAUUUGCUUACUAACUCUCUUGAUUUUGUUCUCUUUUUCCUUUUGUGCAAAUUAAGAUAGAAUCACCAACUCCAUGCUUUCGUAAUUUACAUCUUGGCACUCAUAUAAAUUUUAUUUACAUCUUGAAAGUUCAUGAUUUCAUAUAUUAACCGAAUCACCAGUUUCAUGAGUGAAUACUCGCAGGUUGCUUUUCCUAACUUGGAGACCUUAUAUAUCGAUGGCAUGGAUAAUAUCGAGAUUAUAUGGGACAACCAAGCUAUCGUAGAUUCUUUCCCCAAGUUAAAUGUGUCCCGUAUAGCUGGAAAUUUUGUGGCACUCAUAAAAUUGAGGAUAAGUAAUUGUAAAAUGUUGACAAAAGUCAUUAGUGAUGAGGGAAGUGAGGAGGGGCAUGUAAUGGUUUUCAAUCAUUUGGAGCAUAUGAAGCUUGAUGGGUUAAGAAGGUUGAGAUGUUUCAGCUCAGGUGAAUACACUUUGAUGUUCUCUCUCUUGAAAGAUGUCAUUGUGAGUGGAUGUCCCAACAUGAAGUUUUUCUCUAAGGGACUAAUACAUGCGUCAAAUCUAGAGAGAGUAAAAGUAUCGGAAAAAGCAUGGUUUUGGGAAGAAAACCUUAACAUCACCAUCCAACAUAUGUUUAAAGAAAUGGUAUGCAUCAGUUACCAUAUUCCAUGCAAUUGGAUGGUUUUGAUCACCAACAGAGUAAUUGCUUUUUGCUAACUAGAAGUUUACUUUUAAUGAUGCAUUUUUUACAGGGUAAGAGUGUUGGAGCAAAGUUUAUGCAGCUAUCCGAGUUCCCUGAGCUAAUUGGAAAAUGGCAUAGCGAACUUAAUCCCAUCAAGUCAUCUUGGCAAUUAGAAUUGCUGAUGGUAGAUAAGUGUCCAUCAUUUUCUAAUGUUAUUCCAUCUAGAUUGAUGCUUGUUUUAGAAAAUAUGUGCACAUUGCAAGUGCACGAUUGCAAGUCACUAGAAGAAAUAUUCGAUCUAGAAGGGCUAGAGGCUAUGGAAAGCACACAGGUGCUGCCUUCCUUUAGGACAUUGAGCUUGGUCAAUCUACCAAAGUUGAGGCAACUAUGGAACAAAGAUCUUCAAGAAUCCUUGCCCUACAAUUUUCUAUCUUAUAUAACUCUUUAUAAAUGCAAUGGCUUGAGACACACUUUUGUUCCAUCAAUGGCUCGGUGCCUUGCCAAUCUUGAACAAAUGGAAAUAAUGGAGUGUGGUCAGAUGGAAGGAGUGAUCGCAGAGGAAGAAGGGCAAGGAAGCGCAAUGAAGAAAAUUACAUUCCCGAAUCUUUAUUUGGUGAAGUUGGAAUGCUUGCCCAAUUUGACUUGUUUCCUCUCGGGGAACAAUCAUACGUUGGAAUGCCCCGUCUUAGAUGAGUUGACCAUUGCCCACUGCCCCAAGAUGAGAAGUUUGAUGGGGCAAUCCUUGAUGGAGAUUGAGUGCGAUGCCCCUUAUCUUUUUACUCCACAAGUUAGUCCUUUCAAAAAUGCAUAUUUGACAGUUAAUUUGGAACAUAUUCUAGUAAUAUUGGACAAUGCAUGGUAUGUGUCAUGUGUGGACAAAGUGCUAGAUAUAAAUGUUCGUAAUAUUAGUCAUUAACGCUACGCUUAAAUUUAAAUGGAACUCAUGUUUCAUAACUAAAUAAAUACAAACAUAGUAUCUAGCCACCUACAGCAGUCCAUGAUCACAUUCAUAAAUUAUUAAUGCAAAACAAUUCAGACAUCGACAAAUAUGUGUGGAUUCAAAAUCAUCCAAUUGUAUGUAAAUUUCCCAUAAGUACUAGCAAUAUGGUGCUUUGUGCAAAUUUAUGUACAGAAUCUUCUAAUAUUUAACACGAAGAUUACAAAGAUUCUAAUCCUCAGUAAACAUAACUAUUAAUGUUACAUCUCCAUAUCCUUUUAGGAGUGUAAUUUUUGUGUUAGCUCAUGUAAUCAUAUCAUACACAGUACUUUAGAAUUAAUUAGCGAGCUUCUUAAAAAAGUUAUCAAAAUAACCAUAUAAAAACACUUUUUACAAUUUGAAUUAUAAAGUACUAAACAGUAGUCAUAGAAUAGGAUCUAAAAAUUGCAAAAAAGAGGUCCGCAUAGCCACUUCAUAUUUCUCUUGCGUAGAAACAAGCUCGCAUCAUUCUAUUGAACAUGAAAAAAAAAGGGGGGGGGAAAAUAAAACUUCAAAAUUGUCAAAACACAGUUCACAAUUUAAUUAACUAUCACAGCUCAUUAGACCAUAAUCAUCUUCCCAAUCGAUGGAAUUGGAGGAAUUAGAGAGAGUGGCUCCUUUUAAUUGGAGUGCUCUAAACUUCGAUAAUCAUAAGUGCAAUCAACUUUUAAUUUCUUAAUUAUUCGCCAAUGCUUGAGUUGGUUCUUAAGAUUAAAAUAAUUAAAAGUAAACAGGUUGAUAUGUAUGAACCGAUUCGUCUUCUUCAUUAAUAAAAAUUACUUGAAUUGCUAUACUUGAACAGCCUAUCAAAUUACAAACCUGUUUUUUGCAAUAAAUAAUAAUUGUGGAUUAUUGUAUAUAGUGACCAUUAGUGUUAUAAUGUCUACGAUCUAUGUUUGGAAAGAGAAAAAGACAUAUUGCUUUUUCCAGAAAAGAGAAGGAAAAAAAUAAAAGAAGUAAAAGGACAGCUGGAUUAUUAAUAGUAAACAUUCGGUGUUUAUUUUCACUCGGAUCACGUGUCUACUAAUUCCAUGUCGAUGUGGAAUUUAAGGAAAAAAAAAUCUUCUCUUCUUCCUCCUCCUUCGUCCACAGCCGCCCGAUCUCCGCCGCUCCUCCGCAGUGAACAACGGCGGAGUCACCGACGCCUUGAUUAGGCUGACCUCCGCUAUGUCCAACCCGUCUCAUCGUUCUACAGAUCUCGAAUCUGGCCGUCCAUAGCGAUGGAGCUGCAGAUCUGGAAGUCGACCACGGUCGCUUGCAGCCAUGGACGAGCCGCUGUCGCUGGAGCCAUGGUCGCAGAUCUGGAAGUCCCGUCGCGAGCAACGACGGCUUAUGGACUGCCAUCGUCCCCUCCGUCGUCGCCCGUGGUCGGCUCAUGGUCGGCCUCGCCCAUGGCCAAGCCACCCCUCCAUCGUCACAGCUGUUCGUGGUCGUUGCCCGUCCAGAUCUGGACUGGAGUCGUGCCUCCAGAUCCGGUAUCGUCCAUGGACACAAGCCUAGCCCGUCCAUGGCUCGCGAGGACGCUCCUCCACAGAUUUGGCGACCGCAGCUUGUCCAUGGCCAUGAGCCUUGACGGCGAGUUUGAGAUCCCGACAGCUAUGGACAACGAGGUCAAACAACGAAAGAAAAAUCAGAGGAAUAGAUGUCAGGGAAGAGUGGCCAUGGACGAGACGGUCGGAGCUUGAAUGCGGCCAUGGACGAGCGGCGUCGUGAACGAGCAAACCACAAAGACGACGGAGAGGGUUGGGGGGCCACCAAUGGUCGCCUUGGAUGCGGCGCCGGCAACUCCACCCGGUGGCGACGGCGGAGGGAGGUGGGAAGGUUGGGUUCAAUGUGGCUGGAGGUGGAGGAGCAAGCGUAGAUGGAGAAGGAAAGUGAGGUGGAUCGAGAUUUUUUAUAUUUAGCCGGGUCAAUAUAUAGUCAAUGUCGUAGCUACAUAAAAAAUUUAAAAAGAUAGGAAUCAAUUAUCCAGUCAACACUUCCAUUCCGUCUGAUAAAGUUCUCCUCGUCGUGCGAAGACUAAACGCAAUAAAUGACGACCUCCUCCGGCACUUCUUUUUUUCGGGUCGAAUCCUGUGGCACUUGAAAAUGCGCGAUAUCAACCCAGAUUUUAUUUUUUGGCCCUUUUUUUAAUUACAGAUUCCGUACAAAUUUCGGUUAUUACUUUUUUUUUAUCUCAUGGAGAAAAUGCUUGUGUUUUUUCUCAUUUUAAUGGGAAAAAACCACCAAAAACCCUAAACUUUGUUUAAAAUGACAAAUUUACCCAAAUCUUUUUGUGACACAAAAAAUUCUAAACUUUACUAAUUGUGACACAUUUAUCCUAAUUUUUUUUUAUAACACAAAAACCCUAAACUUGUAUUUGCCGUGACACAUUUACCUUAAAUUAUAGGGCACUUUCGUCUUUUAAUUUUUUAAUUUUUUUUCUUUUUCUCCUUUCUUCCCUCCGUCGGCCAUGGCGAAGGGAAGCUAAACUCAGGGGAGGGCCACCCUCGCCGGCAUCAAGUGAGGGUGGCCCUUGCCAGAUCCGGUGAGGAAGACCAGCAUUGGGCGGCUCAACGCCUAAGUCUGGCUUCCCUCUACCAUGGCUAACAGACAAAAGAGAGAAUAAGAAAAAAAGGAAAAACAGAAAGAGGAGAAAUAAUAAGAUGAAAACGCCCUUAGCCAUGGAGUUUGGGUAAAUGUAUUACAGUUAGUAAAAUUUGGAGUUUUUUUGUGUCAAAAAAGAAUUUCGAUACAAUCACUCGCGAUGGCCGCGAUGGUUAAAGCUUUCUCCCCCAUCAAGGGGGGAGGGGUUCGAAACCCCGCAUCCCCAUUGCACGACUCACCUGUGGCUGGGUCUAUGGUGGCGGUCCAGUUCGCCCCGAGUUUACCCUGCCGGCUGCCAGCUGUUCAAAGAUUCUCGGGUCACCACAAAAAAAAAAAAAAAAUUCGAGAUAAAUUUGUCACUUUAAACAAAGUUUGGGAUUUUAGGUGACUUUUUCCCUAUUCUAAUACUUUUGAGCAAUUCUUUUUUAUUUUGCCUACAAGUGGAAUGUUUAAUCAUGACGAGUAUCUAUACAUUUGUUUACUUUUUUAUCGUAAGAGUUAUCGCUAAUUAUUUAUUUACUUCUAAUGGUGUUUGCAUGUAUAAGUUGCACGUAAUAAUAGGUAUCCCCAUAUUUUGAGGUUACUUCAAAAAGUCAUUAUAACACUCAAUCAAGAAUACUAAUAAAUUUGGGGAAGUAUGAAAAUAGUUAUCUAAUUUUUUUGGUAGUGACAAGUUGUGAUAGUGUUAAUUUCAUUUUAGUAUCAAAUAUGAGCUGACAUGUGAUAAUUGAUUUCUUCCACAUUAUUUGAUAAUUUCAAAAACUCAUCAAAAUCCUUAAUAAAAAUAAUGAUAGAUUUAAGAAAGUGUGGAAAGUCAUUCUGUUUUUUCUUUUCUUGGGACAAGUUGUAAUUGCAUUAAUUAUAUUGUAACCAAAUGAAAAGUACCAAUACUUGCUCCUCAAUGGACAACUUGUCAGAGGUCAUGACAGUUAAAAAAAAAACCACUCUUGAUUUUCUCCAAACAAACAAAAUGCGAUCAGCUGGUGCACACCCACAUUAUGCCAACGGCUGGAUCAUUGGUCCACCGCAAGAUUCUAUUUUUAUUUUCCACCUCAAAAAUUGAAUAAAUAUUAUUUUAUGGAUGUUAUUAAUGGUCCAUUAUAAAACUAGUAAAUUAACCCAACUUGCUUUUGCUGAGAUCAUAACAUACGUUAUUUAUUCAAGUUGUUACGUUGCCCAUUCCUAUUAAGAAAUUAUUUUCUUUCAAUACAAAAAUUUUCCACACAUAAAAAAGAAAAAGCUUGUGAACAAUUGAAGUUAUUAUAUUUUUUUAUCUGGUUCACCUUAUAAUUUUCAUGACUCUUCUCUUUAGUGAACUUUAUUAAUUAGAAGAUUCAUAAGUACUGUUCAAAAUUUAGUAUGAAUAAGUAGUAAUGCUCAUAGUAAAUAGAGGAAAUAAUAUUGAGCCAAGCAUUAGUUUCAUCCAUUCCUUCAUCAAUACAUACACUUCUUAAGUUCUUCGCAGCCACUAUUCAUAUCCUUAGUUGACUGGCUUGCCAUCACCUUGUCCUUGCUUUUUCUCUAAUUGUUAUGCAUGUUCACCUUGAAUUGAAUAAGUCUAAGAAAUUCUUACUUAACCUAAUGCUGCAUUAUCAAAAGAUCAGUGCAAGCAACUUUGAUAAUGAUCGGUGCAAACAAAUCUGGAAGUGGAUAAUCCAAGAAUUCAUCAUUGCAUAUUUCCAAAAAUUAAAGAAACAAGGCGUUUUCUUCAUUGAAAUAAAAGGGGGGCGGGGGGGUUUGGUUCGUUAAUUCACCAGUUCUUUCAGAUCCUACGUGAUUAAAACACAACUUAUCUUUGCCGAUGAAACUAACGCAACAGAAAUUUUCAGUUCAUAUCAGUGAAUCUGAAUGUUACUCUUUUCAAUAGUUCUAUUGGACCGCCUAGCAAGCUCCCUGAUCUUUUUGCCAGUCUUCGUGCUUAUUCAUUACAAGAAUGCGACUUGUCACUCCUCCAUGGUAUCAACAUUGUUUCAGGCAUAUUGUGUUCUUCUUCAUCUUUGUCCCGAUUUAAUUGCGUAUAGAAACAGUUGAGGAAGCUGUCAUUGAUGGUUAGUCAACGGCUCCAUAUAUGCAUCAGUGUAAGCAAGAGGGCUAUCUUUCUUUCUCUCUCUCUCUCUCUCUCUCUCUCUCUCUCUGAUUGUGACGCAAGAGCUACUAUCAGAAAAAUGAGGAUUUGGGAGGGGGGAUUAGGAUGAAGUUGAAAGGCUCAUCACCGGAAUUCGAGAGACCUACUUAGCAACCAUUUGAACUAGCCCAAGUUUCACGUGCACAGGGCCCAUCUGCCUAAUUCUUGGACUUUUAAGUUAUCGCUAUGAUUUGUGGAGUAAUCAAGAAAAGUUAACAUUGUCUCGUCACUACAAAAUCUACGUACCAUUAAUCGUCAAUUAAGCCACUUAAAAGUCGAUGCUCAACGUAAUAUUGAUUUAUAAAUGCAUUUAUAAUUCCAUGCUUAUUGCAUUGCAAUAUCCUUGGCCUUAGUCAUCGGUCAACUAAUAUAAAAAAGUAUCAAUCAACCCCUCCUUGUUAGGUCACUAACAAUAUUUUGAAUUCUCAUGAUUUGUGAGAGCAAGGAAAGUUUGGAAAUUCCUUUUUUGAGGUCAUAACUCAAUGCAAUAACAUUCAUCGUGUCAUUUUUUUCAAUAUGGCAGUUACAAUUCCCUCAACUGAAGUGGAUGAUUCUCUCCCACAUGGACAAUUUAAGCAAAAUAUGGCCUGACAACCCUCAAGAAACUCUGACUUUUGACUAUUUAUGGGAAGUGGAGGUUCAUAACUGUAAGAGUCUUGCAAAUUUGUUUCCGCAUUGGGUGGCAACAAGUUUAAUCCAACUUAGGAAACUUCGAGUGGAGUCUUGUAGGAUUGAGGAAAUAGUUGUUGGUGGAGAUGACACUCCACACUCCAACACUGCUCAAGUUCUUUUCCCGAAACUAACCUCUCUAGUGUUACAUGAUAUGCCACAACUCCAGAGCUUCUAUGUUAACUUGCCCACUUUAAAUUGGCCAUUCUUAAAUGAAUUACGAGUGACUCAUUGUGACACACGAAACAUGUUAUCCUUUGCCGCAUCCGUGAACAGUUGGGCUCAAAGAGAUGAUCAACAGGACCUUUCAGACCAAGAAGAACACUCUUCUUUUGAGAGGGUAUGAUUAUAGUUGCUCUCCCUUAGUUUUUACUUUGUUCUUUAAAGCACUCAUUAAUCUCAUAUCCAUUGCAUAAUCACAUCAUGUUAUAAUGCUAUAGAAAACAUGAUCUCCUUUGCCUAUUAGUUAGUCGACAGCAUUGAGAUAUUUCUAAUAUCGUACGUAUACUUUCAUUUGUGGACAUGCAUGAGAUAUUCCAUUCCCUAAAAUUACAAAAAUAGUUAUAGAUUUUCUAUUGACAACACAAUAUAUUCCUAAUCUAAUCUAAUGGCGCUCCUUGGGGAAAUCAAUGAGAAUUUUGACAUGACAUCCUCUCCAUUGUUAACACAAUUCAACACAAUAUAUUCCUAAUCUAAUCUAAUGGCACUCCUUGGGGAAAUCAAUGAGAACUUUGACAUGAUAUCCUCUCCAUUGUUGACACAAUUCUUACAUUUGAACUUUUCUUCUCUUUUUAUUUUUCUACAAACUCUAAAAAAAAUAAACUAAAACAAUUUUUUCUUUUUGAAAAAAUAACAUUAGAACCUUAACUCACUAUAUUAUACUUUAUCCUUUAAUUCACCCAUUAUAUUUGACUACAUAAUCGCAUCACAUUAUAAUACACAUUAUAAUACUAUAGGAUCCAGAAACCUCUUACCUAUUAAUUUGUGGACACCAUAAGAUGUUUCUUAUAUUUUCAGCACACUUUAAAGUUUAUGGACACCAUAUGUUUUAGUAACAAUAUGAGUGCAUCUCAUUACAUAAAAUUUCAGAGAUGAUAAACUUUUGUUGACAAGAUAAGAUAUUUCUAAUAAAGGAUGAAUUUGGUGAGCAAGAGGGCUCUUACUCUUCAAUUCACUCCACUAACUUAACUAUUCCAGCCUCUAUUUGAGUCUUUAAAAGUUUGAAGACUUGUAUGCAAAGGUCUCUCUAGACAUGAUGAACUUUAAGAACACAGCCACCUAUCAUGCAAAUCAUCUAAAUAGAUUUACUUUUUACAGCACAUGAUUUAUUGCCAUUUUUUUUUUUAAUUUACUUCUCUUGUUGUAUUGGCAAUUUGACAGGACUUUCCCAAAUUACAAAGACUUUUAUUAGUGGAUAACAACAUUCAAAUGAUACAAGAUGGAAAUUUUCCAGAUGAAAUCUUUGGCAAGCCAAAAGCACUAAUAUUGGCAUGCUUUCAUGAUGAAAAGGCAGUCUUUCCUCCCAAAUUGCUCCUAGAGAGAUUUCAGAAUCUACAAAGUCUUGAGGUCUUCUGUAGUUCCUUUGAAGAUAUAUUCCCCAAGAAGUGCUUGUUGACGAGGGAAAACAUCCAGUUCUUGAAAAUUUAAGAGAACUUAAGUUAAACAAGCUACACAACCUAAAGAAUGUAUGUAGAGAAGACUCUUUAUUAUUGAAAAUUCUUCAGAGCAUCGAAAUAUUGGAGGUAUGGGAUUGUCCUUGUUUGACAACGAUAUUUCCAACCGCGACAUCCUUCCAUAAUCUAACGGAGUUAGUGGUGAAGAAUUCCUCUGGAUUGAUACAUCUAGUAAUAGCUUCAACGGUCACAAAUUUGAUGCAUCUCACUAACAUGACUAUAAUAGGAUGUGAAAGAAUGAAAGAAGUAGUGGCCAACGAUGGAAAUGGAGAAGGAAAAGUGAUUUCGUUUGAGAAGCUAACAUGGUUGACACUCCAACAUCUGCCAAACUUAGAAUGCUUCUCCUCCAUCUCGAGUUGUAUCUUUAGGUUCCCAUCAUUGUCUAGUAUUAUAGUAGAAGAGUGCCCGAAAAUGAAGACCUUUGCUAAAGGCACACUAAGCACACCAGAACUGUAUGAUGUGUCACUGUUCAAAUACAAGUUAAGAGGGAAUUGGGGGGAGGGUGAUGAUCUCAAUACAACCAUAUGGAAGUUAUCAGCAUAAACAAAUGCACGUUGAAUUGGUGAGAUCUAAUUGAUGUCAUCCUCUGAUCCAUUCUUCUUUUCUUUUUUCUUUUUGUAAUUUUCUAAUAUUGAUUACGUCCCAUCAUCAUUGCAUCAUCAACCCUAUCUGUGGAUGGAUCUCACCUCCUACUUCACUGAACAGCAGGAAGCAAAGCAGGGCUCCUUCUCCUUCUUGACACCGGAGGCAUCAAAUGAAGUGUCGGGAAUGCCAGGACUGAGAGAAGCGAAGCUGCUGCACUUAGUGGAGCGGAGCAAGUAGGGGAGAGAGAGAGAGAGAGAGAGAUUCAACCAGAUGGAGUGUUAUCUCGUCACCAUCCCUGGAGAGAAGAUCGUACUCUCUUUCUCUCUCUCUCCAACCUUGAACCCGACAAACUCGUAAGUUCUUCCGAUUUUGGUGUCAUAUUGUGCGUGAAUUAGUUUGAAGCUGGAAGUUGGUUUCGUGAAAACCUUCCUCAAUCCUUGCCUCCUGCUUCUUUGGCUAGGGCUCUCUUCUUCAGACUAGCAAUUUUAUUGCCCCUAAAUCCACAUCUUCCGUGCUUUCCUCACAAGCAUUGGCGAGAGAAACGCGUCUGCGUAGGAUUUUUCUGCGUGUUUGAGCUCUCAUCGAUGGAGAUGAUAUAGGGAGAGAUAUCUCUCGAGCAUCAUGAAACUUGAAAAUAUGAAGAGAGAAUUCCAUGCCUUGUCAAAAAUAUGAGGGGGUCACUUUUACGCCUUGUUCUCAAUGUACUCCAGACUGCUCAUCCUCAUGAGAAUUUCUUGUGGUUUGACGUGUCUUUGUUUCUGCUUGCGUAACUCUCUUUCGCAUUGUUCUUUUCAAAUUCUAGAAUAAAUUUUAACAAGCCCUUUUUCUUUGUCUUGAUUGGUUACGAGAUGCUGCAAUGAUAAAAUUUAUUUCUAAUUUAUUGUAAAAUCUUUCCAUAGCUAGUCAAACUAAUGAAGUGUACUUAAACGGCCUCUUCACAGAACCGUCCCUCUCGCUGCUUCGCUCGCCAUCCUCUUGUGGUCAAAUCCAGGUACAGUUACGAGCGUUCUUCUUCUAUGGGUUCAUUUUGCACUUGAUUGGAGUUGCCGUCGCCGUCUCGUGUUUCCUUUAUCUAGAGCAAUAGCAUGGAUUUAGCUUCAGUUUUCAUUUGGUUCCUUUUGAAGAGUAGUUUCUGCUGAGUAUAUUCGAAUUUGAUUCGUACCCUUUCUGUUUCUACAUACUGCAUGUCUGGUCAAUGGGAGGGAAUUCCUGGUGUUCGUCUUUUUUGGUGGGAGAAUGGUUACUGCAAAAAGAGAAGGGUGACUUCGAGCUUCUACUGUUGAAAAGGAUAAGGUUGUGUUCUUAGAUGUGCAUCCAUUACAAAAGGCUUUUGCGGCCUGCGGUACUUGGUAUGAUAAAGUUUUGGAUAGUGGAUGCAUCUAGAGUUAGGUGAUCCCAUUGGUCGAUUGUUCACCCCUUUUGAAGUUGAUGCAACUAGGAUGGUCGUGUAAGAUGUGUGCUUCAUUUCAUUGGCUGGAAGAGAAGAUGUCGAUGCAAGUAGAAUCAUGUGUAGAAGAUGUGGAUAUGCAUGGUGCACUUGAAGAAAAACGACCUCGACUGGUGCUUUGGUUUGGGAUGUAUGCACUUAAGUAGUAAAGCUUCUUGUCUUAUUCUUGCACAGCUUCUGAUAUGAUUGGAGAAUCUGGUAUGCUCUUACACUUCUUGAAUUGCAUCAGGUUUUGUGUGGUAAAAUCGUGAGGCAUGUGCAAUCAACAUUUGUAGAGGUUUAGGGAUAUAUGGAUGAUGAAGCCGAAUUUAUAUUUAUAUUUUCUUGCUGUUGCAGCUAAAGCCGGAUUUCUCUCUGGAUUCCCUGGAAUAGAGUCUGCCCCUGGCCCUCAAUUGCCUCAGAUUGAGGCAUCCUGAGCUGGUUUAUUAUGGUCCCAUGUGCCCAAGGCCUCUCACUACCCUUACAUCGGCCAACACAUUUCAAAUGAAGCAUCCCUUUUUCAAAGGUAGUGAUGAGGCCCUCUUAUAUUAAGAGUGACUUGAUAUGAUCCCACGCUUAUUGAGUUGAACUCGCACGUCUGAAAAUCAAACAUAUAGAUGCUGUUUAUAUAUAUUUGCUUAUACUCUAGUGUAUUUCCAAGUUGAGUUAAUGUAGUAAACCACAUGACAUGUUAUUUUCCUUGAAGUGUUCAUGGGUAUAUGUUUAAAACCAGGUAUAUAUCUUAACAAUGGAGUAAUUGAAGCAGGGAAAAGAAUGAAAGGACAGUUAUUGGGACAUAAGCUGGUGGUCGAGGUUCAAAAAUAUAACAGUUGUCUCCUUUUUGUGGAUAGAUGUUUUAGAAAACAAUUGCUGAGGCAAGUCUUAAGAAUUAAAAUCCAAGUCCUCUUAUAUGGAGAAAUUUAACAAUGUUAUUGAAUGCUGUAAAUUUAGGUUAUAUAUGUAAAUCAUCACACAAGGAGACUAGUUGAUAAGGACAAGCAAUUUGCAAUAAUGUCAUUACCUCCCUGACUAAAGGGAAAGACUUGAAAGAUAAGAGGGUGGCUAGUUAUCAUUUUGAAAUUUCAUUGUAGACCUGAUGACGAAUAAUCUUAAUGCCAAAUAGGAGAUACCGUUUUAUUUUGUUAUACAUACCAAAUAUUUGAGGGGAAAACAAGCUUACUUUACUUUGUCAUAUAAAACCGAUAGUUUGAUAAAACAUUCAAUUUUGCUGUGCUUGAAAGAAUUGAACAGCUUAAGUCUAAAUUUUCAAUUCCAUCCAUGUUCAAGUCAUAGAUGUCUUUGCUUUUUCCCCUGCGGUUGGGGUCUGCAUGGCCAAAAUGCAUGGGUUAAAUAUUUAUAUAGGACAUGAAAGGCUUCUUUCGGUUAUGUACCCUAUCGCACUCUAGGAGCGUAUAUUUUGACAUUUGACUUUGGAUUGCAGAUUGAGAUUGAUGACUUUCAUUAUAUGUGUAUUGUUGAUUAAAACUCCUAGAACCAGCAACUGCUGUCUUAAAUUCACACUAUGUAAUUUGAUUCUCUCAUAAAUGUAUGCUUAUGUUUGGUCUUUCUUCACAUGGAGACUGCUCUUACUCAAUCCAUCAGGCAACAUAUUCACGAAAACGAGUAAGUUGCGACUCUCAGGUAUUCAAAUAGGCUAUGGACAGUGAAGCUCAGGAGCCGUGGACGUGACCAAGGGGCAUUUUUUUUUCUACUGGUUGGCCCACAUUUGCAAGAGAAAUUCGUCUGCAUGUCGAAAUGUUUGUGUGUUUGAGCUCAUUGAUAGGGAGGAUAUUGUGUUCAGAGUCUACAUUUCCACUAGUGCUGGUAAGGACUUGAUUUACUUGAUAAAGAUUAGCUCUAAAAGUUUUGCUUUGGCUGGUCCAAAAUAAAUGUUGUACUUCUAAUAAUAUCUCCUUUAUUUUGUCUUGAUGAAUCAAUGAAGUGUACUUAUAUUCCGAUUGGGUUUGUGAGGUUCAUAAUAAUCUAAAUGCACACUCGUUAAUGCCGCAUACCAAAUCUAAAUGAACCAAAAAUGAUGUGCUUUAGGAUGUCCUGUUUGAUUUAUGCGUUCUUGUUGUUCAAUUUAAAUUUGAAAUGAAGUGUCCUAGGCUUAUGAAGAUUUAUGGGUUUUAUUUUUCUUACAGGGAUUACCAAAGAGGAUCAUAAGAAAAUAUGGUGAGAAUCUCCCUAAAAGAUGCUUCUGAGUAUCAAAUGUUGCAAUUUGUUAGGCUGUGGAACAGGAAAAAUGUGAUGAGAUGGUUUCAUUAUCAAAGAGUUAGAAUGAAUUUGCAGAGCAUUACUCUACUUGUGAGGGCCAAAUUUUGGUCUUCAAAUUUGAAUGGACUCCAUUUUCCAUGUAGUCAUAUUUGAUUAUUGCAUGUCCGGGAUAGAAUAUCCGCCAAUAAAUGCUGAUUUGAGGAACCAAGCCUCGGCAAUUGUGGAUUUGUCUUGCUGGAAGUGAAUUGCAUUCACCCAAGUGUCCUCCGCUUUGUAAGGCAAGAAAUCUCAUCAGGUUUGUGGAGUUCAUGGCCCGUGUACAAUCAUCAGCAUAGAGUUUAGGGAGAGACGGAAGUUCAAACUGCUUUUCAUGAGAUUUUGAGGUGUAAAUCUUAAUCUACUAGCUAAUUCUCCCAUUGAUUGUGUCGUUCUCUUGUUUGAUUUGAAUUUCGUACAGGAACUCUCCAUGUCGUUAGGCUAAGAGAGACUGUGUUAGUGCUAAUUCAUCCUCGUAGUGUUUAUCUUUAGCUCUCCCAUGUGUGCAUAUGUACGUGUUGGGGGAUUUCGUAAAUGUCAAGCCAAUGGAAACAAGCGAAACCAGUAGUAUCAAUUUUGGUUGUGCUAAAAAUGAUAUUUGGUGUGCAUAUACCAUAUAGGCCCUGGAAGGUAGACCAUGAUCUAUUGAUUUACUAUGUCAGUAGAUAUGAGUUUCACAUAACAAGAAUAGUAUAUGCCUAGAGAGCAAAAGCUUUCUUCAUGUUCUAUUGACGGCUGCUGCAGGUAAGCUGAAAGAGCCAGGCUUGUGCAGAGCUCUUGAACUGGGCAGCACCUUUAAACCUGGGUAUCCUUUCUUCCAAAUUGUGGUGAGGUGAAUAUAUCUGAAGAAAAGCAAUGUGGUAAGAUCCUCAUGGCAAUGACAACUCUUGAAUUUAAAUCACAUACAGUCACUAGACUAUGCUAGCUCUAGGUUUAUCGUGCAUCAUGUCAGGGUUUCUGUUUUUAUCCUUCACAGGUACAGUCGUCCUCAGAAAUCAUUGGUUGUUUUCUUCUUUCUGAUGACAAAAUUGCGAAACGUCUAUUUAAGGAGACAGUUCCUGGUUCAUUGGCACAGAUGCACGUCAAGAAAAGUCCGCAGACCAUGGCUCUCAUAUUUCUGGACAAAUCUUGGCCGGUGAAGCUCAUCAGCCAUGAACAUUAAGGAAGUUACCUGCCGGUUGGGCCACAUUCACGAGAGAAACUUCUCUAGAGGCGGGAGACAUACCUGUUUGAGCUCAUUAGAAGGGAAGAUAUCAUGUUCUGAGUAUCCAUCUUCAGAACCACUGAGAAGACUUGGGAUCAGGAUACUAUGCAAAAGGACACAGCAGAGGAAGAAUCCUUUAGGCCAUUUUUGGUGGAACAUAACUUCAGAUUUCCUAGGCUGAAAUCUGCUUCCAAUUCGGCAAAUCAAAUGAAAGCGUGAGUUUUGUUCUAAUGAAUGGAAUGUUCCUGAAUGUGUAUGAUACCUUCCCUUGAUCCUAGUGUUAGCUAUCACCAUGUGGGCAUGAGUCAUGAGAUGGAGGAAGUUGAUUGCUAAUGUCAAAUUAAGUGCUUCUUCAAGGUU